rnacentral:lncRNA from 1 species
CGUCAACUUCCAAAGGAUAUGAAGUAUAUGGCAAACCUCCGACACCUCUAUACCCAUGGAUGCAUAUCAUUGACAUGCAUGCCUCCAGGACUUGGACAGAUCACUUCUCUGCAGACUCUAACAUAUUUUGUUAUUGGUGAUGGCUUGGGAUGUAGUACUAUCGGAGAACUUCAAAACUUAAACCUUGGUGGAGAGUUAGAGUUAAGUGGUCUGCAAAAUGUAACAGAAGUGCUUGCAAAAGCAGCCAAUCUUGAAAAAAAGGAGAAACUCACACACUUAUCUCUCAAGUGGAAUGAUGAUGCCCGUGAGAAACCAGAUUCUCAUAAUGAGGUGUUAGAUGCCCUUAAACCUCAUCACCGGCUAGAGAUGCUAAGAAUAAAGUCCUACAAAGGCACCAAUUUACCGUCAUGGAUAACAGAUCUUAGUCUGUUGCAGCACUUGACUGAGCUCCAUCUACUUGGUUGUACGCUGUGCGAGGAAUUUCCUCAAUUCUGCCAUUUCAAAGCCCUUGAAGUUCUGUAUUUGGAAAAGUUGGACAAAUUGCGAAGCCUAUGCAGCCAUAUGGUGUGUACGCCAUUUCCAGCACUGAAGCAACUCCGGUUACAUGAUUUGGAGAGCUUGGAGAGAUGGGUCGCAAUAGAAGGAAAAGAAGAUGAAUUAACCUUUCCUGUACUUGAGGAGAUUGAUAUAAACAACUGUCCAAAGUUGACUAGCCUACCUGAAGCACCAAAGCUCAAGGUUCUGUAUUUGCUGUGUGUCCGUGACACAGAAGCACUGCCUCAGAUAGAUUAUAAUUGGGAUUCAUCACAGAAACUGGAACUAUCCUUGGGUGGCACAGAAGCCGCACCUCUGUCACAUCUGAACAUAUCUGGCUGCAACUUUUUCUUCGUAUCAAGCCAGUCACAGAUAACACCUGGGGUCUGGAAAUGGUUUGAACAUCUUGUAGAUUUAGAAAUUGAAAACUGUGAUGUGCUCAUCUACUGGCCAGAAGAAGUGUUCCAAAGCUUGGUAUCUUUGAAGGAGUUGUGGAUUCAUUCCUGCAACAAGCUAAUAGGGCCCACACAAGCGAAAGGUGGCGAACCUACACAAACGACAGAUCAACUCCUGCCACAUCUAAACAGGAUAUUUAUAUGGAAUUGUAAAAGCAUGGCACAGCUCUUCAUUCUUCCCCCAUCUAUCAGGUUUAUUGAUAUUUGGGCAUGCCCUAAGCUUGAGUUCAUAUGGGGAAACGAGGAGCAUCUUGACACAUAUACAUCGCUGGAACAUUGCCGCGGCCCUGCAUCCACCACUGGUACCCUAGAGCAAUCGCCGUCUCCAAUUAUUCAUCGUCCAUGCCUCGUAUAUCUAACAAUAAGAAGCUGUGAUAGCCUGGUAACACUUCCAAAUCUACCACCGUCCCUCAAACGUUUAUACAUCUACAGCUGUGAGAAGCUCUGCUCUGUGUCAGGAGACCUGUGUGCACUCGAGGAACUACAUAUUUUUAACUGCAAUAAGUUACAGUCAGUCAAUUCCUUGGGAGACCACCCAUCAUUAGAAACACUGUAUCUUUAUCUCUGCCGAUGCCUUGCAUCUUUAGGGUGUGAUGGUGGUCGUGGGUGUUACUCUGCUCUUCAGUGCCGUGAGAUCGAAUACUGCCCAGCCAUAGACAUGAAGCAGUUUUACUAACGCCAUCAAACAGCUGCUUGACAGCUUUGAAUAUGAAGACGUAUCACACGUUCAUUCAAGCAGCUCUGAUGAAGGCACGACCUUUCACUUUCCUCUUAUUCAAUUUGUUUCCUUCAAAUUUCCCUGCUUUGCAUGCCCUCCUAUUUUGUUGACUAACUGGUGUAACCCCACAUAUUGGUGUUGAGAUCAGUUGAUGCGGAAUCACUGAAGUACUACUGAAACGAGAUCCUGAUCGGUCUCAGUUUUGGAGAGCAAUUUGUGGUGAACGGAGGCAGUCCAAGGCUUCAAGAACUCAUGGAGUCGUGCUGUACCAUUCUGCACUGCCAGGGCCAAAACAACACAAUUCCUUUAUAUAAGUUGGGUAAGUAAAAAACCAUGCCUCUGUCUGUGUUAAUCAAAUCUCAUUUAGCACAUAUAUGGGGACGUGUUGUUAACUUGUUACCCCAUGCUUUUCAUUUUUUCUGUGCAGACAUGACCCAUUUGUCCUUAAAAAGCAUAAAGGAGGGCACUCACAUGUACACACGACCGCUAUCUAGAGAUCAGGAGAAGAAGGAAAUCGUGGGGAUGCAGAUUUGCUUUCAACGGUCAAAACAGAGCUACAAAUGAUUAGUUGUAGUCGUGUGUGGUCCUUCCAUCACGAGUCGGUUUUUUCUUUUGCGCUAUAGAGAAGCCUUUCUUUUUCUUUGGCUAUAGUGUUAUAGUGUUGUGUUAGUUGUCCUCCUCCCCUCAUGUUAUUGAUCCCGUUUGUAUGUGUUGUGUUCUCUAUGUCGUCUGUCCAAAGCUUUUUCAGUUGUUGUCUCUUUUACGGUUGCUUUGGUUCUUUUUUCCUUUCUAUUAAUAUAACAUGAAAAUCCUCUUGCCAUCUUUUUGAAAAAAAAAAUCGUGGGGAUGCUGCUUGAUGAAGCUAGCAACAUGGAUCUCAUGGUUCUUCCGAUUGUUGGAAUGGGUGGGAUCGGCAAGACCACCUUUAAUUUGUGCAACUCAUUUUUUCGGCUGUCAGAUGAGCAUUCGACGCCUUUCCUUCAUCUUCUAGUAAGUAUAUAUCUAGGCGCAUAGCAAAAAUCAUAUAUCUAGAAAAAAUAACCUACAAUGGAGGGAUUACGUUGGAACAUCAACCAAACAAAUGGACGAACCUGUUUAAUUAUUUGGCCUCCAAGAAUGCCAUACGACCUGAAUGAAUAACUGAAGGCUAACAAGGCACUUAUUGUUGUACAUAGGAGCUGAGCUUGACUUAGAUAUAUUUAUUUGCAAACAGGUGUGAAAUGUGAUACAAUAAUUCAGAAAGCUAGACGUCGUGAGCCAUGCGAGAGAUAAGAAGAAGCUUCUCAUUACGGUGCACAUCCAUCCCAUACGACUGUGACAUUUCGAUGCCUGUCAACCCUGGCGGAAGCUCCCAGUUGAAGUGGUAGAUGAGGUUGGCAAGAAUGAUUUCGAAAGUGGCGGUGGUGAAGUUUAUACCCGGGCACAUCCUUCGCCCAGACCCAAACAGCAAGAAACAGAAGUCGUUCCCCCGGAAGUCGGAAGCAGCAUCCAUGGCUUCUUCCAUGAACCGCUCGGGCAUGAACUCCUCUGCACUCUCCCAGUAGGUGGUGUCCCUGCAUAGAGCCCACGCGUUGACGAUUACACGUGUACCGGAGGGUAUGGUAUAGCCCUCCACAUUGCAUUCCGACUUUUUUAUUUUUUGAACUUUUUUUUGAAAGAUUCUUACAAAUAGGUCCCUGGUGAAAACAUUUCAAAAUCUGGACCCUUAGCUUGGCGCCACCAUCGUACACGUCUCGGCGCUAGCGGCUCUGGCGCCUAGGUCAUUGCGCAGCUGGUGACGUGGAUGCUGACAUGGCGGGGACUUGGCACCAAGGUGGAUGAGGCCAAGCUUCGUAUUUCAACCACCUGCCUCCUUCCUACCCGAGCCUUCUUCCUCUUCUUUCUCCUCCCUCUCGGAUUUUUUCUCUCCCCACUUCACCCUACAUCACGAAUCGGCCUAUUGGAUCUUGGAAACUUUGAUUUGAUCCGUGGAUCUUCGAGAGCAAGGUAUCCUCGCUCCCUCAUAGUUUUUUUUCACGUCGAUUCGGUAUAUAUUAGUCGGAGUUUUGAACUUAGGGCUCAUGCAACCGUAGGAUGUCAAGGCGUGGAAAAGCUAGGAAAUUAAGGUAACCUCAACGCACGUUGUUAUGUUAUGGGUUCAUUGUUGUGGAUCGAAUGGGAAACCCUAGGUAUAGGUUUAAUGUUAAUUGCUUUCGGUUCUUACAACGAAAUGGACUAAAUUGUAGUUAUGGCGGGAUGACCGGAAAUGCCUUCGACCCAUUGCCUCUGCCAAGUGGUGUUCCAGUGCCCAUGUGCUUUUACAGCGAUCCUUGCAAGGUAGCCAAGUCCGAUGCAGAGGACACGUAUAGGAAGAGGUAUUGGUUGUGUUCCAAUUUUGCGUUUGAGCCUACACUUCGUCAGCGCCGCAUUAACAAGAUGGUGAGAAAUUGAUGUUGUCUAAUAAUUAUUUUGUUUCAUAUGACAUCUUGCAUGAUUUUUUUAUUUUCUAACAAUUGCAUUUGUUGCAAACCCCUCUACUGCUCUGUGAUUUUGAGCAGUGGAUUGACGCUGAGAUCAAGCCUGAAGAUAAGGAGGAGAUGCAGGAAAUGUUGCGGUGGGAGGUAGAGAAGAAGGAGACAAUGGAGAACAGACGCAGAGAGGAGGCUGCAGAAAAGGAGCACAAGGAAAAGGAGAAAAAGAGGCAUGCUGCUGCGAACAGGGAGGAGAGGGAGAAGAAGCUUGAGCGUGCACGCUGAGCGAAAGCAGCGAUUGAGGAGAAUCCCAAUGCCCUGAGGAAGGGAAAGUGGCCUCGUUGCACAUGGUAGUCUUCAGUACUUGCUAGUUCUAUGGUUUAUUCAUGAAUAAUGUUAUCUACUGUUGGACUUUUCAUUGUGUUGUCAUGUAAUGGACUUUAAGUAUGGACGAUGAUAAAAAGAAGUACCGACAGAUGCUCAUCACUGAAUCAACACAUGCCAUCGAAAUUUUGGCAGAAUUUCCCCUAUUUUUUUUACACAAUCCAUACAUGUAAGUGAGAUGAAUUUUUAACCUCAAUACAACAUGUUCAAACAUACAAAUAUAUGCCACAUUCAUAAUGAAAGUCCACAAAAUGCAUAAUGAAAGUCCACAAAGUUCAUAAUGAAAGUCCACAAUAGUACAUAUACACAAUAGUUCAUAAUAAAAGUCCAUAUACACAUUAGUUCAUAAUAAUAGUCCAUAUACACAAUAGUUCAUAAUGAAAGUCCACAAAGUCCAUGUUAUUACAUAAUAACAUCUACCACAAACCUUCACUACCUCCUAGUCUUACCCUUACCCUUGUGACCAAGAGUGUCGGUGCCUGGAGUGUAAGGGGAAGGUGGACGACGUCUCCUAGUGCCUGCAAGCUGUGUAGGCUGAGUCAAGGGAGCGUCCUGGAGCUGAAACGGGCCAAGCUCUUUGUGCCUCUCGUCAUCCUCAUCCUUGUAUGCAAUGCCUUUGGCCUGUGUAGCUGCUUGGCUAGACGAACCUAUGCCUCCUCUGCUUGAGGAAGGAACAUGCAUGUCUCGCAUUGUGGCUGUCCUGCAACCACAAUGAGCAGCCGCACGGCGUAGCCGACGUGAUAGUCUCUAUUGUACAAGAAAUAGGUUAAGUGAAAGAAUUUAACGUAUUAAUAACAUAUUUGAAAGCAUAUUUAGAAUCUUAUGUCUAGGAAGCUAUGCGUCUCGUCGUCUCUGACUCUCGGACGAAACUGCUCAAUGUCUUCAACCGAGGUUUUGAGGGUAUGGCCCUGCAACAAAGUAAAUGUACCAUCACUAAAUCACUAAGUCACUAUCUACCUAAAUCACUAAGUCAGUAUCUACCUAAAUCACUAAAUCUACCUAAAUCACUUAAGUCAACUAAUCACUAAGUCACUUAACAUAGAAAAAUAAGGCAAUUGACUUACCACUCUAUCCAAGAUUGGUCCUGCCUCCACUUGCCUUCCUACAUAAGUACUUCGGUCGUACGUCGUGUCUUCAUCGUCGAAGGACUCGAUGUCGCCGUAGUCAUCUUGUGUCCAUUGUAGCCUCAGCCUGCAACGGCUCGCACCUUGGUACCAAGCUUGGUAUCGCAUGUACUCACUGUUUGUGUGCAGCUCGUUGUUCUCAUCCACGUUGUCGUGGAACUCCUCCCAUUGCUCAAUGUAAGGCUGGUGGUAUACAUGUCACUCAAAAACCUUCCUAUUCUUCUUAUGAUCCAACCUGCACGUCACGUAAGAUGUUAUAACUUGUCCAUAGUCCUAUAACCUGAGUUAAUGUAAGGGACCAUCAUGAGAUAAUUGAAAUAGCAAAACACUUACUUGUGUAACUCUACGCCAGUCGAGAAUGGAGCCGUUGGCCAAAUCUGUCUCAUGCCAAAUUAGCGUGCAACUCGAUCAGGCUGGUGGAACUCGACGGCAUAGAAACAUAUAAGAGGGCACCUCAUCCUGUAUAAGUCAUCAUCGCUCACACACAUGGUGCUCAAAGGAAAAGUAAGUGCCCCCUCUCCUAUGUACGGCUCCCACGACACCUGCAACAUGUCCAAACAAGAUGUUAGAUGAUAUACUAAACCAAUUGAAAUCAGCAUGGGAAAUAAAAUGUACUUACACUAGACACCGUGAGCGUGUCUAGCUCGUUUGUGAAAUCACGGUACGCCCACUCCAACCUCAUGUGUAGAACCCUAACCUGGUCCCAAAGGUACGCCCACGUAGGAUGCUGUCUCGGAGGCUGACCUGGGAACCACUCACGGCGAGAUAGAACCUCGGGACAGCCAACUGGUAGACGCGCCCACAUCCACAACUGCUGUAGGUACACACAUCCACCAAGUGACGCUGAGGACGAAGACCGACGACAAGCCUCGCACAGCUGCAGGUAGAGAAAACCCAACAUUGCAGAGCCCCAGCUGUACUGACCCGCCUGGUGCCAGUCGGUGAGGCAAUGGAUCCACAUCCACAAUGUAGUGUCACCCGUGGCAUCGGGGAAGAGAACGCAUGCAAAGAGGUGUAGGAUCCAUGCCCUGCAGUAGUUCUCAACUGUUUGCUCAUUUGCAUCCUCGGGGCAUUGUGCAAACUGUUGCCGGAGCCAGGAGAUUAGAACACCAGAAGUGUGAGCACCUUGCUCGUCAACCUCAUGCCCAAGGAAGGCUGCUACUCGUUCUCUCCAACCAUCUGACCUGCACGGCCCAGUCACUGCGUCGCCGCGAAUCGUCAAACCUAACAUCUUCUAACAGUCCUCGAAUGUAACUAUCAUCUCUCCGAAAGGCAAGUGAAAGGUAUGAAUCUCAGGCCGCCACCUACAGUUUAGACAAAGGAAGAUUACAUGUCAAAUAGGCUAGGGCAUGAACGAUUGGCUAUGAAUGGACGCAAUGAUUGAAGAUAGUACCUAUCAACCAACGCUGUUGUGGCUGCUGAGUUGAACUUGGGCAACCCAUGACGAACCUGAAAUGAGAUGAGAUGACAUCUAGGCCAGCAGCUUGCAGCAAAGGAGUGUACCGGUCGUCGUACCGCAUGUCCAAGAACCCAUCGUGGGUUCUAGAACCAAGGAGCGGAAGGUCAUGCAUGCAAUGAAACAGAGUCUUCCGUUAUUUCACGAACAACACAUGUACGCUUAUAAAAAAUCAAUCAACACGUACAUAUUAUUACUACCCCCCGCUAUGAGACAUCCUCGAUGGGUCUGGUCGUACAUCGGGUCGAGCAGGUGGAGUUGCGCCAUCCUACAAAAAAUCAAUGAAAUAUAAAUUAAGUAUGCAAUGAAACAUAAACUUAGAAAUGUACAAAUAAUUAACACAAUUGCAAGUAUAAAUUGAGACAUGCAUAAUUAAUUGAAUGGAUACGACAUAUAUGAAAUAAUGAAAAGAACCACUAGUCGCACCUCACUAAUCUGCCAAUGGCACGUGUAUGAACUGUGGUCCAGUCUACCGCACUUGCCGCACUUGUUCUGCUCGGGUCAGUAAGAAAUGGGGUUGCCCUACCACGCCUCGCUCUUCCGGGUAUUUGAUCCAUAACCAUCAUGUGCCUCGUCCUCUUUCUUGAUCCACGCGUGUUCCAACAGUAAGCUGGAUCCGCAAUGUACUUUAGCCCAUCAUCAACAUGAGGGACAUGACUAGUAUUCCAACAGAUGCGCUCCUAUUCUUUCUGCACUUCUGCUCCCAUCUCCCUGUCAAAUUGUAUUACGGGUGUAGUUUAGCACUGAACAACAUGGUUUUGUGGUGCUGGGAUUGAAUCAUAGGAGUGCUAUUUGUGUAUCCGGAGCCAACUUUGACUGAUCUGAAUUUUGGUAAAUUUUCAUCCGAAUUUGUUUAAAAUCCAGUUGAAUCCAGGCCCGAAAUUUCCUGAAUUUCCGAAUUUCGUCCAUUUCGGAAGGCUCCGAAUUUUUUCAACUUUUGAAUCCCAGAACCUUGGUUGAGAAGCGGAGAGAUGGGAGACCUAGUUUUCAUCUUCGUUGGCUCGUUGGAGGGGAAUACUGCAUCUGGAGGAAUCGCGCGGAGGACAAGCUCAUGGAAGGCCCCGCUUUCGAUUACAGAGAAAAUCUUCGUUGGUCCGUGGGAUUUGAUUACAGCGAAGUCGAAGCAAACAUGUUUAACCGGUAUCUGAUUACGGGGGUGUUUGAAUACGAGGCGUUAAACUUUAACAGUGUCACAUCGGAUGUUCGGAUGCUAAUUAGGAGAACUAAAUAUGAGCUAAUUAUAAAACUAAUUGCAGAACCCUGUGUUAAUUUGCGAGACGAAUCUAUUAAGCCUAAUUAAUCCAUCAUUAGCAAAUGGUUACUGUAGCACCACAUUGUCAAAUCAUGGACUAAUUAGGCUUAAUAGAUUCGUCUCGCGAAUUAUACUCCAUCUGUGCAAUUAGUUUUGUAAUUAGUCUAUGUUUAAUACUCCUAAUUAGUAUCCAAACAUCCGAUGUAACGGGUGUUAAACUUUAACAGCUGGUUGCCAAACGGGCCCUACAUGGUACCAGAUACAGAGCGAUUUUUACUGAAACAAACAUCACCUAGAGCUGAUUAUUAUAUUCAUAUACUGACAAAAAGUAGAAUACUUCUCAGACAAGCCAGCCAUUACAACAAUAACAACACAACAACUGGAUUACCGGCGUGUCACAAUAACACACAACAAGAAGCUACGUACCACGAAGCAACAGAAACAGCACUCUUGCAAAUUAAGGGGAAUUCAACACCCCCAAGGAAACGGCGAUGAAAUUAAACCAGGCCCCGCCAGCAGAGCUUUGAGCACCUACACAUAUAUAGCAGGUGCAUGCAGCUCUCUAUUACAGAAACAGUAGAUCGAAAACGAUGAGCAACCAAGCAUCGAGCAGCAACACUGCUUACUUCUUCUCUCAAUGCAAGCAGGAAGAGAAGGCAAGCUAGCGAGCUGAUCAGCAGAGAAGUCGCCGGGAUUCAUUCAUUCAGAUGGCCGCCCGCGGUCGGCGUGCAGCGGCGCUCGCAGAAGUUUCCAGCAAAAUACGGAACUUCAAGCGGGCCGGGGCUCCUAGAUAGCAUGUACAUCUUUGAUCCGACAGCAGCCCAGUCCCGCCCAUGAACAACAAACAGUAGCAGCAGCUAGCGUAUGAGGGUGGUGUGUGGUGGGGCCAAAGGCCAAUCUUGCAAGACAGCAGGAAGGAGCGUAACAUGCAUGCCCGUGUGCAGUACUGCCGUGGGUGUUGAGCACUUUUUUUCUUGCUCCCGUUGUACUCAUGGAAACAUUUCAAAAGUAUAGAUUCAAUAUUUUGCAUAUUAUUUAAACAUUUCAAACAUUUAUGGAAACCACAUUUUAGAUAAACUGGUUCAAUAUUUUGCAUAGUAUUGUUGAAAUAGUGUACCUUAAACGUUGAGCUAAAUAUAUCUAAAAUGAUGAAACUAAGAAAAUAAAGAUGAAAAAAAUAUAUACAGUCAUGUGGGAUCUCAAUCCGUUAGAAAAAUUUCGAAAAGGCUCAUAAUUUAAUUGGAAUUAAAAUUAAAUGCACCGUUAGAGAGAUAAGUAAGUUGAAAAGUUCGAAAUCAAAACUCACAUCACCCAACAAGUAGCUGACACCUAUCCGUCCUUUCAGCAGCUCCACCCACCUCGCGCCAGCAUACUAGCACAUGGUGGUCCCCAGCCACCUCUCGCCAGAUCGCAGUGCCCGAUGGGAGAUCCGGCGAUGCCGUUGCGUCGAAGGAGAGGGCGGAACCGACGAGGGUCGCCGGCGGCUCCCACCCCGGCCGAACGCGUCCUGACCGACUCCGGCAGGGGGCGGCAGGGCCUCCCGCAGGUGAGCGCUUCCAUCCGUGGUCCGCAGCAGUAAUGCCUGAUUUUUCGCUUUCUUCUCCAGAAUUCGUCGCAUAUACUUAUAUGUCAUCGUUCUCUGAUUUUUCGCUUUCUUCUCCGGAAUUCGUCACAUAUACAAAGCUUUCACGAUUUCGAUGAGAGAUUUGGUCAUGUUUGUGGCCACGGAGACACAGUCUAGCUAGCGUAGUGAAAAGUGCCACUAGUGAUUGCAAUACGCACGGAAAUUGGUUUUUUGUCUGUUCUUUCUCCAUCUCAAUCAUCAAUCAAAUGGGGGUAGUUGUCCUGUACCUAUCUUUCUCCAUCUCAAUCAUCAAUCAAGCAAAAUGAAGAUUCCCCAUCACAUCAAACUUGCGGUACAUGCAUGGAGUACUAAAUGUAGACGAAAUCAAAAACUAAUUGCACAGUUUUGUUGUACUUUGCGAGACGAAUCUUUUGAGCCUAAUUAGUCAAUAUUUUGGACAAUAAUUCACAAAUACAAACGAAACGCUACAGUGUCGCAUUUAUGGCAAAAUGCCAAUUUAGCACCUCCCAACUUGGGAAGUAAAUAAGAGCCAAAUGGGGUGGUUGUCUGUACGCCGGGUGGGCCGAGUUGGCCAAACUGCACAGUGGUGGUGGUAGCCAAGGUGUUGUUCAAGGUCGGGCUGGCACGCACACGGCCGUACCACAUCAGGGUGUGUCCUGCUUCCCCGUCAACUUCCUCCAAAACUGUGGUGGGAGCCGCGUAAUGGAGGAGGGUGGUGGGCCAAGCGACAGCUAGCUGUGGUGUGGUGGGCAUCCAGCAGGCGCGCAGGGCCCAGCCGUGGCCCACUUUUAUGCUGCCAAGAAAGAUGCCUUUGUGAUUAUGCGCCGGGGUGAGAGAAGAAGACACGGCACCUAAUACUUUCCUCACCUUUGCAGUGCCGUGGGCCCGCCACUUCCCUUCUGGCCCACAUGUCAUGGAGACACGUCAGGCUGUGGUGGACAAGGGAAGACACCGCACCGCACGCACCUCCACCACUUGCCUUCGCUUUUCCCACUUGUGCUGUGGGAAGACACCGCAUGCACCUCCAGCUCGAGCUCGCCCGCCUAGCUAGGAGCUCCAGCAUCCGGUCCGCUCCGCCGCCGGUGCAGCAACCACGCCGCCGUCAGACCGCCUCGCGUGGCCACCGGUCGUCCCCGCGAUACACCGCCGCCGGUGCGCCGUGCGCGGCGGCGCUGUCCCGCCGCUCCUCCGCCUACCGUCCGCCUGCGCCACCACCAGCGCACCGGCAGCACCGCGAGCUGCCGCGCCGCCCCGACGUUGGUCCUUCCUGAGCCCGGUGUCGUCACCAGCGUCGCGGAGAAGCUAAUUACCUGAAGCAAUUUGUAGAAACGAAUAGUACUGGUUCGUUCACUUAUUUCUUUGCUCAAACUUAAUUUCUGCUUAGAGUUUGUGCCUAAAUUAGCUGCUUAUUCUGCUGGUUGCAUGCAGGAGAUCGAGCUGCGGGCGUACGGCCGGAUCGGAGGAGGAAAUAUCAGCCGGGUUCCUGUUGGUUGUGUACUUGUGUUCCUGCCGGCGGAGGCAACCAUGGCCGAGUUAGUGAUCGGGCCACUGAUCUCCAUGGUCAAGGAGAAGGCAUCCAGCUACCUGCUCGACCAAUACAAGGUGAUGGAAGGCAUGGCGGAGCAGCGCAAGACCCUGGAGCGCAAGCUCCCAGCAAUCCUGCACAUCAUCCAGGAUGCGGAGGAGAAAGGAGCCUCCCGACCUGAAGUAGCAGCUUGGCUCAAAGACCUCAAGACAGCAGCCUAUGAGGCCAACGACGUCUUUGAUGAGUUCAAGUAUGAGGCGCUUCGGCGAGAAGCCAAGAAGAAGGGCCACCACAGCAAGCUUGGAGCAGAGGUAGCAAGACCAUCGAGGCGCUUCAGCGAGGCGCUUCGGCGAGGCGCUCGUAAUCCCAUUGUAUUCCGUUACAGGAUGGGCAAGAAGCUACGCCGGAUUGUGCAGACCAUCGAGGCCCUAGUCACCGAGAUGAAUACAUUUGGUUUCAGAAACUUGCAGCAAGCACAGCCAUCAAGGCAGUGGCGACAGACAGAUUCCAUAAUCAUUGACUCCGACACAGAUAUUCUUAGCAGAUCUAGAGAUCGGGAGAAGAAGAAAAUCGUGGGGAUGCUCAUUGAUCAAGCUAGCAACAUGGAUCUCAUGGUUCUUCCAAUUGUUGGGAUGGGUGGGAUGGGCAAGACCACCUUUGUGCAACUCAUUUACAAUGACCCUGCAAUCGAGAAGCACUUUGAGUUUCGGAGGUGGUGCUGCGUGUCAGAUGAUUUCGAUGUCAGUACCAUUGCAAGCAACAUCUGCCAGACCAAUGAGAAAGGUCGUGAAAAAUCAUUGCAGGAGCUCCAGAGUACAAUAAGUGGGAAAAGGUACCUCAUUGUGUUAGAUGAUGUCUGGAAUCGGGAUGCUGAUAAGUGGGGAAAACUAAAGACCUGCCUUAAGCAGGGUGGCAAGGGCAGUGCAGUACUAACAACAACUCGUGAUGCAGAAGUGGCUCGCAUUAUGACCAUGGGUGUAGCUGAAGCCCAUAAUAUCGAGAAUCUGAGUGACGAGCAUUUAAAGGAAAUUGUCCAGAGCAGAGCAUUCAGCUUGCAAAAUCCAAAUAUGGAAGAGCAAGAUGGCAUUCUCAGUGGAUUUGUUCGUCGAUGUGUUGGAUCUCCCUUGGCUGCCAAAGCCUUUGGCUCUAUGUUGAGUAACAGGACUAGUAUAACUGAAUGGAAGGAUGUAUUAGCUAAAAGUGACAUUUGUAGUGAGAAAACCGGAAUUUUACCGAUCCUCAAGCUCAGUUUUGAUGACCUAUCCUCAGAUAUGAAGCAGUGCUUUGCAUUUUGUGCUUUAUUUCCUAAAGAUUAUGAGAUCCAUGUGGACCUCUUGAUUCGACUGUGGAUGGCACAUGACUUCAUACCUUUGCAGGAGGAUGACAAUCCAGAAACCGUAGGAAAAUAUAUUUUCGAGGAGCUAACUCGGAGGUCAUUCUUUCAAGAUGUCAAGCAAACACUUACAUAUGGCUCUUUUGGAAGUCUUCGUAGGUCAUUCUUUCAAGAUGUCAGGCAAACACUUUCACUUGGUGUCCUUGGAAGGUUGUCGCUUCGUAAGUCAACCAUAUGCAAGAUACAUGAUCUCAUGCAUGACAUUGCUCUAUCUGUUCUGGGGAAAGAAUGUGUCACUAUAGUUGGUAAGCCGAGCAUCAACAAGCUGAUGCUAAAUCCAACCCGCCACGUCUUCUUAUCAACAUAUGAUGCUACUACUACUUUCUGGAAAGAACAGGUUACAAGUCUACUAGAUCAUCUAUUGAAGGAACAAACUGCAAUGCUCCAUACGUUGUUUUUUACACGUUAUGAUGCCCCCAUUGAUAUAUCAAAGUACACUUCACUGCGAGCAUUACACCUUCCAGCAUAUAUACCAUGUUCAGGACAGGAACAACUUACAAGACACAUACAACACCUAAGGUAUCUUAAUCUGUCGUGUCAUGAGUUCGAGAAACUUCCUGAAGGUAUAAGCAUUAUGUAUAAUCUACAAACGUUGGACCUCUCUCAUUGCAUAAAGCUUCGUCAACUUCCAAAGGAUAUGAAGUAUAUGGCAAACCUCCGACACCUCUAUACCAAUGGAUGCGGAUCAUUGACAUGCAUGCCUCCAGGACUUGGACAGAUCACUUCUCUGCAGACUCUAACAUAUUUUGUUAUUGGUGAUGGCUUGGGAUGUAGUACUAUCGGAGAACUUCAAAAUUUAAACCUUGGUGGAGAGUUAGAGUUAAGUGGUCUGCAAAAUGUAACAGAAGUGCUUGCAAAAGCAGCCAAUCUUGAAAAAAAAGAAAAACUCACACACUUAUCUCUCAAGUGGAAUGAUGAUGCCCCUGAGAAACCAGAUUCUCAUAAUGAGGUGUUAGAUGCCCUUAAACCUCAUCACCGGCUAGAGAUGCUAAGAAUAAAGUCCUACAAAGGCACCAAUUUACCGUCAUGGAUAACAGAUCUUAGUCUGUUGCAGCACUUGACUGAGCUCCAUCUGAUUGGUUGCACGCUGUGUGAGGAAUUUCCUCAAUUCUGCCAUUUCAAAGCCCUUGAAGUUCUGUAUUUGGAAAAGUUGAACAAAUUGCGAAGCCUGUGCAGCCAUAUGGUGUCUACGCCAUUUCCAGCACUGAAGCAACUCCUGUUAUAUGAUUUGGAGAGCUUGGAGAGAUGGGUCGCAAUAGAAGGAAAAGAAGAUGAAUUAACCUUUCCUGUACUUGAGGAGAUUGAUAUAAACAACUGUCCAAAGUUGACUAGCCUACCUGAAGCACCAAAGCUCAAGGUUCUGUAUUUGGAUGAAGGCAAGCCGCUGCUCUCCUUAGGAAUAUUUAAAUCAAGGCACAUGUCUUCAAUUUCUAAGCUAGUGCUGCGUGUCCGUGACAGAAACUGGGAUUCAUCACAGCAACUGGAACUAUCUUUGGGUGGCACAGAAACCGCACCUCUGUCACAACUGAGCAUAUUUGGCUGUAACUUUUUCUUCGUAUCAAGCCAGUCACAGCUAACACCUGGGGUCUGGAAAUGGUUUGAACAUCUUGCGGAUUUAAAAAUUGAAAACUGUGAUGUGCUCAUCUACUGGCCAGAAGAAGUGUUCCAAAGCUUGGUAUCUUUGAAGGAGUUGUGGAUUGAGUCCUGCAACAAGCUAAUAGGGCCCACACAAGCGAAAGGUGGCGAACCUACACAAACAACAGAUCAAGUCCUGCCACAUCUAAACAUGAUACGUAUACACAGUUGUGAAAGCAUGGCACAGCUCUUCAUUCUUCCCCCAUCUAUCAGAAUUAUUCUUAUUGACGAAUGCCCUAAGCUUGAGUUCAUAUGGGGAAAGGAGGAGCAUCUUGACACAUAUACAUCGCUGGAACAUUGCCGCGACCCUGCAUCCACCACUGGUAACCUAGAGCAAUCGCCGUCUCCAAUUAUUCGCCGUCCAUGCCUUGUACAUCUAUAUAUAAGGAGUUGUGAUAGCCUGGUAACACUUCCAAAUCUACCACCGUCCCUCAAACAUCUAAUCAUCGACAGCUGUGAGAAGCUCUGCUCUGUGUCAGGAGACCUGUGUGCACUCGAGGAGCUACAUAUUUAUAAAUGCAAUAAGUUACAGUCAGUCAAUUCCUUGGGAGACCACCCAUCAUUAGAAACACUGUAUCUUAAGCGCUGCCGAUGCCUUGCAUCUUUAGGAUGUGAUGGUGGUCGUGGGAGUUACUCUGCUCUUCAGAGCCGUAAGAUCGAAGACUGCCCAGCCAUAGACAUGAAGCAGUUUUACUAACGCCAUCAAACAGCUGCUUGACAGCUUUGAAUAUGAAGACGUAUCACACGUUCAUUCAAGCAGCUCUGAUGAAGGUACGACCUUUCACUUUCCUCUUAUUCAAUUUGUUUCCUUCAAAUUUCCCUGCUUUGCAUGCCCUCCUAUUUCACUCAUGUAACCCCACAUGCAUUUCAUUUUUGCUGUGCAGACAUGACCCAUUUGUCCUUAAAAAGCAUAAAGGAGGGCACUCACAUGUACACACGACUGCCAUCUGGAAGCUUCAUUAUUGCGAGCCUCUGCUAAUGAUGACAGGCCUGCAGUGGAUGACAAAAACGACAAAGUUUGUUUUCACGGCACUACCAGCUGCUGGUAAUGCUCUUGUCACUAAUGUACAGUACUCCAUUCUGUCAUCCAUGAAAGUCGUGGAGAAUGGUCUAUGAUGUUACUCCAUUCUGUCAUCCACGUGAGCCGAUGAAGCAGAAACAAAUGAUGAUGAUGAUGGAUGAUAUAGCUGCCGGGACCCACUGCAACCUCGUGCAUCAAUCAUGACGAUCUCUAACGGCAAAGGCAUGCAUCCAGUAUGGCCUGAUGAAGUAAUUUAGUCUGCCAAAUUUCUUUCUGCUCGUUGCGCAUAGAAGGCGUAUUUUCUUUUCCUUUUUUCCACCCGAGAAGGAAGAAGAAGAAGAAACUGCUGUGGCCAAUUCAAUCCGGAUCAUCAAAACAACAGCCCAUUCCAGACUAGAAGAAUUUGGUCACCAAAUUCGGAUGGAGGUAAAAAGUCACUAAUUACCUGCAGCACCGAAUAGUACUGGUUCGUUCAUUUACUGUUUCCAAAAACUUUCUGCUGAGAGUUUGUGCAUUGUAGUGACACUAAAUUAGCUGCUUAAUCUGCUGCUUAACUUUCUGCUGGUCCUCAUUGUGAUUCCUGUUGGUCGUGUUAAUUCCUGCCGGUGGUGGAGAAGGUGAUAGAAGGCAUGGAGGAGCAGCGCAAUGUUGCACAUUAUCAAGGAUGCGGAGGAAAGAGGAUCCUCCCGACCUGAAGUAGCAGCUUUGCUCAAAGACCUCAAGACAGCUGCCUAUGAGGACAACCGCGUCUUUGAUGAGUUCAAGUACGAGGCACUUCAGCGGGAAGCCAAGAAGAAGGGCCAUCACAACAAGUCAAGAAGAAGGACCUACAAUUUGAAACAGAGGGAUUAUAUUGGAACAUCAACCAAACAAAUGGACAAAACCGUUUAUUUAGCGUACAAGAAUGCCAUACGACCUGAAUAAUUGAAAGCUAACAAGGCACUUUAUUGUUGUACAUACAUAACAGCUGAGCUUGACUUAGCUACAUUUAUUUGCAAACGGGUGUGAAAUACGAUACAGUAAUUCAGAAAUCUAGACGUCCAUAGCCACCCGUGGGAUAAGAAGAAGCUUCUCCUUUCGGUAGAGAGAGAGGAAGGGAGGAUAGGAGAAAGAAUAGGAGAAGAGAAAAGUAGAAAUAGAAAAGGAAAAGAAGAGAGAAGGGGAAAUAAAGAGUUGAGAAAAAAGAGAAGAAUAUAGAAAAAAACGAAAAAGAGAAAUAAAAAGGAUAAGGACGUUAUAGGCAUUUCAUUCUUUUUAUCCUUGUUACGUAGCCAGAUGAAGCUAUUUUACCCAAUGUUUUUCUAACCAGACAAGCCCGAGCCAAAAAAACCGCUUCAUCGGAAAAGCCACAGCCGCAGCUUUGCCAAACAAGCUCUUAUAAUAGCGGCCAUCUUAUCUUCAUGCAAGAACUCAUAGAGAUUGUCGUAGUCAUGGACGACCGGAAAUGUGAAUUGUCAUAAUCUAGAGCCAGUAAUCAACCCAACCAAGGUCUUCAAUCUGGAGUCAAUUUUUUUUCUUCCAAAUAGUGACUUCUUCAGUUCAAUAAUUCACGGUAAACCAUGGGUUUUCAAAAUCAUGCAUCUUGAAAGAAGAAUUAAGGCGAUGAAUAUUAGAUUGAUUAUAUGGGAGAAUAGGCUACAACUAUAUAUAGGCCUAGGGAGACAAGGCAGGGGCGGCUAGGGUUGGGAACCCUAGCCGCCACCCUAGGCACGCUAGGUCCGGCGGCGCCCACAGGUGAGCUGCUAGCCGGCCCACUAACACAGCAGGAGCCGCAAGCCCACUAGGAUUAAUACAAUCUAACACCCUCCGCAGUCGGAACGUCGGCGUAGUGAACGUUCAGACUGGAUCUAAACUCAGCAAACACUGAAGAUGGCAAUCCUUUGGUGAAGAUGUCAGCGAACUGAGAUGAUGUCGGAACAUGGAGAACGCGGACAUCACCAAGAGAGACGCACUCCCGAACAAAAUGCAAAUCAAUCUCCACAUGUUUGGUGCGUUGAUGAUGUACGGGAUUGGACGCCAUAUAGACUGAGCUGUUGGCCGGUCCUAGGCGGCUGGCUGCCCGAGCUCUACUGGCCGGCGCCUCCCUAUGUAGGCCGAGCGGAGGCAGAGCUCAAGGAGCCGGUGUCGGGACUGCCUAACGAGGUGGUGACGAGGGUGGUAGCUGUCGAAGUCUUGGCCGUGGUGAGCUCCUCCAGGAGCAGAUCGACGCGAGCCUCUAGGAAGGAGGAGAAUGGGAGGGCGCGACGAAGAUGCAGUCCGAUGGAGGAGAAGCGCUCCCCGAGGCCGCGGAUGAGGUUGAGGACGAGGGUGUGGUUGGAGACUGCCUCGCUGAGGUCACCGAGAGCAUUGACCAUGUUCUUCAUGCGGCAGCAGUAGUCGGUGACGCUGAGAUCGCCCUUGCAAAAAGUGCGAAACUCGGUUUCUAGAAGAAGAGCACGAGUCUCACGGUUACUGACGAACUAGUUCACCAGGGGAAGCCACACAACACGAGUAGUGGUGUGCGGGGAGACGGUGGCUUCCUCAAGGUCAGCAGAGAUGGUGCCGGAGAGCCACGUGAGGACGACGCAAUCCAUCCGGACCCAGUUGGGAUGGGUGCUGACGGUGUCGGUGAGGACGUGCCUAGAGAGCAAGUACUUGCUAAGGGUGAGGAGGAACUGGCUGUGCCACCACGUGUAGUUGCCGGUCUUGAUGUCGAGGACGAUGGUGAUGAGGGCGUGGAUGUUUUGGACGGCGACAGCCUGGACAUGAAGCGCUAGGAGGGCCGUAGCUUCAUGGUGGAGGAGGGCGCCGUCGAUGUCGUCGCCGGGGCGGUGCUGGCCGGUGGCGCAAUCCAACACCUCGCGCUCUUGGGCAGUGGUGGCGAUGGCUUCCUGUUCCGCCGCGGCGGAUGCCUCGCGGGCAGCCAUAGCAGCGGCGACAGCGCGCUCGGCGGCCUCGACCCAUGCGCAGGUGUCAGCAGCAGAGGUGGCAGCAGCCUCGCGCUCAGCCGCAUUGCGCUCAGAGGCAGCGAGGACGAUGGCAGCGGUGGCGGCUGCGCUAGGGGUGGUGGAGUGAUCGCGGGAGAGGCUGAGAGAGUUGGCCAUGAGAGAAGCGCGCGAGAAGCGGAAGCUGGUGACCUAGGAUGAAAACCUACACUCGUAAUACCAUGAAAGAGGAACUGAGGCGAUGAAUAUUAAUUAGAUUGAUUAUACGGAGCACAGGCUACAACCAUAUAUAGGCCUAGGGAGACCAGGCAGGGGCAGCUCCAACCCUAGCCGCCACCCUAGGCGCUAGGGCCGGCGGCACCCACAGGCGGGCUGCCAGCCGGCCCACUAACACAGAGGGGCUGCAGGCCCACUAGGAUUAAUACAAUCUAACACAUCCCAAUCUUAAGGAAGUGCACUAGUAGGUUCUUUUGUAUCACUUUUGGAUAGUCAUCGAAUUGCCGAACCUUUGAGCAGCGGAUCGACCGCAUUCCCUCAUUCCCUCAUGAAACUAAAAGGGAAAUCCUGUUCUCAUAGCUGGAUAAUAGCGCACGGCGACAGAAAAGCCAGCAUUGUUUCUGAUCUCAUUCACGUAUACAGCCAGUUGCUCGCUUGUGACCAUGCCGCUGCAUGAAGAAUAUGGACCGGAUGUUUAGAGUAGUCAGUAAGCAGGGAUCGAUUUCCACUACUUUCCCCCACCGAAAAUGCCGGAUUUUGGGUGGAUUUGGGGGUGGGGCGGCGGGGGGCGGCGCAAGGAGCUCGAGCUCGGGUGUGUCUGGAGGAGGAAGAAAGGAGGGAGGGAGGAGGAAGGGAGCCGGCGCGUGGAUCUAGUGCUGGCCCUGCCGCGCCAGGCGGGCUGGCGCGGCGAACGCCCCGCCCACGUCAGCGCCCACCUGGCGCCGCGACUCGCCGCGCCAGCGUGGCAGGGGCCGCCGCGCCAGUGCAUGCGGCGCGGCAGCGUGUUCCUGCUGCGCCAGGCGGUCUGACGUGGCCAAAAGGGUCACGCCGCGCAAAUUAAACCCGGGUGAGGUUAUUUUUAAAAAUAAAGAAAAAAAGGGUUAAAAAUAAAAAAAAAGUUCUCAGUAAGCAAACACUGCCUAAAGUAAGUUUACAGAGCUACAUGCUGGGCAUUUCAGACUGCUGGGCAUUUCAGACUUGUUUAAACAGAGGUUAGUAGUCUUAGUAACGCUGCACACACGGGUAAAAUAGUGUAUAUAUGUAAACCAAACCAACGGCGUCGUCGGCAGUUUCCUGUGUAAGCAAGGGGGAAGAUGACAGCUCGCCAAGAAUUAGCAGCAGAUGUCCCUCGUCAAAACUUCAAGCCAGUAGUCUGUAAAAUAGAAAGAGAUUUGUUCCACUUAGGCUGCUACGCCUACAACAAUAACGACUGGGGAGCUAGGAAAUAGCAUCAUGCUGAUAAGCCCAACAUCAUUGGAAUACAGUAACAGCAAACUGAAAACAAAAGAGGGUACAUCAUGGGCCAACUGAAAGUAUGUUCUCCAUAACAUUUUCUUUAGAAAAUCCUCAGCGAUCAACACACACAACCAAAUUAUUACAGAAUCUUAAGCUCAGUUGCUGAUUAAAAAAAUAAAAAGAGAAAAUAAUUAUAAGCAAUGUUUAAUGUUGCUUAUCCAUCCAUUUUUAAUGAAAACUUUCCAAAGCUUCCAUUGCUCUGCUAUCGAACGGACGGUCACCCUUAUGUCCUCACACCACGUUAAUAAAUCGCGAUCAAUAUGUUCCCCCGAAGGUAACCUUCAAAGCGAUGAACGCACAUCACAAACGAGCAGCCGAGCACGAACAGAGGAUGCUGAAACACCACAUGGAUCUCCACGACAACACCUUCAACAAGAACACAACGUCAACGACGCCAUCGUCAUUGGCCCAAGUAUUGGGCUGGGUUUACACCCGAAGAAUCAAAACAUCACCAUACGGGGGAGGUGCAAACAAAGUUGCCUCCAAGGAGGCAGUGGCACUCGCAAGUGUCACCGUCCAUGCUUUCGCCCUGGCCUCCACCACGUCAUGCUGGCAGCAGCCUGGGCAGAAAUGCACUCACUGAGCUGCUGAUGGUGCUGAGCACGUUCAUAACUGCCAUCCAUCAUUGUCGAGAGCUGCUGCCGCUGCGAACUCAGGCCCACAGCAAGGCCUAGAUGCAUGUGUCGCAUCAUGGCUGACACCACACUAAGCCCACCAUGUCGCCAGACUGUCACAGCCGGAUAAGGGCGCCGGUCGUCAGAUCCGAUCCGACCCUCAGCGCAUGGAAUCCACCACCUAGAGGCUACUUGUACAUUCUCAACUCUACUUGUAAAUUCUCAAUGUGCUUUAUCUUGCUCCAAUCAUCUCCUGACUCGCUGCAUCUUUGCUUAAACCUCUUUGUGCAUUGUGAUAGUGUCAAGGUAUGCAAAGAGGUCAGUCUCUCAAUGCACGGAGGCAAAGUUUUCAUCCAGUAGGUCUCUACUUUGAGCUCACGGAGAGAUGCCAUAUCUCCCAACCAUUCUGGCAAGGUUUCCAUGUCCUCACAGUUCAGUAUCUCUAGCUUCCUGAGGGAUUUCCAGCCUAGAAUGCACUUUGGCAAAGGUACAGGAUCGAUGCAACUGUCAACAGUUAAUUCUUCAAUGUCAAGCAGUUGAAGAGAAUCGGAGUCAGAAGAUAUAUCUUUGAUGUACUUGAUUUCCAUUUUGGAUGAUAAAGCAGAUGUUGCUAGCCCCAUGACUUGGUAGAAUGAUGGCCAAUUGAAUAAAAAUGGAUAUUGUUUAAUUCCAGAUAUGAUAUACCUGGCACUCCAAGGAAUUGAUGGUUCGAAUCUUACGUUCAAACAACAGUCUAUCUCUAAAUAUUGAAGUCCAGGAAAUAUUGUGCGCUUGUAGGAGGAUUCCCUGCCAGUAUCACUGUGUCUUCCUUCCUGCUCUCUUUGAAAUAUGUUCUUAUCAUCCUUCUGCUCAAUACAAUGCGACGUCGAUGUUUUCCACAGUAACUUCCCAACUCUUACUAUUGUAACUCUUCUGAGAUUUUUCACUGGCUGUGUGCUCAAGAUGCAUAUUGAUGAUUUGUCAUAUAGGUUCAGGUCAUUUGGCCUAUUAAUCACCGGGAAAGACGAGAUAUACAAUUCUUCAAGAGAUUGUAAAUAAUCUAGAUGGAGGUGACCAGAUUGAACAUCGAAAAGCUCAAUCUUACAAGAUUUGGUAGCAAACGUAACCAGUUAGGAAAAUCACCACCAACAUAGUUCUUUAUGCAAAGCCUUUUAAGGUUUUGAUGAGGCCGGAGCUCUUCUAAUGCGACCUUGUUGAACACUGGCCCACUCCACUCCAAACUUAAAAAUUGGAGCUCCUCUUUUUGCGCCAAUUCAAUUAUGUUUGCUUCUGAGCUUGAUAGACCUUCGAGAUGUUUAAUAUUAAGUUCAAUAAGCUGGUGACUUGUAGUCUUUUGCAGAAUAGCCAUGUCGUCUGAUGAACUGACGGCAAAACUAGGGCCCUGCUAUUUUACAAAAACAUAGAAAAUCAAAAAUAAAACAUUCUGCUUUAGUCAAGAUGGCAUGCAUACUAUAUAAAACUCUAGAUGCAAACAUGCAGCUUAGAGCAUCUCCAAUAGUCAUCUAAUAAAUGUUUCCAGAUAACUAGUUAAUAGGGAUAUCCCGAGUUGCUUUUGCAGUCUUCUAUAACCUCAUCCCAAUCCAACUACCGUGUUGGGAGAGUCACAACUCCUUUAUUUGGAGAGUUGGGGUGAAUUAUUCGUUGAAUAAUUAUUGGAAAAAAGGAAAGGUAAAGGGAGUGUGUUAGAGCCCUAUUUUUUCACAAACUCUCCAAAUAUGGUAGUUGUAUUGGAGAAUAGGGAUCUGCUGGAGAUACUAUGUAAACCAUUGGACAAUUGAAUGCUGAUGAGGCUUAUGGAAACAGAGCCAGCCAAGGAUCCCUACCUAACUCUACCAAUCACGGGUAUGCACAGCAGAUAUGCUGGCAACAGAUCCUACCACGUACAUAGCACAAAAAUACAAUUCUAAAAAAUUUGAUGUUCGUCUGGUAUAUCCCAAAAGUUGCUUGACUAUUUUAAUUUGGAACUUGCUUGGCUACUCCUUCCAUCCCAUAUUAUAGGUCAUUUUGGCAUUUAUAGGUUUAUGAUUUUUUGCUGUGCACCUAGAUAUAUAUUAUAUCUAGAAGCUAUGAAUCUAAAAUUGCCAAAACAACCAACAAUUUGGGUAAUUUGGGAUGGAGGGAGUAUUUUAAUUUGGAGAAUCAGGUCUACUAUAAGUGCCACAAUUAAGCAAGGUAGUGGCAUAUCAAACAAUAAAUUAAAUAUUUAUGUUAGAAAGGAAUUCCAUUAAUUCAUUCAUAUAUACGAUAUUCACUCCCUAGAAUUAAUGAAAAUACAUUAACAAAUCACAUGCCUGCAUGAUAGAUUGAGCCUCUUGUUAUGCAACCGUAAUUUAUAGUAUACAUUGUAGAACAAAACAGUAAUAAUUAAAAACAGUGCAUAUUACCUCAUGUGCAUCUACAUGUUUGAUGUGAUUAAUCUUGUCGUAGUCCUCUCCUAAACGGCUGCAGCAUUCACGCAGUUUGUAAUUGCACUUCUUAAGAGUUAAUGUCUUCAAGGAGGUUACAUCCUUGAUGGAGUGAGGCAAAUGCUGCAGUUUGGCAGAAUAAACUUCUAGAUGCUCCAGAGAUGCCAGAUCCCCCAACCAAUCUGGGAGUGCCGCAAAAUUACAACAACCGUCCAAUAUCCGCAAGCUCCUAAGGGAGUGGCAGCUCCGGAUGAUCUCCGGCAAGGUGAUCAGAUCACUGUCAGAUUGAAUAGUUAAAUACCACAAGUCGGUGUUGUAUUGGAGAAAUUCUGAAGCGUCAGAAAAGCCAAAGAUAUUUGGUUUCACUUCAAGUCUAAAAAGGUGUGGAGAUCCAACGAGUAUCCCGGGUGAUAGUUCUACCUUACUGCAUGAUGCAACUAUACGCCCUAUGUAUCCUUGAAAAGCUGAACUGAGGGUCAACCUAGGGCAUCCCGUAAUAACGAGGUGUGCAAGGCGUGGAAAUAUUUCAUCUCCUUGCACCUUCUGUUCAUCAUCAUCCCAAGACAUCUCUCCAGCAGACAGCUCCAAGUUCGUGGACAACACCUCCAAAUUCUCCAUCUUAUCAAUACAAAAUUUCCUUAAUUUCCUGAAUGGGUCCCUGCCUCCAUAAAAACUAGCAUCCACUUCUCGAAUAUUAGGCAUAUCUGAAAUGUGCAGUUCUUCAAGGUUUGCUAACUGUCCUAGUGAAGGGAGGCGUGCGCACCUUGGCAUGCCCAUCAGCACUAUCUUCACAAGAUUUGGAAGAUAGAGAUUUGGAUCGCUCAUCCAGCCACAAAAUGUGGCAUCUCGAUAACCUUCUAUUUGAAGUGUUAAUAGGUUAGGAUGAGGAUGGAGUCUUUGGAGAACUGAAGAAUCAUCAGCUCUGGAGAAUUUUAUGCUUAGAUUAAGAUAUACAUUGUUAGGCCUAUCGCCUGAUCCAGAUAAACCAUUGCUGGAAUAAGAGUUUGCGUCAUGCGACCAUACCAAUCUCAGCGUGCGCAGCUUGUCAUAUGUAGCCAACUCUCCAAGGCCAACUUCAUCAGCGCUAUUCACCUUCUCAAGAUUUGAAAUAAAUAGGUCUGUGAUUCCAAAGUCUGUAUUUUGACGGAGGAGGAGAAAAUCACUUUCUUGCACUGCAAAAUACAUUCCCUGUGAAGGGAGAGACAGAGUUAGACUAUUACCAAAUACAACGAAAAUAUUUAUGCAUCCAUUCUGUUCUAGAUAAGAAUUAGAAAAUGUCCAUUGUAAAAGAGGAGUAAUGAAGCACAGCCAAGAGAAAUUACCUCAUUUAUCUUGAUGCAUUGAAUGUGAGGAAUAGCCUCUAGGAUUGCAGCUUUGUCUCUGUCCAAGAAAUUCAGAGAUGACAAAGUUAGCUUCGCCAAAUGAUCCAUGCAUCUCAAUUCAUCAAAACGGUCAAACACCUUGGAGCAAUCAAUUUCAAGCUCACGUACUGAUUGAAUGCCAGGCAGUUUCUGAAGAUCAUAGCUCUUACAGUUCGAUAUCUUGAGUUUUUGGAUGGCUUGUGUCAAUAUGGGGGUUGAUGACCACGUAUCAUUAGUCAUGGAUAAAUCACUAUUGUUGAUGAAUAACUCCUUGCUGUUGGGGAUUCUUGGACAUAGUUUCAGAUUCUUGCAGUGUUUUAUCUUCAGAUAGCGAAGCGGAGGGAAUUCUUCUUCGGCUGGACAUAGUGUGGAAGAAGAUACAGGAACGUGUGUCAUCAGUGUUCUCUUUUUAGUCACUCCCAGUAAUGUUUCCAUCAUGUUCCUUGCCAUUACUGUAAUCUUUAAUUUCCCUUUUCCUCGGGAAGGAUCAAGCCUCUUGAAUUCUUCUAAAGGAUCUAAUUCCAUGCCAUGUAUGUCUUCACAGCUUCUAUUUGUUCUCAAAGACGAACCAUUGGCAAAACAACAAGGUGCAUCCGGAUGCUAGUUUAACAAGCAACAGUCGCUUUAGGUUUCUGCAUGGUGCUAAACAUGCUUCCAUAAGUUUAGGCAUAUUACAAAUUGUAAGCUCCUCUAAGUUUGAUAGAUUUCCUAGAGGUGGAAGCUGGUCACACUCUACGAGACCAGACAAUACCAGUUUCACCAGAUUUGGGAGUGUAGAACAUAUCUCCCACAUCCAACUAGGAAACAUACUGUAAUUAUAGCCCCUUAUAGUGAGAUGCUUUAAAGCUGGAUGAGGCUUCAAAUUUUCUAGCACAUCCAUUGUCAUUGCUUCGGGUUCCUCUGACCAUUCUAGUAAGGACCACUCCAAACUCAAAGAAGCAAGCCGAUGUCUCCUUCCCAGUUGCACCCCCUUUGCUUCCUCUGCAGACUUUACAACCUCAAGGCAUUUGAUAUUUAGUUCACUGUUUGUAGAAUGAAGGAUAUUCUGUAGAAGGAUAAUGUUGCUGCAAUCACCACUGCUGCCACUUUCUGAGACCACAAAAUCCGGUAGGGUUAGUAGGUCACUGGAGAUGCCUUCCUUUGAGAACAGUGACAUCCCUCCAACUGAAAGGUACUCAAGGCGAUGCAUGUUUUUCAAUGUGUCAUGCAGCAUUUUCAGGCUCAACUCCUCACCAGAAUAAUCAGUGGAAUGCUGUGUAGAGGAGCUUGGAGCUUCAGAAUCUUUUCUUACAUCAAAUCCUGGUAACGCUGAUAGGUUUAGGUACUCCAAAUUUACAAAAUUACCAAGAAAGCAGAUAAUUUUCGGAAUGCAAGGACAGCCAGAUAAAUUCAGAAAUCGGAGUUUAUUUAGUCUGGCAGAAGAUUCAGAAAGAUCAAUAAGCCUCGCACAAUCAGAUAAAUCCAAAAUCUCCAGGUUCAGGCAGCCAUCGUUGCCGACACAAAAUUCAGGAAGUGCCGCAAGGCAAGUACAACCAGACAUAUUAAGAUAAAGAAGUCCCUUCAUUCUCUUGAAUGACAGGGUAUGCAGUUGAUUAAGCUGGCAGCAGGAGGACAGAUUCAGAUGUUCCAAAUUUUUCAGUAGACUGAAAGAGUCUGGAAGCAUCUCAAGCUUUGAACAACAUGAUAAGUUGAAGAACGAAAGCUUUGGCAGCUCUCCAAAUUGUGAAGGUAGCUUUUGUAGGCUGGUACAUCCUGAUAGAUCGAGGUGUUCCAAAUUUUCCAGUAGACUGAAAGAGUCUGGAAGCAUCUCAAGCUUUGAACAACAUGAUAAGUUCAAGAACGAAAGCUUUCGCAGCUCCCCAAAUCGUGAAGGUAGCUUUUGUAGGCUGGUACAUCCUGAUAGAUCAAGAUGUUCCAGGACUUGGAGUUUGUUAAUGGGACCUGGAAGUUCACUAAGAUUCGAGCAGCCAUGUAGAUCCAAAUAGUGAAGCUUCUGAAAGUCACAAAUGGAAGUGGAACUAUGGAGCUUUAAUUUUUCAGAAAAGGAGCUAUGGAGUUUUUUGAGGCUGGUAUUUUCUGAAAGGUUUAAAAACUGCAGGUGGUGCAAGUUUUCCAUAGAACUGGGUAGCUCGACAGUUUGCAUGCGUGGGAAGUCCAAUACACGCAGCCAUUUAGUUUCUGAAAAGGCACCCUUCGAAGGCUCACAUCCUGUGCAGCCACUAAAAUGAGCAGCCCUUGCUUUGAGAGGCAUAUCUUUGCAUUUUGGGUACUGACCUUUGAAAUUCAACAACAACGUGUAUCGAUAGUUGUCCUCUUUACCAAAGCUUCUUUGUUUGCCAUCACAGACGGCAACUUCCUCAAUAGCAACUGACCUAGCAAGUUCAUGAACUAAAUCGUGCAUUUUGAAUAAUACAUUAUGAGGGUUAUUAAGCUUGGAGUAUCUUGCAGAAAUCUGAAAAGCAAAUUUGCAGGUCGAUUAGUAGUGCACUAGAUAUUUUCUUCAAGGACUCAACGGUAGGUCAAAACAAAAAAAUAAAUAUAAAUCAGCAUGCCAAUUUCACAUUUAGAAACGAGAUUGAUCAUUGCCACAUCAGCCGUCCUGCAUGGAGAUGCUAGACCAGUCAAAGGGAGUGCAAGAGGUUUAAAAUUGCAACGAAUGAACAUUAUUUUCUCUCCAGUAGCAAUUGUGUCAAGACAACCAAGUUGACGUUUCUUCUAUCUGAAAUAAAAGAACAUUGCCGAUUUAUUUAUUGCUAUAUCCAAUUUAUGGAACUUAUAUACCAUUUAAUUGAUAUCUUUUGGUAAAAAUGAAACGCAUAAUAUGCAUCCACCUUUCAGCUUCAGAAUUUUACUGGAUAGAGAUACAUGAUCUAGGCUAUUAAGUAGCAACUCAUAAAAGCUAAAUCUUGUAACCAAUGGUGGGUCAAUAAUGAUCAUUUUUGUAUAUAUGUAUCGACUGUUGUAAAAAAGUGAGUCCCUUUUCCUAUGCAGUAACCUUCUGCUCCUAAAGAAUGCCGGGUUUGUGUUUUUAUUAUUGCAAUUACUAUUCACUUGGUAACUUAACUCGCUAUCUUGGCAAUGUUGCAGAGCUUAAGACAAAAAUACAGCACAGCCCUUUUUGCACAGAUUCCAUGACCUUAUGCAGCGAAAACUCGACUUAAAACAAAACUUAGGCUAUGUUACAAGUAGUUUGCAACCUCAGGGAGUUUACUUGUCAUGUUUAUUUGCUUGGUUGAUUUCAGUAAGCAUAAAUCUGGCAACUUAAGAAGUAAUGUUCGUGUCACUAUAUUUAUCUUUUAUAUAACAUUGACUCAAAUAUUUAUAAGGUGUUAGAAUUGAGGAACCAAUACAACCAUGUCCGAAUUAUUCAUCGUAGGAUCACUCCAUGAAUUUUACACCGCGAUCGAUAUGCUUGUGCAAAAUGAAGUGGAUUAUUCAAAACUAGAAUUAGAGGAUUUAUGACUAUCUCAAUUCUUCAAACCAAAGAUUAUAUUGAAUAAGUAGUAGAUGAACACCAUAUUCUGAAAUAAGAUUAAAAUACUACUCCCUCCGUUCCUUAAUAAGCCAUAUAGAUUUCUAAAGAAAAUUCCAAAAUAUAGGUACAUAUCAGCUCCCACGCCAGCUUCCCAUGAUAUGUUAGGAAGCAAUCAGAUCGGGAGAGAGAAGAUGGCCCGAGUUCCUUUUUUUUCUCGGUCUCACGUCCUUCCCCAAGGGCCAUUCAUGUACAAAAGCAACGGAUUUUUUCCUCCCAGGCCGUGCAUUAAUAUUUGUGCUAAAAACUAUAUGGCUUAUAUUAAGGAACAGAGGGAGUAAUAAAUCAUGCGAGAAAUGACAGCACAACUCGAUACAAGGAAAAGAGUUAACUGUACCAAGCCUGUGUAUAUAAUAUAACUCACCGAGAUAGAGUCACUUGUAGCCUCCAGGAAUGACAUCUGACAAAGUUCUUGUAGGUAUUCCUCAGCACGAUGUGUGGUCAGAACAAAUCUCAGAGCAAUCCACUUAUGAAUUAGUUCUCUCUUCUCUAUGAUGAAGCCUUUUGGGAAGGCAGAAAAGUAUACAAAGCAAGGUCUCAGAUAAUAUGGCAUGUGGUAGUAACUAAUCUUCAAGGAUGGUAAUAUUAAAGUAGAUGUUGUUCCAGUCGUUGGAUCGCGUUCGUCUUCCCACAGGUCACUCUUCAGUGUUUCUUCCCAUUUGUGCAUCGGCAUAUCUAGCAGACGAUCCCCAAGAGAUUUGACUGCCAAAGGCACUCCACCACAUUUCUCUACUAUUUUCUCCCCCAUAUGUACCUUUGCCAUUUCAGAUUCUUUAAUUCCAUUUGGAAAUGCCUUAGCUUUGAACAGCUUCCAGCAGUCAUCGUACUGCAAGGCACCCAACUUGAAUGGCAACUCACGAUUCAGCCGCUUAGCAACCUGUUCACUUCGAGUGGUCACAAUUAUCUUUCUGCCCGGUGCACCACCUUUCAACAUCGCUUCUAUCUUUUCCAAUUGUCCUGUGUUUUCUUCCCAUAAGUCAUCUAAAACAAUAAGAUACUUCUUUCCACGGAGGAUCAUCUCCACGCGCAUCUGCACGGAGGACAGGUCAUACUGGUUACUCUGUCCAUCUACUUGGGAGAUAAUUGAUCGACCAAUCUUUUCAUCGCUAAAACUUGUGGAGACAUAAACCCAAAUCUGGAUAUCAAAAUCUCUCUUAGUUGUAUUGUCGUCAAAAACCAUUUGGGCGAGAGUGGUUUUACCCAGACCACCAAAGCCAUAUAUAGGGAUGAUGGUGUGCUUGCAAUCUUCUUGCAGCAACUUCAUCAACUCUACCUUAUCCUGGUCCCUCCCAAGUAUACCUUCUACAAGGCAAGGGCCUGUAGCCCGCAUCUGGAUCACAUCCUGGUCGUCAGAGCUUGUGUCCACCAUCAAGUCGAACCGCCUCAGCUUUUCUAUGUUGUCCAAUCUUUGUUUCAUGUCCUUCAACUUGCUAGCCAUGCUUCGCCGCAACAUCAGAGGAAUGGAGAUCUCCUGCAAAUCCAUGUCGUGAAUUAGAAAAGGGACGAGAAAUGGAAAUGGACAUAUCGACAUCAAACACACUCGAGACCUACCGUUGUAGAUUUGUUAUUCUGAGAGCCAUCUUUAUUACUCAGGAUAUCACCUUCCAAUUCCAUAAUAAUGUCCUCCAUGUCAUAGGCUGCUGCCUUUAGCUCCCUCAUCCAGACGCAGACGUCACCAUCUUUGUUCAACCGCUUCUCCACCCUAACCAUGCUAUUUUGGAUGGUAUCCACAGUAUCCUUGAGGCCUUUGAGCUCGUCACCUAGCUUCAGCUGCGAGGCGAUCGCCUCCCAGAUGGCACUACCUAGCAUGCCGCCGACCUGCUUCAAUGCAGCCGAGGCAAGAAACUCCCCUACCCCCACCAUGUGGCUGAAGGGGACGCCAAUCACACAGUGUGAUGAGUGCUUGACGUCAGGCCGUGUGAGGAACAGUCCAAGAGAAAAACUGGAGAAGACACAGCGAGAAAUUGUCAGAGUCUCUGUUUUUGACCUGAAAAUCACAACCCUUGCAGCAAACUCUGUAUCAAGGACAGGCAGGAAAUAUUUACAAGCAAGGAGGAAAAGGGGAAAUAUUUCAGUCAGAAUUGAGACAAAUAAUAGCACCCGAGGUGCGCUUUAGAUCGUACUCUGUUUCAAUUAAACUGACUCGAGAUGGAAACCCCAAUUCGGAUGCGAGAUGGAAGGAAAGAAAGGUGAUUAGUUCUCAGCUUUUACCGUGAGGGUGGUGUGUUGUGUCCAGCACCCAUUUGGCAGGGCUUCAGCUUCGACUUCUCCACUGGCCGAAGCUCGAGCCCUACCAAACGACGAGAUGGCGAAAGGCUUCAGUGGAGAAGCUCCGCGAAUCGCGCUGACUGAAGCCGAUUGAGGGAGCGGGAGCUAAAAAAAAUUGGCUCCCCGCGGCUUCUCACGUCGUUGGACACCCUUGUACUCCGGUGGGGCCCACGGGCGGAGGUGGCCGGCGGCGGGCGCAGACGAGGCACGAGGACGGCGGCGCGGGAGCAGAAGUGGCCGGCUGUGGACAAGCCACGACGGAGGACGGCCGAGGACGACCGGUGGCGGCGGGCGCGGGGCGGAGGACGUCCGGCGGCGGCAGGCGCGGGGCGGAGGUGGCCGGCAGCGCGCGCUGGGGCGCGGGGCCGGGCGGGGCGGAGCUGGGGCGCUGGGGCGUGGGCGCGUGAAAAGGGGAGGCGACGGCGCUUGGCAGGGUCGUCGGCGGGCAGGGGAGGCGGGGGCGCUAGGGACGGAUCUCAGACGGCGGCGGCGAGAUUCAGCCGGGAGAAGGAGGCCGGGUCAGAUCCUUCACCGGGUGAGAGAGGGGCGCGGCGGAUGGAACGGUCGGCGGCGGCGGAUGGAAGGCGUCGGGGCGCGAUCGAUCCUACCUCAACGUAGGCGUAAGUAGAAGAAUGCAGUGGCGAGAAAUGCGUAUGCGAUGGAGAGGGCUAGAUCCAGAAGUGCAAGUUGCCGUUCGUAGAUCUCGAGUGGCAUGAUCACAUGCUAUUCGUACGAGUCAGAAUUUUAUUCCGUACCUGAGCCAUUCCCGCGAGCCCGCGAGCGAGCGCCCCUCCACCACGCACCGUUCCGUCUUGUGGCAUCCGUUUUCCUGCCACAAGCCGUUCCGUAUCUGACGUCCGUUUCCGUUUUUUUGCGCUGGUCCUUUUUUUUCUGCGAGAUGCGCGCGCACGUCCGGCUCAUGGCGUUGCCCAACGACAUGAGGAAGGACUGGCUGGUCAUGGAGAUCGGCAACCAGUGAAGAAGAGCGAGGCUUGCUAUGCCUGCCUGUCUGCUCUGCAGGGCAAGUAUCUGGCAGCAAUGCCGGGACAAGUAUCGUCAGCCCAAUAAUGUUCUGUGCUUAAUUAACUAGUAGUAAGUUGUAGGUUAUGGUAAUUUAGUUUUUGUUUUGGGUGUUGUUAUGUAAACUCCUUCCAGGGCUGUGCUUUCUGCAUGUAUGCCGAAGGAACCUGCUCGCCUGUUCGUAUUACAGCUUCAGUCUUUCAGACACCCAACGCAAACGAAUGCAAAUUUCCAGCCACAACACCUGGAAUCAAACUUCCAGCUAUUUCUGGACAACAAAUUCAGGAUCACAAUCAGCCACUAAUGAACUUGACCACGACAUGAUGCAAAGGGUCCAAAUUUUUCCACAGGCCGCAGCGCACAACAAACAUCUUCACUAGCUUGUGGAAGAGCAAAGAAAUCAAUAAAAUGUUCCCUGUCCAAAAAUGAAUUACAAUCGGCAACGCUGUGACACCGUAAACUCUGUUCUCCCACCAUCCUAAUUACUUUUUCUUGUGACUAACAACAACCCAUUCUCGGUCAGGACCCAGUCAAAGAGUUCUUUGGUCUCCAUCAUUCAGUUCUUUGUCUCAUACUCAAAUAACAUCUGAUCGUACCUGAGAUUAACAGCCAGGGCUCAACUUUGGGUCAAAAUUGUACACCGCAACUUAUAAACCAAACUUUUUGUGGUGCUGUGCAUCUUGAAAAAAUCUAAAGGAACAACUUCCGAGUAGAAUUCCGCAGUUUAGGGUAAGUUCAAGUCAAUGAAUUGUAAACAAUGAAAAUGCACUUACUCCCUAACGGCAGCACAAAAGAUUACAGCAUUAACACCUUCAAAAAGAUGAAUCCACUUCCUUCUCUCAUUUCUUUGGCCUCCUACAUCGUACAACCUAUAGACCUCUCCACCUCUUUUGCUCUCUCCUAGAGGGCUGUAGGAAAUUAAAAACUUACUAAUUAGAAGAUUAAAGCUAUCUGUUACUCGAUAAUACCAAUUUAGUUUGACAUCCGGACAUCCGGAUAGAGUAUAACAAAAGAAAUAUGCAAAUACCAUGUCAGCAGCUUACCUAAACUGAGUUUCUACCACACCAUUCGUCCGUACUCUUGCAUGAAGCACGUCCUCCUGCAAAGAACCAGCCCAGAUAAGUACAAUAGAUAAAGUGCAAACCCUUAAGACCUAUUAUCAAAUAACCAUGUACAGAAACCAAAAUAAUAUGAUGGAACAUUCACGUAAAAGAAAAUUAAAACAAAAGAUAAGUUUUUCUAUACACCUUGAGGAUGACUUGACCAGAACAAGAUGAUUCCAUGGUAUCUACUUUAGAGGCUGCUUCACAAUGCACCACUAUAAUGAUUCAACAAAUAAAAACAAUUUAACCAUUUUUUUUUGCUUAGGAGAAGGGAACGUCAUUACAAAAACUGAAACAUAGUCUGGGUAAUGUAGCCAACUAGCCAUGCUUAUGUUUUGGAAGUUGCUAACUCCUAAGGUCUUCAAAAGAAAGGGGAUAUCUAUAUAUCUUACAUUUGACCCCAGCCUCUAAUGCAAUUCGGCAACCUCAAACACAAUCAAAAGGAAAUAGUAUACUAAUAUCAAAAAACCUGUAAAUAAGGCUGACAAGAUUUAAAUUGGGCAUAAUUGCAUACCUUUGUUGGUACAUAAUCUACUUCAGCUAAUCGGUCCAAAUAGCUCAUGAAGUACUGUGCACAGUCAGGGACUUGCAGAAUACUUCCGCGUGAAUAAGUUUCCUACAAAUGCUUUUCUCAGUAAUCAAGAUUUCUGUUCAACGGUCUAUAAAAUUUCUUUAAAUAAAGCAGCAAUAUUUUUCACCUGAACGACUGGAUCUUGCCAUAAUUUCCUUACAUCCUGUACAAGUUCUUUGUUCAGCAAUAGGUAAUCCAAUUUUGCACCAAUUUCUGACAGUUUCUCCCCAAUCUCCUGAAGUUGGGAUAAAGUUACAGUAUAAAUAAACAAAACAUUUUGCUAGUUCAACAAGGUGGAUGAUGAGAAGCUUCUAUGCGCUAGCAAAGGCAUCAUCGCAAGGCUUUGCCAAUAGUUGUAGCAGUCAAGUCACUACCACCCCUGCCUAAAGUAGUAACAGCACAUGAUUUACAUCCCUGAAAUUUAUGUGCACCAUUAUGAAUCCAAACAAAGUAAACUUGACACCCUGAACUCCAGCAGAUUCCAACCUUAUAUGUUCAUCCAAUGCUUGCUCCUGGAGAUUAAGAUUUUCAACUUCAUUCUGCAAGAAGGUUACACCAAGUCAUACUUCAAUUUGGAUCCUAACAUGUCUGAGGCUCUAAGCACGGAUACACUGACCAUGAGUUUGAUAAUAUGGAAAUGAUUACACGAAAUGAAAGAGGAAUAUACAGAAAUAAGUACCUUCAGAACUGAAAGAGCAUCAUCCAAGUUAGUUCCUGAUUCAUCCAAACCCCUAAAAUUCCAUGAUGUUAGCAUGAUGCACCAUAACCAUACAAGCAUAGAAGGGUAAGCAGAGAAGGAAGACAAUAUUGGCAAUCAUAGGAGAAACUCAAAAUUCAAGUUCACUAUAUGCAGAACUCUAUGCAUGAGCAGAUAAAGCCAGUACAUGCCUCACACGCUACACUAGGAAUCCGGCACAACUUCUGGUAGGUGAAUUUGCCACAACAAACUGAGAAAGUAUUGAAUAAAUAAACAAUCAAACAAUUGUAUUUUGGAAAAAAAACAAAUACGAAACUUGGGUAUGGCUCACAUAACAAAUGAUUGUUUACAUAGUAUAAUUAUUAAUGCCCUCAGAUCUGAUCGAGGCAGAUACUAAACAUGGAUAUAGCUCACCUACUGCAGCUCUCAUCGUCUACAGGGGCCACUUGCAUCGAGGCAGCUUUAGCCACCGGCGGCCAUGGCCCGUCUCGUUGAACUCGCCGCGUGUGCCAGCGAAGGUGGGCGGACAGAAAGCCUGAAAUUGCACCCUAAUCUCGAACGAGAAUGAGUGGAUUCGUUCAUAGGAAGCAGAAGAGGCUGCAGGUAAGAUAUCUUGCACGAAAAAAAAUUGAAAAUUUGAUUAGGGAUGGAGGCAUGCAGUUGGGACUAACCUGGAGCGCCGUUCGUGUAGGUGGAUGUGCUUGGGACGCAGAGGUCGACACCUGGGUAAGCUCCAGCUGCACAUCGAGUGCAGAAAGGGGGCACCACCGUGCUGGGCUGGAUCCGCCCACCCAGAUCGUCGUCCCCGUCACUCACCCCCAUGCGCCCGUAGUCUGUCCCGUCGUCUACCUGGGUGAGCUCUGCUGGGCCACCAUUCGCGCUGCCUGAGGUGCUCACAGCCGUGCAUAGGAGGGGAUGGGGCCGCCAUAGAUCCGAGCCGAACCAACACGAGGGCAGCUUCCUUGGAUCUGCACGGCGAGGUGAGGAUGACGCCGAGGCUGGAACUGGGAGGAGGAGGGAGGGGCAGCCAUCGCGCUGCCACCGUCGAGAGCAGAAACGGGAUUGGAGGAGGCAACCGGCGACGAAAUCAGAAGCUCGCUAAAAAAAAGGCCUCUCGGUCCAUGUGGCUAUUGGCGGCAGUUUCGGUGGGACGUCGUGCUACGAACGGAAAGUUGGGGGAAAAACUAACCGCGAGCUGGGGGCCCAGAUCCGAGCUGAAGCGACCGGACACAGGAGCGGGUUCCCGCGCCGCGGGUGCGUCAGUUUGGCUCGGGUACGGAAUACCUUAUUCUGUACCCAGGGUAUUGUAUAGUAUACUCCUAUAUAUAUAUAUAUAUCUCCCGAUGAUCCCUCCAGCACUAGUAUGCUUUUACUUUUGAGUGAGUGUAUUUUAGGAUCUGUUUGGAUCCAAGGGUUAAAUUUUAGCUCUGCACUUUUAGCCCAAAAUUUAGCUCUUAGGAUCCAAACAGGUGGGCUAAAAGUGACAAAUAGCUAAAAUUUUGGAGCUAAAUUUUAACCCCCAAAGAGGCCCUAAAAGGAGCUAAAAGUGAUCCUGGACACUCCUUACCCCUCCCCUCGCACAGCACCCUAGGCACGUGCCCCUCACCCUCAUUCGCACCUGCCCCUUGCCCUCAUCCGCAACUCUCUCCUCCCCCCACACUCUCUCCCUCCCUCCCCGCGUGCUCCUCCCGGCCCCGCCUCCUUCGCCCGCCGCCGCCGCCUCGCCGGCCCCGCCAUCUCUGCUCGGCCCCACGGCGCCGCUGCCACCUCCUCCGCCUCCGCACCUGCCCUCGCCCUCAUCCGCAUCUCCCUCCUCCGCGCAGCCCGCCGCCAGCUCUCGCACACCCCUCGCGCCGCCCCGCUCGCCAGAUCUCCACCGCCUCCGCCCGUCUCGCCCAAUUCCCCCUGCCUCCCCUUCUUCUCACAUCGCCGCCGCCACCCCUCUCUCCCGCAUCGCCGCCGCCGCCCCUCUCGACGCCCCUCUCGCCAGAUCUACACCGCAUCUGCCCCUAUCGCCCGACUCCCUCCGCCUCCCCUUCCUCUGACACGCUCCCGCAUCACCACCGCCACCCCUCUGUGCUGAGUUCAUCUGCCACCGCCCCUCUUGCUAGAUCUACAUCCCGUCCCCUUCCCUUCGCCACACCAGUCGCCGGAGGACCUCAACCGCCUACAAGCUACAAGUUUCACAUCCGCGCGCCGCCGAUGGACGGAUUUGGCGACGACGGCACCAAGGACUUCUUCUCCGGCAACUUCGACCUCUUCGCCGGCGAGGGCAGCCAGUAUCCGGGGUCGGGAUCUGUCAGUGGUCCCCGGAUUGGCAUUGAGGCACUCGACCUCAACUCGCAGGCGAAUGACUGGUCGUCGAUGGCGGCGUAUCAGGGGAUCUUGCAAUCCGGCGCACUAGUGGCAUCGGAGAGCACGAGGCCUCAUCACUCUCAACCACGCGGUGGCAGAAGAGGUAGCUCUCGCACACUCGGUGUACGCAGUGCUCGGAGCUGUGGCGGAGCCGAAGCAGGCCGCGGCAAAUGGUCGCCGUCCAGUCGCGGCCGCCGCGGUCGGUUGCCACCAGUUUCGGCCGCCGGCCGUGGGAUGCGUGGAGCUUCUUCGGCGGCAGCUGGUGCAUAUGUAGGCCGUGGCCGCGGUCGACGUGUUGGACGGCAGGGCAACGACGACGACGACAUUGAAGACAAUGAAGUCGAAGAAGUUUUUCCAAGCCGUCACGUAUUUGUCCUAAACCCUUGAUCUCAGAGAAGUGCAUGAGGUUCACUAUUGCUGUUAGAGUAAUAUGAAAUGCUUGUUCUUGUGAUGCAUAUGGUAGAAUAAAUUUGACAGAGGAAGUUGGUCAUCAGAGCAGAAUAACAACUUGGUGUGUCAAUUACUUGUUGAUCAAAUUGAUAUGGGUAACUACAUUAAAGGGACUAUGACAGCAAGAGGGUAUAAGCUCAUCAUAGAAAAGUAUUACUGCGGUUCAGGGCUGAGGCAUGAUAGGAAACAGAUAUCUAAUAGGAUUAGGUAGCUCAAGGGAAUGUAUCAGUUCAUAAAAGACAUCCAUUCCGACAGUGGUUUAGGUCGUGAUGAAAAUGGGUGGCCUACUGCAACCUUGGAGUGGUGGGAGACUGCAACAAAGGUACUUAUUGAUCUAUUAUAUGUGCAGGCUGCAAGGAUCCAUCUGAUUGCAAUCUAACUUCAGCUACUACAUGUGCAGAAACAUCCAGAAUGGAUAAAACUAAUGUAUGGGCCUCCAGAGUAUCUACCACUGCUUGAGCAUAUAUUUGAUGGUGUAGUUGUGGAUGGUUCAAGUUCUUUUGUGCCAGGAUACACCAAUGCAGAUGAUCAAGAGCCUGAAGAGCCUGAGGAGCCUGAAGAGCAUGAAGAACCUGAGCAAGAGAUGCCUGAGCAAGAGCUACCUCCAGAGUAUGCACACAGUCCUAUGAGUACAAGCAGCCGCAAGAGAACAAGUAGUACCAGCACAACAGCUUCAAGUACAAACAAGAAGACCAAAAGCCCAAUGGUCAAAAUGACGAAGGAUUACAUUAGUUUCUCUUCUAAGCAGCAAGCUGAAAGGAAUCAGUUCAUCAAGGAAGCUGUAUGUAAUAGGCAAGACAAGAAGCAGGCUCAGUUGUCCAACACCAUUAAGCAGGCUCAGAAAUUGGUUUUGGAGUGUGGGGUGGAUGAAACUAGUACUGAGUACUAUGCUGUUUCUCAGAUCUGCUUAAAUGAUUCCUUGAGGGAGUUCUUCAUUAACAUACCCACAACUGAAGGAAGGCUGACCUUCUUGAGGAGAUAUUGCAAGCAGCACAACCUAGAUUAGGAUUAUGUCUUUGUGAUGAUGCAUUUGUGUUGAACUGAACUAUCUAUACUAAUUGAAGUUAGAUCUGAAAUAAAUUUGUUUGAACUGUUUGUGCUGAAACGAAUUUGAUUUGACCUGUUUGUGAUGAAAUGAAUCUGAUUUGACCUGUUUGUGAUUAAAUGAAUUUGAUUUGACCUGUUUGUGAUGAAAUGUAUUUGAUUUGACUCUGUAUUGAAGUGCAAGUAGUACAUACAAUUGAAUUUAACUGAUUAAUUUUUUGUAUUAUGUCUCAGGAUAUGGAUGUGGACAGUGAGGCAAGUGACGAUGAAGUUUUGAGGCUUAUUACUGAGGAGGACAUUGAAUAUGAGAGGCAAUUCACGGAGGAUCUACUUCUAUUUGGUAUGUACAAUGACACCUACUUCAAUAAAGCUAAGAAGAGAAAGACGGUUGAAAGUGGUCAUGAUUGGCAGAUGAGAAAUCUAACAGCUAGUGUGCAAUGCUAUAAUAUGUUUAGAAUGAGUAGAGAAUUGUUUGAUCGUCUGCAUGAUCUAUUGGUGCAAUCUUAUGGCCUAAAGUCCACAUCAAAGAGCUCUUCAGUAGAGGCCUUAGGAAUGUUUCUUUGGAUGGUUGGUGCAUCUCAGUCAGUCAGACAAGCCAAGAACAGAUUAGAGAGAUCAUUAGAUACAGUUCACCGCAAUUUUGACAAAGUUUUGAAGUGUAUCAUCAAGCUAGCAGCUGACAUAAUUAAGCCGGUCGACCCUGAAUUUAGAACAAUGCACCGUAGGUUACAGAAUCCUAGAUUCUCUCUACACUUCAACAAUUGUAUAGGAGCAAUAGAUGGCACUCAUAUACCAGUUGUCGUGCCAAAUAACAAGGUGGUGCAACAUCUUUGUCGAAAGGGCUUCACUACACAGAAUGUGCUUGCGGUCUGUAACUUUGAUUUGAGGUUCACAUUUGUUCUUGCGGGCUGGCCUGGUUCAGUACAUGACAUGAGAGUUUUCAAUGAUGCAACAGUCAAAUACAAAGACAAGUUCCCACAUCCCCCUCCUGGUAUGUUAUGCCUAAGUUUGCACAUUCAGUACAUAUGUCACUUUGGUUGUAUCUUUUGUUUGUAACAAUAAUGUUUGUAUUUGCAGGGAAGUUUUACCUAGUGGACUCUGGAUACCCCAAUCAGCUUGGUUAUCUUGCACCUUACAAGGGAACGAAGUACCAUCUUCCAGAGUUUAGGUAGGGGCCGAUGCCCAAAGGUAUGAAAGAGACCUUUAACUUCGCUCAUUCAUCUCUUAGGAAUUGUGUCGAGAUGUCAUUUGAAGUUCUUAAGAUGAAGUGGCGGAUUUUGUUGAAAGUGCCAAGUUAUCCAAUGCCGAAGCAAAGCUAGAUAAUUGUUGCAUGUAUGGCGCUUCAUAACUUUAUUAGAGAGAGUCAUAUGGAGGAUGAGGACUUUGAUCGUUGUGACCGUGAUGAGAACUAUGUUCCUCAUGAAGCAUCAACCUAUCAACCGCCAACACAAAAUACUCAUUCAAGGGACGAAGAUACAAAUAUGAAUGCAUUCUGUGGUCAAAUAGCCUCAAGUUUGUAUAAUAGAUCCUAGAGUAUUUUAUUUCUUGUAUUUGAUCGUAGAGUAUUUGAAUUGUAUGCUUGAACGAUGAUGUAAUUGAACGAAUAAAAACUAUUGAAUGUCCAGGAGGAACAACAACGUGUUCCUCCUGGCCGGCGCCUGUGCAUGGCCGGAGGAAGCUGUCUGUAUUGUAGAGGUCUGGCCGUGCAUGUGCAUGUGCAUGGAGUCAAUAAAAAUGAAUUUGAGACAUGCAUGUGGUUUGAAUCACUAAAUGAGGGCAAAUCAGUCAUUUCAAGGAAGAGUACCUUUUAGCUCUUGGAUCCAAACAUCCCACAAGGACUAAACUUUAGGGGUUAAAAUUUAGGGACUAAACUUUAGCCCAUCAACUUUGGAUCCAAACACCACCUUAGAACAAGUAUAAUAAGGAGCUGUAAGCUGGCUGGUGAGAGAGGAGAAGCGGGCUAUAAGCUUACAGCCGACUUGGGCACAGGAACCAAGAAACUUUGUGAGAAUGACUUGUGGGUCAUGUAUUGAUGGUGAAGAGCUAACCAUUGUACGAGUGGGUUAGGAAAAGGCUGAGAGAAACCUUGCAGCCCGCUUGCUAGCUGCGUUAUUAAACUUGCUCUUAGUAUGUCCAGUGAAUUACUUGUCCUUUGUAGUGUAUUUAUUUGCACGGCUUGUCCCCUGGGCUGGAAAGUCACAUGCACGCGCUAAGGUAGAAUUAAUAAUCCUAGAUCUCGAGCGCCGUUGUUUUAAUUUUAAGUCCAUAGCUUAUAAUUUUAAUUUCUUAUUGUUUAUUGCGGCCCGUCUUUUGACGGUCUAGGGACACAGUCGUCGUAGAUCUCGGGACUGGCCUCUCGAUGCUGGCGAAAACAGAUCAGCUUGCAGUUGUUUAUGCAGAGUCUCUCGAGACAAGGCAUGCAUGGCUAUACUCGCACUCACAAAAAGCCCAAACAGUGCCAGCUCUAAUAGUUUAGUUAAUAAUGUUUUAAGUGACUUUUGCCUUUGCAGAAUAGCCCAUUCUACUACGGAGAGGCGACGAACAAGCUGACCAUGUACGUAGCUGCCUGCUUGUCGUCGACCACCACCGCAGAUUCUUCUCUUGCCAUGCAUGUACUCAGCAAAGGAGCGGACCACAUCGUCGUGCAUCUCCAGUUAUCCAGUUGCUCAGGCAGUCCAGCUACUGACCAUGCAGGACUUGUCAAAACAACAUUCCACUCACGCUCGCCUUGCGUAUCUUGUGCUUAAGAGCCCUCCAAUCGCUUUAAUUGCAAGUGGUAAUUAUGCCUUCACACUUCUCAAGAAUUUCCAUCCCAAUGUUUUUUAGGCGGUCAGUUCCGACUACCUGCCAACAGUUAAUUAUUUAUUGGAUUAUUAUUUCUGACUACAGUAAGGUCGUCGCGGCACUACUUGCUUAAGUACAUUUUCUUACGUUCCUGUUGUAAAAAACAAUUGGUCAUCAUUUUUUUCAUCCCUUGCACAAAGCAUGAACAGACGAUCCAAUUUCAAAUGGGCUUUACAAGGAUUUUGCAUAAACCGCCACAAAAGUUGUAACGAUCUUAUGUAAAUCCUGCAUUUCAAAUGGGGCCUAAACAUUUCAUUUGGGACCUUGGAAUGCAGACUAGACUGUGUUGCAGUAGUUUGUAUCGUCUUUCAUAAUCACGUUGCCUUUUGUUUUAAAAGCUACAAUUUCAACAAAUAAUGCCAUAAGAUCAAAUUUGUCUACUCCAUCUCAUUUCAAAUAUAAUUCAGUCGAGCUUGUGCACAAGAAUUCAUAAGGUAGGUGGUGAAGUGACACUACUUGCUUAAGUACAUUUUCGGGCAAAAAAGAUUUGGGUACGUUCCUGUUGUAAAAUAAAACAAUUGGUUCACCCUCAGCAUCAGUUCAACAAUGGCCGACUCAUCAAACUCGGACGUCAUCUUCUGUAUAGAACUUGAACUUGAACCCGGACUCAACAGUUAGCAUCCUCGGCUCCGGAUUGAACUUGAACUUGAACCUGUCUGCCUCCUUGUGGAUGCCAUCAAGCCUCUGGUUGACGUCCCUGAUGCUGCUGCCUAUCUCGUGGGCGAACACGGGUUACGCAGGCAGAAGAGCAAUCGCUGGAAGAAAUCCUGCAUCUUUUCUAUGCUCCUGCACGUGAGGUGAAGAUGGGGUUCCGUAGGCACAUCAACCUGCACUCAUCAGCCUUGAGUUGGCACAGGUCUAGGAUGUCUGUGUGGCAUCGUACAUGGCGUCCUUGAGCUUCCUCACCCAUCUUUGCACACUCUUGUCAGUGACGCGCACCUCCUCUCUGCAUCCGCGAGGAAAGCUUUGAGGCAUCCGGGAUGGCGGCUAUGGCUCCAGAGUACGAUCUAGCUAGUACACAAUACAUGAUCCCUCCGUUUCAGUGGGAUCAGCUCAACCGGAUCUCAAAGGAAUAUACUAUAAGGGUUGGGAUUCAACUCACACUCUUUGCAACCAACUAUGGGUUGAAGUGGGUCGAAUCCAUCCCAACCCACUUUGACCCCAGAACCAAAUACAUGGAAAAAGACUGCACGAGGAAAAAGAAGGAAAGAGAAAUCGGCGACUCGCAGCAGGGACGACUGUAUUUUGAUUUGGUUGGUUCGGAGCUAAUGUCUCAGAAGAAAUAUCUCUGUAGGACAAAGGAGAGAAAGUAUUUUUAUUGUGUCACGGCAUGAAUAGAGCAUUUGUCUAACGCGUUAGUACCGGACGCUUUUUCAUCCUGUAUGAACGCGCAACGUUAGUACCGGUCAUCACGCACAGUGCCACCGGAGCCCCUAUAGUCCUGGUAUGUAGCCUCAGCUAGUACUAAAUGCGGCACGUGACCGCAUGGCCAGCAGCUAGAUUCUCUAGAAAGCCACUUAGUAUCGGUCGGUAGCUUUAGCUGGUACUAAAUAGUGAGAAUGCUAUUUAGUACUAGUUAGUAGCUUCAACCGGUACUAAGUGAUUUGUUCCUUAACUUUCGAUCGGUACUAAAUUCAAUGCAAAAUAAGGUGAGAUUCUGUGGCUGCCUAGGCACGCUUAUGCACUGGGCGGCGGGGUAUCGUGGCGCCUAGGGGGUAGCGUGGUGGUGGCAGAGGCCAGGGAUGGGCGGCGGAGGAGGAGGAAGCAAGGGUGGCUGUGGGUGCAUGGAGGAGGAGGAGGAGGCAGGGGAUGGAGACCGCGGCAGCGAUGGAGGUCAGGAUGGCGGGGGCAGAGGAGGCGGGGGCGAUGCAAGGGCGAGCGGUGGGGUCAAACGAGGGAAGGGGAGGCAUCGAGGUCGGACAUAUAAGGUGGGAGGUGAGGAUAAGUGGGCCGUUGAGAUAGUUGGGCUGCUUUCAUGGGUCUUUCUUUUCAACUCAAGGCCUACCAAUUUCCUGUUUCUCCUUUUCUUAGAGUAUGUGGCAAAGUAUAUAGAAAAACGCCUUGAAACGUCUAAUCUCGCCUAGACGGUGGGUCACCGCCUAGAGAGCACCUGGCGCCUUUUGCAACCUUGACUAAAUUGAAGCUACCAGUCGGUACUAAUGUUAACCAUUUGCUCCAUAUAUAAAUGAGUUGCUUCCUUAGCUUCCUCUUCGAGCAAGCUCACCAUUUACUCAGGCUUUGUUUUUUUUCACUCGACCAGCUUCUUCACUAGACCAUAGACCAGUUAGCAACUUUAUUCUCCAUCCUCUAUUCAUAGUAUUCUAGAUUUUUUUGAAUGAUUUAGUUUUAUAUUACAAAUGGAGUACUUGUUGCUUUAUUAUAGUGAGGAGAAUGGAGAGCUUUUGAGAAUGUGAUUUAUGUUACAAAUGACAUAAUUGUUGAUAUUUUAGAAUGAGGAGAAUGGAGAGUUUUUUAAAGUGAGGUGAAUGAGAAGUUUUUAGAAUGAUUUUUAUGUUUCAAAAUGGAGUACUAGCUUGCUGAUCUUUUAAAACGAGAAUAAUGGAGAGUUUUUUAGAGCGAGGAGAAUUGAGAGUUUUUUAAAUGAGUUUUAUGUUAGAAAUGGAGUACUUUUGAUAUUUUAGAAUGAGGAGAAUAGACAACUUUUUAGAGCGGGUACUAAAUAUUAUAAACACAUUUACGAAGCUCUAUAUUAAUUUUUCAUGUAAUACGAUUCAGAUGGACUGGUAAUGGAUGUAACACCUUCAAUUCAAAAAACAGAAGAACUUCGAGUCCACAAACUCUAACUGAACAUCAUAAAUCGUGUUCUUGUCAGAGUGUACUUAAGCUUUUCGAGAUCUUUUUCAUAGAUCUUUUACCCCUUGAGGUUUUUCAUAGAUCUUUUACCCCUUGAGGUGGUGAAUCUAUGGCUCAGGUUUUGUCAUGAAUCGUUGUGUAGAGGGAGGAUUUUUCGGGUGAAGUUUAGGCUUUUGGUCUUUUGGGUGUGUUCUUGUUCUGUGCUAUCUGUUCUUGCGCAGGAGCGUCGAGUGCAGUCGAGCGCUGCUCACGGGCGCAGGGCAGGCAGGAGCGCACGUGCGCAGCGCGUGCUUGCGCAUCGGGCCAGGCCAGCGACGCAUGCGAGGCGCGUGCGGCGCGCGGGGCAGUCCGUGUGCGAGGCGCGUGCAGCGCGCGAGGGAGUUCGCGUGCGAGCAGCGUGUGCCAGCAGGCCGAGCGGGCCGCGUGCGUGCAACAGGCCAAGUGCUAGCGUGUGGGCCGCCUGCAAAUCAUACUUAGCUCUGUUAAUACAUUAAAUGCAUAAUACCAAUCCCUUUGAAGGUGCAGUGUAGUAGUAUGGCGCAGUUUGGUCCCAAAGACCUAGGUUCAAAUGCAUAAUACCAAUCCCUCUGACACUCUCUUUUUCUUCCAUCUUUUUGUUAAGCGCCUCUUUUUUGUAUCGUCAAUUUUUUCCCCAGUCGCAAGCAUACUAUGAGAGGCUGCGGAGGAUUUUUUCUUCCAUCACACACGUACAAAACAAAGGCGUCAUACUUUUUUUCUUUUUCCCUACCUAGCACAAUAACCUCGUUUUUAAGAAAAAAAGUAACCCAUUUUAUUUUCUUUAAAGUAAGCGACAUAUUUAUUUUGUCAAAAUUGAGGUUGAGGAAGCACAGUGUAACACCCAAAUUUUUAAAGAAUUUAAAUUUACUAAAAUUUGCUCAAUUAGGAUGUCCUUUAAAUUUAUAGGUAUUUAAUUUCAUUUUCUCAACUUAAAUUUCAUCAUAGGAGUUAUUUGUGCAUUUCAUGCUGAUGCAUUUAUUUUGCUUGCUUGUGUUAGAAUCAAAUUCAAAUUUCAAAUUGAAUUUCAAUUUUCAAAACCUUUUCUUUUCUCCUUUUCUUUUUCCUUCUCUUGGGCUGCAUCCUUCUCCUUCUUUUCUUCCAGCCCAAACGCCACCUUCCCUCGCGGCCCAACAUCAUCAGCACCACCGGCCACUCCAUUUCUUUUUCCGUCAGCCCAGCUUCCCUCCCGCUUGGCCCACCUCUCCUUUCCUCUGCGGCCCGCGAAGCAGCGCUGGCCCGCUACCUUCCGCCGGUCUGAUGGGUGGGACCCACCCGUCAUCCCCGUCCUCCAGCCGUAUCCGGCCGGGACUUCCUCUCCCGACCGCGCCGGACUCCGCCCGCCUCCCGCAACCGCCACGCGAGUUCGGGCGGCACCUCGCCCACCUUGCUGUGUGCUACUAUUUGCACACAGGCUCAACUCCGGAAAAUCAACAAAAGCACGGUGGACUUCAAUGUGAAAUUGUGAGCUAUCAAAAUCGACAUGCCAUGUGCCAUGCAUCAGUGGAGCUAAAUUAUACAAAGUAGUGGGGCAGUUGGAAAGUGGUGACAACUUGCUGCUAAAAGCAGUCUAGGAAAUGUAAACUAAGGGUGCGUUUGGUUGGGCUGUGGCUUUUGGAAAAGCUGCUGUGAGCUGUGGGCUGUGGAAAAGCAGCUGUGAGAAAGCAGCUGUGGGAAAAGCAGAAGACCGUUUGGUUAGAGGAGCUGUGAAACUGUAGGCUAUGUAAGAAAUACCUGUAAUGCCCCUAAAGAUCUGUGAGUGUGUUUAUAUGCAAAUUGCUCGUAACAAAAUAAUGCGUUCACUAGUUCAAAUGUAAACCACUAUUUUAGGAAGAAGAAAAAAUAAAUUUUAUAUGUUUUUCAUCCAUUAAAGUAAUUUGUCCACAUAAAUAGAACUAUAUCCAUCAAAAAGUUCUAUACAAGGAUGCCAUCCCUCAACAUUACUCUCCUCCUCUCGCACUAACCAAAGCAUCAGCUAUCCUAGUGCGAAUGGUAUUCAUGGUAUCCUCAUUCUCCACAUCGUCACUAUCAUCUCCUUGUGUUUGUCUCGUACCACAUGUAUGUUGUACCAAGUAGUCCUCAUCAUCAUCACAUCUCUUGAACUCCUUAUCUCACAAAUUGCUAUCACGAAUAAAAUUAUGCAAUGCAAGACAAGCCAUAAUGAUAUGUUUCUCAGUACGAGGUGAGAAACUUGGCAUGUCCUUCAAAAUACGCCACUUCUGCUUUAAGACUCCAAAAGAUCUUUCAAUGACAUUACGAAGAGAUGAAUGCAAAAAAUUGAACAUCUCGUACUUUCCUUGAGGAGGCCCUGAACGAUGCUGAAAUUCUGGUAUAUGGUAUGUGCUUCCUUUGAAAGGCACAAGAUAUCCAAUUCGGUUUGGGUAACCUGAGUCCACGAGAUAAUACUUUCCUACAAAAUCAAGUUAGUAAGGUACAUAAUAAUACAAAUAUUGCUAAUUUGUUGAAAGAACCAUGUAUACCUUUAGGAGGCAUGGGAAAUGAAGGAAAAUUUGCCAAUGCAUGAUUGAGGAUACGUGUGUCAUGUGCAGAACCCGGCCACCUGGCAACCGCAAAGGUGAACCUCAUAUUAAAGUCACAAAUAGCUAGCACAUUUUGAGAUGUAUAUCCAUGACGGCAUGUGUGGUUAACCACUUCGUCCACUGGUACUACCACUUUGACAUGUGAACCAUCUAUUGCUCCAAUUGCGCCUUUAAAGUAUGGCCAAAAAUGGUCCUCUCUCACCCUUUCAUGCUCCGUAGAAAAAGUAGGAUCCCUUGGCUUAAUAUUGUCCUUAGCUAACUUGCGCAAACAUUUUAACACUUCGUGAAACUUCAUGUGAACUGUCCAAAGUGACCGUGUGAAACGAUUUUCAGCUUGUGAAAAAGAUUGUGGUCCUCCGAUGAUCCACAAGAACAUUGUGAAUGACUCAAUAGACGAAACAUUGUUGGUUGAGGUCAAUCCAUAAGUAGAGACUAGCAAAUUAUGAAGUUCAUUGAAAAUCUCGGUGCUCAUCCGAAACAUCUUAUAAAAAUAUCUCGGACGUGACAUACACCUCAUCACCCAUUGAAUUCCAGUUUCUGACAUUUCCCUGUAUUCAGCUUUGUGCAAAUACCGCUCAGUAUACAAGUUGCCCAUUUCUCCAAUAGCACCAGCAUGCUGUGCAAGUUCAGCUAGCAGUAGUAGUCCUUUUUGCCCUCCUUUAGCCACAUCUCCCAAUCUAUCAUCCAUCUACAUGAGACAUUAGUACAUUAAUAAUUAAAUACAACAAAUAUCUUGACAAUACUAAAUGAAAAAGCUCAACAUAACACACUAAUAGAUAAAUAAUGUUUCAAUAUAGGGUAACAAAUUAUGGUUCAAGAUAGGGAAAUUGUUGUCACAUAUGACAAUAAAUAAUUUGACAAACAGGCAAACAAAUCAGUGGCGCUUCAUCAUCUCCUUUUCUAGCUCCCUCUCAAUCAAAUCCAGUCUGCCUUUAGCUGUUUCUAGAGAGCUAAAGAGCUCCCUAAAUUCAGGUUUAACAAUUAGGGAAGCGGCUGUGUGCAUUAGAGAAGUUCUUUCUUGCACCCCACAUUCUUUCACCAUCUUCAUAGUCUCUGUAAUGGUAGGAACUAGGUUAGUUGGAGGAGCUGAUGAUGCUUCAACACUUGUGGAGAUCCUCUCUGCAGCAUUUUCUAUCUUCAAACAAGUGGACUUGUACAAACGAAAGAAUGGGCUCUUCUCAUCCUUCUCUUCAACACCAAUAGAGGUACCCUUGCGUUUCCUUUUUCCUAGGUUCACUGUCAUAUCCUUCUGCGUAGGUUUCACUACCUCAUCCACAUUAUCAUCACUUGCCUCAUCGGAUGAUAUAUCUCCAGGACAGGAUGCAGAAGACCCAAGUUACAUGUGCCUUGCCAAACAAGAUAUGCAGGUCAUCGAGAAACUUGGGUCCUUGUUUUCGAAACUUAGUAUGGUGGCAUUUGAUUCCUUUCUCACGAUUGUUGCAUCUCUACAAUUAUAAAAAAAAUUAGCAAGGCACACCAUAAGAAAGAAUGGGAAGAAUAUAAUUAUCAAGAAACAUAGUUCUUACAGCAAGGUGUUCGUCCCACCAUUCGUCUGAGCAGUCAACAGUUUGUUUUGCCUCAUCCCAUCCAAGACCAGUUGCACAAUUCUUGAACUCCAUAAACGUGACAUACUCCUUUUUCAGAAGAUCUAACUUGUUCUUCAAUUGUUUUUUUGUUCUCGUAUCACCAGAUUUUUCUGCAAACUUGGAAACAACGUUCUUCCAACCGGUAGUAGUGAAAAUUCGCAUCGGCCUAUUCCCUGCUUCAAUCUCUUCUUUGCAAGCAUCAAUCAAAUGCCUUAAAAAAGUAUCACCCCAAUCCGCCUUAUCAUCCAUUCUUCAACCAAUCAAAGAAAACUCAUAAGAACUAAGCUAAGACAUAACUAUGAAGCCAACUAUCCAACUAUUAAACUAAUGGGAAACAAAUAAGCAUAGAUGUCAAAGUACAAACGUUCAUCCAUUAUAUAGUUUUGAAUAAUCACUUUGCAUUUAACCAUACUGAUAGCAGAGAAGUGCUUUAUCUCAUAAGCAAGCUAUAGUGGAUGUUGAUAGGUAAGUCAAAUACCAGUACAAUUGAUUGUUCAUACCUCAAGAAAUUCCUUUUUGCAGGUAGCUUCCUAUUUGAUUUUGUGUUGUAAUUGUACCUGACAACAUAAAACAAUUGAAUUAGUGUAAAUAAUUUACCCUAAACAAGUGUUAUAAAUUAUAAAAAAAAUUAGUUGAUACAUACCACUAUAUGCUCCUGGUCAGUCACCAGGAGCAGGGGCAGGAGCCGGCGAUGGGGGGCGCCAGCGAUGGGGAGCCCUCCUCUUCAAGGGGGCGGCGGGUGCUCGGGGGACGCUCAGGGCCCGGCGGCGGGCGCUCAAGGGGCAACGCGGGCCCGGUAGCUGGCGGCGGCCAGGGGAGGCGGCGGGCAUCGGGGGGCGGCGAUGGGGGCCCGGCGGCGGGCGUCAGGAGGAGGAGGCGGCCGUCAGGGGGGCGGCGACGAGAGCCCGGCGGGAGGCGUUAGGGGGCGGUGGCGAGCGUUGGGGGGGCGGCAAUUAGGAGGCGGCGGCGGCCGUCAGAUGGCCUGGCGACGGCGGCCCGGCGAUGGGGGACGGCGGCGGGCGUCACUGGGGCGGCGGCGGGGGCCCGACGAUGGGGGCGGCAUCAAGCGUCGGGGGGGGGGGAGGCGGUGAUGGGCCCGACGGCGGCAAUUAGGGGGCGGCGGCGGCUGUCAGAUGGCCCGGCGACGGCGGCCCAGCGAUGGGGGACGGCGGCGGGCGUCACGGGGCUGGCGACGGGGGCCCAACGAUGGGGGCGGUGGACGGCCGUCAGGGGGCGGCGGCGUGAGGCCCGGCGGCCAGGGGCGGCGAUGGUGCCCGGCCGGCGGCCAGGGAGGCGGACGGCCGGCCGGCGGCCAGGGGAGGAACGCCGGCGGGCGACGGGUGGGGAGAUGGCGCUGUGCGGGUGAACGCAGGAGAGGAGAGGUCUGUGCGUGCGGGAGAAAAAAUAGAUCUGAAAGGGUACAUCAUAACCAAUGGCAGGUGGGUAAUUUUCUACCCGAAAAGCACUUGAAAGCAGGGGGGAGGUGCUUUUGAUUUUGUACUAGAGCAAAAGCAGCUUUUGGGCAAAAGCACGUAGAGCUUUUAGGCCCUUUGGUUGGCUUUUGGCUUUUGCAAAAGCAAAAGCAGGUUGGAAAGCCCAACCAGCUUGGCUAGAGCCUUUGUAGCGAGCCCAAGACCUUGACCGGGAAAUUCUUGGUGAGCAGGAGCAUGUCCUUGGUGGAGCUCGAACGCAUGGACUAGGGGUGGCAUUUGGCUACCGAUACCAUGUGAUAAAUCGUCGUGCUGGGUUUGCAUCUUUUUUAACCCACUCCUUUACAUUUCCGCACUACAUUCUCGCAACUUGAGUGCCUUUAAUUACUUUCCAGAGUAGUACCUUGUUAGGUUGGCUCUAGGUUGCAAAACUCUUUGUGGGUGGGAAGUUUCACUAGAUCAACCAUAGAUGCACAUGUAGAUAGCAUGAUCUAGUUUAUGUUUGGAAGCAAGUAGUGGAAGUCAUAGGCCAAGGAUUUUAAGCUAGCCUAAUUCACCCCUCCCCUUCUUAGGGUACGAGCACCGAUUCCUUUCAAUUUGCUUUAGCACCAUGAAGGCAAUAGUCAUCCAUCUGCACCAUGAUCAUAGAGCAAUGCAAAACCACGAGAGAAACGAAACGGCUGCUCUUCCUUCAUUUUAUUCCAAUUUUAUUCCAAUUAGUAUGGACGUGGAGGUUACAGGACACACCAUGCUAGCUGUAGCGCCGGCAACAGGGAAACAAACCCAAGAAAGCAAUGUGGACAUUUUAUUCUACUUUUUUAUGCAGAAUAUAUGGAGGCACCAGCCAGCCCAGCAACAACGACAAUGGCGGCUACUUGGUAUACUCGAUGGCCCAGAAGUUGGCGUAGAUGUAGGUGGACUUGACGCUGGUAAACCCGGCGCCCCUGGCGAGCUCCACAAACUCCCUCUCGUACCUCUCCUUGCCGUCGGGGCUUUACGCGAGCAGGCACACGUCGACGCCGAUCAACCCCUGCGCGCUGUUUGUGGCAUCCGGGUUCACCGGCAGGAUGCACUCGACACUGAUGAGCUUGCCGUGCGGAGGCAGCGCCUCGUAGCAGUUCUUGAGCAGCUUGGCGCAGUGGUUGUCGCCCCAGCAAUUGAGGAUCCACUCCAUGAGGAUGGCGUCGCCGGAGGGCACCUUCUCAAACAUGUCGCCUCCCACGUGCUGCACCUGCACGUCGGGGUAGGCCGGCGCCUCGGAGAUGACGUGGGGAAGGUCGAAGUUGAUCCCUUGAAUGGUCGGGUACCUGGAGGUGAUGGCAUGGAUGGUGGAGCCGAGGCCGCCGCCAACGUCGACGAGGGUGCGGACGCCGUCGAAGCCCGUGUAGAGCUGCAAGAGCUUCUUGGUGAGGAUGACGGAAUGCUGCUUCAUGGCCUCAUUGAAGACCCCGUUGAAGCGUGCGUCAGUACCGGCGUAGUCGAACUAGGAAGGCGUCCCAAACGCCCUGUUGAAUGGGCUGCCACCCUCAAGGACCGCGUCCGUCAUGUAGCUCCAGGCGUGCAUGAAGAGCUUGUCGUUGGCGAGGAGGUGGAACCGAGCCAUGGAGACAACAUCCUCGUUGGGGGUGAGCCACUUGCACAGUGGCGCGGCGCUGUACUGGCGGCACAGGCUGCCAUCCUCGCCCUCCUCCAAUAGAAGUCAUGGACAAAAACAAGCUCUUCCUCGAUGACCCUAAAGGCCCUCUGAUGUGGCCUGUCCCCGGCGAGCAGGCCUUUGAACACAAAGUCAUGCGUUUUCUCAUGCCCCGCUUCUGAGAGCCUGAAGCCAACAAACCUUCGGUUGAGCAUCUUGGAGAGUGCCAUAGAGAGGCACAAGUCCUUGAGCAGCUUGCCCCGCUCAAGGACCAGCAGCCUUCCUGUGCACUGCCAGAUCUUCUCCACGGUGAUAACCAUUAAGUCGCCCCCCUUGUAACAUGGUGUGCAACCAGGCCACCGCUUCAUGUAGUACUUCUCGCCAGCGACAAUGUACCGGUAGCCUUCCAUGAUUACAGGAUCAAAGGGCACCGCCAGGUUGUCCUUGUGCUGUUGCUGCAUAUAUUCGGCGAUCACCUUCACCUUCUUGCAGAGGUAGGAUUUGCUCACCAUCCUCAUGGAAGCGAUCCUCACAUACCCCUUGAGGAUGACGACCAACACGAUGGCAUACAACGGAUACCUGUAGGGAAGUUUCUUGCCGUAGAUCCAAUCCUCAUUAUUGCUAAUCCUCAGAAUGAUUACCACCAGCCAGAAUCCCUUAAGGAUGUGUUUGACGUGGAUGCUCUUCCAGUUGUCGACAUCGCUGAGGCGGCAAACCGUGAGGUUGUCCGUGGUGCCGAGGAGCAGAAGAAGGAACACUGCCCACACAGUGAAGUCUUCGUAGUACAAACUGGAAGAUUUCAUCAGCCCAACGGUAUAGCCAACCAGGGGAUAGGAGAACGUGUAGACUCCCAUCACGAUAGAAUGGAGGAGCGUGUGGCUCGACCGCCGGCGUAAGGAACCCAGUACGUGCAAGAGGAACAUGGCGAGAACGGCCAGGAUGACAUACGUUUUUACGGUAUCUGUAUAAUCUUUAAGGCACUGAUCUUUGGAAUAGGGACUGGGUGUGGGAGGACUCGGUGCCAGAUCCAUGUUGGCUGCAGAUUUGGUUUCUGAAGGCUCUGUACACUUCUCUACCUAGCUCACUCCAAUGGAAUACACAGUUUGUGUCCUUGAGAACACUGAGGCUGUAUGUAUAUAUAGGGAAAAGGCAACGCUCGGUGGUUGUUGAGCUACAGAAUGUGUGAAGUUAAGAUGAAUACCAAAGUGAAAGCGGUUCAGUUAAAGAUAAAGAAAACAAAUGAACACGCAAAGCAUUAUAAUAACCCGCUUCACCUAGUUAAGCCAGAUAUUGACUAAUAUGCUCAUAAGUAGUUCGGUUAUGCUCGCCACUAAAUUUGAAAAAAUCGGGCAUGCGCCAAUCGACAGGGUAGGGAACAUAGUUAAAAUGAGCUUGGUAUGACUUUUGAUAUAAUUUUGAACUUCCGGUAUCUAUGCCGUACUUACUUUGCAUCAAAGCCAACACCUCCUCUCUUAAUUUUCUAAUCUCGUGAAGGGAGGGUAUCUCUGAGUGCUCUUAGGCUGACAUAUUCACAUUACCCGCAUGGGGUGGGUUGUUGUUCUAAAUACGGUGCAAAUCAGAAACCACGGCAUUUGAAAUCCGUCUAGACAUGGAAAUGAUCAUUGUCAGGUGGUGCUGCAGCCCGUGUCAGGAUACGUAGCAAGCUUGCUCUCUGGUUGUCAGGACACAACUUUGUAGGACGCCAGAAGUCGCAGCAAGCGAUCCACCAUGGACGGCGCGGCGGGGUUGGCCUUGGAAAGCAGCUUCGCGGCCACCUCCUUGGGAGUGAGAGCCUUCCCGCUGGCGCCCACAAGGGUCUCGAGCAGGCCCAGCUCAAUGGCAGUUCUUAGCGUCAUCGGCAGGAUGGCCGUCGACACUAGCUGCAGAGCGUGCGUGCAUGUCUCGUCGUCGGCUAUGGCCAUGUCCGCGGCGGGAUUGGAGCUCAACUAACUGAUGAAGGUGUGUGUACCUUGUUGUUGUGAUUGCUGGUGUCUGACUGAUCGAUGAGGCGAAAGGGGCCGUUUAUAUAGAGCUUCGAGCUAGGCUUUGUUCACCAACCUGAAAAUCAUGCAUUCUUUGACAAGUAUGGGAUUGCUUGUAUGGUGUGACGUGACCUGUGAGAGCUAGCAGCUAGCGUGGUAGUGAUUGUGUACCCCAUGCAAAACCUCCCUCCUAAUAAGAUCGUGAUGCACGAGGCUGAAUACUAUAUUGUUUUGUCUGCAGUCUAAUCGAUUUUGAAUCUGCAAAUAUAAUCAAUUCACGACAUUGGAGAUGGUCGGCGCACGAAAUGCGGCCGGGACACAACGAGGAGUGGCAGGUUUCAGAGAAGCACCUUGUGCCCUUUGAGAAUCUGUUUUGCAUUAGAUCAAGGUUGAGAUGGUUUCUUUAACCCUUGAGAUUCAGCGCGAGGGUCCACGUGCGUGAUGGACAUGGCUUCGCUACUGCACAACUGUUUUUCAAGAAUCAAGAUAUUCUGCAUGGGAUGUCCUGCGUCUCUAGUGUCGGUGCAAUCUGUCUCCUGUUGAACACAUACACUAGCGUCUGAUGCCAGAGUGAGGUGGAUCGGGUGGAUCAAGGCUACGGCGUAGCACGUUAUCAUGGCUCGGGCGGCCGGGGCAAGACCACGAGCUGGCCGACCGUAGAGGGAAGACGCAAGCGGCACUCGCAGAAUCUACGUGGCUCCCCUUGGUCGUUCUUUGUCUCACCCUAUGGGUAUCGUGGAGGCACGGCGCCAGGCUGGCGGCACGGUGUAGCCUCAAUUCAGAACUUUCCUAGUCAGGGCGUGCCCGAGGGCGAUUGGUUGCUCAACCUGAUGAGAACUUGGGUGGGUGCUCCUACAUGGGAGAGAAUAGGGUGACGGAUGAGAAUGCAGAUGAGAGACGGGGCUCAGACGAGGGGUGGGUUGGAGACAUGUUUUCACUGUUGAACUCUUAGCGUCAAGAUGAGAGGUGAGAUGAGAUACCGGUAGGACCUGCUCUUACCGUGGCACUUCAGCAACCCCACCCCAACCCCGCGCGCAAGUCAAAAUUUGAGGAGCAUAUGUACAAUACGUGUGCAAACAAAACCAUAAUUUUACUAGUAUUGAGGGAUUUUAGUUAUUUCUUCUAAAAAAUCUCUUGGGAAAUCGUAUUUUUGUAGUACAACAUAUAUAGAAAAUAAGUAUUACUCACAAAUAAACUGCCCUUUUCUUUAGUAUUCUUGGUUUUUGUUAUUAUUUUAUUUAAUCUUAAGAUUUAUAUAUGCAUAAAAAAGUAAUUUAGUAUCUUCAAAUAUGGAAACGUGGUCUUAGGAAUAGGGCUCAUAUUUUAUUCUUGAGUAUGCCUAGUGGAAAAAUACUAUCUAAAAAACUGCAAAGAAAUUUAAUACCUAAGCCUUCGAUCCACUCUACUUUUUGUAUACUAGUUUACCUGCAAUCCACUGGCUUGCAUAUUAUAUUUCAUCAUAUGGAAAUGUCUGAGAUUGUGAACGGAAGCAAUUUCAUCUGUCUGCAACCCUGCAUAGCAUGUGACACCCAGAGCUCCUGACACAAGCGCGUGAGCACCUUCUCCGACAUGCGCACAUGAGGACCGCAUGCACCCAUAUUAUACAUAGUUUAUUAUAUUUUUGGCUGGGAUAUGAUAAUCAUUAAUUAUUACUUGUAAAGAUUGGAAACGUUACAAACGAUUGUAGAAAAAAUGCGAGUCACCAGGAAGGUAGGUAGUAGAGCAUGCCGUCAGUGUCUUUCCUGUGACCUGUGUUCGUGGUGCACAUGGCAGAAUGCACAGUCUAUACAUAGGAACCAGAAGUUGGCUUCGAAACCAAAUCACUCAUUAGUCCUUCAGUACUGCAGUGAACGCUAUCUAGCUAGCUAAUUUCCCCUUGAAAUCAGUUUUCUUGCGUGGCCAUGGGUAGCCUUCCACUUGAAGCCAUGAUGCCACUGAACCCCGAUUCAUUCGCUGGGGAGUCCAGUGCCGUGGUCGACUUCCUCGCCGACUACUACCGCAACGUCGAUAAGUAUCCGGUCAUGGCCAACACCCAGCCAGGGACCAUCCGUAAGCUUCUUCCGGAGGCAGCCCCGGAGUUGGGCGACUCCCUGGAUCGCAUACUGGAUGAUGUGCAGCGGGAUAUCCUCCCCGGCCUCACACAUUGGCAGAGCCCUAGCUUCUUUGCCUAUUUCCCGGCGAAUGCAAGCACCGCAGGGUUCGCCGGGGAGAUGUUGUCGGCUGGUCUCAACGUCGUCCCGUUCGUCUGGACGGCGUCACCGGUGGCCACUGAGCUGGAGCAGGUCGUGGUUGACUGGAUGGCUAGCCUCCUCGGCCUACCGGAGCGCUUCCACUUCAAGGGAGGAGGAGGCGGUGUCCUGCAUGGGAGCACGUGCGAGGCGGUGGUGUGCACUCUCGCUGCCGCGCGCGACCGUGCACUCAGCAAGCUCGGACAUGAGGGCAUCCUCAAGCUUGUCGUGUAUGCCUCGGACCAGACCCACGCAACCUUCCAGAAGGGCGCGAGCAUCGUCGGCAUCCCUCCAGCAAACUUCCGCAUCCUGCGGACUUCGGCAAACUCGGGAUACGGCCUGACCGCCAGCAUCGUCCAAAGAGCAAUCGAGGAAGACGUCGCCCGCGGGCUGGUUCCCCUUUACCUCUGCGCCACCGUCGGCACUACUGGUCUGGGGCCAUUGACCGAGUGCGCGAGCUCGGCCAUGUUGCCCGGCGUUAUGGUAAUUCAUUCAACCUCCCUCUCUUAUACGCUAAUCACCCAUACGGUGACACUAAAUACGUAGAAAUGGAAUGCGCUAUGCGGUCACAAGUCACGAUUCAUGCUCACUUAACAAUCAACAAUCAGUUCCUAUAACCAUCUGACAAGAAUACAUGUUUUACAGGAACCUGGCUGCACAUCGACGCAGCCUACGCCGGAAGCGCAGCCAUUUGCCCGGAGUUCCAAGGUCACCUCGACGGCGCCGAGCUCGCGGACUCGGUGAGCAUGAACCCACAUAAGUGGUUCCUCACCAACAUGGACUGCUGCUGCCUCUGGGUGGCGAACCCUACCACCAUGACCGACGCACUGUCCACUGACCCGGAGUACCUCAAGAAUGUCGGCACCGCGUCUAAGAUGGCGGAAACGGUCGACUACAAGGACUGGCAGAUCGCGCUGUCACGCCGCUUCCGUGCCAUCAAACUCUGGGUGGUGCUACGGCGCUAUGGAGCGGCGGGAAUGCGCGCGCACAUACGGAGGCACAUCCAGAUGGCAGAGUGGUUCGAGCACGUCGUGGCGGCGGACGAGCGGUUUGAGGUCGUGGUGCCAAGGAACUUCUCCUUGGUGUGCUUCCGCCUCCGCCCGCGGUUCAUGGCGGAUAAAGCUGUGGAGGCCCUCAACCGCGACCUCCUCGCAGCGGUGAAUGCAAGCGGCCGGGCGUUCAUGACGCACUUCGUCGUGGACGACAAGUUUGUGAUCCGCCUAGCCGCUGGUGGGUCAAUGACAGAGAUGCGGCACGUCCGGGCCGCGUGGGAGCUUCUCAAGGAGAAGGCCAACGACUUGAUCGCCACCGGUUGUUAGUUAUUGCUCAUUGCUAGUGCUAUACCAUGCAUGGCCAGCAACAGAAGCUGAGCAUUCUAUUAUUGCUUCCAUUCGUAGUUAGAGCACACCAUGAAUGCAAUAGUCAAUCCAUCUGAACCAUGAACAUUCACUAUGACCAUGUAUGCGACACAAUAUACAUAAGUGCUAGUGCCGAUAUUGGAUUCUAUUGCUGGAGAAGCGGCUGCUUCUACGGAGCAGGCCGAUUGAAUUUUAAGUAUGUUAUGAUACUUGUAAAAAAUCGAUGCUAGGCAUGGAUUCCUGGAAGGGGCCCGUCACAACUCACAAUGGAAGGGACCCGUCAUAACCAAGCUCGUUAAUACAAAAGAAACAUCAGGCGAAACAAAUGGACGCUAAGCCACACACCUGGACAAAUUUUACCCGAAAUUUGCAACACGUCAAGAAUAUGCUUAUCACUCAACCGUCUCACAUCUCUUUUGUUUAAGGAAACCAGGCUCGUUACUACAAAAUGAACACCAAGAUGAUAGAGCUCUUUUACGAUACACAAUACUACUACUUAGUAGUAUAUAGUAUAUAUAUAAGAUCUAACUGUUCAUUAUUAUGGAUAAUUUAGUAAUUAUUACAAUGUAAAAAGUGAUAUUUCAAAUAGAAUGGUCUUUUAAACUUUCUGCUAGUAUCAAAAAUAAAAUUAUAGUGGUGCCAUUUGUGUUUUCUUACCAUGAUACCCUUAUACUACCUAUACUACUCGUGUAUACUACCCAUACCACAGGCGUAGGUUUCAGUAGUAUGUAAUUAAUCUUGACCGUCGGAUAUGUUUAUACUAGUCAUUUUCGAACACAAGUAUAGUCUAGUGUUGUAUUUCGUAAAAGAGCUCAUAUAAUAUGUUAUAAAACUUAUUUGUGAAAGCUAAAGGCAGCAACUGGGGAUAAAUUCCAGAAUAGGUAAGAACAGAAAUUUAAAAGGGCAAAAUUUGUUGAUGCAUGGAAAUGCAUAGAAUACUUAUUGGAGCCAAGGCUCUUUUAGGUCCAUGGGCUAUUUAUGCCCCCUCCACUCGCCCAUUCAGAGUUGCUGGAGUGUCCAUACAUCUAUUGAAGACCAAGGCUCAUCAAGUGACCAAUGGAGAAACCACACAUCCACCGUGAUAAUUUUAGAGCAUCCACGUGACGAUAUUCAAUGCGCUCAAAUGGUGGUAUUCAACUUAGAAAAAAUAGUAGCACCAGAAGAUCUGAGAGUCAUCGGAGCAACCAUCGAAGCAAUUGGUACAACUGAGAAGUAAGCUUGAGUUGCAGCAAGCACCAGAUGAUCCGACGGGGUCCUUUUCACAAGCGUCGGAGCAAUUUGUAAAGAAGACGGAGAAAGACCUAUAGCACCAGAUAUUCCGAUGGCUAGAAGAUGAAGGAAUCGGACCAAGCAUAUUUACUUUGAAAACGUCAAGAGAGUUUUUAGGAAAAACUCCUUCAGCACCGGAUGAUCCGACGUUACGUUGGAUGAAUUUAGGUAGAGGUCCAACGGCUAUAUACGUCAGCAGGGGGCGUGUCACACCCGAUUUUAAGGACAAAACCGAGUGCUUUCAAUACAUGUGCGCCAGGAACAAGUUACACACAUGUACAACAUAAGUGAAUAACAAAGGCAGUGCCAAAGUGAAUAAAGAGAGUAUUAAACUUUAUUACAUGACGGAAAGUCUUAAUAAAACACAAGCCUAACUUAUUACGCAGCGGAUUCCGAAGACGACGAUGACACCACAGGCUGCUGACUGAAGAACCGUAUGCCUAGAACUCCUCAAACUCGUGCAGGUACUCCUCUAGAUUGUCUUGGUCUGAACAACGGUUUUGCAAGGGUGAGUACACUCAUGGUUGGUACUCAACAAGUCAUGGGGAAUAGUGUAGUGUAAGGCCAACCAAGGUAUAGCUAAAGCUAAAUAGCAUCAGCUUUUAAUUAGCUUGGUCAAAUUUUAUUAGCAAUUAACUAAGUAUAAAUUUAUACCACCCCAAAUUAAACAUGAACAUAAAUAAAGUAAACAAAAUAUGCGCGGUAUGACAACAAUUUAAGUCCAUCUUUCGUUAGUAUUAUCAUGUGAGGGUCCAGGCCGCUCUUAACCGUGAGCACGGCUGAUCGAUCAGUUUUACACUCUGCAGAGGUCGCACAUCUUUACCCACAAGUCGCGUAAAAGUUCAAAAGAACUUUGGACCCAACCAUGCGGUGUUUGCAAGGCACCAUACCACACUUCCGAGGUGUGAUUGCAUAGGGACGCUACGAGGCCUUUACAAAGAUUCAUUAGUCAGUGGUAACCCGCUAAGGUUUCGGUGUCUGGCGUGCACAACCUAUCUAUUGGGGGAAAAUAUUAACGACCUCCUAAUGCCGCUUAAAGCAACAGUCAUGAAAGCCCAGGCCCACUAAGGUAACGAAAUUGCUGUCGGCCCAACAUGGAAGGGAGAGGCCACGUUCCGCCUCGCCCGACCCGGGGUCCCGGGGUCCGACGCCCCCGACUCCUUGAAGACUAAACUCCGCCUCGCCUGACCUUGGGCGCGGGGGUCGGACUCGCUCGGGUCCACAAGACGAAUAUCCGCAUCGGGCGCGGACUGGAGUAUCAGGAUGAUGAUCUCGUGGGUCCCCCUAUCGACCUCGCCAUAAAUGCUUCGCGACCCUGUCAGGACGAAAGGGAGUGGCGCCCCCAACGCAACCAGUCCCGAAUACCGGUGCGCGGCCGUGCGGCGCGGGCUGCAGUGGCCACGGCUCCUUCUGAUUCGCCACAAGGUACUCAUGAGCCGCGCCGAACGACACAGGAGGGCGCAUCGCUUGCUCUCGCGCCCCGUGCUCCCAACGGCAGUGUCAGGGACGCGACGUGCGGGUCUUGCGGUAAUUGGCGGGGCAGCAGAAUCGGACCUCCUCCCUGGCGGGCACGGAUGCCGAGGCUGAGGCUCAUCAUCACGCUCAACGGCGAUGGCGACCAGGGAGAUCAUUGACAAGAUUUGGAAGGAAUCACCCUCCCUCGCCGGACGCGCUGAUAGGGACCGGGGGCCGGAACGAGAGCGGCGGCCUCGGGACCCUCCCCUUGUAUCAUUUUACUACUUGGCUUAUCCUUUCUACCUCUUCUCUAGAUGCCCGGCUCGACUGUAACCUCGAGCUCCCUCUUGUGAUAUAAAAGGAGGACCCGGGAUCCUGGGACGGGGGACUCAGAAUUUUUCCCUCAAGCCAACAGUACACUCUCGCACGCCCUUAGAGCACCAGCGCACUCAAGAGACCUGGGAUCAGUUCCCUCUCUCACCCAUCUGUAACCCCUACUAUAGAACCCCGCGUGGGUAAUACGAGCAGCCUCGAUACUGGACGUAGGCCUUCCUUUGCCCAAACCAAUCUAACCCCGUGUCUCCAACACUAGUCUAAGUCUUGAUCCGCAAAUCUUGACAACGACAGUUGGCGCACCAGGUAGGGGACCUUUGCGCGUACGUCUCCGGCUUCAGAUGGCCAACCACGACAUCAGCUACGCUCCGGGCUCCCUGAUCCAUUUCGGGAGUCUAGACUUCCUCACCACCGGGGAGGGGAUCGAGCUGAUCCCUCUCCUCGUCUUGCCUGCUCGUCCCGCCAUCCCGGGCCCCGGCGCCGGGACAGCGGCGAGCGGCCAGGCGCGCGCCAGAGGGUCCUUCCCAGGUGGUUGGCUCUUCGGGCUGCGCAAUGCCGCGGUGACUUACGGUCGCCUCCUGACGCAGUCCAUGACCGUGUCACCCGCGAGCAACAAGCUCGCAGGCGUGGCGAGGACGAUCUCCGACGCCGGCUCCAGCAACGGGAGCAGCCACCCCUCGCGUGAGUGCUUCUUGGCCGACGUGCACUCCGAGGGGUCCAACGACAACGGCGCCGAGGGGAGACAGAGGACUCCCCCCCCCGCGCGCCGCGGCUAUGACCGGGGCCUUACCAAGGGCCCUGGAGCACUUUCGGCAGCCGGAGGCGCGCGCGGCGUCCCGCCAGGAGGUCGGGCGCCCCCGCCACGAAGGCGGAGCGCGACAGCGGGCGCGCGACGUCCAACAGCGUAUCUGCGCGGACGAAGAGCGCCCUCAGCUCUUUGCUCAUGCCAGCCAGAACGUCGCAGCCGUGGCGGCCCUACUCUGGCAACUCCCCGAGCCGGCAAUGCCCGAGGAGCGACGGGCGCGCCAAGAGAUGCGCGACUUGCUCGAAUGCGCCGCCGUCCAGCAGGCGGAAAGUUCCGCGUCCCGACGACGCGGACAAAACGCCAGCAGGGCGGCGCCCGAUGCGCCCCCGGAGAGACGGGGGGAGUCUGUCCACCAGCCUCCUCCCAGGGCAAACCAGGCUGCGUCCACCCAGCGGACACCACCACCCGUGGGAGGCGGGGCUCGAUCCGUUCAUCGACGCGUCGGCCCUGUCCGCGACGCCCGCGACACCCUGGACGCGCGGAGGCGCUCCCGCGCGGAUAGGGAGGACGGGGUAGAUCGCGGCUACCACGUCCACCACGGCGGGCACUACGACAGCGAGGAAGACCGCAGCCCGAGCCCCGGCCCGGCGGGGCCACGGGCCUCUUCCGCGCGCAUCCUGAACGCGACUUUUCCGCCGCGCUUCAGGCAACCGACGAAUGUAGCCAAAUACUCGGGGGAGACAAACCCUGGGGUUUGGAUCAGCGAUUACCGGCUCGCAUGCCUAGCCGGCCGGACGGACGAUGAUCUGUUCAUCAUCCGCAACCUACCACUCUUCCUGGCCGACUCGGCACGAGCCUGGCUGGAACAUAUCCCUUCGGGACGGAUCCGCUGCUGGAAUGACCUGAAGGAGGUAUUUAUAGGAAACUUCCAGGGCACGUACACGUGCCCCGGUAACUCCUGGGACCUCCGGAGCUGUCGCCAGGGAUCAGACGAGUCCCUCUGGGACUACAUCCGGCGCUUCUCGAGGAAGCGCACUGAGCUCUCCAACGUCGCGGAUGCUGACGUCAUAGGGGCCUUCCUAGCGGGAACCUCCUGCCGGCCCCUCGUCCACUAGCUAGGGCGCCGAGGCUCGCGAACCACGGAGGAGCUCCUCAACAUUGCCACCAGCUACGCCUCGGGCGAAGAGGCCGUUGGAGCGAUCUUCGACCGCUCCAAAGGUAAGGCAAAGCGGGAGGAGGAUGCCGAUGAGGGCACCUCCAACCGCCAGCAGAAGAAGAAGGGCAAGCAGCGGCGCGAGGCCCCCCUCGUAGCUGCUGUCGAGCGCAAGCGAGGACAGCCACCCCCGGAGGGCACUCCUGGCUUCUUCGACAAGCUGCUUAAGGGACCGUGCCCGAACCACGAGUUCCCCGCGAAACACGCCUACAAGGACUGCAACCUCAUGAAGAGGUACUUCGUAGGCAACCCAGUGAAGGGCGACCGGAAGCGGAAGCCUAAUGAGGAGAAGAAGGGCGACGACGAGAAGGAAGAUGGCUUCCCCAAGGUGGACGGCUGCUUCAUGAUCUUCGGCGGCCCGACGGCGUACGACUCCAAGCGACAUCAGAAGCUGGAGCGCCGAGAGGUUUACGCGGCCGAGCCGGCAACGCCGGCCUUCCUCGACUGGUCAGGAUCGGCCAUCACCUUCGACCGGUCCGACCACCCGGGAUGCGUCCGGCAUCCAGGAUGCUACCCCCUUGUCGUCGACCCCAUCGUCGGCAGGACGCGCCUCACCAAGGUGCUCAUGGAUGGGGGCAGCGGCCUCAACAUCCUCUACGCCGAGACCCUCGACGCUAUGGGGAUUGACCGCUCCCGCCUCCGCCCCAGCAAGGCACCGUUCCACGGCGUCGUGCCAGGAAAACAGGCGAUGCCCCUUGGGCAAAUCUACUUGCCCGUCACUUUCGGGACCCCUUCCAACUACAGGAAGGAGGUCCUCACCUUUGAAGUGGUGGGGUUCCGCGGAACCUAUCACGCCAUCCUGGGGCGACCAUGCUAUGCAAAGUUCAUGGCCAUCCCCAACUAUACCUACCUCAAGCUCAAGCUGCCGAGGCCCAACGGGGUCAUCACCGUUGGCACGUCUUUCCAAAAGGUGUAUGAGUGCGACGUGGAGUGCUGCGAGUACGCCGCAGCCAUCAUCUUCACGGGGGAUCUGGUGGUCCAGCUCGCGGAGGGCGCCGAGGACCAGCCCGACUCCAAGCAGUUGACCACCUCCUUCGAGGCCACUGAAGGCGUCAAGGAGGUCCUCCUCGACCCCAGCAGCUCCGACGGCAAGACCGUGCGGAUCGGUGCUACCCUAUCUCCCAAAUAGGAAAGCGCGCUCGCUCGGCUUCCUCCGCGCGACCAGCGACGUCUUCGCGUGGAAGCCCUCGGACAUGCCCGGCAUUCCGAGAGAAGUCGCCGAGCACUCCUUGAACAUCAAGGCUGGCUCCAAGCCAGUGAAGCAAGGACUGCGCCGCUUUGACGAGGAGAGGCGCAAGGCCAUCGGCGAGGAGCUCCAGAAGCUUUUGACGGCCGGAUUCAUCAAGGAAGUGUAGCACCCCGAGUGGCUAGCUAACCCUGUUCUUGUAUGAAAAAAGAAUGGGAAAUGGAGGAUGUGUGUUGAUUAUACCGGUCUCAACAAAGCGUGCCCAAAGGAUCCAUUUCCUUUGCCACGCAUAGAUCAGAUAGUCGUCUCGACCGCCGGGUGCGAAACCCUUAGCUUCCUUGACGCGUAUUCUAGCUACCAUUAGAUCGCGAUGAAAGAAUCCGACCAGCUCGCCACCUCUUUCAUCACCCCCUUCGGCCCCUACUGCUACGUUAAGAUGCCAUUCGGCCUCAAAAACACGGGGGCUACAUUCCAGUGAUGCAUGCUGAAGUGCUUCGGGGACCUCAUCGGGCAGACGGUUGAGGCUUACGUUGACGAUAUCGUGGUCAAAUCCAAGAGGGGCCACCAGCUUGUCCCUGACCUCGAACUAGCCUUCGAAAGGUUGAGGGAUAAGCGUAUUAAGCUCAAUCCCGAAAAAUGCAUUUUCGGAGUUCCAAGGGGCAUGCUGCUAGGCUUCAUCGUCUCCGUGCGGGGCAUCGAAGCCAAUCCGGAGAAGAUAGCAGCCAUCAGCGACAUGGGGCUAAUCCGAAACAUGAAGGGAGUCCAGCGCGUCAUGGGAUGCUUAGCGGCCCUGAGCCGCUUCAUCUCGCGCCUUGGCGAACGGGGGCUUCCUCUCUAUCGACUCCUGAAGAAGACAGACCGCUUCGAAUGGACCGACGAGGCCCAGGAGGCACUUGACAAAGGACCUCCUAACGAAGGCCCCGGUCCUGGUCCUGACGACCGAUAGCGAGGCCCUCCUGCUCUACAUCGCGGCGACCACCAGGUGGUUAGCACGGCCUUAGUGGUGGAACGGGAAGAGGAGGGACACGCUCUCAAGGUACAACGCCCGGUGUAUUUCGUCAGCGAAGUCCUGUCCGAGUCCAAGGCGCGUUACCCGCAGAUCCAGAAGCUCAUCUACGCCGUCCUCAUCACGAAGAGGAAGCUGCGCCACUACUUCACCUCCCACCCGGUAACGGUUGUUUCGUCAUUCCCACUAGGCGAAGUAAUCCGGAACUAGGACGCCACGGGACGGAUCGCGAAAUGGGCGCUCAAGCUCAUGGACCAGGGUAUCACCUAUGCCUCCCGCACCGCCAUCAAGUCCCAUGUACUUGCCGAUUUCAUAGCAGAGUGGACGGAGAUCCAAAUGCCAUCAGCGCCGGAGAAGCAGGAGUACUGGACAAUGUACUUCGAUGGAUCGUUGAUGAGGGCCCAUCCCGGAGCAGGCCUCGUCUUCGUCUCUCCUCUAGGCGUGCGCAUCAGGUACAUGAUCCGCCUCCACUUUCCAGCAUCCAACAAUGUCGUCGAGUACGAGGCCCUCCUCAACGGGCUUCGCAUCGCCAUCGAGCUGGGCAUCCACCGGCUAGACAUCCGGGGCGACUCCCAGCUAGUCGUCGAACAAGUCAUGAAGGAGUGGAGCUGCCACGACCCCAAGAUGGCAGCCUACUGCAACGAGGUUCGCAAGCUUGAAGACAAGUUCGACGGGCUGGAGCUCAACCACAUCGCAAGGCGCUUCAACGAAGCUGCCGACGAGCUGGCGAAGGCAGCAUCCGGCCGAAUGCCCGUCCCCGACAGUGUCUUCAUCAGUGACCAGUUCAAGGCUUCGAUCCAUUACCCAAAACCGGCGGGGGUUGGCGAAGCACUACCGGCCCCGGGAUCAGGCCCCGACCUAGGAGAGGUUGGCAGCGCGCCACCCGUCUCAAGCCCUGACGCCAGCCCUGACGGGGUAGGCGUCGCUUCAUCUGACUCAGCCCCGGAAGUCGAUCCCUCCGGCCCCUUGGUCAUGGAAAUCGCGUCGGACCCCGCGGAGGGGCCCGACCCCCCGGCCGACUGGAGAGCCCCAUACCUCGACUAUCUCGUCCGCGACACGCUCCCGGCGAACAAAAUGGAGGCCCGUAGGAUCGCGCGUCGUGCCAAAUCCUUCACCAUUAUCGAUUAGGAGCUCUACAAGAGAAGCCACACCGGCAUCCUCCAGCGCUGCAUCCUGAUCGAAUAGGGAAGGGCACUGAUCCAGGACAUCCACGCCGGAGCCUGCGGCCACCACGCUGCGCCAAGGACCCUCGUCGGCAACGCCUUCCGGCAAGGCUUCUACUGGCCGACGGCGGUCGCCGACGCUACCCAAGUAGUCCGUACCUGUGAGGGGUGCCAGUUCUUUGCGCGCCAAACCCACCUGCCCGCGCAGGCGCUCCAGACCAUCCCCAUCACAUGGCCGUUCGUGGUCUGGGGGCUGGAUCUCGUCGGGCCCUUCAAGAAAGCGCCCGGGGGCUUCACCCACCUACUUGUCGCCGUCGACAAGUUCUCUAAGUGGAUCGAAGCAAGACCGGUGGUGCAAAUCAAGUCCGAGCAGGCGGUACAGUUCUUCACCGACAUCAUCUACCGCUUCGGAAUCCCCAACUCCAUCAUCACCGACAACGGCACGCAGUUCACCGGGAAGAAAUUCCUCCAGUUCUGCGAUGACCACCACAUCCGAGUGGACUGGUCGGCCGUGGCACACCCCCGCACGAACGGGCAGGUCGAGCAAGCCAACGGCAUGAUACUCCACAAGCUCAAGCCACGGAUCUUCGACCGCCUGAAAAAGUUUGGCGGACGGUGGGUCGCCGAGCUUCCCGCGGUCCUUUGGAGCCUGAGGACAACCCCCAGUCGGGCGACUGGCUUCACCCCGUUCUUUAUGGUCUACGGGUCCGAGGCCAUCUUGCCGACCGACCUGGAAUACGGAUCGCCGAGGGUCAAAGCGUACAACGAACAAGGGAACCAGGCAUCGCUCGAAGACGCACAAGAUCAGCUCGACGAGGCACGCGACGUGGCCCUGCUGGACUCGGCUAAGUACCAGCAGGCCCUACGGCGUUACCACAGCCGCAAGGUGCAAGGCCGAGCCUUUAACGUAGGCGACCUGGUGCUCCGCCUCGUCUAGGAUAACAGGGGUCGGCACAAGCUAACUCCCCCGUGGGAAGGUCCCUUCAUCGUCGCGCAAGUACUACGGCCAGGCACCUACAAGCUAGCGACCCCCGACGGGCAGAUCUUCGGCAAUGCUUGGAACAUAGAACAGCUAAGGCACUUUUACCCCUAGUUUUCAUUUCCAAGUUCUGUACGUAGACUCGUCUAUAAAUUUCGAAGUUUUCUUUUUGCGGAACAAGAAAUUUCGAACCAGUUUUGUUUAAGAUUUUCCCGUUGAGCUCAGGAAUAUCCAACCCUAGCUUCGCUCCAGGGUCGCAUAUCCCUCGAGGGCUAUCAGGGGCUCCGGUGCAAGCCACUUGGCACCAUCUGAAAAACGUUUUUUCUUCCGAACCGAGCCCCCCUUUCUGAACUUUUGGGAACAAAAAGGAGAGAGUGCGCAAACGGUGUUCAGGCAAGAUUGAUUGGACUGCGAAAAACCUACGUCCCAGCGGCUACGGUACCUUCGCUCAUCAAAGCUUACUGACAUGCCCGACAACGCACUCUAGACUUUCCAAGUCCAAAAAAAAGAAAGGGGAUUGGAAACUUUUGCACGACAGGUUAUAGGAAAGGCCUCUAUGGCCAUCUCAAAACAAGUCUGAAACUAAUGUAUUUACAUCUAGGGCGCCAGCCCGACACAGUUAGCUCGCCGGGGGAUCUUCGGGAGGGACGGCCUCAUCCUCCAGGAGCUUCGCCAAGGCCUCCGCCGGGGUAAACACCAACGCGUCGAUCUCGUCCAGCUCAGCCUCGGAGUAGCCGGCGGCGUACCCCCGCUCAUCCCGGCGAAGUUGAUGCCAGAGUAGUGGGAGCCGAAGACCCCGAAGGCUCGCCUCACGCCAGUGUGGAGCGCCUCCAGGGCGAUCUCGUGGGCUCGGCGGUAGGUCCCGAGGACACGAGUCGCCAGCGAGCUCGUCUCCUCCUCGUGGACCACGCUGAGCCCGUCACAGACGACGCGGACCGCAUCCUGCAGGUUGCCGUGCUCAGCACGUUUCGUGUCGAGCACCUCCCUCAGUAGGGUGAGCUCGCUUGCAAGGAUCACCCUGAAGAACCCGCUAAAUCGAAAAUCACCGCAACAUCACAAAGACAAAGAAAUGAACAAAGUCUUACCCUCGGACUGGGCCUUCAGAUGGCGCUCCCGGUCGAUCCCCUGGGCCACGGAGGCCUGAAGCUCCCGCGCUUGCGCUUGAAGCUGACCAACCUCCGCCCCAAGGUCGGCCGCCGCCUUCUUGGCCUCCUACUUCCGGACCUUCUCGGCGUCCCGGUCCUGCCAAGCCUUUUGCCGCUCGCGCCGGAUGCGCUCGACGGUCUUCUGGAGGGCUUCAUGCUCCCCCUUCACCCGUGCGAGCUCCUCGGCGUCGUGGCGGGCCUUUUCGGCAGCGGCCUGGAACUCCUCACGGUCGAGGCGGGCCUUGUCGAUGACGGCUUGGAGUUUGGCUUCCGACCACCGCACCUCCUCAUGCGCCGCCUGCUCGCGCCUCAGCAGGUUGUUAAUGGCCCCCUGGGCGGCGGCAACCUGCAUGGUUAGGUCCCUGGUUCGCUCCCUCUCCAAGUUGAAGCGCUCCCAGAGCCCCCGCUCCAGCCGGAGGAAAUCAGAUUUCCCCCGACUGCACUCUUGGAGAGCCUACAAAGCAAUACACCAUCAGGGGCAAGGCAACGGGAAAGGGACAAUCACCGACAGAAGGGGCAACGUACCUGGCUACCAGGGAGGACGACGUUGUCCAACUACCCCAACACCGAGGACAGAGCCGCGCGGGCAUUGGUGAGGCUGCCCUGCACCGCUUGCCACUUGCGCUACUCCGCGGCAUCGUCCAGGGUAAAGAGGUGCCUCGGCGGGUCCUCACGAGACGUCCAACGCAGGACAGAGCCCCUCCACGCCCUGGGGAUGGAGGUGGCCAAAGCCAAAGUGGGAGCCGACCCGGAAGCCGCCGGGUUCGCCGACGGUCCUGGCGCCUUCGCAUCUGUCGCUGUCAGGGCCACCGUGGACCCGCUCGAUGGCGCCACCGCCUCCGACACAGGCGGCGGGACAAGUACCCCCGCGGCCAUCUUGCCCUCCGCCGCAACCGACGAGGCAAGCUCCUCCGCCCCUGCCGGAGCCCCUCGAGCGGGCACCUCCGCCUCCGCCGCCGGCGCCGCCUCUGCCGGGACCUCCGGGGCGGAGGUCCCCGCCUGCGUCACCGACGCCUCCUCCGCCGUGGCCGCGGAGGCCGGCACUCCCUCCUCUGUCGCCGCCGCCGAUCCCGUCGCGGCUGCUGGGACACCCGUCCCUGCUCGCGUCACCGCCGUCCCCUCCGCCUCAUCGGCGUCGAGGUCGAUCACCUCCCUGGCCUGAGGGCCCUGGGGAACGAUGCUCUGCACCGAAGGGUAGACCAGGGAAGCGGAAGGCGGAACGGGGUCCACGCCCUCUCCCGCGCCCGAUGGUGCCGCCACUCCACCGGUCGCCGUCACGGGGGCCGCUUCCGCGGCAGGAUCCGCGACCUCACCGGGGACCCCGCCGCUCGCCGCGGGCGGGACCGCGGUCCGCCCCGCAGAGGCGGACGACACCCGCAGUGCCUUUUUGGGUGCCAGCUGCAGGACGAGGCCACGGGGGGCGGCGCUGUGGAACAACAAAUAAAUGUUAGCCGAAACGAACGCAAGGUAGGGAAAGGAGCAAGGUUCACGAGGAAAUCCAACUUACGUUCCUCCGGAGCAAGGACGGCACGCGCGCUUCGCCUCAGAGCCGGACGCCGAACCCGGGGCAUCCGGCAGCGGUCGCUUGUCGCCACUCCUCUGCUCUUGGGUCUCAGGCGCGACGGCAGGGGUGGGCUCCGUGGACCUCCUGGGAGCGCUCCGCGCUGACUCCUGGGGGGUGCCCCGCGCCGGCUCCUGGGCGACGGCGGGGGUGGGCUCCGUGGACCUUCGGGAAGCGCUCCGCACGGACUCCUGGGGGGCGCCCCGCGCCGGCUCUGGGGCGACGGCAGGGGUGGGCUCUGAAGACCUCCAGGGAGCGCUCCGCGCCGACUCCUGAGGAGCGCCCCGCACCGGCUCCUGGGGGGCGCCCCGCGCCGACCCCUGGGGCAUGACACCGGAACCUUGCGGAACUAAGCCCAGGGCAGACGAUCGCUCCACCUCAUCCCUCACGGCUGUUUGCGGGCGCGCCUCCCGGAUUACGAGCGCACCCGACCGAGGGGAUAAGACCAGCUCUUCCUCCUCCUCAUCAUCAUCCUCAUCUUCCUCCUCGUCAUCAUCAUCAUCAUCGUCAUCGUUGUCCGACACGACCUGCCCUCUCCGCCGCCGUUGGAACUCCUUGGCGGCCUUCUUCUUCUUUUUCGCCGUCUCCUUGUCCUUACAGCGCUUCUGCUCUUCGGCAAGGAGACGGUUUUGCGUCCGCUGAUCGGCAUCCUCCGGCACCGGCGGGUGCGAGUCCACGACCCGGGUCAGCAUGCCCUGCAAACACAAAAUGGCCCCGCAUCAGAGCGAUGACCAAGAGACACGAAAAAAGAAGGUCGGCGCCCCAAUCCCUUACCAGGUCGACGAAGCCCUCGUCCGGGCGCAUCGGCGGGUGCCCGGGCAUCGGGUAGUCAGCGUCCUUGUCCUCCAACGCCUCCCGACUCCGCUGUCGGAUCUCGAAGGCGGCGAGCGCGCCUGCCGCCAGGACGGUGCCCUCGGUCGGCGCACCCGGAGUCAUGGCGGCGAGCGAACAAACCCGGAGCAUCAGCGGCGCCACCCGCCGGGCAUGGUACGCCCUAAUGACCCCGGCGCCGGUAAGCCCUCUCCUCUUCAAUUGCUCGAUGGCCUGCAGCAGGUCGAGGAUCCGCUUCUUCUCCUUCUCAACCGGUCCGUACGACCACACCUCCGGCGCCACGUCGAUGGUGCGGCCGGUGAACCCCGGCAGGGGGGAGUUCGAGUAGUUCUUCACAUAGAACCACUGGUUGUGCCACCCCUUGUGGGACGCCGAGGUCUUCAUCGCCAUGUACUCCUUGGAGCGAGUAUGGUGGAGGUGAAUUCCGACGCGCCCGAUCGGCACCGGGGGCGACCGCUGCUGGUUCCCCCUCCUCUCCGUCUUCUGGUACAGGCUCACCGAGAAGAAGUACUUCCACAGCGAGAAGUUGGGCUCGAUGCCCAGGAACCCCUCGCACAGUGCGACAAAUGCCGUAAUGUGCUGGAUCCCGUUCGGGUUGAGGUGCUGAAGCUCAAGCCCGUAGUAGUGGAGGAGCCCGCAAAAGAAGCGGCUCGGCGGAGUUGCGACCCCCCGCUCGUGGAAGUGAGCGAAGGAGACGACGUAGCCGGCGGGAGGCGUCAGCACAUGCUCCGACCCCGGCAGCUCCCACUCGCCCACCUCCGUCCUCUCGCAGAGGAGGCCUUUCCUCACCAGGCCUUCGGUGCGUGAGGAGUUGAAGUGAGAAAUCCCCCAGGAUCCCAUCGCCGGAGGAGGAAGGAACUUGACGGGGAUGGGAAGAAAGGGCGUAGCGCUGAAGCGGAGGAAGGUGAAGCGGGCGCGGAUGAGCUGAGGGCGAGUUCGGAGGGCAAAAAGACUUGAAAGCAGAAGGCGGGCGGAACCAGCGAGGCGGAGCCUUCAUUUUAUAGGGAAGGCGUGAAGGGAGCGGAACCGACGCCCUUGUCGCCAUAAAUGCGGCGCCCGGUACGCCCCCGUCACGCCCACUUUCUUUUCGAAAACCGCGCGCACGAUCGGCCGCAGAAACAUCAUCUCCUCCUCGAUUCGCGGGUCGGCACCCUCCAUAACUCCGCCUCCCGGAAGACGCGCACACGACGUCCCCCACGUUCGGCCCAGGACGUAGCAUCCGCCCCGAUUUGGCCCAAGGCCCACUGAAAGGUAAUAAGGGAUACGGGGCUGAAAACGCCCCUACGGCCCAUUACGAUCCAGAGGUUCGAAGGCUGGCCCGCUACGGGUUCAACAGCCGCCUCAGGAUGCCCACGAGCGAGGGGUGAGAAGGGACGGGUCCGCUAGCGACCAUAACCCAGGCGCGCGACGGCCCCAGGUGUCUCAAACUCACAUUCGAGUCCAGACCAGCAUCAAAGUUCAUGGUUUUUCCACGAGGAAAGGCAACGAGCCCCCGGAUCCGACCGAACGGACUCGGGAACUAUAUGAACCGGCCGGCUAGAGCCUGGGGUACGCCACCAGCUUGGCCCUAGCCGGACCCCCCUGAACGGGGACCGGGACUCCACUCGAACCGACCCGUUCGCAGCUCAACGAGCACCACGAUUCGUCCAACGAGGAUAGCGUGGCACGUCUCAUCCCCUCCGUCCCAGCGAACGGAUGCGUGAGGGGUAACGAUCAAAAGCCGAUCUAGCCUCCCGAUCGGUCUCCGGCAACGCGCGGGGGCUCGGGGGCUAGCAUCGCAACCAAUAACCACGCGUGUGGUCGCGAUUUGGAGACUCGAGGCGGUAGCGCCCCACGGAGCAAUGAGGAGUCUCGCCACGCUAAGUCAUCCACAGGACACCUCUCCUGAUCGAACUCCCUGGCCUAGUCGGACCAACAACACUCCCCAUCCCUGGUCAACUACGGCUUGCAGGGCAAGCAGAGAACCCUGGCGGGCGGCGAAAAAAGCCUCUGGAGGAACAUCUUUGCUCCACCACAGGCUCGGGGGCUACUGUUGGGGGAAAAUAUUAACGACCUCCUAAUGCCGCUUAAAGCAACAGUCACGGAAGCCCAGGCCCAUCUAAGGUAACGAAAUUGCCGUCGGCCCAACAUGGAAGGGAGAGGCCACGUUCCGCCUCGCCCGACCCGGGGUCCCGGGGUCGGACGCCCCCGACUCCUUGAAGACUAAACUCCGCCUCGCCCGACCCCGGGGACCGGGUUCGGGAGCGCCUGACCCCUACCACGGAAAUUCCACCUCGCCCGACCCUGGGCGCGGGGGUCGGACUCGCUCGGGUCCACAAGACGAAUAUCCGCCUCGGGCGCGGACUGGAGGAUCAGGAUGACGAUCUCGUGGGUCCCCCUAUCGACCUCACCAUAAAUGCGCCGCGGCCCUGUCAGGACGAAAGGGAGCAGCGCCCCCAAUGCAACCGGUCCCGAAUACCGGUGCGCGGCCGUGCGGCGCAGGCUGCAGUGGCCGCGGCUCCUUCUCAUUCGCCACAAGGUACUCAUGAGCCGCGCCGAACGACACAGGAGGGCGCAUCGCUUGCUCUCACGCCCCGUGCUCCCAAUGGCAGUGUCAGGGACGCGACGUGCGGGUCUUGCGGUAAUCGGCGGGGCAGCAGAAUCGGACCUCCUCCCCGGCGGGCACGGAUGCCGAGGCUGAGGCUCAUCAUCACGAUCGACAGCGACGGCGACCAGGGAGAUCAUCGACAAGAUUUGGAAGGAAUCACCCUCCCUCGCCGGACGCGCUGACAGGGACUGGGGGCCGGAACGAGAGCGGCGGCCUUGGGACCCUCCCCUUGUAUCAUUUUACUACUUGGCUUAUCCUUUCUACCUCUUCUCCGGACGCCCGGCUGGACUGUAACCCCGAGCUCCCUCUUGUGAUAUAAAAGGAGGACCGGGGAUCCUGGGAUGGGGGACUCAGACUUUUUCCCUCAAGCCAACAGUACACUCUCGCACGCCCUUAGAGGACCAGCGCACUCAAGAGACCUGGGAUCAGUUUCGUCUCUCGCCCAUCUGUAACCCCUACUACAGAACCCCACGUGGGUAAUACGAGCAGCCUCGAUACUGGACGUAGGGCUUCCUUUGCCCGAACCAGUCUAACCUCGUGUCUCCCACGCCACUAUCCGAAGCCUUACGUACAUAAAAUAAAAUUUACUAGUCUAAGUCUUGAUCCGCAAAUCUUGACAACGACACUAUCACAGGACAACGAUGCAACAACUCAGUCCCCCCUCUUGCCUCGUCACGAGUAAGGUUUCUAAUUAUUUAGCCAAGACCAGAGCCAAUUAGUCUUGUGGUAGCAUUGUUUUCCUGGGUGGCUCUCCAUGUUCCGAUUAAACGUUUGUGAUCUUGUAUUAAUGAAAGGUAUAACAGAAGUAAAGCAAGAUUAAUCAUUGAGUUCAAUUAAACCAACUUAUCCCAAGUAGGAACUAAGGAUGAGCUACCAAACAUAAAAGUACACCCGGUUGGUCAAGGCAAAGGUAAAUUAAAUCUAGGGAAACCUUAAUUGGGACCCAUCAAUUUAAUCUUAACAAGGGCAUAGCAUAAUUGUUGAGUACGAGAAAGUAAAAGUGUAUAGGACUGACAAGUAGUGAUCAAGGACACGACUUGACUUCUUGGCCUUGCUCUUGCUGUUCGUACUCCUCGAAGGCUUGAUCUUCAAAUCCCCCGAAUUGUUGAACGUCUAUACGCGUCACAUGAGCACAUACAAGCAAACAAGGGCACAAAGUAAGAAAACAGUACACAAAUCACAACUAAACAGAGAAAACAAGCUUGAAAAAUUAAUCGACACUUUAAAACAAACACGUGGAUAUAAAGAACGCGAAAAACGAAGUUAAGAUGCAAAAGAUAUGAUUAAAACAAGAUCCAGGGGCUUUUCUGCGAGAAAAACAAAACUUCUAGGGUCGAACUGCGAAAAACCGAGGGCUUAUACAUGAUUAUGCAUAUAAACCGAAGGUUUAACAUGCAAAAAUGCAACUUAGGAUGGCGGGUUGAUUUAGAGAAACUCAGGGUCUAAACCGAAAGAAAGCAGGACCAAAACACAAUUAUUUUUGAACUAGAUUGGACUGCGGGUUGAUUUGCGGAAAAGGUAAGGGCUUCAGUGUAAAAGAGGCACGGUGCGACGCGAUUGAGUACACGAUCUGGUUGACUCGCUGCGGGCCGUCGGAUUUGGAUCCGACGGUCUCGGUCAUCGGCGACACCGAAGCAACGGCGGACCAGGCGGCGGGCGGCGACGAGCGGCGGCGGUUCGCCGGAAUUAGCCGAUACGGCGCUACAGGGCUCGGUUUCGCGCGCGGCAAACACUAGAAGCAUGAGAAAAGCAAGGCAAUCCCUUUUCGGUGGUUCACGGUAACCGAGGCUCACCGGAAGGCGGAGAUAGGGUGGUUGCGCCGGAGCUCGGAUGGCGGCGCUUGCUAGGGUUUUGGGGGCGCUGUUGCGGGGUGCUCGAGGUGGGGGGGCGGCUUAUAUAGGGGCGGAGUCGGGGCGCGGUCGGAGUGGAGUUCCGACUGGAGGACGGGGAUGAUGGGUAGGUCCCACCCGUCAGACCUGCAGAAGAAGGCUGGUGCCGCUGGGCAGGCCGACGGAGUGGGCCGAGCGAGCGACAUGAGCUGGCGAAGGGAAAAAGGGAAAGCGGCAGCUUCGCGGGCCGGAGGAAAAGGCAGAGCGGGCCGGGGGAGCUAGCAGCGCUGGGCUGCAGGGAAAUAGGAUCCGGGCUGAAAGAGAAAGGAGGAGGAGAAGGAUGUAGCCCAGGAGGAGGAAGAGAAAAGAGGAAAAGAAAGAUUUUUAAGAUUGAAAUUGAAUUUGAGAUUCAAUUUUGAUUCAAACACAAGCAAUCAAAAUAAAUGCACCAGCAUGCAAUGCACAAAGAACUCCUAUGAUGGUUUAAUUUAAUUUAGAGAAAAUAAAAUUAAAUGCCUAGAAAUUUAAAUGACAUCCUAAAUGAGCAAAUUUUAGUGUAUUUAAAUUCUUUAAAAAAUUUGGGUGUUACAGGGCACCAGAUGAUCCGAUGCCUAUCUCAAGUGACCAUCGGAUCAUCCAAUGCUCACAUAUUUUACUAGCCGUUGUAGCAAAGGCUCUUUGAGGUCCAUGGGCUAUUUAUGCCCCCUCCACUCACCCAUUCAGAGUUGCUGGAUUGUCCACACAUCGAUUGAAGAUCAAGGCCCAUCAAGAACACAUCCAUGCCACCAAAAGUGCAAAAGCGAUAAUCCAAGGCUUAGCACGAGCUAAGAGAUUGAUUAGUGCUAGGAUAGGCCUAGAGAGAGUAGUGCAAGGUGCUGCUACCUUGUGAUUGGUUCAAGGAGUGAUCCACUAUUGUAAGCUUGGGGUGCCGGCGCCUUGGGGUCUUGAUGGCUCUCCGGCAAGUCUUCGACCCCCCAGCUCGGUAUGGAGCAGCGUCGACAGCCGGAUGUGGGGGACAAGAAGACUCCUUCCUUCGUGGAGCAGCUCCGUGGUGGAGACGACGUCAAGGUGACCGAAAGGGGGUAGUAGUGAGCCUUGCGUUUGUGGCUAGCUUGUCAUCCAGCUUGGCUAGAGCCUUUGUGGCGAGCCCAAGACCUUGACCGGGAGAGACUUGGUGAGCAGGAGCAUGUCCUUGGUGGAGCUCCAACGCAUGGACUAGGGGUGGCAUUUGGCUACCGAUACCAUGUGAUAAAUCGUCGUGCUGGGUUUGCAUCUUUCCUAACCCACUCCUUUACAUUUCCGCACUACAUUCUCGCAACUUGAGUGCCUUUAAUUACUUUCCAGAGUAGUACCUUGUUAGGAUUGGCUCUAGGUUGCAAAACUCUUUGUGGGUGGGAAGUUUUACUAGAUCAACCAUAGAUGCACAUGCUCUUCCUUCAUUUUAUUCCAAUUAGUAUGGACGUGGAGGUUACAGGACACACCAUGCUAGCUGUAGCGCCGGCAACAGGGAAACAAACCCAAGAAAGCAAUGUGGACAUUUGAUUCUACUUUUUUAUGCAGAAUAUAUGGAGGCACCAGCCAGCCCAGCAACAACAACAAUGGCGGCUACUUGGUAUACUCGAUGGCCCAGAAGUUGGCGUAGAUGUAGGUGGACUUGACGCUGGUAAACCCGGCGCCCUUGGCGAGCUCCACAAACUCCCUCUCGUACCUCUCCUUGCCGUCGGGGCUGUACGCGAGCAGGCACACGUCGACGCCGAUCAACCCCUGCGCGCUGUUUGUGGCAUCCGGGUUCACCGGCAGGAUGCACUCGACACUGAUGAGCUUGCCGUGCGGAGGCAGCGCCUCGUAGCAGUUCUUGAGCAGCUUGGUGCAGUGGUUGUCGCCCCAGCAAUUGAGGAUCCACUUCAUGAGGAUGGCGUCGCCGGAGGGCACCUUCUCAAACAUGUCGCCUCCCACGUGCUGCACCUGCACGUCGGGGUAGGCCGGCGCCUCGGAGAUGACGUGGGGAAGGUCGAAGUUGAUCCCUUGAAUGGUCGGGUACCUGGAGGUGAUGGCAUGGAUGGUGGAGCCGAGGCCGCCGCCAACGUCGACGAGGGUGCGGACGCCGUCGAAGUCCGUGUAGAGCUCCAAGAGCUUCUUGGUGAGGAUGAUGGAAUGCUGCUUCAUGGCCUCAUUGAAGACCCCGUUGAAGCGUGCGUCAGUACCGGCGUAGUCGAACCAGGAAGGCGUCCCAAACGCCCUGUUGAAUGGGCUGCCACCCUCAAGGACCGCGUCCGUCAUGUAGCUCCAGGCGUGCAUGAAGAGCUUGUCGUUGGCGAGGAGGUGGAUCGGGUGGAUAAGGCUACGGCGUAGCACAUUAUCAUGGCUCGGGCGGCCGGAGCAAGAACACGAGCUGGCCGACCGUAGAGGGAAGACGCAAGCGGCACUCGCAGAAUCUACGUGGCUCCCCUUGGUCAUUCUUUGUCUCACCCUAUGGGUAUCGUGGAGGCACGGCGCCAGGCUGGCGGCACGGUGUAGCCUCAAUUCAGGACUUUCCUAGGCAGGGCGUGGCCGAGGGCGAUGGGUUGCUCAACCUGAUGAGAACUUGGGUGGGUGCUCCUACAUGGGAGAGAAUAGGGUGACGGAUGAGAAUGCAGAUGAGGGACGGGGCUCAGACGAGGGGUGGGUUGGAGACAUGUUUUCACUGUUGAACUCUUAGCGUCAAGAUGAGUGGUGAGAUGAGAUACCGGUAGGACCUGCUCUUACCAUGGCACUUCAGCAACCCCACCCCAACCCCGCGCGCAAGUCAAAAUUUGAGGACCAUAUGUACAAUACGUGUGCAAACAAAACCAUAAUUUUACUAGUAUUGAGGGAUUUUAGUUAUUUCUUCUAAAAAAUCUCUUGGGAAAUCGUAUUUUUGUAGUACAACAUAUAUAGAAAAUAAGUAUUACUCACAAAUAAACUGCCCUUUUCUUUAGUAUUCUUGGUUUUUGUUAUUAUUUUAUUUAAUCUUAAGAUUUAUAUAUGCAUAAAAAAGUAAUUUAGUAUCUUCAAAUAUGGAAACGUGGUCUUAGGAAUAGGGCUCAUAUUUUAUUCUUGAGCAUGCCUAGUGGAAAAAUACUAUCUAAAAAACUGCAAAGAAAUUUCAUCAUACGGAAAUGUCUGAGAUUGUGAACGGAAGCAAUUUCAUCUGUCUGCAACCCUGCAUAGCAUGUGACAGCCCGGGCUGCGUGCCAAGAAACACCCAGAGCUCCUGACACAACCGCGUGAGCACCUUCUCCGACAUGCGCACAUGAGGACCGCAUGCACCCAUAUGCAAGGUUCACAAAUACGUGCGUGCUUAAACUAUAUGCGCACGUUACAAACGAUUGUAGAAAAAAUGCGAGUCACCAGGAAGGUAGGUAGUAGAGCAUGCCGUCAGUGUCUUUCCUGUGACCUGUGUUCGUGGUGCACAUGGCAGAAUGCACAGUCUAUACAUAGGAACCAGAAGUUGGCUUCGAAACCAAAUCACUCAUUAGUCCUUCAGUACUGCAGUGAACGCUAUCUAGCUAGCUAAUUUCCCCUUGAAAUCAGUUUUCUUGCGUGGCCAUGGGUAGCCUUCCACUUGAAGCCAUGAUGCCACUGAAUCCCGAUUCAUUCGCUGGGGAGUCCAGUGCCGUGGUCGACUUCCUCGCCGACUACUACCGCAACGUCGAUAAGUAUCCGGUCAUGGCCAACACCCAGCCAGGGACCAUCCGUAAGCUUCUUCCGGAGGCAGCCCCGGAGUUGGGCGACUCGAUGGAUCGCAUACUGGAUGAUGUGCAGCGGGAUAUCCUCCCCGGCCUCACACAUUGGCAGAGCCCUAGCUUCUUUGCCUAUUUCCCGGCGAAUGCAAGCACCGCAGGGUUCGCCGGGGAGAUGUUGUCGGCUGGUCUCAACGUCGUCCCGUUCGUCUGGACGGCGUCACCGGUGGCCACUAAGCUGGAGCAGGUCGUGGUUGACUGGAUGGCUAGCCUCCUCGCCCUACCGGAGCGCUUCCACUUCAAGGGAGGAGGAGGCGGUGUCCUACAUGGGAGCACGUGCGAGGCGGUGGUGUGCACUCUCGCUGCCGCGCGCGACCGUGCACUCAGCAAGCUCGGACAUGAGGGCAUCCUCAAGCUUGUUGAUGCAUGGAAAUGCAUAGAAUACUUAUUGGAGCGAAGGCUCUUUGAGGUCCAUGGGCUAUUUAUGCCCCCUCCACUCGCCCAUUCAGAGUUGCUGGAGUGUCCAUACAUCUAUUGAAGACCAAGGCUCAUCAAGUGACGAAUGGAGAAACCACACAUCCACCUUGAUAAUUUUAGAGCAUCCAGGUGACGAUAUUCAAUGCGCUCAAAUGGUGGUAUUCAACUUAGAAAAAAUAGUAGCACCAGAAGAUCUGAGAGUCAUCGGAGUAACCAUCGAAGCAAUUGGUACAACUGAGAAGUAAGCUUGAGUUGCAGCAAGCACCAGAUGAUCCGACGGGGUCCUUUUCACAAGCGUCGGAGCAAUUUGUAAAGAAGACGGAGAAAGACCUAUAGCACCAGAUAUUCCGAUGGCUAGAAGAUGAAGGAAUCGGACCAAGCAUAUUUACUUUGAAAACGUCAAGAGAGUUUUUAGGAAAAACUCCUUCAGCACCGGAUGAUCCGACGUUACGUCGGAUGAAUUUAGGUAGAGGUCCAACGGCUAUAUACGUCAGCAGGGGGCGUGUCACACCCGAUUUUAAGGACAAAACCGAGUGCUUUCAAUACAUGUGCGCCAGGAACAAGUUACACACAUGUACGACAUAAGUGAAUAACAAAGUCAGUGCCAAAGCGAAUAAAGAGAGUAUUAAACUUUAUUACAUGAUCGAAAGUCUUAACAAAACACAAGCCUAACUUAUUACACAGCGGAUUCCAAAGACGACGAUGACACCAUAGGCUGCUGACUGAAGAACCGUAUGCCUAGAACUCCUCAAACUCGUGCAGGUACUCCUCCAGAUUAUCUUGGUCUGAACAGCGGUUUUGCAAGGGUGAGUACACUUAUGGUUGGUACUCAACAAGUCGUGGGGAAUAGUGUAGUGCAAGGCCAACCAAGGUAUGGCUAAGGCUAAAUAGCAUGAGCUUUUAAUUAGCUUGGUCAAAGUUUAUUAGCAAUUAACUAAGUAUAAGUUUAUACCACCCCAAAUUAAACAUGAACAUAAAUAAAGUAAACAACAUAUGCGCAGUAUGACAACAAUUUAAGUCCAUCUUUCGUUAGUAUUAUCAUGUGAGGGUCCAGGCCGCUCUUAACCGUGAGCAUGGCUGAUCAAUCAGUUUUACACUCUACAGAGGUCGCACAUCUUUACCCACAACUCGCGUAAAAGUUGAAAAGAACUUUGGACCCAACCAUGCGGUGUUUGCAAGGCACCAUACCACACUUCCGAGGUGUGAUUGCAUAGGGACGCUACGAGGCCUUUACAAAGAUUCAUUAGUCAGUGGUAACCCACUAAGGUUUCGGUGUCUAGCGUGCACAACCUAUCACAGGACAAUGAUACAACGACUCAGUCCCCCCUCUUGCCUUAUCACGAGUAAGGUUUCUAAUUAUUUAGCUAAGACCAGAGCCAAUUAGUCCUGUGGUAGCACUGUUUUCCUGGGUGGCUCUCCAUGUUCCGAUUAAACGUUUGUGAUCUUGUAUUAAUGAAAGGUAUAAUAGAAGUAAAGCAAGAUUAAUCAUUGAGUUCAGUUAAACCAACUUAUCCCAAGUAGAAACUAAGGAUGAUCUACCAAACAUAAAAGUACACCCGGUUCGUCAAGGCAUAGGUAAAUUCAAUCUAGGCAAACCUUAAUUGGGACCCAUCAAUUUAAUCUUAACAAGGGCAUAGCAUAAUUGUUGAGUACGAGAAAGUAAAAGUGUAUAGGACUGAGAAGUAGGGAUCAAGGACACAACUUGCCUUCUUGGCCUUGCUCUUGCUGUUCGUACUGCUCGAAGGCUUGAUCUUCAAAUCCCCCAAAUUGCUGAACGUCUAUACGCUCACACGAGCACAUACAAGCAAACAAGGGCACAAAGUAAGAAAACAGUACACCAAUCACAACUAAACAGAGAAAACAAGCCUGAAAAAUUAAUCUACACUUUAAAACAAACAUGUGGAUAUAAAGAACGCGAAAAACGGAGUUAAGAUGCAAAAGAUAUGAUUAAAACAAGAUCCAGGGGCUUUUCUGCGACAAAAACAAAACUUCUAGGGUCGAACUCCGAAAAACCGAGGGCUUGUACAUGAUUAUUCCUAUAAACCGAAGGUUUAACACGCAAAAAUGCAACUUAGGAUGGCGGGUUGAAUUAGAGAAACUCAGGGUCUAAACCGAAAGAAAGCAGGACCAAAACACAAUUAUUUUUGAACUAGAUUGGACUGCAGGUUGAUUUGCGGAAAAGGGGAGCGCUUCAGUGCAAAAGAGGCGCGGCGUGACACGAUUGAGUACGCGAUCCGGUUGACUCACUGUGGGCCGUCGGAUUUGGAUCCGAGGUCUCGGUCGUCGACGACACCCAAGCGGCGGCGGACCAGGCGGCGGGCGGCGACGAGCGGCGGCGGUUUGCUGGAAUUAGCCGAUACGGCGCUCCGGGGCUCGAUUUCGCGCGCGGAAAACACCGGAAGCAUGAGAAAAGCAAGGCGAUCCCUUUUCGGCGGUUCACGGUGAUCGAGGCUCACUGGAAGGCGGUGCUUUGCGGCGGAGAGAGGGUGGCGGCACUUGCUGGGGUUUCGGGGGCGCUGUUGCGGGGUGCUCGAGGUGGGGGCGGGCGGCGGCUUAUAUAGGGGCGGAGUCGGGGCGCGGUCGGAGUGGAGUCCCGGCCGGAGCACGGGGAUGACGGGUAGGUCCCACUCGUCAGACCUGCGGAAGGAGGCCGGUGCCGCUGGGCAGGCCGACAGAGUGGGCCGAGCGAGCGACAUGGGCUGGCGAAGGGAAAAAGGGAAAGCGGCAGCUUCGCGGGCUGGAGGAACAGGCAGAGCGGGCCGGGGGAGGUAGCGGCGCUAUGCUGCAGGGAAAUAGGAUCCGGGCUGAAAGAGAAAGGAGGAGGAGAAGGAUGCAGCCCAGGAGGAGGAAGAGAAAAGAGGAAAAGAAAGAUUUUUGAAAUUGAAAUUGAGAUUCAAUUUUGAUUCAAACACAAGCAAUCAAAAUAAAUGCACCAGCAUGCAAUGCACAAAGAACUCCUAUGAUGGUUUAAUUUAAUUUAGAGAAAAUAAAAUUAAAUGCCUAGAAAUUUAAAUGACAUCCUAAUUGAGCAAAUUUUAGUGUAUUUAAAUUCUUUAAAAAAUUUGGGUGUUACAGGGCACCAGAUGAUCCGAUGCCUAUCUCAAGUGACCAUCGGAUCAUCCAAUGCUCACAUAUUUUACUAGCCGUUGUAGCGAAGGCUCUUUGAGAUCCAUGGGCUAUUUAUGCCCUCUCCACUCGCCCAUUCAGAGGUGCUGGAUUGUCCAUACAUCGAUUGAAGACCAAGGCCCAUCAAGAACACAUCCAUGCCACCAAAAGUGCAAAAGCGAUAAUCCAAGGCUUAGCACGAGCUAAGAGAUUGAUUAGCUCUAGGAUAGGCCUAGAGAGAGUAGUGCAAGGUGUUGCUACCUUGUGAUUGGUUCAAGGAGUGAUCCACUAUUGUAAGCUUGGGGCGCCGGCGCCUUGGGGUCUUGGUGGCUCUCCGGCAAGUCUUCGACACCUCAGCUCGGUGUGGAGCAGCGUCGACAGCCGGAUGCGGGGGACAAGAAGACUCCUUCCUUCGUGGAGCAGCUCCAUGGUGGAGACGACGUCAAGGUGACCGAAGGGGGUAGUAGUGAGCCUUGCGUUUGUGGAUAGCUUGUCAUCCGGCUUGGCUAGAGCCUUUGUAGCGAGCCUAAGACCUUGACCGGGAGAGGCUUGGUGAGCAGGAGCAUGUCCUUGGUGGAGCUCCAACGCAUGGACUAGGGGUGGCAUUUGGCUACCGAUACCAUGUGAUAAAUCAUCGUGCUGGGUUUGCAUCUUUCCUAACCCACUCCUUUACAUUUCCGCACUACAUUCUCGCAACUUGAGUGCCUUUAAUUACUUUCCAGAGUAGUACCUUGUUAGGAUUGGCUCUAGGUUGCAAAACUCUUUGUGGGUGGGAAGUUUCACUAGAUCAACCAUAGAUGCACAUGUAGAUAGCAUGAUCUAGUUUAGGUUUGGAAGCAAGUAGUGGAAGUCAUAGGCCAAGGAUUUUAAGCUAGCCUAAUUCACCCCUCCCCUUCCUAGGGUACGAGCAUCGAUUCCUUUCAAUUUGCUUUAGCACCAUGAAGGCAAUAGUCAUCCAUCUGCACCAUGAUCAUAGAGCAAUGCAAAACCACGAGAGAAACGAAACGGCUGCUCUUCCUUCAUUUUACUCCAAUUAGUAUGGACGUGGAGGUUACAGGACACACCAUGCUAGCUGUAGCGCCGGCAACAGGGAAACAAACCCAAGAAAGCAAUGCGGACAUUUUAUUCUACUUUUUUAUGCAGAAUAUAUGGAGGCACCAGCCAGCCCAGCAACAACGACAAUGGCGGCUACUUGGUAUACUCGAUGGCCCAGAAGUUGGCGUAGAUGUAGGUGGACUUGACGCUGGUAAACCCGGCGCCCUUGGCGAGCUCCACAAACUCCCUCUCGUACCUCUCCUUGCCGUCGGGGCUGUACGCGAGCAGGCACACGUCGACGCCGAUCAACCCCUGCGCGCUGUUUGUGGCAUCCGGGUUCACCGGCAGGAUGCACUCGACACUGAUGAGCUUGCCGUGCGGAGGCAGCGCCUCGUAGCAGUUCUUGAGCAGCUUGGCGCAGUGGUUGUCGCCCCAGCAAUUGAGGAUCCACUUCAUGAGGAUGGCGUCGCCGGAGGGCACCUUCUCAAACAUGUCGCCUCCCACGUGCUACACCUGCACGUCGGGGUAGGCCGGCGCCUCGGAGAUGACGUGGGGAAGGUCGAAGUUGAUCCCUUGAAUGGUCGGGUACCUGGAGGUGAUGGCAUGGAUGGUGGAGCCGAGGCCGCCGCCAACGUCGACGAGGGUGCGGACGCCGUCGAAGCCCGUGUAGAGCUCCAAGAGCUUCUUGGUGAGGAUGAUGGAAUGCUGCUUCAUGGCCUCAUUGAAGACCCCGUUGAAGCGUGCGUCAGUACCGGCGUAGUCGAACCAGGAAGGCGUCCCAAACGCCCUGUUGAAUGGGCUGCCACCCUCAAGGACCGCGUCCGUCAUGUAGCUCCAGGCGUGCAUGAAGAGCUUGUCGUUGGCGAGGAGGUGGAACGGAGCCAUGGAGACACCAUCCUCGUUGGGGGUGAGCCACUUGCACACUGGCGCGGCGCUGUACUGGCGGCACAGGCUGCCAUCCUCGGCCUCCUCCACCACGCAGGACACAACUUUGUAGGACGCCAGCAGUCGCAGCAAGCGAUCCACCAUGGACGGCGCGGCGGGGUUGGCCUUGGAAGGCAGCUUCGCGGCCACCUCCUUGGGAGUGAGAGCCUUCCCGCUGGCGCCCACAAGGGUCUCGAGCAGGCCCAGCUCAAUGGCAGUUCUUAGCGUCAUCGGCAGGAUGGCCGACGACACUAGCUGCAGAGCGUGCAUGCAUGUCUCCUCGUCGGCUAUGGCCAUGUCCGCGGCGGAACCCAUCUACCUCCCGGGAUUGGAGCUCAACUAACUGAUGAAGGUGUGUGUACCUUGUUGUUGUGAUUGCUGGUGGCUGAAUGAUCGAUGAGGCGAAAGGGGCCGUUUAUAUAGAGCUUCGAGCUAGGCUUUGUUCACCAACCUGAAAAUCAUGCAUUCUUUGACAAGUAUGGGAUUGCUUGUAUGGUGUGACCAACCUGUGAGAGCGUGGUAGUGAUUGUGUACCCCAUGCAAAACCUCCCUCCUAAUAAGAUCCCUAAUAAGAUCGUGAUGCACGAGGCUGAAUACUAUAUUGUUUUGUCUGCAGUCUAAUCGAUUUGGAAUCCGCAAAUAUAAUCAAUUCACGACACUGGAGAUGGUCGGCGCACGAGGAGUGGCAGUCCUAUUGAAACUUUCAGAGAAGCACCUUGUGCCCUUUGAGAAUCUGUUUUGCAUUAGAUCAAGGUUGAGAUGGUUUCUUCAACCCUUGAGAUUCAGCGCGAGGGUCCACGUGCGUGAUGGACAUGGCUUCCCUACUGCACAACUAUUUUUCAAGAAUCAAGAUAUUCUGCAUGGGAUGUCCUGCGUCUCUGGUGUCGGUGCAAUCUUUCUCCUGUUGAACACAUACACUAGCGUCUGAUGCCAGAGUGAGGUGGAUCGGGUGGAUAAAGGCUACGGCGUAGCACAUUAUCAUGGCUCGGGCGGCCGGAGCAAGAACACGAGCUGGCCGACUGUAGAGGGAAGACGCAAGCGGCACUCGCAGAAUCUACGUGGCUCCCCUUGGUCGUUCUUUGUCUCACCCUAUGGGUAUCGUGGAGGCACGGCGCCAGGCUGGCGGCACGGUGUAGCCUCAAUUCAGAACUUUCCUAGCUAGGGCGUGGCCGAGGGCGAUUGGUUGCUCAACCUGAUGAGAACUUGGGUGGGUGCUCCUACAUGGGAGAGAAUAGGGUGACGGAUGAGAAUGCAGAUGAGGGACGGGGCUCAGACGACGGGUGGGUUGGAGACAUGUUUUCACUGUUGAACUCUUAGCGUCAAGAUGAGAGGUGAGAUGAGAUACCGGUAGGACCUGCUCUUACCAUGGCACUUCAGCAACCCCACCCCAACCCCGCGCGCAAGUCAAAAUUUGAGGACCAUAUGUACCAUACGUGUGCAAACAGAACCAUAAUUUUACUAGUAUUGAGGGAUUUUAGUUAUUUCUUCUAAAAAAUCUCUUGGGAAAUCGUAUUUUUGUAGUACAACAUAUAUAGAAAAUAAGUAUUACUACUCACAAAUAAACUGCCCUUUUCUUUAGUAUUCUUGGUUUUUGUUAUUAUUUUAUUUAAUCUUAAGAUUUAUAUAUGCAUAAAAAAGUAAUUUAGUAUCUUCAAAUAUGGAAACGUGGUCUUAGGAAUAGGGCUCAUAUUUUAUUCUUGAGCAUGCCUAGUGGAAAAAUAAUAUCUAAAAAACUGCAAAGAAAUUUAAUACCUAAGCCUUCGAUCCACUCUACUUUUUGUAUACUAGUUUACCUGCAAUCCCCUGGCUUGCACAUUAUAUUUCAUCAUACGGAAAUGUCUGAGAUUGUGAACGGAAGCAAUUUCAUCUGUCUGCAACCCUGCAUAGCAUGUGUCUGAGAUUGUGACACCCAGAGCUCCUGACACAACCGCGUGAGCACCUUCUCCGACAUGCGCACAUGAUGACCGCAUGCACCCAUAUUAAUUAUUACGACAUGCGCACGUUACAAACGAUUGUAGAAAAAAUGCGAGUCACCAGGAAGGUAGGUAGUAGAGCAUGCCGUCAGUGUCUUUCCUGUGACCUGUGUUCGUGGUGCACAUGGCAGAAUGCACAGUCUAUACAUAGGAACCAGAAGUUGGCUUCCAAACCAAAUCACUCAUUAGUCCUUCAGUACUGCAGUGAACGCUAUCUAGCUAGCUAAUUUCCCCUUGAAAUCAGUUUGCUUGCGUGGCCAUGGGUAGCCUUCCACUUGAAGCCAUGAUGCCACUGAAUCCCGAUUCAUUCGCUGGGGAGUCCAGUGCCGUGGUCGACUUCCUCGCCGACUACUACCGCAACGUCGAUAAGUAUCCGGUCAUGGCCAACACCCAGCCAGGGACCAUCCGUAAGCUUCUUCCGGAGGCAGCCCCGGAGUUGGGCGACUCGAUGGAUCGCAUACUGGAUGAUGUGCAGCGGGAUAUCCUCCCCGGCCUCACACAUUGGCAGAGCCCUAGCUUCUUUGCCUAUUUCCCGGCGAAUGCAAGCACCGCAGGGUUCGCCGGGGAGAUGUUGUCGGCUGGUCUCAACGUCGUCCCGUUCGUCUGGACGGCGUCACCGGUGGCCACUAAGCUGGAGCAGGUCGUGGUUGACUGGAUGGCUAGCCUCCUCGCCCUACCGGAGCGCUUCCACUUCAAGGGAGGAGGAGGCGGUGUCCUACAUGGGAGCACGUGCGAGGCGGUGGUGUGCACUCUCGCUGCCGCGCGCGACCGUGCACUCAGCAAGCUCGGACAUGAGGGCAUCCUCAAGCUUGUUGAUGCAUGGAAAUGCAUAGAAUACUUAUUGGAGCGAAGGCUCUUUGAGGUCCAUGGGCUAUUUAUGCCCCCUCCACUCGCCCAUUCAGAGUUGCUGGAGUGUCCAUACAUCUAUUGAAGACCAAGGCUCAUCAAGUGACGAAUGGAGAAACCACACAUCCACCUUGAUAAUUUUAGAGCAUCCAGGUGACGAUAUUCAAUGCGCUCAAAUGGUGGUAUUCAACUUAGAAAAAAUAGUAGCACCAGAAGAUCUGAGAGUCAUCGGAGUAACCAUCGAAGCAAUUGGUACAACUGAGAAGUAAGCUUGAGUUGCAGCAAGCACCAGAUGAUCCGACGGGGUCCUUUUCACAAGCGUCGGAGCAAUUUGUAAAGAAGACGGAGAAAGACCUAUAGCACCAGAUAUUCCGAUGGCUAGAAGAUGAAGGAAUCGGACCAAGCAUAUUUACUUUGAAAACGUCAAGAGAGUUUUUAGGAAAAACUCCUUCAGCACCGGAUGAUCCGACGUUACGUCGGAUGAAUUUAGGUAGAGGUCCAACGGCUAUAUACGUCAGCAGGGGGCGUGUCACACCCGAUUUUAAGGACAAAACCGAGUGCUUUCAAUACAUGUGCGCCAGGAACAAGUUACACACAUGUACGACAUAAGUGAAUAACAAAGUCAGUGCCAAAGCGAAUAAAGAGAGUAUUAAACUUUAUUACAUGAUCGAAAGUCUUAACAAAACACAAGCCUAACUUAUUACACAGCGGAUUCCAAAGACGACGAUGACACCAUAGGCUGCUGACUGAAGAACCGUAUGCCUAGAACUCCUCAAACUCGUGCAGGUACUCCUCCAGAUUAUCUUGGUCUGAACAGCGGUUUUGCAAGGGUGAGUACACUUAUGGUUGGUACUCAACAAGUCGUGGGGAAUAGUGUAGUGCAAGGCCAACCAAGGUAUGGCUAAGGCUAAAUAGCAUGAGCUUUUAAUUAGCUUGGUCAAAGUUUAUUAGCAAUUAACUAAGUAUAAGUUUAUACCACCCCAAAUUAAACAUGAACAUAAAUAAAGUAAACAACAUAUGCGCAGUAUGACAACAAUUUAAGUCCAUCUUUCGUUAGUAUUAUCAUGUGAGGGUCCAGGCCGCUCUUAACCGUGAGCAUGGCUGAUCAAUCAGUUUUACACUCUACAGAGGUCGCACAUCUUUACCCACAACUCGCGUAAAAGUUGAAAAGAACUUUGGACCCAACCAUGCGGUGUUUGCAAGGCACCAUACCACACUUCCGAGGUGUGAUUGCAUAGGGACGCUACGAGGCCUUUACAAAGAUUCAUUAGUCAGUGGUAACCCACUAAGGUUUCGGUGUCUAGCGUGCACAACCUAUCACAGGACAAUGAUACAACGACUCAGUCCCCCCUCUUGCCUUAUCACGAGUAAGGUUUCUAAUUAUUUAGCUAAGACCAGAGCCAAUUAGUCCUGUGGUAGCACUGUUUUCCUGGGUGGCUCUCCAUGUUCCGAUUAAACGUUUGUGAUCUUGUAUUAAUGAAAGGUAUAAUAGAAGUAAAGCAAGAUUAAUCAUUGAGUUCAGUUAAACCAACUUAUCCCAAGUAGAAACUAAGGAUGAUCUACCAAACAUAAAAGUACACCCGGUUCGUCAAGGCAUAGGUAAAUUCAAUCUAGGCAAACCUUAAUUGGGACCCAUCAAUUUAAUCUUAACAAGGGCAUAGCAUAAUUGUUGAGUACGAGAAAGUAAAAGUGUAUAGGACUGAGAAGUAGGGAUCAAGGACACAACUUGCCUUCUUGGCCUUGCUCUUGCUGUUCGUACUGCUCGAAGGCUUGAUCUUCAAAUCCCCCAAAUUGCUGAACGUCUAUACGCUCACACGAGCACAUACAAGCAAACAAGGGCACAAAGUAAGAAAACAGUACACCAAUCACAACUAAACAGAGAAAACAAGCCUGAAAAAUUAAUCUACACUUUAAAACAAACAUGUGGAUAUAAAGAACGCGAAAAACGGAGUUAAGAUGCAAAAGAUAUGAUUAAAACAAGAUCCAGGGGCUUUUCUGCGACAAAAACAAAACUUCUAGGGUCGAACUCCGAAAAACCGAGGGCUUGUACAUGAUUAUUCCUAUAAACCGAAGGUUUAACACGCAAAAAUGCAACUUAGGAUGGCGGGUUGAAUUAGAGAAACUCAGGGUCUAAACCGAAAGAAAGCAGGACCAAAACACAAUUAUUUUUGAACUAGAUUGGACUGCAGGUUGAUUUGCGGAAAAGGGGAGCGCUUCAGUGCAAAAGAGGCGCGGCGUGACACGAUUGAGUACGCGAUCCGGUUGACUCACUGUGGGCCGUCGGAUUUGGAUCCGAGGUCUCGGUCGUCGACGACACCCAAGCGGCGGCGGACCAGGCGGCGGGCGGCGACGAGCGGCGGCGGUUUGCUGGAAUUAGCCGAUACGGCGCUCCGGGGCUCGAUUUCGCGCGCGGAAAACACCGGAAGCAUGAGAAAAGCAAGGCGAUCCCUUUUCGGCGGUUCACGGUGAUCGAGGCUCACUGGAAGGCGGUGCUUUGCGGCGGAGAGAGGGUGGCGGCACUUGCUGGGGUUUCGGGGGCGCUGUUGCGGGGUGCUCGAGGUGGGGGCGGGCGGCGGCUUAUAUAGGGGCGGAGUCGGGGCGCGGUCGGAGUGGAGUCCCGGCCGGAGCACGGGGAUGACGGGUAGGUCCCACUCGUCAGACCUGCGGAAGGAGGCCGGUGCCGCUGGGCAGGCCGACAGAGUGGGCCGAGCGAGCGACAUGGGCUGGCGAAGGGAAAAAGGGAAAGCGGCAGCUUCGCGGGCUGGAGGAACAGGCAGAGCGGGCCGGGGGAGGUAGCGGCGCUAUGCUGCAGGGAAAUAGGAUCCGGGCUGAAAGAGAAAGGAGGAGGAGAAGGAUGCAGCCCAGGAGGAGGAAGAGAAAAGAGGAAAAGAAAGAUUUUUGAAAUUGAAAUUGAGAUUCAAUUUUGAUUCAAACACAAGCAAUCAAAAUAAAUGCACCAGCAUGCAAUGCACAAAGAACUCCUAUGAUGGUUUAAUUUAAUUUAGAGAAAAUAAAAUUAAAUGCCUAGAAAUUUAAAUGACAUCCUAAUUGAGCAAAUUUUAGUGUAUUUAAAUUCUUUAAAAAAUUUGGGUGUUACAGGGCACCAGAUGAUCCGAUGCCUAUCUCAAGUGACCAUCGGAUCAUCCAAUGCUCACAUAUUUUACUAGCCGUUGUAGCGAAGGCUCUUUGAGAUCCAUGGGCUAUUUAUGCCCUCUCCACUCGCCCAUUCAGAGGUGCUGGAUUGUCCAUACAUCGAUUGAAGACCAAGGCCCAUCAAGAACACAUCCAUGCCACCAAAAGUGCAAAAGCGAUAAUCCAAGGCUUAGCACGAGCUAAGAGAUUGAUUAGCUCUAGGAUAGGCCUAGAGAGAGUAGUGCAAGGUGUUGCUACCUUGUGAUUGGUUCAAGGAGUGAUCCACUAUUGUAAGCUUGGGGCGCCGGCGCCUUGGGGUCUUGGUGGCUCUCCGGCAAGUCUUCGACACCUCAGCUCGGUGUGGAGCAGCGUCGACAGCCGGAUGCGGCGGACAAGAAGACUCCUUCCUUCGUGGAGCAGCUCCAUGGUGGAGACGACGUCAAGGUGACCGAAGGGGGUAGUAGUGAGCCUUGCGUUUGUGGAUAGCUUGUCAUCCGGCUUGGCUAGAGCCUUUGUAGCGAGCCUAAGACCUUGACCGGGAGAGGCUUGGUGAGCAGGAGCAUGUCCUUGGUGGAGCUCCAACGCAUGGACUAGGGGUGGCAUUUGGCUACCGAUACCAUGUGAUAAAUCAUCGUGCUGGGUUUGCAUCUUUCCUAACCCACUCCUUUACAUUUCCGCACUACAUUCUCGCAACUUGAGUGCCUUUAAUUACUUUCCAGAGUAGUACCUUGUUAGGAUUGGCUCUAGGUUGCAAAACUCUUUGUGGGUGGGAAGUUUCACUAGAUCAACCAUAGAUGCACAUGUAGAUAGCAUGAUCUAGUUUAGGUUUGGAAGCAAGUAGUGGAAGUCAUAGGCCAAGGAUUUUAAGCUAGCCUAAUUCACCCCUCCCCUUCCUAGGGUACGAGCAUCGAUUCCUUUCAAUUUGCUUUAGCACCAUGAAGGCAAUAGUCAUCCAUCUGCACCAUGAUCAUAGAGCAAUGCAAAACCACGAGAGAAACGAAACGGCUGCUCUUCCUUCAUUUUAUUCCAAUUAGUAUGGACGUGGAGGUUACAGGACACACCAUGCUAGCUGUAGCGCCGGCAACAGGGAAACAAACCCAAGAAAGCAAUGCGGACAUUUUAUUCUACUUUUUUAUGCAGAAUAUAUGGAGGCACCAGCCAGCCCAGCAACAACGACAAUGGCGGCUACUUGGUAUACUCGAUGGCCCAGAAGUUGGCGUAGAUGUAGGUGGACUUGACGCUGGUAAACCCAGCGCCCUUGGCGAGCUCCACAAACUCCCUCUCGUACCUCUCCUUGCCGUCGGGGCUGUACGCGAGCAGGCACACGUCGACGCCGAUCAACCCCUGCGCGCUGUUUGUGGCAUCCGGGUUCACCGGCAGGAUGCACUCGACACUGAUGAGCUUGCCGUGCGGAGGCAGCGCCUCGUAGCAGUUCUUGAGCAGCUUGGCGCAGUGGUUGUCGCCCCAGCAAUUGAGGAUCCACUUCAUGAGGAUGGCGUCGCCGGAGGGCACCUUCUCAAACAUGUCGCCUCCCACGUGCUGCACCUGCACGUCGGGGUAGGCCGGCGCCUCGGAGAUGACGUGGGGAAGGUCGAAGUUGAUCCCUUGAAUGGUCGGGUACCUGGAGGUGAUGGCAUGGAUGGUGGAGCCGAGGCCGCCGCCAACGUCGACGAGGGUGCGGACGCCGUCGAAGCCCGUGUAGAGCUCCAAGAGCUUCUUGGUGAGGAUGACGGAAUGCUGCUUCAUGGCCUCAUUGAAGACCCCGUUGAAGCGUGCGUCAGUACCGGCGUAGUCGAACCAGGAAGGCGUCCCAAACGCCCUGUUGAAUGGGCUGCCACCCUCAAGGACCGCGUCCGUCAUGUAGCUCCAGGCGUGCAUGAAGAGCUUGUCGUUGGCGAGGAGGUGGAACGGAGCCAUGGAGACACCAUCCUCGUUGGGGGUGAGCCACUUGCACACUGGCGCGGCGCUGUACUGGCGGCACAGGCUGCCAUCCUCGGCCUCCUCCACCACGCAGGACACAACUUUGUAGGACGCCAGCAGUCGCAGCAAGCGAUCCACCAUGGACGGCGCGGCGGGGUUGGCCUUGGAAGGCAGCUUCGCGGCCACCUCCUUGGGAGUGAGAGCCUUCCCGCUGGCGCCCACAAGGGUCUCGAGCAGGCCCAGCUCAAUGGCAGUUCUUAGCGUCAUCGGCAGGAUGGCCGACGACACUAGCUGCAGAGCGUGCAUGCAUGUCUCCUCGUCGGCUAUGGCCAUGUCCGCGGCGGAACCCAUCUACCUCCCGGGAUUUGAGCUCAACUAACUGAUGAAGGUGUGUGUACCUUGUUGUUGUGAUUGCUGGUGGCUGAAUGAUCGAUGAGGCGAAAGGGGCCGUUUAUAUAGAGCUUCGAGCUAGGCUUUGUUCACCAACCUGAAAAUCAUGCAUUCUUUGACAAGUAUGGGAUUGCUUGUAUGGUGUGACCAACCUGUGAGAGCGUGGUAGUGAUUGUGUACCCCAUGCAAAACCUCCCUCCUAAUAAGAUCCCUAAUAAGAUCGUGAUGCACGAGGCUGAAUACUAUAUUGUUUUGUCUGCAGUCUAAUCGAUUUGGAAUCCGCAAAUAUAAUCAAUUCACGACACUGGAGAUGGUCGGCGCACGAGGAGUGGCAGUCCUAUUGAAACUUUCAGAGAAGCACCUUGUGCCCUUUGAGAAUCUGUUUUGCAUUAGAUCAAGGUUGAGAUGGUUUCUUCAACCCUUGAGAUUCAGCGCGAGGGUCCACGUGCGUGAUGGACAUGGCUUCCCUACUGCACAACUAUUUUUCAAGAAUCAAGAUAUUCUGCAUGGGAUGUCCUGCGUCUCUGGUGUCGGUGCAAUCUUUCUCCUGUUGAACACAUACACUAGCGUCUGAUGCCAGAGUGAGGUGGAUCGGGUGGAUAAAGGCUACGGCGUAGCACAUUAUCAUGGCUCGGGCGGCCGGAGCAAGAACACGAGCUGGCCGACUGUAGAGGGAAGACGCAAGCGGCACUCGCAGAAUCUACGUGGCUCCCCUUGGUCGUUCUUUGUCUCACCCUAUGGGUAUCAUGGAGGCACGGCGCCAGGCUGGCGGCACGGUGUAGCCUCAAUUCAGAACUUUCCUAGCUAGGGCGUGGCCGAGGGCGAUUGGUUGCUCAACCUGAUGAGAACUUGGGUGGGUGCUCCUACAUGGGAGAGAAUAGGGUGACGGAUGAGAAUGCAGAUGAGGGACGGGGCUCAGACGACGGGUGGGUUGGAGACAUGUUUUCACUGUUGAACUCUUAGCGUCAAGAUGAGAGGUGAGAUGAGAUACCGGUAGGACCUGCUCUUACCAUGGCACUUCAGCAACCCCACCCCAACCCCGCGCGCAAGUCAAAAUUUGAGGACCAUAUGUACCAUACGUGUGCAAACAGAACCAUAAUUUUACUAGUAUUGAGGGAUUUUAGUUAUUUCUUCUAAAAAAUCUCUUGGGAAAUCGUAUUUUUGUAGUACAACAUAUAUAGAAAAUAAGUAUUACUACUCACAAAUAAACUGCCCUUUUCUUUAGUAUUCUUGGUUUUUGUUAUUAUUUUAUUUAAUCUUAAGAUUUAUAUAUGCAUAAAAAAGUAAUUUAGUAUCUUCAAAUAUGGAAACGUGGUCUUAGGAAUAGGGCUCAUAUUUUAUUCUUGAGCAUGCCUAGUGGAAAAAUAAUAUCUAAAAAACUGCAAAGAAAUUUAAUACCUAAGCCUUCGAUCCACUCUACUUUUUGUAUACUAGUUUACCUGCAAUCCCCUGGCUUGCACAUUAUAUUUCAUCAUACGGAAAUGUCUGAGAUUGUGAACGGAAGCAAUUUCAUCUGUCUGCAACCCUGCAUAGCAUGUGUCUGAGAUUGUGACACCCAGAGCUCCUGACACAACCGCGUGAGCACCUUCUCCGACAUGCGCACAUGAUGACCGCAUGCACCCAUAUUAAUUAUUACGACAUGCGCACGUUACAAACGAUUGUAGAAAAAAUGCGAGUCACCAGGAAGGUAGGUAGUAGAGCAUGCCGUCAGUGUCUUUCCUGUGACCUGUGUUCGUGGUGCACAUGGCAGAAUGCACAGUCUAUACAUAGGAACCAGAAGUUGGCUUCCAAACCAAAUCACUCAUUAGUCCUUCAGUACUGCAGUGAACGCUAUCUAGCUAGCUAAUUUCCCCUUGAAAUCAGUUUGCUUGCGUGGCCAUGGGUAGCCUUCCACUUGAAGCCAUGAUGCCACUGAACCCCGAUUCAUUCGCUGGGGAGUCCAGUGCCGUGGUCGACUUCCUCGCCGACUACUACCGCAACGUCAAUAAGUAUCCGGUCAUGGCCAACACCCAGCCAGGGACCAUCCGUAAGCUUCUUCCGGAGGCAGCCCCGGAGUUGGGCGACUCCAUGGAUCGCAUACUGGAUGAUGUGCAGCGGGAUAUCCUCCCCGGCCUCACACAUUGGCAGAGCCCUAGCUUCUUUGCCUAUUUCCCGGCGAAUGCAAGCACCGCAGGGUUCGCCGGGGAGAUGUUGUCGGCUGGUCUCAACGUCAUCCCGUUCGUCUGGACGGCGUCACCGGUGGCCACUGAGCUGGAGCAGGUCGUGGUUGACUGGAUGGCUAGCCUCCUCGGCCUACCGGAGCGCUUCCACUUCAAGGGAGGAGGAGGCGGUGUCCUACAUGGGAGCACGUGCGAGGCGGUGGUGUGCACUCUCGCUGCCGCGCGCGACCGUGCACUCAGCAAGCUAGGACAUGAGGGCAUCCUCAAGCUUGUUGAUGCAUGGAAAUGCAUAGAAUACUUAUUGGAGCGAAGGCUCUUUGAGGUCCAUGGGCUAUUUAUGCCCCCUCCACUCGCCCAUUCAGAGUUGCUGGAGUGUCCAUACAUCUAUUGAAGACCAAGGCUCAUCAAGUGACGAAUGGAGAAACCACACAUCCACCUUGAUAAUUUUAGAGCAUCCAGGUGACGAUAUUCAAUGCGCUCAAAUGGUGGUAUUCAACUUAGAAAAAAUAGUAGCACCAGAAGAUCUGAGAGUCAUCGGAGCAACCAUCGAAGCAAUUGGUACAACUGAGAAGUAAGCUUGAGUUGCAGCAAGCACCAGAUGAUCCGACGGGGUCCUUUUCACAAGCGUCGGAGCAAUUUGUAAAGAAGACGGAGAAAGACCUAUAGCACCAGAUAUUCCGAUGGCUAGAAGAUGAAGGAAUCAGACCAAGCAUAUUUACUUUGAAAACGUCAAGAGAGUUUUUAGGAAAAACUCCUUCAGCACCGGAUGAUCCGACGUUACGUCGGAUGAAUUUAGGUAGAGGUCCAACGGCUAUAUACGUCAGCAGGGGGCGUGUCACACCCGAUUUUAAGGACAAAACCGAGUGCUUUCAAUACAUGUGCGCCAGGAACAAGUUACACACAUGUACGACAUAAGUGAAUAACAAAGUCAGUGCCAAAGCGAAUAAAGAGAGUAUUAAAUUUUAUUACAUGAUCGAAAGUCUUAACAAAACACAAGCCUAACUUAUUACGCAGCGGAUUCCAAAGACGACGAUGACACCACAUGCUGCUGACUGAAGAACCGUAUGCCUAGAACUCCUCAAACUCGUGCAGGUACUCCUCCAGAUUAUCUUGGUCUGAAUAGCAGUUUUGCAAGGGUGAGUACACUUAUGGUUGGUACUCAACAAGUCGUGGGGAAUAGUGUAGUGCAAGGCCAACCAAGGAAUGGCUAAGGCUAAAUAGCAUCAGCUUUUAAUUAGCUUGGUCAAAUUUUAUUAGCAAUUAACUAAGUAUAAGUUUAUACCACCCCAAAUUAAACAUGAACAUAAAUAAAGUAAACAACAUAUGCGCAGUAUGACAACAAUUUAAGUCCAUCUUUCGUUAGUAUUAUCAUGUGAGGGUCCAGGCCGCUCUUAACCGUGAGCAUGGCUGAUCAAUCAGUUUUACACUCUAUAGAGGUCGCACAUCUUUACCCACAACUCGCGUAAAAGUUGAAAAGAACUUUGGACCCAACCAUGUGGUGUUUGCAAGGCACCAUACCACACUUCCGAGGUGUGAUUGCAUAGGGACGCUACGAGGCCUUUACAAAGAUUCAUUAGUCAGUGGUAACCCGCUAAGGUUUCGGUGUCUAGCGUGCACAACCUAUCACAGGACAAUGAUACAACGACUCAGUCCCCCCUCUUGCCUUAUCACGAGUAAGGUUUCUAAUUAUUUAGCCAAGACCAGAGCCAAUUAGUCCUGUGGUAGCACUGUUUUCCUGGGUGGCUCUCCAUGUUCCGAUUAAACGUUUGUGAUCUUGUAUUAAUGAAAGGUAUAACAGAAGUAAAGCAAGAUUAAUCAUUGAGUUCAGUUAAACCAACUUGUCCCAAGUAGAAACUAAGGAUGAUCUACCAAACAUAAAAGUACACCCAGUUAGUCAAGGCAUAGGUAAAUUCAAUCUAGGCAAACCUUAAUUGGGACCCAUCAAUUUAAUCUUAACAAGGGCAUAGCAUAAUUGUUGAGUACGAGAAAGUAAAAGUGUAUAGGACUGAGAAGUAGGGAUCAAGGACACAACUUGCCUUCUUGGCCUUGCUCUUGCUGUUCGUACUGCUCGAAGGCUUGAUCUUCAAAUCCCCCAAAUUGCUGAACGUCUAUACGCUCACACGAGCACAUACAAGCAAACAAGGGCACAAAGUAAGAAAACAGUACACCAAUCACAACUAAACAGAGAAAACAAGCCUGAAAAAUUAAUCUACACUUUAAAACAAACAUGUGGAUAUAAAGAACGCGAAAAACGGAGUUAAGAUGCAAAAGAUAUGAUUAAAACAAGAUCCAGGGGCUUUUCUGCGAGAAAAACAAAACUUCUAGGGUCGAACUUCGAAAAACCGAGGGCUUGUACAUGAUUAUUAUUAUAAACCGAAGGUUUAACACGCAAAAAUGCAACUUAGGAUGGCGGGUUGAAUUAGAGAAACUCAGGGUCGAAACCGAAAGAAAGCAGGACCAAAACACAAUUAUUUUUGAACUAGAUUGGACUGCAGGUUGAUUUGCGGAAAAGGCGAGCGCUUCAGUGCAAAAGAGGCGCGGCGCGACACGAUUGAGUACGCGAUCCGGUUGACUCGCUGUGGGCCGUCAGAUUUGGAUCCGACGGUCUCGGUCGUCGAUGACACCCAAGCAGCGACGGACCAGGCGGCGGGCGGCGACGAGCGGCGGCGGUUUUUCUGGAAUUAGCCGAUACGGCGCUCCGGGGCUCGAUUUCGCGCGCGGAAAACACUGGAAGCAUGAGAAAAGCAAGGCGAUCCAUUUUCGGCGGUUCACGGUGAUCGAGGCUCACUGGAAGGCGGUGCUUGGCGGCGGAGAGAGGGUGGCGGCACUUGCUGGGGUUUCGGGGGCGCUGUUGCGGGGUGCUCGAGGUGGGGCGGGCGGCGGCUUAUAUAGGGGCGGAGUCAGGGCGCGGUCGGAGUGGAGUCCCGGCCGGAGCACGGGGAUGACGGGUAGGUCCCACUCGUCAGACCUGCGGAAGGAGGCCGGUGCCGCUGGGUAGGCCGACGGAGUGGGCCGAGCGAGCGACAUGGGCUGGCGAAGGGAAAAAGGGAAAGCGGCAGCUUCGCGGGCUGGAGGAACAGGCAGAGCGGGCCGGGGGAGGUAGCGGCGCUGUGCUGCAGGGAAAUAGGAUCCAGGCUGAAAGAGAAAGGAGGAGGAGAAGGAUGCAGCCCAGGAGGAGGAAGAGAAAAGAGGAAAAGAAAGAUUUUUGAAAUUGAAAUUGAAAUUGAGAUUCAAUUUUGAUUCAAACACAAGCAAUCAAAAUAAAUGCACCAGCAUGCAAUGCACAAAGAACUCCUAUGAUGGUUUAAUUUAAUUUAGAGAAAAUAAAAUUAAAUGCCUAGAAAUUUAAAUGACAUCCUAAUUGAGCAAAUUUUAGUGUAUUUAAAUUCUUUAAAAAAUUUGGGUGUUACAGGGCACCAGAUGAUCCGAUGCCUAUCUCCAGUGACCAUCGGAUCAUCCAAUGCUCACAUAUUUUACUAGCCGCUGUAGCGAAGGCUCUUUGAGAUCCAUGGGCUAUUUAUGCCCUCUCCACUCGCUCAUUUAGAGGUGCUGGAUUGUCCAUACAUCGAUUGAAGACCAAGGCCCAUCAAGAACACAUCCAUGCCACCAAAAGUGCAAAAGCGAUAAUCCAAGGCUUAGCACGAGCUAAGAGAUUGAUUAGCUCUAGGAUAGGCCUAGAGAGAGUAGUGCAAGGUGUUGCUACCUUGUGAUUGGUUCAAGGAGUGAUCCACUAUUGUAAGCUUGGGGCGCCGGCGCCUUGGGGUCUUGGUGGCUCUCCGGCAAGUCUUCGACACCUCAGCUCGGUGUGGAGCAGCGUCGACAGCCGGAUGCGGGGGACAAGAAGACUCCUUCCUUCGUGGAGCAGCUCCAUGGUGGAGACGACGUCAAGGUGACCGAAGGGGGUAGUAGUGAGCCUUGCGUUUGUGGAUAGCUUGUCAUCCGGCUUGGCUAGAGCCUUUGUAGCGAGCCUAAGACCUUGACCGGGAGAGGCUUGGUGAGCAGGAGCAUGUCCUUGGUGGAGCUCCAACGCAUGGACUAGGGGUGGCAUUUGGCUACCGAUACCAUGUGAUAAAUCAUCGUGCUGGGUUUGCAUCUUUCCUAACCCACUCCUUUACAUUUCCGCACUACAUUCUCGCAACUUGAGUGCCUUUAAUUACUUUCCAGAGUAGUACCUUGUUAGGAUUGGCUCUAGGUUGCAAAACUCUUUGUGGGUGGGAAGUUUCACUAGAUCAACCAUAGAUGCACAUGUAGAUAGCAUGAUCUAGUUUAGGUUUGGAAGCAAGUAGUGGAAGUCAUAGGCCAAGGAUUUUAAGCUAGCCUAAUUCACCCCUCCCCUUCCUAGGGUACGAGCAUCGAUUCCUUUCAAUUUGCUUUAGCACCAUGAAGGCAAUAGUCAUCCAUCUGCACCAUGAUCAUAGAGCAAUGCAAAACCACGAGAGAAACGAAACGGCUGCUCUUCCUUCAUUUUAUUCCAAUUAGUAUGGACGUGGAGGUUACAGGACACACCAUGCUAGCUGUAGCGCCGGCAACAGGGAAACAAACCCAAGAAAGCAAUGCGGACAUUUUAUUCUACUUUUUUAUGCAGAAUAUAUGGAGGCACCAGCCAGCCCAGCAACAACGACAAUGGCGGCUACUUGGUAUACUCGAUGGCCCAGAAGUUGGCGUAGAUGUAGGUGGACUUGACGCUGGUAAACCCAGCGCCCUUGGCGAGCUCCACAAACUCCCUCUCGUACCUCUCCUUGCCGUCGGGGCUGUACGCGAGCAGGCACACGUCGACGCCGAUCAACCCCUGCGCGCUGUUUGUGGCAUCCGGGUUCACCGGCAGGAUGCACUCGACACUGAUGAGCUUGCCGUGCGGAGGCAGCGCCUCGUAGCAGUUCUUGAGCAGCUUGGCGCAGUGGUUGUCGCCCCAGCAAUUGAGGAUCCACUUCAUGAGGAUGGCGUCGCCGGAGGGCACCUUCUCAAACAUGUCGCCUCCCACGUGCUGCACCUGCACGUCGGGGUAGGCCGGCGCCUCGGAGAUGACGUGGGGAAGGUCGAAGUUGAUCCCUUGAAUGGUCGGGUACCUGGAGGUGAUGGCAUGGAUGGUGGAGCCGAGGCCGCCGCCAACGUCGACGAGGGUGCGGACGCCGUCGAAGCCCGUGUAGAGCUCCAAGAGCUUCUUGGUGAGGAUGACGGAAUGCUGCUUCAUGGCCUCAUUGAAGACCCCGUUGAAGCGUGCGUCAGUACCGGCGUAGUCGAACCAGGAAGGCGUCCCAAACGCCCUGUUGAAUGGGCUGCCACCCUCAAGGACCGCGUCCGUCAUGUAGCUCCAGGCGUGCAUGAAGAGCUUGUCGUUGGCGAGGAGGUGGAACGGAGCCAUGGAGACACCAUCCUCGUUGGGGGUGAGCCACUUGCACACUGGCGCGGCGCUGUACUGGCGGCACAGGCUGCCAUCCUCGGCCUCCUCCACCACGCAGGACACAACUUUGUAGGACGCCAGCAGUCGCAGCAAGCGAUCCACCAUGGACGGCGCGGCGGGGUUGGCCUUGGAAGGCAGCUUCGCGGCCACCUCCUUGGGAGUGAGAGCCUUCCCGCUGGCGCCCACAAGGGUCUCGAGCAGGCCCAGCUCAAUGGCAGUUCUUAGCGUCAUCGGCAGGAUGGCCGACGACACUAGCUGCAGAGCGUGCAUGCAUGUCUCCUCGUCGGCUAUGGCCAUGUCCGCGGCGGAACCCAUCUACCUCCCGGGAUUUGAGCUCAACUAACUGAUGAAGGUGUGUGUACCUUGUUGUUGUGAUUGCUGGUGGCUGAAUGAUCGAUGAGGCGAAAGGGGCCGUUUAUAUAGAGCUUCGAGCUAGGCUUUGUUCACCAACCUGAAAAUCAUGCAUUCUUUGACAAGUAUGGGAUUGCUUGUAUGGUGUGACGUGACCUGUGAGAGCUAGCAGCUAGCGUGGUAGUGAUUGUGUACCCCAUGCAAAACCUCCCUCCUAAUAAGAUUGUGAUGCACGAGGCUGAAUACUAUAUUGUUUUGUCUGCAGUCUAAUCGAUUUGGAAUCCGCAAAUAUAAUCAAUUCACGACACUGGAGAUGGUCGGCGCACGAGGAGUGGCAGUCCUAUUGAAACUUUCAGAGAAGCACCUUGUGCCCUUUGAGAAUCUGUUUUGCAUUAGAUCAAGGUUGAGAUGGUUUCUUUAACCCUUGAGAUUCAGCGCGAGCGAGGGUCCACGUGCGUGAUGGACAUGGCUUCGCUACUGCACAACUGUUUUUCAAGAAUCAAGAUAUUCUGCAUGGGAUGUCCUGCGCCUCUGGUGUCGGUGCAAUCUUUCUCCUGUUGAACACAUACACUAGCGUCUGAUGCCAGAGUGAGGUGGAUCGGGUGGAUCAAGGCUACGGCGUAGCACAUUAUCAUGGCUCGGGCGGCCGGAGCAAGAACACGAGCUGGCCGACCGUAGAGGGAAGACGCAAGCGGCACUCGCAGAAUCUACGUGGCUCCCCUUGGUCGUUCUUUGUCUCACCCUAUGGGUAUCGUGGAGGCACGGCGCCAGGCUGGCGGCACGGUGUAGCCUCAAUUCAGAACUUUCCUAGCCAGGGCGUGGCCGAGGGCGAUUGGUUGCUCAACCUGAUGAGAACUUGGGUGGGUGCUCCUUCAUGGGAGAGAAUAGGGUGACGGAUCAGAAUGUAGAUGAGGGACGGGGCUCAGAUGAGGGGUGGGUUGGAGACAUGUUUUCACUGUUGAACUCUUAGCGUCAAGAUGAGAGGUGAGAUGAGAUACCGGUAGGACCUGCUCUUACCAUGGCACUUCAGCAACCCCACCCCAACCCCGCGCGCAAGUCAAAAUUUGAGGACCAUAUGUACAAUACGUGUGCAAACAGAACCAUAAUUUUACUAGUAUGGAGGGAUUUUAGUUAUUUCUUCUAAAAAAUCUCUUGGGAAAUCGUAUUUUUGUAGUACAACAUAUAUAGAAAAUAAGUUUUACUCACAAAUAAACUGCCCUUUUCUUUGGUAUUCUUGGUUUUUGUUAUUAUUUUAUUUAAUCUUAAGAUUUAUAUAUGCAUAAAAAAGUAAUUUAGUAUCUUCAAAUAUGGAAACGUGGUCUUAGGAAUAGGGCUCAUAUUUUAUUCUUGAGCAUGCCUAGUGGAAAAAUACUAUCUAAAAAACUGCAAAGAAAUUUCAUCAUACGGAAAUGUCUGAGAUUGUGAACGGAAGCAAUUUCAUCUGUCUGCAACCCUGCAUAGCAUGUGACAGCCCGGGCUGCGUGCCAAGAAACACCCAGAGCUCCUGACACAACCGCGUGAGCACCUUCUCCGACAUGCGCACAUGAGGACCGCAUGCACCCAUAUGCAAGGUUCACAAAUACGUGCGUGCUUAAACUAUAUGCGCACGUUACAAACGAUUGUAGAAAAAAUGCGAGUCACCAGGAAGGUAGGUAGUAGAGCAUGCCGUCAGUGUCUUUCCUGUUACCUGUGUUCGUGGUGCACAUGGCAGAAUGCACAGUCUAUACAUAGGAACCAGAAGUUGGCUUCGAAACCAAAUCACUCAUUCAGUACUGCAGUGAACGCUAUCUAGCUAGCUAAUUUCCCCUUGAAAUCAGUUUGCUUGCGUGGCCAUGGGUAGCCUUCCACUUGAAGCCAUGAUGCCACUGAACCCCGAUUCAUUCGCUGGGGAGUCCAGUGCCGUGGUCGACUUCCUCGCCGACUACUACCGCAACGUCGAUAAGUAUCCGGUCAUGGCCAACACCCAGCCAGGGACCAUCCGUAAGCUUCUUCCGGAGGCAGCCCCGGAGUUGGGCGACUCCAUGGAUCGCAUACUGGAUGAUGUGCAGCGGGAUAUCCUCCCCGGCCUCACACAUUGGCAGAGCCCUAGCUUCUUUGCCUAUUUCCCGGCGAAUGCAAGCACCGCAGGGUUCGCCGGGGAGAUGUUGUCGGCUGGUCUCAACGUCGUCCCGUUCGUCUGGACGGCGUCACCGGUGGCCACUGAGCUGGAGCAGGUCGUGGUUGACUGGAUGGCUAGCCUCCUCGGCCUACCGGAGCGCUUCCACUUCAAGGGAGGAGGAGGCGGUGUCCUGCAUGGGAGCACGUGCGAGGCGGUGGUGUGCACUCUCGCUGCCGCGCGCGACCGUGCACUCAGCAAGCUCGGACAUGAGGGCAUCCUCAAGCUUGUCGUGUAUGCCUCGGACCAGACCCACGCAACCUUCCAGAAGGGCGCGAGCAUCGUCGGCAUCCCUCCAGCAAACUUCCGCAUCCUGCGGACUUCGGCAAACUCGGGAUACGGCCUGACCGCCACCAUCGUCCAAAGAGCAAUCGAGGAAGACGUCGCCCGCGGGCUGGUUCCCCUUUACCUCUGCGCCACCGUCGGCACUACUGGUCUGGGGGCCAUUGACCGAGUGCGCGAGCUCGGCCAUGUUGCCCGGCGUUAUGGUAAUUCAUUCAACCUCCCUCUCUUAUACGCUAAUCACCCAUACGGUGACACUAAAUACGUAGAAAUGGAAUGCGCUAUGCGGUCACAAGUCACGAUUCAUGCUCACUUAACAAUCAACAAUCAGUUCCUAUAACCAUCUGACAAGAAUACAUGUUUUACAGGAACCUGGCUGCACAUCGACGCAGCCUACGCCGGAAGCGCAGCCAUUUGCCCGGAGUUCCAAGGUCACCUCGACGGCGCCGAGCUCGCGGACUCGCUGAGCAUGAACCCACAUAAGUGGUUCCUCACCAACAUGGACUGCUGCUGCCUCUUGGUGGCGAACCCUACCACCAUGACCGACGCACUGUCCACUGACCCGGAGUACCUCAAGAAUGUCGGCACCGCGUCUAAGAUGGCGGAAACGGUCGACUACAAGGACUGGCAGAUCGCGCUGUCACGCCGCUUCCGUGCCAUCAAACUCUGGGUGGUGCUACGGCGCUAUGGAGCGGCGGGAAUGCGCGCGCACAUACGAAGGCACAUUCAGAUGGCAGAGUGGUUCGAGCACGUCGUGGCGGCGGACGAGCGGUUUGAGGUCGUGGUGCCAAGGAACUUCUCCUUGGUGUGCUUCCGCCUCCGCCCGCGGUUCAUGGCGGAUAAAGCUGUGGAGGCCCUCAACCGCGACCUCCUCGCAGCGGUGAAUGCAAGCGGCCGGGCGUUCAUGACACACUUCGUCGUGGACGACAAGUUUGUGAUCCGCCUAGCCGUGGGUGGGUCAAUGACAGAGAUGCGGCACGUCCGGGCCGCGUGGGAGCUUCUCAAGGAGAAGGCCAACGACUUGAUCGCCACCGGUUGUUAGUUAUUGCUCAUUGCUAGUGCUAUACCAUGCAUGGCCAGCAACAGAAGCUGAGCAUUCUAUUAUUGCUUCCAUUCGUAGUUAGAGCACACCAUGAAUGCAAUAGUCAAUCCAUCUGAACCAUGAACAUUCACUAUGACCAUGUAUGCGAACCAAGUUACUGUCUUGUACGGAAUAUUCUUGGGAUGUAGUGGUUGAGUAUGGGUAUAACGGGGAUGCGGAAAUGUAACUUUAUGGCUCUAUAAAGGGAGGCGAACCGUCCUCCCUAAGGACACGAAUCUUUGUUAGGAUAGCCACUGUAAUGUCUGUAUGAACCACUGUUAUCUUCGUUCACUGUAUUCUCAUCAUUGUCUGGGAAUCCCCCAACAUUUGGCGCCCACCGUGGUUUAACUCGUUAAACAGCCCACGAUGCCACCACAACGCAAAAAGAGACCUGCAACUCAGAGGGAAGACAACACAAAAGAAGCCAACCAGCUCACAGCCCCCGAAGCCACACAUCAAAUCCUCCCCGACAAGGCGGAGCAUCUUGCAAGAGUCGAGAAAGCCCUAAGGGCCAAGGCAAUGAGCAACCAGCCUGCAAACGAAGUCAACCACCAAAGCCACCAACCUAUGGCAAACGAAGCUGCCAACCGCGUUGAUGCUCACCAGUCUCCGAGAGAUAGAAUAGGUCAAAAGAAAGAAGGAACAGUUGGCACGACAAGUGCAACACCAGAAAGAGGCUGCGGCCAGGCUAUCAAAGUUGAACGAGGCUAGGCGGCAACUAGAAGCACUACAGAAAGAAGUCGCAGAGCUCGAAAGCCCCCUCGAGAAUGCAAACCAGGCCGCAACUUAUUUUUAUCAAAGUCCCACUGUCGAUCAAGCACACCUUCAACCCAGCAUCAACUUCGGCCAAGGCAUCCAGCACCACUCACCAGGGGUGUCCCUUGUUGUCGACCCAACUUCACCACUCUCAAUAGGGCUACAAACUGCACCAUGGCCGACGACCUACAAACCAACCACCUUGCCCAAAUUCAACGGGCGCACCGACCCGCGGCAAUUCUUAAUGAGUUAUGAAGCUGCAGUAGCUUCGGCCGGAGGGGAUGAUGUCGUCCUCACCAAAUCCUUCAUAAUUGCCUGCGAGGGCGCAGCGCUAAAUUGGUAUUCGCUGCUCCCUCCACACACGGUGAUCAGCUGGCACGACCUCAAGACGAAGGUCACUCAAAAUUUCCAGGGUUUCCACCACCCUCACACGGCCCAGGCAGACCUCUUUCAGUGCAAGCAAAAGGACAAGGAACCGCUUGCAGAGUAUGUAAGAAGAUACGUUCAACUUUGUUCUCAAGCACCGCACAUUGAGGAGUCUGUAACAAUAUCCGCUUGCAUCGCGGGCCUAACCCCCGGCCCAACAGCCUCAAAACUGUCAAGGAAGGAGCCUAAAACCAUGACUGCCCUCUUCAGCAAACUCGAUGAAUACAUCAGGUCCGACGAGGACCACCGCAGAAGAGUGGCGGAACGUAACAAAGAGAGACAAACAAACCAAAACCGAAGCUGGCAACCUUCGCCUUACAACAAGCCUCAAAACCCAAACCAAAACCAAAACCGCAUCAUGAACAUCGAGGGAAGCUAAAACCAAAACCAGAGCCAAAGCCAAAACAACAGCACCCAAAGAUGGGGCCACUCUGGCAAAGGACGAGGUCGAGGCAAACAACCAAAGUCGUUUUACUGUGUCAACCACGGCCAUCAGAAUCAUCACAACACAGAGUGGUGCCCCAAAAAGAAGCAGGAAGAGAGAAAAGCUGCAGAAGAAGCUGCAAGGACAGCCGCGCAGACACCCAAAACAAUCCACCACACAGCCUUUUACCCACACCCAACCUUCUACCACAAUCAACCCAGCUUCGCCAACUUCCCGCAACCAAUAAAUUGGCCUCUUCCACCGCACAUACAACCCUACCACCAAACAAUUCCACAGCACCCCAAUCCCAACCCGCCUUAGAAGCCCCAAGAAACUCUACCUCCACCCCCAAGCAUGACAGCUAUAAUGCCCAAGCCAGAACCCAACAUGCAAAACAGCAACCAAAAUUCCUUGCCCUCCUUCGGGAUGAUAAUGCCAAUCACCGGGGGAUCAUUCCCGACGGACCUCCAGCAAAGCCAGAAUGGGCACACAUGCCCAUAACCUUCACCGGAGAGGAUUUCAACCUCAAGACAACCUCGCACAACGAUGCGAUGGUCAUCAAAGCACUGAUAGCAGGCUGGACAGUGGGGAAAGUCCUGGUAGACACAGGCAGCUCCGCGGACAUUCUCUUCGCAAAUGCAUUCAGAGAAAUGAAUAUUGACAUGAACACGCUCGACCCAGGGGAUGUCCCGCUCCUUGGCUUCGGCGGAAAGCCCGUGAAAGCCUUGGGAAAAAUCGCCCUCCCAGUCUCGUUCGGAGACCGAGAUAAUGCGAGGACAGAACACAUCACCUUCGACGUAGUGGAAAUGCAUUAUCCCUACAACGCAAUACUCAGCCGUGGCUUCAUCACCAAAAUGGAUGCAACAAUCAGGCAGUUGUACCUAUGCAUGAAAAUACCCGCCCUCAAAGGGGUCAUAACGGUGUACGGUGAUCAGCAAAUGGCAAGGAACAUAGAAAAAGGGGUAGCCCCGGGCCAAAAGAAUGUCCACCAUCUAGCCUCGUCAAACGAAGCCGAAAACAUAGCAAAGCAAAAGGCCCACGACGAGCCUAAGAGAGAUAAAGAGAAGGUAAAAAUCAGUGCGGAUGGCAAAACAAAGCAGGUACCUCAAAACAUAGCUAAGCCACACACCUGAACAAAUUUUCCCCGAAAUUUGCAACACGUCAAGAGUGCUUAUCACUCAACCAUCUCACAUCUCUUUUGUUUAAGGAAACUAGGCUCGUUACUACAAAAUGAACACCAAGAUGAUAGAGCUCUUUUACGAUACACAAUACUACUACUUAGUAGUAUAUAGUAUAUAUAUAAGAUCUAACUGUUCAUUAUUAUGGAUAAUUUAGUAAUUAUUACAAUGUAAAAAGUGAUAUUUCAAAUAGAAUGGUCUUUUAAACUUUCUGCUAGUAUCAAAAAUAAAAUUAUAGUGGUGCCAUUUGUGUUUUCUUACCAUGAUACCCUUAUACUACCUAUACUACUCAUGUAUACUACCCAUACCACAGGCGUAGGUUUCAGUAGUAUGUAAUUAAUCUUGACCGUCGGAUAUGUUUAUACUAGUCAUUUUCGAACACAAGUAUAGUCUAGUGUUGUGUUCCGUAAAAGAGCUCAUAUAAUAUGUUAUAAAACUUAUUUGUGAAAGCUAAAGGCAACAACAGGGGAUAAAUUUCAGAAUAGGUAAGAACAGAAAUUUAAAAGGGCAAAAUUUGUUGAUGCAUGGAAAUGCAUAGAAUGCUUAUUACUCAAUCGACUCACAUCUCUUUUUUCUAGGAAACACAAUAAUUGUUGGAAACAAAGCACUUAUUGUUGGAAACAAAGCACUUAUUGUUGUUCAUAGCAGCUGAGAUUGACUUACAUAUAUUUAUUUGCAAACAGGUGUGAAAUGUGAUACAAUAAUUCAGAAAGCUAGACAUCCUGAGCCAUGCGAGGGAUAAGAAGAAGCUUCUCCUUACGGUGCACAUCCAUCCCAUACGACUCUGACAUAUCGACGCCUGUCGACCCCGGCAGAAGCUCCCAGUUGAAGUGGUAGAUGAGGUUGGCAAGAAUGAUUUCGAAAGUGGCGGUGGUGAAGUUUAUACCCGGGCACAUCCUUCGCCCAGACCCAAACGGCAAGAAACGGAAGUCGUUCCCCUGGAAGUCAGAAGCAGCAUCCACGGCUUCUUCCAUGAACCGCUCGGGCAUGAACUCCUCUGCACUCUCCCAGUAGGUGGAGUCCCUGCCUAGAGCCCACGCGUUGACGAUUACACGUGUCCCAGAGGGUAUGGUAUAUCCCUCCACCUCCCAUUCGGCCAUGGACAAGUGGGGUAUCAAAAGAGGCCCCGGCGCGUGUAGCCGCAUUGACUCUUUCAUCACCGCCGUCAGGUAGCUCAUGCCGCUCAGGUCUUGUUCAGUGACCAGUUCCUUCCCCCUGCUUGCGCACCCCCGCACCUCAGCUUGAAGCUUGGUCAUCACCUUGGGAUUCCGCAUCAGCUCAGCCAUGGCGUAGUCUAGUGCUAUGUAGGUUGUGUCCGUCCCAGCUUCAAACAUGUCCUACAUGAACAUAUCGGUAAGUAGAACUCCAAAUCAAAUUUAACCAAGCUAGUCCAUGAAACGUCUCAUAUGUACCUCUCGUGAAAAAUAAACAUACCAUCAGUAUUGCCUUGACGUUGUCUCUGGUCAGGCCGUACUCUUGUUGAACGGAGAGCAGCACAUCGAUGAAGUCCUCCUCGUCCUCACCAUCGACCGGCUUGGUCUUGUGCUUGUCGAUGAGGCUGUCCAAAAGGUCAUCCCAUAUCUUCCUGUGCUUCACGGCCUUGGCCGAUACCAAGUCCAACCUCGCCAAGCUCGGGAAAUAGUCGUCCAGGUUAAAUCCCCCCAGGAGCUUGGCGUUCGUCUCUAACAGCUCCCGGAACAGCUGGUUCCGACCUUGUUCCCUGGGGAGCCUGCCCGUCACGGCCUGGCACACGAUGUCGUUGGCGAAGAAGCUGAAGAGCUUGCUGACGUCGACCGCGAUGCCCAUGGCGGCGGCGGCCGUCACCUUGGCUAAAACCAGCUGGACCUCCUGCUCGCGGGCGGCGCGGUUGGACCGGACCUUGGCCGCGGUAAGGAGGUGGGUGGUGAUCACCUUCCUGGCCUGGCGCCAGUACUCACCGUAGGGGGCGAAGCCGACGUCGGUGCAGCCGUAGAACAGGACGUCGGCCACCGCGGAGUGCGGCCGGGAGGCGAAGACGUGGUCGUGCGUGCGCAGGACGGCCUUGGCGGCGCGUGGGGAGGAGACGACGAGCGUUGGCACGGCGCCGAGGCGGAGGAGCAUCACGUCGGGCCCGUGCCUCUUGGCGAGGUCGCGGAGGGAGUGGUGGGGAAGGGAUCCGAUGAGGUGGAGGUGGCCGAUGAUCGGGAGCUUGAACGGAGGCGACGGUAGCUUCCGGAGCAGCUUUUCUGUUCUUGACCUUGGUGUUGCCAAGUGCACGGCGACGAGGAAGAGGAAGAAGAGGAGGGCUAGGGACUCUGGAGAUGCGUGUUCGUAGAGGUGCGCUAGCGCUGGAGCCGCCAUGGCUGAUCAACUAGUGUGCACAACACACGGCUUGCUAGCGCAACAAGUUAGAACCAGCUCGUUGCAGUUUUUGUAGACCUCGGAAGUCGUGAUCCGUCAAACAGCAAGAAGAGUAUGCUAUUUUUUUUCUUUUCUGCAUCAUCACUAGAUCAGAUCAGACAGGACCGACCAGAUCUGAUUUUUAUGAGAGAAUCCUAUCGAAUAAUCAUCCUUUUUAUUAAACUGCACCCGACGCAGACUUUCUUUAUUUGCCCAUGUGCUAUUAUAUUAAUUUUUAUCUCGACUAUAUACCACUGUCCUCAUGUAUGUUGUGUACCAAGAGGAACACGAGACGAUCGAGAUUCCAAUAAAAUAUGUGUUUGGUGCUGGAUUAAUUGGCAUGCUUUUCUCUCAGAUGAGCUGCGUGUAGUGACACGGCGCUCGCAAUAGUUGGUCGGCGCACUGGUAGACGGGCAGCUCAUGGAUGCUACCGACGGCUCUGCAACUUGAUGCAGUUCAUGCACGCUGCUGGGUGGCACCCAUGGUGCGAUAUGGCAUUGGCAUUGGCACUGUGGCGGCGGAUCCGACCAGUAGCAGAAGCUCGCACAAGUCUAAAUGUAUCUAACUUUGAUGAAUUUUGAUUUCAAAUCUAUGGAGGCUUUUGAGCUCGAACUAAUUGAAAUGGAUCACACUUUAGUAGUGCUUUCAACAUAAAAAAUUGACACAAAUUAUGGCGGUCAUUUGUGCCACUGGAGAAAUUAAAGGGAAAAAUAGAAAAGAUGGUGUUUUCAAUACACUUUCUUGCUAGCUUGCUAGCCUUUCCCCACGGUGCUGAAAUCGUGGCGGGGCAAAAGGGGAGGUGCAUGAACUCGUCGCUGGCUGGCGGAGGACAGAGCUAGGGGCGGUUCAGGCACAACGGUGCGUAGGCGGGGUAGCGGCGAGGAGUGGCGGUGAGCAGUCUGCCUAGCCCAGGCAGAAAAACAAAGGUUUGAAACAAACAAGCCCUUGGUGUGUAACUGAUAGGCAUAUGUUCGAAACUCCGAUCCUGUCGCCCUUGAUUAAAAUUCAUAGUAGAGACCCAUUGAGGAUUAGCCCUGGCAUCGAUCCGGCCACAGGAGAGACCGGGAGCCAAGAAGUGAAGUAAGUUGCGUGCGUGCCUGACGGCGAGGAAGCACCUCCAUUGAGCCACGAGGUGGAGUACGAGGCAGAGGCGAGAUGGGAUGUGUUGGGGACAGACUCACAUGACGGAGAGCGGUGCAUCUCCUACCUACCAUCUGCCAUUGCCGAGGGCCUUUCACCGUGCACCACUCCGGUUCGCUCUUUUGCGUCGCUGGGAGGAAAGGGACCGCCGAGCGUUGGGUGCCGCCACCGCUCCUGUGUAGUUCACCAUGGCCACCUCCUCCGAUAGCGCCCACACCAGCGCUGCACCUCAUUCCAGGGAUGGGGCAGCCGCUGCUGGGUCACAUCCACCCGGGGAUUGGGCCGUUGCUGGGGAAUGCGCGGCAGAGAAGAAAAGGAGAAAACAGAGGAGACGUGACUGACAGGGACGGAGGAAAGAUGAUGAGUGCGUACGGUGGGGCGGGUAGGAAACGCAUCGGUAAAAAUGGAAUUGGUUUUUUGGUAGAAACAUUUUCUAACUUGUGGUUUUUAUGGGUCUCCACCUUAUCCUCUCUCAAUUGCAUGAUAGGUGGGUCCGACAUGAGCGGUAAGGUGGUUCUGGUUUGGGUGAGAAACGUUUCCAAUUAUGUUGGAAAACAGGCUUCGCGGAGGCUCAAACACAAUGAGGUUUGAGCAGUCCUUGCAAUUCAAUUCCAAAGAAAUGAACAUAUGUUUACAUCGGGGUAGGGCUCUCCUUUUAUAGUAUCUCGGAGGACAUUUUGCAUUCCGCAAUUACCCUCACUCACCCACUACAAUCCUAGAAUAUGCUUUACAUGGAGGUAACUUGUAUAACUUGGUCUCCUCCUUGGAUCACGCUUCUCACGCCUUUAGUCAGCUCCAUGAUUCACGCUCUCACAUGGUUCCACAAAUCACGCCUUCACAUUUCCAACGCCUCCACGCUUCCUGACCUCGUGACCGAAGCCAUCUUAGCUUCGGGAGUCAUGAUCGCCAUAGAUUCGCACCUAAGAGACGCUAGCCUCGCGCCCUGCUCCUUGACCUGAUUCAGCGAUCCUGCAUGAGACACUAAAUAACUCAGCACUCGAGGUUAGCUUCGACUGCUCGAGGUCAAGCUUGGUUAGUGUCUGGCGAUCUGUGUGCCUCCGGGCUUCAAGGUAAGAUUCAGGAUAGCGAGGCUAUGAUUACUUUCCACGCCAGAUUAACCACCCAAGGUUAGGGGUCCUCACCCGAGGUUAAUUAUUUUGAGGGGCUAAGCUGUUGACGCUAAAUGUAACGACCUCGAGGGUGACCAUCUUUUUGGGCGAUCCCCAACAGUAGCCCCUCGUGGGCAAGGCUCGACACCGACAACCGAACCCGCGACUUAAGGAUCUGCUCCCAAAAAACGUCACCCUCAAGCAUCGGUUAGAAAUGAGCCGACAAUUACCUUUUUGGUCUUACGUGUUGAUUUCCUAUUGGGUGACCCUUCGUAUCUAGCUCGUGGUUACAGGCGCCAUUUCACGCAUUUUACCAUGCCUAUAAAAGAGGGGGGUGGGGUCGCUUUCGUUUUUACCCUCGCGGCUAAAACCCUUGCGCUCCUGCUUUUGCUCGCUGCUUCCGUGCUUUAAGAUUCAUGCAUUGUAUGCUGUUCUCCUUGGUCUCGAGGAUCUCAAAGGUAACAAUGUUACUUGUGUCUCUCUUUUAGUGUGAGAUUUUCCCUUGCUUGUCAUUUUGGAGAUGAUGUUUCGAUGCCUUGCAGCUGGCUCGUAUUAUGCAAACCGCUAGGCCCAUGACAUCAGAAGAGUUCACUAAACAAGUUGGGCUUCGCAAUGAGGCUGCGGAGGACCAGGAUUUGUACAAGGCUGACAAGAAGCAAGGAAUCAAGAGGAUUGAGCUUUCUUAUGCCCAGAACAAUAGGUGAGAAGACAAUUGGCUAAGCUACUACUUCUAUAUCAAGAUUGACAGGGCCGAUGCGUCUGGUAUCAACCGAUCUUUCUAUCCUUCUGUGCACCCCUGGGCCCUAUGGAUAUUGCUACUACCCCUGCAUUUACAAGGUCCAAGGCAGACAAGGAGUGCAAGGGCGCUUUCCUCCCGGACUCGAAGUCGAUCCCCGGCUGGAUCUUGUUGAAGAGUUUUUGGCAGCCAAUAUUUGGCCCCUUUCUGAUGGGUGGAGUCCAUUGGAGAUUGUGCCAAAAGACGUUUUGUGGAGUACUAGCCCGCUCCUCUACCCUUGCUUUGGAGUGGAGCUGCCCGUGGAUGCCAACCCCGGUCUUUUUGCAGAGGAUGUUGAGAGGCAUGCUGUUGAUAUAAUUGGCCCGAGUACUGAGACUGAGCUGAUGUUAGCUCGAAAGAUCAUUGCACACGAGCUUCGGGUCAACCGUGUGUUCGAGGAACUUGGGGUCGAUGUUAAGCCUCAUCCCAAACCUCGCAAGACCUUGAAAUGGGCACGAGAGGCUGGCGCGACAGGCUUGGAAUAGGUUGGCAGCAGUGGCAGGUGGAAAAAGAGAAAGGCCGAGAGCACCGCUCCUAAGGCCGCGGCAGUGACUUCAAAGAAGGAUGACAGCCAAUCAAGGGUCGUGCUCGAGGUGCGAAAGCAAAAUUAAAGACCUCGAGCCUCGAAGCUUAGAAGAAGUAAGAAAAAAUUGGACAAAGUUCCUCAAGCGAGGCUGCAAAAUCCUCCACGCCCCUGUCUCUAAAGCCAUCCGAGUUGCGACCAAGUCCGAACUCGAGGCUGCCGGCGCACUGGCCGGUAUGAAAGAAAAGAAGUCUACGAGGAAGUCUCACGUCGGCAAAGCCUUUGAUGAUGAUGAUGAUAUUGUUUUGGAUGUGGACUUGUCUAUGUUCCCUAUAUCGGUCCCCAAGGCUAGUGUUCCUUCAAAGGAGACUGAGACUAAGGUUGCUGCACCCCCUCUACAGCACAAGGCCAAACCUUUGAAGGAGAAGAUCGUGGAUACCAUUGCUAAGGAGAUUAAGGCAUCUACUUCGAAGGUGACAAAGCCAGGUAAACAUGUCGUUGUACAUUUGCCUAGGAUGAGAUUUUAUGAUUGUGGUGAUGCGUCAUUUAGAUUUCUGAUGGAGCUGGAAAAAACCACUGGUGCACCUUGGGAGAUAUAUAGGGAACCUCCUCUAAUAUUUAGGGUAAAACCUUAUUCUGCAGAUUCUGAACUGUCACCCUCUCUGGAACGUUACAACGAGGCCUACGGCACCAACCUUAGACAGGAGCUCAUUGCUGUUCAUGUGCCGGGUUCAGGUGAGGACGAUAAUCGCUACAACCUACCCUUGUUGUGGGGAGCUAAGGAUGGGAUGCGUGGUGUAGAUAGAGCAGCCAAGGAGGUUUUCAAGAUGUCUGAGGGGGUUGUCGGCGAGGUUGGUGGGCAGGGAGAAAGGGAGGAAGGCGAGGUUAUCCCUACUCGAGGUCUUGGGAAAUCCACUGUGCCUUUUGAGGUUGAUUACGAGGACAAGUCUUUUAAUCCUGAGAGUAAGCGCUUGCUCCUUAGUUUGUUUUGUCUGUACUUAAUUUCUACUUUGCUAUGCUUUGACGUGCCUUUCUUUUGACAGAGUAUGAAAAAUCAGUUAGGCGUUUUGAGCAAAAGGACUUAGCUAGGAUGUCAGCUACCAUCGGAUACAAGGUAUUUUGUUCGACGCUUGCUAUUUGUUUCUUAUCUCUCUUUUUUUAUGAGUCUUUUCAUUUUGGUGUUUUGAUUUUGCAGUCCAUCAUCCUUGGGAAGAUGCUAUGGAGAAGGCUGCGGCUAAGGAAAAGAGCAUGCUAGCCGAGAGCACGAAGAUGAUGCAGCUAGAGGCUAGAGUUGCAAAGCUUGAGGAGGAAAGCAAGGUUUUAUAUGCCUUGAAGAACGAGCUCGCCGAUUCUAACUCUGACCUUAAAAAGAACAACGUGCUGCUAACAAAUACCUACAGCGAGCUCGUGCAGCAAGUUGAGAAGCUGGAGAAAAGACCCGAAGACAAUCUUGGUGUUUUGGAGAAACUCCGAAGCGCCACAGAAAAAGACGUACAGACUGUCAUAGAGCAGGAAAAAAUGAUUCAUACCCUUGGUCAGGAUCUCAAAGAGCAAAAGACCUUUGUUGUGGAAGCAGAGCGGGCUCUCAAGGAAAAGUUCGUUGAGAUCUAUGAGGUGUACAAAACUGCUCUUGCAAAGUUUGGCACAGAGCCUCUUUUGUUUCUGGGUGAUGAAAGUGUAAAAGAAAUAUUUGAUUGGGUGGAAGAGGAGUUCAAAGGCCUGCCCGAGGUUAUUACUGGUAGCAGCAACUUUGCUACUUCCUUCUGCCUUGAUAGCGCAUUUCAACUCCUUGAAAAGAACAGCUACUCUCAUUUCUUAACACUUGCGGCUCGCACCUAUAUGUUCCCCUCGGCCUCGGAGCUUGAUGAAGAGGAGAAAUCUAAAAAUUUGAGAGCCAUGAAGAUAAAUUUCUUCAAACAGCUUUGGGCUACCUCCGGGCGAGAGUACACAAGGCUGGUUGCUCAAGAGCGGCUUGCACAGGUUAGGGUUCACAUAACUUUGUAUUUCAUAAGGUUUGCAUUUUUUCUGUUGAUUUCCUGAUGUUGUUCCUCUUGUGUUCGUAGGCCAAGGCAUAGGAAGCAAAAGGCGAAGGUGGGAGCGAGAACGAUGAUGCUGAUCAAGGAGGGCAGUGAUUAUCGAAGCUAGUUAGAGAUUUGUUUUGUGGUUUGGGAUGUUUUGAUAAACUUGAUACUUAGUUGGCUGCUUUUGCGGGCCAGAUUGUAAAUAUUUGUUGCUCAGCCGGAACUUACAUGCUCGAAGCUGGUUACUUUUGGCGUUUGUACCUUCACGGAUUUCUUUUUAUCUUAACGUUUUUAUGUUUGAGUUAUUCUACUCAAAUGGCAACAAAGCUGUAGCUUAAAGAAAUGAGCAAUGUUUUAGUUUAAAACGUCACCCCUGCCCUAGUUUCUUUAUGCGUAGGUUUUUGUUGACUUUGCACGCUUGUUGUCUAAGCUCAAACGGAGCUUAAAAACGUCACCCCCUUCUUGGCACGUGGGUCUUACCCAAGGCAAUUCUCUCAUGGAAAGAGGAUGAAAACGAUUUUUGUUUGCCAAAAAAUGUCACCCCCGCCCUUUUAUCCUUUUUCCGAAAAAACAUCCAACCUCGCCCUUUUCUUUUGCAUGAACGAGGUUAAGUGAGUAUUGACAAACCACAAGAUAAGUCAAUAGAAAAGUUGUUUUCGAGUUAUGUUGACUUAAAAAAUAUGAUAGUUUGGUUGAAAUCGCAACCCUUAGGAUGUAUUUGGUUGGGCUGUGGCUUUUCAAAAAGCUGCUGUGAGCUGUGGGCUGUAGAAAAGCAGCUGUGAGAAAGCAGCUGUGGGAAAAGUAUAAGGCCAUUUGGUUAGAGCAGAUGUAGCUUUUGAAUAAAUUUUCGAGUGGACCCUGCAUGUCAUCCACAGUCCACCCCACUCAACUCUCUCCCUCUCUCACUGACGAGCGGAUCUAACCCUUCUUCUUCCUCCCGCUGGCUUGUCCACCCCAUAGCACCCCGAGUAGCACCAGGGCCGCAACGGCAUCCACGAUGAUGCAGUCCACAAUCAGGGCGAGGUCCAUGAUGGCGAUGGCCUGCGCCUCACCUCCUCCACCUUGCACCACGUGGCAGGCACCGUAGCACCACCGGCAUCUAGGAGGCAGUAGCACCCCGCGGGCACGCAUGCGUCGACAUAGAGGUUGAGGCUGGUCUGUGCCGCCAAGAGCCUGCCGCCCGCGCAGGCGAGCCCCGCCUCCAUGGUGCCCUUCGGUGUGGAGGCGGAGAGUGAUGAGGAGAGGGAUGCCAUGGCAGCGGCGAGGAGGAGGAGACGCGCGAUGAUGAGUGUGUGCUGCUGGAGGUCGGAGGCCGGGAGCGAGACGGCAAGGAGGCCUGCGGCAUGGUCGAGGAGGAGGAACGACAGGGAGAGGAGGAGCGGGAGGUGGGGCGGGAGGAAUGGGAGCAGCGGUGGGAGGAGCAGCAGUGGGAGGAGCGUCAUGGAAGCCAGUGGGAGGAAGGCGAACAGGAGCACGAGGAGUAGCGAGAGGAGGCAGAGGAGCGGGUGGCGGAACAGGCGGAGGAGGUGGUGGUGGAGGGAGGACGGGGAGAGGUAGGAGACGGCGGCAAUGAGGUGGUGGGACUGGGAGGUCGUGAUGAGGGAGAAUAUAAGGGCAUGGCAUGCGAGCAGCAGCGCCUCCACCAUUGGGGUUGGGCAACGCGGUCGGGGAAGUCCCGAGGAGGAGGAGCACCAGGCGGCGGGCCACUAAGGUGAUGGUCGGGUGGGGGGACUGGUGUGGGUGAUGGGGAGUGGACGGGAAUAGAAGGGGAAAACGAACCGUUAUCCUCCAUAACAAGUGGUAGGUGGGUAAUUUUUUGCCCCAAAAGCAGCUAAAAGCAGGGGGAAGGUGCUUUUGAUUUUGAGCAAAAGCACGUAUGGCUUUGGUCAAAAGCACGUAUGGCUUUUAGGCCCUUUGGUUGGCUUUUGGCUUUUGCAAAAGCAAAAGUAGGUUGGAAAGUCCAACCAAAGGCACCCUUAGUUGCUUCAACCAUGAAAUUUUGCGAGGUUGAGAAAAUAGGGAAAUAGGGUGCCUUUUUUGAAAAAAUGUCAGUCUUUCUAUUCUAUUGUGAGAGCUUUGGCUGAGGCUAGGGCCUUCGUGCGAAAGGACAAAAUGAAUUUUCAACUCUGAAAAACGUCACCCCCCUUGUCCUUUUGCGCAGAGGGGGUUUAGACUCAGCAUGGCUUAUUCCGAGUGUUAUCGCUGCCUUUGAUCGCUUGCUGCAGUCUUUCUAUUCUCUGAGUUGCAAGUUCAAGGCCAAUCACUGUGGUGUUUGAGUGAGAAAAUACGUUUAUGUGCAUAUAGUGUGCGUUCAAUGUUAGACUAUGCAGCUUAUUGCUGCUUUAAAAUAUCUUGCGCAGAAACGUAGGUUUUCAGCACGCAGAAACGUGAGGUUAGGCAAGUUGUUGUUGCAUCUGAGACUUGUGCAGACACGCAAGUUUUCAAUGCACAGAAACUCGAGGUUAGGCAACUUGUUGUUGCAUCUAAGACAAAGAUCAUAGGGGGAACUUCAUUUCAUUGAAUAAUGGAAAUUUUACAAGGAUCUACCUCUUCCGACAUGGUUGCCUCUUUGGCCACUUCUGAAAUUGGGUUGAUGUUGGUGGUAUCGGUUCUGGUUUUGGCCUUGGUUUUGGUUUUGGGUUUGGUUUUUGAACGAGGGUUGGUUAUCCUUGAUGGCCAGCAGUUAGUUUGGGUGCGAGUGGUGCUGUUGUUGGUGACUGUAUCACGAAGCUUGCCAGUUUUGACCUUUCUCUGCUUGCCUUUGGCGGUUUCUUUCCACGACCCUUCUUCUAUGGUCUUCAUCUGAUCUGCAAUAUUUAUCCAUCUCUGCGAACAGGGCUUCCAUUCUUUUUGGCUUUUUCCUUGAUAGCUUUGAGGCUGUUGGCCUCGGAUUAAGCCCCUUGAUGCAGAUCUCUAUAGCCAUGCUAUCCUCCACAUCUGGGGUUUGUGCCUUAAGUUGGACAAAUCUUCUCACGUAGCUUGCUAAAAGGCUCUUUAUCUUUUUGCACACAAUUGAACAAAUCCCCCUCAUUAGUCAUGGCUCUAUGAAAGCCUUGAAAGUUUUGUAUAAGUUUGGUUUUAAGAUCGACCCAGCUGUAUACAGAUUGCAGCAGGAGUAGAGAGUACCAAUUUAGUGCUGCACCCUCGCACGCUAUAAUGAAUGACUUUUCCAAUACUACAUCAUCUCCCCCUGCCGAGGCGAUGGCUGUUUCAUAACUCAUGAGGAACUAGCGGGGAUCUGUUUGUCCAUUGAAUUUUGGUAGUGCAACUGCCUUAUAGGUUGUGGGCCAUGGGGCUUUUUGCAGGCCUAAGGACAAUUGGGAGAUUUUGUCGGUAGUUGUGUAUGCGCUCAUUGUCACUCUGGUGUUGUGCCCAACGAGGCUAGGAUUCGGGUAUAUGAUGGGUGUGUCAUUGGUGUUGAAGGUUUGAAGUGGUGGCUGCUGCGGCUGUUGCGGUGUGUUACACAAGUAUUCCAAUUCGUUCAACUCUUGCUGCAACUCUGCCAGCUGCCUUUUGGCCUCAUUUAGCCUCACUAGCUUGUUGGUUGCUAGUCUUUGAGCCUGAAGCUCUUGAGCAAAUUUUUCUUUUUCUUUUUUAAUGCCUCUAGCUGCUUGAGUGCGGAGGCCAACUCUUCUUCUAUUUCACUAAGGGGUUCAUCUUGCGUGCUUGUUUGCUGCAGAGUUUGGUUCGAGGUCCCCGCCUCAACCAUGCCUUUCUGUGAUCUUGUUCUUAAAUUAGCCUCGAUUCUUUUAAACUUUUUCUGCCUUCUCCGUGUUAACUUGUUCGACUGAGACAAGCUGCCUUUCUUGUCCAGCCUCAUCUUCGAUGGUUCUCUUCUUCUUUUGAGGUGGCAUCAUGGGUUUCUUAGUGGCUCAGAAUACCUGCUGUUACCAUGGCACUUCAGCAACCCCACCCAACCCCACGCGCAAGUCAAAAUUUGAGGACCAUAUGUACAAUACGUGUGCAAACAAAACCAUAAUUUCACUAGUAUUGAGGGAUUUUAGUUAUUUCUUCUAAAAAAUCUCUUGGGAAAUCGUAUUUUUGUAGUACAACAUAUAUAGAAAAUAAGUAUUACUCCCAAAUAAACUGCCCUUUUCUUUAGUAUUCUUGGUUUUUGUUAUUAUUUUAUUUAAUCUUACGAUUUAUAUAUGCAUAAAAAAGUAAUUUAGUAUCUUCAAAUAUGGAAACGUGGUCUUAGGAAAUUGUCUAAUAUAUACUAGUUUACCUGCAAUCCACUGGCUUGCACAUUAUAUUUCAUCAUACGGAAAUGUCUGGCAUUGUGAACGGAAGCAAUUUCAUCUGUCUGCAACCCGGCAUAGCAUGUGACACCCAGAGCUCCUGACACAAGCGCGUGAGCACCUUCUCCGACAUGCGCACAUGAUGACCGCAUGCACCCAUAUUAUACAUAGUUUAUUAUAUUUUUGGCUGGGAUAUGAUAAUCAUUAAUUAUUACUUGUAAAGAUUGGAAACGUUACAAACGAUUGUAGAAAAAAUGCGAGUCACCAGGAAGGUAGGUAGUAGAGCAUGCCGUCAGUGUCUUUCCUGUGACCUGUGUUCGUGGUGCACAUGGCAGAAUGCACAGUCUAUACAUAGGAACCAGAAGUUGGCUUCGAAACCAAAUCACUCAUUAGUCCUUCGGUACUGCAGUGAACGCUAUCUAGCUAGCUAAUUUCCCCUUGAAAUCAGUGGCCAUGGGUAGCCUUCCACUUGAAGCCAUGAUGCCACUGAACCCCGAUUCAUUCGCUGGGGAGUCCAGUGCCGUGGUCGACUUCCUCGCCGACUACUACCGCAACGUCGAUAAGUAUCCGGUCAUGGCCAACACCCAGCCAGGGACCAUCCGUAAGCUUCUUCCGGAGGCAGCCCCGGAGUUGGGCGACUCCAUGGAUCGCAUACUGGAUGAUGUGCAGCGGGAUAUCCUCCCCGGCCUCACACAUUGGCAGAGCCCUAGCUUCUUUGCCUAUUUCCCGGCGAAUGCAAGCACCGCAGGGUUCGCCGGGGAGAUGUUGUCGGCUGGUCUCAACGUCGUCCCGUUCGUCUGGACGGCGUCACCGGUGGCCACUGAGCUGGAGCAGGUCGUGGUUGACUGGAUGGCUAGCCUCCUCGGCCUACCGGAGCGCUUCCACUUCAAGGGAGGAGGAGGCGGUGUCCUGCAUGGGAGCACGUGCGAGGCGGUGGUGUGCACUCUCGCUGCCGCGCGCGACCGUGCACUCAGCAAGCUCGGACAUGAGGGCAUCCUCAAGCUUGUCGUGUAUGCCUCGGACCAGACCCACGCAACCUUCCAGAAGGGCGCGAGCAUCGUCGGCAUCCCUCCAGCAAACUUCCGCAUCCUGCGGACUUCGGCAAACUCGGGAUACGGCCUGACCGCCACCAUCGUCCAAAGAGCAAUCGAGGAAGACGUCGCCCGCGGGCUGGUUCCCCUUUACCUCUGCGCCACCGUCGGCACUACUGGUCUGGGGGCCAUUGACCGAGUGCGCGAGCUCGGCCAUGUUGCCCGGCGUUAUGGUAAUUCAUUCAACCUCCCUCUCUUAUACGCUAAUCACCCAUACGGUGACACUAAAUACGUAGAAAUGGAAUGCGCUAUGCGGUCACAAGUCACGAUUCAUGCUCACUUAACAAUCAACAAUCAGUUCCUAUAACCAUCUGACAAGAAUACAUGUUUUACAGGAACCUGGCUGCACAUCGACGCAGCCUACGCCGGAAGCGCAGCCAUUUGCCCGGAGUUCCAAGGUCACCUCGACGGCGCCGAGCUCGCGGACUCGCUGAGCAUGAACCCACAUAAGUGGUUCCUCACCAACAUGGACUGCUGCUGCCUCUGGGUGGCGAACCCUACCACCAUGACCGACGCACUGUCCACUGACCCGGAGUACCUCAAGAAUGUCGGCACCACGUCUAAGAUGGCGGAAACGGUCGACUACAAGGACUGGCAGAUCGCGCUGUCACGCCGCUUCCGUGCCAUCAAACUCUGGGUGGUGCUACGGCGCUAUGGAGCGGCGGGAACGCGCGCGCACAUACGGAGGCACAUCCAGAUGGCAGAGUGGUUCGAGCACGUCGUGGCGGCGGACGAGCGGUUUGAGGUCGUGGUGCCAAGGAACUUCUCCUUGGUGUGCUUCCGCCUCCGCCCGCGGUUCAUGGCGGAUAAAGCUGUGGAGGCCCUGAACCGCGACCUCCUCGCAGCGGUGAAUGCAAGCGGCCGGGCGUUCAUGACGCACUUCGUCGUGGACGACAAGUUUGUGAUCCGCCUAGCCGUGGGUGGGUCAAUGACAGAGAUGCGGCACGUCCGGGCCGCAUGGGAGCUUCUCAAGGAGAAGGCCAACGACUUGAUCGCCACCGGUUGUUAGUUAUUGCUCAUUGCUAGUGCUAUACCAUGCAUGGCCAGCAACAGAAGCUGAGCAUUCUAUUAUUGCUGCCAUUCGUAGUUAGAGCACACCAUGAAUGCAAUAGUCAAUCCAUCUGAACCAUGAACAUUCACUAUGACCAUGUAUGCGACACAAUAUACAUAAGUGCUACUGCCGAUAUUGGAUUCUAUUUCUGGAGAAGCGGCUGCUUCUACGGAGCAGGCCGAUUGAAUUUUAAGUAUGUUAUGAUACUUGUAAAAAAUCGAUGCUAGGCAUGGAUUCCUGGAAGGGGCCCGUCACAACUCACAAUGGAAGGGACCCGUCAUAACCAAGCUCGUUAAUACAAAAGAAACGUCACGCGAAACAAAUGGACGCUAAGCCACACACCUGAAGAAAUUUUACCCGAAAUUUGCAACACGUCAAGAAUGGUUGUCACUCAACCGUCUCACAUCUCUUUUGUUUAAGGAAACCAGGCUCGUUACUACAAAAUGAACACCAAGAUGAUAGAGCUCUUUUACGAUCCACAAUACUACUACUUAGUAGUAUAUAGUAUAUAUAUAAGAUCUAACUGUUCAUUAUUAUGGAUAAUUUAGUAAUUAUUACAAUGUAAAAAGUGAUAUUUCAAAUAGAAUGGUCUUUUAAAUUUUCUGCUAGUAUCAAAAAUAAAAUUAUAGUGGUGCCAUUUGUGUUUUCUUACCAUGAUACCCUUAUACUACCUAUACUACUCGUGUAUACUACCCAUACCACAGGCGUAGGUUUCAGUAGUAUCUAAUUAAUCUUGACCGUCGGAUAUGUUUAUACUAGUCAUUUUCGAACACAAGUAUAGUCUAGUGUUGUGUUCCGUAAAAGAGCUCAUAUAAUAUAUUAUAAAACUUAUUUGUGAAAGCUAAAGGCAACAACAGGGGAUAAAUUCCAGAAUAGGUAAGAACAGAAAUUUAAAAGGGCAAAAUUUGUUGAUGCAUGGAAAUGCAUAGAAUACUUAUUGGAGCGAAGGCCCUUUUAGGUCCAUGGGCUAUUUAUGCCCCUCCACUCGCCCAUUCAGAGUUGCUGGAGUGUCCAUACAUCUAUUGAAGACCAAGGCUCAUCAAGUGACCAAUGGAGAAACCACACAUCCACUGUGAUAAUUUUAGAGCAUCCAGGUGACGAUAUUCAAUGCGCUCAAAUGGUGGUAUUCAACUUAGAAAAAAUAGUAGCACCAGAAGAUCUCAGAGUCAUCGGAGCAACCAUCGAAGCAAUUGGUACAACUGAGAAGUAAGCUUGAGUUGCAGCAAGCACUAGAUGAUCCGACGGGGUCCUUUUCACAAGCGUCGGAGCAAUUCGUAAAGAAGACGGAGAAAGACCUAUAGCACAAGAUAUUCCGAUGGCUAGAAGAUGAAGGAAUCGGACCAAGCAUAUUUACUUUGAAAACGUCAAGAGAGUUUUUAGGAAAAACUCCUUCAGCACCGGAUGAUCCGACGUUACGUCGGAUGAAUUUAGGUAGAGGUCCAACGGCUAUAUACGUCAGCAGGGGGCGUGUCACACCCGAUUUUAAGGACAAAACCGAGUGCUUUCAAUACAUGUGCGCAAGGAACAAGUUACACACAUGUACGACAUAAGUGAAUAACAAAGGCAGUGCCAAAGUGAAUAAAGAGAGUAUUAAACUUUAUUACAUGACCGAAAGUCUUAAUAAAACACAAGCCUAACUUAUUACGCAGCGGAUUCCGAAGACGACGAUGACACCUCAGGCUGCUGACUGAAGAACCGUAUGCCUAGAACUCCUCAAACUCGUGCAGGUACUUCUGCAGAUUCUCUUCGUCUGAACAGCGGUUUUGCAAGGGUGAGUACACUUAUGGUUGGUACUCAACAAGUCGUGGGGAAUAGUGUAGUGUGAGGCCAACCAAGGUAUGGCUAAAGCUAAAUAGCAUCAACUUUUAAUUAGCUUGGUCAAAUUUUAUUAGCAAUUAACUAAGUAUAAGUUUAUACCACCCCAAAUUAAACAUGAACAUAAAUAAAGUAAACAAAAUAUGCAUGGUAUGACAACAAUUUAAGUCCAUCUUUCGUUAGUAUUAUCAUGUGAGGGUCCAGGCCGCUCUUAACCGUGAGCACGGUUGAUCAAUCAGUUUUACACUCUGCAGAGGUCGCACAUCUUUACCCACAAGUCGCGUAAAAGUUCAAAAGAACUUUGGACCCAACCAUGCGGUGUUUGCAAGGCACCAUACCACACUUCCAAGGUGUGAUUGCAUAGGGAUGCUACGAGGCCUUUACAAAGAUUCAUUAGUCAGUGGUAACCCGCUAAGGUUUCGGUGUCUGGCGUGCACAACCUAUCACAGGACAAUGAUGGAACGACUCAGUCCCCCCUCUUGCCUAAUCACGAGUAAGAUUACUCCAGACUAAGGUUUCUAAUUAUUUAGCCAAGACCAGAGCCAAUUAGUCUUGUGGUAGCACUAUUUUCCUGGGUGGCUGUCCAUGUUCCGAUUAAACGUUUGUGAUCUUGUAUUAAUGAAAGGUAUAACAGAAGUAAAGCAAGAUUAAUCAUUGAGUUCAGUUAAACCAACUUAUCCUAAGUAGGAACUAAGCAUGAGCUACCCAACAUAAAAGUAAACCCGGUUGGUCAAGGCAAAGGUAAAUUCAAUCUAGGCAAACCUUAAUUGGGACCCAUCAAUUUAAUCUUAACAAGGGCAUAGCAUAAUUGUUGAGUAUGAGAAAGUAAAAGUGUAUAGGACUGAGAAGUAGUGAUCAAGGACACGACUUGCCUUCUUGGCCUUGCUCUUGCUGUUCGUACUCGUCGAAGGCUUGAUCUUCAAAUCCCCCGAAUUGCUGAACGUCUAUACACAUCACACGAGCACAUACAAGCAAACAAGGGCACAAAGUAAGAAAACAGUACACCAAUCACAACUAAACAGAGAAAACAAGCUUGAAAAAUUAAUCUACGCUUUAAACAAACACGUGGAUUUAAAGAACGUGAAAAACGGAGUUAAGAUGCAACAGAUAUGAUUAAAACAAGAUAAGAGGGCUUUUCUGUGAGAAAAACAAAACUUCUAGGGUCGAACUGCGGAAAACCGAGGGCUUAUACGUGAUUAUGCCUAGAAACCGAAGGUUUAACACGCAAAAACACAACUUGGGAUGGCGGGUUGAUUUUACAGAAACUCAGGGUCUAAACCGAAAGAAAACAGGACCAAAACAAAAUUAUUUUUCAACUAGAUUGGACUGCGGGUUGAUUUAUGGAAAAGGCCAGGGCUUAAGUGCCAACAAGGUGCAGCGCGACGCGAUUUACCGUUAUGCGAUCCGGUUGACUCGCUGCGGGCCGUCGGAUUUGGAUCUGACAGUCUCGGUCGUCGGCAACACCGAAGCGGCGGCGCACCAGUCAGCGGGCGGCUAUGAGCGGCGGCGGUUCGUCGGAAUUAGCCGAUACGGCGCUCCGGGGCUCGGUUUCGCGCGUGGAAAACACAGGAAGCAUGAGAAAAGAAAGGUGAUCCCGUUUUGGUGGUUCACGAUGACCAAGGUCACCGGAAGGCGGCGGCGGAGAGAGGGUGGCGGCGCUGGAGCUCUGGUGGCAGCGCUUGGUAGGGUUUCGGGGGCGCUAUUGCGGCGUGCUCGGGGUCGCAGGGGGGGGAGGGGGCAGCGGGGUGGCGGCUUAUAUAGGAGCGGAGUCCGGUGGCGGUCGGAGUGGAGUCCUAGCCGGAUACGGCCGGAGGACGGGGAUGAGGGAUAGGUCCCAGCUGUUAGAAAUCUUUACCCACAACUCGCGUAAAAGUUCAAAAGAACUUUGGACCCAACCAUGCGGUGUUUGCAAGGCACCAUACCACACUUCCGAGGUGUGAUUGCAUAGGAACGCUACGAGGCCUUUACAAAGAUUCAUUAGUCAGUGGUAACCCGCUAAGGUUCGGUGUCUGGCAUGCACAACCUAUCACAGGACAAUGAUACAACGACUCAGUCCUCCCUCUUGCCUCAUCACGAGUAAGGUUUCUAAUUAUUUAGCCAAGACCAGAGCCAAUUAGUCUUGUGGUAGCACUGUUUUCCUGGGUGGCUCUCCCUGUUCCGAUUAAACGUUUGUGAUCUUGUACUAAUGAAAGGUAUAACAGAAGUAAAGCAAGAUUAAUCAUUGAGUUCAGUUAAACCAACUUAUCCCAAGUAGGAACUAAGGAUGAUCUACCAAACAUAAAAGUACACCCGGUUAGUCAAGGCAUAGGUAAAUUCAAUCUAGGCAAACCUUAAUUGGGACCCAUCAAUUUAAUCUUAACAAGGGCAUAGCAUAAUUGUUGAGUACGAGAAAGUAAAAGUGUAUAGGACUGAGAAGUAGGGAUCAAGGACACAACUUGCCUUCUUGGCCUUGCUCUUGCUGUUCGUACUGCUCGAAGGCUUGAUCUUCAAAUCCCCCAAAUUGCUGAACGUCUAUACGCAUCACACGAGCACAUACAAGCAAACAAGGGCACAAAGUAAGAAAACAGUACACCAAUAACAACUAAACAGAGAAAACAAGCCUGAAAAAUUAAUCUACACUUUAAAACAAACAUGUGGAUAUAAAGAACGCGAAAAACGGAGUUAAGAUGCAAAAGAUAUGAUUAAAACAAGAUCCAGGGGCUUUUCUGCGAGAAAAACAAAACUUCUAGGGUCGAACUCCGAAAAACCGAGGGCUUGUACAUGAUUAUGCCUAUAAACCGAAGGUUUAACACGGAAAAAUGCAACUUAGGAUGGCGGGUUGAAUUAGAGAAACUCAGGGUCUAAACCGAAAGAAAGCAGGACCAAAACACAAUUAUUUUUGAACUAGAUUGGACUGCAGGUUGAUUUGCGGAAAAGGCGAGCGCUUCAGUGCAAAAGAGGCGCGGCGCGACACGAUUGAGUACGCGAUCCGGUUGACUCGCUGUGGGCUGUCGGAUUUGGAUCCGACGGUCUCGGUUGUCGAUGACACCUAAGCGGCAGCGGACCAGGCGGCGGGCGGCGACGAGCGGCGGCGGUUUGCUGGAAUUAGCCGAUACGGCGCUCCGGGGCUCGAUUUCGCGCGCGGAAAACACCGGAAGCAUGAGAGAAGCAAGGCGAUCCCUUUUCGGCGGUUCACGGUGAUCGAGGCUCACUGGAAGGUGGUGCUUGGCGGCGGAGAGAGGGUGGCGGCACUUGCUGGGGUUUCGGGAGCGCUGUUGCGGGGUGCUUGAGGUGGGGGGGGGGGGCGGCGGCUUAUACAGGGGCGGAGUCCGGGCGCGGUCGGAGUGGAGUCCCGGCCGGAGCACGGGGAUGACGGGUAGGUCCCACUCGUCAGACCUGCGGAAGGAGGCCGCUGCCGCUGGGCAGGCCGACGGAGUGGGCCGAGCGAGCGACAUGGGCUGGCAAGGGAAAAAGGGAAAGCGGCAGCUUCGCGGGCCGAAGGAAAAGGCGGAGCGGGCCGGGGGAGGUAGCGGCGCUGUGCUGCAGGGAAAUAGGAUCCGGGCUGAAAGAGAAAGGAGGAGGAGAAGGAUGCAGCCCAGGAGGACGAAGAGAAAAGAGGAAAAGAAAGAUUUUUGAAAUUGAAAUUGAAAUUGAGAUUCAAUUUUCAUUCAAACACAAGCAAUCAAAAUAAAUGCACCAGCAUGCAAUGCACAAAGAACUCCUAUGAUGGUUUAAUUUAAUUUAGAGAAAAUAAAAUUAAAUGCCUAGAAAUUUGAAUGACAUCCUAAUUGAGCAAAUUUUAGUGUAUUUAAAUUCUUUAAAAAAUUUGGGUGUUACAGGGCACUAGAUGAUCCGACGCCUAUCUCAAGUGACCAUCGGAUCAUCCAAUGCUCACAUAUUUUACUAGCCGUUGUAGCGAAGGCUCUUUGAGAUCCAUGGGCUAUUUAUGCCCUCUCCACUCGCCCAUUCAGAGGUGCUGGAUUGUCCAUACAUCGAUUGAAGACCAAGGCCCAUCAAGAACACAUCCAUGCCACCAAAACUGCAAAAGCGAUAAUCCAAGGCUUAGCACGAGCUAAGAGAUUGAUUAGCUCUAGGAUAGGCCUAGAGAGAGUAGUGCCAGGUGUUGCUACCUUGUGAUUGGUUCAAGGAGUGAUCCACUAUUGUAAGCUUGGGGCGCCGGCACCUUGGGGUCUUGGUGGCUCUCCGGCAAGUCUUCGACACCCCAGCUCAGUGUGGAGCAGCGUCGACAGCCGGAUGCGGGGGACAAGAAGACUCCUUCCUUCGUGGAGCAGCUCCAUGGUGAAGACGACGUCAAGGUGACCGAAGGGGGGUAGUAGUGAGCAUUGCAUUUGUGGAUAGCUUGUCAUCCGGCUUGGCUAGAGCCUUUGUAGCGAGCCCAAGACCUUGACCGGGAGAGACUUGGUGAGUAGGAGCUUGUCCUUGGUGGAGCUCCAACGCAUGGACUAGGGGUGGCAUUUGGCUACCGAUACCAUGUGAUAAAUCAUCGUGCUAGGUUUGCAUCUUUUCUAACCCACUCCUUUACAUUUCCGCACUACAUUCUCGCAACUUGAGUGCCUUUAAUUACUUUCCAGAGUAGUACCUUGUUAGGAUUGGCUCUAGGUUGCAAAACUCUUUGUGGGUGGGAAGUUUCACUAGAUCAACCAUAGAUGCACAUGUAGAUAGCAUGAUCUAGUUUAGGUUUGGAAGCAAGUAGUGGAAGUCAUAGGCCAAGGAUUUUAAGCUAGCCUAAUUCACCCCUCCCCUUCUUAUGGUACGAGCAUCGAUUCCUUUCAAUUUGCUUUAGCACCAUGAAGGCAAUAGUCAUCCAUCUGCACCAUGAUCAUAGAGCAAUGCAAAACCACGAGAGAAACGAAACGGCUGCUCUUCCUUCAUUUUAUUCCAAUUAAUAUGGACGUGGAGGUUACAGGACACACCAUGCUAGCUGUAGCGCCGGCAACAGGGAAACAAACCCAAGAAAGCAAUGCGGACAUUUUAUUCUACUUUUUUAUGCAGAAUAUAUGGAGGCACCAGCCAGCCCAGCAACAACGACAAUGGCGGCUACUUGGUAUACUCGAUGGCCCAGAAGUUGGCGUAGAUGUAGGUGGACUUGACGCUGGUAAACCCGGCGCCCUUGGCGAGCUCCACAAACUCCCUCUCGUACCUCUCCUUGCCGUCGGGGCUGUACGCGAGCAGGCACACGUCGACGCCGAUCAACCCCUGCGCGCUGUUUGUGGCAUCCGGGUUCACCGGCAGGAUGCACUCGACACUGAUGAGCUUGCCGUGCGGAGGCAGCGCCUCGUAGCAGUUCUUGAGCAGCUUGGCGCAGUGGUUGUCGCCCCAGCAAUUGAGGAUCCACUUCAUGAGGAUGGCGUCGCCGGAGGGCACCUUCUCAAACAUGUCGCCUCCCACGUGCUGCACCUGCACGUCGGGGUAGGCCGGCGCCUCGGAGAUGACGUGGGGAAGGUCGAAGUUGAUCCCUUGAAUGGUCGGGUACCUGGAGGUGAUGGCAUGGAUGGUGGAGCCGAGGCCGCCGCCAACGUCGACGAGGGUGCGGACGCCGUCGAAGCCCGUGUAGAGCUCCAAGAGCUUCUUGGUGAGGAUGACGGAAUGCUGCUUCAUGGCCUCAUUGAAGACUCCGUUGAAGCGUGCGUCAGUACCGGCGUAGUCGAACCAGGAAGGCGUCCCAAACGCCCUGUUGAAUGGGCUGCCACCCUCAAGGACCGCGUCCGUCAUGUAGCUCCAGGCGUGCAUGAAGAGCUUGUCGUUGGCGAGGAGGUGGAACGGAGCCAUGGAGACACCAUCCUCGUUGGGGGUGAGCCACUUGCACACUGGCGCGGCGCUGUACUGGCGGCACAGGCUGCCAUCCUCGCCCUCCUCCACCACGCAGGACACAACUUUGUAGGACGCCAGAAGUCGCAGCAAGCGAUCCACCAUGGACGGCGCGGCGGGGUUGGCCUUGGAAGGCAGCUUCGCUGAAUGAUCGAUGAGGCGAAAGGGGCCGUUUAUAUAGAGCUUCGAGCUAGGCUUUGUUCACCAAGCUGAAAAUCAUGCAUUCUUUGACAAGUAUGGGAUUGCUUGUAUGGUGUGAGAGCUAGCAGCUAGCGUGGCAGUGAUUGUUUAUUAUAUUUCUUAUUACCCCAUGCAAAACCUCCCUCCUAAUAAGAUCGUGAUGCACGAGGCUGAAUACUAUAUUGUUUUGUCUGCAGUCUAAUCGAUUUGGAAUCUGCAAAUAUGAUCAAUUCACGACAUUGGAGAUGGUCGGCGCACGAAAUGCCGCCGGGACACAACGAGGAGUGGCAGUCCUAUUGAAACUUUCAGAGAAGCACCUUGUGCCCUUUGAGAAUCUGUUUUGCAUUAGAUCAAGGUUGAGAUGGUUUCACGUGCGUGAUGGACAUGGCUUCGCUACUGCACAACUGUUUUUCAAGAAUCAAGAUAUUCUGCAUGGGAUGUCCUGCGUCUCUGGUGUCGGUGCAAUCUUUCUCCUGUUGAACACGUACACUAGCGUCUGAUGCCAGAGUGAGGUGGAUCGGGUGGAUCAAGGCUACGGCGUAGCACAUUAUCAAGGCUCGGGCGGCCAGAGCAAGAACACGAGCUGGCCGACCGUAGAGGGAAGACGCAACCGGCACUCGCAGAAUCUACGUGGCUCCCCUUGGUCGUUCUUUGUCUCACCCUAUGGGUAUCGUGGAGGCACGGCGCCAGGCUGGCGGCACGGUGUAGCCUCAAUUCAGAACUUUCCUAGCCAGGGCGUGGCCGAGGGCGAUUGGUUGCUCAACCUGAUGAGAACUUGGGUGGGUGCUCCUGCAUGGGAGAGAAUAGGGUGACGGAUGAGAAUGCAGAUGAGGGACGGGGCUCAGACGAGGGGUGGGUUGGAGACAUGUUUUCACUGUUGAACUCUUAGCGUCAAGAUGAGAGGUGAGAUGAGAUACCGGUAGGACCUGCUCUUACCAUGGCACUUCAGCAACCCCACCCCAACCCCGCGCGCAAGUCAAAAUUUGAGGACCAUAUGUACAAUACGUGUGCAAACAAAACCAUAAUUUUACUAGUAUUGAGGGAUUUUAGUUAUUUCUUCUAAAAAAUCUCUUGGGAAUCGAAAUCGUAUUUUUGUAGUACAACAUAUAUAGAAAAUAAGUAUUGUUCACAAAUAAACUGCCCUAUACUUGGUUUUUGUUAUUAUUUUAUUUAAUCUUAAGAUUUAUAUCUGCAUAAAAAAGUAAUUUAGUAUCUUCAAAUAUGGAAACGUGGUCUUAGGAAUAGAGCUCAUAUUUUAUUCUUGAGCAUGCCUAGUGGAAAAAUAAUAUCUAAAAAACUGCAAAGAAAUUUAAUACCUAAGCCUUCGAUCCGCUCUACUUUUUGUAUACUAGUUUACCUGCAAUCCACUGGCUUGCACAUUAUAUUUCAUCUGUCUGCAACCCUGCAUAGCAUGUGACACCCAGAGCUCCUGACACAAGCGCGUGAGCACCUUCUCCGACAUGCGCACAUGAUGACCGCAUGCACCCAUAUUAUACAUAGUUUAUUAUAUUUUUGGCUGGGAUAUGAUAAUCAUUAAUUAUUACUUGUAAAGAUUGGAAACGUUACAAACGAUUGUAGAAAAAAUGCGAGUCACCAGGAAGGUAGGUAGUAGAGCAUGCCGUCAGUGUCUUUCCUGUGACCUGUGUUCGUGGUGCACAUGGCAGAAUGCACAGUCUAUACAUAGGAACCAGAAGUUGGCUUCGAAACCAAAUCACUCAUUAGUCCUUCAGUACUGCAGUGAACGCUAUCUAGCUAGCUAAUUUCCCCUUGAAAUCAGUUUUCUUGCGUGGCCAUGGGUAGCCUUCCACUUGAAGCUUGGACAUGAGGCGGUGGUGUGCACUCUCGCUGCCGCGCGCGACCGUGCACUCAGCAAGCUCGGACAUGAGGGCAUCCUCAAGCUUGUCGUGUAUGCCUCGGACCAGACCCACGCAACCUUCCAGAAGGGCGCGAGCAUCGUCGGCAUCCCUCCAGCAAACUUCCGCAUCCUGCGGACUUCGGCAAACUCGGGAUACGGCCUGACCGCCACCAUCGUCCAAAGAGCAAUCGAGGAAGACGUCGCCCGCGGGCUGCUUCCCCUUUACCUCUGCGCCACCGUCGGCACUACUGGUCUGGGGGCCAUUGACCGAGUGCGCGAGCUCGGCCAUGUUGCCCGGCGUUAUGGUAAUUCAUUCAACCUCCCUCUCUUAUACGCUAAUCACCCAUACGGUGACACUAAAUACGUAGAAAUGGAAUGCGCUAUGCGGUCACAGGUCACGAUUUCAUGCUCACUUAACAAUCAACAAUCAGUUCCUAUAACCAUCUGACAAGAAUACAUGUUUUACAGGAACCUGGCUGCACAUCGACGCAGCCUACGCCGGAAGCGCAGCCAUUUGCCCGGAGUUCCAAGGUCACCUCAACGGCGCCGAGCUCGCGGACUCGCUGAGCAUGAACCCACAUAAGUGGUUCCUCACCAACAUGGACUGCUGCUGCCUCUGGGUGGCGAACCCUACCACCAUGACCGACGCACUGUCCACUGACCCGGAGUACCUCAAGAAUGUCGGCACCGCGUCUAAGAUGGCGGAAACGGUCGACUACAAGGACUGGCAGAUCGCGCUGUCACGCCGCUUCCGUGCCAUCAAACUCUGGGUGGUGCUACGGCGCUAUGGAGCGGCGGGAAUGCGCGCGCACAUACGGAGGCACAUCCAGAUGGCAGAGUGGUUCGAGCACGUCGUGGCGGCGGACGAGCGGUUUGAGGUCGUGGUGCCAAGGAACUUCUCCUUGGUGUGAUUCCGCCUCCGCCCGCGGUUCAUGGCGGAUAAAGCUGUGGAGGCCCUGAACCGCGACCUCCUCGCAGCGGUGAAUGCAAGCAGCCGGGCGUUCAUGACGCACUUCGUCGUGGACGACAAGUUUGUGAUCCGCCUAGCCGUGGGUGGGUCAAUGACAGAGAUGCGGCACGUCCGGGCCGCAUGGGAGCUUCUCAAGGAGAAGGCCAACGACUUGAUCGCCACCGGUUGUUAGUUAUUGCUCAUUGCUAGUGCUAUACCAUGCAUGGCCAGCAACAGAAGCUGAGCAUUCUAUUAUUGCUUCCAUUCGUAGUUAGAGCACACCAUGAAUGCAAUAGUCAAUCCAUCUGAACCAUGAACAUUCACUAUGACCAUGUAUGCGACACAAUAUACAUAACUGCUACUGCCGAUAUUGGAUUCUAUUUCUGGAGAAGCGGCUGCUUCUACGGAGCAGGCCGAUUGAAUUUUAAGUAUGUUAUGAUACUUGUAAAAAAUCGAUGCUAGGCAUGGAUUCCUGGAAGGGGCCCGUCACAACUCACAAUGGAAGGGACCCGUCAUAACCAACCUCGUUAAUACAAAAGAAACAUCAGGCGAAACAAAUGGACGCUAAGCCACACACCUGAACAUAAGGCUGUAUAUGUAAUUUUACCAUGACAGCGACGUCUCGAAUGAGAACCAAGUUACUGUCUUGUACGGAAUAUUCUUGGGAUGUAGUGGUUGCGUAUCGGUAUAACGGGGAUGCGGAAAUGUAACUUUAUAGCUCUAUAAAGGGAGGCGAACCGUCCUCCCUAAGGACACGAAUCUUUGUUAGGAUAGCCACUGUAAUGUCUGUAUGAACCACUGUUAUCUUCGUUCACUGUAUUCUCAUCAUUGUCUGGGAAUCCCCCAACAUUUGGUGCCCACCGUGGUUUAACUCGUUAAACAGCCCACGAUGCCACCACAACGCAAAAAGAGACCUGCAACUCAGAGGGAAGACAACACAGAAGAAGCCAACCAGCUCACGGCCCCCGAAGCCACACAUCAAAUCCUCCCCGACAAGGCGGAGCGUCUUGCAAGAGUCGAGAAAGCCCUAAGGGCCAAGGCAAUGAGCAACCAGCCCGCAAACGAAGUCAACCACCAAAGCCACCAACCUGUGGCAAAUGAAGUUGCCAACUGUGUUGAUGCUCACCAGUCUGCAACACCCGAAGCUACUGGCCCAUCUAGCCUGAACAAUGAACUAGACUCAGUUCUCCGAAAGAUAGAAGAGGUCAAAAGAAAGAAGGAACAGUUGGCACGACAAGUGCAACACCAGAAAGAGGCUGCGGCCAGGCUAUCAAAGUUGAACGAGGCUAGGCGGCAACUAGAAGCACUACAGGAAGAAGUCGCAGAGCUCGAAAGCCCCCUCGAGAAUGCAAACCAGGCCGCAACUUAUUUUUAUCAAAGUCCCACUGUCGAUCAAGCACAGCUUCAACCCAGCAUCAACUUCGGCCAAGGCAUCCAGCACCACUCACCAGGGGUGUCCCUUGUUGUCGACCCAACUUCACCGCUCUCAAUAGGGCUACAAACUGCACCAUGGCCGACGACCUACAAACCAACCACCUUGCCCAAAUUCAACGGGCGCACCGACCCGCGGCAAUUCUUAAUGAGUUAUGAAGCUGCAGUAGCUUCGGCCGGAGGGGAUGAUGUCGUCCUCACCAAAUCCUUCAUAAUUGCCUGCGAGGGCGCAACGCUAAAUUGGUAUUCGCUGCUCCCUCCACACAUGGUGAUCAACUGGCACGACCUCAAGAUGAAGGUCACUCAAAAUUUCUAGGGUUUCCACCACCCUCACACGGCCUAGGCAGACCUUUUUCAGUGCAAGCAAAAGCACAAGGAACCGCUUGCAGAGUAUGUAAGAAGAUACGUUCAACUUUGUUCUCAAGCACCGCAAAUUGAGGAGUCUGUAGCAAUAUCCACUUGCAUCGUGGGCCUAACCCCCAGCCCAACAGCCUCAAAAUUGUUAAGGAAGGAGCCUAAAACCAUGACUGCCCUCUUCAGCAAACUCGAUGAAUACAUCAGGUCCGAUGAGGACCACCGCCGAAGAGUGGCGGAACGUAACAAAGAGAGACAAAAAAACCAAAACCGAAGCUGGCAACCUUCGCCUUACAACAAGCCUCAAAACCCAAAUCAAAACCAAAACCGCAUCAUGAACAUCGAGGGAAGCCAAAACCAAAACCAGAGCCAAAGCCAAAACAACAGCACCCAAAGAGGGGGCCACUCUAGCAAAGGACGAGGUCGAGGCAAACAACCAAAGUUGUUUUACUGUGUCAACCAUGGCCAUCAGAAUCAUCACAACACAGAGUGGUGCCCCAAAAAGAAGCAGGAAGAGAGAAAAGCUGCAUAAGAAGCUGCAAGGACAGCCGCGCAGACACCCAAAACAAUCCACCACACAGCCUUUUACCCACACCCAACCUUCUACCACAAUCAACCCAGCUUCGCCAACUUCCCGCAACCAAUAAAUUGGCCUCUUCCACCGCACAUACAACCCUACCACCAAACAAUUCCACAGCACCCCAAUCCCAACCCGCCUCAGAAGCCCCAAGAAACUCUACCUCCACCCCCAAGCAUGCCAGCUAUAAUACCCAAGCCAGAACCCAACACGCAAAACAGCAACCAAAAUUCCUUACCCUCCUUCGGGAUGAUAAUGCCAAUCACCGGGGGCUCCUCGCUAGAGUUUGAAAGCAAGAGAUAGAAACAGAACUACUUCAGAGAGGUCAAUGUGAUCAUUCCCGACGGACCUCCAGCAAAGCCAGAAUGGGCACACAUGCCCAUAACCUUCACCGAAGAGGAUUUCAACCUCAAGACAACCUCGCACAACGAUGCGAUGGUCAUCAAAGCACUGAUAGCAGGCUGGACAGUGGGGAAAGUCCUGGUAGACACAGGCAGCUCCGUGGACAUUCUCUUCGCAAAUGCAUUCAGAGAAAUGAAUAUUGACAUGAACACGCUCGACCCAAGGCAUGUCCCGCUCCUUGGCUUCGGCGGAAAGCCCGUGAAGGCCUUGGGAAAAAUCGCCCUCCCAGUCUCGUUCCGAGACCGAGAUAAUGCGAGGACAGAACACAUCACCUUCGACGUAGUGGAAAUGCAUUAUCCCUACAAUGCAAUACUCAGCCGUGGCUUCAUCACCAAAAUGGACACAACAAUCAGGUAGUUGUACCUAUGCAUGAAAAUACCCGCCCUCAAAGGGGUCAUAACGGUGUACGGUGAUCAGCAAAUGGCAAGGAACAUAGAAAAAGGGGUAGCCCCGGGCCAAAAGAAUGUCCACCAUCUAGCCUCGUCAAACGAAGCUGAAAACAUAGCAAAGCAAAAGGCCCACGACGAGCCUAAGAGAGCUAAACAAAAGGUAAAAAUCAGUGCGGAUGGCAAAACAAAGCGGGUACCUCAAAACAUAGCUAAGCCACACACCUGAACAAAUUUUCCCCGAAAUUUGCAACACGUCAAGAGUGCUUAUCACUCAACCGUCUCACAUCUCUUUUGUUUAAGGAAACUAGGCUCGUUACUACAAAAUGAACACCAAGAUGAUAGAGCUCUUUUACGAUACACAAUACUACUACUUAGUAGUAUAUAGUAUAUAUAUAUAAGAUCUAACUGUUCAUUAUUAUGGAUAAUUUAGUAAUUAUUACAAUGUAAAAAGUGAUAUUUCAAAUAGAAUGGUCUUUUAAACUUUCUACUAGUAUCAAAAAUAAAAUUAUAGUGGUGCCAUUUGUGUUUGCUUACCAUGAUACCCUUAUACUACCUAUACUACUCAUGUAUACUACUCAUACCAUAGGCGUAGGUUUCAGUAGUAUGUAAUUAAUCUUGACCGUCGGAUAUGUUUAUACUAGUCAUUUUCGAACACAAGUAUAGUCUAGUGUUGUGUUCCGUAAAAGAGCUCAUAUAAUAUGUUAUAAAACUUAUUUGUGAAAGCUAAAGGCAACAACAGGGGAUAAAUUUCAGAAUAGGUAAGAACAGAAAUUUAAAAGGGCAAAAUUUGUUGAUGCAUGGAAAUGCAUAGAAUGCUUAUUACUCAAUCGACUCACAUCUCUUUUUCCUAGGAAACACAAUAAUUGUUGGAAACAAAGCACUUAUUGUUGGAAACAAAGCACUUAUUGUUGUUCAUAGCAGCUGAGAUUGACUUACAUAUAUUUAUUUGCAAACAGGUGUGAAAUGUGAUACAAUAAUUCAGAAAGCUAGACAUCCUGAGCCAUGCGAGGGAUAAGAAGAAGCUUCUCCUUACGGUGCACAUCCAUCCCAUACGACUCUGACAUAUCGACGCCUGUCGACCCCGGCAGAAGCUCCCAGUUGAAGUGGUAGAUGAGGUUGGCAAGAAUGAUUUCGAAAGUGGCGGUGGUGAAGUUUAUACCCGGGCACAUCCUUCGCCCAGACCCAAACGGCAAGAAACGGAAGUCGUUCCCCUGGAAGUCAGAAGCAGCAUCCACGGCUUCUUCCAUGAACCGCUCGGGCAUGAACUCCUCUGCACUCUCCCAGUAGGUGGAGUCCCUGCCUAGAGCCCACGCGUUGACGAUUACACGUGUCCCAGAGGGUAUGGUAUAUCCCUCCACCUCCCAUUCGGCCAUGGACAAGUGGGGUAUCAAAAGAGGCCCCGGCGCGUGUAGCCGCAUUGACUCUUUCAUCACCGCCGUCAGGUAGCUCAUGCCGCUCAGGUCUUGUUCAGUGACCAGUUCCUUCCCCUUGGUUGCGCACCCCCGCACCUCAGCUUGAAGCUUGGUCAUCACCUUGGGAUUCCGCAUCAGCUCAGCCAUGGCGUAGUCUAGUGCUAUGUAGGUUGUGUCCGUCCCAGCUUCAAACAUGUCCUACAUGAACAUAUCGGUAAGUAGAACUCCAAAUCAAAUUUAACCAAGCUAGUCCAUGAAACGUCUCAUAUGUACCUCUCGUGAAAAAUAAACAUACCAUCAGUAUUGCCUUGACGUUGUCUCUGGUCAGGCCGUACUCUUGUUGAACGGAGAGCAGCACAUCGAUGAAGUCCUCCUCGUCCUCACCAUCGACCGGCUUGGUCUUGUGCUUGUCGAUGAGGCUGUCCAAAAGGUUAUCCCAUAUCUUCCUGUGCUUCACGGCCUUGGCCGAUACCAAGUCCAACCUCGCCAAGCUCGGGAAAUAGUCGUCCAGGUUAAAUCCCCCCAGGAGCUUGGCGUUCGUCUCUAACAGCUCCCGGAACAGCUGGUUCCGACCUUGUUCCCUGGGGAGCCUGCCCGUCACGGCCUGGCACACGAUGUCGUUGGCGAAGAAGCUGAAGAGCUUGCUGACGUCGACCGCGAUGCCCAUGGCGGCGGCGGCCGUCACCUUGGCUAAAACCAGCUGGACCUCCUGCUCGCGGGCGGCGCGGUUGGACCGGACCUUCGCCGCGGUAAGGAGGUGGGUGGUGAUCACCUUCCUGGCCUGGCGCCAGUACUCACCGUAGGGGGCGAAGCCGACGUCGGUGCAGCCGUAGAACAGGACGUCGGCCACCGCGGAGUGCGGCCGGGAGGCGAAGACGUGGUCGUGCGUGCGCAGGACGGCCUUGGCGGCGCGUGGGGAGGAGACGACGAGCGUUGGCACGGCGCCGAGGCGGAGGAGCAUCACGUCGGGCCCGUGCCUCUUGGCGAGGUCGCGGAGGGAGUGGUGGGGAAGGGAUCCGAUGAGGUGGAGGUGGCCGAUGAUCGGGAGCUUGAACGGAGGCGACGGUAGCUUCCGGAGCAGCUUCUCUGUUCUUGACCUUGGUGUUGCCAAGUGCACGGCGACGAGGAAGAGGAAGAAGAGGAGGGCUAGGGACUCUGGAGAUGCGUGUUCGUAGAGGUGCGCUAGCGCUGGAGCCGCCAUGGCUGAUCAACUAGUGUGCACAACACACGGCUUGCUAGCGCAACAAGUUAGAACCAGCUCGUUGCAGUUUUUGUAGAGCUCGGUAGUCGUGAUCCGUCAGACAGCAAGAAGAGUAUGCUAUUUUUCUUCUUUUCUGCAUCAUCACUAGAUCAGAUCAGACAGGACCGACCAGAUCUGAUAUUUUAUGAGAGAAUCCUAUCGAAUAAUCAUCCUUUUUAUUAAACUGCACCCGACGCAGACUUUCUUUAUUUGCCCAUGUGCUAUUAUAUUAAUUUUUAUCUCGACUAUUAUAAUUUUUAUCUCGACUAUAUACCACUGUCCUCAUGUAUGUUGUGUACCAAGAGGAACACGAGACGAUCGAGAUUCCAAUAAAAUAUGUGUUUGGUGCUGGAUUAAUUGGCAUGCUUUUCUCUCAGAUGAGCUGCGUGUAGUGACACGGCGCUCGCAAUAGUUGGUCGGCGCACUGGUAGACGGGCAGCUCAUGGAUGCUACCGACGGCUCUGCAACUUGAUGCAGUUCAUGCACGCUGCUGGGUGGCACCCAUGGUGCGAUAUGGCAUUGGCAUUGGCACUGUGGCGGCGGAUCCGACCAGUAGCAGAAGCUCGCACAAGUCUAAAUGUAUCUAACUUUGAUGAAUUUUGAUUUCAAAUCUAUGGAGGCUUUUGAGCUCGAACUAAUUGAAAUGGAUCACACUUUAGUAGUGCUUUCAACAUAAAAAAUUGACACAAAUUAUGGCGGUCAUUUGUGCCACUGGAGAAAUUAAAGGGAAAAAUAGAAAAGAUGGUGUUUUCAAUACACUUUCUUGCUAGCUUGCUAGCCUUUCCCCACGGUGCUGAAAUCGUGGCCGGGCAAAAGGGGAGGUGCAUGAACUCGUCGCUGGCUGGCGGAGGACAGAGCUAGGGGCGGUUCAGGCACAACGGUGCGUAGGCGGGGUAGCGGCGAGGAGUGGCGGUGAGCAGUCUGCCUAGCCCAGGCAGAAAAACAAAGGUUUGAAACAAACAAGCCCUUGGUGUGUAACUGAUAGGCAUAUGUUCGAAACUCCGAUCCUGUCGCCCUUGAUUAAAAUUCAUAGUAGAGACCCAUUGAGGAUUAGCCCUGGCAUCGAUCCGGCCACAGGAGAGACCGGGAGCCAAGAAGUGAAGUAAGUUGCGUGCGUGCCUGACGGCGAGGAAGCACCUCCAUUGAGCCACGAGGUGGAGUACGAGGCAGAGGCGAGAUGGGAUGUGUUGGGGACAGACUCACAUGACGGAGAGCGGUGCAUCUCCUACCUACCAUCUGCCAUUGCCGAGGGCCUUUCACCGUGCACCACUCCGGUUCGCUCUUUUGCGUCGCUGGGAGGAAAGGGACCGCCGAGCGUUGGGUGCCGCCACCGCUCCUGUGUAGUUCACCAUGGCCACCUCCUCCGAUAGCGCCCACACCAGCGCUGCACCUCAUUCCAGGGAUGGGGCAGCCGCUGCUGGGUCACAUCCACCCGGGGAUUGGGCCGUUGCUGGGGAAUGCGCGGCAGAGAAGAAAAGGAGAAAACAGAGGAGACGUGACUGACAGGGACGGAGGAAAGAUGAUGAGUGCGUACGGUGGGGCGGGUAGGAAACGCAUCGGUAAAAAUGGAAUUGGUUUUUUGGUAGAAACAUUUUCUAACUUGUGGUUUUUAUGGGUCUCCACCUUAUCCUCUCUCAAUUGCAUGAUAGGUGGGUCCGACAUGAGCGGUAAGGUGGUUCUGGUUUGGGUGAGAAACGUUUCCAAUUAUGUUGGAAAACAGGCUUCGCGGAGGCUCAAACACAAUGAGGUUUGAGCAGUCCUUGCAAUUCAAUUCCAAAGAAAUGAACAUAUGUUUACAUCGGGGUAGGGCUCUCCUUUUAUAGUAUCUCGGAGGACAUUUUGCAUUCCGCAAUUACCCUCACUCACCCACUACAAUCCUAGAAUAUGCUUUACAUGGAGGUAACUUGUAUAACUUGGUCUCCUCCUUGGAUCACGCUUCUCACGCCUUUAGUCAGCUCCAUGAUUCACGCUCUCACAUGGUUCCACAAAUCACGCCUUCACAUUUCCAACGCCUCCACGCUUCCUGACCUCGUGACCGAAGCCAUCUUAGCUUCGGGAGUCAUGAUCGCCAUAGAUUCGCACCUAAGAGACGCUAGCCUCGCGCCCUGCUCCUUGACCUGAUUCAGCGAUCCUGCAUGAGACACUAAAUAACUCAGCACUCGAGGUUACCUUCGACUGCUCGAGGUCAAGCUUGGUUAGUGUCUGGCGAUCUGUGUGCCUCCGGGCUUCAAGGUAAGAUUCAGGAUAGCGAGGCUAUGAUUACUUUCCACGCCAGAUUAACCACCCAAGGUUAGGGGUCCUCACCCGAGGUUAAUUAUUUUGAGGGGCUAAGCUGUUGACGCUAAAUGUAACGACCUCGAGGGUGACCAUCUUUUUGGGCGAUCCCCAACAGUAGCCCCUCGUGGGCAAGGCUCGACACCGACAACCGAACCCGCGACUUAAGGAUCUGCUCCCAAAAAACGUCACCCUCAAGCAUCGGUUAGAAAUGAGCCGACAAUUACCUUUUUGGUCUUACGUGUUGAUUUCCUAUUGGGUGACCUUUCGUAUCUAGCUCGUGGUUACAGGCGCCAUUUCACGCAUUUUACCAUGCCUAUAAAAGAGGGGGGUGGGGUCGCUUUCGUUUUUACCCUCGCGGCUAAAACCCUUGCGCUCCUGCUUUUGCUCGCUGCUUCCGUGCUUUAAGAUUCAUGCAUUGUAUGCUGUUCUCCUUGGUCUCGAGGAUCUCAAAGGUAACAAUGUUACUUGUGUCUCUCUUUUAGUGUGAGAUUUUCCCUUGCUUGUCAUUUUGGAGAUGAUGUUUCGAUGCCUUGCAGCUGGCUCGUAUUAUGCAAACCGCUAGGCCCAUGACAUCAGAAGAGUUCACUAAACAAGUUGGGCUUCGCAAUGAGGCUGCGGAGGACCAGGAUUUGUACAAGGCUGACGAGAAGCAAGGAAUCAAGAGGAUUGAGCUUUCUUAUGCCCAGAACAAUAGGUGAGAAGACAAUUGGCUAAGCUACUACUUCUAUAUCAAGAUUGACAGGGCCGAUGCGUCUGGUAUCAACCGAUCUUUCUAUCCUUCUGUGCACCCCUGGGCCCUAUGGAUAUUGCUACUACCCCUGCAUUUACAAGGUCCAAGGCAGACAAGGAGUGCAAGGGCGCUUUCCUCCCGGACUCGAAGUCGAUCCCCGGCUGGAUCUUGUUGAAGAGUUUUUGGCAGCCAAUAUUUGGCCCCUUUCUGAUGGGUGGAGUCCAUUGGAGAUUGUGCCAAAAGACGUUUUGUGGAGUACUAGCCCGCUCCUCUACCCUUGCUUUGGAGUGGAGCUGCCCGUGGAUGCCAACCCCGGUCUUUUUGCAGAGGAUGUUGAGAGGCAUGCUGUUGAUAUAAUUGGCCCGAGUACUGAGACUGAGCUGAUGUUAGCUCGAAAGAUCAUUGCACACGAGCUUCGGGUCAACCGUGUGUUCGAGGAACUUGGGGUCGAUGUUAAGCCUCAUCCCAAACCUCGCAAGACCUUGAAAUGGGCACGAGAGGCUGGCGCGACAGGCUUGGAAUAGGUUGGCAGCAGUGGCAGGUGGAAAAAGAGAAAGGCCGAGAGCACCGCUCCUAAGGCCGCGGCAGUGACUUCAAAGAAGGAUGACAGCCAAUCAAGGGUCGUGCUCGAGGUGCGAAAGCAAAAUUAAAGACCUCGAGCCUCGAAGCUUAGAAGAAGUAAGAAAAAAUUGGACAAAGUUCCUCAAGCGAGGCUGCAAAAUCCUCCACGCCCCUGUCUCUAAAGCCAUCCGAGUUGCGACCAAGUCCGAACUCGAGGCUGCCGGCGCACUGGCCGGUAUGAAAGAAAAGAAGUCUACGAGGAAGUCUCACGUCGGCAAAGCCUUUGAUGAUGAUGAUGAUAUUGUUUUGGAUGUGGACUUGUCUAUGUUCCCUAUAUCGGUCCCCAAGGCUAGUGUUCCUUCAAAGGAGACUGAGACUAAGGUUGCUGCACCCCCUCUACAGCACAAGGCCAAACCUUUGAAGGAGAAGAUCGUGGAUACCAUUGCUAAGGAGAUUAAGGCAUCUACUUCGAAGGUGACAAAGCCAGGUAAACAUGUCGUUGUACAUUUGCCUAGGAUGAGAUUUUAUGAUUGUGGUGAUGCGUCAUUUAGAUUUCUGAUGGAGCUGGAAAAAACCACUGGUGCACCUUGGGAGAUAUAUAGGGAACCUCCUCUAAUAUUUAGGGUAAAACCUUAUUCUGCAGAUUCUGAACUGUCACCCUCUCUGGAACGUUACAACGAGGCCUACGGCACCAACCUUAGACAGGAGCUCAUUGCUGUUCAUGUGCCGGGUUCAGGUGAGGACGAUAAUCGCUACAACCUACCCUUGUUGUGGGGAGCUAAGGAUGGGAUGCGUGGUGUAGAUAGAGCAGCCAAGGAGGUUUUCAAGAUGUCUGAGGGGGUUGUCGGCGAGGUUGGUGGGCAGGGAGAAAGGGAGGAAGGCGAGGUUAUCCCUACUCGAGGUCUUGGGAAAUCCACUGUGCCUUUUGAGGUUGAUUACGAGGACAAGUCUUUUAAUCCUGAGAGUAAGCGCUUGCUCCUUAGUUUGUUUUGUCUGUACUUAAUUUCUACUUUGCUAUGCUUUGACGUGCCUUUCUUUUGACAGAGUAUGAAAAAUCAGUUAGGCGUUUUGAGCAAAAGGACUUAGCUAGGAUGUCAGCUACCAUCGGAUACAAGGUAUUUUGUUCGACGCUUGCUAUUUGUUUCUUAUCUCUCUUUUUUUAUGAGUCUUUUCAUUUUGGUGUUUUGAUUUUGCAGUCCAUCAUCCUUGGGAAGAUGCUAUGGAGAAGGCUGCGGCUAAGGAAAAGAGCAUGCUAGCCGAGAGCACGAAGAUGAUGCAGCUAGAGGCUAGAGUUGCAAAGCUUGAGGAGGAAAGCAAGGUUUUAUAUGCCUUGAAGAACGAGCUCGCCGAUUCUAACUCUGACCUUAAAAAGAACAACGUGCUGCUAACAAAUACCUACAGCGAGCUCGUGCAGCAAGUUGAGAAGCUGGAGAAAAGACCCGAAGACAAUCUUGGUGUUUUGGAGAAACUCCGAAGCGCCACAGAAAAAGACGUACAGACUGUCAUAGAGCAGGAAAAAAUGAUUCAUACCCUUGGUCAGGAUCUCAAAGAGCAAAAGACCUUUGUUGUGGAAGCAGAGCGGGCUCUCAAGGAAAAGUUCGUUGAGAUCUAUGAGGUGUACAAAACUGCUCUUGCAAAGUUUGGCACAGAGCCUCUUUUGUUUCUGGGUGAUGAAAGUGUAAAAGAAAUAUUUGAUUGGGUGGAAGAGGAGUUCAAAGGCCUGCCCGAGGUUAUUACUGGUAGCAGCAACUUUGCUACUUCCUUCUGCCUUGAUAGCGCAUUUCAACUCCUUGAAAAGAACAGCUACUCUCAUUUCUUAACACUUGCGGCUCGCACCUAUAUGUUCCCCUCGGCCUCGGAGCUUGAUGAAGAGGAGAAAUCUAAAAAUUUGAGAGCCAUGAAGAUAAAUUUCUUCAAACAGCUUUGGGCUACCUCCGGGCGAGAGUACACAAGGCUGGUUGCUCAAGAGCGGCUUGCACAGGUUAGGGUUCACAUAACUUUGUAUUUCAUAAGGUUUGCAUUUUUUCUGUUGAUUUCCUGAUGUUGUUCCUCUUGUGUUCGUAGGCCAAGGCAUAGGAAGCAAAAGGCGAAGGUGGGAGCGAGAACGAUGAUGCUGAUCAAGGAGGGCAGUGAUUAUCGAAGCUAGUUAGAGAUUUGUUUUGUGGUUUGGGAUGUUUUGAUAAACUUGAUACUUAGUUGGCUGCUUUUGCGGGCCAGAUUGUAAAUAUUUGUUGCUCAGCCGGAACUUACAUGCUCGAAGCUGGUUACUUUUGGCGUUUGUACCUUCACGGAUUUCUUUUUAUCUUAACGUUUUUAUGUUUGAGUUAUUCUACUCAAAUGGCAACAAAGCUGUAGCUUAAAGAAAUGAGCAAUGUUUUAGUUUAAAACGUCACCCCUGCCCUAGUUUCUUUAUGCGUAGGUUUUUGUUGACUUUGCACGCUUGUUGUCUAAGCUCAAACGGAGCUUAAAAACGUCACCCCCUUCUUGGCACGUGGGUCUUACCCAAGGCAAUUCUCUCAUGGAAAGAGGAUGAAAACGAUUUUUGUUUGCCAAAAAAUGUCACCCCCGCCCUUUUAUCCUUUUUCCGAAAAAACAUCCAACCUCGCCCUUUUCUUUUGCAUGAACGAGGUUAAGUGAGUAUUGACAAACCACAAGAUAAGUCAAUAGAAAAGUUGUUUUCGAGUUAUGUUGACUUAAAAAAUAUGAUAGUUUGGUUGAAAUCGCAACCCUUAGGAUGUAUUUGGUUGGGCUGUGGCUUUUCAAAAAGCUGCUGUGAGCUGUGGGCUGUAGAAAAGCAGCUGUGAGAAAGCAGCUGUGGGAAAAGUAUAAGGCCAUUUGGUUAGAGCAGAUGUAGCUUUUGAAUAAAUUUUCGAGUGGACCCUGCAUGUCAUCCACAGUCCACCCCACUCAACUCUCUCCCUCUCUCACUGACGAGCGGAUCUAACCCUUCUUCUUCCUCCCGCUGGCUUGUCCACCCCAUAGCACCCCGAGUAGCACCAGGGCCGCAACGGCAUCCACGAUGAUGCAGUCCACAAUCAGGGCGAGGUCCAUGAUGGCGAUGGCCUGCGCCUCACCUCCUCCACCUUGCACCACGUGGCAGGCACCGUAGCACCACCGGCAUCUAGGAGGCAGUAGCACCCCGCGGGCACGCAUGCGUCGACAUAGAGGUUGAGGCUGGUCUGUGCCGCCAAGAGCCUGCCGCCCGCGCAGGCGAGCCCCGCCUCCAUGGUGCCCUUCGGUGUGGAGGCGGAGAGUGAUGAGGAGAGGGAUGCCAUGGCAGCGGCGAGGAGGAGGAGACGCGCGAUGAUGAGUGUGUGCUGCUGGAGGUCGGAGGCCGGGAGCGAGACGGCAAGGAGGCCUGCGGCAUGGUCGAGGAGGAGGAACGACAGGGAGAGGAGGAGCGGGAGGUGGGGCGGGAGGAAUGGGAGCAGCGGUGGGAGGAGCAGCAGUGGGAGGAGCGUCAUGGAAGCCAGUGGGAGGAAGGCGAACAGGAGCACGAGGAGUAGCGAGAGGAGGCAGAGGAGCGGGUGGCGGAACAGGCGGAGGAGGUGGUGGUGGAGGGAGGACGGGGAGAGGUAGGAGACGGCGGCAAUGAGGUGGUGGGACUGGGAGGUCGUGAUGAGGGAGAAUAUAAGGGCAUGGCAUGCGAGCAGCAGCGCCUCCACCAUUGGGGUUGGGCAACGCGGUCGGGGAAGUCCCGAGGAGGAGGAGCACCAGGCGGCGGGCCACUAAGGUGAUGGUCGGGUGGGGGGACUGGUGUGGGUGAUGGGGAGUGGACGGGAAUAGAAGGGGAAAACGAACCGUUAUCCUCCAUAACAAGUGGUAGGUGGGUAAUUUUUUGCCCCAAAAGCAGCUAAAAGCAGGGGGAAGGUGCUUUUGAUUUUGAGCAAAAGCACGUAUGGCUUUGGUCAAAAGCACGUAUGGCUUUUAGGCCCUUUGGUUGGCUUUUGGCUUUUGCAAAAGCAAAAGUAGGUUGGAAAGUCCAACCAAAGGCACCCUUAGUUGCUUCAACCAUGAAAUUUUGCGAGGUUGAGAAAAUAGGGAAAUAGGGUGCCUUUUUUGAAAAAAUGUCAGUCUUUCUAUUCUAUUGUGAGAGCUUUGGCUGAGGCUAGGGCCUUCGUGCGAAAGGACAAAAUGAAUUUUCAACUCUGAAAAACGUCACCCCCCUUGUCCUUUUGCGCAGAGGGGGUUUAGACUCAGCAUGGCUUAUUCCGAGUGUUAUCGCUGCCUUUGAUCGCUUGCUGCAGUCUUUCUAUUCUCUGAGUUGCAAGUUCAAGGCCAAUCACUGUGGUGUUUGAGUGAGAAAAUACGUUUAUGUGCAUAUAGUGUGCGUUCAAUGUUAGACUAUGCAGCUUAUUGCUGCUUUAAAAUAUCUUGCGCAGAAACGUAGGUUUUCAGCACGCAGAAACGUGAGGUUAGGCAAGUUGUUGUUGCAUCUGAGACUUGUGCAGACACGCAAGUUUUCAAUGCACAGAAACUCGAGGUUAGGCAACUUGUUGUUGCAUCUAAGACAAAGAUCAUAGGGGGAACUUCAUUUCAUUGAAUAAUGGAAAUUUUACAAGGAUCUACCUCUUCCGACAUGGUUGCCUCUUUGGCCACUUCUGAAAUUGGGUUGAUGUUGGUGGUAUCGGUUCUGGUUUUGGCCUUGGUUUUGGUUUUGGGUUUGGUUUUUGAACGAGGGUUGGUUAUCCUUGAUGGCCAGCAGUUAGUUUGGGUGCGAGUGGUGCUGUUGUUGGUGACUGUAUCACGAAGCUUGCCAGUUUUGACCUUUCUCUGCUUGCCUUUGGCGGUUUCUUUCCACGACCCUUCUUCUAUGGUCUUCAUCUGAUCUGCAAUAUUUAUCCAUCUCUGCGAACAGGGCUUCCAUUCUUUUUGGCUUUUUCCUUGAUAGCUUUGAGGCUGUUGGCCUCGGAUUAAGCCCCUUGAUGCAGAUCUCUAUAGCCAUGCUAUCCUCCACAUCUGGGGUUUGUGCCUUAAGUUGGACAAAUCUUCUCACGUAGCUUGCUAAAAGGCUCUUUAUCUUUUUGCACACAAUUGAACAAAUCCCCCUCAUCAGUCAUGGCUCUAUGAAAGCCUUGAAAGUUUUGUAUAAGUUUGGUUUUAAGAUCGACCCAGCUGUAUACAGAUUGCAGCAGGAGUAGAGAGUACCAAUUUAGUGCUGCACCCUCGCACGCUAUAAUGAAUGACUUUUCCAAUACUACAUCAUCUCCCCCUGCCGAGGCUAUGGCUGUUUCAUAACUCAUGAGGAACUAGCGGGGAUCUGUUUGUCCAUUGAAUUUUGGUAGUGCAACUGCCUUGUAGGUUGUGGGCCAUGGGGCUUUUUGCAGGCCUAAGGACAAUUGGGAGAUUUUGUCGGUAGUUGUGUAUGCGCUCAUUGUCACUCUGGUGUUGUGCCCAACGAGGCUAGGAUUCGGGUAUAUGAUGGGUGUGUCAUUGGUGUUGAAGGUUUGAAGUGGUGGCUGCUGCGGCUGUUGCGGUGUGUUACACAAGUAUUCCAAUUCGUUCAACUCUUGCUGCAACUCUGCCAGCUGCCUUUUGGCCUCAUUUAGCCUCACUAGCUUGUUGGUUGCUAGUCUUUGAGCCUGAAGCUCUUGAGCAAAUUUUUCUUUUUCUUUUUUAAUGCCUCUAGCUGCUUGAGUGCGGAGGCCAACUCUUCUUCUAUUUCACUAAGGGGUUCAUCUUGCGUGCUUGUUUGCUGCAGAGUUUGGUUCGAGGUCCCCGCCUCAACCAUGCCUUUCUGUGAUCUUGUUCUUAAAUUAGCCUCGAUUCUUUUAAACUUUUUCUGCCUUCUCCGUGUUAACUUGUUCGACUGAGACAAGCUGCCUUUCUUGUCCAGCCUCAUCUUCGAUGGUUCUCUUCUUCUUUUGAGGUGGCAUCAUGGGUUUCUUAGUGGCUCAGAAUACCUGCUGUUACCAUGGCACUUCAGCAACCCCACCCAACCCCACGCGCAAGUCAAAAUUUGAGGACCAUAUGUACAAUACGUGUGCAAACAAAACCAUAAUUUCACUAGUAUUGAGGGAUUUUAGUUAUUUCUUCUAAAAAAUCUCUUGGGAAAUCGUAUUUUUGUAGUACAACAUAUAUAGAAAAUAAGUAUUACUCCCAAAUAAACUGCCCUUUUCUUUAGUAUUCUUGGUUUUUGUUAUUAUUUUAUUUAAUCUUACGAUUUAUAUAUGCAUAAAAAAGUAAUUUAGUAUCUUCAAAUAUGGAAACGUGGUCUUAGGAAAUUGUCUAAUAUAUACUAGUUUACCUGCAAUCCACUGGCUUGCACAUUAUAUUUCAUCAUACGGAAAUGUCUGGCAUUGUGAACGGAAGCAAUUUCAUCUGUCUGCAACCCGGCAUAGCAUGUGACACCCAGAGCUCCUGACACAAGCGCGUGAGCACCUUCUCCGACAUGCGCACAUGAUGACCGCAUGCACCCAUAUUAUACAUAGUUUAUUAUAUUUUUGGCUGGGAUAUGAUAAUCAUUAAUUAUUACUUGUAAAGAUUGGAAACGUUACAAACGAUUGUAGAAAAAAUGCGAGUCACCAGGAAGGUAGGUAGUAGAGCAUGCCGUCAGUGUCUUUCCUGUGACCUGUGUUCGUGGUGCACAUGGCAGAAUGCACAGUCUAUACAUAGGAACCAGAAGUUGGCUUCGAAACCAAAUCACUCAUUAGUCCUUCGGUACUGCAGUGAACGCUAUCUAGCUAGCUAAUUUCCCCUUGAAAUCAGUGGCCAUGGGUAGCCUUCCACUUGAAGCCAUGAUGCCACUGAACCCCGAUUCAUUCGCUGGGGAGUCCAGUGCCGUGGUCGACUUCCUCGCCGACUACUACCGCAACGUCGAUAAGUAUCCGGUCAUGGCCAACACCCAGCCAGGGACCAUCCGUAAGCUUCUUCCGGAGGCAGCCCCGGAGUUGGGCGACUCCAUGGAUCGCAUACUGGAUGAUGUGCAGCGGGAUAUCCUCCCCGGCCUCACACAUUGGCAGAGCCCUAGCUUCUUUGCCUAUUUCCCGGCGAAUGCAAGCACCGCAGGGUUCGCCGGGGAGAUGUUGUCGGCUGGUCUCAACGUCGUCCCGUUCGUCUGGACGGCGUCACCGGUGGCCACUGAGCUGGAGCAGGUCGUGGUUGACUGGAUGGCUAGCCUCCUCGGCCUACCGGAGCGCUUCCACUUCAAGGGAGGAGGAGGCGGUGUCCUGCAUGGGAGCACGUGCGAGGCGGUGGUGUGCACUCUCGCUGCCGCGCGCGACCGUGCACUCAGCAAGCUCGGACAUGAGGGCAUCCUCAAGCUUGUCGUGUAUGCCUCGGACCAGACCCACGCAACCUUCCAGAAGGGCGCGAGCAUCGUCGGCAUCCCUCCAGCAAACUUCCGCAUCCUGCGGACUUCGGCAAACUCGGGAUACGGCCUGACCGCCACCAUCGUCCAAAGAGCAAUCGAGGAAGACGUCGCCCGCGGGCUGGUUCCCCUUUACGUCUGCGCCACCGUCGGCACUACUGGUCUGGGGGCCAUUGACCGAGUGCGCGAGCUCGGCCAUGUUGCCCGGCGUUAUGGUAAUUCAUUCAACCUCCCUCUCUUAUACGCUAAUCACCCAUACGGUGACACUAAAUACGUAGAAAUGGAAUGCGCUAUGCGGUCACAGGUCACGAUUUCAUGCUCACUUAACAAUCAACAAUCAGUUCCUAUAACCAUCUGACAAGAAUACAUGUUUUACAGGAACCUGGCUGCACAUCGACGCAGCCUACGCCGGAAGCGCAGCCAUUUGCCCGGAGUUCCAAGGUCACCUCGACGGCGCCGAGCUCGCGGACUCGCUGAGCAUGAACCCACAUAAGUGGUUCCUCACCAACAUGGACUGCUGCUGCCUCUGGGUGGCGAACCCUACCACCAUGACCGACGCACUGUCCACUGACCCGGAGUACCUCAAGAAUGUCGGCACCACGUCUAAGAUGGCGGAAACGGUCGACUACAAGGACUGGCAGAUCGCGCUGUCACGCCGCUUCCGUGCCAUCAAACUCUGGGUGGUGCUACGGCGCUAUGGAGCGGCGGGAAUGCGCGCGCACAUACGGAGGCACAUCCAGAUGGCAGAGUGGUUCGAGCACGUCGUGGCGGCGGACGAGCGGUUUGAGGUCGUGGUGCCAAGGAACUUCUCCUUGGUGUGCUUCCGCCUCCGCCCGCGGUUCAUGGCGGAUAAAGCUGUGGAGGCCCUGAACUGCGACCUCCUCGCAGCGGUGAAUGCAAGCGGCCGGGCGUUCAUGACGCACUUCGUCGUGGACGACAAGUUUGUGAUCCGCCUAGCCGUGGGUGGGUCAAUGACAGAGAUGCGGCACGUCCGGGCCGCGUGGGAGCUUCUCAAGGAGAAGGCCAACGACUUGAUCGCCACCGGUUGUUAGUUAUUGCUCAUUGCUAGUGCUAUACCAUGCAUGGCCAGCAACAGAAGCUGAGCAUUCUAUUAUUGCUUCCAUUCGUAGUUAGAGCACACCAUGAAUGCAAUAGUCAAUCCAUCUGAACCAUGAACAUUCACUAUGACCAUGUAUGCGACACAAUAUACAUAAGUGCUACUGCCGAUAUUGGAUUCUAUUUCUGGAGAAGCGGCUGCUUCUACGGAGCAGGCCGAUUGAAUUUUAAGUAUGUUAUGAUACUUGUAAAAAAUCGAUGCUAGGCAUGGAUUCCUGGAAGGGGCCCGUCACAACUCACAAUGGAAGGGACCCGUCAUAACCAAGCUCGUUAAUACAAAAGAAACGUCACGCGAAACAAAUGGACGCUAAGCCACACACCUGAAGAAAUUUUACCCGAAAUUUGCAACACGUCAAGAAUGGUUAUCACUCAACCGUCUCACAUCUCUUUUGUUUAAGGAAACCAGGCUCGUUACUACAAAAUGAACACCAAGAUGAUAGAGCUCUUUUACGAUCCACAAUACUACUACUUAGUAGUAUAUAGUAUAUAUAUAAGAUCUAACUGUUCAUUAUUAUGGAUAAUUUAGUAAUUAUUACAAUGUAAAAAGUGAUAUUUCAAAUAGAAUGGUCUUUUAAAUUUUCUGCUAGUAUCAAAAAUAAAAUUAUAGUGGUGCCAUUUGUGUUUUCUUACCAUGAUACCCUUAUACUACCUAUACUACUCGUGUAUACUACCCAUACCACAGGCGUAGGUUUCAGUAGUAUCUAAUUAAUCUUGACCGUCGGAUAUGUUUAUACUAGUCAUUUUCGAACACAAGUAUAGUCUAGUGUUGUGUUCCGUAAAAGAGCUCAUAUAAUAUAUUAUAAAACUUAUUUGUGAAAGCUAAAGGCAACAACAGGGGAUAAAUUCCAGAAUAGGUAAGAACAGAAAUUUAAAAGGGCAAAAUUUGUUGAUGCAUGGAAAUGCAUAGAAUACUUAUUGGAGCGAAGGCCCUUUUAGGUCCAUGGGCUAUUUAUGCCCCUCCACUCGCCCAUUCAGAGUUGCUGGAGUGUCCAUACAUCUAUUGAAGACCAAGGCUCAUCAAGUGACCAAUGGAGAAACCACACAUCCACUGUGAUAAUUUUAGAGCAUCCAGGUGACGAUAUUCAAUGCGCUCAAAUGGUGGUAUUCAACUUAGAAAAAAUAGUAGCACCAGAAGAUCUCAGAGUCAUCGGAGCAACCAUCGAAGCAAUUGGUACAACUGAGAAGUAAGCUUGAGUUGCAGCAAGCACUAGAUGAUCCGACGGGGUCCUUUUCACAAGCGUCGGAGCAAUUCGUAAAGAAGACGGAGAAAGACCUAUAGCACAAGAUAUUCCGAUGGCUAUAAGAUGAAGGAAUCGGACCAAGCAUAUUUACUUUGAAAACGUCAAGAGAGUUUUUAGGAAAAACUCCUUCAGCACCGGAUGAUCCGACGUUACGUCGGAUGAAUUUAGGUAGAGGUCCAACGGCUAUAUACGUCAGCAGGGGGCGUGUCACACCCGAUUUUAAGGACAAAACCGAGUGCUUUCAAUACAUGUGCGCAAGGAACAAGUUACACACAUGUACGACAUAAGUGAAUAACAAAGGCAGUGCCAAAGUGAAUAAAGAGAGUAUUAAACUUUAUUACAUGACCGAAAGUCUUAAUAAAAUACAAGCCUAACUUAUUACGCAGCGGAUUCCGAAGACGACGAUGACACCACAGGUAGCUGACUGAAGAACCGUACACCUAGAACUCCUCAAACUCGUGCAGGUACUCCUCCAGAUUAUCUUGGUCUGAACAGCGAUUUUGCAAGGGUGAGUACACUUAUGGUUGGUACUCAACAAGUCGUGGGGAAUAGUGUAGUGUAAGGCCAACCAAGGUAUGGCUAAGGCGAAAUAGCAUCAGCUUUUAAUUAGCUUGGUCGAAUUUUAUUAGCAAUUAACUAAGUAUAAGUUUAUACCACCCCAAAUUAAACAUGAACAUAAAUAAAGUAAACAACAUAUGCGCGGUAUGACAACAAUUUAAGUCCAUCUUUCGUUAGUAUUAUCAUGUGAGGGUCCAGGCCGCUCUUAACCGUGAGCACGGCUGAUCGAUCAAUUUUACACUCUGCAGAGGUCGUACAUCUUUACCCAGAAGUCGCGUAAAAGUUCAAAAGAACUUUGGACCCAACCAUGCGGUGUUUGCAAGGCACCAUACCACACUUCUGAGGUGUGAUUGCAUAGGGACGCUACGAGGCCUUUACAAAGAUUCAUUAGUCAGUGGUAACCCGCUAAGGUUUCGGUGUCUGGCGUGCACAACCUAUCACAGGACAAUGAUGCAAUGACUCAGUCCCCCCUCUUGCCUCGUCACGAGUAAGGUUUCUAAUUAUUUAGCCAAGACCAGAGCCAAUUAGUCUUGUGGUAGCACUAUUUUCCUGGGUGGCUCUCCAUAUUCCGAUUAAACGUUUAUGAUCUUGUAUUAAUGAAAGGUAUAACAUAAGUAAAGCAAGAUUAAUCAUUGAGUUCAGUUAAACCAACUUAUCCCAAGUAGGAACUAAGGAUGAGCUACCAAACAUAAAAGUACACCCGGUUGGUCAAGGCAAAGGUAAAUUCAAUCUAGGCAAACCUUAAUUGGGACCCAUCAAUUUAAUCUUAACAAGGGCAUAGCAUAAUUGUUGAGUACGAGAAAGUAAAAGUGUAUAGGACUAAGAAGUAGUGAUCAAGGACACCACUUGCCUUCCUGGCCUUACUCUUGCUGUUCGUACUCCUCGAAGGCUUGAUCUUCAAAUCCCCCAAAUUGCUAAACGUCUAUACGCGUCACACGAGCACAAACAAGCAAACAAGGGCACAAAGUAAGAAAACAGUACACCAAUCACAACUAAACAGAGAAAACAAGCUUGAAAAACUAAUCUACACUUUAAAACAAACACGUGGAUAUAAAGAACGCGAAAAACGGAGUUAAGAUGCAAAAGAUAUGAUUAAAACAAGAUCCAGGGGCUUUUCUGCGAGAAAAACAAAACUUCUAGGGUCGAACUGCGAAAAACCGAGGGCUUGUACAUGAUUAUGCCUAUAAACCGAAGGUUUAACCCUCAAAAAUGCAACUUAGGAUGGCUGGUUGAUUUAGAGAAACUCAGGGUCUAAACCAAAAGAAAACAGGACCAAAACACAAUUAUUUUUGAACUAGAUUGGACUGCGGGUUGAUUUGCGGAAAAGGCGAGCGCUUCAGUGCAAAAGAGGUGCCGCGCGACGCGAUUGGGUACACGAUCCGGUUGACUCGCUGCGGGCCGUCGGAUUUGGAUCCAACAGUCUCGGUCGUAGACGACACCCAAGCGGCGGCGGACCAGGCGGUGGGCGGCGACGAGCGGCGGCGGUUCGCUGGAAUUGGCCGAUACGGCGCUCCGGGGCUCGGUUUCGCGCGCGGAAAACACCAGAAGCAUGAGAAAAGCAAGGCGAUCCCUUUUCGGCGGUUCACGGUGAUCGAGGCUCACCGGAAGGCGGUGCUUGGCGGCGGAGAGAGGGUGGCGGCACUUGCUGGGGUUUCAGGGGCGCUGUUGCGGGGUGCUCGAGGUGGGGGGAGGGCGGCUUAUAUAGGGGCGGAGUCGGGGCGCGGUCGGAGUGGAGUCCCGGCCGGAGGACGGGGAUGAUGGGUAGGUCCCACCCGUCAGACCUGCGGAAGGAGGCCGGUGCCGCUGGGCAGGCCGACGGAGUGGGCCGAGCGAGCGACAUGGGCUGGCGAAGGGAAAAAGGGAAAGCGGUAGCUUCGCGGGCUGGAGGAAAAGGCGGAGCGGGCCAGGGGAGCUAGCGGCGCUGGGCUGCAGGGAAAUAGGAUCCGGGUUGAAAGAGAAAGGAGGAGGAGAAGGAUGCAGCCCAGGAGGAGGAAGAGAAAAGAGGAAAAGAAAGAUUUUUAAAAUUGAAAUUGAAUUUGAGAUUCAAUUUUGAUUCAAACACAAGCAAUCAAAAUAAAUGCACCAGCAUGCAAUGCACAAAGAACUCCUAUGAAGGUUUAAUUUAAUUUAGAGAAAAUAAAAUUAAAUGCCUAGAAAUUUAAAUGACAUCCUAAUUGAGUAAAUUUUAGUGUAUUUAAAUUCUUUAAAAAAUUUGGGUGUUACAGGGCACCAGAUGAUCCGAUGCGUAUCUCAAGUGACCAUCGGAUCAUCCAAUGCUCACAUAUUUUACUAGCCGUUGUAGCGAAGGCUCUUUGAGGUCCAUGGGCUAUUUAUGCCCCCUCCAGUCGCCCAUUCAGAGUUGCUGGAUUGUCCAUACAUCGAUUGAAGACCAAGGCCCAUCAAGAACACAUCCAUGCCACCAAAAGUGCAAAAGCGAUAAUACAAGGCUUAGCACGAGCUAAGAGAUUGAUUAGCUCUAGGAUAGGCCUAGAGAGAGUAGUGCAAGGUGUUGCUACCUUGUGAUUGGUUCAAGGAGUGAUUCACUAUUGUAAGCAUGGGGCGCCGGCGUCUUGGGGUCUUGGUGGCUCUCAGGCAAGUCUUCGACACCCCAGCUCGGUGUGGAGCAGCGUCGACAGCCGGAUGCGGGGGACAAGAAGACUCCUUCCUUCGUGGAGCAGCUCCAUGGUGGAGAUGACGUCAAGGUGAUCGAAGGGGGGUAGUAGUGAGCCUUGCGUUUGUGGAUAGCUUGUUAUCCGGCUUGGCUAGAGCCUUUGUAGCGAGCCCAAGACCUUGACCGGGAGAGACUUGGUGAGCAGGAGCAUGUCCUUGGUGGAGCUCCAACGCAUGGACUAGGGGUGGUAUUUGGCUACCGAUACCAUGUGAUAAAUCAUCGUGCUGGGUUUGCAUCUUUCCUAACCCACUCCUUUACAUUUCCGCAGUACAUUCUCGGAACUUGAGUGCCUUUAGUUACUUUCCAGAGUAGUACCUUGUUAGGAUUGGCUCUAGGUUGCAAAACUCUUUGUGGGUGGGAAGUUUCACUAGAUCAACCAUAGAUGCACAUGUAGAUAGCAUGAUCUAGUUUAGGUUUGGAAGCAAGUAGUGGAAGUCAUAGGCCAAGGAUUUUAAGCUAGCCUAAUUCACCCCUCCCCUUCUUAGGGUACGAGCACCGAUUCCUUUCAAUUUGCUUUAGCACCAUGAAGGCAAUAGUCAUCCAUCUGCACCAUGAUCAUAGAGCAAUGCAAAACCACGAGAGAAACGAAACGGCUGCUCUUCCUUCAUUUUAUUCCAAUUAGUAUGGACGUGGAGGUUACAGGACACACCAUGCUAGCUGUAGCGCCGGCAACAGGGAAACAAACCCAAGAAAGCAAUGCGGACAUUUUAUUCUACUUUUUUAUGCAGAAUAUAUGGAGGCACCAGCCAGCCCAGCAACAACGACAAUGGCGGCUACUUGGUAUACUCGAUGGCCCAGAAGUUGGCGUAGAUGUAGGUGGACUUGACGCUGGUAAACCCGGCGCCCUUGGCGAGCUCCACAAACUCCCUCUCGUACCUCUCCUUGCCGUCGGGGCUGUACGCGAGCAGGCACACGUCGACGCCGAUCAACCCCUGCGCGCUGUUUGUGGCAUCCGGGUUCACCGGCAGGAUGCACUCGACACUGAUGAGCUUGCCGUGCGGAGGCAGCGCCUCGUAGCAGUUCUUGAGCAGCUUGGCGCAGUGGUUGUCGCCCCAGCAAUUGAGGAUCCACUUCAUGAGGAUGGCGUCGCCGGAGGGCACCUUCUCAAACAUGUCGCCUCCCACGUGCUGCACCUGCACGUCGGGGUAGGCCGGCGCCUCGGAGAUGACGUGGGGAAGGUCGAAGUUGAUCCCUUGAAUGGUCGGGUACCUGGAGGUGAUGGCAUGGAUGGUGGAGCCGAGGCCGCCGCCAACGUCGACGAGGGUGCGGACGCCGUCGAAGCCCGUGUAGAGCUCCAAGAGCUUCUUGGUGAGGAUGACGGAAUGCUGCUUCAUGGCCUCAUUGAAGACCCCGUUGAAGCGUGCGUCAGUACCGGCGUAGUCGAACCAGGAAGGCGUCCCAAACGCCCUGUUGAAUGGGCUGCCACCCUCAAGGACCGCGUCCGUCAUGUAGCUCCAGGCGUGCAUGAAGAGCUUGUCGUUGCCGAGGAGGUGGAACGGAGCCAUGGAGACACCAUCCUCGUUGGGGGUGAGCCACUUGCACACUGGCGCGGCGCUGUACUGGCGGCACAGGCUGCCAUCCUCGGCCUCCUCCACCACGCAGGACACAACUUUGUAGGACGCCAGAAGUCGCAGCAAGCGAUCCACCAUGGACGGCGCGGCGGGGUUGGCCUUGGAAGGCAGCUUCGCGGCCACCUCCUUGGGAGUGAGAGCCUUCCCGCUGGCGCCCACAAGGGUCUCGAGCAGGCCCAGCUCAAUGGCAGUUCUUAGCGUCAUCGGCAGGAUGGCCGACGACACUAGCUGCAGAGCGUGCAUGCAUGUCUCCUCGUCGGCUAUGGCCAUGUCCGCGGCGGAACCCAUCUACCUCCCGGGAUUGGAGCUCAACUAACUGAUGAAGGUGUGUGUAGCCUUGUUGUUGUGAUUGCUGGUGGCUGAAUGAUCGAUGAGGCGAAAGGGGCCGUUUAUAUAGAGCUUCGAGCUAGGCUUUGUUCACCAACCUGAAAAUCAUGCAUUCUUUGACAAGUAUGGGAUUGCUUGUAUGGUGUGACGAUGACCUGUGAGAGCUAGCAGCUAGCGUGGUAGUGAUUGUGUACCCCAUGCAAAACCUCCCUCCUAAUAAGAUCGUGAUGCACGAGGCUGAAUACAAUAUUGUUUUGUCUGCAGUCUAAUCGAUUUGGAAUCCGCAAAUAUAAUCAAUUCACGACACUGGAGAUGGUCGGCGCACGAGGAGUGGCAGUCCUUGUGCCCUUUGAGAAUCUGUUUUGCAUUAGAUCAAGGUUGAGAUGGUUUCUUUAACCCUUGAGAUUCAGCGCGAGGGUCCACGUGCGUGAUGGACAUGGCUUCGCUACUGCACAACUAUUUUUCAAGAAUCAAGAUAUUCUGCAUGGGAUGUCCUGCGUCUCUGGUGUCGGUGCAAUCUUUCUCCUGUUGAACACAUACACUAGCGUCUGAUGCCAGAGUGAGGUGGAUUGGGUGGAUCAAGGCUACGGCGUAGGACAUUAUCAUGGCUCGGGCGGCCGGAGCAAGAACACGAGCUGGCCGAUCGUAGAGGGAAGACGCAAGUGGCACUUGCAGAAUCUACGUGGCUCCCCUUGGUCAUUCUUUGUCUCACCCUAUGGGUAUCGUGGAGGCACGGCGCCAGGCUGGCGGCACGGUGUAGCCUCAAUUCAGGACUUUCCUAGCCAGGGCGUGGCCGAGGGCGAUUGGUUGCUCAACCUGAUGAGAACUUGGGUGGGUGCUCCUACAUGGGAGAGAAUAGGGUGACGGAUGAGAAUGCAGAUGAGGGACGGGGCUCAGACGAGGGGUGGGUUGGAGACAUGUUUUCACUGUUGAACUCUUAGCGUCAAGAUGAGAGGUGAGAUGAGAUACCGGUAGGACCUGCUCUUACCAUGGCACUUCAGCAACCCCACCCCAACCCCGCGCGCAAGUCAAAAUUUGAGGACCAUCUGUACAAUACGUGUGCAAACAAAACCAUAAUUUUACUAGUAUUGAGGGAUUUUAGUUAUUUCUUCUAAAAAAUCUCUUGGGAAAUCGUAUUUUUGUAGUACAACAUAUAUAGAAAAUAAGUAUUACUCACAAAUAAACUGCCCUUUUCUUUAGUAUUCUUGGUUUUUGUUAUUAUUUUAUUUAAUCUUAAGAUUUAUAUAUGCAUAAAAAAGUAAUUUAGUAUCUUCAAAUAUGGAAACGUGGUCUUAGGAAUAGGGCUCAUAUUUUAUUCUUGAGCAUGCCUAGUGGAAAAAUACUAUCUAAAAAACUGCAAAGAAAUUUCAUCAUACGGAAAUGUCUGAGAUUGUGAACGGAAGCAAUUUCAUCUGUCUGCAACCCUGCAUAGCAUGUGACAGCCCGGGCUGCGUGCCAAGAAACACCCAGAGCUCCUGACACAACCGCGUGAGCACCUUCUCCGACAUGCGCACAUGAGGACCGCAUGCACCCAUAUGCAAGGUUCACAAAUACGUGCGUGCUUAAACUAUAUGCGCACGUUACAAACGAUUGUAGAAAAAAUGCGAGUCACCAGGAAGGUAGGUAGUAGAGCAUGCCGUCAGUGUCUUUCCUGUGACCUGUGUUCGUGGUGCACAUGGCAGAAUGCACAGUCUAUACAUAGGAACCAGAAGUUGGCUUCGAAACCAAAUCACUCAUUAGUCCUUCGGUACUGCAGUGAACGCUAUCUAGCAAGCUAAUUUCCCCUUGAAAUCAGUGGCCAUGGGUAGCCUUCCACUUGAAGCCAUGAUGCCACUGAACCCCGAUUCAUUCGCUGGGGAGUCCAGUGCCGUGGUCGACUUCCUCGCCGACUACUACCGCAACGUCGAUAAGUAUCCGGUCAUGGCCAACACCCAGCCAGGGACCAUCCGUAAGCUUCUUCCGGAGGCAGCCCCGGAGUUGGGCGACUCCAUGGAUCGCAUACUGGAUGAUGUGCAGCGGGAUAUCCUCCCCGGCCUCACACAUUGGCAGAGCCCUAGCUUCUUUGCCUAUUUCCCGGCGAAUGCAAGCACCGCAGGGUUCGCCGGGGAGAUGUUGUCGGCUGGUCUCAACGUCGUCCCGUUCGUCUGGACGGCGUCACCGGUGGCCACUGAGCUGGAGCAGGUCGUGGUUGACUGGAUGGCUAGCCUCCUCGGCCUACCGGAGCGCUUCCACUUCAAGGGAGGAGGAGGCGGUGUCCUGCAUGGGAGCACGUGCGAGGCGGUGGUGUGCACUCUCGCUGCCUGCGCGCGACCGUGCACUCAGCAAGCUCGGACAUGAGGGCAUCCUCAAGCUUGUCGUGUAUGCCUCGGACCAGACCCACGCAACCUUCCAGAAGGGCGCGAGCAUCGUCGGCAUCCCUCCAGCAAACUUCCGCAUCCUGCGGACUUCGGCAAACUCGGGAUACGGCCUGACCGCCACCAUCGUCCAAAGAGCAAUCGAGGAAGACGUCGCCCGCGGGCUGGUUCCCCUUUACCUCUGCGCCACCGUCGGCACUACUGGUCUGGGGGCCAUUGACCGAGUGCGCGAGCUCGGCCAUGUUGCCCGGCGUUAUGGUAAUUCAUUCAACCUCCCUCUCUUAUACGCUAAUCACCCAUACGGUGACACUAAAUACGUAGAAAUGGAAUGCGCUAUGCGGUCACAAGUCACGAUUCAUGCUCACUUAACAAUCAACAAUCAGUUCCUAUAACCAUCUGACAAGAAUACAUGUUUUACAGGAACCUGGCUGCACAUCGACGCAGCCUACGCCGGAAGCGCAGCCUUUUGCCCGGAGUUCCAAGGUCACCUCGACGGCGCCGAGCUCGCGGACUCGCUGAGCAUGAACCCACAUAAGUGGUUCCUCACCAACAUGGACUGCUGCUGCCUCUGGGUGGCGAACCCUACCACCAUGACCGACGCACUGUCCACUGACCCGGAGUACCUCAAGAAUGUCGGCACCGCGUCUAAGAUGGCGGAAACGGUCGACUACAAGGACUGGCAGAUCGCGCUGUCACGCCGCUUCCGUGCCAUCAAACUCUGGGUGGUGCUACGGCGCUAUGGAGCGGCGGGAAUGCGCGCGCACAUACGGAGGCACAUCCAGAUGGCAGAGUGGUUCGAGCACGUCGUGGCGGCGGACGAGCGGUUUGAGGUCGUGGUGCCAAGGAACUUCUCCUUGGUGUGCUUCCGCCUCCGCCCGCGGUUCAUGGCGGAUAAAGCUGUGGAGGCCCUCAACCGCGACCUCCUCGCAGCGGUGAAUGCAAGCGGCCGGGCGUUCAUGACGCACUUCGUCGUGGACGACAAGUUUGUGAUCCGCCUAGCAGUGGGUGGGUCAAUGACAGAGAUGCGGCACGUCCGGGCCGCGUGGGAGCUUCUCAAGGAGAAGGUCAACGACUUGAUCGCCACCGGUUGUUAGUUAUUGCUCAUUGCUAGUGCUAUACCAUGCAUGGCCAGCAACAGAAGCUGAGCAUUCUAUUAUUGCUUCCAUUCGUAGUUAGAGCACACCAUGAAUGCAAUAGUCAAUCCAUCUGAACCAUGAACAUUCACUAUGACCAUGUAUGCGACACAAUAUACAUAAGUGCUAGUGCCGAUAUUGGAUUCUAUUUCUGGAGAAGCGGCUGCUUCUACGGAGCAGGCCGAUUGAAUUUUAAGUAUGUUAUGAUACUUGUAAAAAAUCGAUGCUAGGCAUGGAUUCCUGGAAGGGGCCCGUCACAACUCACAAUGGAAGGGACCCGUCAUAACCAAGCUCGUUAAUACAAAAGAAACGUCAGGCGAAACAAAUGGACGCUAAGCCACACACCUGAACAAAUUUUACCCGAAAUUUGCAACACACGUCAAGAAUGCUUAUCACUCAACCGUCUCACAUCUCUUUUGUUUAAGGAAACCAGGCUCGUUCCUACAAAAUGAACAGCUCUUUUACGAUCCACAAUACUACUACUUAGUAGUAUAUAGUAUAUAUAUAAGAUCUAACUGUUCAUUAUUAUGGAUAAUUUAGUAAUUAUUACAAUGUAAAAAGUCAUAUUUCAAAUAGAAUGGUCUUUUAAACUUUCUGCUAGUAUCAAAAAUAAAAUUAUAGUGGUGCCAUUUGUGUUUUCAUACCAUGAUACCCUUAUACUACCUAUACUACUCAUGUAUACUACCCAUACCACAGGUGUAGGUUUCAGUAGUAUGUAAUUAAUCUUGAGCGUCGGAUAUGUUUAUACUAGUCAUUUUCGAACACAAGUAUAGUCUAGUGUUGUGUUUCGUAAAAGAGCUCAUAUAAUAUGUUAUAAAACUUAUUUGUGAAAGCUAAAGGCAGCAACUGGGGAUAAAUUCCAGAAUAGGUAAGAACAGAAAUUGAAAAGGGCAAAAUUUGUUGAUGCAUGGAAAUGCAUAGAAUACUUAUUGGAGCCAAGGCUCUUUUAGGUCCAUGGGCUAUUUAUGCCCUCUCCACUCGCCCAUUCAGAGUUGCUGGAGUGUCCAUACAUCUAUUGAACACCAAAGCUCAUCAAGUGACGAAUGGAGAAACCACACAUCCACUGUGAUAAUUUUAGAGCAUCCAGGUGACGAUAUUCAAUGCGCUCAAAUGGUGGUAUUCAACUUAGAAAAAAUAGUAGCACCAGAAGAUCUGAGAGUCAUCGGAGCAACCAUCGGAGCAAUUGGUACAACUGAGAAGUCAACUUGAGUUGCAGCAAGCACCAAAUGAUCCGACGGGGUUGUUUUCACAAGCGUCGGAGCAAUUCGCAAACAAGACGUAGAAAGACCUAUAGCACCAGAUAUUCUGAUGACUAGAAGAUGAAGGCAUUGGACCAAGAAUAUUUACUUUGAAAACAUCAAGAGAGUUUUUAGGAAAAACUCCUUCAGCACCGGAUGAUCCGACUAUACGUCGGAUGAAUUUAGGCAGAGGUGCAACGGCUAUAUGCGUCAGCAGGGGGCAUGUCACACCCGAUUUUAAGGAUAAAACCGAGUGCUUUCAAUACAUGUGCGCCAAGAACAAGUUACACACAUGUACGACAUAAGUGAAUAACAAAGGCAGUGCCAAAGCGAAUAAAGAGAGUAUUAAACUUUAUUACAUGACCGAAAGUCUCAAUAAAACACAAGCCUAACUUAUUACGCAGCGGACUCUGAAGAUGACGAUGACACCACAGGCAGCUGACUGAAGAACCGUACGCCUAGAACUCCUCAAAGUCGUGCAGGUACUCCUCCAGAUUAUCUUGGUCUGAACAACGGUUUUGCAAGGGUGAGUAAAAUUAUGGUUGGUACUCAACAAGUCGUGGGGAAUAGUGUAGUGUAACGCCAACCAAGGUAUGGCUAAGGCUAAACAACAUAAGCUUUUAAUUAGGUUGGUCAAAUUUUAUUAGCAAUUAACUAAGUAUAAGUUUAUACCACCCCAAAUUAAACAUGAACAUAAAUAAAGUAAACAACAUAUGUGCGGUAUGACAACAAUUUAAGUCCAUCUUUCGUUAGUAUUAUCAUGUGAGGGUCCAGGCCACUCUUAAUCGUGAGCACGGUUGAUCGAUCAGUUUUACACUCUGCAGAGGUCGCACAUCUUUACCCACAAGUCACGUAAAAGUUCAAAAGAACUUUGGACCCAACCAUGCGGUGUUUGCAAGGCACCAUACCACACUUCCAAGGUGUGAUUGCAUAGGGACGCUACGAGGCCUUUACAAAGAUUCAUUAGUCAGUGGUAACCCGCUAAGGUUUCGGUGUCUGGCGUGCACAACCUAUCACAGGACAAUGAUGGAACGACUCAGUCCCCCCUCUUGCCUAAUCACGAGUAAGAUUACUCCAGACUAAGGUUUCUAAUUAUUUAGCCAAGACCAGAGCCAAUUAGUCUUGUGGUAGCACUAUUUUCCUGGGUGGCUGUCCAUGUUCCGAUUAAACGUUUGUGAUCUUGUAUUAAUGAAAGGUAUAACAGAAGUAAAGCAAGAUUAAUCAUUGAGUUCAGUUAAACCAACUUAUCCUAAGUAGGAACUAAGCAUGAGCUACCCAACAUAAAAGUAAACCCAGUUGGUCAAGGCAAAGGUAAAUUCAAUCUAGGCAAACCUUAAUUGGGACCCAUCAAUUUAAUCUUAACAAGGGCAUAGCAUAAUUGUUGAGUAUGAGAAAGUAAAAGUGUAUAGGACUGAGAAGUAGUGAUCAAGGACACGACUUGCCUUCUUGGCCUUGCUCUUGCUGUUCGUACUCGUCGAAGGCUUGAUCUUCAAAUCCCCCGAAUUGCUGAACGUCUAUACACAUCACACGAGCACAUACAAGCAAACAAGGGCACAAAGUAAGAAAACAGUACACCAAUCACAACUAAACAGAUAAAACAAGCUUGAAAAAUUAAUCUACGCUUUAAACAAACACGUGGAUUUAAAGAACGUGAAAAACGGAGUUAAGAUGCAACAGAUAUGAUUAAAACAAGAUAAGAGGGCUUUUCUGUGAGAAAAACAAAACUUCUAGGGUCGAACUGCGGAAAACCGAGGGCUUAUACGUGAUUAUGCCUAGAAACCGAAGGUUUAACACGCAAAAACACAACUUGGGAUGGCGGGUUGAUUUUACAGAAACUCAGGGUCUAAACCGAAAGAAAACAGGACCAAAACAAAAUUAUUUUUCAACUAGAUUGGACUGCGGGUUGAUUUAUGGAAAAGGCCAGGGCUUAAGUGCCAACAAGGUGCAGCGCGACGCGAUUUACCGUUAUGCGAUCCGGUUGACUCGCUGCGGGCCGUCGGAUUUGGAUCUGACAGUCUCGGUCGUCGGCAACACCGAAGCGGCGGCGCACCAGUCAGCGGGCGGCUAUGAGCAGCGGCGGUUCGUCGGAAUUAGCCGAUACGGCGCUCCGGGGCUCGGUUUCGCGCGCGGAAAACACAGGAAGCAUGAGAAAAGAAAGGUGAUCCCGUUUUGGUGGUUCACGAUGAGCAAGGCUCACCGGAAGGCGGCGGCGGAGAGAGGGUGGCGGCGCUGGAGCUCUGGUGGCAGCGCUUGGUAGGGUUUCGGGGGCGCUAUUGCGGCGUGCUCGAGGUCGCAGGGGGGGGGAGGGGGCAGCGGGGCGGCGGCUUAUAUAGGAGCGGAGUCCGCUGGCGGUCGGAGUGGAGUCCUAGCCGGAUACGGCCGGAGGACGGGGAUGAGGGAUAGGUCCCAGCUGUUAGACAUCUUUACCCACAACUCGCGUAAAAGUUCAAAAGAACUUUGGACCCAACCAUGCGGUGUUUGCAAGGCACCAUACCACACUUCCGAGGUGUGAUUGCAUAGGGAUGCUACGAGGCCUUUACAAAGAUUCAUUAGUCAGUGGUAACCCGCUAAGGUUUGGUGUCUGGCAUGCACAACCUAUCACAGGACAAUGAUACAACGACUCAGUCCUCCCUCUUGCCUCAUCACGAGUAAGGUUUCUAAUUAUUUAGCCAAGACCAGAGCCAAUUAGUCUUGUGGUAGCACUGUUUUCCUGGGUGGCUCUCCAUGUUCCGAUUAAACGUUUGUGAUCUUGUACUAAUGAAAGGUAUAACAGAAGUAAAGCAAGAUUAAUCAUUGAGUUCAGUUAAACCAACUUAUCCCAAGUAGGAACUAAGGAUGAUCUACCAAACAUAAAAGUACACCCGGUUAGUCAAGGCAUAGGUAAAUUCAAUCUAGGCAAACCUUAAUUGGGACCCAUCAAUUUAAUCUUAACAAGGGCAUAGCAUAAUUGUUGAGUACGAGAAAGUAAAAGUGUAUAGGACUGAGAAGUAGGGAUCAAGGACACAACUUGCUUUCUUGGCCUUGCUCUUGCUGUUCAUACUGCUCGAAGGCUUGAUCUUCAAAUCCCCCAAAUUGCUGAACGUCUAUACGCAUCACACGAGCACAUACCGAGGGCUUGUACAUGAUUAUGCCUAUAAACCGAAGGUUUAACACGGAAAAAUGCAACUUAGGAUGGCGGGUUGAAUUAGAGAAACUCAGGGUCUAAACCGAAAGAAAGCAGGACCAAAACACAAUUAUUUUUGAACUAGAUUGGACUGCAGGUUGAUUUGCGGAAAAGGCGAGCGCUUCAGUGCAAAAGAGGCGCGGCGCGACACGAUUGAGUACGCGAUCCGGUUGACUCGCUGUGGGCUGUCGGAUUUGGAUCCGACGGUCUCGGUCGUCGAUGACACCUAAGCGGCAGCGGACCAGGCGGCGGGCGGCGACGAGCGGCGGCGGUUUGCUGGAAUUAGCCGAUACGGCGCUCCGGGGCUCGAUUUCGCGCGCGGAAAACACCGGAAGCAUGAGAGAAGCAAGGCGAUCCCUUUUCGGCGGUUCACGGUGAUCGAGGCUCACUGGAAGGUGGUGCUUGGCGGCGGAGAGAGGGUGGCGGCACUUGCUGGGGUUUCGGGAGCGCUGUUGCGGGGUGCUUGAGGGGGGGGGGGGGGCGGCGGCUUAUACAGGGGCGGAGUCCGGGCGCGGUCGGAGUGGAGUCCCGGCCGGAGCACGGGGAUGACGGGUAGGUCCCACUCGUCAGACCUGCGGAAGGAGGCCGCUGCCGCUGGGCAGGCCGACGGAGUGGGCCGAGCGAGCGACAUGGGCUGGCAAGGGAAAAAGGGAAAGCGGCAGCUUCGCGGGCCGAAGGAAAAGGCGGAGCGGGCCGGGGGAGGUAGCGGCGCUGUGCUGCAGGGAAAUAGGAUCCGGGCUGAAAGAGAAAGGAGGAGGAGAAGGAUGCAGCCCAGGAGGACGAAGAGAAAAGAGGAAAAGAAAGAUUUUUGAAAUUGAAAUUGAAAUUGAGAUUCAAUUUUCAUUCAAACACAAGCAAUCAAAAUAAAUGCACCAGCAUGCAAUGCACAAAGAACUCCUAUGAUGGUUUAAUUUAAUUUAGAGAAAAUAAAAUUAAAUGCCUAGAAAUUUAAAUGACAUCCUAAUUGAGCAAAUUUUAGUGUAUUUAAAUUCUUUAAAAAAUUUGGGUGUUACAGGGCACCAGAUGAUCCGACGCCUAUCUCAAGUGACCAUCGGAUCAUCCAAUGCUUACAUAUUUUACUAGCCGUUGUAGCGAAGGCUCUUUGAGAUCCAUGGGCUAUUUAUGCCCUCUCCACUCGCCCAUUCAGAGGUGCUGGAUUGUCCAUACAUCGAUUGAAGACCAAGGCCCAUCAAGAACACAUCCAUGCCACCAAAAGUGCAAAAGCGAUAAUCCAAGGCUUAGCACGAGCUAAGAGAUUGAUUAGCUCUAGGAUAGGCCUAGAGAGAGUAGUGCCAGGUGUUGCUACCUUGUGAUUGGUUCAAGGAGUGAUCCACUAUUGUAAGCUUGGGGCGCCGGCACCUUGGGGUCUUGGUGGCUCUCCGGCAAGUCUUCGACACCCCAGCUCAGUGUGGAGCAGCGUCGACAGCCGGAUGCGGGGGACAAGAAGACUCCUUCCUUCGUGGAGCAGCUCCAUGGUGAAGACGACGUCAAGGUGACCGAAGGGGGGUAGUAGUGAGCAUUGCAUUUGUGGAUAGCUUGUCAUCCGGCUUGGCUAGAGCCUUUGUAGCGAGCCCAAGACCUUGACCGGGAGAGACUUGGUGAGUAGGAGCUUGUCCUUGGUGGAGCUCCAACGCAUGGACUAGGGGUGGCAUUUGGCUACCGAUACCAUGUGAUAAAUCAUCGUGCUAGGUUUGCAUCUUUUCUAACCCACUCCUUUACAUUUCCGCACUACAUUCUCGCAACUUGAGUGCCUUUAAUUACUUUCCAGAGUAGUACCUUGUUAGGAUUGGCUCUAGGUUGCAAAACUCUUUGUGGGUGGGAAGUUUCACUAGAUCAACCAUAGAUGCACAUGUAGAUAGCAUGAUCUAGUUUAGGUUUGGAAGCAAGUAGUGGAAGUCAUAGGCCAAGGAUUUUAAGCUAGCCUAAUUCACCCCUCCCCUUCUUAUGGUACGAGCAUCGAUUCCUUUCAAUUUGCUUUAGCACCAUGAAGGCAAUAGUCAUCCAUCUGCACCAUGAUCAUAGAGCAAUGCAAAACCACGAGAGAAACGAAACGGCUGCUCUUCCUUCAUUUUAUUCCAAUUAAUAUGGACGUGGAGGUUACAGGACACACCAUGCUAGCUGUGGCGCCGGCAACAGGGAAACAAAUCCAAGAAAGCAAUGCGGACAUUUUAUUCUACUUUUUUAUGCAGAAUAUAUGGAGGCACCAGCCAGCCCAGCAACAACGACAAUGGCGGCUACUUGGUAUACUCGAUGGCCCAGAAGUUGGCGUAGAUGUAGGUGGACUUGACGCUGGUAAACCCGGCGCCCUUGGCGAGCUCCACAAACUCCCUCUCGUACCUCUCCUUGCCGUCGGGGCUGUACGCGAGCAGGCACACGUCGACGCCGAUCAACCCCUGCGCGCUGUUUGUGGCAUCCGGGUUCACCGGCAGGAUGCACUCGACACUGAUGAGCUUGCCGUGCGGAGGCAGCGCCUCGUAGCAGUUCUUGAGCAGCUUGGCGCAGUGGUUGUCGCCCCAGCAAUUGAGGAUCCACUUCAUGAGGAUGGCGUCGCCGGAGGGCACCUUCUCAAACAUGUCGCCUCCCACGUGCUGCACCUGCACGUCGGGGUAGGCCGGCGCCUCGGAGAUGACGUGGGGAAGGUCGAAGUUGAUCCCUUGAAUGGUCGGGUACCUGGAGGUGAUGGCAUGGAUGGUGGAGCCGAGGCCGCCGCCAACGUCGACGAGGGUGCGGACGCCGUCGAAGCCCGUGUAGAGCUCCAAGAGCUUCUUGGUGAGGAUGACGGAAUGCUGCUUCAUGGCCUCAUUGAAGACCCCGUUGAAGCGUGCGUCAGUACCGGCGUAGUCGAACCAGGAAGGCGUCCCAAACGCCCUGUUGAAUGGGCUGCCACCCUCAAGGACCGCGUCCGUCAUGUAGCUCCAGGCGUGCAUGAAGAGCUUGUCGUUGGCGAGGAGGUGGAACGGAGCCAUGGAGACACCAUCCUCGUUGGGGGUGAGCCACUUGCACACUGGCGCGGCGCUGUACUGGCGGCACAGGCUGCCAUCCUCGCCCUCGUCCACCACGCAGGACACAACUUUGUAGGACGCCAGAAGUCGCAGCAAGCGAUCCACCAUGGACGGCGCGGCGGGGUUGGCCUUGGAAGGCAGCUUCGCGGCCACCUCCUUGGGAGUGAGAGCCUUCCCGCUGGCGCCCACAAGGGUCUCGAGCAGGCCCAGCUCAAUGGCAGUUCUUAGCGUCAUCGGCAGGAUGGCCGACGACACUAGCUGCAGAGCGUGCAUGCAUGUCUCCUCGUCGGCUAUGGCCAUGUCCGCGGCGGAACCCAUCUACCUCCCGGGAUUGGAGCUCAACUAACUGAUGAAGGUGUGUGUAGCUUGUUGUUGUGAUUGCUGGUGGCUGAAUGAUCGAUGAGGCGAAAGGGGCCGUUUAUAUAGAGCUUCGAGCUAGGCUUUGUUCACCAACCUGAAAAUCAUGCAUUCUUUGACAAGUAUGGGAUUGCUUGUAUGGUGUGAGAGCUAGCAGCUAGCGUGGCAGUGAUUGUUUAUUAUAUUUCUUAUUACCCCAUGCAAAACCUCCCUCCUAAUAAGAUCGUGAUGCACGAGGCUGAAUACUAUAUUGUUUUGUCUGCAGUCUAAUCGAUUUGGAAUCUGCAAAUAUGAUCAAUUCACGACAUUGGAGAUGGUCGGCGCACGAAAUGCCACCGGGACACAACGAGGAGUGGCAGUCCAAUUGAAACUUUCAGAGAAGCACCUUGUGCCCUUUGAGAAUCUGUUUUGCAUUAGAUCAAGGUUGAGAUGGUUUCACGUGCGUGAUGGACAUGGCUUCGCUACUGCACAACUGUUUUUCAAGAAUCAAGAUAUUCUGCAUGGGAUGUCCUGCGUCUCUGGUGUCGGUGCAAUCUUUCUCCUGUUGAACACGUACACUAGCGUCUGAUGCCAGAGUGAGGUGGAUCGGGUGGAUCAAGGCUACGGCGUAGCACAUUAUCAAGGCUCGGGCGGCCAGAGCAAGAACACGAGCUGGCCGACCGUAGAGGGAAGACGCAACCGGCACUCGCAGAAUCUACGUGGCUCCCCUUGGUCGUUCUUUGUCUCACCCUAUGGGUAUCGUGGAGGCACGGCGCCAGGCUGGCGGCACGGUGUAGCCUCAAUUCAGAACUUUCCUAGCCAGGGCGUGGCCGAGGGCGAUUGGUUGCUCAACCUGAUGAGAACUUGGGUGGGUGCUCCUGCAUGGGAGAGAAUAGGGUGACGGAUGAGAAUGCAGAUGAGGGACGGGGCUCAGACGAGGGGUGGGUUGGAGACAUGUUUUCACUGUUGAACUCUUAGCGUCAAGAUGAGAGGUGAGAUGAGAUACCGGUAGGACCUGCUCUUACCAUGGCACUUCAGCAACCCCACCCCAACCCCGCGCGCAAGUCAAAAUUUGAGGACCAUCUACAAUACGUGCAAACAAACCAUAAUUUUACUAGUAUUGAGGGAUUUUAGUUAUUUCUUCUAAAAAAUCUCUUGGGAAUCGAAAUCGUAUUUUUGUAGUACAACAUAUAUAGAAAAUAAGUAUUGUUCACAAAUAAACUGCCCUAUACUUGGUUUUUGUUAUUAUUUUAUUUAAUCUUAAGAUUUAUAUCUGCAUAAAAAAGUAAUUUAGUAUCUUCAAAUAUGGAAACGUGGUCUUAGGAAUAGGGCUCAUAUUUUAUUCUUGAGCAUGCCUAGUGGAAAAAUAAUAUCUAAAAAACUGCAAAGAAAUUUAAUACCUAAGCCUUCGAUCCGCUCUACUUUUUGUAUACUAGUUUACCUGCAAUCCACUGGCUUGCACAUUAUAUUUCAUCAUACGAAAAUGUCUGAGAUUGUGAACGGAAGCAAUUUCAUCUGUCUGCAACCCUGCAUAGCAUGUGACACCCAGAGCUCCUGACACAAGCGCGUGAGCACCUUCUCCGACAUGCGCACAUGAUGACCGCAUGCACCCAUAUUAUACAUAGUUUAUUAUAUUUUUGGCUGGGAUAUGAUAAUCAUUAAUUAUUACUUGUAAAGAUUGGAAACGUUACAAACGAUUGUAGAAAAAAUGCGAGUCACCAGGAAGGUAGGUAGUAGAGCAUGCCGUCAGUGUCUUUCCUGUGACCUGUGUUCGUGGUGCACAUGGCAGAAUGCACAGUCUAUACAUAGGAACCAGAAGUUGGCUUCGAAACCAAUCACUCAUUAGUCCUUCAGUACUGCAGUGAACGCUAUCUAGCUAGCUAAUUUCCCCUUGAAAUCAGUUUUCUUGCGUGGCCAUGGGUAGCCUUCCACUUGAAGCUUGGACAUGAGGCGGUGGUGUGCACUCUCGCUGCCGCGCGCGACCGUGCACUCAGCAAGCUCGGACAUGAGGGCAUCCUCAAGCUUGUCGUGUAUGCCUCGGACCAGACCCACGCAACCUUCCAGAAGGGCGCGAGCAUCGUCGGCAUCCCUCCAGCAAACUUCCGCAUCCUGCGGACUUCGGCAAACUCGGGAUACGGCCUGACCGCCACCAUCGUCCAAAGAGCAAUCGAGGAAGACGUCGCCCGCGGGCUGGUUCCCCUUUACCUCUGCGCCACCGUCGGCACUACUGGUCUGGGGGCCAUUGACCGAGUGCGCGAGCUCGGCCAUGUUGCCCGACGUUAUGGUAAUUCAUUCAACCUCCCUCUCUUAUACGGUGACACUAAAUACGUAGAAAUGGAAUGCGCUAUGCGGUCACAGGUCACGAUUUCAUGCUCACUUAACAAUCAACAAUCAGUUCCUAUAACCAUCUGACAAGAAUACAUGUUUUACAGGAACCUGGCUGCACAUCGACGCAGCCUACGCCGGAAGCGCAGCCAUUUGCCCGGAGUUCCAAGGUCACCUCGACGGCGCCGAGCUCGCGGACUCGCUGAGCAUGAACCCACAUAAGUGGUUCCUCACCAACAUGGACUGCUGCUGCCUCUGGGUGGCGAACCCUACCACCAUGACCGACGCACUGUCCACUGACCCGGAGUACCUCAAGAAUGUCGGCACCGCGUCUAAGAUGGCGGAAACGGUCGACUACAAGGACUGGCAGAUCGCGCUGUCACGCCGCUUCCGUGCCAUCAAACUCUGGGUGGUGCUACGGCGCUAUGGAGCGGCGGGAAUGCGCGCGCACAUACGGAGGCACAUCCAGAUGGCAGAGUGGUUCGAGCACGUCGUGGCGGCGGACGAGCGGUUUGAGGUCGUGGUGCCAAGGAACUUCUCCUUGGUGUGCUUCCGCCUCCGCCCGCGGUUCAUGGCGGAUAAAGCUGUGGAGGCCCUGAACCGCGACCUCCUCGCAGCGGUGAAUGCAAGCAGCCGGGCGUUCAUGACGCACUUCGUCGUGGACGACAAGUUUGUGAUCCGCCUAGCCGUGGGUGGGUCAAUGACAGAGAUGCGGCACGUCCGGGCCGCGUGGGAGCUUCUCAAGGAGAAGGCCAACGACUUGAUCGCCACCGGUUGUUAGUUAUUGCUCAUUGCUAGUGCUAUACCAUGCAUGGCCAGCAACAGAAGCUGAGCAUUCUAUUAUUGCUUCCAUUCGUAGUUAGAGCACACCAUGAAUGCAAUAGUCAAUCCAUCUGAACCAUGAACAUUCACUAUGACCAUGUAUGCGACACAAUAUACAUAACUGCUACUGCCGAUAUUGGAUUCUAUUUCUGGAGAAGCGGCUGCUUCUACGGAGCAGGCCGAUUGAAUUUUAAGUAUGUUAUGAUACUUGUAAAAAAUCGAUGCUAGGCAUGGAUUCCUGGAAGGGGCCCGUCACAACUCACAAUGGAAGGGACCCGUCAUAACCAACCUCGUUAAUACAAAAGAAACAUCAGGCGAAACAAAUGGACGCUAAGCCACACACCUGAACAAAUUUUACCUGAAAUUUGCAACACGUCAAGAAUGCUUAUCACUCAACCGUCUCACAUCUCUUUUGUUUAAGGAAACCAGGCUCGUUACUACAAAAUGAACACCCCGCCCCAUAACACACCCCGAGCGGCGCCAGCGGGGAUCCUUUUCUUUGAACCGAUUCUAACCUCAUCACUUGCCCCCUCCUUACGAAGUUAGCGAGUAACCGAUGUCGACUAUCAUGAAGGUGUCCAUUUUGUUGUUUUGCAGGAAAGGACUCGUUAAGUUAAGCCCCCCCGGAGCUCCCAGCAUUUUUGGCUUCGUGAAGACUACAUAACCGAAAGGCGAAGUCAACUGGCUCCGACUAAAGAGGGUGGGAUGUCAACUGAAGGCUGCCCGGCCUUAACGAAGCCUACAAAUGAAAAAGAAGACAGUCAAGGUGGCCCCGAAACCGCUUUACAGCAGGAUGGCUCCGCAAUAGGAAUCUAGUAUAAGGCUGUAUAUGUAAUUUUACCAUGACAGCGACGUCUCGAAUGAGAACCAAGUUACUGUCUUGUACGGAAUAUUCUUGGGAUGUAGUGGUUGCGUAUCGGUAUAACGGGGAUGCGGAAAUGUAACUUUAUAGCUCUAUAAAGGGAGGCGAACCGUCCUCCCUAAGGACACGAAUCUUUGUUAGGAUAGCCACUGUAAUGUCUGUAUGAACCACUGUUAUCUUCGUUCACUGUAUUCUCAUCAUUGUCUGGGAAUCCCCCAACAUUUGGUGCCCACCGUGGUUUAACUCGUUAAACAGCCCACGAUGCCACCACAACGCAAAAAGAGACCUGCAACUCAGAGGGAAGACAACACAGAAGAAGCCAACCAGCUCACGGCCCCCGAAGCCACACAUCAAAUCCUCCCCGACAAGGCGGAGCGUCUUGCAAGAGUCGAGAAAGCCCUAAGGGCCAAGGCAAUGAGCAACCAGCCCGCAAACGAAGUCAACCACCAAAGCCACCAACCUGUGGCAAAUGAAGUUGCCAACUGUGUUGAUGCUCACCAGUCUGCAACACCCGAAGCUACUGGCCCAUCUAGCCUGAACAAUGAACUAGACUCAGUUCUCCAAAAGAUAGAAGAGGUCAAAAGAAAGAAGGAACAGUUGGCACGACAAGUGCAACACCAGAAAGAGGCUGCGGCCAGGCUAUCAAAGUUGAACGAGGCUAGGCGGCAACUAGAAGCACUACAGGAAGAAGUCGCAGAGCUCGAAAGCCCCCUCGAGAAUGCAAACCAGGCCGCAACUUAUUUUUAUCAAAGUCCCACUGUCGAUCAAGCACAGCUUCAACCCAGCAUCAACUUCGGCCAAGGCAUCCAGCACCACUCACCAGGGGUGUCCCUUGUUGUCGACCCAACUUCACCGCUCUCAAUAGGGCUACAAACUGCACCAUGGCCGACGACCUACAAACCAACCACCUUGCCCAAAUUCAACGGGCGCACCGACCCGCGGCAAUUCUUAAUGAGUUAUGAAGCUGCAGUAGCUUCGGCCGGAGGGGAUGAUGUCGUCCUCACCAAAUCCUUCAUAAUUGCCUGCGAGGGCGCAACGCUAAAUUGGUAUUCGCUGCUCCCUCCACACAUGGUGAUCAACUGGCACGACCUCAAGAUGAAGGUCACUCAAAAUUUCUAGGGUUUCCACCACCCUCACACGGCCUAGGCAGACCUCUUUCAGUGCAAGCAAAAGCACAAGGAACCGCUUGCAGAGUAUGUAAGAAGAUACGUUCAACUUUGUUCUCAAGCACCGCAAAUUGAGGAGUCUGUAGCAAUAUCCACUUGCAUCGUGGGCCUAACCCCCAGCCCAACAGCCUCAAAAUUGUUAAGGAAGGAGCCUAAAACCAUGACUGCCCUCUUCAGCAAACUCGAUGAAUACAUCAGGUCCGAUGAGGACCACCGCCGAAGAGUGGCGGAACGUAACAAAGAGAGACAAAAAAACCAAAACCGAAGCUGGCAACCUUCGCCUUACAACAAGCCUCAAAACCCAAAUCAAAACCAAAACCGCAUCAUGAACAUCGAGGGAAGCCAAAACCAAAACCAGAGCCAAAGCCAAAACAACAGCACCCAAAGAGGGGGCCACUCUGGCAAAGGACGAGGUCGAGGCAAACAACCAAAGUCGUUUUACUGUGUCAACCAUGGCCAUCAGAAUCAUCACAACACAGAGUGGUGCCCCAAAAAGAAGCAGGAAGAGAGAAAAGCUGCAUAAGAAGCUGCAAGGACAGCCGCGCAGACACCCAAAACAAUCCACCACACAGCCUUUUACCCACACCCAACCUUCUACCACAAUCAACCCAGCUUCGCCAACUUCCCGCAACCAAUAAAUUGGCCUCUUCCACCGCACAUACAACCCUACCACCAAACAAUUCCACAGCACCCCAAUCCCAACCCGCCUCAGAAGCCCCAAGAAACUCUACCUCCACCCCCAAGCAUGCCAGCUAUAAUACCCAAGCCAGAACCCAACACGCAAAACAGCAACCAAAAUUCCUUACCCUCCUUCGGGAUGAUAAUGCCAAUCACCGGGGGCUCCUCGCUAGAGUUUGAAAGCAAGAGAUAGAAACAGAACUACUUCAGAGAGGUCAAUGUGAUCAUUCCCGACUGGACCUCCAGCAAAGCCAGAAUGGGCACACAUGCCCAUAACCUUCACCGAAGAGGAUUUCAACCUCAAGACAACCUCGCACAACGAUGCGAUGGUCAUCAAAGCACUGAUAGCAGGCUGGACAGUGGGGAAAGUCCUGGUAGACACAGGCAGCUCCGUGGACAUUCUCUUCGCAAAUGCAUUCAGAGAAAUGAAUAUUGACAUGAACACGCUCGACCCAAGGGAUGUCCCGCUCCUUGGCUUCGGCGGAAAGCCCGUGAAGGCCUUGGGAAAAAUCGCCCUCCUAGUCUCGUUCCGAGACCGAGAUAAUGCGAGGACAGAACACAUCACCUUCGACGUAGUGGAAAUGCAUUAUCCCUACAAUGCAAUACUCAGCCGUGGCUUCAUCACCAAAAUGGACACAACAAUCAGGUAGUUGUACCUAUGCAUGAAAAUACCCGCCCUCAAAGGGGUCAUAACGGUGUACGGUGAUCAGCAAAUGGCAAGGAACAUAGAAAAAGGGGUAGCCCCGGGCCAAAAGAAUGUCCACCAUCUAGCCUCGUCAAACGAAGCCGAAAACAUAGCAAAGCAAAAGGCCCACGACGAGCCUAAGAGAGCUAAACAAAAGGUAAAAAUCAGUGCGGAUGGCAAAACAAAGCGGGUACCUCAAAACAUAGCUAAGCCACACACCUGAACAAAUUUUCCCCGAAAUUUGCAACACGUCAAGAGUGCUUAUCACUCAACCGUCUCACAUCUCUUUUGUUUAAGGAAACUAGGCUCGUUACUACAAAAUGAACACCAAGAUGAUAGAGCUCUUUUACGAUACACAAUACUACUACUUAGUAGUAUAUAGUAUAUAUAUAUAAGAUCUAACUGUUCAUUAUUAUGGAUAAUUUAGUAAUUAUUACAAUGUAAAAAGUGAUAUUUCAAAUAGAAUGGUCUUUUAAACUUUCUGCUAGUAUCAAAAAUAAAAUUAUAGUGGUGCCAUUUGUGUUUGCUUACCAUGAUACCCUUAUACUACCUAUACUACUCAUGUAUACUACUCAUACCAUAGGCGUAGGUUUCAGUAGUAUGUAAUUAAUCUUGACCGUCGGAUAUGUUUAUACUAGUCAUUUUCGAACACAAGUAUAGUCUAGUGUUGUGUUCCGUAAAAGAGCUCAUAUAAUAUGUUAUAAAACUUAUUUGUGAAAGCUAAAGGCAACAACAGGGGAUAAAUUUCAGAAUAGGUAAGAACAGAAAUUUAAAAGGGCAAAAUUUGUUGAUGCAUGGAAAUGCAUAGAAUGCUUAUUACUCAAUCGACUCACAUCUCUUUUUCCUAGGAAACACAAUAAUUGUUGGAAACAAAGCACUUAUUGUUGGAAACAAAGCACUUAUUGUUGUUCAUAGCAGCUGAGAUUGACUUACAUAUAUUUAUUUGCAAACAGGUGUGAAAUGUGAUACAAUAAUUCAGAAAGCUAGACAUCCUGAGCCAUGCGAGGGAUAAGAAGAAGCUUCUCCUUACGGUGCACAUCCAUCCCAUACGACUCUGACAUAUCGACGCCUGUCGACCGCGGCAGAAGCUCCCAGUUGAAGUGGUAGAUGAGGUUGGCAAGAAUGAUUUCGAAAGUGGCGGUGGUGAAGUUUAUACCCGGGCACAUCCUUCGCCCAGACCCAAACGGCAAGAAACGGAAGUCGUUCCCCUGGAAGUCAGAAGCAGCAUCCACGGCUUCUUCCAUGAACCGCUCGGGCAUGAACUCCUCUGCACUCUCCCAGUAGGUGGAGUCCCUGCCUAGAGCCCACGCGUUGACGAUUACACGUGUCCCAGAGGGUAUGGUAUAUCCCUCCACCUCCCAUUCGGCCAUGGACAAGUGGGGUAUCAAAAGAGGCCCCGGCGCGUGUAGCCGCAUUGACUCUUUCAUCACCGCCGUCAGGUAGCUCAUGCCGCUCAGGUCUUGUUCAGUGACCAGUUCCUUCCCCCUGGUUGCGCACCCCCGCACCUCAGCUUGAAGCUUGGUCAUCACCUUGGGAUUCCGCAUCAGCUCAGCCAUGGCGUAGUCUAGUGCUAUGUAGGUUGUGUCCGUCCCAGCUUCAAACAUGUCCUACAUGAACAUAUCGGUAAGUAGAACUCCAAAUCAAAUUUAACCAAGCUAGUCCAUGAAACGUCUCAUAUGUACCUCUCGUGAAAAAUAAACAUACCAUCAGUAUUGCCUUGACGUUGUCUCUGGUCAGGCCGUACUCUUGUUGAACGGAGAGCAGCACAUCGAUGAAGUCCUCCUCGUCCUCACCAUCGACCGGCUUGGUCUUGUGCUUGUCGAUGAGGCUGUCCAAAAGGUCAUCCCAUAUCUUCCUGUGCUUCACGGCCUUGGCCGAUACCAAGUCCAACCUCGCCAAGCUCGGGAAAUAGUCGUCCAGGUUAAAUCCCCCCAGGAGCUUGGCGUUCGUCUCUAACAGCUCCCGGAACAGCUGGUUCCGACCUUGUUCCCUGGGGAGCCUGCCCGUCACGGCCUGGCACACGAUGUCGUUGGCGAAGAAGCUGAAGAGCUUGCUGACGUCGACCGCGAUGCCCAUGGCGGCGGCGGCCGUCACCUUGGCUAAAACCAGCUGGACCUCCUGCUCGCGGGCGGCGCGGUUGGACCGGACCUUCGCUGCGGUAAGGAGGUGGGUGGUGAUCACCUUCCUGGCCUGGCGCCAGUACUCACCGUAGGGGGCGAAGCCGACGUCGGUGCAGCCGUAGAACAGGACGUCGGCCACCGCGGAGUGCGGCCGGGAGGCGAAGACGUGGUCGUGCGUGCGCAGGACGGCCUUGGCGGCGCGUGGGGAGGAGACGACGAGCGUUGGCACGGCGCCGAGGCGGAGGAGCAUCACGUCGGGCCCGUGCCUCUUGGCGAGGUCGCGGAGGGAGUGGUGGGGAAGGGAUCCGAUGAGGUGGAGGUGGCCGAUGAUCGGGAGCUUGAACGGAGGCGACGGUAGCUUCCGGAGCAGCUUCUCUGUUCUUGACCUUGGUGUUGCCAAGUGCACGGCGACGAGGAAGAGGAAGAAGAGGAGGGCUAGGGACUCUGGAGAUGCGUGUUCGUAGAGGUGCGCUAGCGCUGGAGCCGCCAUGGCUGAUCAACUAGUGUGCACAACACACGGCUUGCUAGCGCAACAAGUUAGAACCAGCUCGUUGCAGUUUUUGUAGAGCUCGGUAGUCGUGAUCCGUCAGACAGCAAGAAGAGUAUGCUAUUUUUCUUCUUUUCUGCAUCAUCACUAGAUCAGAUCAGACAGGACCGACCAGAUCUGAUAUUUUAUGAGAGAAUCCUAUCGAAUAAUCAUCCUUUUUAUUAAACUGCACCCGACGCAGACUUUCUUUAUUUGCCCAUGUGCUAUUAUAUUAAUUUUUAUCUCGACUAUUAUAAUUUUUAUCUCGACUAUAUACCACUGUCCUCAUGUAUGUUGUGUACCAAGAGGAACACGAGACGAUCGAGAUUCCAAUAAAAUAUGUGUUUGGUGCUGGAUUAAUUGGCAUGCUUUUCUCUCAGAUGAGCUGCGUGUAGUGACACGGCGCUCGCAAUAGUUGGUCGGCGCACUGGUAGACGGGCAGCUCAUGGAUGCUACCGACGGCUCUGCAACUUGAUGCAGUUCAUGCACGCUGCUGGGUGGCACCCAUGGUGCGAUAUGGCAUUGGCAUUGGCACUGUGGCGGCGGAUCCGACCAGUAGCAGAAGCUCGCACAAGUCUAAAUGUAUCUAACUUUGAUGAAUUUUGAUUUCAAAUCUAUGGAGGCUUUUGAGCUCGAACUAAUUGAAAUGGAUCACACUUUAGUAGUGCUUUCAACAUAAAAAAUUGACACAAAUUAUGGCGGUCAUUUGUGCCACUGGAGAAAUUAAAGGGAAAAAUAGAAAAGAUGGUGUUUUCAAUACACUUUCUUGCUAGCUUGCUAGCCUUUCCCCACGGUGCUGAAAUCGUGGCGGGGCAAAAGGGGAGGUGCAUGAACUCGUCGCUGGCUGGCGGAGGACAGAGCUAGGGGCGGUUCAGGCACAACGGUGCGUAGGCGGGGGUAGCGGCGAGGAGUGGCGGUGAGCAGUCUGCCUAGCCCAGGCAGAAAAACAAAGGUUUGAAACAAACAAGCCCUUGGUGUGUAACUGAUAGGCAUAUGUUCGAAACUCCGAUCCUGUCGCCCUUGAUUAAAAUUCAUAGUAGAGACCCAUUGAGGAUUAGCCCUGGCAUCGAUCCGGCCACAGGAGAGACCGGGAGCCAAGAAGUGAAGUAAGUUGCGUGCGUGCCUGACGGCGAGGAAGCACCUCCAUUGAGCCACGAGGUGGAGUACGAGGCAGAGGCGAGAUGGGAUGUGUUGGGGACAGACUCACAUGACGGAGAGCGGUGCAUCUCCUACCUACCAUCUGCCAUUGCCGAGGGCCUUUCACCGUGCACCACUCCGGUUCGCUCUUUUGCGUCGCUGGGAGGAAAGGGACCGCCGAGCGUUGGGUGCCGCCACCGCUCCUGUGUAGUUCACCAUGGCCACCUCCUCCGAUAGCGCCCACACCAGCGCUGCACCUCAUUCCAGGGAUGGGGCAGCCGCUGCUGGGUCACAUCCACCCGGGGAUUGGGCCGUUGCUGGGGAAUGCGCGGCAGAGAAGAAAAGGAGAAAACAGAGGAGACGUGACUGACAGGGACGGAGGAAAGAUGAUGAGUGCGUACGGUGGGGCGGGUAGGAAACGCAUCGGUAAAAAUGGAAUUGGUUUUUUGGUAGAAACAUUUUCUAACUUGUGGUUUUUAUGGGUCUCCACCUUAUCCUCUCUCAAUUGCAUGAUAGGUGGGUCCGACAUGAGCGGUAAGGUGGUUCUGGUUUGGGUGAGAAACGUUUCCAAUUAUGUUGGAAAACAGGCUUCGCGGAGGCUCAAACACAAUGAGGUUUGAGCAGUCCUUGCAAUUCAAUUCCAAAGAAAUGAACAUAUGUUUACAUCGGGGUAGGGCUCUCCUUUUAUAGUAUCUCGGAGGACAUUUUGCAUUCCGCAAUUACCCUCACUCACCCACUACAAUCCUAGAAUAUGCUUUACAUGGAGGUAACUUGUAUAACUUGGUCUCCUCCUUGGAUCACGCUUCUCACGCCUUUAGUCAGCUCCAUGAUUCACGCUCUCACAUGGUUCCACAAAUCACGCCUUCACAUUUCCAACGCCUCCACGCUUCCUGACCUCGUGACCGAAGCCAUCUUAGCUUCGGGAGUCAUGAUCGCCAUAGAUUCGCACCUAAGAGACGCUAGCCUCGCGCCCUGCUCCUUGACCUGAUUCAGCGAUCCUGCAUGAGACACUAAAUAACUCAGCACUCGAGGUUAGCUUCGACUGCUCGAGGUCAAGCUUGGUUAGUGUCUGGCGAUCUGUGUGCCUCCGGGCUUCAAGGUAAGAUUCAGGAUAGCGAGGCUAUGAUUACUUUCCACGCCAGAUUAACCACCCAAGGUUAGGGGUCCUCACCCGAGGUUAAUUAUUUUGAGGGGCUAAGCUGUUGACGCUAAAUGUAACGACCUCGAGGGUGACCAUCUUUUUGGGCGAUCCCCAACAGUAGCCCCUCGUGGGCAAGGCUCGACACCGACAACCGAACCCGCGACUUAAGGAUCUGCUCCCAAAAAACGUCACCCUCAAGCAUCGGUUAGAAAUGAGCCGACAAUUACCUUUUUGGUCUUACGUGUUGAUUUCCUAUUGGGUGACCUUUCGUAUCUAGCUCGUGGUUACAGGCGCCAUUUCACGCAUUUUACCAUGCCUAUAAAAGAGGGGGGUGGGGUCGCUUUCGUUUUUACCCUCGCGGCUAAAACCCUUGCGCUCCUGCUUUUGCUCGCUGCUUCCGUGCUUUAAGAUUCAUGCAUUGUAUGCUGUUCUCCUUGGUCUCGAGGAUCUCAAAGGUAACAAUGUUACUUGUGUCUCUCUUUUAGUGUGAGAUUUUCCCUUGCUUGUCAUUUUGGAGAUGAUGUUUCGAUGCCUUGCAGCUGGCUCGUAUUAUGCAAACCGCUAGGCCCAUGACAUCAGAAGAGUUCACUAAACAAGUUGGGCUUCGCAAUGAGGCUGCGGAGGACCAGGAUUUGUACAAGGCUGACGAGAAGCAAGGAAUCAAGAGGAUUGAGCUUUCUUAUGCCCAGAACAAUAGGUGAGAAGACAAUUGGCUAAGCUACUACUUCUAUAUCAAGAUUGACAGGGCCGAUGCGUCUGGUAUCAACCGAUCUUUCUAUCCUUCUGUGCACCCCUGGGCCCUAUGGAUAUUGCUACUACCCCUGCAUUUACAAGGUCCAAGGCAGACAAGGAGUGCAAGGGCGCUUUCCUCCCGGACUCGAAGUCGAUCCCCGGCUGGAUCUUGUUGAAGAGUUUUUGGCAGCCAAUAUUUGGCCCCUUUCUGAUGGGUGGAGUCCAUUGGAGAUUGUGCCAAAAGACGUUUUGUGGAGUACUAGCCCGCUCCUCUACCCUUGCUUUGGAGUGGAGCUGCCCGUGGAUGCCAACCCCGGUCUUUUUGCAGAGGAUGUUGAGAGGCAUGCUGUUGAUAUAAUUGGCCCGAGUACUGAGACUGAGCUGAUGUUAGCUCGAAAGAUCAUUGCACACGAGCUUCGGGUCAACCGUGUGUUCGAGGAACUUGGGGUCGAUGUUAAGCCUCAUCCCAAACCUCGCAAGACCUUGAAAUGGGCACGAGAGGCUGGCGCGACAGGCUUGGAAUAGGUUGGCAGCAGUGGCAGGUGGAAAAAGAGAAAGGCCGAGAGCACCGCUCCUAAGGCCGCGGCAGUGACUUCAAAGAAGGAUGACAGCCAAUCAAGGGUCAGUGCUCGAGGUGCGAAAGCAAAAUUAAAGACCUCGAGCCUCGAAGCUUAGAAGAAGUAAGAAAAAAUUGGACAAAGUUCCUCAAGCGAGGCUGCAAAAUCCUCCACGCCCCUGUCUCUAAAGCCAUCCGAGUUGCGACCAAGUCCGAACUCGAGGCUGCCGGCGCACUGGCCGGUAUGAAAGAAAAGAAGUCUACGAGGAAGUCUCACGUCGGCAAAGCCUUUGAUGAUGAUGAUGAUAUUGUUUUGGAUGUGGACUUGUCUAUGUUCCCUAUAUCGGUCCCCAAGGCUAGUGUUCCUUCAAAGGAGACUGAGACUAAGGUUGCUGCACCCCCUCUACAGCACAAGGCCAAACCUUUGAAGGAGAAGAUCGUGGAUACCAUUGCUAAGGAGAUUAAGGCAUCUACUUCGAAGGUGACAAAGCCAGGUAAACAUGUCGUUGUACAUUUGCCUAGGAUGAGAUUUUAUGAUUGUGGUGAUGCGUCAUUUAGAUUUCUGAUGGAGCUGGAAAAAACCACUGGUGCACCUUGGGAGAUAUAUAGGGAACCUCCUCUAAUAUUUAGGGUAAAACCUUAUUCUGCAGAUUCUGAACUGUCACCCUCUCUGGAACGUUACAACGAGGCCUACGGCACCAACCUUAGACAGGAGCUCAUUGCUGUUCAUGUGCCGGGUUCAGGUGAGGACGAUAAUCGCUACAACCUACCCUUGUUGUGGGGAGCUAAGGAUGGGAUGCGUGGUGUAGAUAGAGCAGCCAAGGAGGUUUUCAAGAUGUCUGAGGGGGUUGUCGGCGAGGUUGGUGGGCAGGGAGAAAGGGAGGAAGGCGAGGUUAUCCCUACUCGAGGUCUUGGGAAAUCCACUGUGCCUUUUGAGGUUGAUUACGAGGACAAGUCUUUUAAUCCUGAGAGUAAGCGCUUGCUCCUUAGUUUGUUUUGUCUGUACUUAAUUUCUACUUUGCUAUGCUUUGACGUGCCUUUCUUUUGACAGAGUAUGAAAAAUCAGUUAGGCGUUUUGAGCAAAAGGACUUAGCUAGGAUGUCAGCUACCAUCGGAUACAAGGUAUUUUGUUCGACGCUUGCUAUUUGUUUCUUAUCUCUCUUUUUUUAUGAGUCUUUUCAUUUUGGUGUUUUGAUUUUGCAGUCCAUCAUCCUUGGGAAGAUGCUAUGGAGAAGGCUGCGGCUAAGGAAAAGAGCAUGCUAGCCGAGAGCACGAAGAUGAUGCAGCUAGAGGCUAGAGUUGCAAAGCUUGAGGAGGAAAGCAAGGUUUUAUAUGCCUUGAAGAACGAGCUCGCCGAUUCUAACUCUGACCUUAAAAAGAACAACGUGCUGCUAACAAAUACCUACAGCGAGCUCGUGCAGCAAGUUGAGAAGCUGGAGAAAAGACCCGAAGACAAUCUUGGUGUUUUGGAGAAACUCCGAAGCGCCACAGAAAAAGACGUACAGACUGUCAUAGAGCAGGAAAAAAUGAUUCAUACCCUUGGUCAGGAUCUCAAAGAGCAAAAGACCUUUGUUGUGGAAGCAGAGCGGGCUCUCAAGGAAAAGUUCGUUGAGAUCUAUGAGGUGUACAAAACUGCUCUUGCAAAGUUUGGCACAGAGCCUCUUUUGUUUCUGGGUGAUGAAAGUGUAAAAGAAAUAUUUGAUUGGGUGGAAGAGGAGUUCAAAGGCCUGCCCGAGGUUAUUACUGGUAGCAGCAACUUUGCUACUUCCUUCUGCCUUGAUAGCGCAUUUCAACUCCUUGAAAAGAACAGCUACUCUCAUUUCUUAACACUUGCGGCUCGCACCUAUAUGUUCCCCUCGGCCUCGGAGCUUGAUGAAGAGGAGAAAUCUAAAAAUUUGAGAGCCAUGAAGAUAAAUUUCUUCAAACAGCUUUGGGCUACCUCCGGGCGAGAGUACACAAGGCUGGUUGCUCAAGAGCGGCUUGCACAGGUUAGGGUUCACAUAACUUUGUAUUUCAUAAGGUUUGCAUUUUUUCUGUUGAUUUCCUGAUGUUGUUCCUCUUGUGUUCGUAGGCCAAGGCAUAGGAAGCAAAAGGCGAAGGUGGGAGCGAGAACGAUGAUGCUGAUCAAGGAGGGCAGUGAUUAUCGAAGCUAGUUAGAGAUUUGUUUUGUGGUUUGGGAUGUUUUGAUAAACUUGAUACUUAGUUGGCUGCUUUUGCGGGCCAGAUUGUAAAUAUUUGUUGCUCAGCCGGAACUUACAUGCUCGAAGCUGGUUACUUUUGGCGUUUGUACCUUCACGGAUUUCUUUUUAUCUUAACGUUUUUAUGUUUGAGUUAUUCUACUCAAAUGGCAACAAAGCUGUAGCUUAAAGAAAUGAGCAAUGUUUUAGUUUAAAACGUCACCCCUGCCCUAGUUUCUUUAUGCGUAGGUUUUUGUUGACUUUGCACGCUUGUUGUCUAAGCUCAAACGGAGCUUAAAAACGUCACCCCCUUCUUGGCACGUGGGUCUUACCCAAGGCAAUUCUCUCAUGGAAAGAGGAUGAAAACGAUUUUUGUUUGCCAAAAAAUGUCACCCCCGCCCUUUUAUCCUUUUUCCGAAAAAACAUCCAACCUCGCCCUUUUCUUUUGCAUGAACGAGGUUAAGUGAGUAUUGACAAACCACAAGAUAAGUCAAUAGAAAAGUUGUUUUCGAGUUAUGUUGACUUAAAAAAUAUGAUAGUUUGGUUGAAAUCGCAACCCUUAGGAUGUGUUUGGUUGGGCUGUGGCUUUUCAAAAAGCUGCUGUGAGUUGUGGGCUGUAGAAAAGCAGCUGUGAGAAAGCAGCUGUGGGAAAAGUAUAAGGCCAUUUGGUUAGAGCAGAUGUAGCUUUUGAAUAAAUUUUCGAGUGGACCCUGCAUGUCAUCCACAGUCCACCCCACUCAACUCUCUCCCUCUCUCACUGACGAGCGGGUCUAACCCUUCUUCUUCCUCCCGCUGGCUUGUCCACCCCAUAGCACCCCGAGUAGCACCAGGGCCGCAACGACAUCCACGAUGAUGCAGUCCACAAUCAGGGCGAGGUCCAUGAUGGCGAUGGCCUGCGCCUCACCUCCUCCACCUUGCACCACGUGGCAGGCACCGUAGCACCACCGGCAUCUAGGAGGCAGUAGCACCCCGCGGGCACGCAUGCGUCGACAUAGAGGUUGAGGCUGGUCUGUGCCGCCAAGAGCCUGCCGCCCGCGCAGGCGAGCCCCGCCUCCAUGGUGCCCUUCGGUGUGGAGGCGGAGAGUGAUGAGGAGAGGGAUGCCAUGGCAGCGGCGAGGAGGAGGAGACGCGCGAUGAUGAGUGUGUGCUGCUGGAGGUCGGAGGCCGGGAGCGAGACGGCAAGGAGGCCUGCGGCAUGGUCGAGGAGGAGGAACGACAGGGAGAGGAGGAGCGGGAGGUGGGGCGGGAGGAAUGGGAGCAGCGGUGGGAGGAGCAGCAGUGGGAGGAGCGUCAUGGAAGCCAGUGGGAGGAAGGCGAACAGGAGCACGAGGAGUAGCGAGAGGAGGCAGAGGAGCGGGUGGCGGAACAGGCGGAGGAGGUGGUGGUGGAGGGAGGACGGGGAGAGGUAGGAGACGGCGGCAAUGAGGUGGUGGGACUGGGAGGUCGCGAUGAGGGAGAAUAUAAGGGCAUGGCAUGCGAGCAGCAGCGCCUCCACCAUUGGGGUUGGGCAACGCGGUCGGGGAAGUCCCGAGGAGGAGGAGCACCAGGCGGCGGGCCACUAAGGUGAUGGUCGGGUGGGGGGACUGGUGUGGGUGAUGGGGAGUGGACGGGAAUAGAAGGGGAAAACGAACCGUUAUCCUCCAUAACAAGUGGUAGGUGGGUAAUUUUUUGCCCCAAAAGCAGCUAAAAGCAGGGGGGAAGGUGCUUUUGAUUUUGAGCAAAAGCACGUAUGGCUUUGGUCAAAAGCACGUAUGGCUUUUAGGCCCUUUGGUUGGCUUUUGGCUUUUGCAAAAGCAAAAGUAGGUUGGAAAGUCCAACCAAAGGCACCCUUAGUUGCUUCAACCAUGAAAUUUUGCGAGGUUGAGAAAAUAGGGAAAUAGGGUGCCUUUUUUGAAAAAAUGUCAGUCUUUCUAUUCUAUUGUGAGAGCUUUGGCUGAGGCUAGGGCCUUCGUGCGAAAGGACAAAAUGAAUUUUCGACUCUGAAAAACGUCACCCCCCUUGUCCUUUUGCGCAGAGGGGGUUUAGACUCAGCAUGGCUUAUUCCGAGUGUUAUCGCUGCCUUUGAUCGCUUGCUGCAGUCUUUCUAUUCUCUGAGUUGCAAGUUCAAGGCCAAUCACUGUGGUGUUUGAGUGAGAAAAUACGUUUAUGUGCAUAUAGUGUGCAGUUCAAUGUUAGACUAUGCAGCUUAUUGCUGCUUUAAAAUAUCUUGCGCAGAAACGUAGGUUUUCAGCACGCAGAAACGUGAGGUUAGGCAAGUUGUUGUUGCAUCUGAGACUUGUGCAGACACGCAAGUUUUCAAUGCACAGAAACUCGAGGUUAGGCAACUUGUUGUUGCAUCUAAGACAAAGAUCAUAGGGGGAACUUCAUUUCAUUGAAUAAUGGAAAUUUUACAAGGAUCUACCUCUUCCGACAUGGUUGCCUCUUUGGCCACUUCUGAAAUUGGGUUGAUGUUGGUGGUAUCGGUUCUGGUUUUGGCCUUGGUUUUGGUUUUGGGUUUGGUUUUUGAACGAGGGUUGGUUAUCCUUGAUGGCCAGCAGUUAGUUUGGGUGCGAGUGGUGCUGUUGUUGGUGACUGUAUCACGAAGCUUGCCAGUUUUGACCUUUCUCUGCUUGCCUUUGGCGGUUUCUUUCCACGACCCUUCUUCUAUGGUCUUCAUCUGAUCUGCAAUAUUUAUCCAUCUCUGCGAACAGGGCUUCCAUUCUUUUUGGCUUUUUCCUUGAUAGCUUUGAGGCUGUUGGCCUCGGAUUAAGCCCCUUGAUGCAGAUCUCUAUAGCCAUGCUAUCCUCCACAUCUGGGGUUUGUGCCUUAAGUUGGACAAAUCUUCUCACGUAGCUUGCUAAAAGGCUCUUUAUCUUUUUGCACACAAUUGAACAAAUCCCCCUCAUCAGUCAUGGCUCUAUGAAAGCCUUGAAAGUUUUGUAUAAGUUUGGUUUUAAGAUCGACCCAGCUGUAUACAGAUUGCAGCAGGAGUAGAGAGUACCAAUUUAGUGCUGCACCCUCGCACGCUAUAAUGAAUGACUUUUCCAAUACUACAUCAUCUCCCCCUGCCGAGGCUAUGGCUGUUUCAUAACUCAUGAGGAACUAGCGGGGAUCUGUUUGUCCAUUGAAUUUUGGUAGUGCAACUGCCUUGUAGGUUGUGGGCCAUGGGGCUUUUUGCAGGCCUAAGGACAAUUGGGAGAUUUUGUCGGUAGUUGUGUAUGCGCUCAUUGUCACUCUGGUGUUGUGCCCAACGAGGCUAGGAUUCGGGUAUAUGAUGGGUGUGUCAUUGGUGUUGAAGGUUUGAAGUGGUGGCUGCUGCGGCUGUUGCGGUGUGUUACACAAGUAUUCCAAUUCGUUCAACUCUUGCUGCAACUCUGCCAGCUGCCUUUUGGCCUCAUUUAGCCUCACUAGCUUGUUGGUUGCUAGUCUUUGAGCCUGAAGCUCUUGAGCAAAUUUUUCUUUUUCUUUUUUAAUGCCUCUAGCUGCUUGAGUGCGGAGGCCAACUCUUCUUCUAUUUCACUAAGGGGUUCAUCUUGCGUGCUUGUUUGCUGCAGAGUUUGGUUCGAGGUCCCCGCCUCAACCAUGCCUUUCUGUGAUCUUGUUCUUAAAUUAGCCUCGAUUCUUUUAAACUUUUUCUGCCUUCUCCGUGUUAACUUGUUCGACUGAGACAAGCUGCCUUUCUUGUCCAGCCUCAUCUUCGAUGGUUCUCUUCUUCUUUUGAGGUGGCAUCAUGGGUUUCUUAGUGGCUCAGAAUACCUGCUGUUACCAUGGCACUUCAGCAACCCCACCCAACCCCACGCGCAAGUCAAAAUUUGAGGACCAUAUGUACAAUACGUGUGCAAACAAAACCAUAAUUUCACUAGUAUUGAGGGAUUUUAGUUAUUUCUUCUAAAAAAUCUCUUGGGAAAUCGUAUUUUUGUAGUACAACAUAUAUAGAAAAUAAGUAUUACUCCCAAAUAAACUGCCCUUUUCUUUAGUAUUCUUGGUUUUUGUUAUUAUUUUAUUUAAUCUUACGAUUUAUAUAUGCAUAAAAAAGUAAUUUAGUAUCUUCAAAUAUGGAAACGUGGUCUUAGGAAAUUGUCUAAUAUAUACUAGUUUACCUGCAAUCCACUGGCUUGCACAUUAUAUUUCAUCAUACGGAAAUGUCUGGCAUUGUGAACGGAAGCAAUUUCAUCUGUCUGCAACCCGGCAUAGCAUGUGACACCCAGAGCUCCUGACACAAGCGCGUGAGCACCUUCUCCGACAUGCGCACAUGAUGACCGCAUGCACCCAUAUUAUACAUAGUUUAUUAUAUUUUUGGCUGGGAUAUGAUAAUCAUUAAUUAUUACUUGUAAAGAUUGGAAACGUUACAAACGAUUGUAGAAAAAAUGCGAGUCACCAGGAAGGUAGGUAGUAGAGCAUGCCGUCAGUGUCUUUCCUGUGACCUGUGUUCGUGGUGCACAUGGCAGAAUGCACAGUCUAUACAUAGGAACCAGAAGUUGGCUUCGAAACCAAAUCACUCAUUAGUCCUUCGGUACUGCAGUGAACGCUAUCUAGCUAGCUAAUUUCCCCUUGAAAUCAGUGGCCAUGGGUAGCCUUCCACUUGAAGCCAUGAUGCCACUGAACCCCGAUUCAUUCGCUGGGGAGUCCAGUGCCGUGGUCGACUUCCUCGCCGACUACUACCGCAACGUCGAUAAGUAUCCGGUCAUGGCCAACACCCAGCCAGGGACCAUCCGUAAGCUUCUUCCGGAGGCAGCCCCGGAGUUGGGCGACUCCAUGGAUCGCAUACUGGAUGAUGUGCAGCGGGAUAUCCUCCCCGGCCUCACACAUUGGCAGAGCCCUAGCUUCUUUGCCUAUUUCCCGGCGAAUGCAAGCACCGCAGGGUUCGCCGGGGAGAUGUUGUCGGCUGGUCUCAACGUCGUCCCGUUCGUCUGGACGGCGUCACCGGUGGCCACUGAGCUGGAGCAGGUCGUGGUUGACUGGAUGGCUAGCCUCCUCGGCCUACCGGAGCGCUUCCACUUCAAGGGAGGAGGAGGCGGUGUCCUGCAUGGGAGCACGUGCGAGGCGGUGGUGUGCACUCUCGCUGCCGUGCGCGACCGUGCACUCAGCAAGCUCGGACAUGAGGGCAUCCUCAAGCUUGUCGUGUAUGCCUCGGACCAGACCCACGCAACCUUCCAGAAGGGCGCGAGCAUCGUCGGCAUCCCUCCAGCAAACUUCCGCAUCCUGCGGACUUCGGCAAACUCGGGAUACGGCCUGACCGCCACCAUCGUCCAAAGAGCAAUCGAGGAAGACGUCGCCCGCGGGCUGGUUCCCCUUUACCUCUGCGCCACCGUCGGCACUACUGGUCUGGGGGCCAUUGACCGAGUGCGCGAGCUCGGCCAUGUUGCCCGGCGUUAUGGUAAUUCAUUCAACCUCCCUCUCUUAUACGCUAAUCACCCAUACGGUGACACUAAAUACGUAGAAAUGGAAUGCGCUAUGCGGUGACAGGUCACGAUUUCAUGCUCACUUAACAAUCAACAAUCAGUUCCUAUAACCAUCUGACAAGAAUACAUGUUUUACAGGAACCUGGCUGCACAUCGACGCAGCCUACGCCGGAAGCGCAGCCAUUUGCCCGGAGUUCCAAGGUCACCUCGACGGCGCCGAGCUCGCGGACUCGCUGAGCAUGAACCCACAUAAGUGGUUCCUCACCAACAUGGACUGCUGCUGCCUCUGGGUGGCGAACCCUACCACCAUGACCGACGCACUGUCCACUGACCCGGAGUACCUCAAGAAUGUCGGCACCGCGUCUAAGAUGGCGGAAACGGUCGACUACAAGGACUGGCAGAUCGCGCUGUCACGCCGCUUCCGUGCCAUCAAACUCUGGGUGGUGCUACGGCGCUAUGGAGCGGCGGGAAUGCGCGCGCACAUACGGAGGCACAUCCAGAUGGCAGAGUGGUUCGAGCACGUCGUGGCGGCGGACGAGCGGUUUGAGGUCGUGGUGCCAAGGAACUUCUCCUUGGUGUGCUUCCGCCUCCGCCCGCGGUUCAUGGCGGAUAAAGCUGUGGAGGCCCUGAACCGCGACCUCCUCGCAGCGGUGAAUGCAAGCGGCCGGGCGUUCAUGACGCACUUCGUCGUGGACGACAAGUUUGUGAUCCGCCUAGCCGUGGGUGGGUCAAUGACAGAGAUGCGGCACGUCCGGGCCGCGUGGGAGCUUCUCAAGGAGAAGGCCAACGACUUGAUCGCCACCGGUUGUUAGUUAUUGCUCAUUGCUAGUGCUAUACCAUGCAUGGCCAGCAACAGAAGCUGAGCAUUCUAUUAUUGCUUCCAUUCGUAGUUAGAGCACACCAUGAAUGCAAUAGUCAAUCCAUCUGAACCAUGAACAUUCACUAUGACCAUGUAUGCGACACAAUAUACAUAAGUGCUACUGCCGAUAUUGGAUUCUAUUUCUGGAGAAGCGGCUGCUUCUACGGAGCAGGCCGAUUGAAUUUUAAGUAUGUUAUGAUACUUGUAAAAAAUCGAUGCUAGGCAUGGAUUCCUGGAAGGGGCCCGUCACAACUCACAAUGGAAGGGACCCGUCAUAACCAAGCUCGUUAAUACAAAAGAAACGUCACGCGAAACAAAUGGACGCUAAGCCACACACCUGAAGAAAUUUUACCCGAAAUUUGCAACACGUCAAGAAUGGUUAUCACUCAACCGUCUCACAUCUCUUUUGUUUAAGGAAACCAGGCUCGUUACUACAAAAUGAACACCAAGAUGAUAGAGCUCUUUUACGAUCCACAAUACUACUACUUAGUAGUAUAUAGUAUAUAUAUAAGAUCUAACUGUUCAUUAUUAUGGAUAAUUUAGUAAUUAUUACAAUGUAAAAAGUGAUAUUUCAAAUAGAAUGGUCUUUUAAAUUUUCUGCUAGUAUCAAAAAUAAAAUUAUAGUGGUGCCAUUUGUGUUUUCUUACCAUGAUACCCUUAUACUACCUAUACUACUCGUGUAUACUACCCAUACCACAGGCGUAGGUUUCAGUAGUAUCUAAUUAAUCUUGACCGUCGGAUAUGUUUAUACUAGUCAUUUUCGAACACAAGUAUAGUCUAGUGUUGUGUUCCGUAAAAGAGCUCAUAUAAUAUAUUAUAAAACUUAUUUGUGAAAGCUAAAGGCAACAACAGGGGAUAAAUUCCAGAAUAGGUAAGAACAGAAAUUUAAAAGGGCAAAAUUUGUUGAUGCAUGGAAAUGCAUAGAAUACUUAUUGGAGCGAAGGCCCUUUUAGGUCCAUGGGCUAUUUAUGCCCCUCCACUCGCCCAUUCAGAGUUGCUGGAGUGUCCAUACAUCUAUUGAAGACCAAGGCUCAUCAAGUGACCAAUGGAGAAACCACACAUCCACUGUGAUAAUUUUAGAGCAUCCAGGUGACGAUAUUCAAUGCGCUCAAAUGGUGGUAUUCAACUUAGAAAAAAUAGUAGCACUAGAAGAUCUCAGAGUCAUCGGAGCAACCAUCGAAGCAAUUGGUACAACUGAGAAGUAAGCUUGAGUUGCAGCAAGCACUAGAUGAUCCGACGGGGUCCUUUUCACAAGCGUCGGAGCAAUUCGUAAAGAAGACGGAGAAAGACCUAUAGCACAAGAUAUUCCGAUGGCUAGAAGAUGAAGGAAUCGGACCAAGCAUAUUUACUUUGAAAACGUCAAGAGAGUUUUUAGGAAAAACUCCUUCAGCACCGGAUGAUCCGACGUUAUGUCGGAUGAAUUUAGGUAGAGGUCCAACGGCUAUAUACGUCAGCAGGGGGCGUGUCACACCCGAUUUUAAGGACAAAACCGAGUGCUUUCAAUACAUGUGCGCAAGGAACAAGUUACACACAUGUACGACAUAAGUGAAUAACAAAGGCAGUGCCAAAGUGAAUAAAGAGAGUAUUAAACUUUAUUACAUGACCGAAAGUCUUAAUAAAACACAAGCCUAACUUAUUACGCAGCGGAUUCCGAAGAUGACGAUGACACCUCAGGCUGCUGACUGAAGAACCGUAUGCCUAGAACUCCUCAAACUCGUGCAGGUACUUCUGCAGAUUCUCUUUGUCUGAACAGCGGUUUUGCAAGGGUGAGUACACUUAUGGUUGGUACUCAACAAGUCGUGGGGAAUAGUGUAGUGUAAGGCCAACCAAGGUAUGGCUAAGGCUAAAUAGCAUCAGCUUUUAAUUAGCUUGGUCAAAUUUUAUUAGCAAUUAACUAAGUAUAAGUUUAUACCACCCCAAAUUAAACAUGAACAUAAAUAAAGUAAACAACAUAUGCGUGGUAUGACAACAAUUUAAGUCCAUCUUUCGUUAGUAUUAUCAUGUGAGGGUCCAGGCCGCUCUUAACCGUGAGCACGGCUGAUCGAUCAGUUUUACACUCUGCAGAGGUCGUACAUCUUUACCCAGAAGUCGCGUAAAAGUUCAAAAGAACUUUGGACCCAACCAUGCGGUGUUUGCAAGGCACCAUACCACACUUCUGAGGUGUGAUUGCAUAGGGACGCUAUGAGGCCUUUACAAAGAUUCAUUAGUCAGUGGUAACCCGCUAAGGUUUCGGUGUCUAGCGUGCACAACCUAUCACAGGACAAUGAUGCAAUGACUCAGUCCCCCCUCUUGCCUCGUCACGAGUAAGGUUUCUAAUUAUUUAGCCAAGACCAGAGCCAAUUAGUCUUGUGGUAGCACUGUUUUCCUGGGUGGCUCUCCAUGUUCCGAUUAAACGUUUAUGAUCUUGUAUUAAUGAAAGGUAUAACAUAAGUAAAGCAAGAUUAAUCAUUGAGUUCAGUUAAACCAACUUAUCCCAAGUAGGAACUAAGGAUGAGCUACCAAACAUAAAAGUACACCCGGUUGGUCAAGGCAAAGGUAAAUUCAAUCUAGGCAAACCUUAAUUGGGACCCAUCAAUUUAAUCUUACCAAGGGCAUAGCAUAAUUGUUGAGUACGAGAAAGUAAAAGUGUAUAGGACUGAGAAGUAGUGAUCAAGGACACCACUUGCCUUCCUGGCCUUACUCUUGCUGUUCGUACUCCUCGAAGGCUUGAUCUUCAAAUCCCCCAAAUUGCUAAACGUCUAUACGCGUCACACGAGCACAAACAAGCAAACAAGGGCACAAAGUAAGAAAACAGUACACCAAUCACAACUAAACAGAGAAAACAAGCUUGAAAAACUAAUCUACACUUUAAAACAAACACGUGGAUAUAAAGAACGCGAAAAACGGAGUUAAGAUGCAAAAGAUAUGAUUAAAACAAGAUCCAGGGGCUUUUCUGCGAGAAAAACAAAACUUCUAGGGUCGAACUGCGAAAACCGAGGGCUUGUACAUGAUUAUGCCUAUAAACCGAAGGUUUAACCCACAAAAAUGCAACUUAGGAUGGCUGGUUGAUUUAGAGAAACUCAGGGUCUAAACCAAAAGAAAACAGGACCAAAACACAAUUAUUUUUGAACUAGAUUGGACUGCGGGUUGAUUUGCGGAAAAGGCGAGCGCUUCAGUGCAAAAGAGGUGCCGCGCGACGCGAUUGGGUACACGAUCCGGUUGACUCGCUGCGGGCCGUCGGAUUUGGAUCCAACAGUCUCGGUCGUAGACGACACCCAAGCGGCGGCGGACCAGGCGGUGGGCGGCGACGAGCGGCGGCGGUUCGCUGGAAUUGGCCGAUACGGCGCUCCGGGGCUCGGUUUCGCGCGCGGAAAACACCAGAAGCAUGAGAAAAGCAAGGCGAUCCCUUUUCGGCGGUUCACGGUGAUCGAGGCUCACCGGAAGGCGGUGCUUGGUGGCGGAGAGAGGGUGGCGGCACUUGCUGGGGUUUCAGGGGCGCUGUUGCGGGGUGCUCGAGGUGGGGGGAGGGCGGCUUAUAUAGGGGCGGAGUCGGGGCGCGGUCGGAGUGGAGUCCUGGCCGGAGGACGGGGAUGAUGGGUAGGUCCCACCCGUCAGACCUGCGGAAGGAGGCCGGUGCCGCUGGGCAGGCCGACGGAGUGGGCCGAGCGAGCGACAUGGGCUGGCGAAGGGAAAAAAGGGAAAGCGGUAGCUUCGCGGGCUGGAGGAAAAGGCGGAGCGGGCCAGGGGAGCUAGCGGCGCUGGGCUGCAGGGAAAUAGGAUCCGGGUUGAAAGAGAAAGGAGGAGGAGAAGGAUGCAGCCCAGGAGGAGGAAGAGAAAAGAGGAAAAGAAAGAUUUUUAAAAUUGAAAUUGAAUUUGAGAUUCAAUUUUGAUUCAAACACAAGCAAUCAAAAUAAAUGCACCAGCAUGCAAUGCACAAAGAACUCCUAUGAAGGUUUAAUUUAAUUUAGAGAAAAUAAAAUUAAAUGCCUAGAAAUUUAAAUGACAUCCUAAUUGAGUAAAUUUUAGUGUAUUUAAAUUCUUUAAAAAAUUUGGGUGUUACAGGGCACCAGAUGAUCCGAUGCGUAUCUCAAGUGACCAUCGGAUCAUCCAAUGCUCACAUAUUUUACUAGCCGUUGUAGCGAAGGCUCUUUGAGGUCCAUGGGCUAUUUAUGCCCCCUCCAGUCGCCCAUUCAGAGUUGCUGGAUUGUCCAUACAUCGAUUGAAGACCAAGGCCCAUCAAGAACACAUCCAUGCCACCAAAAGUGCAAAAGCGAUAAUACAAGGCUUAGCACGAGCUAAGAGAUUGAUUAGCUCUAGGAUAGGCCUAGAGAGAGUAGUGCAAGGUGUUGCUACCUUGUGAUUGGUUCAAGGAGUGAUUCACUAUUGUAAGCUUGGGGCGCCGGCGUCUUGGGUCUUGGUGGCUCUCAGGCAAGUCUUCGACACCCCAGCUCGGUGUGGAGCAGCGUCGACAGCCGGAUGCGGGGGACAAGAAGACUCCUUCCUUCGUGGAGCAGCUCCAUGGUGGAGAUGACGUCAAGGUGACCGAAGGGGGGUAGUAGUGAGCCUUGCGUUUGUGGAUAGCUUGUCAUCCGGCUUGGCUAGAGCCUUUGUAGCGAGCCCAAGACCUUGACCGGGAGAGACUUGGUGAGCAGGAGCAUGUCCUUGGUGGAGCUCCAACGCAUGGACUAGGGGUGGUAUUUGGCUACCGAUACCAUGUGAUAAAUCAUCGUGCUGGGUUUGCAUCUUUCCUAACCCACUCCUUUACAUUUCCGCAGUACAUUCUCGGAACUUGAGUGCCUUUAGUUACUUUCCAGAGUAGUACCUUGUUAGGAUUGGCUCUAGGUUGCAAAACUCUUUGUGGGUGGGAAGUUUCACUAGAUCAACCAUAGAUGCACAUGUAGAUAGCAUGAUCUAGUUUAGGUUUGGAAGCAAGUAGUGGAAGUCAUAGGCCAAGGAUUUUAAGCUAGCCUAAUUCACCCCUCCCCUUCUUAUGGUACGAGCAUCGAUUCCUUUCAAUUUGCUUUAGCACCAUGAAGGCAAUAGUCAUCCAUCUGCACCAUGAUCAUAGAGCAAUGCAAAACCACGAGAGAAACGAAACGGCUGCUCUUCCUUCAUUUUAUUCCAAUUAGUAUGGACGUGGAGGUUACAGGACACACCAUGCUAGCUGUAGCGCCGGCAACAGGGAAACAAACCCAAGAAAGCAAUGCGGACAUUUUAUUCUACUUUUUAUGCAGAAUAUAUGGAGGCACCAGCCAGCCCAGCAACAACGACAAUGGCGGCUACUUGGUAUACUCGAUGGCCCAGAAGUUGGCGUAGAUGUAGGUGGACUUGACGCUGGUAAACCCGGCGCCCUUGGCGAGCUCCACAAACUCCCUCUCGUACCUCUCCUUGCCGUCGGGCUGUACGCGAGCAGGCACACGUCGACGCCGAUCAACCCCUGCGCGCUGUUUGUGGCAUCCGGGUUCACCGGCAGGAUGCACUCGACACUGAUGAGCUUGCCGUGCGGAGGCAGCGCCUCGUAGCAGUUCUUGAGCAGCUUGGCGCAGUGGUUGUCGCCCCAGCAAUUGAGGAUCCACUUCAUGAGGAUGGCGUCGCCGGAGGGCACCUUCUCAAACAUGUCGCCUCCCACGUGCUGCACCUGCACGUCGGGGUAGGCCGGCGCCUCGGAGAUGACGUGGGGAAGGUCGAAGUUGAUCCCUUGAAUGGUCGGGGUACCUGGAGGUGAUGGCAUGGAUGGUGGAGCCGAGGCCGCCGCCAACGUCGACGAGGGUGCGGACGCCGUCGAAGCCCGUGUAGAGCUCCAAGAGCUUCUUGGUGAGGAUGACGGAAUGCUGCUUCAUGGCCUCAUUGAAGACCCCCGUUGAAGCGUGCGUCAGUACCGGCCGUAGUCGAACCAGGAAGGCGUCCCAAACGCCCUGUUGAAUGGGCUGCCACCCUCAAGGACCGCGUCCGUCAUGUAGCUCCAGGCGUGCAUGAAGAGCUUGUCGUUGGCGAGGAGGUGGAACGGAGCCAUGGAGACACCAUCCUCGUUGGGGGUGAGCCACUUGCACACUGGCGCGGCGCUGUACUGGCGGCACAGGCUGCCAUCCUCGGCCUCCUCCACCACGCAGGACACAACUUUGUAGGACGCCAGAAGUCGCAGCAAGCGAUCCACCAUGGACGGCGCGGCGGGGUUGGCCUUGGAAGGCAGCUUCGCGGCCACCUCCUUGGGAGUGAGAGCCUUCCCGCUGGCGCCCACAAGGGUCUCGAGCAGGCCCAGCUCAAAUGGCAGUUCUUAGCGUCAUCGGCAGGAUGGCCGACGACACUAGCUGCAGAGCGUGCAUGCAUGUCUCCUCGUCGGCUAUGGCCAUGUCCGCGGCGGAACCCAUCUACCUCCCGGGAUUGGAGCUCAACUAACUGAUGAAGGUGUGUGUAGCUUGUUGUUGUGAUUGCUGGUGGCUGAAUGAUCGAUGAGGCGAAAGGGGCCGUUUAUAUAGAGCUUCGAGCUAGGCUUUGUUCACCAACCUGAAAAUCAUGCAUUCUUUGACAAGUAUGGGAUUGCUUGUAUGGUGUGUACGUGACCUGUGAGAGCUAGCAGCUAGCGUGGUAGUGAUUGUGUACCCCAUGCAAAACCUCCCUCCUAAUAAGAUCGUGAUGCACGAGGCUGGAAUACUAUAUUGUUUUGGUCUGCAGUCUAAUCGAUUUGGAAUCCGCAAAUAUAAUCAAUUCACGACACUGGAGAUGGUCGGCGCACGAGGAGUGGCAGUCCUAUUGAAACUUUCAGAGAAGCACCUUGUGUUUGAGAAUCUGUUUUGCAUUAGAUCAAGGUUGAGAUGGUUUCUUUAACCCUUGAGAUUCAGCGCGAGGGUCCACGUGCGUGAUGGACAUGGCUUCGCUACUGCACAACUAUUUUUCAAGAAUCAAGAUAUUCUGCAUGGGAUGUCCUGCGUCUCUGGUGUCGGUGCAAUCUUUCUCCUGUUGAACACAUACACUAGCGUCUGAUGCCAGAGUGAGGUGGAUUGGGUGGAUCAAGGCUACGGCGUAGGACAUUAUCAUGGCUCGGGCGGCCGGAGCAAACACGAGCUGGCCGAUCGUAGAGGGAAGACGCAAGUGGCACUUGCAGAAUCUACGUGGCUCCCCUUGGUCAUUCUUUGUCUCCUAUGGGUAUCGGGAGGCAGGCGCGCCAGGCUGGCGGCACGGUGUAAUUCAAUUCAGGACUUUCCUAGCCAGGGCGUGGCCGAGGGCGAUUGGUUGCUCAACCUGAUGAGAACUUGGGGGGUGCUCCUACAUGGGAGAGAAUAGGGUGACGGAUGAGAAUGCAGAUGAGGGACGGGGCUCAGACGAGGGGGGGGUUGGAGACAUGUUUUCACUGUUGAACUCUUAGCGUCAAGAUGAGAGGUGAGAUGAGAUACCGGUAGGACCUGCCUUACCAUGGCACUUCAGCAACCCCACCCCAACCCCCGCGCAAGUCAAAAUUUGAGGACCAGUACAAUACGUGUGCAAACAAAAACCAUAAUUUUACUAGUAUUGAGGGAUUUUAUUUCUUCUAAAAAAUCUCUUGGGAAAUCGUAUUGUAGUACAACAUAUAUAAAAAUAAGUAUUACUCACAAAUAAACUGCCCUUUUCUUUAGUAUUCUUGUUUUUGUUAUUAUUUUAUUUAAUCUUAAGAUUUAUAUAUGCAUAAAAAAGUAAUUUAGUAUCUUCAAAUAUGGAAACGUGGUCUUAGGAAUAGGGCUCAUAUUUUAUUCUUGAGCAUGCCUAGUGGAAAAAUAUCUAAAAAACUGCAAAGAAAUUUCAUCAUACGGAAAUGUCUGAGAUUGUGAACGGAAGCAAUUUCAUCUGUCUGCAACCCUGCAUAGCAUGUGACAGCCCGGGCUGCGUGCCAAGAAACACCCAGAGCUCCUGACACAACCGCGUGAGCACCUUCUCCGACAUGCGCACAUGAGGACCGCAUGCACCCAUAUGCAAGGUUCACAAAUACGUGCGUGCUUAAACUAUAUGCGCACGUUACAAACGAUUGUAGAAAAAAUGCGAGUCACCAGGAAGGUAGGUAGUAGAGCAUGCCGUCAGUGUCUUUCCUGUGACCUGUGUUCGUGGUGCACAUGGCAGAAUGCACAGUCUAUACAUAGGAACCAGAAGUGGCUUCGAAACCAAAUCACUCAUUAGUCCUUCAGUACUGCAGUGAACGCUAUCUAGCAAGCUAAUUUCCCCUUGAAAUCAGUUUUCUUGCGUGGCCAUGGGGUAGCCUUCCAUUGAAGCUUGGACAUGANNNNNNNNNNNNNNNNNNNNNNNNNNNNNNNNNNNNNNNNNNNNNNNNNNNNNNNNNNNNNNNNNNNNNNNNNNNNNNNNNNNNNNNNNNNNNNNNNNNNNNNNNNNNNNNNNNNNNNNNNNNNNNNNNNNNNNNNNNNNNNNNNNNNNNNNNNNNNNNNNNNNNNNNNNNNNNNNNNNNNNNNNNNNNNNNNNNNNNNNNNNNNNNNNNNNNNNNNNNNNNNNNNNNNNNNNNNNNNNNNNNNNNNNNNNNNNNNNNNNNNNNNNNNNNNNNNNNNNNNNNNNNNNNNNNNNNNNNNNNNNNNNNNNNNNNNNNNNNNNNNNNNNNNNNNNNNNNNNNNNNNNNNNNNNNNNNNNNNNNNNNNNNNNNNNNNNNNNNNNNNNNNNNNNNNNNNNNNNNNNNNNNNNNNNNNNNNNNNNNNNNNNNNNNNNNNNNNNNNNNNNNNNNNNNNNNNNNNNNNNNNNNNNNNNNNNNNNNNNNNNNNNNNNNNNNNNNNNNNNNNNNNNNNNNNNNNNNNNNNNNNNNNNNNNNNNNNNNNNNNNNNNNNNNNNNNNNNNNNNNNNNNNNNNNNNNNNNNNNNNNNNNNNNNNNNNNNNNNNNNNNNNNNNNNNNNNNNNNNNNNNNNNNNNNNNNNNNNNNNNNNNNNNNNNNNNNNNNNNNNNNNNNNNNNNNNNNNNNNNNNNNNNNNNNNNNNNNNNNNNNNNNNNNNNNNNNNNNNNNNNNNNNNNNNNNNNNNNNNNNNNNNNNNNNNNNNNNNNNNNNNNNNNNNNNNNNNNNNNNNNNNNNNNNNNNNNNNNNNNNNNNNNNNNNNNNNNNNNNNNNNNNNNNNNNNNNNNNNNNNNNNNNNNNNNNNNNNNNNNNNNNNNNNNNNNNNNNNNNNNNNNNNNNNNNNNNNNNNNNNNNNNNNNNNNNNNNNNNNNNNNNNNNNNNNNNNNNNNNNNNNNNNNNNNNNNNNNNNNNNNNNNNNNNNNNNNNNNNNNNNNNNNNNNNNNNNNNNNNNNNNNNNNNNNNNNNNNNNNNNNNNNNNNNNNNNNNNNNNNNNNNNNNNNNNNNNNNNNNNNNNNNNNNNNNNNNNNNNNNNNNNNNNNNNNNNNNNNNNNNNNNNNNNNNNNNNNNNNNNNNNNNNNNNNNNNNNNNNNNNNNNNNNNNNNNNNNNNNNNNNNNNNNNNNNNNNNNNNNNNNNNNNNNNNNNNNNNNNNNNNNNNNNNNNNNNNNNNNNNNNNNNNNNNNNNNNNNNNNNNNNNNNNNNNNNNNNNNNNNNNNNNNNNNNNNNNNNNNNNNNNNNNNNNNNNNNNNNNNNNNNNNNNNNNNNNNNNNNNNNNNNNNNNNNNNNNNNNNNNNNNNNNNNNNNNNNNNNNNNNNNNNNNNNNNNNNNNNNNNNNNNNNNNNNNNNNNNNNNNNNNNNNNNNNNNNNNNNNNNNNNNNNNNNNNNNNNNNNNNNNNNNNNNNNNNNNNNNNNNNNNNNNNNNNNNNNNNNNNNNNNNNNNNNNNNNNNNNNNNNNNNNNNNNNNNNNNNNNNNNNNNNNNNNNNNNNNNNNNNNNNNNNNNNNNNNNNNNNNNNNNNNNNNNNNNNNNNNNNNNNNNNNNNNNNNNNNNNNNNNNNNNNNNNNNNNNNNNNNNNNNNNNNNNNNNNNNNNNNNNNNNNNNNNNNNNNNNNNNNNNNNNNNNNNNNNNNNNNNNNNNNNNNNNNNNNNNNNNNNNNNNNNNNNNNNNNNNNNNNNNNNNNNNNNNNNNNNNNNNNNNNNNNNNNNNNNNNNNNNNNNNNNNNNNNNNNNNNNNNNNNNNNNNNNNNNNNNNNNNNNNNNNNNNNNNNNNNNNNNNNNNNNNNNNNNNNNNNNNNNNNNNNNNNNNNNNNNNNNNNNNNNNNNNNNNNNNNNNNNNNNNNNNNNNNNNNNNNNNNNNNNNNNNNNNNNNNNNNNNNNNNNNNNNNNNNNNNNNNNNNNNNNNNNNNNNNNNNNNNNNNNNNNNNNNNNNNNNNNNNNNNNNNNNNNNNNNNNNNNNNNNNNNNNNNNNNNNNNNNNNNNNNNNNNNNNNNNNNNNNNNNNNNNNNNNNNNNNNNNNNNNNNNNNNNNNNNNNNNNNNNNNNNNNNNNNNNNNNNNNNNNNNNNNNNNNNNNNNNNNNNNNNNNNNNNNNNNNNNNNNNNNNNNNNNNNNNNNNNNNNNNNNNNNNNNNNNNNNNNNNNNNNNNNNNNNNNNNNNNNNNNNNNNNNNNNNNNNNNNNNNNNNNNNNNNNNNNNNNNNNNNNNNNNNNNNNNNNNNNNNNNNNNNNNNNNNNNNNNNNNNNNNNNNNNNNNNNNNNNNNNNNNNNNNNNNNNNNNNNNNNNNNNNNNNNNNNNNNNNNNNNNNNNNNNNNNNNNNNNNNNNNNNNNNNNNNNNNNNNNNNNNNNNNNNNNNNNNNNNNNNNNNNNNNNNNNNNNNNNNNNNNNNNNNNNNNNNNNNNNNNNNNNNNNNNNNNNNNNNNNNNNNNNNNNNNNNNNNNNNNNNNNNNNNNNNNNNNNNNNNNNNNNNNNNNNNNNNNNNNNNNNNNNNNNNNNNNNNNNNNNNNNNNNNNNNNNNNNNNNNNNNNNNNNNNNNNNNNNNNNNNNNNNNNNNNNNNNNNNNNNNNNNNNNNNNNNNNNNNNNNNNNNNNNNNNNNNNNNNNNNNNNNNNNNNNNNNNNNNNNNNNNNNNNNNNNNNNNNNNNNNNNNNNNNNNNNNNNNNNNNNNNNNNNNNNNNNNNNNNNNNNNNNNNNNNNNNNNNNNNNNNNNNNNNNNNNNNNNNNNNNNNNNNNNNNNNNNNNNNNNNNNNNNNNNNNNNNNNNNNNNNNNNNNNNNNNNNNNNNNNNNNNNNNNNNNNNNNNNNNNNNNNNNNNNNNNNNNNNNNNNNNNNNNNNNNNNNNNNNNNNNNNNNNNNNNNNNNNNNNNNNNNNNNNNNNNNNNNNNNNNNNNNNNNNNNNNNNNNNNNNNNNNNNNNNNNNNNNNNNNNNNNNNNNNNNNNNNNNNNNNNNNNNNNNNNNNNNNNNNNNNNNNNNNNNNNNNNNNNNNNNNNNNNNNNNNNNNNNNNNNNNNNNNNNNNNNNNNNNNNNNNNNNNNNNNNNNNNNNNNNNNNNNNNNNNNNNNNNNNNNNNNNNNNNNNNNNNNNNNNNNNNNNNNNNNNNNNNNNNNNNNNNNNNNNNNNNNNNNNNNNNNNNNNNNNNNNNNNNNNNNNNNNNNNNNNNNNNNNNNNNNNNNNNNNNNNNNNNNNNNNNNNNNNNNNNNNNNNNNNNNNNNNNNNNNNNNNNNNNNNNNNNNNNNNNNNNNNNNNNNNNNNNNNNNNNNNNNNNNNNNNNNNNNNNNNNNNNNNNNNNNNNNNNNNNNNNNNNNNNNNNNNNNNNNNNNNNNNNNNNNNNNNNNNNNNNNNNNNNNNNNNNNNNNNNNNNNNNNNNNNNNNNNNNNNNNNNNNNNNNNNNNNNNNNNNNNNNNNNNNNNNNNNNNNNNNNNNNNNNNNNNNNNNNNNNNNNNNNNNNNNNNNNNNNNNNNNNNNNNNNNNNNNNNNNNNNNNNNNNNNNNNNNNNNNNNNNNNNNNNNNNNNNNNNNNNNNNNNNNNNNNNNNNNNNNNNNNNNNNNNNNNNNNNNNNNNNNNNNNNNNNNNNNNNNNNNNNNNNNNNNNNNNNNNNNNNNNNNNNNNNNNNNNNNNNNNNNNNNNNNNNNNNNNNNNNNNNNNNNNNNNNNNNNNNNNNNNNNNNNNNNNNNNNNNNNNNNNNNNNNNNNNNNNNNNNNNNNNNNNNNNNNNNNNNNNNNNNNNNNNNNNNNNNNNNNNNNNNNNNNNNNNNNNNNNNNNNNNNNNNNNNNNNNNNNNNNNNNNNNNNNNNNNNNNNNNNNNNNNNNNNNNNNNNNNNNNNNNNNNNNNNNNNNNNNNNNNNNNNNNNNNNNNNNNNNNNNNNNNNNNNNNNNNNNNNNNNNNNNNNNNNNNNNNNNNNNNNNNNNNNNNNNNNNNNNNNNNNNNNNNNNNNNNNNNNNNNNNNNNNNNNNNNNNNNNNNNNNNNNNNNNNNNNNNNNNNNNNNNNNNNNNNNNNNNNNNNNNNNNNNNNNNNNNNNNNNNNNNNNNNNNNNNNNNNNNNNNNNNNNNNNNNNNNNNNNNNNNNNNNNNNNNNNNNNNNNNNNNNNNNNNNNNNNNNNNNNNNNNNNNNNNNNNNNNNNNNNNNNNNNNNNNNNNNNNNNNNNNNNNNNNNNNNNNNNNNNNNNNNNNNNNNNNNNNNNNNNNNNNNNNNNNNNNNNNNNNNNNNNNNNNNNNNNNNNNNNNNNNNNNNNNNNNNNNNNNNNNNNNNNNNNNNNNNNNNNNNNNNNNNNNNNNNNNNNNNNNNNNNNNNNNNNNNNNNNNNNNNNNNNNNNNNNNNNNNNNNNNNNNNNNNNNNNNNNNNNNNNNNNNNNNNNNNNNNNNNNNNNNNNNNNNNNNNNNNNNNNNNNNNNNNNNNNNNNNNNNNNNNNNNNNNNNNNNNNNNNNNNNNNNNNNNNNNNNNNNNNNNNNNNNNNNNNNNNNNNNNNNNNNNNNNNNNNNNNNNNNNNNNNNNNNNNNNNNNNNNNNNNNNNNNNNNNNNNNNNNNNNNNNNNNNNNNNNNNNNNNNNNNNNNNNNNNNNNNNNNNNNNNNNNNNNNNNNNNNNNNNNNNNNNNNNNNNNNNNNNNNNNNNNNNNNNNNNNNNNNNNNNNNNNNNNNNNNNNNNNNNNNNNNNNNNNNNNNNNNNNNNNNNNNNNNNNNNNNNNNNNNNNNNNNNNNNNNNNNNNNNNNNNNNNNNNNNNNNNNNNNNNNNNNNNNNNNNNNNNNNNNNNNNNNNNNNNNNNNNNNNNNNNNNNNNNNNNNNNNNNNNNNNNNNNNNNNNNNNNNNNNNNNNNNNNNNNNNNNNNNNNNNNNNNNNNNNNNNNNNNNNNNNNNNNNNNNNNNNNNNNNNNNNNNNNNNNNNNNNNNNNNNNNNNNNNNNNNNNNNNNNNNNNNNNNNNNNNNNNNNNNNNNNNNNNNNNNNNNNNNNNNNNNNNNNNNNNNNNNNNNNNNNNNNNNNNNNNNNNNNNNNNNNNNNNNNNNNNNNNNNNNNNNNNNNNNNNNNNNNNNNNNNNNNNNNNNNNNNNNNNNNNNNNNNNNNNNNNNNNNNNNNNNNNNNNNNNNNNNNNNNNNNNNNNNNNNNNNNNNNNNNNNNNNNNNNNNNNNNNNNNNNNNNNNNNNNNNNNNNNNNNNNNNNNNNNNNNNNNNNNNNNNNNNNNNNNNNNNNNNNNNNNNNNNNNNNNNNNNNNNNNNNNNNNNNNNNNNNNNNNNNNNNNNNNNNNNNNNNNNNNNNNNNNNNNNNNNNNNNNNNNNNNNNNNNNNNNNNNNNNNNNNNNNNNNNNNNNNNNNNNNNNNNNNNNNNNNNNNNNNNNNNNNNNNNNNNNNNNNNNNNNNNNNNNNNNNNNNNNNNNNNNNNNNNNNNNNNNNNNNNNNNNNNNNNNNNNNNNNNNNNNNNNNNNNNNNNNNNNNNNNNNNNNNNNNNNNNNNNNNNNNNNNNNNNNNNNNNNNNNNNNNNNNNNNNNNNNNNNNNNNNNNNNNNNNNNNNNNNNNNNNNNNNNNNNNNNNNNNNNNNNNNNNNNNNNNNNNNNNNNNNNNNNNNNNNNNNNNNNNNNNNNNNNNNNNNNNNNNNNNNNNNNNNNNNNNNNNNNNNNNNNNNNNNNNNNNNNNNNNNNNNNNNNNNNNNNNNNNNNNNNNNNNNNNNNNNNNNNNNNNNNNNNNNNNNNNNNNNNNNNNNNNNNNNNNNNNNNNNNNNNNNNNNNNNNNNNNNNNNNNNNNNNNNNNNNNNNNNNNNNNNNNNNNNNNNNNNNNNNNNNNNNNNNNNNNNNNNNNNNNNNNNNNNNNNNNNNNNNNNNNNNNNNNNNNNNNNNNNNNNNNNNNNNNNNNNNNNNNNNNNNNNNNNNNNNNNNNNNNNNNNNNNNNNNNNNNNNNNNNNNNNNNNNNNNNNNNNNNNNNNNNNNNNNNNNNNNNNNNNNNNNNNNNNNNNNNNNNNNNNNNNNNNNNNNNNNNNNNNNNNNNNNNNNNNNNNNNNNNNNNNNNNNNNNNNNNNNNNNNNNNNNNNNNNNNNNNNNNNNNNNNNNNNNNNNNNNNNNNNNNNNNNNNNNNNNNNNNNNNNNNNNNNNNNNNNNNNNNNNNNNNNNNNNNNNNNNNNNNNNNNNNNNNNNNNNNNNNNNNNNNNNNNNNNNNNNNNNNNNNNNNNNNNNNNNNNNNNNNNNNNNNNNNNNNNNNNNNNNNNNNNNNNNNNNNNNNNNNNNNNNNNNNNNNNNNNNNNNNNNNNNNNNNNNNNNNNNNNNNNNNNNNNNNNNNNNNNNNNNNNNNNNNNNNNNNNNNNNNNNNNNNNNNNNNNNNNNNNNNNNNNNNNNNNNNNNNNNNNNNNNNNNNNNNNNNNNNNNNNNNNNNNNNNNNNNNNNNNNNNNNNNNNNNNNNNNNNNNNNNNNNNNNNNNNNNNNNNNNNNNNNNNNNNNNNNNNNNNNNNNNNNNNNNNNNNNNNNNNNNNNNNNNNNNNNNNNNNNNNNNNNNNNNNNNNNNNNNNNNNNNNNNNNNNNNNNNNNNNNNNNNNNNNNNNNNNNNNNNNNNNNNNNNNNNNNNNNNNNNNNNNNNNNNNNNNNNNNNNNNNNNNNNNNNNNNNNNNNNNNNNNNNNNNNNNNNNNNNNNNNNNNNNNNNNNNNNNNNNNNNNNNNNNNNNNNNNNNNNNNNNNNNNNNNNNNNNNNNNNNNNNNNNNNNNNNNNNNNNNNNNNNNNNNNNNNNNNNNNNNNNNNNNNNNNNNNNNNNNNNNNNNNNNNNNNNNNNNNNNNNNNNNNNNNNNNNNNNNNNNNNNNNNNNNNNNNNNNNNNNNNNNNNNNNNNNNNNNNNNNNNNNNNNNNNNNNNNNNNNNNNNNNNNNNNNNNNNNNNNNNNNNNNNNNNNNNNNNNNNNNNNNNNNNNNNNNNNNNNNNNNNNNNNNNNNNNNNNNNNNNNNNNNNNNNNNNNNNNNNNNNNNNNNNNNNNNNNNNNNNNNNNNNNNNNNNNNNNNNNNNNNNNNNNNNNNNNNNNNNNNNNNNNNNNNNNNNNNNNNNNNNNNNNNNNNNNNNNNNNNNNNNNNNNNNNNNNNNNNNNNNNNNNNNNNNNNNNNNNNNNNNNNNNNNNNNNNNNNNNNNNNNNNNNNNNNNNNNNNNNNNNNNNNNNNNNNNNNNNNNNNNNNNNNNNNNNNNNNNNNNNNNNNNNNNNNNNNNNNNNNNNNNNNNNNNNNNNNNNNNNNNNNNNNNNNNNNNNNNNNNNNNNNNNNNNNNNNNNNNNNNNNNNNNNNNNNNNNNNNNNNNNNNNNNNNNNNNNNNNNNNNNNNNNNNNNNNNNNNNNNNNNNNNNNNNNNNNNNNNNNNNNNNNNNNNNNNNNNNNNNNNNNNNNNNNNNNNNNNNNNNNNNNNNNNNNNNNNNNNNNNNNNNNNNNNNNNNNNNNNNNNNNNNNNNNNNNNNNNNNNNNNNNNNNNNNNNNNNNNNNNNNNNNNNNNNNNNNNNNNNNNNNNNNNNNNNNNNNNNNNNNNNNNNNNNNNNNNNNNNNNNNNNNNNNNNNNNNNNNNNNNNNNNNNNNNNNNNNNNNNNNNNNNNNNNNNNNNNNNNNNNNNNNNNNNNNNNNNNNNNNNNNNNNNNNNNNNNNNNNNNNNNNNNNNNNNNNNNNNNNNNNNNNNNNNNNNNNNNNNNNNNNNNNNNNNNNNNNNNNNNNNNNNNNNNNNNNNNNNNNNNNNNNNNNNNNNNNNNNNNNNNNNNNNNNNNNNNNNNNNNNNNNNNNNNNNNNNNNNNNNNNNNNNNNNNNNNNNNNNNNNNNNNNNNNNNNNNNNNNNNNNNNNNNNNNNNNNNNNNNNNNNNNNNNNNNNNNNNNNNNNNNNNNNNNNNNNNNNNNNNNNNNNNNNNNNNNNNNNNNNNNNNNNNNNNNNNNNNNNNNNNNNNNNNNNNNNNNNNNNNNNNNNNNNNNNNNNNNNNNNNNNNNNNNNNNNNNNNNNNNNNNNNNNNNNNNNNNNNNNNNNNNNNNNNNNNNNNNNNNNNNNNNNNNNNNNNNNNNNNNNNNNNNNNNNNNNNNNNNNNNNNNNNNNNNNNNNNNNNNNNNNNNNNNNNNNNNNNNNNNNNNNNNNNNNNNNNNNNNNNNNNNNNNNNNNNNNNNNNNNNNNNNNNNNNNNNNNNNNNNNNNNNNNNNNNNNNNNNNNNNNNNNNNNNNNNNNNNNNNNNNNNNNNNNNNNNNNNNNNNNNNNNNNNNNNNNNNNNNNNNNNNNNNNNNNNNNNNNNNNNNNNNNNNNNNNNNNNNNNNNNNNNNNNNNNNNNNNNNNNNNNNNNNNNNNNNNNNNNNNNNNNNNNNNNNNNNNNNNNNNNNNNNNNNNNNNNNNNNNNNNNNNNNNNNNNNNNNNNNNNNNNNNNNNNNNNNNNNNNNNNNNNNNNNNNNNNNNNNNNNNNNNNNNNNNNNNNNNNNNNNNNNNNNNNNNNNNNNNNNNNNNNNNNNNNNNNNNNNNNNNNNNNNNNNNNNNNNNNNNNNNNNNNNNNNNNNNNNNNNNNNNNNNNNNNNNNNNNNNNNNNNNNNNNNNNNNNNNNNNNNNNNNNNNNNNNNNNNNNNNNNNNNNNNNNNNNNNNNNNNNNNNNNNNNNNNNNNNNNNNNNNNNNNNNNNNNNNNNNNNNNNNNNNNNNNNNNNNNNNNNNNNNNNNNNNNNNNNNNNNNNNNNNNNNNNNNNNNNNNNNNNNNNNNNNNNNNNNNNNNNNNNNNNNNNNNNNNNNNNNNNNNNNNNNNNNNNNNNNNNNNNNNNNNNNNNNNNNNNNNNNNNNNNNNNNNNNNNNNNNNNNNNNNNNNNNNNNNNNNNNNNNNNNNNNNNNNNNNNNNNNNNNNNNNNNNNNNNNNNNNNNNNNNNNNNNNNNNNNNNNNNNNNNNNNNNNNNNNNNNNNNNNNNNNNNNNNNNNNNNNNNNNNNNNNNNNNNNNNNNNNNNNNNNNNNNNNNNNNNNNNNNNNNNNNNNNNNNNNNNNNNNNNNNNNNNNNNNNNNNNNNNNNNNNNNNNNNNNNNNNNNNNNNNNNNNNNNNNNNNNNNNNNNNNNNNNNNNNNNNNNNNNNNNNNNNNNNNNNNNNNNNNNNNNNNNNNNNNNNNNNNNNNNNNNNNNNNNNNNNNNNNNNNNNNNNNNNNNNNNNNNNNNNNNNNNNNNNNNNNNNNNNNNNNNNNNNNNNNNNNNNNNNNNNNNNNNNNNNNNNNNNNNNNNNNNNNNNNNNNNNNNNNNNNNNNNNNNNNNNNNNNNNNNNNNNNNNNNNNNNNNNNNNNNNNNNNNNNNNNNNNNNNNNNNNNNNNNNNNNNNNNNNNNNNNNNNNNNNNNNNNNNNNNNNNNNNNNNNNNNNNNNNNNNNNNNNNNNNNNNNNNNNNNNNNNNNNNNNNNNNNNNNNNNNNNNNNNNNNNNNNNNNNNNNNNNNNNNNNNNNNNNNNNNNNNNNNNNNNNNNNNNNNNNNNNNNNNNNNNNNNNNNNNNNNNNNNNNNNNNNNNNNNNNNNNNNNNNNNNNNNNNNNNNNNNNNNNNNNNNNNNNNNNNNNNNNNNNNNNNNNNNNNNNNNNNNNNNNNNNNNNNNNNNNNNNNNNNNNNNNNNNNNNNNNNNNNNNNNNNNNNNNNNNNNNNNNNNNNNNNNNNNNNNNNNNNNNNNNNNNNNNNNNNNNNNNNNNNNNNNNNNNNNNNNNNNNNNNNNNNNNNNNNNNNNNNNNNNNNNNNNNNNNNNNNNNNNNNNNNNNNNNNNNNNNNNNNNNNNNNNNNNNNNNNNNNNNNNNNNNNNNNNNNNNNNNNNNNNNNNNNNNNNNNNNNNNNNNNNNNNNNNNNNNNNNNNNNNNNNNNNNNNNNNNNNNNNNNNNNNNNNNNNNNNNNNNNNNNNNNNNNNNNNNNNNNNNNNNNNNNNNNNNNNNNNNNNNNNNNNNNNNNNNNNNNNNNNNNNNNNNNNNNNNNNNNNNNNNNNNNNNNNNNNNNNNNNNNNNNNNNNNNNNNNNNNNNNNNNNNNNNNNNNNNNNNNNNNNNNNNNNNNNNNNNNGGAGGGGCAAGAGUCGAGCCCUAAGGGCCAAGGCAAUGAGCAACCAGCCCGCAAACGAAGUCAACCACCAAAGCCACCAACCUGUGGCAAAUGAAGUUGCCAACUGUGUUGAUGCUCACCAGUCUGCAACACCCGAAGCUACUGGCCCAUCUAGCCUGAACAAUGAACUAGACUCAGUUCUCCAAAAGAUAGAAGAGGUCAAAAGAAAGAAGGAACAGUUGGCACGACAAGUGCAACACCAGAAAGAGGCUGCGCCAGGCUAUCAAAGUUGAACGAGGCUAGGCGGCAACUAGAAGCACUACAGGAAGAAGUCGCAGAGCUCGAAAGCCCCCUCGAGAAUGCAAACCAGGCCGCAACUUAUUUUUAUCAAAGUCCCACUGUCGAUCAACACAGCUUCAACCCAGCAUCAACUUCGGCCAAGGCAUCCAGCACCACUCACCAGGGGUGUCCCUUGUUGUCGACCCAACUUCACCCUCUCAAUAGGGCUACAAACUGCACCAUGGCCGACGACCUACAAACCAACCACCUUGCCCAAAUUCAACGGGCGCACCGACCCGCGGCAAUUCUUAAUGAGUUAUGAAGCUGCAGUAGCUUCGGCCGGAGGGGAUGAUGUCGUCCUCACCAAAUCCUUCAUAAUUGCCUGCGAGGGCGCAACGCUAAAUUGGUAUUCGCUGCUCCCUCCCUCCACACAUGGUGAUCAACUGGCAUGACCUCAAGAUGAAGGUCACUCAAAAUUUCUAGGGUUUCCACCACCCUCACACGGCCUAGGCAGACCUCUUUCAGUGCAAGCAAAAGCACAAGGAACCGCUUGCAGAGAUGUAAGAAGAUACGUUCAACUUUGUUCUCAAGCACCGCAAAUUGAGGAGUCUGUAGCAAUAUCCACUUGCAUCGUGGGCCUAACCCCCGCCCAACAGCCUCAAAAUUGUUAAGGAAGGAGCCUAAAACCAUGACUGCCCUCUUCAGCAAACUCGAUGAAUACAUCAGGUCCGAUGAGGACCACCGCCGAAGAGUGGCGGAACGUAACAAAGAGAGACAAAAACCAAAACCGAAGCUGGCAACCUUCGCCUUACAACAAGCCUCAAAACCCAAAUCAAAACCAAAACCGCAUCAUGAACAUCGAGGGAAGCCAAAACCAAAACCAGAGCCAAAGCCAAAACAAGCACCCAAAGAGGCCACUCUGGCAAAGGACGAGGUCGAGGCAAACAACCAAAGUCGUUUUACUGUGUCAACCAUGGCCAUCAGAAUCAUCACAACAGAGGUGUGCCCCAAAAAAACAGGAAGAGAGAAAGCUGCAUAAGAAGCUGCAAGGACAGCCGCGCAGACACCCAAAACAAUCCACCACACAGCCUUUUACCCACACCCAACCUUCUACCACAAUCAACCCAGCUUCGCCAACUUCCCGCAACCAAUAAAUUGGCCUCUUCCACCGCACAUACAACCCUACCACCAAACAAUUCCACAGCACCCCAAUCCCAACCCGCCUCAGAAGCCCCAAGAAACUCUACCUCCACCCCCAAGCAUGCCAGCUAUAAUACCCAAGCCAGAACCCAACACGCAAACGCAACCAAAAUCCUUACCCUCCUUUCGGGAUGAUAAUGCCAUCACCGGGGCUCCUCGCUAGAGGUUGAAAGCAAGAGAUGAAACAAGAAUACUUCAGAGAGGUCAAUGUUAUCAUUCCCCGACUGACCUCCAGCAAAGCCAGAAUGGCACACAUGCCCAUAACCUUCACCGAAGAGGAUUUCAACCUCAAGACAACCUCGCACAACGAUGCGAUGGUCAUCAAAGCACUGAUAGCAGGCUGGACAGUGGGGAAAGUCCUGGUAGAACACAGGCAGCUCCGUGGACAUUCUCUUCGCAAAUGCAUUCAGAGAAAUGAAUAUUGACAUGAACACGCUCGACCCAAGGGAUGUCCCGCUCCUUGGCUUCGGCGGAAAGCCCGUGAAGCCUUGGGAAAAAUCGCCCUCCCAGUCUCGUUCCGAGACCGAGAUAAUGCGAGGACAGAACACAUCACCUUCGACGUAGUGGAAAUGCAUUAUCCCUACAAUGCAAUACUCAGCCGUGGCUUCAUCACCAAAAUGGACACAACAAUCAGGUAGUUGUACCUAUGCAUGAAAAUACCCGCCCUCAAAGGGGUCAUACGGUGUACGGUGAUCAGCAAAUGGCAAGGAACAUAGAAAAAGGGGUAGCCCCGGGCCAAAAGAAUGUCCACCAUCUAGCCUCGUCAAACGAAGCCGAAAACAUAGCAAAGCAAAAGGCCCACGACGAGCCUAAGAGAGCUAAACAAAAGGUAAAAAUCAGUGCGGAUGGCAAAACAAAGCGGGUACCUCAAAACAUAGCUAAGCCACACACCUGAACAAAUUUUCCCCGAAAUUUGCAACACGUCAAGAGUGCUUAUCACUCAACCGUCUCACAUCUCUUUUGUUUAAGGAAACUAGGCUCGUUACUACAAAAUGAACACCAAGAUGAUAGAGCUCUUUUACGAUACACAAUACUACUACUUAGUAGUAUAUAGUAUAUAUAUAUAAGAUCUAACUGUUCAUUAUUAUGGAUAAUUUAGUAAUUAUUACAAUGUAAAAAGUGAUAUUUCAAAUAGAAUGGUCUUUUAAACUUUCUGCUAGUAUCAAAAAUAAAAUUAUAGUGGUGCCAUUUGUGUUUGCUUACCAUGAUACCCUUAUACUACCUAUACUACUCAUGUAUACUACUCAUACCAUAGGCGUAGGUUUCAGUAGUAUGUAAUUAAUCUUGACCGUCGGAUAUGUUUAUACUAGUCAUUUUCGAACACAAGUAUAGUCUAGUGUUGUGUUCCGUAAAAGAGCUCAUAUAAUAUGUUAUAAAACUUAUUUGUGAAAGCUAAAGGCAACAACAGGGGAUAAAUUUCAGAAUAGGUAAGAACAGAAAUUUAAAAGGGCAAAAUUUGUUGAUGCAUGGAAAUGCAUAGAAUGCUUAUUACUCAAUCGACUCACAUCUCUUUUUCCUAGGAAACACAAUAAUUGUUGGAAACAAAGCACUUAUUGUUGGAAACAAAGCACUUAUUGUUGUUCAUAGCAGCUGAGAUUGACUUACAUAUAUUUAUUUGCAAACAGGUGUGAAAUGUGAUACAAUAAUUCAGAAAGCUAGACAUCCUGAGCCAUGCGAGGGAUAAGAAGAAGCUUCUCCUUACGGUGCACAUCCAUCCCAUACGACUCUGACAUAUCGACGCCUGUCGACCGCGGCAGAAGCUCCCAGUUGAAGUGGUAGAUGAGGUUGGCAAGAAUGAUUUCGAAAGUGGCGGUGGUGAAGUUUAUACCCGGGCACAUCCUUCGCCCAGACCCAAACGGCAAGAAACGGAAGUCGUUCCCCUGGAAGUCAGAAGCAGCAUCCACGGCUUCUUCCAUGAACCGCUCGGGCAUGAACUCCUCUGCACUCUCCCAGUAGGUGGAGUCCCUGCCUAGAGCCCACGCGUUGACGAUUACACGUGUCCCAGAGGGUAUGGUAUAUCCCUCCACCUCCCAUUCGGCCAUGGACAAGUGGGGUAUCAAAAGAGGCCCCGGCGCGUGUAGCCGCAUUGACUCUUUCAUCACCGCCGUCAGGUAGCUCAUGCCGCUCAGGUCUUGUUCAGUGACCAGUUCCUUCCCCCUGCUUGCGCACCCCCGCACCUCAGCUUGAAGCUUGGUCAUCACCUUGGGAUUCCGCAUCAGCUCAGCCAUGGCGUAGUCUAGUGCUAUGUAGGUUGUGUCCGUCCCAGCUUCAAACAUGUCCUACAUGAACAUAUCGGUAAGUAGAACUCCAAAUCAAAUUUAACCAAGCUAGUCCAUGAAACGUCUCAUAUGUACCUCUCGUGAAAAAUAAACAUACCAUCAGUAUUGCCUUGACGUUGUCUCUGGUCAGGCCGUACUCUUGUUGAACGGAGAGCAGCACAUCGAUGAAGUCCUCCUCGUCCUCACCAUCGACCGGCUUGGUCUUGUGCUUGUCGAUGAGGCUGUCCAAAAGGUCAUCCCAUAUCUUCCUGUGCUUCACGGCCUUGGCCGAUACCAAGUCCAACCUCGCCAAGCUCGGGAAAUAGUCGUCCAGGUUAAAUCCCCCCAGGAGCUUGGCGUUCGUCUCUAACAGCUCCCGGAACAGCUGGUUCCGACCUUGUUCCCUGGGGAGCCUGCCCGUCACGGCCUGGCACACGAUGUCGUUGGCGAAGAAGCUGAAGAGCUUGCUGACGUCGACCGCGAUGCCCAUGGCGGCGGCGGCCGUCACCUUGGCUAAAACCAGCUGGACCUCCUGCUCGCGGGCGGCGCGGUUGGACCGGACCUUCGCUGCGGUAAGGAGGUGGGUGGUGAUCACCUUCCUGGCCUGGCGCCAGUACUCACCGUAGGGGGCGAAGCCGACGUCGGUGCAGCCGUAGAACAGGACGUCGGCCACCGCGGAGUGCGGCCGGGAGGCGAAGACGUGGUCGUGCGUGCGCAGGACGGCCUUGGCGGCGCGUGGGGAGGAGACGACGAGCGUUGGCACGGCGCCGAGGCGGAGGAGCAUCACGUCGGGCCCGUGCCUCUUGGCGAGGUCGCGGAGGGAGUGGUGGGGAAGGGAUCCGAUGAGGUGGAGGUGGCCGAUGAUCGGGAGCUUGAACGGAGGCGACGGUAGCUUCCGGAGCAGCUUCUCUGUUCUUGACCUUGGUGUUGCCAAGUGCACGGCGACGAGGAAGAGGAAGAAGAGGAGGGCUAGGGACUCUGGAGAUGCGUGUUCGUAGAGGUGCGCUAGCGCUGGAGCCGCCAUGGCUGAUCAACUAGUGUGCACAACACACGGCUUGCUAGCGCAACAAGUUAGAACCAGCUCGUUGCAGUUUUUGUAGAGCUCGGUAGUCGUGAUCCGUCAGACAGCAAGAAGAGUAUGCUAUUUUUCUUCUUUUCUGCAUCAUCACUAGAUCAGAUCAGACAGGACCGACCAGAUCUGAUAUUUUAUGAGAGAAUCCUAUCGAAUAAUCAUCCUUUUUAUUAAACUGCACCCGACGCAGACUUUCUUUAUUUGCCCAUGUGCUAUUAUAUAUUAAUUUUUAUCUCGACUAUUAUAUUAAUUUUUAUCUCGACUAUAUACCACUGUCCUCAUGUAUGUUGUGUACCAAGAGGAACACGAGACGAUCGAGAUUCCAAUAAAAUAUGUGUUUGGUGCUGGAUUAAUUGGCAUGCUUUUCUCUCAGAUGAGCUGCGUGUAGUGACAGCGGCGCUCGCAAUAGUUGGUCGGCGCACUGGUAGACGGGCAGCUCAUGGAUGCUACCGACGGCUCUGCAACUUGAUGCAGUUCAUGCACGCUGCUGGGUGGCACCCAUGGUGCGAUAUGGCAUUGGCAUUGGCACUGUGGCGGCGGAUCCGACCAGUAGCAGAAGCUCGCACAAGUCUAAAUGUAUCUAACUUUGAUGAAUUUUGAUUUCAAAUCUAUGGAGGCUUUUGAGCUCGAACUAAUUGAAAUGGAUCACACUUUAGUAGUGUUUUCAACAUAAAAAAUUGACACAAAUUAUGGCGGUCAUUUGUGCCACUGGAGAAAUUAAAGGGAAAAAUAGAAAAGAUGGUGUUUUCAAUACACUUUCUUGCUAGCUUGCUAGCCUUUCCCCACGGUGCUGAAAUCGUGGCGGGGCAAAAGGGGAGGUGCAUGAACUCGUCGCUGGCUGCCGGAGGACAGAGCUAGGGGCGGUUCAGGCACAACGGUGCGUAGGCGGGGUAGCGGCCAGGAGUGGCGGUGAGCAGUCUGCCUAGCCCAGGCAGAAAAACAAAGGUUUGAAACAAACAAGCCCUUGGUGUGUAACUGAUAGGCAUAUGUUCGAAACUCCGAUCCUGUCGCCCUUGAUUAAAAUUCAUAGUAGAGACCCAUUGAGGAUUAGCCCUGGCAUCGAUCCGGCCACAGGAGAGACCGGGAGCCAAGAAGUGAAGUAAGUUGCGUGCGUGCCUGACGGCGAGGAAGCACCUCCAUUGAGCCACGAGGUGGAGUACGAGGCAGAGGCGAGAUGGGAUGUGUUGGGGACAGACUCACAUGACGGAGAGCGGUGCAUCUCCUACCUACCAUCUGCCAUUGCCGAGGGCCUUUCACCGUGCACCACUCCGGUUCGCUCUUUUGCGUCGCUGGGAGGAAAGGGACCGCCGAGCGUUGGGUGCCGCCACCGCUCCUGUGUAGUUCACCAUGGCCACCUCCUCCGAUAGCGCCCACACCAGCGCUGCACCUCAUUCCAGGGAUGGGGCAGCCGCUGCUGGGUCACAUCCACCCGGGGAUUGGGCCGUUGCUGGGGAAUGCGCGGCAGAGAAGAAAAGGAGAAAACAGAGGAGACGUGACUGACAGGGACGGAGGAAAGAUGAUGAGUGCGUACGGUGGGGGCGGGUAGGAAACGCAUCGGUAAAAAUGGAAUUGGUUUUUUGGUAGAAACAUUUUCUAACUUGUGGUUUUUAUGGGUCUCCACCUUAUCCUCUCUCAAUUGCAUGAUAGGUGGGUCCGACAUGAGCGGUAAGGUGGUUCUGGUUUGGGUGAGAAACGUUUCCAAUUAUGUUGGAAAACAGGCUUCGCGGAGGCUCAAACACAAUGAGGUUUGAGCAGUCCUUGCAAUUCAAUUCCAAAGAAAUGAACAUAUGUUUACAUCGGGGUAGGGCUCUCCUUUUAUAGUAUCUCGGAGGACAUUUUGCAUUCCGCAAUUACCCUCACUCACCCACUACAAUCCUAGAAUAUGCUUUACAUGGAGGUAACUUGUAUAACUUGGUCUCCUCCUUGGAUCACGCUUCUCACGCCUUUAGUCAGCUCCAUGAUUCACGCUCUCACAUGGUUCCACAAAUCACGCCUUCACAUUUCCAACGCCUCCACGCUUCCUGACCUCGUGACCGAAGCCAUCUUAGCUUCGGGAGUCAUGAUCGCCAUAGAUUCGCACCUAAGAGACGCUAGCCUCGCGCCCUGCUCCUUGACCUGAUUCAGCGAUCCUGCAUGAGACACUAAAUAACUCAGCACUCGAGGUUAGCUUCGACUGCUCGAGGUCAAGCUUGGUUAGUGUCUGGCGAUCUGUGUGCCUCCGGGCUUCAAGGUAAGAUUCAGGAUAGCGAGGCUAUGAUUACUUUCCACACCAGAUUAACCACCCAAGGUUAGGGGUCCUCACCCGAGGUUAAUUAUUUUGAGGGGCUAAGCUGUUGACGCUAAAUGUAACGACCUCGAGGGUGACCAUCUUUUUGGGCGAUCCCCAACAGUAGCCCCUCGUGGGCAAGGCUCGACACCGACAACCGAACCCGCGACUUAAGGAUCUGCUCCCAAAAAACGUCACCCUCAAGCAUCGGUUAGAAAUGAGCCGACAAUUACCUUUUUGGUCUUACGUGUUGAUUUCCUAUUGGGUGACCCUUCGUAUCUAGCUCGUGGUUACAGGCGCCAUUUCACGCAUUUUACCAUGCCUAUAAAAGAGGGGGGUGGGGUCGCUUUCGUUUUUACCCUCGCGGCUAAAACCCUUGCGCUCCUGCUUUUGCUCGCUGCUUCCGUGCUUUAAGAUUCAUGCAUUGUAUGCUGUUCUCCUUGGUCUCGAGGAUCUCAAAGGUAACAAUGUUACUUGUGUCUCUCUUUUAGUGUGAGAUUUUCCCUUGCUUGUCAUUUUGGAGAUGAUGUUUCGAUGCCUUGCAGCUGGCUCGUAUUAUGCAAACCGCUAGGCCCAUGACAUCAGAAGAGUUCACUAAACAAGUUGGGCUUCGCAAUGAGGCUGCGGAGGACCAGGAUUUGUACAAGGCUGACGAGAAGCAAGGAAUCAAGAGGAUUGAGCUUUCUUAUGCCCAGAACAAUAGGUGAGAAGACAAUUGGCUAAGCUACUACUUCUAUAUCAAGAUUGACAGGGCCGAUGCGUCUGGUAUCAACCGAUCUUUCUAUCCUUCUGUGCACCCCUGGGCCCUAUGGAUAUUGCUACUACCCCUGCAUUUACAAGGUCCAAGGCAGACAAGGAGUGCAAGGGCGCUUUCCUCCCGGACUCGAAGUCGAUCCCCGGCUGGAUCUUGUUGAAGAGUUUUUGGCAGCCAAUAUUUGGCCCCUUUCUGAUGGGUGGAGUCCAUUGGAGAUUGUGCCAAAAGACGUUUUGUGGAGUACUAGCCCGCUCCUCUACCCUUGCUUUGGAGUGGAGCUGCCCGUGGAUGCCAACCCCGGUCUUUUUGCAGAGGAUGUUGAGAGGCAUGCCGUUGAUAUAAUUGGCCCGAGUACUGAGACUGAGCUGAUGUUAGCUCGAAAGAUCAUUGCACACGAGCUUCGGGUCAACCGUGUGUUCGAGGAACUUGGGGUCGAUGUUAAGCCUCAUCCCAAACCUCGCAAGACCUUGAAAUGGGCACGAGAGGCUGGCGCGACAGGCUUGGAAUAGGUUGGCAGCAGUGGCAGGUGGAAAAAGAGAAAGGCCGAGAGCACCGCUCCUAUGGCCGCGGCAGUGACUUCAAAGAAGGAUGACAGCCAAUCAAGGGUCGUGCUCGAGGUGCGAAAGCAAAAUUAAAGACCUCGAGCCUCGAAGCUUAGAAGAAGUAAGAAAAAAUUGGACAAAGUUCCUCAAGCGAGGCUGCAAAAUCCUCCACGCCCCUGUCUCUAAAGCCAUCCGAGUUGCGACCAAGUCCGAACUCGAGGCUGCCGGCGCACUGGCCGGUAUGAAAGAAAAGAAGUCUACGAGGAAGUCUCACGUCGGCAAAGCCUUUGAUGAUGAUGAUGAUAUUGUUUUGGAUGUGGACUUGUCUAUGUUCCCUAUAUCGGUCCCCAAGGCUAGUGUUCCUUCAAAGGAGACUGAGACUAAGGUUGCUGCACCCCCUCUACAGCACAAGGCCAAACCUUUGAAGGAGAAGAUCGUGGAUACCAUUGCUAAGGAGAUUAAGGCAUCUACUUCGAAGGUGACAAAGCCAGGUAAACAUGUCGUUGUACAUUUGCCUAGGAUGAGAUUUUAUGAUUGUGGUGAUGCGUCAUUUAGAUUUCUGAUGGAGCUGGAAAAAACCACUGGUGCACCUUGGGAGAUAUAUAGGGAACCUCCUCUAAUAUUUAGGGUAAAACCUUAUUCUGCAGAUUCUGAACUGUCACCCUCUCUGGAACGUUACAACGAGGCCUACGGCACCAACCUUAGACAGGAGCUCAUUGCUGUUCAUGUGCCGGGUUCAGGUGAGGACGAUAAUCGCUACAACCUACCCUUGUUGUGGGGAGCUAAGGAUGGGAUGCGUGGUGUAGAUAGAGCAGCCAAGGAGGUUUUCAAGAUGUCUGAGGGGGUUGUCGGCGAGGUUGGUGGGCAGGGAGAAAGGGAGGAAGGCGAGGUUAUCCCUACUCGAGGUCUUGGGAAAUCCACUGUGCCUUUUGAGGUUGAUUACGAGGACAAGUCUUUUAAUCCUGAGAGUAAGCGCUUGCUCCUUAGUUUGUUUUGUCUGUACUUAAUUUCUACUUUGCUAUGCUUUGACGUGCCUUUCUUUUGACAGAGUAUGAAAAAUCAGUUAGGCGUUUUGAGCAAAAGGACUUAGCUAGGAUGUCAGCUACCAUCGGAUACAAGGUAUUUUGUUCGACGCUUGCUAUUUGUUUCUUAUCUCUCUUUUUUUAUGAGUCUUUUCAUUUUGGUGUUUUGAUUUUGCAGUCCAUCAUCCUUGGGAAGAUGCUAUGGAGAAGGCUGCGGCUAAGGAAAAGAGCAUGCUAGCCGAGAGCACGAAGAUGAUGCAGCUAGAGGCUAGAGUUGCAAAGCUUGAGGAGGAAAGCAAGGUUUUAUAUGCCUUGAAGAACGAGCUCGCCGAUUCUAACUCUGACCUUAAAAAGAACAACGUGCUGCUAACAAAUACCUACAGCGAGCUCGUGCAGCAAGUUGAGAAGCUGGAGAAAAGACCCGAAGACAAUCUUGGUGUUUUGGAGAAACUCCGAAGCGCCACAGAAAAAGACGUACAGACUGUCAUAGAGCAGGAAAAAAUGAUUCAUACCCUUGGUCAGGAUCUCAAAGAGCAAAAGACCUUUGUUGUGGAAGCAGAGCGGGCUCUCAAGGAAAAGUUCGUUGAGAUCUAUGAGGUGUACAAAACUGCUCUUGCAAAGUUUGGCACAGAGCCUCUUUUGUUUCUGGGUGAUGAAAGUGUAAAAGAAAUAUUUGAUUGGGUGGAAGAGGAGUUCAAAGGCCUGCCCGAGGUUAUUACUGGUAGCAGCAACUUUGCUACUUCCUUCUGCCUUGAUAGCGCAUUUCAACUCCUUGAAAAGAACAGCUACUCUCAUUUCUUAACACUUGCGGCUCGCACCUAUAUGUUCCCCUCGGCCUCGGAGCUUGAUGAAGAGGAGAAAUCUAAAAAUUUGAGAGCCAUGAAGAUAAAUUUCUUCAAACAGCUUUGGGCUACCUCCGGGCGAGAGUACACAAGGCUGGUUGCUCAAGAGCGGCUUGCACAGGUUAGGGUUCACAUAACUUUGUAUUUCAUAAGGUUUGCAUUUUUUCUGUUGAUUUCCUGAUGUUGUUCCUCUUGUGUUCGUAGGCCAAGGCAUAGGAAGCAAAAGGCGAAGGUGGGAGCGAGAACGAUGAUGCUGAUCAAGGAGGGCAGUGAUUAUCGAAGCUAGUUAGAGAUUUGUUUUGUGGUUUGGGAUGUUUUGAUAAACUUGAUACUUAGUUGGCUGCUUUUGCGGGCCAGAUUGUAAAUAUUUGUUGCUCAGCCGGAACUUACAUGCUCGAAGCUGGUUACUUUUGGCGUUUGUACCUUCACGGAUUUCUUUUUAUCUUAACGUUUUUAUGUUUGAGUUAUUCUACUCAAAUGGCAACAAAGCUGUAGCUUAAAGAAAUGAGCAAUGUUUUAGUUUAAAACGUCACCCCUGCCCUAGUUUCUUUAUGCGUAGGUUUUUGUUGACUUUGCACGCUUGUUGUCUAAGCUCAAACGGAGCUUAAAAACGUCACCCCCUUCUUGGCACGUGGGUCUUACCCAAGGCAAUUCUCUCAUGGAAAGAGGAUGAAAACGAUUUUUGUUUGCCAAAAAAUGUCACCCCCGCCCUUUUAUCCUUUUUCCGAAAAAACAUCCAACCUCGCCCUUUUCUUUUGCAUGAACGAGGUUAAGUGAGUAUUGACAAACCACAAGAUAAGUCAAUAGAAAAGUUGUUUUCGAGUUAUGUUGUCUUAAAAAAUAUGAUAGUUUGGUUGAAAUCGCAACCCUUAGGAUGUGUUUGGUUGGGCUGUGGCUUUUCAAAAAGCUGCUGUGAGUUGUGGGCUGUAGAAAAGCAGCUGUGAGAAAGCAGCUGUGGGAAAAGUAUAAGGCCAUUUGGUUAGAGCAGAUGUAGCUUUUGAAUAAAUUUUCGAGUGGACCCUGCAUGUCAUCCACAGUCCACCCCACUCAACUCUCUCCCUCUCUCACUGACGAGCGGGUCUAACCCUUCUUCUUCCUCCCGCUGGCUUGUCCACCCCAUAGCACCCCGAGUAGCACCAGGGCCGCAACGGCAUCCACGAUGAUGCAGUCCACAAUCAGGGCGAGGUCCAUGAUGGCGAUGGCCUGCGCCUCACCUCCUCCACCUUGCACCACGUGGCAGGCACCGUAGCACCACCGGCAUCUAGGAGGCAGUAGCACCCCGCGGGCACGCAUGCGUCGACAUAGAGGUUGAGGCUGGUCUGUGCCGCCAAGAGCCUGCCGCCCGCGCAGGCGAGCCCCGCCUCCAUGGUGCCCUUCGGUGUGGAGGCGGAGAGUGAUGAGGAGAGGGAUGCCAUGGCAGCGGCGAGGAGGAGGAGACGCGCGAUGAUGAGUGUGUGCUGCUGGAGGUCGGAGGCCGGGAGCGAGACGGCAAGGAGGCCUGCGGCAUGGUCGAGGAGGAGGAACGACAGGGAGAGGAGGAGCGGGAGGUGGGGCGGGAGGAAUGGGAGCAGCGGUGGGAGGAGCAGCAGUGGGAGGAGCGUCAUGGAAGCCAGUGGGAGGAAGGCGAACAGGAGCACGAGGAGUAGCGAGAGGAGGCAGAGGAGCGGGUGGCGGAACAGGCGGAGGAGGUGGUGGUGGAGGGAGGACGGGGAGAGGUAGGAGACGGCGGCAAUGAGGUGGUGGGACUGGGAGGUCGCGAUGAGGGAGAAUAUAAGGGCAUGGCAUGCGAGCAGCAGCGCCUCCACCAUUGGGGUUGGGCAACGCGGUCGGGGAAGUCCCGAGGAGGAGGAGCACCAGGCGGCGGGCCACUAAGGUGAUGGUCGGGUGGGGGGACUGGUGUGGGUGAUGGGGAGUGGACGGGAAUAGAAGGGGAAAACGAACCGUUAUCCUCCAUAACAAGUGGUAGGUGGGUAAUUUUUUGCCCCAAAAGCAGCUAAAAGCAGUGGGGAAGGUGCUUUUGAUUUUGAGCAAAAGCACGUAUGGCUUUGGUCAAAAGCACGUAUGGCUUUUAGGCCCUUUGGUUGGCUUUUGGUUUUUGCAAAAGCAAAAGUAGGUUGGAAAGUCCAACCAAAGGCACCCUUAGUUGCUUCAACCAUGAAAUUUUGCGAGGUUGAGAAAAUAGGGAAAUAGGGUGCCUUUUUUGAAAAAAUGUCAGUCUUUCUAUUCUAUUGUGAGAGCUUUGGCUGAGGCUAGGGCCUUCGUGCGAAAGGACAAAAUGAAUUUUCGACUCUGAAAAACGUCACCCCCCUUGUCCUUUUGCGCAGAGGGGGUUUAGACUCAGCAUGGCUUAUUCCGAGUGUUAUCGCUGCCUUUGAUCCCUUGCUGCAGUCUUUCUAUUCUCUGAGUUGCAAGUUCAAGGCCAAUCACUGUGGUGUUUGAGUGAGAAAAUACGUUUAUGUGCAUAUAGUGUGCGUUCAAUGUUAGACUAUGCAGCUUAUUGCUGCUUUAAAAUAUCUUGCGCAGAAACGUAGGUUUUCAGCACGCAGAAACGUGAGGUUAGGCAAGUUGUUGUUGCAUCUGAGACUUGUGCAGACACGCAAGUUUUCAAUGCACAGAAACUCGAGGUUAGGCAACUUGUUGUUGCAUCUAAGACAAAGAUCAUAGGGGGAACUUCAUUUCAUUGAAUAAUGGAAAUUUUACAAGGAUCUACCUCUUCCGACAUGGUUGCCUCUUUGGCCACUUCUGAAAUUGGGUUGAUGUUGGUGGUGUCGGUUCUGGUUUUGGCCUUGGUUUUGGUUUUGGGUUUGGUUUUUGAACGAGGGUUGGUUAUCCUUGAUGGCCAGCAGUUAGUUUGGGUGCGAGUGGUGCUGUUGUUGGUGACUGUAUCACGAAGCUUGCCAGUUUUGACCUUUCUCUGCUUGCCUUUGGCGGUUUCUUUCCACGACCCUUCUUCUAUGGUCUUCAUCUGAUCUGCAAUAUUUAUCCAUCUCUGCGAACAGGGCUUCCAUUCUUUUUGGCUUUUUCCUUGAUAGCUUUGAGGCUGUUGGCCUCGGAUUAAGCCCCUUGAUGCAGAUCUCUAUAGCCAUGCUAUCCUCCACAUCUGGGGUUUGUGCCUUAAGUUGGACAAAUCUUCUCACGUAGCUUGCUAAAAGGCUCUUUAUCUUUUUGCACACAAUUGAACAAAUCCCCCUCAUCAGUCAUGGCUCUAUGAAAGCCUUGAAAGUUUUGUAUAAGUUUGGUUUUAAGAUCGACCCAGCUGUAUACAGAUUGCAGCAGGAGUAGAGAGUACCAAUUUAGUGCUGCACCCUCGCACGCUAUAAUGAAUGACUUUUCCAAUACUACAUCAUCUCCCCCUGCCGAGGCUAUGGCUGUUUCAUAACUCAUGAGGAACUAGCGGGGAUCUGUUUGUCCAUUGAAUUUUGGUAGUGCAACUGCCUUGUAGGUUGUGGGCCAUGGGGCUUUUUGCAGGCCUAAGGACAAUUGGGAGAUUUUGUCGGUAGUUGUGUAUGCGCUCAUUGUCACUCUGGUGUUGUGCCCAACGAGGCUAGGAUUCGGGUAUAUGAUGGGUGUGUCAUUGGUGUUGAAGGUUUGAAGUGGUGGCUGCUGCGGCUGUUGCGGUGUGUUACACAAGUAUUCCAAUUCGUUCAACUCUUGCUGCAACUCUGCCAGCUGCCUUUUGGCCUCAUUUAGCCUCACUAGCUUGUUGGUUGCUAGUCUUUGAGCCUGAAGCUCUUGAGCAAAUUUUUCUUUUUCUUUUUUAAUGCCUCUAGCUGCUUGAGUGCGGAGGCCAACUCUUCUUCUAUUUCACUAAGGGGUUCAUCUUGCGUGCUUGUUUGCUGCAGAGUUUGGUUCGAGGUCCCCGCCUCAACCAUGCCUUUCUGUGAUCUUGUUCUUAAAUUAGCCUCGAUUCUUUUAAACUUUUUCUGCCUUCUCCGUGUUAACUUGUUCGACUGAGACAAGCUGCCUUUCUUGUCCAGCCUCAUCUUCGAUGGUUCUCUUCUUCUUUUGAGGUGGCAUCAUGGGUUUCUUAGUGGCUCAGAAUACCUGCUGUUACCAUGGCACUUCAGCAACCCCACCCAACCCCACGCGCAAGUCAAAAUUUGAGGACCAUAUGUACAAUACGUGUGCAAACAAAACCAUAAUUUCACUAGUAUUGAGGGAUUUUAGUUAUUUCUUCUAAAAAAUCUCUUGGGAAAUCGUAUUUUUGUAGUACAACAUAUAUAGAAAAUAAGUAUUACUCCCAAAUAAACUGCCCUUUUCUUUAGUAUUCUUGGUUUUUGUUAUUAUUUUAUUUAAUCUUACGAUUUAUAUAUGCAUAAAAAAGUAAUUUAGUAUCUUCAAAUAUGGAAACGUGGUCUUAGGAAAUUGUCUAAUAUAUACUAGUUUACCUGCAAUCCACUGGCUUGCACAUUAUAUUUCAUCAUACGGAAAUGUCUGGCAUUGUGAACGGAAGCAAUUUCAUCUGUCUGCAACCCGGCAUAGCAUGUGACACCCAGAGCUCCUGACACAAGCGCGUGAGCACCUUCUCCGACAUGCGCACAUGAUGACCGCAUGCACCCAUAUUAUACAUAGUUUAUUAUAUUUUUGGCUGGGAUAUGAUAAUCAUUAAUUAUUACUUGUAAAGAUUGGAAACGUUACAAACGAUUGUAGAAAAAAUGCGAGUCACCAGGAAGGUAGGUAGUAGAGCAUGCCGUCAGUGUCUUUCCUGUGACCUGUGUUCGUGGUGCACAUGGCAGAAUGCACAGUCUAUACAUAGGAACCAGAAGUUGGCUUCGAAACCAAAUCACUCAUUAGUCCUUCGGUACUGCAGUGAACGCUAUCUAGCUAGCUAAUUUCCCCUUGAAAUCAGUGGCCAUGGGUAGCCUUCCACUUGAAGCCAUGAUGCCACUGAACCCCGAUUCAUUCGCUGGGGAGUCCAGUGCCGUGGUCGACUUCCUCGCCGACUACUACCGCAACGUCGAUAAGUAUCCGGUCAUGGCCAACACCCAGCCAGGGACCAUCCGUAAGCUUCUUCCGGAGGCAGCCCCGGAGUUGGGCGACUCCAUGGAUCGCAUACUGGAUGAUGUGCAGCGGGAUAUCCUCCCCGGCCUCACACAUUGGCAGAGCCCUAGCUUCUUUGCCUAUUUCCCGGCGAAUGCAAGCACCGCAGGGUUCGCCGGGGAGAUGUUGUCGGCUGGUCUCAACGUCGUCCCGUUCGUCUGGACGGCGUCACCGGUGGCCACUGAGCUGGAGCAGGUCGUGGUUGACUGGAUGGCUAGCCUCCUCGGCCUACCGGAGCGCUUCCACUUCAAGGGAGGAGGAGGCGGUGUCCUGCAUGGGAGCACGUGCGAGGCGGUGGUGUGCACUCUCGCUGCCGCGCGCGACCGUGCACUCAGCAAGCUCGGACAUGAGGGCAUCCUCAAGCUUGUCGUGUAUGCCUCGGACCAGACCCACGCAACCUUCCAGAAGGGCGCGAGCAUCGUCGGCAUCCCUCCAGCAAACUUCCGCAUCCUGCGGACUUCGGCAAACUCGGGAUACGGCCUGACCGCCACCAUCGUCCAAAGAGCAAUCGAGGAAGACGUCGCCCGCGGGCUGCUUCCCCUUUACCUCUGCGCCACCGUCGGCACUACUGGUCUGGGGGCCAUUGACCGAGUGCGCGAGCUCGGCCAUGUUGCCCGGCGUUAUGGUAAUUCAUUCAACCUCCCUCUCUUAUACGCUAAUCACCCAUACGGUGACACUAAAUACGUAGAAAUGGAAUGCGCUAUGCGGUCACAGGUCACGAUUUCAUGCUCACUUAACAAUCAACAAUCAGUUCCUAUAACCAUCUGACAAGAAUACAUGUUUUACAGGAACCUGGCUGCACAUCGACGCAGCCUACGCCGGAAGCGCAGCCAUUUGCCCGGAGUUCCAAGGUCACCUCGACGGCGCCGAGCUCGCGGACUCGCUGAGCAUGAACCCACAUAAGUGGUUCCUCACCAACAUGGACUGCUGCUGCCUCUGGGUGGCGAACCCUACCACCAUGACCGACGCACUGUCCACUGACCCGGAGUACCUCAAGAAUGUCGGCACCGCGUCUAAGAUGGCGGAAACGGUCGACUACAAGGACUGGCAGAUCGCGCUGUCACGCCGCUUCCGUGCCAUCAAACUCUGGGUGGUGCUACGGCGCUAUGGAGCGGCGGGAAUGCGCGCGCACAUACGGAGGCACAUCCAGAUGGCAGAGUGGUUCGAGCACGUCGUGGCGGCGGACGAGCGGUUUGAGGUCGUGGUGCCAAGGAACUUCUCCUUGGUGUGCUUCCGCCUCCGCCCGCGGUUCAUGGCGGAUAAAGCUGUGGAGGCCCUGAACCGCGACCUCCUCGCAGCGGUGAAUGCAAGCAGCCGGGCGUUCAUGACGCACUUCGUCGUGGACGACAAGUUUGUGAUCCGCCUAGCCGUGGGUGGGUCAAUGACAGAGAUGCGGCACGUCCGGGCCGCGUGGGAGCUUCUCAAGGAGAAGGCCAACGACUUGAUCGCCACCGGUUGUUAGUUAUUGCUCAUUGCUAGUGCUAUACCAUGCAUGGCCAGCAACAGAAGCUGAGCAUUCUAUUAUUGCUUCCAUUCGUAGUUAGAGCACACCAUGAAUGCAAUAGUCAAUCCAUCUGAACCAUGAACAUUCACUAUGACCAUGUAUGCGACACAAUAUACAUAACUGCUACUGCCGAUAUUGGAUUCUAUUUCUGGAGAAGCAGCUGCUUCUACGGAGCAGGCCGAUUGAAUUUUAAGUAUGUUAUGAUACUUGUAAAAAAUCGAUGCUAGGCAUGGAUUCCUGGAAGGGGCCCGUCACAACUCACAAUGGAAGGGACCCGUCAUAACCAAGCUCGUUAAUACAAAAGAAACGUCACGCGAAACAAAUGGACGCUAAGCCACACACCUGAAGAAAUUUUACCCGAAAUUUGCAACACGUCAAGAAUGGUUAUCACUCAACCGUCUCACAUCUCUUUUGUUUAAGGAAACCAGGCUCGUUACUACAAAAUGAACACCAAGAUGAUAGAGCUCUUUUACGAUCCACAAUACUACUACUUAGUAGUAUAUAGUAUAUAUAUAAGAUCUAACUGUUCAUUAUUAUGGAUAAUUUAGUAAUUAUUACAAUGUAAAAAGUGAUAUUUCAAAUAGAAUGGUCUUUUAAAUUUUCUGCUAGUAUCAAAAAUAAAAUUAUAGUGGUGCCAUUUGUGUUUUCUUACCAUGAUACCCUUAUACUACCUAUACUACUCGUGUAUACUACCCAUACCACAGGCGUAGGUUUCAGUAGUAUCUAAUUAAUCUUGACCGUCAGAUAUGUUUAUACUAGUCAUUUUCGAACACAAGUAUAGUCUAGUGUUGUGUUCCGUAAAAGAGCUCAUAUAAUAUAUUAUAAAACUUAUUUGUGAAAGCUAAAGGCAACAACAGGGGAUAAAUUCCAGAAUAGGUAAGAACAGAAAUUUAAAAGGGCAAAAUUUGUUGAUGCAUGGAAAUGCAUAGAAUACUUAUUGGAGCGAAGGCCCUUUUAGGUCCAUGGGCUAUUUAUGCCCCUCCACUCGCCCAUUCAGAGUUGCUGGAGUGUCCAUACAUCUAUUGAAGACCAAGGCUCAUCAAGUGACCAAUGGAGAAACCACACAUCCACUGUGAUAAUUUUAGAGCAUCCAGGUGACGAUAUUCAAUGCGCUCAAAUGGUGGUAUUCAACUUAGAAAAAAUAGUAGCACCAGAAGAUCUCAGAGUCAUCGGAGCAACCAUCGAAGCAAUUGGUACAACUGAGAAGUAAGCUUGAGUUGCAGCAAGCACUAGAUGAUCCGACGGGGUCCUUUUCACAAGCGUCGGAGCAAUUCGUAAAGAAGACGGAGAAAGACCUAUAGCACAAGAUAUUCCGAUGGCUAGAAGAUGAAGGAAUCGGACCAAGCAUAUUUACUUUGAAAACGUCAAGAGAGUUUUUAGGAAAAAGUCCUUCAGCACCGGAUGAUCCGACGUUACGUCGGAUGAAUUUAGGUAGAGGUCCAACGGCUAUAUACGUCAGCAGGGGGCGUGUCACACCCGAUUUUAAGGACAAAACCGAGUGCUUUCAAUACAUGUGCGCAAGGAACAAGUUACACAUGUACGACAUAAGUGAAUAACAAAGGCAGUGCCAAAGUGAAUAAAGAGAGUAUUAAACUUUAUUACAUGACCGAAAGUCUUAAUAAAACACAAGCCUAACUUAUUACGCAGCGGAUUCCGAAGAUGACGAUGACACCUCAGGCUGCUGACUGAAGAACCGUAUGCCUAGAACUCCUCAAACUCGUGCAGGUACUUCUGCAGAUUCUCUUCGUCUGAACAACGGUUUUGCAAGGGUGAGUACACUUAUGGUUGGUACUCAACAAGUCGUGGGGAAUAGUGUAGUGUAAGGCCAACCAAGGUAUGGCUAAGGCUAAAUAGCAUCAGCUUUUAAUUAGCUUGGUCAAAUUUUAUUAGCAAUUAACUAAGUAUAAGUUUAUACCACCCCAAAUUAAACAUGAACAUAAAUAAAGUAAACAACAUAUGCGCGGUAUGACAACAAUUUAAGUCCAUCUUUCGUUAGUAUUAUCAUGUGAGGGUCCAGGCCGCUCUUAACCGUGAGCACGGCUGAUCGAUCAGUUUUACACUCUGCAGAGGUCGUACAUCUUUACCCAGAAGUCGCGUAAAAGUUCAAAAGAACUUUGGACCCAACCAUGCGGUGUUUGCAAGGCACCAUACCACACUUCUGAGGUGUGAUUGCAUAGGGACGCUACGAGGCCUUUACAAAGAUUCAUUAGUCAGUGGUAACCCGCUAAGGUUUCGGUGUCUGGCGUGCACAACCUAUCACAGGACAAUGAUGCAAUGACUCAGUCCCCCCUCUUGCCUCGUCACGAGUAAGGUUUCUAAUUAUUUAGCCAAGACCAGAGCCAAUUAGUCUUGUGGUAGCACUGUUUUCCUGGGUGGCUCUCCAUGUUCCGAUUAAACGUUUAUGAUCUUGUAUUAAUGAAAGGUAUAACAUAAGUAAAGCAAGAUUAAUCAUUGAGUUCAGUUAAACCAACUUAUCCCAAGUAGGAACUAAGGAUGAGCUACCAAACAUAAAAGUACACCCGGUUGGUCAAGGCAAAGGUAAAUUCAAUCUAGGCAAACCUUAAUUGGGACCCAUCAAUUUAAUCUUAACAAGGGCAUAGCAUAAUUGUUGAGUACGAGAAAGUAAAAGUGUAUAGGACUGAGAAGUAGUGAUCAAGGACACCACUUGCCUUCCUGGCCUUACUCUUGCUGUUCGUACUCCUCGAAGGCUUGAUCUUCAAAUCCCCCAAAUUGCUAAACGUCUAUACGCGUCACACGAGCACAAACAAGCAAACAAGGGCACAAAGUAAGAAAACAGUACACCAAUCACAACUAAACAGAGAAAACAAGCUUGAAAAACUAAUCUACACUUUAAAACAAACACGUGGAUAUAAAGAACGCGAAAAACGGAGUUAAGAUGCAAAAGAUAUGAUUAAAACAAGAUCCAGGGGCUUUUCUGCGAGAAAAACAAAACUUCUAGGGUCGAACUGCGAAAAACCGAGGGCUUGUACAUGAUUAUGCCUAUAAACCGAAGGUUUAACCCACAAAAAUGCAACUUAGGAUGGCUGGUUGAUUUAGAGAAACUCAGGGUCUAAACCAAAAGAAAACAGGACCAAAACACAAUUAUUUUUGAACUAGAUUGGACUGCGGGUUGAUUUGCGGAAAAGGCGAGCGCUUCAGUGCAAAAGAGGUGCCGCGCGACGCGAUUGGGUACACGAUCCGGUUGACUCGCUGCAGGCCGUCGGAUUUGGAUCCGACAGUCUCGGUCGUAGACGACACCCAAGCGGCGGCGGACCAGGCGGUGGGCGGCGACGAGCGGCGGCGGUUCGCUGGAAUUGGCCGAUACGGCGCUCCGGGGCUCGGUUUCGCGCGCGGAAAACACCAGAAGCAUGAGAAAAGCAAGGCGAUCCCUUUUCGGCGGUUCACGGUGAUCGAGGCUCACCGGAAGGCGGUGCUUGGCGGCGGAGAGAGGGUGGCGGCACUUGCUGGGGUUUCAGGGGCGCUGUUGCGGGGUGCUCGAGGUGGGGGGAGGGCGGCUUAUAUAGGGGCGGAGUCGGGGCGCGGUCGGAGUGGAGUCCCGGCCGGAGGACGGGGAUGAUGGGUAGGUCCCACCCGUCAGACCUGCGGAAGGAGGCCGGUGCCGCUGGGCAGGCCGACGGAGUGGGCCGAGCGAGCGACAUGGGCUGGCGAAGGGAAAAAGGGAAAGCGGUAGCUUCGCGGGCUGGAGGAAAAGGCGGAGCGGGCCAGGGGAGCUAGCGGCGCUGGGCUGCAGGGAAAUAGGAUCCGGGUUGAAAGAGAAAGGAGGAGGAGAAGGAUGCAGCUCAGGAGGAGGAAGAGAAAAGAGGAAAAGAAAGAUUUUUAAAAUUGAAAUUGAAUUUGAGAUUCAAUUUUGAUUCAAACACAAGCAAUCAAAAUAAAUGCACCAGCAUGCAAUGCACAAAGAACUCCUAUGAAGGUUUAAUUUAAUUUAGAGAAAAUAAAAUUAAAUGCCUAGAAAUUUAAAUGACAUCCUAAUUGAGUAAAUUUUAGUGUAUUUAAAUUCUUUAAAAAAUUUGGGUGUUACAGGGCACCAGAUGAUCCGAUGCGUAUCUCAAGUGACCAUCGGAUCAUCCAAUGCUCACAUAUUUUACUAGCCGUUGUAGCGAAGGCUCUUUGAGGUCCAUGGGCUAUUUAUGCCCCCUCCAGUCGCCCAUUCAGAGUUGCUGGAUUGUCCAUACAUCGAUUGAAGACCAAGGCCCAUCAAGAACACAUCCAUGCCACCAAAAGUGCAAAAGCGAUAAUACAAGGCUUAGCACGAGCUAAGAGAUUGAUUAGCUCUAGGAUAGGCCUAGAGAGAGUAGUGCAAGGUGUUGCUACCUUGUGAUUGGUUCAAGGAGUGAUUCACUAUUGUAAGCUUGGGGCGCCGGCGUCUUGGGGUCUUGGUGGCUCUCAGGCAAGUCUUCGACACCCCAGCUCGGUGUGGAGCAGCGUCGACAGCCGGAUGCGGGGGACAAGAAGACUCCUUCCUUCGUGGAGCAGCUCCAUGGUGGAGAUGACGUCAAGGUGACCGAAGGGGGGUAGUAGUGAGCCUUGCGUUUGUGGAUAGCUUGUCAUCCGGCUUGGCUAGAGCCUUUGUAGCGAGCCCAAGACCUUGACCGGGAGAGACUUGGUGAGCAGGAGCAUGUCCUUGGUGGAGCUCCAACGCAUGGACUAGGGGUGGUAUUUGGCUACCGAUACCAUGUGAUAAAUCAUCGUGCUGGGUUUGCAUCUUUCCUAACCCACUCCUUUACAUUUCCGCACUACAUUCUCGCAACUUGAGUGCCUUUAGUUACUUUCCAGAGUAGUACCUUGUUAGGAUUGGCUCUAGGUUGCAAAACUCUUUGUGGGUGGGAAGUUUCACUAGAUCAACCAUAGAUGCACAUGUAGAUAGCAUGAUCUAGUUUAGGUUUGGAAGCAAGUAGUGGAAGUCAUAGGCCAAGGAUUUUAAGCUAGCCUAAUUCACCCCUCCCCUUCUUAGGGUACGAGCACCGAUUCCUUUCAAUUUGCUUUAGCACCAUGAAGGCAAUAGUCAUCCAUCUGCACCAUGAUCAUAGAGCAAUGCAAAACCACGAGAGAAACGAAACGGCUGCUCUUCCUUCAUUUUAUUCCAAUUAGUAUGGACGUGGAGGUUACAGGACACACCAUGCGAGCUGUAGCGCCGGCAACAGGGAAACAAACCCAAGAAAGCAAUGCGGACAUUUUAUUCUACUUUUUUAUGCAGAAUAUAUGGAGGCACCAGCCAGCCCAGCAACAACGACAAUGGCGGCUACUUGGUAUACUCGAUGGCCCAGAAGUUGGCGUAGAUGUAGGUGGACUUGACGCUGGUAAACCCGGCGCCCUUGGCGAGCUCCACAAACUCCCUCUCGUACCUCUCCUUGCCGUCGGGGCUGUACGCGAGCAGGCACACGUCGACGCCGAUCAACCCCUGCGCGCUGUUUGUGGCAUCCGGGUUCACCGGCAGGAUGCACUCGACACUGAUGAGCUUGCCGUGCGGAGGCAGCGCCUCGUAGCAGUUCUUGAGCAGCUUGGCGCAGUGGUUGUCGCCCCAGCAAUUGAGGAUCCACUUCAUGAGGAUGGCGUCGCCGGAGGGCACCUUCUCAAACAUGUCGCCUCCCACGUGCUGCACCUGCACGUCGGGGUAGGCCGGCGCCUCGGAGAUGACGUGGGGAAGGUCGAAGUUGAUCCCUUGAAUGGUCGGGUACCUGGAGGUGAUGGCAUGGAUGGUGGAGCCGAGGCCGCCGCCAACGUCGACGAGGGUGCGGACGCCGUCGAAGCCCGUGUAGAGCUCCAAGAGCUUCUUGGUGAGGAUGACGGAAUGCUGCUUCAUGGCCUCAUUGAAGACCCCGUUGAAGCGUGCGCCAGUACCGGCGUAGUCGAACCAGGAAGGCGUCCCAAACGCCCUGUUGAAUGGGCUGCCACCCUCAAGGACCGCGUCCGUCAUGUAGCUCCAGGCGUGCAUGAAGAGCUUGUCGUUGGCGAGGAGGUGGAACGGAGCCAUGGAGACACCAUCCUCGUUGGGGGUGAGCCACUUGCACACUGGCGCGGCGCUGUACUGGCGGCACAGGCUGCCAUCCUCGGCCUCCUCCACCACGCAGGACACAACUUUGUAGGACGCCAGCAGUCGCAGCAAUUAAGCGAUCCACCAUGGACGGCGCGGCGGGGUUGGCCUUGGAAGGCAGCUUCGCGGCCACCUCCUUGGGAGUGAGAGCCUUCCCGCUGGCGCCCACAAGGGUCUCGAGCAGGCCCAGCUCAAUGGCAGUUCUUAGCGUCAUCGGCAGGAUGGCCGACGACACUAGCUGCAGAGCGUGCAUGCAUGUCUCCUCGUCGGCUAUGGCCAUGUCCGCGGCGGAACCCAUCUACCUCCCGGGAUUGGAGCUCAACUAACUGAUGAAGGUGUGUGUACCUUGUUGUUGUGAUUGCUGGUGGCUGAAUGAUCGAUGAGGCGAAAGGGGCCGUUUAUAUAGAGCUUCGAGCUAGGCUUUGUUCACCAACCUGAAAAUCAUGCAUUCUUUGACAAGUAUGGGAUUGCUUGUAUGGUGUGACGUGACCUGUGAGAGCUAGCAGCUAGCGUGGUAGUGAUUGUGUACCCCAUGCAAAACCUCCCUCCUAAUAAGAUCGUGAUGCACGAGGCUGAAUACUAUAUUGUUUUGUCUGCAGUCUAAUCGAUUUGGAAUCCGCAAAUAUAAUCAAUUCACGACACUGGAGAUGGUCGGCGCACGAGGAGUGGCAGUCCUAUUGAAACUUUCAGAGAAGCACCUUGUGCCCUUUGAGAAUCUGUUUUGCAUUAGAUCAAGGUUGAGAUGGUUUCUUUAACCCUUGAGAUUCAGCGCGAGGGUCCACGUGCGUGAUGGACAUGGCUUCGCUACUGCACAACUGUUUUUCAAGAAUCAAGAUAUUCUGCAUGGGAUGUCCUGCGUCUCUGGUGGUGUCGGUGCAAUCUUUCUCCUGUUGAACACAUACACUAGCGUCUGAUGCCAGAGUGAGGUGGAUCGGGUGGAUCAAGGCUACGGCGUAGCACAUUAUCAUGGCUCGGGCGGCCGGAGCAAGAACACGAGCUGGCCGACCGUAGAGGGAAGACGCAAGCGGCACUCGCAGAAUCUACGUGGCUCCCCUUGGUCGUUCUUUGUCUCACCCUAUGGGUAUCGUGGAGGCACGGCGCCAGGCUGGCGGCACGGUGUAGCCUCAAUUCAGGACUUUCCUAGCCAGGGCGUGGCCGAGGGCGAUUGGUUGCUCAACCUGAUGAGAACUUGGGUGGGUGCUCCUACAUGGGAGAGAAUAGGGUGACGGAUGAGAAUGCAGAUGAGGGACGGGGCUCACACGAGGGGUGGGUUGGAGACAUGUUUUCACUGUUGAACUGUUAGCGUCAAGAUGAGAGGUGAGAUGAGAUACCGGUAGGACCUGCUCUUACCAUGGCACUUCAGCAACCCCACCCCAACCCCGCGCGCAAGUCAAAAUUUGAGGACCAUAUGUACAAUACGUGUGCAAACAAAACCAUAAUUUUACUAGUAUUGAGGGAUUUUAGCUAUUUCUUCUAAAAAAUGUCUUGGGAAAUCGUAUUUUUGUAGUACAACAUAUAUAGAAAAUAAGUAUUACUCGCAAAUAAACUGCCCUUUUCUUUAGUAUUCUAUGUUUUUCUUAUUAUUUUAUUUAAUCUUAAGAUUUAUAUAUGCAUAAAAAAGUAAUUUAGUAUCUUCAAAUAUGGAAACGUGGUCUUAGGAAUAGGGCUCAUAUUUUAUUCUUGAGCAUGCCUAGUGGAAAAAUACUAUCUAAAAAACUGCAAAGAAAUUUAAUACUAAGCCUUCGAUCCACUCUACUUUUUGUAUACUAGUUUACCUGCAAUCCACUGGCUUGCACAUUAUAUUUCAUCAUACGGAAAUGUCUGAGAUUGUGAACGGAAGCAAUUUCAUCUGUCUGCAACAUGUGACACCCAGAGCUCCUGACACAACCGCGUGAGCACCUUCUCCGACAUGCGCACAUGAUGACCGCAUGCACCCAUAUUAUACAUAGUUUAUUAUAGUUUCUGCAGGGAUAUGAUAAAUAUUAAUUAUUACUUGUAAAGAUUGGAAACGUUACAAACGAUUGUAGAAAAAAUGCGAGUCACCAGGAAGGUAGGUAGUAGAGCAUGCCGUCAGUGUCUUUCCUGUGACCUGUGUUCGUGGUGCACAUGGCAGAAUGCACAGUCUAUACAUAGGAACCAGAAGUUGGCUUCGAAACCAAAUCACUCAUUAGUCCUUCAGUACUGCAGUGAACGCUAUCUAGCUAGCUAAUUUCCCCUUGAAAUCAGUUUUCUUGCGUGGCCAUGGGUAGCCUUCCACUUGAAGCCAUGAUGCCACUGAACCCCGAUUCAUUCGCUGGGGAGUCCAGUGCCGUGGUCGACUUCCUCGCCGACUACUACCGCAACGUCGAUAAGUAUCCGGUCAUGGCCAACACGCAGCCAGGGACCAUCCGUAAGCUUCUUCCGGAGGCAGCCCCGGAGUUGGGCGACUCCAUGGAUCGCAUACUGGAUGAUGUGCAGCGGGAUAUCCUCCCCGGCCUCACACAUUGGCAGAGCCCUAGCUUCUUUGCCUAUUUCCCGGCGAAUGCAAGCACCGCAGGGUUCGCCGGGGAGAUGUUGUCGGCUGGUCUCAACGUCGUCCCGUUCGUCUGGACGGCGUCACCGGUGGCCACUGAGCUGGAGCAGGUCGUGGUUGACUGGAUGGCUAGCCUCCUCGGCCUACCGGAGCGCUUCCACUUCAAGGGAGGAGGAGGCGGUGUCCUGCAUGGGAGCACGUGCGAGGCGGUGGUGUGCACUCUCGCUGCCGCGCGCGACCGUGCACUCAGCAAGCUCGGACAUGAGGGCAUCCUCAAGCUUGUCGUGUAUGCCUCGGACCAGACCCACGCAACCUUCCAGAAGGGCGCGAGCAUCGUCGGCAUCCCUCCAGCAAACUUCCGCAUCCUGCGGACUUCGGCAAACUCGGGAUACGGCCUGACCGCCACCAUCGUCCAAAGAGCAAUCGAGGAAGACGUCGCCCGCGGGCUGGUUCCCCUUUACCUCUGCGCCACCGUCGGCACUACUGGUCUGGGGGCCAUUGACCGAGUGCGCGAGCUCGGCCAUGUUGCCCGGCGUUAUGGUAAUUCAUUCAACCUCCCUCUCUUAUACGCUAAUCACCCAUACGGUGACACUAAAUACGUAGAAAUGGAAUGCGCUAUGCGGUCACAAGUCACGAUUCAUGCUCACUUAACAAUCAACAAUCAGUUCCUAUAACCAUCUGACAAGAAUACAUAUUUUACAGGAACCUGGCUGCACAUCGACGCAGCCUACGCCGGAAGCGCAGCCAUUUGCCCGGAGUUCCAAGGUCACCUCGACGGCGCCGAGCUCGCGGACUCGGUGAGCAUGAACCCACAUAAGUGGUUCCUCACCAACAUGGACUGCUGCUGCCUCUGGGUGGCGAACCCCACCACCAUGACCGACGCACUGUCCGCUGACCCGGAGUACCUCAAGAAUGUCGGCACCGCGUCUAAGAUGGCGGAAACGGUCGACUACAAGGACUGGCAGAUCGCGCUGUCACGCCGCUUCCGUGCCAUCAAACUCUGGGUGGUGCUACGGCGCUAUGGAGCGGCGGGAAUGCGCGCGCACAUACGGAGGCACAUCCAGAUGGCAGAGUGGUUCGAGCACGUCGUGGCGGCGGACGAGCGGUUUGAGGUCGUGGUGCCAAGGAACUUCUCCUUGGUGUGCUUCCGCCUCCGCCCGCGGUUCAUGGCGGAUAAAGCUGUGGAGGCCCUGAACCGCGACCUCCUCGCAGCGGUGAAUGCAAGCGGCCGGGCGUUCAUGACGCACUUCGUCGUGGACGACAAGUUUGUGAUCCGCCUAGCCGUGGGUGGGUCAAUGACAGAGAUGCGGCACAUCCGGGCCGCGUGGGAGCUUCUCAAGGAGAAGGCCAACGACUUGAUCGCCACCGGUUGUUAGUUAUUGCUCAUUGCUAGUGCUAUACCAUGCAUGGCCAGCAACAGAAGCUGAGCAUUCUAUUAUUGCUUCCAUUCGUAGUUAGAGCACACCAUGAAUGCAAUAGUCAAUCCAUCUGAACCAUGAACAUUCACUAUGACCAUGUAUGCGACACAAUAUACAUAAGUGCUAGUGCCGAUAUUGGAUUCUAUUUCUGGAGAAGCGGCUGCUUCUACGGAGCAGGCCGAUUGAAUUUUAAGUAUGUUAUGAUACUUGUAAAAAAUCGAUGCUAGGCAUGGAUUCCUGGAAGGGGCCCGUCACAACUCACAAUGGAAGGGACCCGUCAUAACCAAGCUCGUUAAUACAGAAGAAACAUCAGGCGAAACAAAUGGACGCUAAGCCACACACCUGGACAAAUUUUACCCGAAAUUUGCAACACGUCAAGAAUAUGCUUAUCACUCAAGCGUCUCACAUCUCUUUUGUUUAAGGAAACCAGGCUCGUUACUACAAAAUGAACACCAAGAUGAUAGAGCUCUUUUACGAUACACAAUACUACUACUUAGUAGUAUAUAGUAUAUAUAUAAGAUCUAACUGUUCAUUAUUAUGGAUAAUUUAGUAAUUAUUACAAUGUAAAAAGUCAUAUUUCAAAUAGAAUGGUCUUUUAAACUUUCUGCUAGUAUCAAAAAUAAAAUUAUAGUGGUGCCAUUUGUGUUUUCUUACCAUGAUACCCUUAUACUACCUAUACUACUCGUGUAUACUACCCAUACCACAGGCGUAGGUUUCAGUAGUAUGUAAUUAAUCUUGACCGUCGGAUAUGUUUAUACUAGUCAUUUUCGAACACAAGUAUAGUCUAGUGUUGUGUUUCGUAAAAUAGCUCAUAUAAUAUGUUAUGAAACUUAUUUGUGAAAGCUAAAGGCAGCAACUGGGGAUAAAUUCCAGAAUAGGUAAGAACAGAAAUUUAAAAGGGCAAAAUUUGUUGAUGCAUGGAAAUGCAUAGAAUACUUAUUGGAGCCAAGGCUCUUUUAGGUCCAUGGGCUAUUUAUGCCCCCUCCACUCGCCCAUUCAGAGUUGCUGGAGUGUCCAUACAUCUAUUGAAGACCAAGGCUCAUCAAGUGACCAAUGGAGAAACCACACAUCCACCGUGAUAAUUUUAGAGCAUCCAGGUGAUGAUAUUCAAUGCGCUCAAAUGGUGGUAUUCAACUUAGAAAAAAUAGUAGCACCAGAAGAUCUGAGAGUCAUUGGAGCAACCAUCGGAGCAAUUGGUACAACUGAGAAGUCAGCUUGAGUUGCAGCAAGCACCACAUGAUCCGACGGGGUCCUUUUCACAAGCGUCGGAGCAAUUCGCAAAGAAGACGUCGAAAGACCUAUAGCACCAGAUAUUCCGAUGACUAGAAGAUGAAGGCUUUGGACCAAGAAUAUUUACUUUGAAAAUGUCAAGAGAGUUUUUAGGAAAAACUCCUUCAGCACCGGAUGAUCCGACGUUAUGUCGGAUGAAUUUAGGCAGAGGUGCAACGGCUAUAUGCGUCAGCAGGGGGCAUGUCACACCCGAUUUUAAGGACAAAACCGAGUGCUUUCAAUACAUGUGCGCCAGAAACAAGUUACACACAUGUACGACAUAAGUGAAUAACAAAGGCAGUGCCAAAGCGAAUAAAGAGAGUAUUAAACUUUAUUACAUGACCGAAAGUCUCAAUAAAACACAAGCCUAACUUAUUACGCAGCGGACUCUGAAGACGACGAUGAUACCACAGGCAGCUGACUGAAGAACCGUACGCCUAGAACUCCUCAAAGUCGUGCAGGUACUCCUCCAGAUUAUCUUGGUCUGAACAACGGUUUUGCAAGGGUGAGUACAAUUAUGGUUGGUACUCAACAAGUCGUGGGAAAUAGUGUAGUGUAACACCAACCAAGGUAUGGCUAAGGCUAAACAGCAUCAGCUUUUAAUUAGGUUGGUCAAAUUUUAUUAGCAAUUAACUAAGUAUAAGUUUAUACCACCCCAAAUUAAACAUGAACAUAAAUAAAGUAAUAACAUAUGCGCGGUAUGACAACAAUUUAAGUCCAUCUUUCGUUAGUAUUAUCAUGUGAGGGUCCAGGCCGCUCUUAACCGUGAGCACGGUUGAUCGAUCAGUUUUACACUCUGCAGAGGUCGCACAUCUUUACCCACAAGUCGCGUAAAAGUUCAAAAGAACUUUGGACCCAACCAUGCGGCGUUUGCAAGGCACCAUACCACACUUCCGAGGUGUGAUUGCAUAGGGACGCUACGAGGCCUUUACAAAGAUUCAUUAGUCAGUGGUAACCCGCUAAGGUUUCGGUGUCUGGCGUGCACAACCUAUCACAGGACAAUGAUGGAACGACUCAGUCCCCCCUCUUGCCUCAUCACGAGUAAGAUUACUCCAGACUAAGGUUUCUAAUUAUUUAGCCAAGUCCAGAGCCAAUUAGUCUUGUGGUAGCACUAUUUUCCUGGGUGGCUCUCCAUGUUCCGAUUAAACUUUUGUGAUCUUGUAUUAAUGAAAGGUAUAACAGAAGUAAAGCAAGAUUAAUCAUUGAGUUCAGUUAAACCAACUUAUCCUAAGUAGGAACUAAGCAUGAGCUACCCAACAUAAAAGUAAACCCGGUUGGUCAAGGCAAAGGUAAAUUCAAUCUAGGCAAACCUUAAUUGGGACCCAUCAAUUUAAUCUUAACAAGGGCAUAGCAUAAUUGUUGAGUACGAGAAAGUAAAAGUGUAUAGGACUGAGCAGUAGUGAUCAAGGACACGACUUGUCUUCUUGGCCUUGCUCUUGCUGUUCGUACUCCUCGAAGGCUUGAUCUUCAAAUCCCCCGAAUUGCUGAACGUCUAUACACAUCACACGAGCACAUACAAGCAAACAAGGGCACAAAGUAAGAAAACAGUACACCAAUCACAACUAAACAGAGAAAACAAGCUUGAAAAAUUAAUCUACGCUUUAAACAAACACGUGGAUAUAAAGAACGCGAAAAAACAGAGUUAAGAUGCAACAGAUAUGAUUAAAACAAGAUACAGGGGCUUUUCUGUGAGAGAAACAAAACUUCUAGGGUCGAACUGCGGAAAACCGAGGGCUUAUACGUGAUUAUGCCUAGAAACCGAAGGUUUAACAUGCAAAAACGCAACUUAGGAUGGCGGGUUGAUUUUACAGUCAGGGUCUAAACCGAAAGAAAACAGGACCAAAACAAAAUUAUUUUUCAACUAGAUUGGACUGCGGGUUGAUUUAUGGAAAAGGCCAGGGCUUAAGUGCAAACGAGGUGCAGCGCGGUGCGAUUUACCGUUAUGCGAUCCGGUUGACUCGCUGCGGGCCGUCGGAUUUGGAUCUGACAGUCUCGGUCGUCGGCAACACCGAAGCGGCGGCGCACCAGUCGGCGGGUGGCUAUGAGCGGCGGCGGUUCGUCGGAAUUAGCCGAUACGGCGCUCCAGGGCUCGAUUUCGCGCACGGAAAACACAGGAAGCAUGAGAAAAGAAAGGCGAUCCCGUUUUGGUGGUUCACGAUGACCGAGGCUCACCGGAAGGCGGCGGCGGAGAGAGGGUGGCGGUGCUGGAGCUUUGGUGGCAGCGCUUGGUAGGGUUUUGGGGGCGCUAUUGCGGCGUGCUCGAGGUCGCGGGGAGGGGGGGGAGGGGGGGCGGGGCGGCGGCUUAUAUAGGAGCGGAGUCCGCUGGCGGUCGGAGUGGAGUCCUAGCCGGAUACGGCCGGAUGACGGGGAUGACGGGUAGGUCCCAGCUGUCAGACCUGCGGAAGGAGGCCGCUGCCGCUGGGCAGGCCGACAGAGUGGGCCGAGCGAGCGACAUGGGCUGGCAAGGGAAAGAGGGAAAGCAGCAGCUUCGCGGGCCGAAGGAAAAGGCGGAGCGGGCCGGGGGAGCUGGUGGCGCUGGGCUGCAGGAAAAUAGGAUCCGGGCUGAAGAGAUGAGGAGAAGGAGGCAGCCUAGGAGGACGAAGAGAAAAGAGGGAAAGAAAUAUUUUUAAAGUUGAAAUUGAAAUUGAGAUUCAAAUUUGAUUCAAACACAAGCAAUCAAAAUAAAUGCACCAGCAUGCAAUGCACAAAGAACUCCUAUGAUGGUUUAAUUUAAUUUAGAGAAAAUAAAAUUAAAUGCCUAGAAAUUUAAAUGACAUCCUUAUUGAGCAAAUUUUCGUGUAUUUAAAUUCUUUAAAAAAUUUAGGUGUUACAGGGCACCAGAUGAUCCGAUGCCUAUCUCAAGUGACCAUCGGAUCAUCCAAUGCUCACAUAUUUUACUAGCCGUUGUAGCGAAGGCUCUUUGAGAUCCAUGGGCUAUUUAUGCCCUCUCCACUCGCCCAUUCAGAGGUGCUGGAUUGUCCAUACAUCGAUUGAAGACCAAGGCCCAUCAAGAACACAUCCAUGCCACCAAAAGUGCAAAAGCGAUAAUCCAAGGCUUAGCACGAGCUAAGAGAUUGAUUAGCUCUAGGAUAGGCCUAGAGAGAGUAGUGCAAGGUGUUGCUACCUUGUGAUUGGUUCAAGGAGUGAUCCACUAUUGUAAGCUUGGGGCGCCGGCGUCUUGGGGUCUUUGUGGCUCUCAGGCAAGUCUUCGACACCCCAGCUCAGUGUGGAGCAGCGUCGACAGCCGGAUGCGGGGGACAAGAAGACUCCUUCCUUCGUGGAGCAGCUCCAUGGUGGAGAUGACGUCAAGGUGACCGAAUGGGGGUAGUAGUGAGCCUUGCGUUUGUGGAUAGCUUGUCAUCCGGCUUGGCUAGAGCCUUUGUAGCGAGCCCAAGACCUUGACCGGGAGAGACUUGGUGAGCAGGAGCAUGUCCUUGGUGGAGCUCCAACGCAUGGACUAGGGGUGGCAUUUGGCUACCGAUACCAUGUGAUAAAUCGUCGUGCUGGGUUUGCAUCUUUCCUAACCCACUCCUUUACAUUUCCGCACUACAUUCUCGCAACUUGAGUGCCUUUAAUUACUUUCCAGAGUAGUACCUUGUUAGGAUUGGCUCUAGGUUGCAAAACUCUUUGUGGGUGGGAAGUUUCACUAGAUCAACCAUAGAUGCACAUGUAGAUAGCAUGAUCUAGUUUAUGUUUGGAAGCAAGUAGUGGAAGUCAUAGGCCAAGGAUUUUAAGCUAGCCUAAUUCACCCCUCCCCUUCUUAGGGUACGAGCACCGAUUCCUUUCAAUUUGCUUUAGCACCAUGAAGGCAAUAGUCAUCCAUCUGCACCAUGAUCAUAGAGCAAUGCAAAACCACGAGAGAAACGAAACGGCUGCUCUUCCUUCAUUUUAUUCCAAUUAGUAUGGACGUGGAGGUUACAGGACACACCAUGCGAGCUGUAGCGCCGGCAACAGGGAAACAAACCCAAGAAAGCAAUGCGGACAUGUUAUUCUACUUUUUUAUGCAGAAUAUAUGGAGGCACCAGCCAGCCCAGCAACAACGACAAUGGCGGCUACUUGGUAUACUCGAUGGCCCAGAAGUUGGCGUAGAUGUAGGUGGACUUGACGCUGGUAAACCCGGCGCCCUUGGCGAGCUCCACAAACUCCCUCUCGUACCUCUCCUUGCCGUCGGGGCUGUACGCGAGCAGGCACACGUCGACGCCGAUCAACCCCUGCGCGCUGUUUGUGGCAUCCGGGUUCACCGGCAGGAUGCACUCGACACUGAUGAGCUUGCCGUGCGGAGGCAGCGCCUCGUAGCAGUUCUUGAGCAGCUUGGCGCAGUGGUUGUCGCCCCAGCAAUUGAGGAUCCACUUCAUGAGGAUGGCGUCGCCGGAGGGCACCUUCUCAAACAUGUCGCCUCCCACGUGCUGCACCUGCACGUCGGGGUAGGCCGGCGCCUCGGAGAUGACGUGGGGAAGGUCGAAGUUGAUCCCUUGAAUGGUCGGGUACCUGGAGGUGAUGGCAUGGAUGGUGGAGCCGAGGCCGCCGCCAACGUCGACGAGGGUGCGGACGCCGUCGAAGCCCGUGUAGAGCUCCAAGAGCUUCUUGGUGAGGAUGACGGAAUGCUGCUUCAUGGCCUCAUUGAAGACCCCGUUGAAGCGUGCGCCAGUACCGGCGUAGUCGAACCAGGAAGGCGUCCCAAACGCCCUGUUGAAUGGGCUGCCACCCUCAAGGACCGCGUCCGUCAUGUAGCUCCAGGCGUGCAUGAAGAGCUUGUCGUUGGCGAGGAGGUGGAACGGAGCCAUGGAGACACCAUCCUCGUUGGGGGUGAGCCACUUGCACACUGGCGCGGCGCUGUACUGGCGGCACAGGCUGCCAUCCUCGGCCUCCUCCACCACGCAGGACACAACUUUGUAGGACGCCAGCAGUCGCAGCAAUUAAGCGAUCCACCAUGGACGGCGCGGCGGGGUUGGCCUUGGAAGGCAGCUUCGCGGCCACCUCCUUGGGAGUGAGAGCCUUCCCGCUGGCGCCCACAAGGGUCUCGAGCAGGCCCAGCUCAAUGGCAGUUCUUAGCGUCAUCGGCAGGAUGGCCGACGACACUAGCUGCAGAGCGUGCAUGCAUGUCUCCUCGUCGGCUAUGGCCAUGUCCGCGGCGGAACCCAUCUACCUCCCGGGAUUGGAGCUCAACUAACUGAUGAAGGUGUGUGUACCUUGUUGUUGUGAUUGCUGGUGGCUGAAUGAUCGAUGAGGCGAAAGGGGCCGUUUAUAUAGAGCUUCGAGCUAGGCUUUGUUCACCAACCUGAAAAUCAUGCAUUCUUUGACAAGUAUGGGAUUGCUUGUAUGGUGUGACGUGACCUGUGAGAGCUAGCAGCUAGCGUGGUAGUGAUUGUGUACCCCAUGCAAAACCUCCCUCCUAAUAAGAUCGUGAUGCACGAGGCUGAAUACUAUAUUGUUUUGUCUGCAGUCUAAUCGAUUUGGAAUCCGCAAAUAUAAUCAAUUCACGACACUGGAGAUGGUCGGCGCACGAGGAGUGGCAGUCCUAUUGAAACUUUCAGAGAAGCACCUUGUGCCCUUUGAGAAUCUGUUUUGCAUUAGAUCAAGGUUGAGAUGGUUUCUUUAACCCUUGAGAUUCAGCGCGAGGGUCCACGUGCGUGAUGGACAUGGCUUCGCUACUGCACAACUGUUUUUCAAGAAUCAAGAUAUUCUGCAUGGGAUGUCCUGCGUCUCUGGUGGUGUCGGUGCAAUCUUUCUCCUGUUGAACACAUACACUAGCGUCUGAUGCCAGAGUGAGGUGGAUCGGGUGGAUCAAGGCUACGGCGUAGCACAUUAUCAUGGCUCGGGCGGCCGGAGCAAGAACACGAGCUGGCCGACCGUAGAGGGAAGACGCAAGCGGCACUCGCAGAAUCUAGGUGGCUCCCCUUGGUCGUUCUUUGUCUCACCCUAUGGGUAUCGUGGAGGCACGGCGCCAGGCUGGCGGCACGGUGUAGCCUCAAUUCAGGACUUUCCUAGCCAGGGCGUGGCCGAGGGCGAUUGGUUGCUCAACCUGAUGAGAACUUGGGUGGGUGCUCCUACAUGGGAGAGAAUAGGGUGACGGAUGAGAAUGCAGAUGAGGGACGGGGCUCACACGAGGGGUGGGUUGGAGACAUGUUUUCACUGUUGAACUGUUAGCGUCAAGAUGAGAGGUGAGAUGAGAUACCGGUAGGACCUGCUCUUACCAUGGCACUUCAGCAACCCCACCCCAACCCCGCGCGCAAGUCAAAAUUUGAGGACCAUAUGUACAAUACGUGUGCAAACAAAACCAUAAUUUUACUAGUAUUGAGGGAUUUUAGCUAUUUCUUCUAAAAAAUGUCUUGGGAAAUCGUAUUUUUGUAGUACAACAUAUAUAGAAAAUAAGUAUUACUCGCAAAUAAACUGCCCUUUUCUUUAGUAUUCUAUGUUUUUCUUAUUAUUUUAUUUAAUCUUAAGAUUUAUAUAUGCAUAAAAAAGUAAUUUAGUAUCUUCAAAUAUGGAAACGUGGUCUUAGGAAUAGGGCUCAUAUUUUAUUCUUGAGCAUGCCUAGUGGAAAAAUACUAUCUAAAAAACUGCAAAGAAAUUUAAUACCUAAGCCUUCGAUCCACUCUACUUUUUGUAUACUAGUUUACCUGCAAUCCACUGGCUUGCACAUUAUAUUUCAUCAUACGGAAAUGUCUGAGAUUGUGAACGGAAGCAAUUUCAUCUGUCUGCAACAUGUGACACCCAGAGCUCCUGACACAACCGCGUGAGCACCUUCUCCGACAUGCGCACAUGAUGACCGCAUGCACCCAUAUUAUACAUAGUUUAUUAUAGUUUCUGCAGGGAUAUGAUAAUCAUUAAUUAUUACUUGUAAAGAUUGGAAACGUUACAAACGAUUGUAGAAAAAAUGCGAGUCACCAGGAAGGUAGGUAGUAGAGCAUGCCGUCAGUGUCUUUCCUGUGACCUGUGUUCGUGGUGCACAUGGCAGAAUGCACAGUCUAUACAUAGGAACCAGAAGUUGGCUUCGAAACCAAAUCACUCAUUAGUCCUUCAGUACUGCAGUGAACGCUAUCUAGCUAGCUAAUUUCCCCUUGAAAUCAGUUUUCUUGCGUGGCCAUGGGUAGCCUUCCACUUGAAGCCAUGAUGCCACUGAACCCCGAUUCAUUCGCUGGGAUAUCCAUGGAUCGCAUACUGGAUGAUGUGCAGCGGGAUAUCCUCCCCGGCCUCACACAUUGGCAGAGCCCUAGCUUCUUUGCCUAUUUCCCGGCGAAUGCAAGCACCGCAGGGUUCGCCGGGGAGAUGUUGUCGGCUGGUCUCAACGUCGUCCCGUUCGUCUGGACGGCGUCACCGGUGGCCACUGAGCUGGAGCAGGUCGUGGUUGACUGGAUGGCUAGCCUCCUCGGCCUACCGGAGCGCUUCCACUUCAAGGGAGGAGGAGGCGGUGUCCUGCAUGGGAGCACGUGCGAGGCGGUGGUGUGCACUCUCGCUGCCGCGCGCGACCGUGCACUCAGCAAGCUCGGACAUGAGGGCAUCCUCAAGCUUGUCGUGUAUGCCUCGGACCAGACCCACGCAACCUUCCAGAAGGGCGCGAGCAUCGUCGGCAUCCCUCCAGCAAACUUCCGCAUCCUGCGGACUUCGGCAAACUCGGGAUACGGCCUCACCGCCACCAUCGUCCAAAGAGCAAUCGAGGAAGACGUCGCCCGCGGGCUGGUUCCCCUUUACCUCUGCGCCACCGUCGGCACUACUGGUCUGGGGGCCAUUGACCGAGUGCGCGAGCUCGGCCAUGUUGCCCGGCGUUAUGGUAAUUCAUUCAACCUCCCUCUCUUAUACGCUAAUCACCCAUACGGUGACACUAAAUACGUAGAAAUGGAAUGCGCUAUGCGGUCACAAGUCACGAUUCAUGCUCACUUAACAAUCAACAAUCAGUUCCUAUAACCAUCUGACAAGAAUACAUGUUUUACAGGAACCUGGCUGCACAUCGACGCAGCCUACGCCGGAAGCGCAGCCAUUUGCCCGGAGUUCCAAGGUCACCUCGACGGCGCCGAGCUCGCGGACUCGGUGAGCAUGAACCCACAUAAGUGGUUCCUCACCAACAUGGACUGCUGCUGCCUCUGGGUGGCGAACCCUACCACCAUGACCGACGCACUGUCCGCUGACCCGGAGUACCUCAAGAAUGUCGGCACCGCGUCUAAGAUGGCGGAAACGGUCGACUACAAGGACUGGCAGAUCGCGCUGUCACGCCGCUUCCGUGCCAUCAAACUCUGGGUGGUGCUACGGCGCUAUGGAGCGGCGGGAAUGCGCGCGCACAUACGGAGGCACAUCCAGAUGGCAGAGUGGUUCGAGCACGUCGUGGCGGCGGACGAGCGGUUUGAGGUCGUGGUGCCAAGGAACUUCUCCUUGGUGUGCUUCCGCCUCCGCCCGCGGUUCAUGGCGGAUAAAGCUGUGGAGGCCCUGAACCGCGACCUCCUCGCAGCGGUGAAUGCAAGCGGCCGGGCGUUCAUGACGCACUUCGUCGUGGACGACAAGUUUGUGAUCCGCCUAGCCGUGGGUGGGUCAAUGACAGAGAUGCGGCACGUCCGGGCCGCGUGGGAGCUUCUCAAGGAGAAGGCCAACGACUUGAUCGCCACCGGUUGUUAGUUAUUGCUCAUUGCUAGUGCUAUACCAUGCAUGGCCAGCAACAGAAGCUGAGCAUUCUAUUAUUGCUUCCAUUCGUAGUUAGAGCACACCAUGAAUGCAAUAGUCAAUCCAUCUGAACCAUGAACAUUCACUAUGACCAUGUAUGCGACACAAUAUACAUAAGUGCUAGUGCCGAUAUUGGAUUCUAUUUCUGGAGAAGCGGCUGCUUCUACGGAGCAGGCCGAUUGAAUUUUAAGUAUGUUAUGAUACUUGUAAAAAAUCGAUGCUAGGCAUGGAUUCCUGGAAGGGGCCCGUCACAACUCACAAUGGAAGGGACCCGUCAUAACCAAGCUCGUUAAUACAGAAGAAACAUCAGGCGAAACAAAUGGACGCUAAGCCACACACCUGGACAAAUUUUACCCGAAAUUUGCAACACGUCAAGAAUAUGCUUAUCACUCAACCGUCUCACAUCUCUUUUGUUUAAGGAAACCAGGCUCGUUACUACAAAAUGAACACCAAGAUGAUAGAGCUCUUUUACGAUACACAAUACUACUACUUAGUAGUAUAUAGUAUAUAUAUAAGAUCUAACUGUUCAUUAUUAUGGAUAAUUUAGUAAUUAUUACAAUGUAAAAAGUCAUAUACUUGACCGUCGGAUAUGUUUAUACUAGUCAUUUUCGAACACAAGUAUAGUCUAGUGUUGUGUUUCGUAAAAUAGCUCAUAUAAUAUGUUAUAAAACUUAUUUGUGAAAGCUAAAGGCAGCAACUGGGGAUAAAUUCCAGAAUAGGUAAGAACAGAAAUUUAAAAGGGCAAAAUUUGUUGAUGCAUGGAAAUGCAUAGAAUACUUAUUGGAGCCAAGGCUCUUUUAGGUCCAUGGGCUAUUUAUGCCCCCUCCACUCGCCCAUUCAGAGUUGCUAGAGUGUCCAUACAUCUAUUGAAGACCAAGGCUCAUCAAGUGACCAAUGGAGAAACCACACAUCCACCGUGAUAAUUUUAGAGCAUCCAGGUGACGAUAUUCAAUGCGCUCAAAUGGUGGUAUUCAACUUAGAAAAAAUAGUAGCACCAGAAGAUCUGAGAGUCAUCGGAGCAACCAUCGAAGCAAUUGGUACAACUGAGAAGUAAGCUUGAGUUGCAGCAAACACCAGAUGAUCCGACGGGGUCCUUUUCACAAGCGUCGGAGCAAUUUGUAAAGAAGACGGAGAAAGACCUAUAGCACCAGAUAUUCCGAUGGCUAGAAGAUGAAGGAAUCGGACCAAGCAUAUUUACUUUGAAAACGUCAAGGGAGUUUUUAGGAAAAACUCCUUCAGCACCGGAUGAUUCGAUGUUACGUUGGAUGAAUUUAGGUAGAGGUCCAACGGCUAUAUACGUCAGCAGGGGGCGUGUCACACCCGAUUUUAAGGACAAAACCGAGUGCUUUCAAUACAUGUGCGCCAGGAACAAGUUACACACAUGUACGACAUAAGUGAAUAACAAAGGCAGUGCCAAAGUGAAUAAAGAGAGUAUUAAACUUUAUUACAUGACCGAAAGUCUUAAUAAAACACAAGCCUAACUUAUUACGCAGCGGAUUCCGAAGACGACGAUGACACCACAGGCUGCUGACUGAAGAACCGUAUGCCUAGAACUCCUCAAACUCAUGCAGGUACUCCUCAGAUUAUCUUUGUCUGAACAGCGGUUUUGCAAGGGUGAGUACACUUAUGGUUGGUACUCAGCAAGUCAUGGGGAAUAGUGUAGUGUAAGGCCAACCAAGGUAUGGCUAAAGCUAAAUAGCAUCAACUUUUAAUUAGCUUGGUCAAAUUUUAUUAGCAAUUAACUAAGUAUAAAUUUAUACCACCCCAAAUUAAACAUGAACAUAAAUAAAGUAAACAAAAUAUGCGCGGUAUGACAACAAUUUAAGUCCAUCUUUUGUUAGUAUUAUCAUGUGAGGGUCAAGGCCGCUCUUAACCGUGAGCACGGCUGAUCGAUCAGUUUUACACUCUGCAGAGGUCGCACAUCUUUACCCACAAGUCGCGUAAAAGUUCAAAAGAACUUUGGACCCAACCAUGCAGUGUUUGCAAGGCACCAUUCCACACUUCCGAGGUGUGAUUGCAUAGGGACGCUACGAGGCCUUUACAAAGAUUCAUUAGUCAGUGGUAACCCGCUAAGGUUUCGAUGUUUUGCGUGCACAACCUAUCUGUUGGGGGAAAAUAUUAACGACCUCCUAAUGCCGCUUAAAGCAACAGUCAUGAAAGCCCAGGCCCACUAAGGUAACGAAAUUGCCGUCGGCCCGACCCGAGGUCCCGAGGUCGGAUGCCCCCGACUCCUUGAAGACUAAACUCCGCCUCGCCCGACCCCGGGGACCGGGGUCGGGAGCGCCCGACCCCGGGGACUGGGGUCAGGAGCGCUCGACCCCCACCACGGAAAUUCCACCUCGCCCGACCUUGGGCGCGGGGGUUGGACUCGCUCGGGUCCACAAGACGAAUAUCCGCCUCGGGCGCGGACUAGAGGAUCAGGAUGACGAUCUCAUGGGUCCCCCUAUCGACCUCGCCAUAAAUCCUCCGCGGCCCUGUCAGGACGAAAGGGAGUGGCGCCCCCAAUGCAACCGGUCCCGAAUACCGGUGCGCGGCCGUGCGGCGCGGGCUGCAGUGGCCACGGCUCCUUCUGAUUCGCCACAAGGUACUCAUGAGCCGCGCCGAACGACACAGGAGGGCGCAUCGCUUGCUCUCGCGCCCCGUGCUCCCAACGGCAGUGUCAGGGACGUGACGUGCGGGUCUUGCGGUAAUUGGCGGGGCAGCAGAAUCGGACCUCCACCCCGGCGGGCACGGAUGCCGAGGCUGAGGCUCAUCAUCAUGCUCGACGGCGAUGGCGACCAGGGAGAUCAUCGACAAGAUUUGGAAGGAAUCACCCUCCCUCGCUGGACGCGCUGAUAGGGACCGGGGGCCGGAACGAGAGCGGCGGCCUCGGGACCCUCCCCUUGUAUCAUUUUACUACUUGGCUUAUCCUUUCUACCUCUUCUCUGGAUGCCCGGCUCGACUGUAACCUCGAGCUCCCUCUUGUGAUAUAAAAGGAGGACCCGGGAUCCUGGGACGGGGGACUCAGACUUUUUCCCUCAAGCCAACAGUACACUCUCGCACGCCCUUAGAGCACCAGCGCACUCAAGAGACCUGGGAUCAGUUCCCUCUCUCGCCCAUCUGUAACCCCUACUAUAGAACCCCGCGUGGGUAAUACGAGCAGCCUCGAUACUGGACGUAGGCCUUCCUUUGCCCAAACCAAUCUAACCCCGUGUCGCCAACGCCACCAUCCGAAGCCUUACGCGCAUAAAAGAAAAUUUACUAGUCUAAGUCUUGAUCCGCAAAUCUUGACAACGACAGUUGGCGCGCCAGGUAGGGGACCUUUGCGCGUACGUCUCCAGCUUCAGAUGGCCAACCACGACAUAAGCUUCGCUCCGAGCUCCCUGAUCCGUUUCGGGAGUCUGGACUUCCUCGCCACCGGGGAGGGGAUCGAGCUGAUCCCUCUCCUCGUCUUGCCCGCUUGUCCCGCCAUCCCCGGCCCCACCGCCGGGACAGCGGCGAGCGGCCAGGCGCGCGCCAGAGGGUCCUUCCCAGGUGGUUGGCUCUUCGGGCUGCGCAAUGCCACGGUGACUUACGGUCGCCUCCUGACGCAGUCCAUGACCGUGUUGCUCGCGAGCAACAAGCUCGCAGGCGUGGCGAGGACGAUCUCCGACACCGGCUCCAGCAACGGGAGCCGCCACCCCUCGCGUGAGUGCUUCAUGGCUGACAUGCACUCCGAGGGGUCCAACGACAAUGGCGCCAGGGGGAGACAGAGGACUCCCCCCCCCCGCACGCCGUGGCUACGACCGGGGCCUUACCAAGGGCCCUGGAGCACUUUCGGCAGCCGGAGGCACGCGCGGCGUCCCGCCAGGAGGUCGAGCGCCCCCGCCACGAAGGCGGAGCGCGACAGCGGGCGCGUGACGUCCAACAGCGUAUCUGCGCGGACGAAGAGCGCCCUCAGCUCUUUGCUCAUGCCAGCCAGAACGUCGCAGCCGUGGUGGCCCUACUCCGGCAACUCCCCGAGCCGGCGACGCCCGAGGAGCGAUGGGCGCGCCAAGAGAUGCGCGACUUGCUCGAAUGCGCCGCCGUCCAGCAGGCGGAAAGUUCCGCGUCCCGGCGACACGGACAAAAUGCCAGCAGGGCGGCGCCCGAUGCGCCCCCGGAGAGACGGGGGGAGUCUGUCCACCAGCCUCCUCCCAGGGCAAACCAGGCCGCGUCCGCCCAGUGGACACCACCACCUGCGGGAGGCGGGGCUCGAUCCGUUCAUCGACGCGUCGGCCCCGUCCGCGACGCCCGCGACACCCUGGACGCGCGGAGGCGCUCCCGCGCGGAUAGGGAGGACGGGGUAGAUCGCGGCUACCACGUCCACCGCGGCGGGCACUACGACAGCGAGGAAGACCGCAGCCCGAGCCCCGGCCUGGCGGGGCCACGGGCCUUUUCCGCGCGCAUCCUGAACGCGCCUUUUCCGCCGCGCUUCAGGCAACCGACGAAUGUAGCCAAAUACUCGGGGGAGACAAACCCUGGGGUUUGGCUCAGCGGCUACCGGCUCGCAUGCCUAGCCAGCGGGAUGGACGAUGAUCUGUUCAUCAUCCGCAACCUACCACUCUUCAUGGCCGACUCGGCACGAGCCUAGUUGGAACAUAUCCCUUCGGGAUGGAUCCGCUGCUGGAAUGACCUGAAGGAGGUAUUUAUAGGAAACUUCCAGGGCACGUACACGCGCCCCGGUAACUCCUGGGACCUCUGGAGCUGUCGCCAGGGAUCAGACAAGUCCCUCCGGGACUACAUCCGGCACUUCUCCAGGAAGCGCACUGAGCUCUCCAAUGUUGCGGAUGCCGACGUCAUAGGGGCCUUCCUAGCGGGAACCUCCUGCCGGCCCCUCGUCCACGAGCUAGGGCGCCGAGGCUCGCGAACCAUGGAGGAGCUCCUCAACAUUGCCACCAGCUACGCCUCGGGCGAAGAGGCCGUUGGAGCGAUCUUCGACCGCUCCAAAGGUAAGGCAAAGCGGGAGGAGGAUGCCGAUGAGGGCACCUCCAACCGCUAGCAGAAGAAGAAGGGCAAGCAGCGGCGCGAGGCCCCCCUCGUAGCUGCUGUCGAGCGCAAGCGAGGACAGCCACCCCCGGAGGGCACUCCUGGCUUCUUCGACAAGCUGCUUAAGGGACCGUGCCCGAACCACGAGUUCCCCGCGAAACAUGCCUACAAGGACUGCAACCUCAUGAAGAGGCACUUCGUAGGCAACCCAGUGAAGGGCGACCGGAAGCAGAAGCCUAAUGAGGAGAAGAAGGGCGACGACGAGAAGGAAGACGGCUUCCCCAAGGUGGACGGCUGCUUCAUGAUCUUCGGCGGCCCGGCGGCGUACGACUCCAAGCGACGUCAGAAGCUGGAGCGCCGAGAGGUUUACGCGGCCGAGCCGGCAACGCCGGCCUUCCUCGACUGGUCAGGAUCGGCCAUCACCUUCGACCGGUCCGACCACCCGGGAUGCGUCCGGCAUCCAGGAAGCUACCCCCUCGUCGUCGACCCCAUCAUCGGCAGGACGCGCCUCACCAAGGUGCUCAUGGAUGGGGGCAGCGGCCUCAACAUCCUCUACGCCGUGACCCUCGACGCUAUGGGGAUUGACCGCUCCCGCCUCCGCCCCAGCAAGGCACCGUUCCACGGCAUUGUGCCGGGAAAACAGGCGAUGCCCCUCGGGCAAAUCGACUUGCCCGUCACUUUCAGGACCCCUUCCAACUAUAGGAAGGAGGUCCUCACCUUUGAAGUGGUGGGGUUCCGCGGAACCUAUCACGCCAUCCUGGGGCGACCAUGCUACGCGAAGUUCAUGGCCAUCCCCAACUAUACCUACCUCAAGCUCAAGCUACCGGGGCCCAACGGGGUCAUCACCGUCGGCACGUCUUUCCAAAAGGUGUAUGAGUGCGACGUGGAGUGCUGCGAGUACGCCGCAGCCAUCACCUUCACGGGGGAUCUGGUGGUCCAGCUCGCGGAGGGCGCCGAGGACCAGCCCGACUCCAAGCAGUCGGCCACCUCCUUCGAGGCCACCGAAGGCGUCAAGGAGGUCCUCCUCGACCCCAGCAGCUCCGACGGCAAGACCGUGCGGAUCGGCGCUACCCUAUCUCCCAAAUAGGAAAGCGCGCUCGUCGGCUUCCUCCGCGCGACCAGCGACGUCUUCGCGUGGAAGCCCUCGGACAUGCCCGACAUUCUGAGAGAAGUCGCCGAGCACUCCUUGAACAUCAAGGCUGGCUCCAAGCCAGUGAAGCAAGGACUGCACCGCUUCGAUGACAAGAGGCGCAAGGCCAUCGGCGAGGAGCUCCAGAAGCUUUUGACGGCCGGAUUCAUCAAGGAAGUGUACCACCCCGAGUGGCUAGCUAACCCUAUUCUUGUACGAAAAAAGAAUGGUAAAUGGAGGAUGUGUGUUGAUUAUACCGGUCUCAACAAAGCGUCCCAAAGGAUCCAUUUCCUUUGCCACGCAUAGAUCAGAUAGUCGACUCGACCGCCGGGUGCGAAACCCUUAGCUUCCUUGACGCGUAUUCUAGCUACCAUCAGAUCGCGAUGAAAGAAUCCGACCGGCUCGCCACCUCUUUCAUCACCCCCUUCAGCCCCUACUGCUACGUUAAGAUGCCAUUCGGCCUCAAAAACGCGGGGGCUACAUUCCAGCGAUGCAUGCUGAAGUGCUUCGGGGACCUCAUCGGGCAGACCGUUGAGGCUUACGUUGACGAUAUCGUGGUCAAAUCCAAGAGGGGCCACCAGCUUGUCCCUGACCUUGAACUAGCCUUCGAAAGGCUGAGGGAUAAGCGUAUUAAGCUCAAUCCCGAAAAAUGCAUUUUCGGAGUUCCAAGGGGCAUGCUGCUAGGCUUCAUCGUCUCCGUGCGCGGCAUCGAAGCCAAUCCGGAGAAGAUAGCGGCCAUCAGCGACAUGGGGCUAAUCCGAAACAUGAAGGGAGUCCAGCGCGUCAUGGGAUGCUUAGCGGCCCUGAGCCGCUUCAUCUCGCGCCUUGGCGAACGGGGGCUUCCUCUCUAUCGACUCCUGAAGAAGACAGACCACUUCGAAUGGACCGACGAGGCCCAGGAGGCACUUGACCGACUCAAGGACCUCCUAACGAAGGCCCCGGUCCUGGUCCCGUCGACCGACGGCGAGCCCCUCCUGCUCUACAUCGCGGCGACCACUAGGUGGUUAGCGCGGCCUUAGUGGUGGAACGGGAAGAGGAGGGACACGCUCUCAAGGUACAACGCCCGGUGUAUUUCGUCAGCGAAGUCCUGUCCGAGUCCAAGGCGCGUUACCCGCAGAUCCAGAAGCUCAUCUACGCCGUCCUCAUCACGAAGAGGAAGCUGCGCCACUACUUCACCUCCCACCCGGUAACGGUUGUUUCGUCGUUCCCACUAGGCGAAGUAAUCCAGAACUAGGACGCCACGGGACGGAUCGCGAAAUGGGCGCUCGAGCUCAUGGACCAGGGUAUCACCUAUGCCUCCCGCACCGCCAUCAAGUCCCAGGUACUUGCCGAUUUCAUAGCAGAGUGGACGGAGAUCCAAAUGCCAUCAGCGCCGGAGAAGCAGGAGUACUGGACAAUGUACUUCGAUGGAUCGUUGAUGAGGGCCCGGGCCGGAGCAGGCCUCGUCUUCGUCUCUCCUCUAGGCAUGCGCAUCAGGUACAUGAUCCGCCUCCACUUUCCUGCAUCCAACAAUGUCACCGAGUACGAGGCCCUCCUUAACGGGCUUCGCAUCACCAUCGAGCUGGGCAUCCGCCGGCUAGACAUCCGGGGCGACUCCCAGCUAGUCGUCGAACAAGUCAUGAAGGAGUGGAGCUGCCACGACCCCAAGAUGGCAGCCUACUGCAACGAGGUUCGGAAGCUUGAAGACAAGUUCGACGGGCUGGAGCUCAACCACGUCGCAAGGCGCUUCAACGAAGCCGCCGAUGAGCUGGCGAAGGCAGCAUCCGGCCGAAUGCCCGUCCCCGACGGUGUCUUCGUCAGCGACCAGUUCAAGGCUUCGAUCCAUUACCCAGAACCAGCGGGGGUCGGCGAAGCGCUACCGGCCCCGGGAUCAGGCCCCGACCUAGGAGAGGUUGGCAGCGCGCCACCCGUCUCAGGCCCUGACGCCAGCCCUGACGGGGUAGGCGUCGCUUCGUCUGACUCGGCCUCGGAAGCCGACCCCUCCGGCCCCUUGGUCAUGGAAAUCGCGUCGGACCCCGCGGAGGGGCCCGACCCCCCGGCCGACUGGAGAGCCCCAUACCUCAACUACCUCGUCCGCGACACGCUCCCGGCGAACAAAAUGGAGGCCCGUAGGAUCGCGCGUCGCACCAAAUCCUUCACCAUUAUCGAUCAGGAGCUCUACAAGAGAAGCCACACCGGCAUGCUCCAGCGCUGCAUCCUGAUCGAAUAGGGAAGGGCACUGAUCCAGGACAUCCACGCCAGAGCCUGCGGCCACCACGCUGCACCAAGGACCCUCGUCGGCAACGCCUUCCGGCAAGGCUUCUACUGGCCGACGGCGGUCGCCGACGCUACCCAAGUAGUCCGUACCUCUGAGGGGUGCCAGUUCUUUGCGCGCCAAACCCACCUGCCCGCGCAGGCGCUCCAGACCAUCCCCAUCACAUGGCCGUUCGUGGUCUGGGGGCUGGAUCUCGUCAGGCCCUUCAAGAAAGCGCCCGGGGGCUUCACCCACCUACUUGUCGCCGUCGACAAGUUCUCUAAGUGGAUCGAAGCAAGACCGGUGGCGCAAAUCAAGUCCGAGCAGGCGGUACAGUUCUUCACCGACAUCAUCCACCGCUUCGGAAUCCCCAACUCCAUGAUCACCGACAACGGCACGCAGUUCACCGGGAAGAAAUUCCUCCAGUUCUGCGAUGACCACCACAUCCGAGUGGACUGGUCGGCCGUGGCACACCCCCGCACGAACGGGCAGGUCGAGUGAGCCAACGGCAUGAUACUCCACAAGCUCAAGCCACGGAUCUUCGACCGCCUGAAAAAGUUUGGCGGACGGUGGGUCGCCGAGCUUCCCGCGGUCCUUUGGAGCCUGAGGACAAGCCCCAGUCGGGCGACUGGCUUCACCCCGUUCUUCAUGGUCUACGGGUCCGAGGCCAUCUUGCCGACCGACCUGGAAUACGGAUCGCCGAGGGUCAAAGCGUACGACGAACAAGGGAACCAGGCAUCGCUUGAAGACGCACAAGAUCAGCUCGACGAGGCACGCGAUGUGGCCCUGCUGGACUCAGCUAAGUACCAGCAGGCCCUACGGCGUUACCACAGCCGCAAGGUGCAAGGCCGAGCCUUUAACGUAGGCGACCUGGUGCUCCGCCUCGUCCAGGAUAAUAGGGGUCGGCACAAGCUAACUCCCCCGUGGGAAGCUCCCUUCAUCGUCGCGCAAGUACUACGGCCAGGCACCUACAAGCUAGCGACCCCCGACGGGCAGAUCUUCGGCAAUGCUUGGAACAUAGAACAGCUAAGGCACUUUUACCACUAGUUUUCAUUUCCAAGUUCUGUACGUAGACUCGUCUGUAAAUUUCGAAGUUUUCUUUUUGCGGAACAAGAAAUUUCGAACCAGUUUUGUUUAAGAUUUUCCCGUCGAGCUCAGGAAUAUCCAACCCUAGCUUCGCUCCAGGGUCGCAUAUCCCUCGAGGGCUAUCAAGGGCUCUGGCACAAGCCACUUGGCACCAUCUGAAAAAUAUUUUUUCUUCCGAACCGAGCCCCCCUUUCUGAACAUUUGGGCACAAAAAGGAGAGAGUGCGCAAACGGUGUUCAGGCAAGAUUGAUUGGACUGCGAAAAACCUACGCCCCAGCGGCUACGGUACCUUCGCUCAUCAAAGCUUACUGACAUGCCCGACAACGCACUCCAGACUUUCCAAGUCCAAAAAAAAAGAAAGGGGAUUGGAAACUGUUGCACGACAAGUUAUAGGAAAGGCCUCUAUGGCCAUCACAAAACAAGUCUGAAACUAAUGUAUUUACAUCUAGGGCGCCAGCCCAACACAGUUAGCUCGCCGGGGGAUCUUCGGGAGGGACGGCCUCAUCCUCCAGGAGCUUCGCCAAGGCCUCCGCCGGGGUGAACACCGACGCGUUGAUCUCGUCCAGCUCAGCCUCGGAGUAGCCAGCGGCGUACCCCCGCUCAUCCCGGCGAAGUUGAUGCCAGAGUAGUGGGAGCCGAAGACCCCGAAGCCUCGCCUCACGCCGGUGUGGAGCGCCUCCAGGGCGAUCUUGUGGGCUCGGCGGUAGGUCCCGAGGACACGAGUCGCCAGCGAGCUCGUCUCCUCCUCGUGGACCACGCUGAGCCCGUCACAGAUGACGCGGACCGCAUCCUGCGGGUUGCCGUGCUCAGCGCGUUCCGUGGCGAGCGCCUCCCUCAGCAGGGUAAGCUCGCUUGCAAGGAUCACCCAGAAGAACCCGCUAAAUCAAAAAUCACCGCAACAUCACAAAGACAAAGAAAUGAACAGAGUCUUACCCUCGGACUAGGCCUUCAGCUGGCGCUCCCGAUCGAGCCCCUGGGCCACGGAGGCCUGAAGCUCCCGCGCUUGCGCUUGAAGCUGACCGACCUCCGCCCCAAGGUCGGCCGCCGCCUUCUUGGCCUCCUCCUUCCGGACCUUCUCGGCGUCCCGGUCCUGCCAAGCCUUUUGCCGUUCGCGCCGGAUGCGCUCGACGGUCUUCUGGAGGGCUUCAUGCUCCCCCUUCACCCGUGCGAGCUCCUCGGCGUCGUGGCGGGCCUUUUCGGCAGCGGCCUGGAACUCCUCACGGUCGAGGCGGGCCUUGUUGACGACGGCUUGGAGUUUGUCUUCCGACCGCCGCACCUCCUCAUGUGCCGCCUGCUCGCGCCUCAGCAGGUCGUUAAUGGCCCCCUGGGCGGCGGCAACCUGCAUGGUUAGGUCCCUGGUUUGCUCCCUCUCCAAGUUGAAGCGCUCCCAGAGCCCCCGCUCCAGCUGGAGGAAAUCAGAUUUCCCCCGACUGCACUCUUGGAGAGCCUACAAAGCAAUACACCAUCAGGGGCAAGGCAACGGGAAAGGGACAAUCACCGACAGAAGGGGCAACGUACUUGGCUACCAGGGAGGACGACGUUGUCCAACUACCCCAACACCGAGGAUAGAGCCGCGCGGGCAUUGGCGAGGCUGCCCUGCACCGCCUGCCACUUGCGCUACUCUGCGGCGUCGUCCAGGGUGAAGAGGUGCCUCGGCGGGUCCUCAUGAGACGUCCAACGCAGGACAGACCCCCUCCACGCCCUGGGGAUGUAGGUGGCCAAAGCCAAAGCGGGACCCGACCCGGAAGCCGCCGGGUUCACCGACGGUCCCGGCGCCUGCGCAUCUGUCGCUGUCAGGGCCACUGCGGACCCGCUCAAUGGCGCCACCGCCUCCGACGCAAGCGGCGGGACAAGUACCCCCGCAGCCACCUCGCCCUCCGCCGCAACCGCCGAGGCAGGCUCCUCCGCCCCUGCCGGAGCCCCUCGAGCGGGCACCUCCGCCUCCGCCGCCGGCGCCGCCUCCACCGGGACCUCCGGGGCGGAGGUCCCCGCCUCCGUCAUCGACACCUCCUCCGCCGCGGCCGCGGAGGCAGGCACUCCCUCCCCUGUCGCCGCCGCCGUUCCCGUCGCGGCUGCUGGGACACCCGUCCCUGCUCCCGUCGCUGCCGUCCCCUCCGCCUCGUCGGCGUCGAGGUCGAUCACCUCCCUGGUCUGAGGGCCCUGGGGAACGAUGCUCUGCACCGAAGGGUCGACCAGGGAAGCGGAAGGCGGAACGGGGUCCACGCCCUCUCCCGCGCCCGAUGGCGCCGCCAAUCCACCGGUCGCCGUCACGGGGGCCGCUUCCGCAGCGGGAUCCGCGACCUCACCGGGGACCCCACCGCUCGCCGCGGGCGGGACCGCGGUUCGCCCCGCAGAGGCAGACGACACCCGCAGCGCCUUUUUGGGCGCCAGCUGCAGGACGAGGCCACGGGGGGCGGCGCUGUGGAACAACAAAUAAAUGUUAGCUGAAACGAACGCAAGGUAGGGAAAGGAGCAAGGUUCACGAGGAAAUCCAACUUACGUUCCUCCGGAGCAAGGACGGCGCGCGCGCUUCGCCUCAAAGCCGGACGCCGACCCCGGGGCAUCCGGCAGCGGCCGCUUGUCGCCACUCCUCUGCUCUUGGGUCUCAGGCGCGACGGUGGGGGUGGGCUCCGUGGACCUCCGGGGAGCGCUCCGCGUUGACUCCUGGGGGGCGCCCCGCGCCGGCUCCUGGGCGACGGCGGGGGCGGGCUCCGUGGACCUUCGGGAAGCGCUCCGCACGGACUCCUGGCGGGCACCCCACGCCGGCUCUUGGGCGACGGCAGGGGUGGGCUCUGAAGACCUCCGGGGAGCGCUCCGUGCCGACUCCUGAGGAGCGCCCCGCACCGGCUCCUGGGGGGCGCCCCGCGCCGACCCGUGGAGAGCGCCCCGCACCGACCCCUGGGGCAUGGCGCCGGAACCUUGCGGAACCAAGCCCAAGGCAGACGAUCCCUCCGCCUCAUCCCUCACGGCUGUUUGCGGGCACGCCUCCCGGAUUACGAGCGCACCCGACCGAGGGGAUAAGACCAGCUCUUCCUCCUCAUCAUCAUCAUCCUCAUCUUCCUCCUCGUCAUCAUCAUCAUCGUCGUCAUCGUCGUCCGACACGACCUGCCCUCUCCACCGCCGUUGGAACUCCUUGGCGGCCUUCUUCUUCUUUUUCGCCAUCUCCUUGUCCUUACGACGCUUCUGCUCUUCGGCAAGGAGACGGUUUUGCGUCCGCCGAUCGGCGUCCUCCGGCACCGGCGGGUGCGAGUCCACGACCCGGGUCAGCAUGCCCUACAAACACAAAAUGGCCCCGCAUCAGAGCGAUGACCAAGAGACACGAAAAAAGAAGGUCGGCGCCCCAAUCCCUUACCAGGUCGACGAAGCCCUCGUUCGGGCGCAUCGGCGGGUGCCCGGGCACCGGGUAUUCGGCGUCCUUGUCCUCCAACGCCUCCCGACUCUGCUGUCGGAUCUCGAAGGCGGCGAGCGCGCCCGCCUCCAAGACGGUGCCCUCGGUCGGUGCGCCCGGAGUCAUGGCGGCGAGCGAACGAACCCGGAGCAUCAGCGGCGCCACCCGCCGGGCAUGGUAUGCCCUAAUGACCCCGGCGCCGGUAAGCCCUCUCCUCUUCAAUUGCUCGAUGGCCUGCAGCAGGUCGAGGAUCCGCUUCUUCUCCUUCUCGACCGGUCCGUACGACCACACCUCCGGCGCCACGUCGAUGGUGCGGCCGGUGAACCCCGGCAGGGGGGAGUUCGAGUAGUUCUUCACAUAGAACCACUGGUUGUGCCACCCCUUGUGGGACGCCGAGGUCUUCAUCGCCAUGUACUCCUUGGAGCGAGUAUGGUGGAGGUGAAUUCCGGCGCACCCGAUCGGCACCGGGGGCGACCGCUGCUGGUUCCCCCUCCUCUCCGUCUUCUGGUACAGGCUCACCGAGAAGAAGUACUUCCACAGCGAGAAGUUGGGCUCGAUGCCCAGGAACCCCUCGCACAGUGCGACAAACGCCGUAAUGUGCUGGAUCCCGUUGGGGUUGAGGUGCUGAAGCUUAAGCCCGUAGUAGUGGAGGAGCCCGCAAAAGAAGCGGCUCGGCGGAGUCGUGAACCCCCGCUCGUGGAAGUGAGCGAAGGAGACGACGUAGCCGGCGGGAGGUGUCGGCACAUGCUCCGACCCCGGCAGCUCCCACUCGCCCACCUCCGUCCUCUCGCAGAGGAGGCCUUUCCUCACCAGGCCUUCGGCGCGUGAGGAGUUGAAGUGAGAAAUCCCCCAGGAUCCCAUCGCCGGAGGAGGAAGGAACUUGACGGGGAUGGGAAGAAAGGGCGUAGCGCUGAAGCGGAGGAAGGCGAAGCGGGCGCGGAUGAGCUGAGGGCGAGUUCGGAGGGCGAAAAGACUUGAAAGCAGAAGGCAGGCGGAACCAGCGAGGCGGAGCCUUCAUUUUAUAGGGAAGGCGUGAAGGCAGCGGAACCAACGCCCUUGUCGCCAUAAAUGCGGCGCCAGGUACGCCCCCGUCACGCCCACUUUCUUUUCGGAAACCGCGCGCACGAUCGGCCGCAGAAACAUCCUCUCCUCCUCGAUUCGUGGGUCGGCACCCUCCAUAUCUCCGCCUCCCAUAAGACGCGCACACGACGUCCCCCACGUUCGGCCCAGGACGCAGCAUCCGCCCCGAUUUGGCCCAAGGCCCACUGAAAGGUAAUAAGGGAUACGGGGCUGAAAAUGCCCCUACGGCCCAUUACGAUCCAGAGGUUCGAAGGCUGGCCCGCUACAGGUUCGAUAGCCGCCUCAGGAUGCCCACGAGCGAGGGGUGAGAAGGGACGGGUCCGCUAGUGACCAUAACCCGGGCGCGCGACGGCCCCAGGUGUCUCAAACUCACAUUCGAGUCCAGACCGGCAUCAAAGUUCAUGGUUUUUCCACGAGGAAAGGCAACGAGCCCCCGGAUCCGACCGAACAAACUCGGGAACUACAUGAACCGGCCGGCUAGAGCCUGGGGUACGCCACCAGCUUGGCCCUAGCCGGACCCCCCCGAACGGGGACCGGGACUCCACUCGAACCGACCCGUUUGCAGCUCAACGAGCACCACGGUUCGUCCAAUGAGGAUAGCGUGGCACGUCUCAUCCCCUCCGUCCCAGCGAACGGAUGCUUGAGGGGUAACGAUCAAAAGCUGAUCUAGCCUCCCGAUCGGUCUCCGGUAACGUGCGGGGGCUCGGGGGCUAGCAUCGCAACCAAUAACCACGCGUGUGGUCGCGAUUUGGAGACUCGAGGCGGUAGCACCCCACGGAGCAAUGAGGAGUCUCGCCACGCUAAGUCAUCCACAGGACACCUCUCCUGAUCGAACUCCCUGGCCCAGUCGGACCAACAACACUCCCCAUCCCUGGUCAACUACGGCUUGCAGGGCGAGCAGAGAUCCCCGGCGGGCGGCGAAAAAAGCCUCUGGAGGAACAUCUUUGCUCCACCACAGGCUCGGGGGCUACUAUUGGGGAAAAAUAUUAACGACCUCCUAAUGCCGCUUAAAGCAACAGUCACGGAAGCCCAGGCCCAUCUAAGGUAACGAAAUUGCCGUCGGCCCAACAUGGAAGGGAGAGGCCACGUUCCGCCUCGCUCGACCCGGGGUCCCGGGGUCGGACGCCCCCGACUCCUUGAAGACUAAACUCCGCCUCGCCCGACCCCGGGGACCGGGGUCGGGAGCGCCCGACCCCCACCACGGAAAUUCCGCCUCGCCCGACCCUGGGCGCGGGGGUCGGACUCGCUCGGGUCCACAAGACGAAUAUCCACCUCGGGCGCGGACUGGAGGAUCAGGAUGACGAUCUCGUGGGUCCCCCUAUCGACCUCGCCAUAAAUGCGCCGCGACCCUGUCAGGACAAAAGGGAGCAGCGCCCCCAACGCAACCGGUCCCGAAUACCGGUGCGCGGCCGUGCGGCGCGGGCUGCAGUGGCCGCGGCUCCUUCUCAUUCGCCACAAGGUACUCAUGAGCCGUGCCGAACGACACAGGAGGGCGCAUCGCUUGCUCUCACGCCCCGUGCUCCCAACGGCAGUGUUAGGGACGCGACGUGCGGGUCUUGCGUUAAUCGGCGGGGCAGCAGAAUCGGACCUCCUCCCCGGCGGGCAUGGAUGCCAAGGCUGAGGCUCAUCAUCACGAUCGACAGCGACGGCGACCAGGGAGAUCAUCAACAAGAUUUGGAAGGAAUCACCCUCCCUCGCCGGACGCGCUGACAGGGACCGGGGGCCGGAACGAGAGCGGCGGCCUUGGGACCCUCCCCUUGUAUCAUUUUACUACUUGGCUUAUCCUUUCUACCUCUUCUCCGGACGCCCGGCUCGACUGUAACCCCGAUCUCCCUCUUGCGAUAUAAAAGGAGGACCGGGGAUCCUGGGACGGGGGACUCAGACUUUUUCCCUCAAGCCAACAGUACACUCUCGCACGCCCUUAGAGCACCAGCGCACUCAAGAGACCUGGGAUCAGUUCCGUCUCUCGCCCAUCUGUAACCCCUACUACAGAACCCCGCGUGGGUAAUACGAGCAGCCUCGAUACUGGACGUAGGGCUUCCUUUGCCCGAACCAGUCUAACCCCGUGUCUCCCACGCCACCAUCCGAAGCCUUACAUACAUAAAAGAAAAUUUACUAGUCUAAGUCUUGAUCCGCAAAUCUUGACAACGACACUAUCACAGGACAAUGAUGCAACAACUCAGUCCCCCCUCUUGCCUCGUCAUGAGUAAGGUUUCUAAUUAUUUAGCCAAGACCAGAGCCAAUUAGUCUUGUGGUAGCACUGUUUUCCUGGGUGGCUCUCCAUGUUCCGAUUAAACGUUUGUGAUCUUGUAUUAAUGAAAGGUAUAACAGAAGUAAAGCAAGAUUAAUCAUUGAGUUCAAUUAAACCAACUUAUCCCAAGUAGGAACUAAGGAUGAGCUACCAAACAUAAAAGUACACCCGGUUGGUCAAGGCAAAGGUAAAUUCAAUCUAGGGAAACCUUAAUUGGGACCCAUCAAUUUAAUCUUAACAAGGGCAUAGCAUAAUUGUUGAGUACGAGAAAGUAAAAGUGUAUAGGACUGAGAAGUAGUGAUCAAGGACAUGACUUGACUUCUUGGCCUUGCUCUUGCUGUUCGUACUCCUCGAAGGCUUGAUCUUCAAAUCCCCCGAAUUGCUGAACGUCUAUACGCGUCACAUCAGCACAUACAAGCAAACAAGGGCACAAAGUAAGAAAACAGUACACAAAUCACAACUAAACAGAGAAAACAAGCUUGAAAAAUUAAUCUACACUUUAAAACAAACAAGUGGAUAUAAAGAACGCGAAAAAUGAAGUUAAGAUGCAAAAGAUAUGAUUAAAACAAGAUCCAGGGGCUUUUCUGCGAGAAAAACAAAACUUCUAGGGUCGAACUGCGAAAAACCGAGGGCUUAUACAUGAUUAUGCCUAUAAACCGAAGGUUUAACAUGCAAAAAUGCAACUUAGGAUGGCGGGUUGAUUUAGAGAAACUCAGGGUCUAAACCGAAAGAAAACAGGACCAAAACACAAUUAUUUUUGAACUAGAUUUGCGGAAAAGGCAAGGGCUUCAGUGUAAAAGAGGCACGGUGCGACGCGAUUGAGUACGCGAUCUGGUUGACUCGCUACGGGCCAUCGGAUUUGGAUCCGACGGUCUCGGUCAUCGGCGACACCGAAGCAGCGGCGGACCAGGCGGCGGGCGGCGACGAGCGGCGGCGGUUCGCCGGAAUUAGCCGAUACGGCGCUCCAGGGCUCGGUUUCGUGCGCGGCAAACACCAGAAGCAUGAGAAAAGCAAGGCGAUCCCUUUUCGGCGAUUCACGGUAACCGAGGCUCACCGGAAGGCGGAGAGAGGGCGGUGGUGCCGGAGCUCGGAUGGCGGCGCUUGCUAGGGUUUCGGGGGCGCUGUUGCGGGGUGCUCGAGGUGGGGGGGGCUUAUAUAGGGGCGGAGUCGGGGCGCGGUCGGAGUGGAGUUCCGACUGGAGGACGGGGAUGAUGGGUAGGUCCCACCCGUCAGACCUGCCGAAGAAGGCUGGUGCCGCUGGGCAGGCCGACGGAGUGGGCCGAGCGAGCGACAUGAGCUGGCGAAGGGAAAAAGGGAAAGCGGCAGCUUUGCGGGCCGGAGGAAAAGGCAAAGCGGGCCGGGGGAGCUAGCGGCGCUAGGCUGCAGGGAAAUAGUGUUGGAGGUAUGCCCUAGAGGCAAUCAUAGAGAUGAUGAUAUUCCAUUUGUAUCCAUGAUUUGUAUAUUGUGUUCAUUGAAUAUCCAUUAAAGGCUACUUGAAUUGAUUUGCAAUUAUGUGAAUUGUAUGUGAAACUCUUUACUUGUAUGGUUAUUCUAAAAUUGUCCCUAGUCGGAGUUCAUGUGAGGACACACAUGAAUAUUAGACUAGCACAUGUAUUAGUUGAUGACUAUGUUUCACAAGUCAUGGACAUGGAGAUGUUGAACUAAUAAUGUGGACACAUGUGGAGACAUGUGCUAGAACUGACCCAACACGAGAAGUAGUUCUCUCUUUACACAACAUAUACGCUUUAUCCUUAGACCUGAGAUUGUCGCAUGUACUCAAGAUGUGGAUCGACUUACUUAGGGGCUAUCAAACGCUACGCCAUAACAGGGUAGUUAUAAAGGUAGCUUUCGGGUUUGUCAAGAAGCAUGCUAUGAGACAUGGUCAAUCAAGAUGGGAUUUGCCCCUCUCUGAUUGAGAGUGAUAUCUCUGGGCCCCUCGAGUGAUCGGAUCCGAAAAUGCAUGGCCAUGCUACGUACGGUUAAGAGUUGACCUACAAAGGGAUUCCGAAUCACAGGAUCGAGAAAGAGCGGCCGGCUUGAAGCUAGACCAAAUAUCGUGAGGCAAAGGGAAUAGCAUGUAUAUUAUGUUGUGAUGGUUCGUCUGAUAUGAUCUUCGUGUGCGUAUAGGAGUUGGCAUGUCUUGCUAGAGGCCGCUACCGACUAUUGGGCCGAGUAGGAGUACUUGGGCCAUGUCUAUACGUAUCCGAACCCAUAGGGUCACACACUUAAGGGGCUGGAAGCCCAAUUCGGAUCUGAUCCGAGUUGGAUUAGGUUUAGAAGUACUAAUGGGCCUCGGACCUAGAGGCCCGUUAGGAACCUCUAUAAAUAGAGGGGUGGGGGCGUCCUAGGGUUUACACCUUUUGGCGAAACACACCUGCCGCGCCUCCCACGCCCUCGCCUGUUGCAACUCGCGGAUCUAGCAGUCCGGCUUGCGACGCUUCCUCCCUGCACGUGUGGAUACCUUGGAGGUGUUGCGCCUGCAGCACUUGGACGAGCCGCCGACGAGCCGCCGACGAGCCGGCGACGAGCCGCGGCACGGGAGGCGAUCUUGCUGCACGUGGACGAGCUGCUGAGAAGCUACUGGACGUUGACGUGAUCGACUACGUACAACUACGUUGAUCGGAUACGUACGACUACGUGAUUGUCUUCACUGCAUCGACGCAUAUCUACAUCUUCCGCACCAGUAGUGCGUCGAGUGGUAAUCCCGUGAUCCUUAUACGGCAGUUCUUCCUGGUUUUACGCGGUAGAAAUUUUGAUUUGCGCUAGUGUAGCCUACCUUGUAUCCCAACAAAUAGGAUCCGGGCUGAAAGAGAAAGGAGGAGGAGAAGGAUGCAGCCCAGGAGGAGGAAGAGAAAAGAGGAAAAGAAAGAUUUUUAAAAUUGAAAUGCAAUUUGAGAUUCAAUUUUGGUUCAAACACAAGCAAUCAAAAUAAAUGCACCAGCAUGCAAUGCACAAAGAACUCCUAUGAUGGUUUAAUUUAAUUUAGAGAAAAUAAAAUUAAAUGCCUAGAAAUUUAAAUGACAUCCUAAUUGAGCAAAUUUUAGUGUAUUUAAAUUCUUUAAAAAAUUUUGGUGUUACAGGGCACCAGAUGAUCCGAUGCCUAUCUCAAGUGACCAUCGGAUCAUCCAAUGCUCACAUAUUUUACUAGCUGUUGUAGCGAAGGCUCUUUGAGAUCCAUGGGCUAUUUAUGCCCUCUCCACUCGCCCAUUUAGAGGUGCUGGAUUGUCCAUACAUCGAUUGAAGACCAAGGCCCAUCAAGAACACAUCCAUGCCACCAAAAGUGCAAAAGCGAUAAUCCAAGGCUUAGCACGAGCUAAGAGAUUGAUUAGCUCUAGGAUAGGCCUAGAGAGAGUAGAGCAAGGUGUUGCUACCUUGUGAUUGGUUCAAGGAGUGAUCCACUAUUGUAAGCUUGGGGCGCCGGCGCCUUGGGGUCUUGGUGGCUCUCCGGCAAGUCUUCGACACCCCAGCUCGGUGUGGAGCAGCGUCGACAGCCGGAUGCGGGGGACAAGAAGACUCCUUCCUUCGUGGAGCAGCUCCAUGGUGGAGACGACGUCAAGGUGACCGAAGGGGGGUAGUAGUGAGCCUUGCGUUUGUGGAUAGCUUGUCAUCCGGCUUGGCUAGAGCCUUUGUAGCGAGCCCAAGACCUUGACCGGGAGAGACUUGGUGAGCAGGAGCAUGUCCUUGGUGGAGCUCCAACGCAUGGACUAUGGGUGGCAUUUGGCUACCGAUACCAUGUGAUAAAUCAUCGUGCUGGGUUUGCAUCUUUCCUAACCCACUCCUUUACAUUUCCGCACUACAUUCUCGCAACUUGAGUGCCUUUAAUUACUUUCCAGAGUAGUACCUUGUUAGGAUUGGCUCUAGGUUGCAAAACUCUUUGUGGGUGGGAAGUUUCACUAGAUCAACCAUAGAUGCACAUGAUCGAGUUUAUGUUUGGAAGCAAGUAGUGGAAGUCAUAGGCCAAGGAUUCUAAGCUAGCCUAAUUCACCCCUCCCCUUCUUAGGGUACGAGCAUCGAUUCCUUUCAAUUUGCUUUAGCACCAUGAAGGCAAUAGUCAUCCAUCUGCACCAUGAUCAUAGAGCAAUGCAAAACCACGAGAGAAACGAAACGGCUGCUGUUCCUUCAUUUUAUUCCAAUUAGUAUGGACGUGGAGGUUACAGGACACACCAUGCGAGCUGUAGCGCCGGCAACAGGGAAACAAACCCAAGAAAGCAAUGCGGACAUGUUAUUCUAGUUUUUUAUGCAGAAUAUAUGGAGGCACCAGCCAGCCCAGCAACAACGACAAUGGCGGCUACUUGGUAUACUCGAUGGCCCAGAAGUUGGCGUAGAUGUAGGUGGACUUGACGCUGGUAAACCCGGCGCCCUUGGCGAGCUGCACAAACUCCCUCUCGUACCUCUCCUUGCCGUCGGGGCUGUACGCGAGCAGGCACACGUCGACGCCGAUCAACCCCUGCGCGCUGUUUGUGGCAUCCGGGUUCACCGGCAGGAUGCACUCGACACUGAUGAGCUUGCCGUGCGGAGGCAGCGCCUCGUAGCAGUUCUUGAGCAGCUUGGCGCAGUGGUUGUCGCCCCAGCAAUUGAGGAUCCACUUCAUGAGGAUGGCGUCGCCGGAGGGCACCUUCUCAAACAUGUCGCCUCCCACGUGCUGCACCUGCACGUCGGGGUAGGCCGGCGCCUCGGAGAUGACGUGGGGAAGGUCGAAGUUGAUCCCUUGAAUGGUCGGGUACCUGGAGGUGAUGGCAUGGAUGGUGGAGCCGAGGCCGCCGCCAACGUCGACGAGGGUGCGGAUGCCGUCGAAGCCCGUGUAGAGCUCCAAGAGCUUCUUGGUGAGGAUGACGGAAUGCUGCUUCAUGGCCUCAUUGAAGACCCCGUUGAAGCGUGCGUCAGUACCGGCGUAGUCGAACCAGGAAGGCGUCCCAAACGCCCUGUUGAAUGGGCUGCCACCCUCAAGGACCGCGUCCGUCAUGUAGCUCCAGGCGUGCAUGAAGAGCUUGUCGUUGGCGAGGAGGUGGAACGGAGCCAUGGAGACACCAUCCUCGUUGGGGGUGAGCCACUUGCACACUGGCGCGGCGCUGUACUGGCGGCACAGGCUGCCAUCCUCGGCCUCCUCCACCACGCAGGACACAACUUUGUAGGACGCCAGCAGUCGCAGCAAGCGAUCCACCAUGGACGGCGCGGCGGGGUUGGCCUUGGAAGGCAGCUUCGCAGCCACCUCCUUGGGAGUGAGAGCCUUCCCGCUGGCGCCCACAAGGGUCUCGAGCAGGCCCAGCUCAAUGGCAGUUCUUAGCGUCAUCGGCAGGAUGGCCGACGACACUAGCUGCAGAGCGUGCAUGCAUGUCUCCUCGUCGGCUAUGGCCAUGUCCGCGGCGGAACCCAUCUACCUCCCGGGAUUGGAGCUCAACUAACUGAUGAAGGUGUGUGUACCUUGUUGUUGUGAUUGCUGGUGGCUGAAUGAUCGAUGAGGCGAAAGGGGCCGUUUAUAUAGAGCUUCGAGCUAGGCUUUGUUCACCAACCUGAAAAUCAUGCAUUCUUUGACAAGUAUGGGAUUGCUUGUAUGGUGUGACGUGACCUGUGAGAGCUAGCAGCUAGCGUGGUAGUGAUUGUGUACCCCAUGCAAAACCUCCCUCCUAAUAAGAUCGUGAUGCACGAGGCUGAAUACUAUAUUGUUUUGUCUGCAGUCUAAUCGAUUUGGAAUCCGCAAAUAUAAUCAAUUCACGACACUGGAGAUGGUCGGCGCACGAGGAGUGGCAGUCCUAUUGAAACUUUCAGAGAAGCACCUUGUGCCCUUUGAGAAUCUGUUUUGCAUUAGAUCAAGGUUGAGAUGGUUUCUUUAACCCUUGAGAUUCAGCGCGAGGGUCCACGUGCGUGAUGGACAUGGCUUCGCUACUGCACAACUAUUUUUCAAGAAUACAUUAUCAUGGCUCGGGUGGCCGGAGCAAGAACACGAGCUGGCCGACCGUAGAGGGAAGACGCAAGCGGCACUCGCAGAAUCUACGUGGCUCCCCUUGGUCGUUCUUUGUCUCACCCUAUGGGUAUCGUGGAGGCACUUCAGCAACCCCACCCCAACCCCGCGCGCAAGUCAAAAUUUGAGGACCAUAUGUACAAUACGUGUGCAAACAAAAUCAUAAUUUUACUAGUAUUGAGGAUUUUAGUUAUUUCUUCUAAAAAAUUUCUUGGGAAAUCGUAUUUUUGUAGUACAACAUAUAUAGAAAAUAAGUAUUGCUCACAAAUAAACUGCCCUAUUCUUGGUUUUUGUUAUUAUUUUAUUUAAUCUUAAGAUUUAUAUAUGCAUAAAAAAGUAAUUUAGUAUCUUCAAAUAUGGAAACGUGGUCUUAGGAAUAGGGCUCAUAUUUUAUUCUUGAGCAUGCCUAGUGGAAAAAUACUAUCUAAAAAACUGCAAAGAAAUUUAAUACCUAAGCCUUCGAUCCACUCUACUUUUUGUAUACUAGUUUACCUGCAAUCCACUGGCUUGCACAUUAUAUUUCAUCAUACGGAAAUGUCUGAGAUUGUGAACGGAAGCAAUUUCAUCUGUCUGCAACAUGUGACACCCAGAGCUCCUGACACAACCGCGUGAGCACCUUCUCCGACAUGCGCACAUGAUGACCGCAUGCACCCAUAUUAUACAUAGUUUAUUAUAGUUUCUGCAGGGAUAUGAUAAUCAUUAAUUAUUACUUGUAAAGAUUGGAAACGUUACAAACGAUUGUAGAAAAAAUGCGAGUCACCAGGAAGGUAGGUAGUAGAGCAUGCCGUCAGUGUCUUUCCUGUGACCUGUGUUCGUGGUGCACAUGGCAGAAUGCACAGUCUAUACAUAGGAACCAGAAGUUGGCUUCGAAACCAAAUCACUCAUUAGUCCUUCAGUACUGCAGUGAACGCUAUCUAGCUAGCUAAUUUCCCCUUGAAAUCAGUUUUCUUGCGUGGCCAUGGGUAGCCUUCCACUUGAAGCCAUGAUGCCACUGAACCCCGAUUCAUUCGCUGGGGAGUCCAGUGCCGUGGUCGACUUCCUCGCCGACUACUACCGCAACGUCGAUAAGUAUCCGGUCAUGGCCAACACCCAGCCAGGGACCAUCCGUAAGCUUCUUCCGGAGGCAGCCCCGGAGUUGGGCGACUCCAUGGAUCGCAUACUGGAUGAUGUGCAGCGGGAUAUCCUCCCCGGCCUCACACAUUGGCAGAGCCCUAGCUUCUUUGCCUAUUUCCCGGCGAAUGCAAGCACCGCAGGGUUCGCCGGGGAGAUGUUGUCGGCUGGUCUCAACGUCGUCCCGUUCGUCUGGACGGCGUCACCGGUGGCCACUGAGCUGGAGCAGGUCGUGGUUGACUGGAUGGCUAGCCUUCUCGGCCUACCGGAGCGCUUCCACUUCAAGGGAGGAGGAGGCGGUGUCCUGCAUGGGAGCACGUGCGAGGCGGUGGUGUGCACUCUCGCUGCCGCGCGCGACCGUGCACUCAGCAAGCUCGGACAUGAGGGCAUCCUCAAGCUUGUCGUGUAUGCCUCGGACCAGACCCACGCAACCUUCCAGAAGGGCGCGAGCAUCGUCGGCAUCCCUCCAGCAAACUUCCGCAUCCUGCGGACUUCGGCAAACUCGGGAUACGGCCUCACCGCCACCAUCGUCCAAAGAGCAAUCGAGGAAGACGUCGCCCGCGGGCUGGUUCCCCUUUACCUCUGCGCCACCGUCGGCACUACUGGUCUGGGGGCCAUUGACCGAGUGCGCGAGCUCGGCCACGUUGCCCGGCGUUAUGGUAAUUCAUUCAACCUCCCUCUCUUAUACGCUAAUCACCCAUACGGUGACACUAAAUACGUAGAAAUGGAAUGCGCUAUGCGGUCACAAGUCACGAUUCAUGCUCACUUAACAAUCAACAAUCAGUUCCUAUAACCAUCUGACAAGUAUACAUGUUUUACAGGAACCUGGCUGCACAUCGACGCAGCCUACGCCGGAAGCGCAGCCAUUUGCCCGGAGUUCCAAGGUCACCUCGACGGCGCCGAGCUCGCGGACUCGGUGAGCAUGAACCCACAUAAGUGGUUCCUCACCAACAUGGACUGCUGCUGCCUCUGGGUGGCGAACCCUACCACCAUGACCGACGCACUGUCCACUGACCCGGAGUACCUCAAGAAUGUCGGCACCCGCGUCUAACAUGGCGGAAACGGUCGACUACAAGGACUGGCAGAUCGCGCUGUCACGCCGCUUCCGUGCCAUCAAACUCUGGGUGGUGCUACGGCGCUAUGGAGCGGCGGGAAUGCGCACGCACAUACGGAGGCACAUCCAGAUGGCAGAGUGGUUCGAGCACGUCGUGGCGGCGGACGAGCGGUUUGAGGUCGUGGUGCCAAGGAACUUCUCCUUGGUGUGCUUCCGCCUCCGCCCGCGGUUCAUGGCGGAUAAAGCUGUGGAGGCCCUGAAUCGCGACCUCCUCGCAGCGGUGAAUGCAAGCGGCCGGGCGUUCAUGACGCACUUCGUCGUGGACGACAAGUUUGUGAUCCGCCUAGCCGUGGGUGGGUCAAUGACAGAGAUGCGGCACGUCCGGGCCGCGUGGGAGCUUCUCAAGGAGAAGGCCAACAACUUGAUCGCCACCGGUUGUUAGUUAUUGCUCAUUGCUAGUGCUAUACCAUGCAUGGCCAGCAACAGAAGCUGAGCAUUCUAUUAUUGCUUCCAUUCGUAUACGUAGUUAGAGCACACCAUGAAUGCAAUAGUCAAUCCAUCUGAACCAUGAACAUUCACUAUGACCAUGUAUGCGACACAAUAUACAUAAGUGCUACUGCCGAUAUUGGAUUCUAUUUCUGGAGAAGCGGCUGCUUCUACGGAGCAGGCCGAUUGAAUUUUAAGUAUGUUAUGAUACUUGUAAAAAAUCGAUGGUAGGCAUGGAUUCCUGGAAGGGGGCCGUCACAACUCACAAUGGAAGGGACCCGUCAUAACCAAGCUCGUUAAUACAAAAGAAACAUCAGGCGAAACAAAUGGACGCUGUUGGGGACCGCCCCAUAACACACCCCGAGCGGCGCCAGCGGGGAUCCUUUUCUUUGAACCAAUUCUAACCUCAUCACUUGCCCCCUCCUUACGAAGUUAGCAAGUGACCGAAGUCGACUAUUAUGAAGGUGUCCAUUUUGUUGUUUUGCAGGAAAGAACUCGCGAAGUUAAGCCCCCCCCCGGAGCUCCCAGCGUUUUUGGCUUCGUGAAGACUACAUAACCGAAAGGCGAAGUCAAUUGGCUCCGACUAAAGAGGGUGGGAAGUCAACUGAAGGCUGCCCGGCCUUAACGAAGCCUACAAACGAAAAAGAAGACAGUCAAGGUGGCCCUGAAACCGCUUUACAGCAGGAUGGCUCUGCAAUAGGAAUCUAGUAUAAGGCUGUAUAUGUAAUUUUACCGUGACAGCGACGUCUCGAAUGAGAACCAAGUUACUGUCUUGUACGGAAUAUUCUUGGGAUGUAGUGGUUGAGUAUGGGUAUAACGGGGAUGCGGAAAUGUAACUUUAUGGCUCUAUAAAGGGAGGCGAACCGUCCUCCCUAAGGACACGAAUCUUUGUUAGGAUAGCCAUUGUAAUGUCUGUAUGAACCACUGUUAUCUUCGUUCACUGUAUUCUCAUCAUUGUCUGGGAAUCCCCCAACAUUUGGCGCCCACCGUGGUUUAACUCGUUAAACAGCCCACGAUGCCACCACAACGCAAAAAGAGACCUGCAACUCAUAGGGAAGACAACACAGAAGAAGCCAACUAGCGCACGGCCCCCGAAGCCACACAUCAAAUCCUCCCCGACAAGGCGGAGCGUCUUGCAAGAGUCGAGAAAGCCCUAAGGGCCAAGGCAAUGAGCAACCAGCCCGCAAACGAAGUCAACCACCAAAGCCACCAACCUGUUGCAAACGAAGCUGCCAACCGCGUUGAUGCUCACCAGUCUGCAACACCCGAAGCUACUGGCCCAUCUAGCCUAAACAAUGAACUAGACUCAGUUCUCCGAGAGAUAGAAGAGGUCAAAAGAAAGAAGGAACAGUUGGCACGACAAGUGCAACACCAGAAAGAGGCUGCGGCCAGUCUAUCAAAGUUGAACGAGGCUAGGCGGCAACUAGAAGCACUACAGAAAGAAGUCGCAGAGCUCGAAAGCCCCCUCGAGAAUGCAAACCAGGCCGCAACUUAUUUUUAUCAAAGUCCCACUGUCGAUCAAGCACAGCUUCAACCCAGCAUCAACUUCGGCCAAGGCAUCCAGCACCACUCACCAGGGGUGUCCCUUGUUGUCGACCCAACUUCACCGCUCUCAAUAGGGCUACAAACUGCACCAUGGCCGACGACCUACAAACCAACCACCUUGCCCAAAUUCAACGGGCGCACCGACCCGCGGCAAUUCUUAAUGAGUUAUGAAGCUGCAGUAGCUUCGGCCGGAGGGGAUGAUGUCGUGCUCACCAAAUCCUUCAUAAUUGCCUGCGAGGGUGCAGCGCUAAAUUGGUAUUCGCUGCUCCCUCCACACACGGUGAUCAGCUGGCACGACCUCAAGACGAAGGUCACUCAAAAUUUCCAGGGUUUCCACCACCCUCACACGGCCCAGGCAGACCUCUUUCAGUGCAAGCAAAAGGACAAGGAACCGCUUGCAGAGUAUGUAAGAAGAUACGUUCAACUUUGUUCUCAAGCACCGCACAUUGAGGAGUCUGUAGCAAUAUCCGCUUGCAUCGCGGGCCUAACCCCCGGCCCAACAGCCUCAAAACUGUCAAGGAAGGAGCCUAAAACCAUGACUGCCCUCUUCAGCAAACUCGAUGAAUACAUCAGGUCCGAUGAGGACCACCGCAGAAGAGUGGCGGAACGUAACAAAGAGAGACAAACAAACCAAAACUGAAGCUGGCAACCUUCGCCUUACAACAAGCCUCAAAACCCAAACCAAAACCAAAACCGCAUCAUGAACAUUGAGGGAAGCCAAAACCAAAACCAGAGCCAAAGCCAAAACAACAACACCCAAAGAGGGGGCCACUCUGGCAAAGGACGAGGUCGAGGCAAACAACCAAAGUCGUUUUACUGUGUCAACCACGGCCAUCAGAAUCAUCACAACACAGAGUGGUGCCCCAAAAAGAAGCAGGAAGAGAGAAAAGCUGCAGAAGAAGCUGCAAGGACAGCUGCGCAGACACCCAAAACAAUCCACCACACAGCAUUUUACCCACACCCAACCUUCUACCACAAUCAACCCAGCUUCGCCAACUUCCCGCAACCAAUAAAUUGGCCUCUUCCACUGCACAUACAACCCUACCACCAAACAAUUCCACAGCACCCCAAUCCCAACCCGCCUCAGAAGCCCCAAGCAUGCCAGCUAUAAUGCCCAAGCCAGAACCCAACACGCAAAACAGCAACCAAAAUUCCUUGCCCUCCUUCGAGAUGAUAAUGCUAAUCACCGGGGGCUCCUCGCUAGAGUUUGAAAGCAAGAGACAGAAAUGGAACUACUUCAGAGAGGUCAAUGUGAUCAUUCCCGACGGACCUCCAGCAAAGCCAGAAUGGGCACACAUGCCCAUAACCUUCACCGGAGAGGAUUUCAACCUCAAGACAACCUCGCCCAACGAUGCGUUGGUCAUCAAAGCACUGAUAGCAGGCUGGACAGUGGGGAAAGUCUUGGUAGACACAGGCAGCUCCGUGGACAUUCUCUUCUCAAAUGCAUUCAGAGAAAUGAAUAUUGACAUGAACACGCUCGACCCAGGGGAUGUCCCGCUCCUUGGCUUCGGCGGAAAGCCCGUGAAGGCCUUGGGAAAAAUCGCCCUCCCAGUCUCGUUCGGAGACCGAGAUAAUGCGAGGACAGAACACAUCACCAUCGACGUAGUGGAAAUGCAUUAUCCCUACAACGCAAUACUCAGCCGUGGCUUCAUCACCAAAAUGGACGCAACAAUCAGGCAGUUGUACCUAUGCAUGAAAAUACCCGCCCUCAAAGGGGUCAUAACGGUGUACGGUGAUCAGCAAAUGGCAAGGAACAUAGAAAAAGGGGUAGCCCCGGGCCAAAAGAAUGUCCGCCAUCUAGCCUCGUCAAACGAAGCCGAAAACAUAGCAAAGCAAAAGGCCCACGACGAGCCUAAGAGAGAUAAAGAGAAGGUAAAAAUCAGUGCGGAUGGCAAAACAAAGCGGGUACCUCAAAACAUAGCUAAGCCACACACCUGAACAAAUUUUCCCUGAAAUUUGCAACACGUCAAGAGUGCUUAUCACUCAACCGUCUCACAUCUCUUUUGUUUAAGGAAACUGGGCUCGUUACUACAAAAUGAACACCAAGAUGAUAGAGCUCUUUUACGAUACACAAUACUACUACUUAGUAGUAUAUAGUAUAUAUAUAAGAUCUAACUAUUCAUUAUUAUGGAUAAUUUAGUAAUUAUUACAAUGGAAAAAGUGAUAUUUCAAAUAGAAUGGUCUUUUAAACUUUCUGCUAGUAUCAAAAAUAAAAUUAUAGUGGUGCCAUUUGUGUUUUCUUACCAUGAUACCCUUAUACUACCUAUACUACUCAUGUAUACUACCCAUACCACAGGCGUAGGUUUCAGUAGUAUGUAAUAAAUCUUGACCGUCGGAUAUGUUUAUACUAAUCAUUUUCGAACACAAGUAUAGUCUAGUGUUGUGUUCCGUAAAAGAGCUCAUAUAAUAUGUUAUAAAACUUAUUUGUGAAAGCUAAAGGCAACAACAGGGGAUAAAUUCCAGAAUAGGUAAGAACAGAAAUUUAAAAGGGCAAAAUUUGUUGAUGGAUGGAAAUGCAUAGAAUGCUUAUUACUCAAUCGACUCACAUCUCUUUUUUCUAGGAAACAAAGCUCUCAUUAGUACUCUACGUUGGAAACAAAGCACUUAUUGUUGUUCAUAGCAGCUGAGAUUGACUUACAUAUAUUUAUUUGCAAACAGGUGUGAAAUGUGAUACAAUAAUUCAGAAAGCUAGACAUCCUGAGCCAUGCGAGGGAUAAGAAGAAGCUUCUCCUUACGGUGCACAUCCAUCCCAUACGACUCUGACAUAUCGACGCCUGUCGACCCCGGCAGAAGCUCCCAGUUGAAGUGGUAGAUGAGGUUGGCAAGAAUGAUUUCGAAAGUGGCGGUGGUGAAGUUUAUACCCGGGCACAUCCUUCGCCCAGACCCAAACGGCAAGAAACGGAAGUGGUUCCCCUGGAAGUCAGAAGCAGCAUCCACGGCUUCUUCCAUGAACCGCUCGGGCAUGAACUCCUCUGCACUCUCCCAGUAGGUGGAAUCCCUGCCUAGAGCCCACGCGUUGACGAUUACACGUGUCCCAGAGGGUAUGGUAUAUCCCUCCACCUCCCAUUCGGCCAUGGACAAGUGGGGUAUCAAAAGAGGCCCCGGCGCGUGUAGCCGCAUUGACUCUUUCAUCACCGCCGUCAGGUAGCUCAUGCCGCUCAGGUCUUGUUCAGUGACCAGUUCCUUCCCCUUGGUUGCGCACCCCCGCACCUCAGCUUGAAGCUUGGUCAUCACCUUGGGAUUCCGCAUCAGCUCAGCCAUGGCGUAGUCUAGUGCUAUGUAGGUUGUGUCCGUCCCAGCUUCAAACAUGUCCUACAUGAACAUAUCGGUAAGUAGAACUCCAAAUCAAAUUUAACCAAGCUAGUCCAUGAAACGUCUCAUAUGUACCUCUCGUGAAAAAUAAACAUACCAUCAGUAUUGCCUUGACGUUGUCUCUGGUCAGGCCGUACUCUUGUUGAACGGAGAGCAGCACAUCGAUGAAGUCCUCCUCGUCCUCACCAUCGACCGGCUUGGUCUUGUGCUUGUCGAUGAGGCUGUCCAAAAGGUCAUCCCAUAUCUUCCUGUGCUUCACGGCCUUGGCCGAUACCAAGUCCAACCUCGCCAAGCUCGGGAAAUAGUCGUCCAGGUUAAAUGCCCCCAGGAGCUUGGCGUUCGUCUCUAACAGCUCCCGGAACAGCUGGUUCCGACCUUGUUCCCUGGGGAGCCUGCCCGUCACGGCCUGGCACACGAUGUCGUUGGCGAAGAAGCUGAAGAGCUUGCUGACGUCGACCGCGAUGCCCAUGGCGGCGGCGGCCGUCACCUUGGCUAAAACCAGCUGGACCUCCUGCUCGCGGGCGGCGCGGUUGGACCGGACCUUCGCCGCGGUAAGGAGGUGGGUGGUGAUCACCUUCCUGGCCUGGCGCCAGUACUCACCGUAGGGGGCGAAGCCGACGUCGGUGCAGCCGUAGAACAGGACGUCGGCCACCGCGGAGUGCGGCCGGGAGGCGAAGACGUGGUCGUGCGUGCGCAGGACGGCCUUGGCGGCGCGUGGGGAGGAGACGACGAGCGUUGGCACGGCGCCGAGGCGGAGGAGCAUCACGUCGGGCCCGUGCCUCUUGGCGAGGUCGCGGAGGGAGUGGUGGGGAAGGGAUCCGAUGAGGUGGAGGUGGCCGAUGAUCGGGAGCUUGAACGGAGGCGACGGUAGCUUCCGGAGCAGCUUCUCUGUUCUUGACCUUGGUGUUGCCAAGUGCACGGCGACGAGGAAGAGGAAGAAGAGGAGGGCUAGGGACUCUGGAGAUGCGUGUUCGUAGAGGUGCGCUAGCGCUGGAGCCGCCAUGGCUGAUCAACUAGUGUGCACAACACACGGCUUGCUAGCGCAACAAGUUAGAACCAGCUCGUUGCAGUUUUUGUAGAGCUCGGAAGUCGUGAUCCGUCAGACAGCAAGAAGAGUAUGCUAUUUUUUUCUUUUCUGCAUCAUCACUAGAUCAGAUCAGACAGGACCGACCAGAUCUGAUCUUUUAUGAGAGAAUCCUAUCGAAUAAUCAUCCUUUUUAUUAAACUGCACCCGACGCAGACUUUCUUUAUUUGCCCAUGUGCUAUUAUAUAUUAAUUUUUAUCUCGACUAUAUACCACUGUCCUCAUGUAUGUUGUGUACCAAGAGGAACACGAGACGAUCGAGAUUCCAAUAAAAUAUGUGUUUGGUGCUGGAUUAAUUGGCAUGCUUUUCUCUCAGAUGAGCUGCGUGUAGUGACAGCGGCGCUCGCAAUAGUUGGUCGGCGCACUGGUAGACGGGCAGCUCAUGGAUGCUACCGACGGCUCUGCAACUUGAUGCAGUUCAUGCACGCUGCUGGGUGGCACCCAUGGUGCGAUAUGGCAUUGGCAUUGGCACUGUGGCGGCGGAUCCGACCAGUAGCAGAAGCUCGCACAAGUCUAAAUGUAUCUAACUUUGAUGAAUUUUAAUUUCAAAUCUAUGGAGGCUUUUGAGCUCGAACUAAUUGAAAUGGAUCACACUUUAGUAGUGCUUUCAACAUAAAAAAUUGACACAAAUUAUGGCGGUGAGCAGUCUGCCUAGCCCAGGCAGAAAAACAAAGGCUUGAAACAAACAAGCCCUUGGUGUGUGCCUGAUAGUCAUAUGUUCGAAACUCCGAUCCUGUCGCCCUUGAUUAAAAUUCAUAGUAGAGACCCAUUGAGGAUUAGCCCUGGCAUCGAUCCGGCCACAGGAGAGACCGGGAGCCAAGAAGUGAAGUAAGUUGCGUGCGUGCCUGACGGCGAGGAAGCACCUCCAUUGAGCCACGAGGUGGAGUACGAGGCAGAGGCGAGAUGGGAUGUGUUGGGGACAGACUCACAUGACGGAGAGCGGUGCAUCUCCUACCUACCAUCUGCCAUUGCCGAGGGCCUUUCACCAUGCACCACUCCGGUUCGCUCUUUUGCGUCGCUGGGAGGAAAGGGACUGCCGAGCGUUGGGUGCCGCCACCGCUCCUGUGUAGUUCGCCAUGGCCACCUCCUCCGAGAGCGCCCACACCAGCGCUGCACCUCAUUCCAGGGAUGGGGCAGCCACUGCUGGGUCACAUCCACCCGGGGAUUGGGCCGUUGCCGGGGAAUAAGAGGAGCGCGGCAGAGAGGAAAAGGAGAAAACAGAGGAGACGUGACUGACAGGGACGGAGGAAAGAUGAUGAGUGCGUACGGUGGGGCGGGUAGGAAACACAUCGGUAAAAAUGGAAUUGGUUUUUUGGUAGAAACAUUUUCUAACUUGUGGUUUUUAUGGGUCUCCACCUUAUCCUCUCUCAAUUGCAUGAUAGGUGGGUCCGACAUGAGCGGUAAGGUGGUUCUGGUUUGGGUGAGAAACGUUUCCAAUUAUAAUGGAAAACAGGCUUCGCGGAGGCUCAAACACAAUGAGGUUUGAGCAGUCCAUGCAAUUCAAUUCCAAAGAAAUGAACAUAUGUUUACAUCAGGGUAGGGCUCUCCUUUUAUAGUAUCUCGGAGGACAUUUUGCAUUCCGCAAUUACCCUCACUCACCCACUACAAUCCUAGAAUAUGCUUUACAUGGAGGUAACUUGUAUAACUUGGUCUCCUCCUUGGAUCACGCUUCUCACGCCUUUAGUCAGCUCCAUGAUUCACGCUCUCACAUGGUUCCACAAAUCACGCCUUCACAUUUCCAACGCCUCCACGCUUCCUGACCUCGUGACCGAAGCCAUCUUAGCUUUGGGAGUCAUGAUCGCCAUAGAUUCGCACCUAAGAGACGCUAGCCUCGCGCCCUGCUCCUUGACCUGAUUCAGCGAUCCUGCAUGAGACACUAAAUAACUCAGCACUCGAGGUUAGCUUCGACUGCUCGAGGUCAAGCUUGGUUAGUGUCUGGCGAUCUGUGAUUGCCUCCGGGCUUCGAGGUAAGAUUCAGGAUAGCAAGGCUAUGAUUACUUUCCACGCCAGAUUAACCACCCAAGGUUAGGGGUCCUCACCCGAGGUUAAUUAUUUUGAGGGGCUAAGCUGUUGACGCUAAAUGUAACGACCUCGAGGGUGACCAUCUUUUUGGGCGAUCCCCAACAGUAGCCCCUCAUGGGCAAGGCUUGACACCGACAACCGAACCCGCGACUUAAGGAUCUGCUCCCAAAAAACAUCACCCUCAAGCAUCGGUUAGAAAUGAGCCGACAGUUACCUUUUUGGUCUUACGUGUUGAUUUCCUAUUGGGUGACCCUUCGUAUCUAGCUCGUGGUUAUAGGCGCCAUUUCACGCAUUUUACCAUGCCUAUAAAAGAGGGGGGUGGGGUCGCUUUCGUUUUUACCCUCGCGGCUAAAACCCUUGCGCUCCUGCUUUUGCUCACUGCUUCCGUGCUUUAAGAUUCAUGCAUUGUAUGCUGUUCUCCUUGGUCUCGAGGAUCUCGAAGGUAACAAUGUUACUUGUGUCUCUCUUUUAGUGUGAGAUUUUCCCUUGCUUGUCAUUUUGGAGAUGAUGUUUCGAUGCCUUGCAGCUGGCUCGUAUUAUGCAAACCGCUAGGCCCAUGACAUCAGAAGAGUUCACUAAACAAGCUGGGCUUCGCAAUGAGGCUGCGGAGGACCAGGAUUUGUACAAGGCCGACGAGAAGCAAGGAAUCAAGAGGAUUGAGCUUUCUUAUGCCCAGAAGAAUAGGUGAGAAGACAAUUGGCUAAGCUACUAGUUCUAUAUCAAGAUUGACAGGGCCGAUGCGUCUGGUAUCAACCGAUCUUUCUAUCCUUCUAUGCACCCCUGGGCCCUAUGGAUAUUGCUACUACCCCUGCAUUUACAAGGUCCAAGGCAGACAAGGAGUGCAAGGGCGCUUUCCUCCCGGACUCGAAGUCGAUACCCGGCUGGAUCUUGUUGAAGAGUUUUUGGCAGCCAAUAUUUGGCCCCUUUCUGAUGGGUGGAGUCCAUUGGAGAUUGUGCCAAAAGACGUUCUGUGGAGUACUAGCCCGCUCCUCUACCCUUGCUUUGGAGUGGAGCUGCCCGUGGAUGCCAACCCCGGUCUUUUUGCAGAGGAUGUUGAGAGGCAUGCUGUUGAUAUAAUUGGCCCGAGUACUGAGACUUAGCUGAUGUUAGCUCGAAAGAUCAUUGCACACGAGCUUCGGGUCAACCGUGUGUUCGAGGAACUUGGGGUCGAUGUUAAGCCUCAUCCCAAACCUCGCAAGACCUUGAAAUGGGCACGAGAGUCUGGCGCGACAGGCUCGGAAUAGGUUGGCAGCAGUGGCAGGUGGAAAAAGAGAAAGGCCGAGAGCACCGCUCCUAAGGCCACGGCAGUGACUUCAAAGAAGGAUGACAGCCAAUCAAGGGUCGUGCUCGAGGUGCGAAAGCAAAAUUAAAGACCUCGAGCCUCGAAGAUUAGAAGAAGUAAGAAAAAAUUGGACAAAGUUCCUCGAGCGAGGCUGCAAAAUCCUCCGCGCCCCUGUCUCUAAAGCCAUCCGAGUUGCGACCAAGUCCGAACUCGAGGCUGCCGGCGCGCUGGCCGGUAUGAAAGAAAAGAAGUCUAUGAGGAAGUCUCACAUCGGCAAAGCCUUUGAUGAUGAUGAUGAUAUUGUUUUGGAUGUGGACUUGUCUAUGUUCCCUAUAUCGGUCCCCAAGGCUAGUGUUCCUUCAAAGGAGACUGAGACUAAGGUUGCUGCACCCCCUCUACAGCACAAGGCCAAACCUUUGAAGGAGAAGAUCGUGGAUACCAUUGCUAAGGAGAUUAAGGCAUCUACUUCGAAGGUGACAAAGCCAGGUAAACAUGUCGUUGUACAUUUGCGUAGGAUGAGAUUUUUUGAUUGUGGUGAUGCGUCAUUUAGAUUUCUGAUGGAGCUGGAAAAAACCACUGGUGCACCUUGGGAGAUAUACAGGGAACCUCCUCUAAUAUUUAGGGUAAAACCUCAUUCUGCAGAUUCUGAACUGUCACCCUCUCUGGAACGUUACAACGAGGCCUACGGCACCAACCUUAGACAGGAGCUCAUUGCUGUUCAUGUGCCGGGUUCAGGUGAGGACGAUAAUCGCUACAACCUACCCUUGUUGUGGGGAGCUAAGGAUGGGAUGCGUGGUGUAGAUAGAGCAGCCAAGGAGGUUUUCAAGAUGUCUGAGCGGGUUGUCGGUGAGGUUGGUGGGCAGGGAGAAAGGGAGGAAGGCGAGGUUAUCCCUACUCGAGGUCUUGGGAAAUCCACUGUGCCUUUUGAGGUUGAUUACGAGGACAAGUCUUUUAAUCCUGAGAGUAAGCGCUUGCUCCUUAGUUUGUUUUGUCUGUACUUAAUUUCUACUUUGCUAUGCUUUGACAUGCCUUUCUUUUGACAGAGUAUGAAAAAUCAGUUAGGCGUUUCGAGCAAAAGGACUUAGCUAGGAUGUCAGCUACCAUCGGAUACAAGGUAUUUUGUUCGACGCUUGCUAUUUGUUUCUUAUCUCUCUUUUUUUACGAGGCUUUUCAUUUUGGUGUUUCGAUUUUGCAGUCCAUCAUCCUUGGGAAGAUGCUAUGGAGAAGGCUGCGGCUAAGGAAAAGAGCAUGCUAGCCGAGAGCACGAAGAUGAUGCAGCUAGAGGCUAGAGUUGCAAAGCUUGAGGAGGAAAGCAAGGUUUUAUAUGCCUUGAAGAACGAGCUCGCCGAUUCUAACUCUGACCUUAAAAAGAACAACGUGCUGCUAACAAAUACCUACAGCGAGCUGGAAAAAAGACCCGAAGACAAUCUUGGUGUUUUGGAGAAACUCCGAAGCGCCACAGAAAAAGACGUACAGACUAUCACAGAGCAGGAAAAAAUGAUUCAUACCCUUGGUCAGGAUCUCAAAGAGCAAAAGACCUUUGUUGUGGAAGCAGAGCGGGCUCUCAAGGAAAAGUUCGUUGAGAUCUAUGAGGUGUACAAAACUGCUCUUGCAAAGUUUGGCGCAGAGCCUCUUUUGUUUCUGGGUGAUGAAAGUGUAAAAGAAAUAUUUGAUUGGGUGGAAGAGGAGUUCAAAGGCCUGCCCGAGGUUAUUACUGGUAGCAGCAACUUUGCUGCUUCCUUCUGCCUUGAUAGCGCAUUUCAACUCCUUGAAAAGAACAGCUACUCUCAUUUCUUAACACUCGCGGCUCGCACCUAUAUGUUCCCCUCGGCCUCGGAGCUUGAUGAAGAGGAGAAAUCUAAAAAUUUGAGAGCCACGAAGAUAAAUUUCUUCAAACAGCUUUGGGCUACCUCCGGGCGAGAGUACACAAGGCUGGUUGCUCAAGAGCGGCUUGCACAGGUUAGGGUUCACAUAACUUUGUAUUUCAUAAGGUUUGCAUUUUUUCUGUUGAUUUCCUGAUGUUGUUCCUCUUGUGUUCGUAGGCCAAGGCAUAGGAAGCAAAAGGCGAAGGUGGGAGCGAGAACGAUGAUGCUGAUCAAGGAGGGCAGUGAUUAUCGAAGCUAGUUAGAGAUUUGUUUUGUGGUUUGGGAUGUUUUGAUAAACUUGAUACUUAGUUGGCUGCUUUUGCGGGCCAGAUUGUAAAUAUUUGUUGCUCAGCCGGAACUUACAUGCUCGAAGCUGGUUACUUUUGGCGUUUGUACCUUCACAGAUUUCUUUUUAUCUUAACGUUUUUAUGUUUGAGUUAUUCUACUCAAAUGGAAACAAAGCUGUAGCUUAAAGAAAUGAGCAAUGUUUUAGUUUAAAACGUCACCCCUGCCCUAGUUUCUUUAUGCGUAGGUUUUUGUUGACUUUGCACGCUUGUUGUCUAAGCUUAAACGGAGCUUAAAAACGUCACCCCCUUCUUGGCACGUGGGUCUUACCCGAGGCAAUUGUCUCAUGGAAAGAGGAUGAAAAUGAUUUUUGUUUGCCAAAAAAUGUCACCCCCGCCCUUUUAUCCUUUUUCCGAAAAAACAUCCAACCUCGCCCUUUUCUUUUGCAUGAACGAGGUUAAGUGAGUAUUGACAAACCACAAGAUAAGUCAAUAGAGAAGUUGUUUUCGAGUUAUGUUGACUUAAACAUAUGAUAGUUUGGUUGAAAUCGCAACCCUUAGUUGCUUCAACCAUGAAAUUUUGCGAGGUUGAGAAAAUAGGGAAAUAGGGUGCCUUUUUUGAAAAAAUGUCAGUCUUUCUAUUCUAUUGUGAGAGCUUUGGCUGAGGCUAGGGCCUUCGUGCGAAAGGACAAAAUGAAUUUUCGACUCUGAAAAACGUCACCCCCCUUGUCCUUUUGCGCAGAGGGGGUUUAGACUCAGCAUGGCUUAUUCCGAGUGUUAUCGCUGCCUUUGAUCGCUUGCUGCAGCCUUUCUAUUCUCUGAGUUGCAAGUUCAAGGCCAAUCACUGUGGUGUUUGAGUGAGAAAAUACGUUUAUGUGCAUAUAGUGUGCGUUCAAUGUUAGACUAUGCAGCUUAUUUCUACUUUAAAAUAUCUUGCGCAGAAACGUAGGUUUCAGUAGUAUGUAAUUAAUCUUGACCGUCGGAUAUGUUUAUACUAGUCAUUUUCGAACACAAGUAUAGUCUAGUGUUGUGUUUCGUAAAAUAGCUCAUAUAAUAUGUUAUAAAACUUAUUUGUGAAAGCUAAAGGCAGCAACUGGGGAUAAAUUCCAGAAUAGGUAAGAACAGAAAUUUAAAAGGGCAAAAUUUGUUGAUGCAUGGAAAUGCAUAGAAUACUUAUUGGAGCCAAGGCUCUUUUAGGUCCAUGGGCUAUUUAUGCCCCCUCCACUCGCCCAUUCAGAGUUGCUGGACUGUCCAUACAUCUAUUGAAGACCAAGGCUCAUCAAGUGACCAAUGGAGAAACCACACAUCCACCGUGAUAAUUUUAGAGCAUCCAGGUGACGAUAUUCAAUGCGCUCAAAUGGUGGUAUUCAACUUAGAAAAAAUAGUAGCACCAGAAGAUCUGAGAGUCAUUGGAGCAACCAUCGGAGCAAUUGGUACAACUGAGAAGUCAGCUUGAGUUGCAGCAAGCACCAAAUGAUCCGACGGGGUCCUUUUCACAAGCGUCGGAGCAAUUCGCAAAGAAGACGUAGAAAGACCUAUAGCACCAGAUAUUCCGAUGACUAGAAGAUGAAGGCUUUGGACCAAGAAUAUUUACUUUGAAAAUGUCAAGAGAGUUUUUAGGAAAAACUCCUUCAGCACCGGAUGAUCCGACGUUAUGUCGGAUGAAUUUAGGUAGAGGUGCAACGGCUAUAUGCGUCAGCAGGGGGCAUGUCACACCCGAUUUUAAGGACAAAACCGAGUGCUUUCAAUCCAUGUGCGCCAGAAACAAGUUACACACAUGUACGACAUAAGUGAAUAACAAAGGCAGUGCCAAAGCGAAUAAAGAGAGUAUUAAACUUUAUUACAUGACCGAAAGUCUCAAUAAAACACAAGCCUAACUUAUUACGCAGCGGACUCUGAAGACGACGAUGAUACCACAGGCAGCUGACUGAAGAACCGUACGCCUAGAACUCCUCAAAGUCGUGCAGGUACUCCUCCAGAUUAUCUUGGUCUGAACAACGGUUUUGCAAGGGUGAGUACAAUUAUGGUUGGUACUCAACAAGUCGUGGGAAAUAGUGUAGUGUAACACCAACCAAGGUAUGGCUAAGGCUAAACAGCAUCAGCUUUUAAUUAGGUUGGUCAAAUUUUAUUAGCAAUUAACUAAGUAUAAGUUUAUACCACCCCAAAUUAAACAUGAACAUAAAUAAAGUAAACAACAUAUGCGCGGUAUGACAACAAUUUAAGUCCAUCUUUCGUUAGUAUUAUCAUGUGAGGGUCCAGGCCGCUCUUAACCGUGAGCACGGUUGAUCGAUCAGUUUUACACUCUGCAGAGGUCGCACAUCUUUACUCACAAGUCGCGUAAAAGUUCAAAAGAACUUUGGACCCAACCAUGCGGUGUUUGCAAGGCACCAUACCACACUUCCGAGGUGUGAUUGCAUAGGGAUGCUACGAGGCCUUUACAAAGAUUCAUUAGUCAGUGGUAACCCGCUAAGGUUUCGGUGUCUGGCGUGCACAACCUAUCACAGGACAAUGAUGGAACGACUCAGUCCCCCCUCUUGCCUCAUCACGAGUAAGAUUACUCCAGACUAAGGUUUCUAAUUAUUUAGCCAAGUCCAGAGCCAAUUAGUAUUGUGGUAGCACUAUUUUCCUGGGUGGCUCUCCAUGUUCCGAUUAAACUUUUGUGAUCUUGUAUUAAUGAAAGGUAUAACAGAAGUAAAGCAAGAUUAAUCAUUGAGUUCAGUUAAACCAACUUAUCCUAAGUAGGAACUAAGCAUGAGCUACCCAACAUAAAAGUAAACCCGGUUGGUCAAGGCAAAGGUAAAUUCAAUCUAGGCAAACCUUAAUUGGGACCCAUCAAUUUAAUCUUAACAAGGGCAUAGCAUAAUUGUUGAGUACGAGAAAGUAAAAGUGUAUAGGACUGAGAAGUAGUGAUCAAGGACACGACUUGUCUUCUUGGCCUUGCUCUUGCUGUUCGUACUCCUCGAAGGCUUGAUCUUCAAAUCCCCCGAAUUGCUAAACGUCUAUACACAUCACACGAGCACAUACAAGCAAACAAGGGCACAAAGUAAGAAAACAGUACACCAAUCACAACUAAACAGAGAAAACAAGCUUGAAAAAUUAAUCUACGCUUUAAACAAACACGUGGAUAUAAAGAACGCGAAAAAACGGAGUUAAGAUGCAACAGAUAUGAUUAAAACAAGAUACAGGGGCUUUUCUGUGAGAAAAACAAAACUUCUAGGGUCGAACUGCAGAAAACCGAGGGCUUAUACGUGAUUAUGCCUAGAAACCGAAGGUUUAACACGCAAAAACGCAACUUAGGAUGGCGGGUUGAUUUUACAGUCAGGGUCUAAACCGAAAGAAAACAGGACCAAAACAAAAUUAUUUUUCAACUAGAUUGGACUGCGGGUUGAUUUAUGGAAGGCCAGGGCUUAAGUGCAAACGAGGUGCAGCGCGGCGCGAUUUACCGUUAUGCGAUCCGGUUGACUCGCUGCGGGACGUCGGAUUUGGAUCUGACAGUCUCGGUCGUCGGCAACACCGAAGCGGCGGCGCACCAGUCGGCGGGUGGCUAUGAGCGGCGGCGGUUCGUCGGAAUUAGCCGAUAUGGCGCUCCGGGGCUCGGUUUCGCGCACGGAAAACACAGGAAGCAUGAGAAAAGAAAGGCGAUCCCGUUUUGGUGGUUCACGAUGACCGAGGCUCACCGGAAGGCGGCGGCGGAGAGAGGGUGGCGGUGCUGGAGCUUUGGUGGCAGCGCUUGGUAGGGUUUCGGGGGCGCUAUUGCGGCGUGCUCGAGGUCGCGGGGGGGGGGGGGGGAGGGGGGGGGGGGGCGGGGCGGCGGCUUAUAUAGGAGCGGAGUCCGCUGGCGGUCGGAGUGGAGUCCUAGCCGGAUACGGCCGGAGGACGGGGAUGACGGGUAGGUCCCAGCUGUCAGACCUGCGGAAGGAGGCCGCUGCCGCUGGGCAAGCCGACAGAGUGGGCCGAGCGAGCGACAUGGGCUGGCAAGGGAAAGAGGGAAAGCAGCAGCUUCGCGGGCCGAAGGAAAAGGCGGAGCGGGCCGGGGGAGCUGGCGGCGCUGGGCUGCAGGAAAAUAGGAUCCGGGCUGAAAGAGUAUGGAGGAGGAGAAGGAUGCAGCCCAGGAGGACGAAGAGAAAAGAGGGAAAGAAAUAUUUUUAAAAUUGAAAUUGAAAUUGAGAUUCAAAUUUGAUUCAAACACAAGCAAUCAAAAUAAAUGCACCAGCUACGGCCCCUCGUCCACGAGCUAGGGCGCCGAGGCUCGCGAACCACGGAGGAGCUCCUCAACAUUGCCACCAGCUACGCCUCGGGCGAAGAGGCCGUUGGAGCGAUCUUCGACCGCUCCAAAGGUAAGGCAAAGCGGGAGGAGGAUGCCGAUGAGGGCACCUCCAACCGCUAGCAGAAGAAGAAGGGCAAGCAGCGGCGCGAGGCCCCCCUCGUAGCUGCUGUCGAGCGCAAGCGAGGACAGCCACCCCCGGAGGGCACUCCUGGCUUCUUCGACAAGCUGCUUAAGGGACCGUGCCCGAACCACGAGUUCCCCGCGAAACACGCCUACAAGGACUGCAAGCUCAUGAAGAGGUACUUCGUAGGCAACCCAGUGAAGGGCGACCGGAAGCGGAAGCCUAAUGAGGAGAAGAAGGGCGACGACGAGAAGGAAGACGGCUUCCCCAAGGUGGACGGCUGCUUCAUGAUCUUCGGCGGCCCGGCGGCGUACGACUCCAAGCGACGUCAAAAGCUGGAGCGCCGAGAGGUUUACGCGGCCGAGCCGGCAACGCCGGCCUUCCUCGACUGGUCAGGAUCGGCCAUCACCUUCGACCGGUCCGACCACCCGGGAUGCGUCCGGCAUCCAGGAAGCUACCCCCUCGUCGUCGAUCCCAUCAUCGGCAGGACGCGCCUCACCAAGGUGCUCAUGGAUGGGGGCAACGGCCUCAACAUCCUCUACGCCGAGACCCUCGACGCUAUGGGGAUUGACCGCUCCCGCCUCCGCCCCAGCAAGGCACCGUUCCAUGGCGUCGUGCCGGGAAAACAGGCGAUGCCCCUCGGGAAAAUCGACUUGCCCGUCACUUUCGGGACCCCUUCCAACUACAGGAAGGAGGUCCUCACCUUUGAAGUGGUGGGGUUCCGCGGAACCUAUCACGCCAUCCUGGGGCGACCAUGCUACGCGAAGUUCAUGGCCAUCCCCAACUAUACCUACCUCAAGCUCAAGCUGCCGGGGCCCAACGGGGUCAUCACCGUCGGCACGUCUUUCCAAAAGGUGUAUGAGUGCGACGUGGAGUGCUGCGAGUACGCCGCAGCCAUCACCUUCAUGGGGGAUCUGGUGGUCCAGCUCGCGGAGGGCGCCGAGGACCAGCCCGACUCCAAGCAGUCGGCCACCUCCUUCGAGGCCACCGAAGGCAUCAAGGAGGUCCUCCUCGACCCCAGCAGCUCCGACGGCAAGACCGUGCGGAUCGGCGCUACCCUAUCUCCCAAAUAGGAAAGCGCGCUCGUCGGCUUCCUCCGCGCGACCAGCGACGUCUUCGCGUGGAAGCCCUCGGACAUGCCCGACAUUCCGAGAGAAGUCGCCGAGCACUCCUUGAACAUCAAGGCUGGCUCCAAGCCAGUGAAGCAAGGACUGCACCGCUUCGAUGACGAGAGGCGCAAGGCCAUCGGCGAGGAGCUCCAGAAGCUUUUGACGGCCGGAUUCAUCAAGGAAGUGUACCACCCCGAGUGGCUAGCUAACCCUGUUCUUGUACGAAAAAAGAAUGGUAAAUGGAGGAUGUGUGUUGAUUAUACCGGUCUCAACAAAGCGUCCCAAAGGAUCCAUUUCCUUUGCCACGCAUAGAUCAGAUAGUCGACUCGACCGCCGGGUGCGAAACCCUUAGCUUCCUUGACGCGUAUUCUAGCUACCAUCAGAUCGCGAUGAAAGAAUCCGACCAGCUCGCCACCUCUUUCAUCACCCCCUUCAGCCCCUACUGCUACGUUAAGAUGCCAUUCGGCCUCAAAAAUGCGGGGGCUACAUUCCAGCGAUGCAUGCUGAAGUGCUUCAGGGACCUCAUCAGGCAGACCGUUGAGGCUUACGUUGACGAUAUCGUGGUCAAAUCCAAGAGGGGCCACCAGCUUGUCCCUGACCUUGAACUAGCCUUCGAAAGGCUGAGGGAUAAGCGUAUUAAGCUCAAUCCCGAAAAAUGCAUUUUCGGAGUUCCAAGGGGCAUGCUGCUAGGCUUCAUCAUCUCCGUGCGCGGCAUCGAAGCCAAUCCGGAGAAGAUAGCGGCCAUCAGCGACAUGGGGCUAAUCCGAAACAUGAAGGGAGUCCAGCGCGUCAUGGGAUGCUUAGCGGCCCUGAGCCGCUUCAUCUCGCGCCUUGGCGAACGGGGGCUUCCUCUCUAUCGACUCCUGAAGAAGACAGACCACUUCGAAUGGACCGACGAGGCCCAGGAGGCACUUGACCGACUCAAGGACCUCCUAACGAAGGCCCCGGUCCUGGUCCCGCCGACCGACGGCGAGCCCCUCCUGCUCUACAUCGCGGCGACCACCAGGUGGUUAGCGCGGCCUUAGUGGUUGAACGGGAAGAGGAGGGACACGCUCUCAAGGUACAACGCCCGGUGUAUUUCGUCAGCGAAGUCCUGUCCGAGUCCAAGGCGCGUUACCCGCAGAUCCAGAAGCUCAUCUACGCCGUCCUCAUCACGAAGAGGAAGCUGCGCCACUACUUCACCUCCCACCCGGUAAUGGUUGUUUCGUCGUUCCCACUAGGCGAAGUAAUCCGGAACUAGGACGCCACGGGACGGAUCGUGAAAUGGGCGCUCGAGCUCAUGGACCAGGGUAUCACCUAUGCCUCCCGCACCGCCAUCAAGUCCCAGGUACUUGCCGAUUUCAUAGCAGAGUGGACGGAGAUCCAAAUUCCAUCAGCGCCGGAGAAGCAGGAGUACUGGACAAUGUACUUCGAUGGAUCGUUGAUGAGGGCCCGUGCCGGAGCAGGCCUCGUCUUCGUCUCUCCUCUAGGCAUGCGCAUCAGGUACAUGAUCCGCCUCCACUUUCCUGCAUCCAACAAUGUCACCGAGUACGAGGCCCUCCUCAACGGGCUUCGCAUCACCAUCGAGCUGGGCAUCCGCCGGCUAGACAUCUGGGGCGACUCCCAGCUAGUCGUCGAACAAGUCAUGAAGGAGUGGAGCUGCCACGACCCCAAGAUGGCAGCCUACUGCAACGAGGUUCGCAAGCUUGAAGACAAGUUCGACGGGCUGGAGCUCAACCACGUCGCAAGGCGCUUCAACGAAGCCGCCAAUGAGCUGGCGAAGGCAGCAUCCGGCCGAAUGCCCGUCCCCGAUGGUGUCUUCGUCAGCAACCAGUUCAAGGCUUCGAUCCAUUACCCAGAACCGGCGGGGGUCGGCGAAGCGCUACCGGCCCCGGGAUCAGGCCCCGACCUAGGAGAGGUUGGCAGCGCGCCACCCGUCUCAGGCCCUGACACCAGCCCUGACGGGGUAGGCGUCGCUUCGUCUGACUCGGCCUCGGAAGCCGACCCCUCCGGCCCCUUGGUCAUGGAAAUCGCGUCGGACCCCGCGGAGGGGCCCGACCCCCCGGCCGACUGGAGAGCCCCAUACCUCAACUACCUCGUCCGCGACACGCUCCCGGCGAACAAAAUGGAGGCCCGUAGGAUCGCGCGUCGCGCCAAAUCCUUCACCAUUAUCGAUCAGGAGCUCUACAAGAGAAGCCACACCGGCAUCCUCCAGCGCUGCAUCCUGAUCGAAUAGGGAAGGGCACUGAUCCAGGACAUCCACGCCAGAGCCUGCGGCCACCACGCUGCACCAAGGACCCUCGUCGGCAACGCCUUCCGGCAAGGCUUCUACUGGCCGACGGCGGUCGCCGACGCUACCCAAGUAGUCCGUACCUUUGAGGGGUGCCAGUUCUUUGCGCGCCAAACCCACCUGCCCGCGCAGGCGCUCCAGACCAUCCCCAUCACAUGGCUGUUCGCGGUCUGGGGGCUGGAUCUCGUCGGGCCCUUCAAGAAAGCGCCCGGGGGCUUCACCCACCUACUUGUCGCCGUCGACAAGUUCUCUAAGUGGAUCGAAGCAAGACCGGUGGCGCAAAUCAAGUCCGAGCAGGCGGUACAGUUCUUCACCGACAUCAUCCACCGCUUCGGAAUCCCCAACUCCAUCAUCACCGACAACGGCACGCAGUUCACCGGGAAGAAAUUCCUCCAGUUCUGCGAUGACCACCACAUCCGAGUGGACUGGUCGGCCGUGGCACACCCCCGCACGAACGGGCAGGUCGAGCGAGCCAACGGCAUGAUACUCCAAAGGCUCAAGCCACGGAUCUUCGACCGCCUGAAAAAGUUUGGCGGACGGUGGGUCGCCGAGCUUCCCGCGGUCCUUUGGAGUCUGAGAACAACCCCCAGUCGGGCGACUGGCUUCACCCCGUUCUUCAUGGUCUACGGGUCCGAGGCCAUCUUGCCGACCGACCUGGAAUACGGAUCGCCGAGGGUCAAAGCGUAUGACGAACAAGGGAACCAGGCAUCGCUUGAAGAUGCACAAGAUCAGCUCGACGAGGCACGCGACGUGGCCCUGCUGGACUCGGCUAAGUACCAGCAGGCCCUACGGCGUUACCACAGCCGCAAGGUGCAAGGCCCAGCCUUUAACGUAGGCGACCUGGUGCUCCGCCUCGUCCAGGAUAAUAGGGGUCGGCACAAGCUAACUCCCCCAUGGGAAGCUCCCUUCAUCGUCGCGCAAGUACUACGGCCAGGCACCUACAAGCUAGCGACCCCCGACGGGUAGAUCUUCGGCAAUGCUUGGAACAUAGAACAGCUAAGGCACUUUUACCCCUAGUUUUCAUUUCCAAGUUCUGUACGUAGACUCGUCUGUAAAUUUCGAAGUUUUCUUUUUGCGGAACAAGAAAUUUUGAACCAGUUUUGUUUAAGAUUUUCCCGUCGAGCUCAGGAAUAUCCAACCCUAGCUUCGCUCCAGGGUCGCAUAUCCCUCGAGGGCUAUCAGGGGCUCUGGCGCAAGCCACUUGGCACCAUCUGAAAAACAUUUUUUCUUCCGAACCGAGCCCCCCUUUCUGAACUUUUGGGCACAAAAAGGAGAGAGUGCGCAAACGGUGUUCAGGCAAGAUUGAUUGGACUGCGAAAAACCUACGCCCCAGCGGCUACGGUACCUUCGCUCAUCAAAGCUUACUGACAUGCCCGACAACGCACUCCAGACUUUCCAAGUCCAAAAAAAAAGAAAGGGGAUUGGAAACUGGUGCACGACAAGUUAUAGGAAAGGCCUCUAUGGCCAUCACAAAACAAGUCUGAAACUAAUGUAUUUACAUCUAGGGCACCAGCUCGACACAGUUAGCUCGCCGGGGGAUCUUCGGGAGGGAUGGCCUCAUCCUCCAGGAGCUUCGCCAAGGCCUCCGCCGGGGUGAACACCGACGCGUCGAUCUCGUCCAGCUCAGCCUCGGAGUAGCCAGCGGCGUACCCCCGCUCAUCCCGGCGAAGUUGAUGCCAGAGUAGUGGGAGCCGAAGACCCCGAAGGCUCGCCUCACGCCGGUGUGGAGCGCCUCCAGGGCGAUCUCAUGGGCUCGACGGUAGGUCCCGAGGACAUGAGUCGCCAGCGAGCUCGUCUCCUCCUCAUGGACCACGCUGAGCCCGUCACAGAUGACGCGGACCGCAUCCUGCAGGUUGCCGUGCUCAGCGCGUUCCGUGGCGAGCGCCUCCCUCAGGAGGGUAAGCUCGCUUGCAAGGAUCACCCAGAAGAACCCGCUAAAUCGAAAAUCACCGCAACAUCACAAAGACAAAGAAAUGAACAGAGUCUUACCCUCGGACUGGGCCUUCAGCUGGCGCUCCCGGUCGAGCCCCUGGGCCACGGAGGCCUGAAGCUCCCGCGCUUGCGCUUGAAGCUGACCGACCUCCGCCCCAAGGUCGGCCGCUGCCUUCUUGGCCUCCUCCUUCCGGACCUUCUCGGCGUCCCGGUCCUGCCAAGCCUUUUGCCGCUCGCGCCGGAUGCGCUCGACGGUCUUCUGGAGGGCUUCAUGCUCCCCCUUCACCCGUGCGAGCUCCUCGGCGUCGUGGCAGGCCUUUUCGGCAGUGGCCUGGAACUCCUCACGGUCGAGGCGGGCCUUGUUGACGACGGCUUGGAGUUUGGCUUCCGACCGCCGCACCUCCUCAUGCGCCGCCUGCUCGCGCCUCAGCAGGUCGUUAAUGGCCCCCUGGGCAGCGGCAACCUGCAUGGUUAGGUCCCUGGUUCGCUCCCUCUCCAAGUUGAAGCGCUCCCAGAGCCCCCGCUCCAGCUGGGGGAAAUCAGAUUGCCCCCGACUGCACUCUUGGAGAGCCUACAAAGCAAUACACCAUCAGGGGCAAGGCAACGGGAAAGGGACAAUCACCGACAGAAGGGGCAACGUACUUGGCUACCAGGGAGGAUGACGUUGUCCAACUACCCCAACACCGAGGAUAGAGCCGCGCGGGCAUUGGCGAGGCUGCCCUGCACCGCCUGCCACUUGCGCUACUCCGCGGCGUCGUCCAGGGUGAAGAGGUGCCUCGGCGGGUCCUCACGAGACGUCCAACGCAGGACAGACCCCCUCCACGCCCUGGGGAUGUAGGUGGCCAAAGCCAAAGCGGGAGCCGACCCGGAAGCCGCCGGGUUCGCCGACGGUCCCGGCGCCUGCGCAUCUGUCGAUGUCAGGGCCACUGCGGACCCGCUCAAUGGCGCCACCGCCUCCGACGCAGGCGGCGGGAUAAGUACCCCCGCAGCCACCUCGCCCUCCGCCGCAACCGCCGAGGCAGGCUCCUCCGCCCCUGCCGGAGCCCCUCGAGCGGGCACCUCCGCCUCCGCCGCCGGCGCCGCCUCCACCGGGACCUCCGGGGCGGAGGUCCCCGCCUCCGUCAUCGACGCCUCCACCGCCGCGGCUGCGGAGGCAGGCACUCCCUCCCCUGUCGCCGCCGCCGUUCCCGUCGCGGCUGCUGGGACACCCGUCCCUGCUCCCGUCGCUGCCGUCCCCUCCGCCUCGUCGGCGUCGAGGUCGAUCACCUCCCUGGUCUGAGGGCCCUGGGGAACGAUGCUCUGCACCGAAGGGUCGACCAGGGAAGCGGAAGGCGGAACGGGGUCCACGCCCUCUCCCGCACCCGAUGGCGCCGCCAAUCCACCGGUCGCCGUCACGGGGGCCGCUUCCGCAGCGGGAUCCGCGACCUCACCGGGGACCCCACCGCUCGCCGCGGGCGGGACCGCGGUUCGCCCCGCAGAGGCAGACGACACCCGCAGCGCCUUUUUGGGCGCCAGCUGCAGGACGAGGCCAUGGGGGGCGGCGCUGUGGAACAACAAAUAAAUGUUAGCUGAAACGAACGCAAGGUAGGGAAAGGAGCAAGGUUCACGAGGAAAUCCAACUUACGUUCCUCCGGAGCAAGGACGGCGCGCGCGCUUUGCCUCAAAGCCGGACGCCGACCCCGGGGCAUCCGGCAGCGGCCGCUUGUCGCCACUCCUCUGCUCUUGGGUCUCAGGCGCGACGGUGGGGGUGGGCUCCGUGGACCUCCGGGGAGCGCUCCGCGUUGACUCCUGGGGGGCGCCCCGCGCCGGCUCCUGGGCGACGGCGGGGGCGGGCUCCGUGGACCUUCGGGAAGCGCUCCGCACGGACUCCUGGGAGGCACCCCGCGCCGGCUCUUGGGCGACGGCAGGGGUGGGCUCUGAAGACCUCCGGGGAGCGCUCCGCGCCGACUCCUGAGGAGCGCCCCGCACCGGCUCCUGGGGGGCGCCCCGUGCCGACCCGUGGAGAGCGCCCCGCGCCGACCCCUGGGGCAUGGCGCCGGAACCUUGCGGAACCAUGCCCAAGGCAGACGAUCCCUCCGCCUCAUCCCUCACAGCUCUUUGCGGGCGCGCCUCCCGGAUUACGAGCGCACCCGACCGAGGGGAUAAGACCAGCUCUUCCUCCUCCUCAUCAUCAUCCUCAUCUUCCUCCUCGUCAUCAUCAUCAUCGUCGUCAUCGUCGUCCGACACGACCUGCCCUCUCCACCGCCGUUGGAACUCCUUGGCGGCCUUCUUCUUCUUUUUCGCCAUCUCCUUGUCCUUACGACGCUUCUGCUCUUCGGCAAGGAGACGGUUUUGCGUCCGCCGAUCGGCGUCCUCCGGCCUCCGGCGGGUGUGAGUCCACGACCCGGGUCAGCAUGCCCUACAAACACAAAAUGGCCCCGCAUCAGAGCGAUGACCAAGAGACACGAAAAAAGAAGGUCGGCGCCCCAAUCUCUUACCAGGUCGACGAAGCCCUCGUUCGGGCGCAUCGGCGGGUGCCCGGGCACCGGGUAUUCGGCGUCCUUGUCCUCCAACGCCUCCCGACUCUGCUGUUGGAUCUCGAAGGCGGCGAGCGCGCCCGCCUCCAGGACGGUGCCCUCGGUCGGUGCGCCCGGAGUCAUGGCGGCGAGCGAACGAACCCGGAGCAUCAGCGGCGCCACCCGCCGGGCAUGGUACGCCCUAAUGACCCCGGCGCCGUUAAGCCCUCUCCUCUUCAAUUGCUCGAUGGCCUGCAGCAGGUCGAGGAUCCGCUUCUUCUCCUUCUCGACCGGUCCGUACGACCACACCUCCGGCGCCACGUCGAUGGUGCGGCCGGUGAACCCCGGCAGGGGGGAGUUCGAGUAGUUCUUCACAUAGAACCACUGGUUGUGCCACCCCUUGUGGGACGCCGAGGUCUUCAUCGCCAUGUACUCCUUGGAGCGAGUAUGGUGGAGGUGAAUUCCGGCGCACCCGAUCGGCACCGGGGGCGACCGCUGCUGGUUCCCCCUCCUCUCCGUCUUCUGGUAUAGGCUCACCGAGAAGAAGUACUUCCACAGCGAGAAGUUGAGCUCGAUGCCCAGGAACCCCUCGCACAGUGCGACAAACGCCGUAAUGUGCUGGAUCCCGUUGGGGUUGAGGUGCUGAAGCUCAAGCCCGUAGUAGUGGAGGAGCCCGCAAAAGAAGAGGCUCGGCGGAGUCGCGAACCCCCGCUCGUGGAAGUGAGCGAAGGAGACGACGUAGCCGGCGGGAGGUGUCGGCACAUGCUCCGACCCCGGCAGCUCCCACUCGCCCACCUCCGUCCUCUCGCAGAGGACGCCUUUCCUCACCAGGCCUUCGGCGCGUGAGGAGUUGAAGUGAGAAAUCCCCCAGGAUCCCAUCGCCGGAGGAUGAAGGAACUUGACGGGGAUGGGAAGAAAGGGCGUAGCGCUGAAGUGGAGGAAGGCGAAGCGGGCGCGGAUGAGCUGAGGGCGAGUUCGGAGGGCGAAAAGACUUGAAAGCAGAAGGCAGGCGGAACCAGCGAGGCGGAGCCUUCAUUUUAUAGGGAAGGCGUGAAGGGAGCGGAACCGACGCCCUUGUCGCCAUAAAUGCGGCGCCAGGUACGCCCCCGUCACGCCCACUUUCUUUUCGGAAACCGCGCGCACGAUCGGCCGCAGAAACAUCCUCUCCUCCUCGAUUCGCGGGUCGGCACCCUCCAUAUCUCCGCCUCCCAUAAGACGCGCACACGACGUCCCCCACGUUCGGCCCAGGACGCAGCAUCCGCCCCGAUUUGGCCCAAGGCCCACUGAAAGGUAAUAAGGGAUACGGGGCUGAAAACGCCCCUACGGCCCAUUACGAUCCAGAGGUUCGAAGGCUGGCCCGCUACAGGUUCGACAGCUGCCUCAGGAUGCCCAUGAGCGAGGGGUGAGAAGGGACGGGUCCGCUAGCGACCAUAACCCGGGCGCGUGACGGCCCCAGGUGUCUCAAACUCACAUUCGAGUCCAGACCGGCAUCAAAGUUCAUGGUUUUUCCACGAGGAAAGGCAACGAGCCCCCGGAUCCGACCGAACAAACUCGGGAACUACAUGAACCGGCCGGCUAGAGCCUGGGGUACGCCACCAGCUUGGCCCUAGCCGGACCCCCCGAACGGGGACCGGGACUCCACUCGAACCGACCCGUUCGCAGCUCAACGAGCACCACGGUUCGUCCAAUGAGGAUAGCGUGGCACGUCUCAUCCCCUCCGUCCCAGCGAACGGAUGCUUGAGGGGUAACGAUCAAAAGCCGAUCUAGCCUCCCGAUCGGUCUCCGGCAACGUGCGGGGGCUCGGGGGCUAGCAUCGCAACCAAUAACCAUGCGUGUGGUUGCGAUUUGGAGACUCGAGGCGGUAGCACCCCACGGAGCAAUGAGGAGUCUCGCCACGCCAAGUCAUCCACAGGACACCUCUCCUGAUCAAACUCCCUGGCCCAGUCGGACCAACAACACUCCCCAUCCCUGGUCAACUACGGCUUGCAGGGCGAGCAGAGAUCCCCGGAGGGUGGCGAAAAAAGCCUCUGGAGGAACAUCUUUGCUCCACCACAGGCUCAGGGGCUACUAUUGGGGAAAAAUAUUAACGACCUCCUAAUGCCGCUUAAAGCAACAGUCACGGAAGCCCAGGCCCAUCUAAGGUAACGAAAUUGCCGUCGGCCCAACAUGGAAGGGAGAGGCCACGUUCCGCCUCGCCCGACCCGGGGUCCCGGGGUCGGACGCCCCCGACUCCUUGAAGACUAAACUCUGCCUCGCCCGACCCCGGGGACCGGGGUCGGGAGCGCCCGACCCCCACCACGGAAAUUCCGCCUCGCCCGACCCUGGGCGCGGGGGUCGGACUCGCUCGGGUCCACAAGACGAAUAUCCACCUCGGGCGCGGACUGGAGGAUCAGGAUGACGAUCUCGUGGGUCCCCCUAUCGACCUCACCAUAAAUGCGCCGCGACCCUGUCAGGACAAAAGGGAGCAGCGCCCCCAACGCAACCGGUCCCGAAUACCGGUGCGCGGCCGUGCGGCGCGGGCUGCAGUGGCCGCGGCUCCUUCUCAUUCGCCACAAGGUACUCAUGAGCCGUGCCGAACGACACAGGAGGGCGCAUCGCUUGCUCUCACGCCCCGUGCUCCCAACGGCAGUGUCAGGGACGCGACGUGCGGGUCUUGCGUUAAUCGGCGGGGCAGCAGAAUCGGACCUCCUCCCCGGCGGGCACGGAUGCCGAGGCUGAGGCUCAUCAUCACGAUUGACAGCGACGGCGACCAGGGAGAUCAUCAACAAGAUUUGGAAGGAAUCACCCUCCCUCGCCGGACGCGCUGACAGGGACCGGGGGCCGGAACGAGAGCGGCGGCCUUGGGACAAUCCCCUUGUAUCAUUUUACUACUUGGCUUAUCCUUUCUACCUCUUCUCCGGACGCCCGGCUCCCUCUUGCGAUAUAAAAGGAGGACCGGGGAUCCUGGGACGGGGGACUCAGACUUUUUCCCUCAAGCCAACAGUACACUCUCGCACGCCCUUAGAGCACCAGCGCACUCAAGAGACCUGGGAUCAGUUCCGUCUCUCGCCCAUCUGUAACCCCUACUACAGAACCCCGCGUGGGUAAUACGAGCAGCCUCGAUACUGGACGUAGGGCUUCCUUUACCCGAACCAGUCUAACCCCGUGUCUCCCACGCCACCAUCCGAAGCCUUACAUACAUAAAAGAAAAUUUACUAGUCUAAGUCUUGAUCCGCAAAUCUUGACAACGACACUAUCACAGGACAAUGAUGCAACAACUCAGUCCCCCCUCUUGCCUCGUCAUGAGUAAGGUUUCUAAUUAUUUAGCCAAGACCAGAGCCAAUUAGUCUUGUGGUAGCACUGUUUUCCUGGGUGGCUCUCCAUGUUCCGAUUAAACGUUUGUGAUCUUGUAUUAAUGAAAGGUAUAACAGAAGUAAAGCAAGAUUAAUCAUUGAGUUCAAUUAAACCAACUUAUCCCAAGUAGGAACUAAGGAUGAGCUACCAAACAUAAAAGUACACCCGGUUGGUCAAGGCAAAGGUAAAUUCAAUCUAGGGAAACCUUAAUUGGGACCCAUCAAUUUAAUCUUAACAAGGGCAUAGCAUAAUUGUUGAGUACGAGAAAGUAAAAGUGUAUAGGACUGAGAAGUAGUGAUCAAGGACAUGACUUGACUUCUUGGCCUUGCUCUUGCUGUUCGUACUCCUCGAAGGCUUGAUCUUCAAAUCCCCCGAAUUGUUGAACGUCUAUACGCGUCACAUGAGCACAUACAAGCAAACAAGGGUACAAAGUAAGAAAACAGUACACAAAUCACUACUAAACAGAGAAAACAAGCUUGAAAAAUUAAUCUACACUUUAAAACAAACACGUGGAUAUAAAGAACGCGAAAAACGAAGUUAAGAUGCAAAAGAUAUGAUUAAAACAAGAUCCAGAGGCUUUUCUGCGAGAAAAACAAAACUUCUAGGGUCGAACUGCGAAAAACCGAGGGCUUAUACAUGAUUAUGCCUAUAAACCGAAGGUUUAACAUGCAAAAAUGCAAUUUAGGAUGGCGGGUUGAUUUAGAGAAACUCAGGGUCUAAACCGAAAGAAAACAGGACCAAAACACAAUUAUUUUUGAACUAGAUUUGUGGAAAAGGCAAGGGCUUCAGUGUAAAAGAGGCACGGUGCGACGCGAUUGAGUACGCGAUCUGGUUGACUCACUACGGGCCAUCGGAUUUGGAUCCGACGGUCUCGGUCAUCGGCGACACCGAAGCAGCGGCGGACCAGGCGGCGGGCGGCGACGAGCGGCGGCGGUUCGCCGGAAUUAGCCGAUACGGCGCUCCAGGGCUCGGUUUCAUGCGCGGCAAACACCAGAAGCAUGAGAAAAGCAAGGCGAUCCCUUUUCGGUGGUUCACGGUAACCGAGGCUCACCGGAAGGCGGAGAGAGGGCGGUGGCGCCGGAGCUCGGAUGGCGGCGCUUGCUAGGGUUUCGGGGGCGCUGUUGCGGGGUGCUCGAGGUGGGGGGGGGGCUUAUAUAGGGGCGGAGUCGGGGCGCGGUCGGAGUGGAGUUCCGACUGGAGGACGGGGAUGAUGGGUAGGUCCCACCCGUCAGACCUGCCGAAGAAGGCUGGUGCCGCUGGGCAGGCCGACGGAGUGGGCCGAGCGAGCGACAUGAGCUGGUGAAGGGAAAAAGGGAAAGCGGCAGCUUCGCGGGCCGGAGGAAAAGGCAAAGCGGGCCGGGGGAGCUAGCGGUGCUGGGCUGCAGGGAAAUAGUGUUGGAGGUAUGCCCUAGAGGCAAUCAUAGAGAUGAUGAUAUUCCAUUUGUAUCCAUGAUUUGUAUAUUGUGUUCAUUGAAUAUCCAUUAAAGGCUACUUGAAUUGAUUUGCAAUUAUGUGAAUUGUAUGUGAAACUCUUUACUUGUAUGGUUAUUCUAAAAUUGUCCCUAGUCGGAGUUCAUGUGAGGACACACAUGAAUAUUAGACUAGCACAUGUAUUAGUUGAUGACUAUGUUUCACAAGUCAUGGACAUGGAGAUGUUGAACUAAUAAUGUGGACACAUGUGGAGACAUGUGCUAGAACUGACCCAACACGAGAAGUAGUUCUCUCUUUACACAACAUAUACGCUUUAUCCUUAGACCUGAGAUUGUCGCAUGUACUCAAGAUGUGGAUCGACUUACUUAGGGGCUAUCAAACGCUACGCCAUAACAGGGUAGUUAUAAAGGUAGCUUUCGGGUUUGUCAAGAAGCAUGCUAUGAGACAUGGUCAAUCAAGAUGGGAUUUGCCCCUCUCUGAUUGAGAGUGAUAUCUCUGGGCCCCUCGAGUGAUCGGAUCCGAAAAUGCAUGGCCAUGCUACGUACGGUUAAGAGUUGACCUACAAAGGGAUUCCGAAUCACAGGAUCGAGAAAGAGCGGCCGGCUUGAAGCUAGACCAAAUAUCGUGAGGCAAAGGGAAUAGCAUGUAUAUUAUGUUGUGAUGGUUCGUCUGAUAUGAUCUUUGUGUGCGUAUAGGAGUUGGCAUGUCUUGCUAGAGGCCGCUACCGACUAUUGGGCCGAGUAGGAGUACUUGGGCCAUGUCUAUACGUAUCCGAACCCAUAGGGUCACACACUUAAGGGGCUGGAAGCCCAAUUCGGAUCUGAUCCGAGUUGGAUUAGGUUUAGAAGUACUAAUGGGCCUCGGACCUAGAGGCCCGUUAGGAACCUCUAUAAAUAAAGGGGUGGGGGCGUCCUAGGGUUUACACCUUUUGGCGAAACACACCUGCCGCGCCUCCCACGCCCUCGCCUGUUGCAACUCGCGGAUCUAGCAGUCCGGCUUGCGACGCUUCCUCCCUGCACGUGUGGAUACCUUGGAGGUGUUGCGCCUGCAGCACUUGGACGAGCCACCGACGAGCCGCCGACGAGCCGACGACGAGCCGCGGCACGGGAGGCGAUCUUGCUGCACGUGGACGAGCUGCUGAGAAGCUACUGGACGUUGACGUGAUCGACUAUGUACAACUACGUUGAUCGGAUACGUACGACUACGUGAUUGUCUUCACUGCAUCGACGCAUAUCUACAUCUUCCGCACCAGUAGUGCGUCGAGUGGUAAUCCCGUGAUCCUUAUACGGCAGUUCUUCCUGGUUUUACGCGGUAGAAAUUUUGAUUUGCGCUAGUAUAGCCUACCUCGUAUCCCAACAAAUAGGAUCCGGGCUGAAAGAGAAAGGAGGAGAAGGAUGCAGCCCAGGAGGAGGAAGAGAAAAGAGGAAAAGAAAGAUUUUUAAAAUUGAAAUGCAAUUUGAGAUUCAAUUUUGAUUCAAACACAAGCAAUCAAAAUAAAUGCACCAGCAUGCAAUGCACAAAGAACUCCUAUGAUGGUUUAAUUUAAUUUAGAGAAAAUAAAAUUAAAUGCCUAGAAAUUUAAAUGACAUCCUAAUUGAGCAAAUUUUAGUGUAUUUAAAUUCUUUAAAAAAUUUGGGUGUUACAGGGCACCAGAUGAUCCGAUGCCUAUCUCAAGUGACCAUCGGAUCAUCCAAUGCUCACAUAUUUUACUAGCUGUUGUAGCGAAGGCUCUUUGAGAUCCAUGGGCUAUUUAUACCCUCUCCACUCGCCCAUUCAGAGGUGCUGGAUUGUCCAUACAUCAAUUGAAGACCAAGGCCCAUCAAGAACACAUCCAUGCCACCAAAAGUGCAAAAGCGAUAAUCCAAGGCUUAGCACGAGCUAAGAGAUUGAUUAGCUCUAGGAUAGGCCUAGAGAGAGUAGUGCAAGGUGUUGCUACCUUGUGAUUGGUUCAAGGAGUGAUCCACUAUUGUAAGCUUGGGGCGCCGGCGCCUUGGGGUCUUGGUGGCUCUCCGGCAAGUCUUCGACACCCCAGCUCGGUGUGGAGCAGCGUCGACAGCCGGAUGCGGGGGACAAGAAGACUCCUUCCUUCGUGGAGCAGCUCCAUGGUGGAGACGACGUCAAGGUGACCGAAGGGGGGUAGUAGUGAGCCUUGCGUUUGUGGAUAGCUUGUCAUCCGGCUUGGCUAGAGCCUUUGUAGCGAGCCCAAGACCUUGACUGGGAGAGACUUGUUGAGCAGGAGCAUGUCCUUGGUGGAGCUCCAACGCAUGGACUAGGGGUGGCAUUUGGCUACCGAUACCAUGUGAUAAAUCAUCGUGCUGGGUUUGCAUCUUUCCUAACCCACUCCUUGACAUUUCCGCACUACAUUCUCGCAACUUGAGUGCCUUUAAUUACUUUCCAGAGUAGUACCUUGUUAGGAUUGGCUCUAGGUUGCAAAACUCUUUGUGGGUGGGAAGUUUCACUAGAUCAACCAUAGAUGCACAUGAUCGAGUUUAUGUUUGGAAGCAAGUAGUGGAAGUCAUAGGCCAAGGAUUUUAAGCUAGCCUAAUUCACCCCUCCCCUUCUUAGGGUACGAGCAUCGAUUCCUUUCAAUUUGCUUUAGCACCAUGAAGGCAAUAGUCAUCCAUCUGCACCAUGAUCAUAGAGCAAUGCAAAACCACGAGAGAAACGAAACGGCUGCUCUUCCUUCAUUUUAUUCCAAUUAGUAUGGACGUGGAGGUUACAGGACACACCAUGCGAGCUGUAGCGCCGGCAACAGGGAAACAAACCCAAGAAAGCAAUGCGGACAUGUUAUUCUACUUUUUUAUGCAGAAUAUAUGGAGGCACCAGCCAGCCCAGCAACAACGACAAUGGCGGCUACUUGGUAUACUCGAUGGCCCAGAAGUUGGCGUAGAUGUAGGUGGACUUGACGCUGGUAAACCCGGCGCCCUUGGCGAGCUCCACAAACUCCCUCUCGUACCUCUCCUUGCCGUCGGGGCUGUACGCGAGCAGGCACACGUCGACGCUGAUCAACCCCUGCGCGCUGUUUGUGGCAUCCGGGUUCACCGGCAGGAUGCACUCGACACUGAUGAGCUUGCCGUGCGGAGGCAGCGCCUCGUAGCAGUUCUUGAGCAGCUUGGCGCAGUGGUUGUCGCCCCAGCAAUUGAGGAUCCACUUCAUGAGGAUGGCGUCGCCGGAGGGCACCUUCUCAAACAUGUCGCCUCCCACGUGCUGCACCUGCACGUCGGGGUAGGCCGGCGCCUCGGAGAUGACGUGGGGAAGGUCGAAGUUGAUCCCUUGAAUGGUCGGUUACCUGGAGGUGAUGGCAUGGAUGGUGGAGCCGAGGCCGCCGCCAACGUCGACGAGGGUGCGGAUGCCGUCGAAGCCCGUGUAGAGCUCCAAGAGCUUCUUGGUGAGGAUGACGGAAUGCUGCUUCAUGGCCUCAUUGAAGACCCCGUUGAAGCGUGCGUCAGUACCGGCGUAGUCGAACCAGGAAGGCGUCCCAAACGCCCUGUUGAAUGGGCUGCCACCCUCAAGGACCGCGUCCGUCAUGUAGCUCCAGGCGUGCAUGAAGAGCUUGUCGUUGGCGAGGAGGUGGAACGGAGCCAUGGAGACACCAUCCUCGUUGGGGGUGAGCCACUUGCACACUGGCGCGGCGCUGUACUGGCGGCACAGGCUGCCAUCCUCGGCCUCCUCCACCACGCAGGACACAACUUUGUAGGACGCCAGCAGUCGCAGCAAGCGAUCCACCAUGGACGGCGCGGCGGGGUUGGCCUUGGAAGGCAGCUUCGCAGCCACCUCCUUGGGAGUGAGAGCCUUCCCGCUGGCGCCCACAAGGGUCUCGAGCAGGCCCAGCUCAAUGGCAGUUCUUAGCGUCAUCGGCAGGAUGGCCGACGACACUAGCUGCAGAGCGUGCAUGCAUGUCUCCUCGUCGGCUAUGGCCAUGUCCGCGGCGGAACCCAUCUACCUCCCGGGAUUGGAGCUCAACUAACUGAUGAAGGUGUGUUCACCAACCUGAAAAUCAUGCAUUCUUUGACAAGUAUGGGAUUGCUUGUAUGGUGUGACGUGACCUGUGAGAGCUAGCAGCUAGCGUGGUAGUGAUUGUGUACCCCAUGCAAAACCUCCCUCCUAAUAAGAUCGUGAUGCACGAGGCUGAAUCCGCAAAUAUAAUCAAUUCACGACACUGGAGAUGGUCGGCGCACGAGGAGUGGCAGUCCUAUUGAAACUUUCAGAGAAGCACCUUGUGCCCUUUGAGAAUCUGUUUUGCAUUAGAUCAAGGUUGAGAUGGUUUCUUUAACCCUUGAGAUUCAGCGCGAGGGUCCACGUGCGUGAUGGACAUGGCUUCGCUACUGCACAACUGUUUUUCAAGAAUCAAGGUAUUCUGCAUGGGAUGUCCUGCGUCUCUGGUGUCGGUGCAAUCUUUCUCCUGUUGAACACAUACACUAGCGUCUGAUGCCAGAGUGAGGUGGAUCGGGUGGAUCAAGGCUACGGCGUAGCACAUUAUCAUGGCUCGGGCGGCCGGAGCAAGAACACGAGCUGGCCGACCGUAGAGGGAAGACGCAAGCGGCACUCGCAGAAUCUACGUGGCUCCCCUUGGUCGUUCUUUGUCUCACCCUAUGGGUAUCGUGGAGGCACGGCGCCAGGCUGGCGGCACGGUGUAGCCUCAAUUCAGGACUUUCCUAGCCAGGGCGUGGCCGAGGGCGAUUGGUUGCUCAACCUGAUGAGAACUUGGGUGGGUGCUCCUACAUGGGAGAGAAUAGGGUGACGGAUGAGAAUGCAGAUGAGGGACGGGGCUCAGACGAGGGGAGGGUUGGAGACAUGUUUUCACUGUUGAACUCUUAGCGUCAAGAUGAGAGGUGAGAUGAGAUACCGGUAGGACCUGCUCUUACCAUGGCACUUCAGCAACCCCACCCCAACCCCGCGCGCAAGUCAAAAUUUGAGGACCAUAUGUACAAUACGUGUGCAAACAAAACCAUAAUUUUACUAGUAUUGAGGGAUUUUAGCUAUUUCUUCUAAAAAAUGUCUUGGGAAAUCGUAUUUUUGUAGUACAACAUAUAUAGAAAAUAAGUAUUACUCGCAAAUAAACUGCCCUUUUCUUUAGUAUUCUAUGUUUUUCUUAUUAUUUUAUUUAAUCUUAAGAUUUAUAUAUGCAUAAAAAAGUAAUUUAGUAUCUUCAAAUAUGGAAACGUGGUCUUAGGAAUAGGGCUCAUAUUUUAUUCUUGAGCGUGCCUAGUGGAAAAAUAAUAUCUAAAAAACUGCAAAGAAAUUUAAUACCUAAGCCUUCGAUCCACUCUACUUUUUGUAUACUAGUUUACCUGCAAUCCACUGGCUUGCACAUUAUAUUUCAUCAUACGGAAAUGUCUGAGAUUGUGAACGGAAGCAAUUUCAUCUGUCUGCAACAUGUGCCACCCAGAGCUCCUGACACAACCGCGUGAGCACCUUCUCCGACAUGCGCACAUGAUGACCGCAUGCACCCAUAUUAUACAUAGUUUAUUAUAGUUUCUGCAGGGAUAUGAUAAUCAUUAAUUAUUACUUGUAAAGAUUGGAAACGUUACAAACGAUUGUAGAAAAAAUGCGAGUCACCAGGAAGGUAGGUAGUAGAGCAUGCCGUCAGUGUCUUUCCUGUGACCUGUGUUCGUGGUGCACAUGGCAGAAUGCACAGUCUAUACAUAGGAACCAGAAGUUGGCUUCGAAACCAAAUCACUCAUUAGUCCUUCAGUACUGCAGUGAACGCUAUCUAGCUAGCUAAUUUCCCCUUGAAAUCAGUUUUCUUGCGUGGCCAUGGGUAGCCUUCCACUUGAAGCCAUGAUGCCACUGAACCCCGAUUCAUUCGCUGGGGAGUCCAGUGCCGUGGUCGACUUCCUCGCCGACUACUACCGCAACGUCGAUAAGUAUCCGGUCAUGGCCAACACCCAGCCAGGGACCAUCCGUAAGCUUCUUCCGGAGGCAGCCCCGGAGUUGGGCGACUCCAUGGAUCGCAUACUGGAUGAUGUGCAGCGGGAUAUCCUCCCCGGCCUCACACAUUGGCAGAGCCCUAGCUUCUUUGCCUAUUUCCCGGCGAAUGCAAGCACCGCAGGGUUCGCCGGGGAGAUGUUGUCGGCUGGUCUCAACGUCGUCCCGUUCGUCUGGACGGCGUCACCGGUGGCCACUGAGCUGGAGCAGGUCGUGGUUGACUGGAUGGCUAGCCUCCUCGGCCUACCGGAGCGCUUCCACUUCAAGGGAGGAGGAGGCGGUGUCCUGCAUGGGAGCACGUGCGAGGCGGUGGUGUGCACUCUCGCUGCCGCGCGCGACCGUGCACUCAGCAAGCUCGGACAUGAGGGCAUCCUCAAGCUUGUCGUGUAUGCCUCGGACCAGACCCACGCAACCUUCCAGAAGGGCGCGAGCAUCGUCGGCAUCCCUCCAGCAAACUUCCGCAUCCUGCGGACUUCGGCAAACUCGGGAUACGGCCUCACCGCCACCAUCGUCCAAAGAGCAAUCGAGGAAGACGUCGCCCGCGGGCUGGUUCCCCUUUACCUCUGCGCCACCGUCGGCACUACUGGUCUGGGGGCCAUUGACCGAGUGCGCGAGCUCGGCCAUGUUGCCCGGCGUUAUGGUAAUUCAUUCAACCUCCCUCUCUUAUACGCUAAUCACCCAUACGGUGACACUAAAUACGUAGAAAUGGAAUGCGCUAUGCGGUCACAAGUCACGAUUCACGCUAUGCGCAGCCAUUUGCCCGGAGUUCCAAGGUCACCUCGACGGCGCCGAGCUCGCGGACUCGGUGAGCAUGAACCCACAUAAGUGGUUCCUCACCAACAUGGACUGCUGCUGCCUCUGGGUGGCGAACCCUACCACCAUGACCGACGCACUGUCCACUGACCCGGAGUACCUCAAGAAUGUCGGCACCGCGUCUAAGAUGGCGGAAACGGUCGACUACAAGGACUGGCAGAUCGCGCUGUCACGCCGCUUCCGUGCCAUCAAACUCUGGGUGGUGCUACGGUGCUAUGGAGCGGUGGGAAUGCGCGCGCACAUACGGAGGCACAUCCAGAUGGCAGAGUGGUUCGAGCACGUCGUGGCGGCGGACGAGCGGUUUGAGGUCGUGGUGCCAAGGAACUUCUCCUUGGUGUGCUUCCGCCUCCGCCCGCGGUUCAUGGCGGAUAAAGCUGUGGAGGCCCUGAACCGCGACCUCCUCGCAGCGGUGAAUGCAAGCGGCCGGGCGUUCAUGACGCACUUCGUCGUGGACGACAAGUUUGUGAUCCGCCUAGCCGUGGGUGGGUCAAUGACAGAGAUGCAGCACGUCCGGGCCGCGUGGGAGCUUCUCAAGGAGAAGGCCAACGACUUGAUCGCCACCGGUUGUUAGUUAUUGCUCAUUGCUAGUGCUAUACCAUGCAUGGCCAGCAACAGAAGCUGAGCAUUCUAUUAUUGCUUCCAUUCGUAGUUAGAGCACACCAUGAAUGCAAUAGUCAAUCCAUCUGAACCAUGAACAUUCACUAUGACCAUGUAUGCGACACAAUAUACAUAAGUGCUAGUGCAGAUAUUGGAUUCUAUUUCUGGAGAAGCGGCUGCUUCUACGGAGCAGGCCGAUUGAAUUUUAAGUAUGUUAUGAUACUUGUAAAAAAUCGAUGCUAGGCAUGGAUUCCUGGAAGGGGCCCGUCACAACUCACAAUGGAAGGGACCCGUCAUAACCAAGCUCGUUAAUACAGAAGAAACAUCAGGCGAAACAAAUGGACGCUAAGCCACACACCUGGACAAAUUUUACCCGAAAUUUGCAACACGUCAAGAAUAUGCUUAUCACUCAACCGUCUCACAUCUCUUUUGUUUAAGGAAACCAGGCUCGUUACUACAAAAUGAACACCAAGAUGAUAGAGCUCUUUUACGAUACACAAUACUACUACUUGGUAGUAUAUAGUAUAUAUAUAAGAUCUAACUGUUCAUUAUUAUGGAUAAUUUAGUAAUUAUUACAAUGUAAAAAGUCAUAUUUCAAAUACAAUGGUCUUUUAAACUUUCUGCUAGUAUCAAAAAUAAAAUUAUAGUGGUGCCAUUUGUGUUUUCUUACCAUGAUACCCUUAUACUACCUAUACUACUCGUGUAUACUACCCAUACCACAGGCGUAGGUUUCAGUAGUAUGUAAUUAAUCUUGGUGGCAUCGUAAUCUCUCCCUAAUAAACUACCGAAUACUAGCGACACACAACAAACAGUUAGCAUCUGCAAAACAAUCAACAGGUUAAUACUACUGCCACGUAUGACUCUUGUUUUUAUUAUUUUAAAAUAGAGUCUCAGUAUUUAAAAAGUAAUAUUUGUUGAUUAUCCCAACCUACGGCUCUGAUACCAGCUGUGGCGGAACCGCCCAACUUAAGUUGGUUUAAGUGCGCCUAAUCGCUGUCGGAGCAGCAAUUAUCCGAAACGCACCUAAAACAGCAUAAGUCCGGUAGUCCGUCGAGUGUCCCUAGGACUCCUCGAAAGAUCCACGGCAUGUUUCAUCACCAAACAUCAGGAUAAUAUCCGCGAUGGGAUAAUAUCAACAAACAUUGCAUUUUUACAUACAUAAUUAAGAGGUACGAGUUAUUACAAGACUUCAAGUUGAAACAAACUUAGUGAUGCAUAGUUAGACAAGCUCUAAGAUUAAACAUAAAUAGUUUAGGAGAAGAUGCGUUGAUAACGGUUUCCUAGAGUAUUGAGAGACUCAGGUCAAUACUCUAGGUCUUCGGGGUCUCCUCCUCGACAGCUUCUUGGGUAGCUUCUGAAAGAUAACCACAAGGGGAAAACCCUGAGUACGGGGUACUCAGCAAGUCUUACCCGACUAACCAAUAUAAUAGUUUUUCUUUGGAAUGCAUGUCAGCCUUUAGGUGUGCUUGGUUGACACAAUUUUCGCCGAAAAGCUUACUACGAGUGAGGCCUUAGUUUUGUCUUUUAGUUUAGUUAAGUUGUUACCUAACCAUUCUAGAUGAUAACAGAAGUAAAAGCAAUCACAGCUGUUGAUUCAUACAGUACUUGGCAACAGAAAAUUUUAUAUCACAUGAGUUCAUGCUACGAAGCUCAACAGUGAUCAAGUGCAUUCAUAACCGAGAAUUGCGGCGAUCCGGAUCAAUUUACAUCCUGCAGGAGAGCACCCCGAUCACCAGCAUCAUACGACUGUCCAGGUCGUACUAACAACCUCUCGAUUAGUAAAGUCAAUGAUUAGGAAUACAACUACCCGGACCCAGGGAUGCACCCCCACAUGGGACCCCACGUCUGGCCUGAUCCCCAUGUGAGUUUCAGGCUACACCCCUGCCAAUCUCCAGCACGUCAAAUGCGGGUACGAAGCAUUCCUGAUCAUAGAAUUUACUAAUCUACUGGGCUUUACUGGUCCCAUACCCAGUAAGUGAUCAGAUGUUAUCACUUGAUCAGCAGUUAAGACACGGAUCGGUCCUCAAGCAGCUUAAAUAGCAGACAGAACUACAUCUCUAGCUUCUGUCUGGUUCUAUACUCCAAACUAUCUUUCAUAAGCAGCAUGUAUGAUUAAGAGUUUUCCUUAAGGUUGGUAAACCAAGCAUGUAAGCGAGUAAGCAAUUCUAGACUUGGGUAGUUUCUAGGAUUUGAACAAGUGGCAAAGAUGUCCUUAAAUCAAGGCAUGAUCAUACACAAGAAUAGGUUUCAUUCAACUCCUAGACUUAGUGCAUACAAUAACCAAUUAACCUAUAACUAGUCACAUGAAAUAACGACUCCAAAAUAGAUAGGUAUAAAUGCACCGGGGCUUGCCUUGAUCGUUAAAAAGAUUAGCAGACGCCGACGGAUUUGCUUCACAGGGGACAAAUUCAAACACCUCGUCGGACUCCAAAGGUCCUUCUGAAAAUUCCCAGUAAUCCUCUUCUGGUGCUUCUGGAUCUACGGCGCAAAAUAUGCAGGGGUUAGAAUGCAAACUUUUUAAAUAACAGACUAUACAACUUUCCUUCAUGAUAAAGUUGCAAGCCAACAAAGACUAUGCGACUUAUCACGAAUAGGUUGUAAGUCAACACACAAAAGAAAUCUAAAAAGAUUAACCUAGAUUUUUAUUUUCUUACUUAUCCCUUCCUAUAGCUUUUUCUUUUAUUUUUAGAAAAAGUGGUAAUUACUUUCUAACUUGAAAAUCUGAUUUCCUAUAAGUUACGAAUUAUUUGUGAUUGAUAAAGUGUUAUUCAUAUUUUAUACAUUUUAUAAAUAUUAAGUAUUUAUUUAAUUACCUUAAAAGGAGGGCAUUAAACAAAUACCUAAAUUUUUAUUAUUUUCCUAGGGUGUAAAAAUUUUAAUGCAUAAAGGAAAAUAAAACAAACCUAACAAAAUUGGUUUCACUAAUUUUGGACACUCCUACAAAUUUCUGUGAUUAAAAUGGUGUAAAACAAAUUUAAACGAAUUAUUUUGCUAACGAAAUCUAACUUUUCCCGAAAAUUCCCCCGGAAAACUUUUCUUACUUACCCCCUCUCUACCCCUUCUCACGAACACCUGGACCCCACGACGCGGACCCACCUCUCCCAUUCACUUUACCCGCCGGCCUUACUCCUCUUCCCGACGGGCCCCGUGGGUCGAUUUCCUCUCCUCUCUCUCCUGGUAGCCCAGCACCGGCCCACGGCCCCUUUUUCUUUUUCUUUCUUCUCCACGCGACGCCGGCCUGUGUUGCUGCUCUAGGCCUCCGGCCUCUUCUCUUCGGAUCACCCGCGCGUGCCACUGGGCCUCAACACGCCGGCCCAAGACGGCCGCACCGCUUCGGCCCUCUUUCUCCCCCAUCUCUCUCACUGACGCGCGGGCCCGGGUGCACAGCUCCUUCUUCCUCCUCCCGCCAAAAGCGCGACCGGAACAGGGGGCAGUGCGGCUCGCCGGCCGGCGCCCUCCCGGCGGCGGGUCUUGACGACGACACCAACCCUAACCUUUCACGACCUCGCGCGCGGCGACAGCUCCCCUGGAGACGACCGGAGCUACCUCCUCCACGGCGACGGGCGGCGACUCCCUCGGCCGGCCGUCGCUACUUGCGACUACGGCACAUCCUAUUCAAACGACUACCCCGACACCAUCCUAGGACCCUAAGGACUCGACUACGACUGCUCAAGAAGGAAGGGGGACAGCGCGAGGGGGUUCUCACCGAGAGCGGGCGGUGCGACGGCGGCGGACAGAAGCGGCGGCGAUACAAGGUGUCACGGCGAAGAAGCUGGGCAACAAGUUGGUGGGGCUACUGGUGGGGUGUAGGUGGAGGCGUGGGUGGAAGGAAUCGAUGGGAGCGGCGGCGUGGAGGUGGAAUUUUGCUUGGCGGCGGUGUCUGGCAGAAGAGGCACGGGCGGCGGUAAAAAGAGCGGCGGUGAAACGGCGGCGCGGGAGCGGUAGAUAUUCAAGCAUUUACCCCUCGCAUGGCUGCCACCGUGGUCUACCCGUAGGCGUAUGUGGCGAGGAGGUGGCCUAGCUUAGCUGCGCUGGCGGACGACCGACGACGGCGGCGACGACACGUCUGGAGUUUCUGUCACCGCUUCUCCCGCCCGUGAUCUUCAGAAGCCAACCGUGGUUGAUCUUUGAUCCAACGGCACACCGAUGCUUAAAGACAGUUACAGAUAAACUUGAAUUCUCCAUCUUUUGUUUUGGCUCCAACCCGAGAUAAUCAUCAGACCGGUGGAAUUUGGAGAUGUUGCUCGAAUUGAUUCUGAAUCGACUGAAUCAAAAGUUCAGUUCGUCAGUCACCGACAGUAGUGCCGACUUCAACUUGCCAAUCCAAUUCAGUGGCCUAAAUCUGGUUUUUCCAAUCCAACUUCUACUCAAACAUGCUCUAUAUUGUCCCAAUGUUCCAUUUUGAUCAUAAACCAGUACCCUCCUUGAUCUAAUUUGCUCUGAAUUUGAAUUCAAAGUUGAUGCCUAGCUGCUGUUUCAGACUUAGGCAUUUUUCAGAGUUUCAGUUAACUCGUGAUAAUAUGCUGACUUUGGGCUCGAGUUUGACCUCCUCCCUUUUACUGUUCAUGGCCAACAUCACAUGAUUAUUGAAGUCCAAGACGCAUACUUCAAUAUAAUGUAGCUGUUCUAGUGCACUUGUUGGAAGAAUUCUUCAGAAAUGAAUUUUGAAAAUGAACUCUGGAGCUGUUCUCACUGAACCCUAUUGUCGGACGAGUAACAGUAAACGGCAAUUUUCCUUUUCUUCUCCUUUCUCUGAUGCUUUGUAAUAUUUGGCACCAAUUUAACUCCAAGUUUUUGAUUUCUCAACUCCAAAUACUCUCAUACUUGUAUUCCAUAUAUUGGUCAAAUUUUUCUGAAUUUCAAAUUUGAAAUUCAAAUUUCGGUCAAAUUUUUGCCGAAUUUGAUCUUUUUGCCAUUUUUCUUCUUUUUCUUUUGAAUUUCUUUCUGAAUUUCUCAGGGUCAUUAUUUGACUUCAAAUGGCACUUAUUACAGCCUUUCCCCCUUAACAGAAUCUCGUCCCGAGAUUCCUGGGGUUAAAUCCUUGGUUUUUGGAAUGGAAAGGAAACUGCGUCAGGUCAUUUAUUCUUUCUUUUUCUGUACAAGGAUAGUGGGGUGGUGGUCCUUGUUCAUCUGUCCCUGACGGUUUCAAAUAACUCCGGAUAUUUAGACUCUAGGUCUUCCGCUUUUUCCCAAGUAGCUUCGUUCGGAGUAUGAUUUUUCCAUUGCACUUUAUAAAACGUGAUACUCCGAGUUCGGGUAUCGCGUGUCUUUUGAUCCAGAAUUUUAAUAGGUUUCUCUUCAUAUGUUAAAUCCGAUUCGAGCUUAAUAUCUGGAUCCUCCAAAAUUUCUUCUGGAAUUCUUAGGCAUCUCUUAAGCUGGGAUACAUGAAAUACAUCAUGUAUAGAGGUAAGUUGAUCUGGCAUUGACAGCUUAUAUGCCACUGGCCCCUUUCGUUCCAGAAUUUCAUAAGGACCAAUAUACCUCGGGGCUAGCUUACCUUUUACUCCAAAGCGUUGUAUGCCUUUCAUUGGGGAUACCUUUAAGUAUACAAAAUCUCCGGCAGAAAAUUCCAAGAACCGUCUUUUUUUGUCGGAAUAACUCUUUUGCCGGGAUUGAGCUAUUUCCAAAUGCUUGCGAAUUUUCUGGAUCUUUUCCUCGGUUUCCAUAACCAAGUCCGAUCCCAACUGUGUCCUUUCUCCUACUCCUGACCAAUUUAGAGGAGUUCGGCAUCUUCGACCAUACAAGGCUUCGAAUGGUGCCAUCUUAAUACUAGUUUGAUAGCUAUUAUUAUAAGAGAACUCGGCUAGGGGCAAACAUUCAUCCCAUAGCUUAGAGAAGGUAAGGACACAUGCUCUUAACAUAUCUUCCAAAAUUUGAUUAACCCUUUCUGUCUGUCCUCCAGUUUGAGGGUGAUAAGCAGAACUUCUAAUGAGAGUAGUACCCAUGUCCCUUUGUAGUUGCUCCCAGAAUCUGAAAACAAACUGGGAACCUCGAUCGGAGAUAAUGGUUUUUGGCACUCCGUGCAAGGAUACAAUCCGGGUUAUAUAGAGUUUGGCAUAUGUCGACACCUGGUAUUUAGUCUUAACUGGAAUAAAGUGAGCUGAUUUAGUAAGGCGGUCGACAAUAACCCAAAUGGAGUCAUACCCCUUUGAAGUGGUAGGUAAUCCUAUUAUGAAAUCCAUAGAAAUAUCUUCCCACUUCCAGACAGGAAUUUCUGAGGGUUGUAACAGACCCGCCGACUUUUGUAAUAUGGGUUUAAUUCUUUGACAAGUGUCACAUUCUGACACAUAUCUUGCAAUUUCCGGUUUCAUUUUGGCCCACCAAAACCUUUGCUUUAAAUCUUGGUACAUUUUAUUGGUUCCGGGAUGAAUGGAGAAUUUGGAUGAAUGCGCUUCUUCUAAGAUUAAUCUUCUUAGAUUCUCAUCUUCUGGAACUACUAUCCUGUUCUUGAAAUAUAGACCUCCGUCUUCUUCUUGAUUAAGUUCAGGAAUCUUCCCCUCGGCUUUUUGCUGAUAAAGUGCUUUAAUCCAUGGGUCUUCUUUUUGGGCCGUUAUGAUUCUUUCUUUUAGGGUAUCUUGAACCAUAACAUUCUGGAGGGUGCCUUGUUUUACUAUUUCCAAACUUAAGCCUUCCAUUUCUUCGCAUAGGGUCUUCAGGUUAGACCGGACGGUAGCACAAUGGCAUUGGGCCUUUCUGCUCAAGGCAUCGGCCACCACAUUAGCUUUACCAGGAUGGUAAUGAAUCUCUAGUUUAUAAUCUUUAAUCAGUUCUAGCCACCGUCUUUGCCUCAUAUUCAAGUCCAUCUGGGUGAAGAUAUAUUUCAAGCUCUUGUGGUCAGUAAAGAUACGACAUUCACUACCUAAAAGAUAGUGUCGCCAUAUCUUUAGUGCAUGCACUACGGCAGCAAGCUCUAAGUCAUGAGUAGGGUAAUGCUCUUCAUGACGCUUCAACUGACGAGAAGCAUAAGCAAUAACCCUGCCUUCUUGCAUUAGAACACACCCGAUGCCUGUUCCUGAGGCAUCGCAGUAUACAUCAAAGAGUUUUUCUAUGUCAGGUUGAGCCAGCACUGGGGCUGUAGUCAAUAAUCUCUUUAAGACUUGGAAGGAUUCCUCGCACUCAGGUUUCCAUUCAAAUUUUGUAUCCUUCUUCAAUAACUCAGUGAUUGGUUUAGAAACUUUAGAGAAAUUAGGAAUGAAUCUACGGUAAUAACCAGCCAUUCCCAAGAAACUUCUUACUUCAUGAACAGAAGUUGGUGAUUUCCAAUCCAAUAUAUCCUUGACUUUUCUGGGAUCUACUUCAAUUCCUUUUUCGGACAGUAUAUGCCCAAGGAAUGGAAUUUUCUUUAACCAAAAUUCACACUUACUAAAUUUGGCAUAUAGCUGGUGUUCCCGGAGUCUAUUUAGAACAAUGCGCAAAUGUUGCGCAUGUUCCUCUUCAUUUUUGGAAAAGACAAGGAUAUCGUCUAUAAAGACAACCACAAAUUUGUCCAGUUCCGGCAUAAAUACUGAAUUCAUGAGAUACAUAAAAUGCGCUGGGGCAUUUGUCAAUCCGAAAGACAUAACCAAAUACUCAUAUAGUCCAUAUCGGGUGGAAAAGGCUGUUUUUGGUAUGUCCUCGGGUUUUAUCUUAAUCUGGUGGUACCCUGACUGAAGGUCGAUUUUUGAAAAGACCUUAGCUCCAGACAACUGGUCGAACAACAAGUCAAUCCGUGGCAGCGGAUACUUGUUUUUGAUGGUCACUGCAUUCAAGGGACGGUAAUCCACACAUAGCCUUAAGGUACCAUCUUUCUUCUUAACAAACAGGGCUGGGCAGCCCCAUGGUGAAGUACUGGGUCGGACAAAACCCUUAUCCAACAAUUCUUGGAGUUGUGUUUUUAACUCUGCUAACUCCUUAGGUGGCAUUCGAUACGGUCUUCUAGAGAUAGGGGCGGUGCCGGGUUCUAAUUCAAUAGUGAAUUCUACCGCUCUGUCAGGCGGUAGCCCAGGCAAAUCUUCUGGAAAUACAUCUAAGAAUUCAUUGACAACAGGAAUAGAUUCUAGAGUCACUGCUCUAGUCUUUUUGACCAUUUGGUCUAAAUAGGGUUGAACGGGUAAUUGGAGUUCAAAAGAGUGGCCUUGGUCAUCUUUCAGGUUAACAACCCGUGUAACCACAUUAAUUUGAACUUCGUGUGCUUUCAUCCAAUUUAUCCCCAAAAUAAUAUCUAUUCCUUGAUCUUCCAGAAUUAAGGGAUAAGCUCCCACUUUAUUUCCUUCUAGAUUUAAAAUCACACUGCGAGCUACUUGAUUGGUAUACUGUGUAGCACCAGUAGCUUGAAUAGCAUAUUUGACAUCUAAAGUAUGAACUUCUAGUUGAUGUUGUGUGACAAACUCUUUACUUAUAAAAGUAUGUGAUGCACCGGAAUCAAGCAAGACCAUAGCAGGAUAAUUGUUAACAAGGUACAUACCUGCUAGGAUUGGCUCUCCUUCUGGAAUUUCUUCUACAGUCAUGUAGUGAGCUUGGCCCGUCUUGGUGUUGACAAACUUGCGACGGACGAACUUUUGUCCAGAGCCUUGGCCCGAGGUCUGAGCUUUCAAGUUCGCGUUUCCACCAAUUCUGGGAAAACGACAGUCUCGGGCGAAAUGUCCUGGCUUCCCACAGUUGAAGCAAACCUGUGGGGUUCCGGAAGGAGUAGGGUUACGAAACCCAAAAGAUGGUGCAGUUCCAGGACGAGGGGCAAUAUUGGGAGUUCUGGCAUUCCAGGAUUGAAAAGGUCGUUGCUGGAAUGAAGGACGAUACAUGGGUCGGGGGGGACCUCUAUAUACCAUCCUGAUCCUUUGUGGAGCAUUUCCAAAAUUUCCAGAAGGAACAGCCUUCCUCUUUAAUGCUUCUUCUUUCUUUAAUGUUUCAUCCAAUGCUUUCAUCUUUUCUUCUGCGGUAAUGGCUGUGCUUACCGCGGAACUGUAAUCAGCGAACGUGCAGGUAGAUAACUUCUCUUGCAUUCUGGUAUUAAGCCCUCGGAGAUAACAAUCCCUCUUUCUGGUUUCAGUAUUAACAUGCUCUGGGGCAUAUUGAGCUAAAUGAUCGAACUCAUUGGUAUAUGCUAUAAUACUGCGGGUUCCUUGUUGCAGUCCCAAGAAUUGUUCUAAUUUCAUCCUCAUGACGCCCUCGGGUAUAAACUGCGCCCGGAAGGCUUCCUUAAAAUCCUCCCAUGUGACUUCCCUUCCCACUGGCUGCCUAGCCAGAUGACUGGUCCACCAAGUUGCUGCGGGACCCUGAAGCUGAAGCCCCGCAAACUCGGCCUUCUGAACGGCAGUACAUUGGGGGAUUACUCGAAAUUUCUGCUCCAUGGCCUGAAGCCACUCAUUAGCCUCCAAAGGGUGCUCAGCUUUUAAGAAGAUUGGGGGACGUGUUUCCAGAAAUUGGGUGUAGGACACUCCCGGCUCUGGUUCUCUCCUACGUCCACCGUUGCCGGUGUUCUGUACUAUCAUCUGGAGUAAGCGGGCUUGCUCUGCCCCGAAAUUCAUUAAACUGGCUAUCGCGUCAGCCAAGGUGGGUACUCUGGGUAAAUCCUCUUCCUGUCCUCUGGAACCUGAAGCUCGGGGUUCUCUGGGAUCCGUCAUGCUGCCAAGAGUAACAAGAUGUCAAUAUCUACGGUGCAUUCUUAUCAACAACUCUCUGCAUACUAACAUAUCACCCAUCACAGUAUGCGCAUACACAAACCAUGCUUAUAUACAUACUUAUUUAUAUUACAUGCCUAGGAGUUAAUAUUUACAAAACCCCUUGGUGCCUCUUGUCCAUCAUUCAUAUCUUACAAGAAUAUAUUACAACAUGUUCAAACCAAGUUCACGUCAACCGUCAUAAGGGAAGAUGCCUAGUUCUUCGGCAUUUAAUCCCAGUCGUGCCAUGGCUUCUUGCAGGACGUCUUGGUCCACGGUCAUCAGAGUUUGUCCUGGGGGAGCAACAGGUGGAGCUUGAUUGAUAGAAUUCUCGCUUCCGGACUCCGGUCCGUAGUCACUCCAAGUGCGAGAAGUGUCAGAGAUACUAAUUCCAGAAUUUCCUUCCAUCUCUUCUGGCUCCUCUUCUUCUUCGCCUUCCUGUUCUUCUUCUCCCCACUGCUGCAUGGGACCAUAGCCCUGAGGAUCUAGUCCAUCGGCAUUGGCAUUGGCCCACGCAAACUGUUGAUGGCCCGCAGGGACUUCGCCCUGAUCAUCUUCCAUAUCCACAUCAAAGCCUUCUAGAUUCUCGUGAGCAUAUAAAUCUAUUUCAGGAUUGGCCGGUGGCACUGGAUCUUCCUCCAUUUCUAUCACAGGUACUAGCUGAUCUGCUUCCUCCGGGUUUUGUGGUUGAGGCUCUUCUGGUGGGGGAGGUGGUGGAACAUUGAUCAUAUUUUGCGCCGGUGCUUGAGCUUGCAUUUCUUCUAGGGCUAGACGAAGUGACAGAAUCUCGUCUAGCUGCUGAAAUCUCUCCGCUUCCAGCCUAUGGACAUUGGAUUCAGCUUCUUCUCUCGCUCUAUCUGCCAUGCUUCGACUUGCUUCGAUGAAUCCUUGCAGUGCCCGAAGUUUCUCUUCAUAAUCUUCAAUUCGCCUGGACUGCUCUCGCAUUGCCUUCUCCAUCUCGUGCUCCCUUGCCAUUGCUGUCUUCUUGUACAUUUCCUUGUCAUACCGGGCACCCAUUGCUUCCAUCCUAGUAUCUUCAUUCUUCUGUCUCUGAUUAUAAUACUCCCGGAUACAAGCUUGAUGUAGAUUGUACAUAGCGGUCAUGUAGUCCGAAGCAGCAGCUACCAACACAUCGUGCUCCACACGAGAUGUGUUCUUCAAGGCUUUGAUCCUCCGCUUCCAUAUCCCGUCAUCUUGAUGCUUAAUUGGAUAGAAUCGAGCAGAGCUCGACCCUAUUUCCACCUUAUGAUUCUCACACAGCUCAGUAAGAGCUGUCAUGGCUGCCCUUUCUAUAGUAUCAUGGAAUUCGAAACCCGAUUCCAUUACUUCCUCCAGGCGCCAAUUAGGACGGGUAUCAUCAUCCGGGAUAUGCACAUACACCGUGCAAUAUUGCUUAUGGCCGGUAUCCUCCUUUCUCCAAUAGUACUCUGGGGGAUUAUGAAAACCCAACUCUUGUAGUGUCUUCCAGAGUAACUGCACGAAUCCUGGUUUAUCCAGAUAACGACCACGAGUCCACCCAUCCCUAUCCGUGUAACCUUCUUCGAACAUCCUAUAAAAAGAAACGAGAUCAGGUCUAGCGGCACUCACCAAACCCAAAAGUUUUUUUUUUUUUAAACAUGCAAUGCAAUUAUGAUGCAACGAUUCCUACGUACUUUCAGACUCAUAUACACACUCGUAGAAAAAUUGGUGGCAUCGUAAUCUCUCCCUAAUAAACUACCGAAUACUAGCGACACGCAACAAACAGUUAGCAUCUGCAAAACAAUCAACAGGUUAAUACUACUGCCACCUAUGACUCUUGUUUUUAUUAUUUUAAAAUAGAGUCUCAGUAUUUAAAAAGUAAUAUUUGUUGAUUAUCCCAACCUACGGCUCUGAUACCAGCUGUGGCGGAACCGCCCAACUUAAGUUGGUUUAAGUGCGCCUAAUCGCUGUCGGAGCAGCAAUUAUCCGAAACGCACCUAAAACAGCAUAAGUCCGGUAGUCCGUCGAGUGUCCCUAGGACUCCUCGAAAGAUCCACGGCAUGUUUCAUCACCAUACAUCAGGAUAAUAUCCGUGAUGGGAUAAUAUCAACAAACAUUGCAUUUUUACAUACAUAAUUAAGAGGUAUGAGUUAUUACAAGACUUCAAGUUGAAACAAACUUAGUGAUGCAUAGUUAGACAAGCUCUAAGAUUAAACAUAAAUAGUUUAGGAGAAGAUGCGUUGAUAACGGUUUCCUAGAGUAUUGAGAGACUCAGGUCAAUACUCUAGGUCUUCGGGGUCUCCUCCUCGACAGCUUCUUGGGUAGCUUCUGAAAGAUAACCACAAGGGGAAAACCCUGAGUACGGGGUACUCAGCAAGUCUUACCCGACUAACCAAUAUAAUAGUUUUUCUUUGGAAUGCAUGUCAGCCUUUAGGUGUGCUUGGUUGACACAAUUUUCGCCGAAAAGCUUACUACGAGUGAGGCCUUAGUUUUGUCUUUUAGUUUAGUUAAGUUGUUACCUAACCAUUCUAGAUGAUAACAGAAGUAAAAGCAAUCACAGCUGUUGAUUCAUACAGUACUUGGCAACAGAAAAUUUUAUAUCACAUGAGUUCAUGCUACGAAGCUCAACAGUGAUCAAGUGCAUUCAUAACCGAGAAUUGCGGCGAUCCGGAUCAAUUUACAUCCUGCAGGAGAGCACCCCGAUCACCAGCAUCAUACGACUGUCCAGGUCGUACUAACAACCUCUCGAUUAGUAAAGUCAAUGAUUAGGAAUACAACUACCCGGACCCAGGGAUGCACCCCCACAUGGGACCCCACGUCUGGCCUGAUCCCCAUGUGAGUUUCAGGCUACACCCCUGCCAAUCUCCAGCACGUCAAAUGCGGGUACGAAGCAUUCCUGAUCAUAGAAUUUACUAAUCUACUGGGCUUUACUGGUCCCAUACCCAGUAAGUGAUCAGAUGUUAUCACUUGAUCAGCAGUUAAGACACGGAUCGGUCCUCAAGCAGCUUAAAUAGCAGACAGAACUACAUCUCUAGCUUCUGUCUGGUUCUAUACUCCAAACUAUCUUUCAUAAGCAGCAUGUAUGAUUAAGAGUUUUCCUUAAGGUUGGUAAACCAAGCAUGUAAGCGAGUAAGCAAUUCUAGACUUGGGUAGUUUCUAGGAUUUGAACAAGUGGCAAAGAUGUCCUUAAAUCAAGGCAUGAUCAUACACAAGAAUAGGUUUCAUUCAACUCCUAGACUUAGUGCAUACAAUAACCAAUUAACCUAUAACUAGUCACAUGAAAUAACGACUCCAAAAUAGAUAGGUAUAAAUGCACCGGGGCUUGCCUUGAUCGUUAAAAAGAUUAGCAGACGCCGACGGAUUUGCUUCACAGGGGACAAAUUCAAACACCUCGUCGGACUCCAAAGGUCCUUCUGAAAAUUCCCAGUAAUCCUCUUCUGGUGCUUCUGGAUCUACGGCGCAAAAUAUGCAGGGGUUAGAAUGCAAACUUUUUAAAUAACAGACUAUACAACUUUCCUUCAUGAUAAAGUUGCAAGCCAACAAAGACUAUGCGACUUAUCACGAAUAGGUUGUAAGUCAACACACAAAAGAAAUCUAAAAAGAUUAACCUAGAUUUUUAUUUUCUUACUUAUCCCUUCCUAUAGCUUUUUCUUUUAUUUUUCGAAAAAGUGGUAAUUACUUUCUAACUUGAAAAUCUGAUUUCCUAUAAGUUACGAAUUAUUUGUGAUUGAUAAAGUGUUAUUCAUAUUUUAUACAUUUUAUAAAUAUUAAGUAUUUAUUUAAUUACCUUAAAAGGAAGGCAUUAAACAAAUACCUAAAUUUUUAUUAUUUUCCUAGGGUGUAAAAAUUUUAAUGCAUAAAGGAAAAUAAAACAAACCUAACAAAAUUGGUUUCACUAAUUUUGGACACUCCUACAAAUUUCUGUGAUUAAAAUGGUGUAAAACGAAUUUAAACGAAUUAUUUUGCUAACGAAAUCUAACUUUUCCCGAAAAUUCCCCCGGAAAACUUUUCUUACUUACCCCCUCUCUACCCCUUCUCACGAACACCUGGACCCCACGACGCGGACCCACCUCUCCCAUUCACUCUACCCGCCGGCCUUACUCCUCUUCCCGACGGGCCCCGUGGGCCGAUUUCCUCUCCUCUCUCUCCUGGUAGCCCAGCACCGGCCCACGGCCCCUUUUUCUUUUUCUUUCUUCUCCACGCGACGCCGGCCUAUGUUGCUGCUCUAGGCCUCCGGCCUCUUCUCUUCGGAUCACCCGCGCGUGCCACUGGGCCUCAACACGCCGGCCCAAGACGGCCGCACCGCUUCGGCCCUCUUUCUCCCCCAUCUCUCUCACUGACGCGCGGGCCCGGGUGCACAGCUCCUUCUUCCUCCUCCCGCCAAAAGCGCGACCGGAACAGGGGGCGGCGCGGCUCGCCGGCCGGCGCCCUCCCGGCGGCGGGUCUUGACGACGACACCAACCCUAACCCUUCACGACCUCGCGCGCGGCGACAGCUCCCCUGGAGACGACCGGAGCUACCUCCUCCACGGCGACGGGCGGCGACUCCCUCGGCCGGCCGUCGCUACUUGCGACUACGGCACAUCCUAUUCAAAUGACUACCCCGACACCAUCCUAGGACCCUAAGGACUCGACUACGACUGCUCAAGAAGGAAGGGGGACAGCGCGAGGGGGUUCUCACCGAGAGCGGGCGGUGCGACGGCGGCGGACAGAAGCGGCGGCGAUACAAGGUGUCACGGCGAAGAAGCUGGGCAACAAGUUGGUGGGGCUACUGGUGGGGUGUAGGUGGAGGCGUGGGUGGAAGGAAUCGAUGGGAGCGGCGGCGUGGAGGUGGAAUUUUUCUUGGCGGCGGUGUCUGGCAGAAGAGGCACGGGCGGCGGUAAAAAGAGCGGCGGUGAAACGGCGGCGCGGGAGCGGUAGAUAUUCAAGCAUUUACCCCUCGCAUGGCUGCCACCGUGGUCUACCCGUAGGCGUAUGUGGCGAGGAGGUGGCCUAGCUUAGCUGCGCUGGCGGACGACCGACGACGGCGGCGACGACACGUCUGGAGUUUCUGUCACCGCUUCUCCCGCCCGUGAUCUUCAGAAGCCAACCGUGGUUGAUCUUUGAUCCAACGGCACACCGAUGCUUAAAGACAGUUACAGAUAAACUUGAAUUCUCCAUCUUUUGUUUUGGCUCCAACCCGAGAUAAUCAUCAGACCGGUGGAAUUUGGAGAUGUUGCUCGAAUUGAUUCUGAAUCGACUGAAUCAAAAGUUCAGUUCGUCAGUCACCGACAGUAGUGCCGACUUCAACUUGCCAAUCCAAUUCAGUGGCCUAAAUCUGGUUUUUCCAAUCCAACUUCUACUCAAACAUGCUCUAUAUUGUCCCAAUGUUCCAUUUUGAUCAUAAACCAGUACCCUCCUUGAUCUAAUUUGCUCUGAAUUUGAAUUCAAAGUUGAUGCCUAGCUGCUGUUUCAGACUUAGGCAUUUUUCAGAGUUUCAGUUAACUCGUGAUAAUAUGCUGACUUUGGGCUCGAGUUUGACCUCCUCCCUUUUACUGUUCUUGGCCAACAUCACAUGAUUAUUGAAGUCCAAGACGCAUACUUCAAUAUAAUGUAGCUUUUCUAGUGCACUUGUUGGAAGAAUUCUUCAGAAAUGAAUUUUGAAAAUGAACUCUGGAGCUGUUCUCACUGAACCCUAUUGUCGGACGAGUAACAGUAAACGGCAAUUUUCCUUUUCUUCUCCUUUCUCUGAUGCUUUGUAAUAUUUGGCACCAAUUUAACUCCAAGUUUUUGAUUUCUCAACUCCAAAUACUCUCAUACUUGUAUUCCAUAUAUUGGUCAAAUUUUUCUGAAUUUCAAAUUUGAAAUUCAAAUUUCGGUCAAAUUUUUGCCGAAUUUGAUCUUUUUGCCAUUUUUCUUCUUUUUCUUUUGAAUUUCUUUCUGAAUUUCUCAGGGUCAUUAUUUGACUUCAAAUGGCACUUAUUACAAUAUUCCACGCUGCGAUCUGGUUGUAACUCACUGUUGCCCGUCAGCCGUAGAAAAUCCGCCGUCCGCGGAUGGUCCGUCGUCCGUAGGAGACUCCGCAGCGAAUCCGGAGUCGUUCCCCCUUGGCGCUGACGCAGGGGCAGCAGAUGAAGCGAGAGUAUCCGUUGGAGCUACGCCAGCCGGGUACGGCGUAUCCGCUUGGAAGCUGGAGCCGUCUGCCAGCGGAUCCAUCUGGCCUUCCCUGCUCCCCUGGCUGUUAACCAGAGAUGGCAAUCCAGUGCCUGAAACAGGAUCCGAUGCCUCUGUUUGAUUCCUGGAGACUUCCUGCGCAUCACAAUCAUCACUGAAAAAAUUGUUAUGAGGAUUAGAUAAUACCAUAUCAUCACUAUUUGCUUCCCCAUAGCUGGAACGAAGAUGUGAAGGAAGGAGUAAUAUUUCUUGACGGAGCCUUGCUCCAGCACUUUCAUGUAAAGCUUCAAAGGGGAACACUGCUUCAUCAAAUAUGACAUCCCGAGAGAUAUACACUCGCCCUGUCGAUAUAUCGAGGCACUUGUAACCUUUAUGGAGAGAACUAUAACCGAGGAAAGCACAUCGGACAGAGCGGAAAGAUAGCUUUUUAGCAUUAAAGGGUCUAAGGUUCGGCCAGCAGGCACACCCAACUGUACGAAGAAAGGAAUAGUUUGGUUGUUCACGACAUAGAAGCUCAAGAGGAGAUUGAUAAUCAGUGACCUUGCUAGGGAGGCGAUUUAUAAGAUAGGUGGCAGCAAGGAAUGCCUCAUCCCAAAAUUUCAAAGGCAUAGAUGCUUUAGCAAGAAGAGCUAGCCCAACUUCUACUAUGUGCCGAUGCUUUCUUUCAGCAGACCCAUUCUGUUGAUGCGCAUGGGGACAUGAGACCCGAUGGGUUAUCCCACUCCUUUGAAAGAAGGCGUUUAACUUUUUAUACUCACCACCCCAAUCUGUUUGCAUAGAGAGGAUUUUCUUAUCAAAUUGUCUUUCGACUAAUUUUUGGAAGUCUAGAAACACAUUGAACACAUCUGAUUUAUUUUUAAGGAGGUAAAUCCAAGUGUAGCGACUAAAAUCAUCAAUGAAGCUGACAUAAUAGGUGAACAUCCCAACAGAUGUAGGCGCUGGCCCCCAUACAUCGGAGUGGAUCAAAACAAGAGGAGCAGGAGCGGAAUUCUCAGAUGUGGAAUAAGGUAGCUGAUGACUUUUAGCUCUUUGGCAAGAAUCACACACUGAAUUGAUAGUAUUAUUGCUAAUAAAAGGUAGGUUAUGAUCUCUAAGAAUACGAGAUACUAUAGGAAAAGCAGGAUGUCCUAGACGACUAUGCCACCGUUCUAUCGUCGGUUUAACUGCGGCGAGGACUUCUUUGCUUGGGCUGCCAUCUGAGUUGUGCGGCACCAAGGGAUAGAGACCCCCUUCACAUCUUCCUCGAUGAAGAAUUUUCCUCGUUGCCCAAUCCUUGAUAAGGAAAAAGUUUGGAUGAAAUUCAACAAGAACAUUAUUGUCAAGGGUGAGGCGAUGGACAGAUGCAAGAUUUUUAUGUGAGCUUGGAACAUGAAGAAUAUUUCUCAAGACCAGAUUGCGAGAGGGGGUUUGCAAAAUAGAAUGACCAAUAUUAUUAAUCCUCAUACCUUGGCCACUUGCAGAGUAUACUUGAUCUCGACCGCCGUACUUUUCUUGCACAGUCAGCUUCUCCAAAUUGGAAGUGAUGUGAUCUGAGGCGCCACUAUCUGCAUACCAAUUUGUAUCAAUCCCAUAUGCUGCAGCAGGGCUAGAGUUGGAUGUCUUGUUGCUGUUCGCUUGAUUGUCAUCAUCGUAUCUAUACCAACACUCUCUUGCUGUGUGAUUUGGCCGAUCACAAAUUUGGCACUUUGGCUUGUUGUUUCCCUGGCCGCCACUCCUAAAAGAUUGACGAGCAUCAUCGGCACCACCAUAGCUUCGGCCUCCACGAUUUCCUCCACAGCCACGGCCAAAGUUCCCACGACCACGUGGGUUAUAACCACCACCGCGACCUCUGGAUGCAGAAUUGGCAGACGACAUGUACUGGCUGCCAGAGUUGUCACGCAACAUCUCCAGCCUUGUUUCAUAUGCCAUCACCUGAGCAUAUAAUUCGCUCAAAGGAAUCUGAUCAGACCCAUGACAGAAGUAACAAUAGGAUUAUACUCACUGUCCAAGCCAGAAAGAAUGAAAGAUAUAAUCUCAUCGUCUUCUACUUUCUUCCCAGCGCCGGCAAGCUCGUUGGCGAGUGCUUUCAUCUUGUUGAAGUAGACUGACUUCGUCAUGCUUCCCUUCUUGAGAGUUGACAAUUGCAUCCGUAGAUGAGUCACUCUUGCUCGGGAUUGGGCGGAAAACAUAUUUUCCAGCGCCGCCCACACUUCUGCAGAUGAGGACAGGGUUGCAACCUGUCCGAGCACGUCCUUUGUAACUGAGUUGAAUAGGAACGCGAGAAUUUGCUGGUCUUGCGCCAGCCAUGAGGAAUAUGCCGGGUUGCUGACAAUCUCCUUGGAUUUGUCCUCCCUGACGAUCUCCAGAAACUCAGAUGGGGCUUUGACGGAUCCCUCUAGGAUUCCCAAUAGCUGCGCCCCUCUGAUGGGUGGAAGAACUUGCGCCUUCCACAACACGUAAUUAUCUCUGGUAAGCUUCUCGGUGACUUGGGGACCAAGCGGCGCCAAUGCUGUCGCCGAGGAAGAGGAUGUCGCCAUGACGUCGACGCUUCUUAGAUGAAGAUGGCUCUGAUUACCAUGUAAAUAUGUAAAGCUAUUUGGUAAACGUGGUUAGCAAACUCGCAUCCCACGGUUCCGCGUUUAUAUAGUGCCGGAGGCUGUCACAAUUACAUGGAGAUAGAUUACAGCUUGACUUUCAAGUACACGGUUAAACCUCCCUAUCUCUAACUGUCUUCUUAUCUGUUACAAGAUUGUUACAAUAUUCUACGUCUUUAUCUCAUGAAACUAGAUAGCUUCGUGCGCCUAAUCCUUGCUGUACGACGUACCUUGACAGGAUUGCCAUGCGCUGUACGUGAGCAGGUCUUUAACAAAGUCCUACACCAACACGUUUUCUUAACAGGGACCCAUCAUAACCAAGCUCGUUAAUACAAAAGAAACGUCAGGCGAAACAAAUGGACGCUAAGCCACACACCUGAACAAAUUUUACCCGAAAUUUGCAACACGUCAAGAAUGCUUAUCACUCAACCGUCUCACAUCUCUUUUGUUUAAGGAAACCAGGCUCGUUCCUACAAAAUGAACAGCUCUUUUAUGAUCCACAAUACUACUACUUACUAGUAUAUAGUAUACAUAUAAGAUCUAACUGUUCAUUAUUAUGGAUAAUUUAGUAAUUAUUAUAAUGUAAAAAGUGAUAUUUCAAAUAGAAUGGUCUUUAAAACUUUCUGCUAGUAUCAAAAAUAAAAUUAUAGUGGUGCCAUUUGUGCUUUCUUACCAUGAUACCCUUAUACUACCUAUACUACUCAUGUAUACUACCCAUACCACAGGCGUAGGUUUCAGUAGUAUGUAAUAAAUCUUGACCGUCAGAUAUGUUUAUACUAAUCAUUUUCGAACACAAGUAUAGUCUAGUGUUGUGUUCCGUAAAAGAGCUCAUAUAAUAUGUUAUAAAACUUAUUUGUGAAAGCUAAAGGCAACAACAGGGGAUAAAUUCCAGAAUAGGUAAGAACAGAAAUUUAAAAGGGCAAAAUUUGUUGAUGGAUAGAAAUGCAUAGAAUGCUUAUUACUCAAUCGACUCACAUCUCUUUUUUCUAGGAAACAAAGCUCUCAUUAGUACUCUACGUUGGAAACAAAGCACUUAUUGUUGUUCAUAGCAGCUGAGAUUGACUUACAUAUAUUUAUUUGCAAACAGGUGUGAAAUGUGAUACAAUAAUUCAGAAAGCUAGACAUCCUGAGCCAUGCGAGGGAUAAGAAGAAGCUUCUCCUUACGGUGCACAUCCAUCCCAUACGACUCUGACAUAUCGACGCCUGUCGACCCCGGCAGAAGCUCCCAGUUGAAGUGGUAGAUGAGGUUGGCAAGAAUGAUUUCGAAAGUGGCGGUGGUGAAGUUUAUACCCGGGCACAUCCUUCGCCCAGACCCAAACGGCAAGAAACGGAAGUGGUUCCCCUGGAAGUCAGAAGCAGCAUCCACGGCUUCUUCCAUGAACCGCUCGGGCAUGAACUCCUCUGCACUCUCCCAGUAGGUGGAAUCCCUGCCUAGAGCCCACGCGUUGACGAUUACACGUGUCCCAGAGGGUAUGGUAUAUCCCUCCACCUCCCAUUCGGCCAUGGACAAGUGGGGUAUCAAAAGAGGCCCCGGCGCGUGUAGCCGCAUUGACUCUUUCAUCACCGCCGUCAGGUAGCUCAUGCCGCUCAGGUCUUGUUCAGUGACCAGUUCCUUCCCCUUGGUUGCGCACCCCCGCACCUCAGCUUGAAGCUUGGUCAUCACCUUGGGAUUCCGCAUCAGCUCAGCCAUGGCGUAGUCUAGUGCUAUGUAGGUUGUGUCCGUCCCAGCUUCAAACAUGUCCUACAUGAACAUAUCGGUAAGUAGAACUCCAAAUCAAAUUUAACCAAGCUAGUCCAUGAAACGUCUCAUAUGUACCUCUCGUGAAAAAUAAACAUACCAUCAGUAUUGCCUUGACGUUGUCUCUGGUCAGGCCGUACUCUUGUUGAACGGAGAGCAGCACAUCGAUGAAGUCCUCCUCGUCCUCACCAUCGACCGGCUUGGUCUUGUGCUUGUCGAUGAGGCUGUCCAAAAGGUCAUCCCAUAUCUUCCUGUGCUUCACGGCCUUGGCCGAUACCAAGUCCAACCUCGCCAAGCUCGGGAAAUAGUCGUCCAGGUUAAAUGCCCCCAGGAGCUUGGCGUUCGUCUCUAACAGCUCCCGGAACAGCUGGUUCCGACCUUGUUCCCUGGGGAGCCUGCCCGUCACGGCCUGGCACACGAUGUCGUUGGCGAAGAAGCUGAAGAGCUUGCUGACGUCGACCGCGAUGCCCAUGGCGGCGGCGGCCGUCACCUUGGCUAAAACCAGCUGGACCUCCUGCUCGCGGGCGGCGCGGUUGGACCGGACCUUCGCCGCGGUAAGGAGGUGGGUGGUGAUCACCUUCCUGGCCUGGCGCCAGUACUCACCGUAGGGGGCGAAGCCGACGUCGGUGCAGCCGUAGAACAGGACGUCGGCCACCGCGGAGUGCGGCCGGGAGGCGAAGACGUGGUCGUGCGUGCGCAGGACGGCCUUGGCGGCGCGUGGGGAGGAGACGACGAGCGUUGGCACGGCGCCGAGGCGGAGGAGCAUCACGUCGGGCCCGUGCCUCUUGGCGAGGUCGCGGAGGGAGUGGUGGGGAAGGGAUCCGAUGAGGUGGAGGUGGCCGAUGAUCGGGAGCUUGAACGGAGGCGACGGUAGCUUCCGGAGCAGCUUCUCUGUUCUUGACCUUGGUGUUGCCAAGUGCACGGCGACGAGGAAGAGGAAGAAGAGGAGGGCUAGGGACUCUGGAGAUGCGUGUUCGUAGAGGUGCGCUAGCGCUGGAGCCGCCAUGGCUGAUCAACUAGUGUGCACAACACACGGCUUGCUAGCGCAACAAGUUAGAACCAGCUCGUUGCAGUUUUUGUAGAGCUCGGAAGUCGUGAUCCGUCAGACAGCAAGAAGAGUAUGCUAUUUUUUUCUUUUCUGCAUCAUCACUAGAUCAGAUCAGACAGGACCGACCAGAUCUGAUCUUUUAUGAGAGAAUCCUAUCGAAUAAUCAUCCUUUUUAUUAAACUGCACCCGACGCAGACUUUCUUUAUUUGCCCAUGUGCUAUUAUAUAUUAAUUUUUAUCUCGACUAUAUACCACUGUCCUCAUGUAUGUUGUGUACCAAGAGGAACACGAGACGAUCGAGAUUCCAAUAAAAUAUGUGUUUGGUGCUGGAUUAAUUGGCAUGCUUUUCUCUCAGAUGAGCUGCGUGUAGUGACAGCGGCGCUCGCAAUAGUUGGUCGGCGCACUGGUAGACGGGCAGCUCAUGGAUGCUACCGACGGCUCUGCAACUUGAUGCAGUUCAUGCACGCUGCUGGGUGGCACCCAUGGUGCGAUAUGGCAUUGGCAUUGGCACUGUGGCGGCGGAUCCGACCAGUAGCAGAAGCUCGCACAAGUCUAAAUGUAUCUAACUUUGAUGAAUUUUAAUUUCAAAUCUAUGGAGGCUUUUGAGCUCGAACUAAUUGAAAUGGAUCACACUUUAGUAGUGCUUUCAACAUAAAAAAUUGACACAAAUUAUGGCGGUGAGCAGUCUGCCUAGCCCAGGCAGAAAAACAAAGGCUUGAAACAAACAAGCCCUUGGUGUGUGCCUGAUAGUCAUAUGUUCGAAACUCCGAUCCUGUCGCCCUUGAUUAAAAUUCAUAGUAGAGACCCAUUGAGGAUUAGCCCUGGCAUCGAUCCGGCCACAGGAGAGACCGGGAGCCAAGAAGUGAAGUAAGUUGCGUGCGUGCCUGACGGCGAGGAAGCACCUCCAUUGAGCCACGAGGUGGAGUACGAGGCAGAGGCGAGAUGGGAUGUGUUGGGGACAGACUCACAUGACGGAGAGCGGUGCAUCUCCUACCUACCAUCUGCCAUUGCCGAGGGCCUUUCACCAUGCACCACUCCGGUUCGCUCUUUUGCGUCGCUGGGAGGAAAGGGACCGCCGAGCGUUGGGUGCCGCCACCGCUCCUGUGUAGUUCGCCAUGGCCACCUCCUCCGAGAGCGCCCACACCAGCGCUGCACCUCAUUCCAGGGAUGGGGCAGCCACUGCUGGGUCACAUCCACCCGGGGAUUGGGCCGUUGCCGGGGAAUAAGAGGAGCGCGGCAGAGAAGAAAAGGAGAAAACAGAGGAGACGUGACUGACAGGGACGGAGGAAAGAUGAUGAGUGCGUACGGUGGGGCGGGUAGGAAACACAUCGGUAAAAAUGGAAUUGGUUUUUUUGUAGAAACAUUUUCUAACUUGUGGUUUUUAUGGGUCUCCACCUUAUCCUCUCUCAAUUGCAUGAUAGGUGGGUCCGACAUGAGCGGUAAGGUGGUUCUGGUUUGGGUGAGAAACGUUUCCAAUUAUGUUGGAAAACAGGCUUCGCGGAGGCUCAAACACAAUGAGGUUUGAGCAGUCCAUGCAAUUCAAUUCCAAAGAAAUGAACAUAUGUUUACAUCGGGGUAGGGCUCUCCUUUUAUAGUAUCUCGGAGGACAUUUUGCAUUCCGCAAUUACCCUCACUCACCCACUACAAUCCUAGAAUAUGCUUUACAUGGAGGUAACUUGUAUAACUUGGUCUCCUCCUUGGAUCACGCUUCUCACGCCUUUAGUCAGCUCCAUGAUUCACGCUCUCACAUAGUUCCAUAAAUCACGCCUUCACAUUUCCAACGCCUCCACGCUUCCUGACCUCGUGACCGAAGCCAUCUUAGCUUCGGGAGUCAUGAUCGCCAUAGAUUCGCACCUAAGAGACGCUAGCCUCGCGCCCUGCUCCUUGACCUGAUUCAGCGAUCCUGCAUGAGACACUAAAUAACUCAGCACUCGAGGUUAGCUUCGACUGCUCGAGGUCAAGCUUGGUUAGUGUCUGGCGAUCUGUGAUUGCCUCCGGGCUUCGAGGUAAGAUUCAGGAUAGCAAGGCUAUGAUUACUUUCCACGCCAGAUUAACCACCCAAGGUUAGGGGUCCUCACCCGAGGUUAAUUAUUUUGAGGGGCUAAGCUGUUGACGCUAAAUAGCAUACUCUUCUUGCUGUCUGACGGAUCACGACUUCCGAGCUCUACAAAAACUGCAACGAGCUGGUUCUAACAUGUUGCGCUAGCAACUGUUGACGCUAAAUGUAACGACCUCGAGGGUGACCAUCUUUUUGGGCGAUCCCCAACAGUAGCCCCUCGUGGGCAAGGCUUGACACCGACAACCGAACCCGCGACUUAAGGAUCUGCUCCCAAAAAACAUCACCCUCAAGCAUCGGUUAGAAAUGAGCCGACAGUUACCCUUUUGGUCUUACGUGUUGAUUUCCUAUUGGGUGACCCUUCGUAUCUAGCUCGUGGUUAUAGGCGCCAUUUCACGCAUUUUACCAUGCCUAUAAAAGAGGGAGGUGGGGUCGCUUUCGUUUUUACCCUCGCGGCUAAAACCCUUGCGCUCCUGCUUUUGCUCACUGCUUCCGUGCUUUAAGAUUCAUGCAUUGUAUGCUGUUCUCCUUGGUCUCGAGGAUCUCGAAGGUAACAAUGUUACUUGUGUCUCUCUUUUAGUGUGACAUUUUCCCUUGCUUGUCAUUUUGGAGAUGAUGUUUCGAUGCCUUGCAGCUGGAUCGUAUUAUGCAAACCGCUAGGCCCAUGACAUCAGAAGAGUUCACUAAACAAGCUGGGCUUCGCAAUGAGGCUGCGGAGGACCAGGAUUUGUACAAGGCCGACGAGAAGCAAGGAAUCAAGAGGAUUGAGCUUUCUUAUGCCCAGAAGAAUAGAAGAGAAGACAAUUGGCUAAGCUACUAGUUCUAUAUCAAGAUUGACAGGGCCGAUGCGUCUGGUAUCAACCGAUCUUUCUAUCCUUCUAUGCACCCCUGGGCCCUAUGGAUAUUGCUACUACCCCUGCAUUUACAAGGUCCAAGGCAGACAAGGAGUGCAAGGGCGCUUUCCUCCCGGACUCGAAGUCGAUACCCGGCUGGAUCUUGUUGAAGAGUUUUUGGCAGCCAAUAUUUGGCCCCUUUCUGAUGGGUGGAGUCCAUUGGAGAUUGUGCCAAAAGACGUUCUGUGGAGUACUAGCCCGCUCCUCUACCCUUGCUUUGGAGUGGAGCUGCCCGUGGAUGCCAACCCCGGUCUUUUUGCAGAGGAUGUUGAGAGGCAUGCUGUUGAUAUAAUUGGCCCGAGUACUGAGACUUAGCUGAUGUUAGCUCGAAAGAUCAUUGCACACGAGCUUCGGGUCAACCGUGUGUUCGAGGAACUUGGGGUCGAUGUUAAGCCUCAUCCCAAACCUCGCAAGACCUUGAAAUGGGCACGAGAGUCUGGCGCGACAGGCUCGGAAUAGGUUGGCAGCAGUGGCAGGUGGAAAAAGAGAAAGGCCGAGAGCACCGCUCCUAAGGCCGUGGCAGUGACUUCAAAGAAGGAUGACAGCCAAUCAAGGGUCGUGCUCGAGGUGCGAAAGCAAAAUUAAAGACCUCGAGCCUCGAAGAUUAGAAGAAGUACGAAAAAAUUGGACAAAGUUCCUCGAGCGAGGCUGCAAAAUCCUCCGCGCCCCUGUCUCUAAAGCCAUCUGAGCUGCGACCAAGUCCGAACUCGAGGCUGCCGGCGCGCUGGCCGGUAUGAAAGAAAAGAAGUCUACGAGGAAGUCUCACAUCGGCAAAGCCUUUGAUGAUGAUGAUGAUAUUGUUUUGGAUGUGGACUUGUCUAUGUUCCCUAUAUCGGUCCCCAAGGCUAGUGUUCCUUCAAAGGAGACUGAGACUAAGGUUGCUGCACCCCCUCUACAGCACAAGGCCAAACCUUUGAAGGAGAAGAUCGUGGAUACCAUUGCUAAGGAGAUUAAGGCAUCUACUUCGAAGGUGACAAAGCCAGGUAAACAUGUCGUUGUACAUUUGCCUAGGAUGAGAUUUUUUGAUUGUGGUGAUGCGUCAUUUAGAUUUCUGAUGGAGCUGGAAAAAACCACUGGUGCACCUUGGGAGAUAUACAGGGAACCUCCUCUAAUAUUUAGGGUAAAACCUCAUUCUGCAGAUUCUGAACUGUCACCCUCUCUGGAACGUUACAACGAGGCCUACGGCACCAACCUUAGACAGGAGCUCAUUGCUGUUCAUGUGCCGGGUUCAGGUGAGGACGAUAAUCGCUACAACCUACCCUUGUUGUGGGGAGCUAAGGAUGGGAUGCGUGGUGUAGAUAGAGCAGCCAAGGAGGUUUUCAAGAUGUCUGAGCGGGUUGUCGGUGAGGUUGGUGGGCAGGGAGAAAGGGAGGAAGGCGAGGUUAUCCCUACUCGAGGUCUUGGGAAAUCCACUGUGCCUUUUGAGGUUGAUUACGAGGACAAGUCUUUUAAUCCUGAGAGUAAGCGCUUGCUCCUUAGUUUGUUUUGUCUGUACUUAAUUUCUACUUUGCUAUGCUUUGACGUGCCUUUCUUUUGACAGAGUAUGAAAAAUCAGUUAGGCGUUUCGAGCAAAAGGACUUAGCUAGGAUGUCAGCUACCAUUGGAUACAAGGUAUUUUGUUCGACGCUUGCUAUUUGUUUCUUAUCUCUCUUUUUUUACGAGGCUUUUCAUUUUGGUGUUUCGAUUUUGCAGUCCAUCAUCCUUGGGAAGAUGCUAUGGAGAAGGCUGCGGCUAAGGAAAAGAGCAUGCUGGCCGAGAGCACAAAGAUGAUGCAGCUAGAGGCUAGAGUUGCAAAGCUUGAGGAGGAAAGCAAGGUUUUAUAUGCCUUGAAGAACGAGCUCGCCGAUUCUAACUCUGACCUUAAAAAGAACAACGUGCUGCUAACAAAUACCUACAGCGAGCUCGUGCAGCAAGUUGAGAAGCUGGAAAAAAGACCCGAAGACAAUCUUGGUGUUUUGGAGAAACUCCGAAGCGCCACAGAAAAAGACGUACAGACUAUCACAGAGCAGGAAAAAAUGAUUCAUACCCUUGGUCAGGAUCUCAAAGAGCAAAAGACCUUUGUUGUGGAAGCAGAGCGGGCUCUCAAGGAAAAGUUCGUUGAGAUCUAUGAGGUGUACAAAACUGCUCUUGCAAAGUUUGGCGCAGAGCCUCUUUUGUUUCUGGGUGAUGAAAGUGUAAAAGAAAUAUUUGAUUGGGUGGAAGAGGAGUUCAAAGGCCUGCCCGAGGUUAUUACUGGUAGCAGCAACUUUGCUGCUUCCUUCUGCCUUGAUAGCGCAUUUCAACUCCUUGAAAAGAACAGCUACUCUCAUUUCUUAACACUCGCGGCUCGCACCUAUAUGUUCCCCUCGGCCUCGGAGCUUGAUGAAGAGGAGAAAUCUAAAAAUUUGAGAGCCACGAAGAUAAAUUUCUUCAAACAGCUUUGGGCUACCUCCGGGCGAGAGUACACAAGGCUGGUUGCUCAAGAGCGGCUUGCACAGGUUAGGGUUCACAUAACUUUGUAUUUCAUAAGGUUUGCAUUUUUUCUGUUGAUUUCCUGAUGUUGUUCCUCUUGUGUUCGUAGGCCAAGGCAUAGGAAGCAAAAGGCGAAGGUGGGAGCGAGAACGAUGAUGCUGAUCAAGGAGGGCAGUGAUUAUCGAAGCUAGUUAGAGAUUUGUUUUGUGGUUUGGGAUGUUUUGAUAAACUUGAUACUUAGUUGGCUGCUUUUGCGGGCCAGAUUGUAAAUAUUUGUUGCUCAGCCGGAACUUACAUGCUCGAAGCUGGUUACUUUUGGCGUUUGUACCUUCACAGAUUUCUUUUUAUCUUAACGUUUUUAUGUUUGAGUUAUUCUACUCAAAUGGCAACAAAGCUGUAGCUUAAAGAAAUGAGCAAUGUUUUAGUUUAAAACGUCACCCCUGCCCUAGUUUCUUUAUGCGUAGGUUUUUGUUGACUUUGCACGCUUGUUGUCUAAGCUUAAACGGAGCUUAAAAACGUCACCCCCUUCUUGGCACGUGGGUCUUACCCGAGGCAAUUGUCUCAUGGAAAGAGGAUGAAAAUGAUUUUUGUUUGCCAAAAAAUGUCACCCCCGCCCUUUUAUCCUUUUUCCGAAAAAACAUCCAACCUCGCCCUUUUCUUUUGCAUGAACGAGGUUAAGUGAGUAUUGACAAACCACAAGAUAAGUCAAUAGAGAAGUUGUUUUCGAGUUAUGUUGACUUAAAAAUAUGAUAGUUUGGUUGAAAUCGCAACCCUUAGGAUGUGUUUGGUUGGGCUGUGGCUUUUCAGAAAGCUGCUGUGAGCUAUGGGCUGUAGAAAAGCAGCUGUGAGAAAGCAGCUGUGGGAAAAGUAUAAGGCCGUUUGGUUAGAGCAGAUGUGGCUUUUGAAUAAAUUUUCGCGUCGACCCUGCAUGUCAUCCACAGUCCACCCCACUCAACUCUCUCCCUCGCUCACUGACGAGCGGGUCUAACCCUUCUUCUUCCUCCCGCUGGCUUGUCCACCCCAUAGGACCCCGAGUAGCACCAGGGCCGCAACGGCAUCCACGAUGAUGCAGUCCACAAUCAGGGCGAGGUCCAUGACGGCGAUGGCCUGCGCCUCACCUCCUCCACCUUGCACCACGUGGCAGGCACCGUAGCACCACCGGCAUCUAGGAGGCAGUGGCACCCCGCGGGCACGCAUGCGUCGACAUAGAGGUUGAGGCUAGUCUGUGCCGCCAAGAGCCCGCCGCCCGCGCAGGCGAGCCCCGCCUCCAUGGUGCCCUUCGGCGCGGAGGCGGAGAGUGAUGAGGAGAGGGAUGCCAUGGCAGCGGCGAGGAGGAGGAGACGCGCGAUGAUGAGUGUGUGCUGCUGGAGGUCGGAGGCCGGGAGCGAGACGGCAAGGAGGCCUGCGGCAUGGUCGAGGAGGAGGAACGACAGGGAGAGGAGGAGCGGGAGGUGGGGCGGGAGGAAUGGGAGGAGCGGUGGGAGGAGCAGCAGUGGGAGGAGCAUCAUGGAAGCCAGUGGGAGGAAGGCGAACAGGAGCACGAGGAGUAGCGGGAGGAGGCAGAGGAGCGGGUGGCGGAACAGGCGGAGGAGGUGGUGGUGGAGGGAGGACGGGGAGAGGUAGGAGACGGCGGCAAUGAGGUGGUGGGACUGGGAGGUCGCGAGGAGGGAGAAUAUAACGGCAAGGUGGCACGCGAGCAGCAGCGCCUCCGACAUUGUUGUUGGGCAGCGCGGUCGGGGAAGUCCCGAGGAGGAGGAGCACCAGGCGGCGGGCCACUAAGGUGAUGGUCGGGUGGAGGGACUGGUGCGGGUGAUGGGGAGUGGACGGGAAUAGAAGGGGAAAACGAACCGUUAUCCUCCAUAACAAGUGGUAGGUGGGUAAUUUUUUGUCCCAAAAGCAGCUAAAAGCAGGGGGGAAGGUGCUUUUGAUUUUGGGCAAAAGCACGUAUGGCUUUGGGCAAAAGCACGUAUGGCUUUGGGCAAAAGCACGUAUGGCUUUUAGGCCCUUUGGUUGGCUUUUGGCUUUUGCAAAAGCAAAAGUAGGUUGGAAAGUCCAACCAAAGGCACCCUUAGUUGCUUCAACCAUGAAAUUUUGCGAGGUUGAGAAAAUAGGGAAAUAGGGUGCCUUUUUUGAAAAAAUGUCAGUCUUUCUAUUCUAUUGUGAGAGCUUUGGCUGAGGCUAGGGCCUUCGUGCGAAAGGACAAAAUGAAUUUUCGACUCUGAAAAACGUCACCCCCCUUGUCCUUUUGCGCAGAGGGGGUUUAGACUCAGCAUGGCUUAUUCCAAGUGUUAUCUCUGCCUUUGAUCGCUUGCUGCAGCCUUUCUAUUCUCUGAGUUGCAAGUUCAAGGCCAAUCACUGUGGUGUUUGAGUGAGAAACUACGUUUAUGUGCAUAUAGUGUGCGUUCAAUGUUAGACUAUGCAGCUUAUUGCUACUUUAAAAUAUCUUGCGCAGAAACGUAGGUUUUCAACACGCAGAAACGUGAGGUUAGGCAAGUUGUUGUUGCAUCUGAGACUUGUGCAGACACGCAAGUUUUCAAUGCACAGAAACUCGAGGUUAGGCAACUUGUUGUUGCAUCUAAGACAAAGAUCAUAGGGGGAACUUCAUUUCAUUGAAUAAUGGAAAUUUUACAAGGAUCUACCUCUUCCGACAUGGUUGCCUCUUUGGCCACUUCUGAAAUUGGGUUGAUGUUGGUGGUAUCGGUUCUGGUUUUGGCCUUGGUUUUGGUUUUGGGUUUGGUUUUUGAACGAGGGUUGGUUAUCCUUGAUGGCCAGCAGUUAGUUUGGGUGCGAGUGGUGCUGUUGUUGGUGACUGUAUCACGAAGCUUGCCAGUUUUGACCUUUCUCUGCUUGCCUUUGGCGGUUUCUUUCCACGACCCUUCUUCUAUGGUCUUCAUCUGAUCUGCAAUAUUUAUCCAUCUCUUCGAACAGGGCUUCCAUUCUUUUUGGCUUUUUCCUUGAUAGCUUCGAGGCUGUUGGCCUCGGAUUAAGCCCCUUGAUGCAGAUCUCUAUGGCCAUGCUAUCCUCCACAUCUGGGGUUUGUGUCUUAAGUUGGACAAAUCUUCUCACGUAGCUUGCUAAAGGCUCUUUAUCUUUUUGCACACAAUUGAACAAAUCCCCCUCAUCAGUCAUGGCUCUAUGAAAGCCUUGAAAGUUUUGUAUCAGUUUGGUUUUAAGAUCGACCCAGCUGUAUACAGAUUGCAGCAGGAGUAGAGAGUACCAAUUUAGUGCUGCACCCUCGCACGCUAUAAUGAAUGACUUUGCCAAUACUACAUCAUCUCCCCCUGCCGAGGCUAUGGCUGUUUCAUAACUCAUGAGGAACUAGCGGGGAUCUAUUUGUCCAUUGAACUUUGGUAGUGCAACUGCCUUGUAGGUUGUGGGCCAUGGGGCUGUUUGCAGGCCUAAGGACAAUGGGGAGAUUUUGUCGGUAGUUGUGAAUGCGCUCAUUGUCACUCUGGUGUUGUGCCCAACGAGGCUAGGAUUCGGGUAUAUGAUGGGUGUGUCAUUGGUGUUGAAGGUUUGAAGUGGUGGCUGCUGCGGCUGUUGCGGUGUGUUACACAAGUAUUCCAAUUCGUUCAACUCUUGCUGCAACUCUGCCAGCUGCCUUUUGGCCUCAUUUAGCCUCACUAGCUUGUUGGUUGCUAGUCUUUGAGCCUGAAGCUCUUGAGCAAAUUUUUCUUUUUCUUUUUUAAUGCCUCUAGCUGCUUGAGUGCCGAGGCCAGCUCUUCUUCUAUUUCACUAAGGGGUUCAUCUUGCGUGCUUGUUUGCGGCAGAGUUUGGUUCGAGGUCCCCGCCUCAACCAUGCCUAUCUGUGAUCUUGUUCUUAAAUUAGCCUCGAUUCUUUUAAACUUUUUCUGCCUUCUCCGUGUUAACUUGUUUGACUGAGACAAGCUGCCUUUCUUGAACAGCCUCAUCUUCGAUGGUUCUCUUCUUCUUUUGAGGUGGCAUCGUGGGUUUCUUAGUGGCUCAGAAUACGGUGGGUGCCAAUGUUCGGAAACAAGCUUGAGGAAGGCUCAAAAACAACGAGGUUUGAGUAGCACAUUAUCAUGGCUCGGGCGGCCGGAGUGAGGUGGAUCGGGUGGAUCAAGGCUACGGCAUAGCACAUUAUCAUGGCUCGGGCGGCCGGAGCAAGAACACGAGCUGGCCGACCGUAGAGGGAAGUCGCAAGCGGCACUCGCAGAAUCUACGUGGCUCCCCUUGGUCGUUCUUUGUCUCAUCCUAUGGGUAUUGUGGAGGCACGGCGCCAGGCUGGCGGCACGGUGUAGCCUCAAUUCAGAACAUUCCUAGCCAGGGCGUGGGCGAGGGCGAUUGGUUGCUCAACCUGAUGAGAACUUGGGUGGGUGCUCCUACAUGGGAGAGAAUAGGGUGAUGGAUGAGAAUGCAGAUGAGGGACGGGGCUAGACGAGGGGUAGGUUGGAGACAUGUUUUCAUUGUUGUCCUCUUAGCGUCAAGAUGAGAGGUGAGAUGAGAUACCGGUAGGACCUGCUCUUACCAUGGCACUUCAGCAACCCCACCCCAACCCCGCGCGCAAGUCAAAAUUUGAGGACCAUAUGUACAAUACGUGUGCAAACAAAACCAUAAUUUUACUAGUAUUGAGGAUUUUAGUUAUUUCUUCUAAAAAAUCUCUUGGGAAAUCGUAUUUUUGUAGUACAACAUAUAUAGAAAAUAAGUAUUGCUCACAAAUAAACUGCCCUAUUCUUGGUUUUUGUUAUUAUUUUAUUUAAUCUUAAGAUUUAUAUAUGCAUAAAAAAGUAAUUUAGUAUCUUCAAAUAUGGAAACGUGGUCUUAGGAAUAGGGCUCAUAUUUUAUUCUUGAGCAUGCCUAGUGGAAAAAUACUAUCUAAAAAACUGCAAAGAAAUUUAAUACCUAAGCCUUCGAUCCACUCUACUUUUUGUAUACUAGUUUACCUGCAAUCCACUGGCUUGCACAUUAUAUUUCAUCAUACGGAAAUGUCUGAGAUUGUGAACGGAAGCAAUUUCAUCUGUCUGCAACAUGUGACACCCAGAGCUCCUGACACAACCGCGUGAGCACCUUCUCCGACAUGCGCACAUGAUGACCGCAUGCACCCAUAUUAUACAUAGUUUAUUAUAGUUUCUGCAGGGAUAUGAUAAUCAUUAAUUAUUACUUGUAAAGAUUGGAAACGUUACAAACGAUUGUAGAAAAAAUGCGAGUCACCAGGAAGGUAGGUAGUAGAGCAUGCCGUCAGUGUCUUUCCUGUGACCUGUGUUCGUGGUGCACAUGGCAGAAUGCACAGUCUAUACAUAGGAACCAGAAGUUGGCUUCGAAACCAAAUCACUCAUUAGUCCUUCAGUACUGCAGUGAACGCUAUCUAGCUAGCUAAUUUCCCCUUGAAAUCAGUUUUCUUGCGUGGCCAUGGGUAGCCUUCCACUUGAAGCCAUGAUGCCACUGAACCCCGAUUCAUUCGCUGGGGAGUCCAGUGCCGUGGUCGACUUCCUCGCCGACUACUACCGCAACGUCGAUAAGUAUCCGGUCAUGGCCAACACCCAGCCAGGGACCAUCCGUAAGCUUCUUCCGGAGGCAGCCCCGGAGUUGGGCGACUCCAUGGAUCGCAUACUGGAUGAUGUGCAGCGGGAUAUCCUCCCCGGCCUCACACAUUGGCAGAGCCCUAGCUUCUUUGCCUAUUUCCCGGCGAAUGCAAGCACCGCAGGGUUCGCCGGGGAGAUGUUGUCGGCUGGUCUCAACGUCGUCCCGUUCGUCUGGACGGCGUCACCGGUGGCCACUGAGCUGGAGCAGGUCGUGGUUGACUGGAUGGCUAGCCUCCUCGGCCUACCGGAGCGCUUCCACUUCAAGGGAGGAGGAGGCGGUGUCCUGCAUGGGAGCACGUGCGAGGCGGUGGUGUGCACCCUCGCUGCCGCGCGCGACCGUGCACUCAGCAAGCUCGGACAUGAGGGCAUCCUCAAGCUUGUCGUGUAUGCCUCGGACCAGACCCACGCAACCUUCCAGAAGGGCGCGAGCAUCGUCGGCAUCCCUCCAGCAAACUUCCGCAUCCUGCGGACUUCGGCAAACUCGGGAUACGGCCUCACCGCCACCAUCGUCCAAAGAGCAAUCGAGGAAGACGUCGCCCGCGGGCUGGUUCCCCUUUACCUCUGCGCCACCGUCGGCACUACUGGUCUGGGGGCCAUUGACCGAGUGCGCGAGCUCGGCCAUGUUGCCCGGCGUUAUGGUAAUUCAUUCAACCUCCCUCUCUUAUACGCUAAUCACCCAUACGGUGACACUAAAUACGUAGAAAUGGAAUGCGCUAUGCGGUCACAAGUCACGAUUCAUGCUCACUUAACAAUCAACAAUCAGUUCCUAUAACCAUCUGACAAGAAUACAUGUUUUACAGGAACCUGGCUGCACAUCGACGCAGCCUACGCCGGAAGCGCAGCCAUUUGCCCGGAGUUCCAAGGUCACCUCGACGGCGCCGAGCUCGCGGACUCGGUGAGCAUGAACCCACAUAAGUGGUUCCUCACCAACAUGGACUGCUGCUGCCUCUGGGUGGCGAACCCUACCACCAUGACCGACGCACUGUCCACUGACCCGGAGUACCUCAAGAAUGUCGGCACCGCGUCUAAGAUGGCGGAAACGGUCGACUACAAGGACUGGCAGAUCGCGCUGUCACGCCGCUUCCGUGCCAUCAAACUCUGGGUGGUGCUACGGCGCUAUGGAGCGGCGGGAAUGCGCGCGCACAUACGGAGGCACAUCCAGAUGGCAGAGUGGUUCGAGCACGUCGUGGCGGCGGACGAGCGGUUUGAGGUCGUGGUGCCAAGGAACUUCUCCUUGGUGUGCUUCCGCCUCCGCCCGCGGUUCAUGGCGGAUAAAGCUGUGGAGGCCCUGAACCGCGACCUCCUCGCAGCGGUGAAUGCAAGCGGCCGGGCGUUCAUGACGCACUUCGUCGUGGACGACAAGUUUGUGAUCCGCCUAGCCGUGGGUGGGUCAAUGACAGAGAUGCGGCACGUCCGGGCCGCGUGGGAGCUUCUCAAGGAGAAGGCCAACGACUUGAUCGCCACCGGUUGUUAGUUAUUGCUCAUUGCUAGUGCUAUACCAUGCAUGGCCAGCAACAGAAGCUGAGCAUUCUAUUAUUGCUUCCAUUCGUAGUUAGAGCACACCAUGAAUGCAAUAGUCAAUCCAUCUGAACCAUGAACAUUCACUAUGACCAUGUAUGCGACACAAUAUACAUAAGUGCUACUGCCGAUAUUGGAUUCUAUUUCUGGAGAAGCGGCUGCUUCUACGGAGCAGGCCGAUUGAAUUUUAAGUAUGUUAUGAUACUUGUAAAAAAUCGAUGCUAGGCAUGGAUUCCUGGAAGGGGCCCGUCACAACUCACAAUGGAAGGGACCCGUCAUAACCAAGCUCGUUAAUACAAAAGAAACGUCAGGCGAAACAAAUGGACGCUAAGCCACACACCUGAACAAAUUUUACCCGAAAUUUGCAACACGUCAAGAAUGCUUAUCACUCAACCGUCUCACAUCUCUUUUGUUUAAGGAAACCAGGCUCGUUACUACAAAAUGAACACCAAGAUGAUAGAGCUCUUUUACGAUACACAAUACUACUACUUAGUAGUAUAUAGUAUAUAUAUAAGAUCUAACUGUUUAUUAUUAUGGAUAAUUUAGUAAUUAUUACAAUGUAAAAAGUGAUAUUUCAAAUAGAAUGGUCUUUUAAACUUUCUGCUAGUAUCAAAAAUAAAAUUAUAGUGGUGCCAUUUGUGUUUUCUUACCAUGAUACCCUUAUACUACCUAUACUACUCAUGUACGACAUAAGUGAAUAACAAAGGCAGUGCCAAAGCGAAUAAAGAGAGUAUUAAACUUUAUUACAUGAAAAUUGUCACAAUAAUGUCAUCCACAUAUAUAAGCAUGAAAAUUGUGACACCUCCUUUUGAAUAAAUAAAUAGCGACAUAUCUGAUUUUGAAGCUUUGAACCCAAGAUCAUACAACUUUGAGCUGAGCCGAGCAUACCAGGCUCUAGGAGCUUGUUUCAACCCAUAUAAUGCUUUGUCUAACCUGCACACAAAAUUGGGAUGUUUUGGAUCCUCAAAGCCUGGCGGCUGUCUCAUGUACACCUCUUCUUCAAGAACGUCAUGUAAAAACGUAUUCUGAACGUCCAACUGUCGUAGGCACCAUCCUCUGGCAACAGCUAUAGACAAGACCAAUCGAACCGUAGCAAUUUUUACAACAGGACUAAAAGUAUCUUCAUAAUCAAUUCCAUACCUUUGUUUAAACCCUUUUGCUACGAGCCGAGCUUUGUAUCUAUCAAUGCUUCCAUCAGACUUCCUUUUCACCUUGUAGACCCAUUUGCAAUCAAUGAGAUUUACACCUUGCUUGGGUGGAACUAAUCGCCAUGUUUUAUUUCGGUGUAAUGCACCAAUCUCCUCCUUCAUAGCUUGAGUCCAGCGAGGAUGACCAAGUGCCUCAACUAGGCCAUCAGGCUCUCCUGUCGAGCAAAAUCCUGUAUACCGAAUAGUACCAUCUGUAUACAUUUUGGGUUUGAAUAUUCCACGCUGCGAUCUGGUUGUAACUCGCUGUUGCCCGUCAGCCGUAGAAAAUCCGCCGUCCGCGGAUGGUCCGUCGUCCGUAGGAGACUCCGCAGCGAAUCCGGAGUCGUUCCCCCUUGGCGCUGAUGCAGGGGCAGCAGAUGAAGCGAGAGUAUCCGUUGGAGCUACGCCAGCCGGGUACGGCGUAUCCGCUUGGAAGCUGGAGCCGUCCGCCAGCGGAUCCAUCUGGCCUUCCGUGCUCCCCUGGCUGUUAACCAGAGAUGGCAAUCCAGUGCCUGAAACAGGAUCCGAUGCCUCUGUUUGAUUCCUGGAGACUUCCUGCGCAUCACAAUCAUCACUGAAAAAAUUGUUAUGAGGAUUAGAUAAUACCAUAUCAUCACUAUUUGCUUCCCCAUAGCUGGAACGAAGAUGUGAAGGAAGGAGUAAUAUUUCUUGACGGAGCCUUGCUCCAGCACUUUCAUGUAAAGCUUCAAAGGGGAACACUGCUUCAUCAAAUAUGACAUCCCGAGAGAUAUACACUCGCCCUGUCGAUAUAUCGAGGCACUUGUAACCUUUAUGGAGAGAACUAUAACUGAGGAAAGCACAUCGGACAGAGCGGAAAGAUAGCUUUUUAGCAUUAAAGGGUCUAAGGUUCGGCCAGCAGGCACACCCAACUGUACGAAGAAAGGAAUAGUUUGGUUGUUCACGACAUAGAAGCUCAAGAGGAGAUUGAUAAUCAGUGACCUUGCUAGGGAGGCGAUUUAUAAGAUAGGUGGCAGCAAGGAAUGCCUCAUCCCAAAAUUUCAAAGGCAUAGAUGCUUUAGCAAGAAGAGCUAGCCCAACUUCUACUAUGUGCCGAUGCUUUCUUUCAGCAGACCCAUUCUGUUGAUGCGCAUGGGGACAUGAGACCCGAUGGGUUAUCCCACUCCUUUGAAAGAAGGCGUUUAACUUUUUAUACUCACCACCCCAAUCUGUUUGCAUAGAGAGGAUUUUCUUAUCAAAUUGUCUUUCGACUAAUUUUUGGAAGUCUAGAAACACAUUGAACACAUCUGAUUUAUUUUUAAGGAGGUAAAUCCAAGUGUAGCGACUAAAAUCAUCAAUGAAGCUGACAUAAUAGGUGAACAUCCCAACAGAUGUAGGCGCUGGCCCCCAUACAUCGGAGUGGAUCAAAACAAGAGGAGCAGGAGCGGAAUUCUCAGAUGUGGAAUAAGGUAGCUGAUGACUUUUAGCUCUUUGGCAAGAAUCACACACUGAAUUGAUAGUAUUAUUGCUAAUAAAAGGUAGGUUAUGAUCUCUAAGAAUACGAGAUACUAUAGGAAAAGCAGGAUGUCCUAGACGACUAUGCCACCGUUCUAUCGUCGGUUUAACUGCGGCGAGGACUUCUUUGCUUGGGCUGCCAUCUGAGUUGUGCGGCACCAAGGGAUAGAGACCCCCUUCACAUCUUCCUCGAUGAAGAAUUUUCCUCGUUGCCCAAUCCUUGAUAAGGAAAAAGUUUGGAUGAAAUUCAACAAGAACAUUAUUGUCAAGGGUGAGGCGAUGGACAGAUGCAAGAUUUUUAUGUGAGCUUGGAACAUGAAGAAUAUUUCUCAAGACCAGAUUGCGAGAGGGGGUUUGCAAAAUAGAAUGACCAAUAUUAUUAAUCCUCAUACCUUGGCCACUUGCAGAGUAUACUUGAUCUCGACCGCCGUACUUUUCUUGCACAGUCAGCUUCUCCAAAUUGGAAGUGAUGUGAUCUGAGGCGCCACUAUCUGCAUACCAAUUUGUAUCAAUCCCAUAUGCUGCAGCAGGGCUAGAGUUGGAUGUCUUGUUGCUGUUCGCUUGAUUGUCAUCAUCGUAUCUAUACCAACACUCUCUUGCUGUGUGAUUUGGCCGAUCACAAAUUUGGCACUUUGGCUUGUUGUUUCCCUGGCCGCCACUCCUAAAAGAUUGACGAGCAUCAUCGGCACCACCAUAGCUUCGGCCUCCACGAUUUCCUCCACAGCCACGGCCAAAGUUCCCACGACCACGUGGGUUAUAACCACCACCGCGACCUCUGGAUGCAGAAUUGGCAGACGACAUGUACUGGCUGCCAGAGUUGUCACGCAACAUCUCCAGCCUUGUUUCAUAUGCCAUCACCUGAGCAUAUAAUUCGCUCAAAGGAAUCUGAUCAGACCCAUGACAGAAGUAACAAUAGGAUUAUACUCACUGUCCAAGCCAGAAAGAAUGAAAGAUAUCAUCUCAUCGUCUUCUACUUUCUUCCCAGCGCCGGCAAGCUCGUCGGCGAGUGCUUUCAUCUUGUUGAAGUAGACUGACUUCGUCAUGCUUCCCUUCUUGAGAGUUGACAAUUGCAUCCGUAGAUGAGUCACUCUUGCUCGGGAUUGGGCGGAAAACAUAUUUUCCAGCGCCGCCCACACUUCUGCAGAUGAGGACAGGGUUGCAACCUGUCCGAGCACGUCCUUUGUAACUGAGUUGAAUAGGAACGCGAGAAUUUGCUGGUCUUGCGCCAGCCAUGAGGAAUAUGCCGGGUUGCUGACAAUCUCCUUGGAUUUGUCCUCCCUGACGAUCUCCAGAAACUCAGAUGGGGCUUUGACGGAUCCCUCUAGGAUUCCCAAUAGCUGCGCCCCUCUGAUGGGUGGAAGAACUUGCGCCUUCCACAACACGUAAUUAUCUCUGGUAAGCUUCUCGGUGACUUGGGGACCAAGCGGCGCCAAUGCUGUCGCCGAGGAAGAGGAUGUCGCCAUGACGUCGACGCUUCUUAGAUGAAGAUGGCUCUGAUUACCAUGUAAAUAUGUAAAGCUAUUUGGUAAACGUGGUUAGCAAACUCGCAUCCCACGGUUCCGCGUUUAUAUAGUGCCGGAGGCUGUCACAAUUACAUGGAGAUAGAUUACAGCUUGACUUUCAAGUACACGGUUAAACCUCCCUAUCUCUAACUGUCUUCUUAUCUGUUACAAGAUUGUUACAAUAUUCUACGUCUUUAUCUCAUGGAACUAGAUAGCUUCGUGCGCCUAAUCCUUGCUGUACGACGUACCUUGACAGGAUUGCCAUGCGCUGUACGUGAGCAGGUCUUUAACAAAGUCCUACACCAACACGUUUUCUUAACAGCGACCCGUCAUAACCAAGCUCGUUAAUACAAAAGAAACGUCAGGCGAAACAAAUGGACGCUAAGCCACACACCUGAACAAAUUUUACCCGAAAUUUGCAACACGUCAAGAAUGCUUAUCACUCAACCGUCUCACAUCUCUUUUGUUUAAGGAAACCAGGCUCGUUCCUACAAAAUGAACAGCUCUUUUAUGAUCCACAAUACUACUACUUACUAGUAUAUAGUAUACAUAUAAGAUCUAACUGUUCAUUAUUAUGGAUAAUUUAGUAAUUACUAUAAUGUAAAAAAUGAUAUUUCAAAUAGAAUGGUCUUUAAAACUUUCUGCUAGUAUCAAAAAUAAAAUUAUAGUGGUGCCAUUUGUGCUUCCUUACCAUGAUACCCUUAUACUACCUAUACUACUCAUGUAUACUAUCCAUACCACAGGCGUAGGUUUCAGUAGUAUGUAAUUAAUCUUGACCGUCGGAUAUGUUUAUACUAGUCAUUUUCAAACACAAGUAUAGUCUAGUGUUGUGUUCCGUAAAAGAGCUCAUAUAAUAUGUUAUAAAACUUAUUUGUGAAAGCUAAAGGCAACAACAGGGGAUAAAUUUCAGAAUAGGUAAGAACAGAAAUUUAAAAGGGCAAAAUUUGUUGAUGCAUGGAAAUGCAUAGAAUGCUUAUUACUCAAUCGACUCACAUCUCUUUUUUCUAGGAAACACAAUAAUUGUUGGAUACAAAGCACUUAUUGUUGUUCAUAGCAGCUGAGAUUGACUUACAUAUAUUUAUUUGCAAACAGGUGUGAAAUGUGAUACAAUAAUUCAGAAAGCUAGACAUCCUGAGCCAUGCGAGGGAUAAGAAGAAGCUUCUCCUUACGGUGCACAUCUAUCCCAUACGACUCUGACAUAUCGACGCCUGUCGACCCCGGCAGAAGCUCCCAGUUGAAGUGGUAGAUGAGGUUGGCAAGAAUGAUUUCGAAAGUGGCGGUGGUGAAGUUUAUACCCGGGCACAUCCUUCGCCCAGACCCAAACGGCAAGAAACGGAAGUCGUUCCCCUGGAAGUCAGAAGCAGCAUCCACGGCUUCUUCCAUGAACCGCUCGGGCAUGAACUCCUCUGCACUCUCCCAGUAGGUGGAAUCCCUGCCUAGAGCCCACGCGUUGACGAUUACACGUGUCCCAGAGGGUAUGGUAUAUCCCUCCACCUCCCAUUCGGCCAUGGACAAGUGGGGUAUCAAAAGAGGCCCGGCGCGUGUAGCCGCAUUGACUCUUUCAUCACCGCCGUCAGGUAGCUCAUGCCGCUCAGGUCUUGUUCAGUGACCAGUUCCUUCCCCUUGGUUGCGCACCCCCGCACCUCAGCUUGAAGCUUGGUCAUCACCUUGGGAUUCCGCAUCAGCUCAGCCAUGGCGUAGUCUAGUGCUAUGUAGGUUGUGUCCGUCCCAGCUUCAAACAUGUCCUACAUGAACAUAUCGGUAAGUAGAACUCCAAAUUUAACCAAGCUAGUCCAUGAAACGUCUCAUAUGUACCUCUCGUGAAAAAUAAACAUACCAUCAGUAUCGCCUUGACGUUGUCUCUGGUCAGGCCGUAUUCUUGUUGAACGGAGAGCAGCACAUCGAUGAAGUCCUCCUCGUCCUCACCAUCGACCGGCUUGGUCUUGUGCUUGUCGAUGAGGCUGUCCAAAAGGUCAUCCCAUAUCUUCCUGUGCUUCACGGCCUUGGCCGAUACCAAGUCCAACCUCGCCAAGCUCGGGAAAUAGUCGUCCAGGUUAAAUCCCCCCAGGAGCUUGGCGUUCGUCUCUAACAGCUCCCGGAACAGCUGGUUCCGACCUUGUUCCCUGGGGAGCCUGCCCGUCACGGCCUGGCACACGAUGUCAUUGGCGAAGAAGCUGAAGAGCUCGCUGACGUCGACCGCGAUGCCCAUGGCGGCGGCGGCCAUAGGAGAGACCGGGAGAAAAGAAGUGAAGUAAGUUGCGUGCGUGCCUGACGGCGAGGAAGCACCUCCAUUGAGCCACGAGGUGGAGUACGAGGCAGAGGCGAGAUGGGAUGUGUUGGGGACAGACUCACAUGACGGAGAGCGGUGCAUCUCCUACCUACCAUCUGCCAUUGCCGAGGGCCUUUCACCGUGCACCACUCCGGUUCGCUCUUUUGCGUCGCUGGGAGGAAAGGGACCGCCGAACGUUGGGUGCCGCCACCGCUCCUGCGUAGUUCGCCAUGGCCACCUCCUCCGAGAGCGCCCACACCAGCGCUGCACCUCAUUCCAGGGAUGGGGCAGCCGCUGCUGGGUCACAUCCGCCCGGGGAUUGGGCCGUUGCUGGGGAAUAAGGGGGUGUUUGGAUGUUUAGGACAUCCUAAAAUUUAUAUCACAUCGAAUAUUCGGAGGCUAAUUAGAAGGACUAAAUAUGAGCUAAUUAUAAAACUAAUUACACAGAUGGAUGCUAAUUCAUGAGACGAAUCUAUUAAGUCUAAUUAAUCCAUCAUUAGCACAUGUUUACUGUAGCAUCACAUUGUUAAAUCAUGAACUAAUUAGGCUUAAUAGAUUCGUCUCGCAAAUUAGUCUCCAUCUGUGCAAUUAGUUUUGUAAUUAGUCUAUAUUUAAUACUCCUAAUUAGUAUCUAAACAUUCGAUGUGACAGAAAUUUUAGGAGGGCCUAAAGAAACAAACACCCCCUAAGAGGAGCGCGGCAGAGAAGAAAAGGAGAAACAUAGGAGACGUGAUUGACAGGGACGGAGGAAAGAUGAUGAGUGCGUACGGUGGGGCGGGUAGGAAACACAUCGGUAAAAAUGGAAUUGGUUUUUUUGUAGAAACAUUUUCUAACUUGUGGUUUUUAUGGGUCUCCACCUUAUCCUCUCUCAAUUGCAUGAUAGGUGGGUCCGACGUGAGCGGUAAGGUGGUUCUGGUUUGGGUGAGAAAGGUUUUCAAUUCUUAUGGAAAAAGGCUUCACGGAGGCUCAAACACAAUGAGGUUUGAGCAGUCCUUGCAAUUCAAUUCCAAAGAAAUGAACAUAUGUUUACAUCGGGGUAGGGCUCUCCUUUUAUAGUGUCUCGGAGGACAUUUUGCAUUCCGCAAUUACCCUCACUCACCCACUACAAUCCUACAAUAUGCUUUACAUGGAGCUAACUUGUAUAACUUGGUCUCCUCCUUGGAUCACGCUUCUCACGCCUUUAGUCAGCUCCAUGAUUCACGCUCUCACAUGGUUCCACAAAUCACGCCUUCACAUUUCCAACGCCUCCACGCUUCCUGACCUCGUGACCGAAGCCAUCUUAGCUUCGGGAGUCAUGAUCGCCAUAGAUUCGCACCUAAGAGACGCUAGCCUCACGCCCUGCUCCUUGACCUGAUUCAAUGAUCCUGCAUGAGACACUAAAUAACUCGGCACUCAAGGUUAGCUUCGACUGCUCGAGUUCAAGCUUGGUUAGUGUCUGGCGAUCUGCGAUUGCCUCCAGGCUUCGAGGUAAGAUUCAGGAUAGCGAGGCUAUGAUUACUUUCCACGCCAGAUUAACCACCCAGGGUUAGGGGCCCUCACCCGAGGUUAAUUUUUUUGAGGGGCUAAGCUGUUGACGCUAAAUGUAAUGACCUCGAGGGUGACCAUCUUUUUGGGCGAUCCCCAACAGUAGCCCCUCAUGGGCAAGGCUCGACACUGACUACCGAACCCACGACUUAAGGAUCUGCUCCCAGAAAACGUCACUCUCGAGCAUCGGUUAGAAAUGAGCCAACAAUUACCUUUUUGUUCUUACGUGUCGAUUUCCUAUUGGGUGACCCUUCGUAUCUAGCUCGUGGUUACAGGUGCCAUUUACGCCUUUUACCAUGCCUAUAAAAGAGGGGGGUGGGGUCGCUUUCGUUUUUACCCUCGUGGCUGAAACACUUGCGCUCCUGCUUUUGCUCGCUGCUUCCGUGCUUUAAGAUUCAUGCAUUAUAUGUUGUUGUCCUUGGUCUCGAGGAUCUCGAAGGUAACAAUGUUACUUGUGUCUCUCUGAUAGUGUGAGAUUUUCCCUUGGUUUUCAUUUUGGAGAUGAUGUUUCGAUGCCUUGCAGCUGGCUCGUAUUAUGCAAACCGCUAGGCCCAUGACAUCAGAAGAGUUCACUAAACAAGCUGGGCUUCGCAACAAGGCUGCAGAGGACAAGGAUUUGUACAAGGCCGACGAUAAGCAAGGAAUCAAGAGGAUUGAGCUUUCUUAUGCCCAGAAGAAUAGGUGGGAAGACAAUUGGCUAAGCUACUAGUUCUAUAUCAAGAUUGACACGGCCAAUGCGUCUGGUAUCAACCAACCUUUCUAUCCUUCUAUGCACCCCUGGGCCCUAUGGACAUUGCUACUACCCCUGCAUUUACAAGGUCCAAGGCAGUCAAGGAUUGCAAGGGCGCUUUCCUCCCGGACUCGAAGUCGAUCCCCGGCUGGAUCUUGUUGAAGAGUUUUUGGCAGCCAACAUUUGGCCCCUUUCUGAUGGGUGGAGUCCAUUGGAGAUUGUGCCAAAACAGGUUCCGUGGAGUACUAGCCCGCUCCUCUACCCUUUCUUUGGAGUGGAGCUGCCUGUGGAUGCCAACCCGGUCUUUUUGCAGAGGAUGUUGAGAGGCAUGCUGUUGAUAUAAUUGGCCCGAUUACUGAGACUGAGCUGACAUUAGCUCAAAAGAUCAUUCCACACGAGCUUCGGGUCAACCGUGUGUUUGAGGAACUUGGGGUCGAUGUUAAGCCUCAUCCCAAACCUCGCAAGUCCUUGAAAUGGGCACGAGAGGCUGGCGUGACAGGCUCGGAAUAGGUUGGCGGCAGUGGCAGGUGGAAAAAGAUGAAGGCUGAGAGCACCGCUCCUAAGGCCGCGGCAGUGACUUCAAAGAAGGAUGACAGCCAAUCGAGGGUCGUGCUCGAAGUGCGAAAGCAAAAUUAAAGACCUCGAGCCUCAAAGCUCAGAAGAAGAAAAAAUUGGACAAAGUUCCUCAAGCGAGGCUGCAAAAUCCUCCGCGCCCCUGUCUCUAAAGCCGUCCGAGUUGCGACCAAGUCCGACCUCGAGGCUGCCGGCGCGCUGGCCGGUAUGAAAGAAAAGAAGUCUACGAGGAAGUCUCAUGUCGGCAAAGCCUUUGAUGAUGAUGAUGAUAUUGUUUUGGAUGUGGACUUGUCUAUGUUCCCUAUAUUGGUCCCCGAGGCUAGUGUUCCUUCAAAGGAGACUGAGACAAAGGUUACUGCACCCCCUCUACAGCACGAGGCCAAACCUUUGAAGGAGAAGAUCGUGGAUACCAUUGCUAAGGAGAUUAAGGCGUCUACUUCGAAGGUGACAAAGCCAGGUAAACAUGUCGUUGUACAUUUGCCUAGGAUGAGAUUUUUUGAUUGUGGUGAUACGUCAUUUAGAUUUCUGAUGGAGCUGGAAAAAACCACUGGUGCACCUGGGGAGAUAUACAGGCAACCUCCUCUAAUAUUUGGGGUAAAACCUUAUUCUGCAGAUUCUGAACUGUCACCCUCUCUAGAACGUUACAACGAGGCCUACGGCACCAACCUUAGACAGGAGCUCAUUGCUGUUCAUGUGCCGGGUUUAGGUGAGGAUGAUAAUCGCUACAACCUACCCUUGUUGUGGGGAGCUAAGGAUGGGAUGCGUGGUGUAGAUAGAGCAGCCAAGGAGGUUUUCAAGAUGUCUGAGGGGGUUGUCGGUGAGGUUGGUGGGCAGGGAGAAAGGGAGGAAGGCGAGGUUAUCCCUACUCGAGGUCUUGGGAAAUCCACUGCGCCUUUUGAGGUUGAUUAUGAGGAAAAGUCUUUUAAUCCUGAGAGUAAGCGCUUGCUCCUUAGUUUGUUUUGUCUGUACUUAAUUUCUACUUUGCUAUGCUUUUACGUGCCUUUCUUUUGACAGAGUAUGAAAAAUCAGUUAGGCGUUUCGAGCAAAAGGACUUAGCUAGGAUAUCAGCUACCAUCGGAUACAAGGUAUUUUGUUCGACGCUUGCUAUUUGUUUCUUAUCUCUCUUUUUUUACGAGGCUUUUCAUUUUGGUGUUUCAAUUUUGCAGUCCAUCAUCCUUGGGAAGAUGCUAUGGAGAAGGCUGCGGCUAAGGAAAAGAGCAUGCUAGCCGAGAGCACGAAGAUGAUGCAGCUAGAGGCUAGAGUUGCAAAGCUUGAGGAGGAAAGCAAGGUUUUAUAUGCCUUGAAGAACGAGCUCACCGAUUCUAACUCUGACCUUAAAAAGAACAACGUGCUGCUAACAAAUACCUACAGCGAGCUCGUGCAGCAAGUUGAGAAGCUGGAGAAAGACCCGAAGACAAUCUUGGUGUUUUGGAGAAACUCCGAAGCGCCACAGAAAAAGACGCACAGACUAUCACAGAGCAGGAAAAAAUGAUUCAUACUCUUGGUCAGGAUCUCAAAGAGCAAAAGACCUUUGUUGUGGAAGCAGAGCGGGCUCUCAAGGAAAAGUUCGCUGAGAUCUAUGAGGGGUACAAAACUGCUCUUGCAAAGUUUGGCGCAGAGCCUCUUUUGUUUCUGGGUGAUGAAAGUGUAAAAGAAAUAUUUGAUUGGAUGGAAGAGAAGUUCAAAGGCCUGCCCGAGGUUAUUACUGGCAGCAACAACUUUGCUGCUUCCUUCUGCCUUGAUAGCACAUUUCAACUCCUUGAAAAGAACAGCAGCUCUCAUUUCUUAACACUCGCGGCUCGCACCUAUAUGUUCCCCUCGGCCUCGGAGCUUGACGAAGAGGAGAAAUCUAAAAAUUUGAGAGCCACGAAGAUAAAUUUCUUCAAAUAGCUUUGGGCUACCUCCGGGCGAGAGUACACAAGGCUGGUUGCUCAAGAGCGGCUUGCACAGGUUAGGGUUCACAUAACUUUUUAUUUCAUAAGGUUUGCAUUUUUUCUGUUGAUUUCCUGAUGUUGUUCCUCUUGUGUUCGUAGGCCAAGGCAUAGGAAGCAAAAGGCGAAGGUGGGAGCGAGAACGAUGAUGCUGAUCAAGGAGGGCAGUGAUUAUCGAAGCUAGUUAGAGAUUUGUUUUGUGGUUUGGGAUGUUUUGAUAAACUUGAUACUUAGUUGGCUGCUUUUGCGGGCUAGAUUGUAAAUAUUUGUUGCUCAGCCGGAACUUACAUGCUCGAAGCUGGUUACUUUUGGUGUUUGUACCUUCACGGAUUUCUUUUUGUCUUAACGUUUUUAUGUUUGAGUUAUUCUACUCAAAUGGCAACAAAGCUGUAGCUUAAAGAAACGAGCAAUGUUUUUGUUUAAAACGUGACCCCUGCCCUAGUUUCUUUAUGCGUAGGUUUUUGUUGACUUUGCACGCUCGUUGUCUAAGCUUAAACGGAGCUUAAAAACGUCACCCCCUUCUUGGCACGUGGGUCUUACCCGAGGCAAUUCUCUCAUGGAAAGAGGAUGACAACGAUUUUUGUUUGCCAAAAAAUGUCACCCCCGCCCUUUUAUCCUUUUUCCAAAAAAACGUCCAACCUCGCCCUUUUCUUUUGCAUGAACGAGGUUAAGUGAGUAUUGACAAACCACAAGAUAAGUCAAUACAAAACUUGUUUUCGAGUUAUGUUGACUUAAAAAAACAGUUUGGUUGAAAUCGCAACCCUUAGGAUGUGUUUGGUUGGGCUGUGGCUUUUCAAAAAGCUGCUGUGAGCUGUGGGCUGUAGAAAAGCAGCUGUGAGAAAGCAGCUGUGGGAAAAGUAUAAGGCCAUUUGGUUUGAGCAGAUGUGGCUUUUGAAUAAAUUUUUGAGUGGACCCUGCAUGUCAUCCACAGUCCACCCCACUCAACUCUCUCCCUCUCUCACUGACGAGCGGGUCUAACCCUUCUUCUUCCUCCCGCUGGCUAGUCCACCCCACAGCACCCCGAGUAGCACCAGGGCCGCAACGGCAUCCACGACGAUGCAGUCCACAAUCAGGGUGAGGUCCAUGACGGCGAUGGCCUGCGCCUCGCCUCCUCCACCUCGCACCACGUGGCGGGCACCGUAGCACCACCGGCAUCUAGGAGGAGGUGGCACCCCGCGGGCACGCAUGCGUCGACAUAGAGGUUGAGGCCGGUCUGUGGCGCCAAGAGCCCACCCACGGCGCCCGCGCAGGCAAGCCGCACCUCGGUGAUGAAGUAGGCCGCCGCCGCCAUGGUGCCCUUUGGCGCGGAGGCAGAGAGUGAUGAGGAGAGGGAUGCCAUGGCAGCGGCGAGGAGGAGGAGACGCGCGAUGACAAGUGUGUGCUGCUGGAGGUCGGAGGCCGGGAGCGAGACGGCAAGGAGGCCUGCGGCACGGGCGAGGAGGUGGAAUGACAGGGAGAGGAGGAGCGAGAGGUGGGGCGGGAGGAAUGGGAGUGGGAGGAAUGGGAGCAGCGGUGGGAGGAGCAGCAGCGGGAGGAGUGUCGUGGAGGCCAGUGGGAGGAAGGCGAACAGGAGCACGAGGAGUAGCGGGAGGAGGCAGAGGAGCGGGUGGCGAAGCAGGUGGAGGAGGCGGUGGUGGAGGGAGGACGGGGAGAGGUAGGAGACGACGGCAAUGAGGAGGUGGGACUGGGAGGUCGCGAGGAGGGAGAAUAUAAGCGCAAGGUGGCACGCGAGCAGCAGCGCCUCCGCCAUUGGGGUUGGGCAGCGCGGUCGGGGAAGUCUUGAGGAGGAGGAGCACCAGGCGGCGGGCAGCGGGCCGCUGAGGUGAUGGUCGGGUGGGGGGGACUGGUGCGGGUGAUGGGGAGUGGACGGGAAUAGAAGGGGAAAAUGAACCGUUAUCCUCCAUAACAAGCAGUAGGUGGGUAAUUUUUGGCCCAAAAGCAGCUAAAAGCAGGGGGGAGGUGCUUUUGAUUUUGUGCUAGAGCAAAAACAGGUUUUGGGCAAAAGCACGUAUAGCUUUUAGGCUCUUUGGUUGGCUUUUGGUUUUUGCAAAAGCAAAAGUAGGUUGGAAAGUCUAACCAAAGGCACCCUUAGUUGUUUCAACCAUGAAAUUUUGCGAGGUUGAGAAAAUAGGGAAAUAGGGUGCCUUUUUUGAAAAAACGUCAGUCUUUGUAUUCUAUUGUGAGAGCUUUGGCUGAGGCUAGGGCCUUCGUGCGAAAGGACAAAAUGAAUUUUUGACUCUGAAAAACGUCACCCCCCUUGUCCUUUUGCGCAAAGGGGGUUUAGACUCAGCAUGGCUUAUUCCGAGUGUUAUCGCUGCCUUUGAUCGCUUGCUGCAGCCUUUCUAUUCUCUGAGUUGCAAGUUCAAGGCCAAUCACUGUGGUGUUUGAGUGAGAAAAUACGUUUCAACCGGUACUAAAGGGACACCUCUAGUACCGAUUGCGGUUCCGGUACUAAGGGGGGUUACUGACCAAUACUACACGUCAUUUUUCCAAUAGUGUAUAAACUUGGCCGGGAAGAUUUCCUUCAUCACCGCUAGCUCUUGUACUAGACCGUCAGUGCUGAUGGUCCUCUUCACAGCCCAUGGGACAGCAACCGGCGGUGAUGAACUCGCAUCACUAUCCGUCCAUGGUCCGGCUAUGAUAGGCAACCUCAUCACCACCGGCAUUUAUGUGCCAGGCCCCCAAACCACCCGUGAUGCAGGGUUUUGGGGUCAGCGGUGAAGGCCUGUUGUGUAGUAGUGUGCAUACAAUGAUUCAAAAUAAACCUAAUCUUUUCCCUCUAUAUCUUUUUUUCUUUUAUCGUACUUUUCUAGGCCUCACAUUGUAGUUUUUCUUUCAAUUUCACAGUGACUGAGGUGUCAGGUGGCUUGCCGACGCUGAAUGAAACAACCUGAGGUGGGCUGGCCAUGACGGGUACCUAAUAAAGGGAGUGUCUGUCGCACAAGCGUUGGAAGAGCAUCUCCAGUAGUUCCCAGUAACAAUGAAAUGGAUAUUGGGGUAACCCCAUGCACUAAUUAUUGAGAAACAUUUAUUAAGAGAUUGAUGGAGAUGCUCUAAGGUGAGCUCAUACGAGAUACAUGCAUGCUAGUGCUCAUAUGAUGGUAUGUUUCUGUGUCAUCUAAUACCAACACAUGUAUUCCUUUCUCCAUCACAAUCCUCCUUCGCAUAAGGUGUUCAGUGCUGUUGUGAAUUAAGCAUAGCUUAGCUUGUAUGUUUCCUUUUGGAACUCACCCAUCAAGGUUUGAGUUAUUGACUUGGCACCGGUGCUCGUAUUUUCCUGAUUAAUUCUAGAAUUUAACUGGCACUAUCCUUUCAGUGGUAGACAACGUGCUCGUCGAUAGCGAGGCACUAGAAGUGACUUCGCCAAUCUCGAGGAUCUGUCGAUUCAGUCUCUUGAAGGUGCUUAAAGGUAGGGUUGCAUGUGUACAGACACAGACGCUCACAUAAACUUACAUACAUUCAAGGUAUUAAUACACCCUACCCUUAUCAGCACCUCUAAAAAACUAAGCCAAUAGGUCCUUGAGAUUGACCCUUAUGAGCAACUCUAGAAAACUAAGCCGGCAGAUCAUGGAGAUUGACAAACUCACCAUGGACAGCUCGCCAUCGAUGAUCAUGUCGCCUACCACUGAAAAAAUAACGUCAGUUAAAUCCUAGAAUAAAUCUAGAAAAAUAGAAGCGCCAGUGUCGAGUCAAUGACUCGAACCCUGGUGGGCUAUUUACCAGCUGAGCUAAUACUGAGUUCUCUACCCUGGUGGUUUUUGGGAGAUUUGCUCCCUACCUACCAGGACUAAUACUGAGUUCUCUACGCGGCCAGAUUUCCACCACCAAAAAUCUCCAGAAAUCUAAUAACUGCAGCCUUGUUAAAUUUAAUUAGCAUUCUUAUUCGUGAUAUUCUGAAUAUACACGCACACAUGACACAUAUCACACAUGGUUUCCACUCCCUUUCUUGGCGCAAUGGCCGUCUCUAGCCACAAAUUCAACAGUACGAUGCAAGUCUUUUGACAACUCUCCUGAGCUUAUAAAUGGUUGUAGUACUAAAUUGCUAAAUGCCACAUGUGGAAUUGAAUCUUGGCACAAACUUUAAUCGUGGGAAACUCGCACGGUAUGAGUUUGGCACAAGUUGGGAUUCCCUGCACCAAGUAACUGCAGGGCUAAAAGUAGAGUCCCAAGUAUGUGUUUUGUCCUUUGCAAACGUUGGUUGUUGGCAUUACUAAAAAAUUAGCUUUCUAUAUAUACUCUAUUCGUCUCACAAAAAACACAAUUGUAUGAUUCAAAUUUGUCCAUAAGGAAUGUAAUUGCAGCUUCUAACCAUUUCUUUUAAACUUCUCAUUUUUUGGAGCAGUGAUGUCAUAGGGUGACCCCCGCUACUGAAAAUGACCAAGAUCUGGCUCUACAAAUGCUUCUUCAGACGUGGGACAUCCAGAAAGCUACGGUAAGCCCACCCCUUUUGUAGAAGAGGGUGACCUUUUGGACCACCCAUAGAAAUAAAUCGGGACGCGCCUACAAAUCCUUUCUGGAGUAGUGAGAGAAAGAGAUUGUGGUUGAAACAACAAUCUUUUCAUGAAAUAACCGCCUCAUAAGUAAAAUUUUAGGACAACAAGACGACUAGUCCAUAUUUGUACGAGUUGUGGUUACUCUGCAACUCAUAAUAUAUUUUUUCUAUGCACAAAGUAAAAGAAUAGAAAUAUAUAAUUACAUCGAGACUACUUAAAAAUACAACACAAUGUAAAGGUUAUUUGUUAACUUGCCUCAAGAUUAUACGUUCUCUAUUAGGUAACACCAAUAUAUAUACUGAUUCUAAAGAUUCAAUUUAUCAUUAGCUAGACACAUGGCGAUCAUGUGCGUUUAAAUCUAUAGUGUGACUUGGAGAAAAAAAAAGUAAUCUUCAUCCGUAUGGCCGUACAGUGACUCUCGCUCUUGACAGGUAUUAGUGUAAGUAGCAUAUAUAAAGAACCCUCAUGCACGCUUUGGAUCCCCAUCCCUGCUAGCAUAUAUUCAUUCAUAAACUCACGGGUAUUCUCUUAUGGUCAUGGUGCUCCCAAUGUUGCUGGUUUGUAUGGUAGUGACGGUAGUGAUCACCGUUCAUGUCAUCUGUGCCCUAGAUGAACACAAGCGAAAGAGAUUUUCCGGUGCAUCUCUUCCACUGCCCCCUGGCCCGGUCGCUCUCCCCAUCGUCGGGAAUGCCUUCAGCUUCAUCGGGCCGUUCGGCCACAACCCACACCGCAUACUCACGAGCCUCGCCAAAACCUAUGGGUCCAUAGUGUCCUUUCGGCCAGGCAUGGCAGGCAAUUUCGUGGUAGUGUCAUCCCCUGAAGCAGCACGUGAAGCUCUCAUCAACAACGAUGCCGCGCUCGCUGCCCGGUUCGUGCCGGACAAUACACGCGCCUUAGGCCAUUGCUCGGAGUCAAUGUUCUUCCUCCCAACCUAUAGCCAUUUGUGGAAGCAGCACCGCAUCACAUUGGGUACCAGCCUCUCAAGUGCCCGGGGCCUUGACACAACCCGCCCCAUUCGGGAUCGCCAUGCCUGUCGGCUCAGCGAGCACUUAAGGUUCUGCUCUGGCAUGCCAAUCAAAAUUGGAGAGGCCGUCCAAGGCACAGUGCUCGAUGUUAUGUCCAACAUCCUCUUCACCAAGGACGUGACGCACUUGCGCGUGAAGGGGGGCCAAUUGUUCAAGGACCUCCUGGUGGAGGUCCUCGAGGACUGGACUAAGCCCAACGUUUCUGACGCUUUUCCCUUCUUCGCGUCACUUGACCUCCUUGGCUCACGCCGCCGAAUCUCCAGAGGUUUGGCUAAACUAUACAAGUUCUUUGAUGAAGAGUUCGUCGAACGUCGGUUAGGCAGCAGUGAGAACCACCACGAUUUGUUGGACUUCAUCCUCUCGCAGCAUGCCAAGUCGAAGCUCACGCGUUCAGAGAUCACCAAGUUCUUCACGGUCGGCUAUACAUAUGAUCUCUGAACAUAAAUAUAAUUGCUGUCUUUCUGCUUUCUGUACAUUUUCUUGGGUAACUGAUAUACUAAUUAACUUACAUUUUUUUAUAUGCAUUUCUGUUCUUAACCUAUCAAUAGGAUAUCUUUCUUGCCGCGAGCAACACAAGUAGGAUCAUCGUGGAAUGGGCAAUGGCACUCCUACUUAAGCAUCCAGAAAAGAUGAAGAAGCUGCGUGCUGAGCUUGCGGCGAGCCUUGGGACCAAGGAGUUUGUCCAGGAGAGCGACUUGGACAAGCUCCCCUACAUCCAUGCUGUGGUGAAGGAGAUACUACGACUGCAACCAUCAGCACCGCUGCUACCACGAAUGGUGUCCACGGACGGCAUGUCACUUGGCGGAUUCUCCGUACCAAUUGGUACCAACAUUCUGAUUAACUUAUGGGCCAUUGGGACAGACCCAACGGUGUGGCCUCAGGCGGGAGAGUUUGUGCCUGAAAGAUUUCUGGGCAGCCCAUCACUGGACUUCCGGGGAUCAGAAGACUUCACAUAUAGGCCUUUUGGGGCAGGGCGAAGGAUGUGCCCAGGACUGGACUUCGCUGCGCAGUUGAUUCCACUUUUGCUAGCCUCGAUGUUGCACAAGAUCGACUGGAGCCUACCUGAUGGGAUCGUGCCUGAGGAUGUGGACCUCAGGGAUCGCUACAGCAUGGUUCUGGAGCUCGCUAAGCCCCUCAUUGCGGUGCCAGUGUCCACGGUGUGACAUGCUCCGCCGUGGAUCAUGACCUGAGUUUGCUCUCAAGUGGUUUUAGAUAAAUGUCAGAACGUGUGUUUAAAAUAAAUGUCAAGAACUCAGCUAUGGCAAUCAUGACCUGAGUUUGCUCUCAGAUUGAACCAAGUUGCACGCAGCUCUACUCCCAUGUGUACCCUUGUCUUACUAUUACUAAUUGGAGGCUCUUUCGAUGCCUCCACGUGAAGCCACCUAGGAUUUCUAGGUGGACACUCUAGAAAAAAAGAGAAAUUCUCACAAAAAAGCAAAACAUCCGACCAGUAGAUUCAAAUCAUCAUAGCCAUUAGAUCUAUUAUAUUUUCUAAAAAAUUACCCACCUAUGCCAUUAUGAAAAUAGCCUAAAGUAACCCCCUAAUCUUCAUCAAAAUUACCCAAUUAUGCCAUUAUAAACAAUAUUUAAAAUAACCCCCUAAUUUACAACUAAAUUGCCCAUCACUAUUACUUAAAAAACUUAAAGUAACCCAUUAAAUUUGUAUCUAUAUUACCCACACAUACCAUUAUUAUAAAUAACAUGAUAACACUAUGUUUGAAUCAAAUAACCUUAAUUAAAAAUAUACAACAAUAUAUCAUUCUAAAUCGUUUAUAUCUUGCACUAUUGGUAUACGAUAUAAUAAUUAAGGUCUACACGCAUGAUGUGUGUCACACUGUCACCAUUUAUAAAGAUAUAGAGGAAGUGACGAGAAUAUAGAUUUCUAUGUUAAAAUUGUAUCUCAAACUUAGGGUUCAUUAAAUAAAUUCAAGCGCAUAACUGUGAUGCAAAGUGAAAAGUUAAAGAUUAUAAAUGUGGAUGAAAAUAUUAUAGAGUAAUUACUAACUAAAAUCUAUCACAAUUAGAUGGAGAUAAUAAGUAUAUAUCUAUAUAAGUAUUGUGUCCGAAUAUUUAACAAACGAGAGGUAGUUUAUGGUAAUAUUUUUGUAGCAAUGUAGUCUCAUUUUUUUCCAUUAAGACUCCGUUUAGUUCCCACGAGAUAAGCUAGAAAAAAGAGACAAAUUCUCAUAAAAAUCAAAAACAUCAAACACCAAUCCUAUAAACUCUAAUAACCAUAGCUAUUGAUCUAUUAUAUUUUCUAAAACGUUACCCACCACUAUCAUUGUGAAAAUAUUUAAAAAUAAGCUCUAAACAUAUAUCUACCGAGAUAAGCUAUUAUAAAAAACAAUCUAAAGUAACACCAUAAUCUUUAUCCAAUUUAAUAAUACAUAUCAUUAUAAAACAUAACUUAAAAUGUCAUUCUAAAUUUUAUCCAUGUUACCCAUGUAUGUUGUUAUUAAAAAUAGCCUAAAGUAAACACCUAAGUCUUAAUCUAAUUAUUUUCAUGUGCAUCAUACAUAAAUGUCAAAAACUAAACUAAUAUAUGAUUCUAAAUUGCCUAUUUAUGUCAUUGUUAAUAUAAAAAUACUAAGUUAAAAUAUAUACACAUGAUGAGUGUCACCAUUUAGACCAUUUAUACAUGUAUGUGAGGAAUCGAUGAAAAAUAUUGAUUUGUAUGCUAAAUAUAAUGUAUGGAGGAUUGGAGGUGCGAUACGAAAUGAAAAAAGUAUGAAUAUGAGUGAAAAAGUGCAUAGAGUAAUUAUUAAUUAAAAAUCAAUCACAACUGGACAAAGAUAGGUACAUAUCUAUAUAAGUAUUAUGUUGACAUAUUGAAAAAAAUAAGAAAGUAGUAGAUAAUUAAUUUUGAUUAUUAGCUAGGAGUUUAAUUUCUAAAUAAUUUUCAAAUACAAUAGCUUCUAAAAAUAUUAGCCCGUGCGAGAGCACGGGUUGAUGGACUAGUUUUACGAACGGAACAGUAUAUCUUACCGUCACCGGAUUGGAGUCCCUUUCACGUUAAUCCUUUUCUAGAAAAAAGAUACCCUGUUGAAACAUAUAAGAUAAUGUUUUUGUUUCAUGAUAAUUGAAAUUAAGGAAAGUCGCAGCUAUCUUUUCGCAGCUUACAUGCUGUCACUGUCCUCGUCAUCCUCAGCACUGGCAGAGCGUCGUUGGGGCCAUAGAGGACCAUGGCCCCCCUUGCGUGGUAAAAAAACUCAGAAGAGAAAAGUGCAAAGUGCCGGUCCAAGUGCAGUCCGUGGCUUCUUGACACGUAAUUCAACCCACAAGCAAGAAAGUCCACGAGGCAUUAACCACAAAGGCACAAACCAAUGGUGAAAACAAUAGAAAAAAAACAACGAGCCAAUUCCAGCAACUAGCAUACGAGACAACGACCUCAGUGGUCACCCCUUCGCAAGACGGAUGCUGCGACCGGCGAGCUAGAUCCGCCGCCGAUGCCUGGGGUCCUCCGCUUCCUUCGCAGUUGACUCGUUGAGGUCGAGUCAUCGUCGGCCAUCGCCACUCGCCAGGGCUGGCGCCUGGCGGCCUGGCUAGAACUUUCAUCCUGAAGGUAUGGUUGCUUUUCUUCCUUCUUUUGUUUAUCUUCUAAGUUCUUAACACAUUAGAUCCGUAGAGCAUGCAGGCUACUAUUUCCUAAUUAGCUGGUAAUUUGUUGUCAAUUGAGAUCUAUUGUUAUUUCUUUUGAGAAAAUUGAGAUGUUUCGCUAGUUUAUUUGGCCCUAAUCCCCAAAUUGCACAGUUCAUACGAUUUGGUGGUUUUAUAUCUAAAUACAAUUCUGCAAUUUGGUAGGUACAAAUGGGUAAAGAGAAGCCUAUUGAUUCAUUUUUCAAAAGCAAAAGAGAUGAACCAAUUGUGGACUGUCGAGCAACCUCUGGUUCAAGCCAACCAAUUUCCCCCCUACAAUUUGCUUCACGCUCCGCCACUGAUCCUCGAUCCUCGGUGAGAAUUUUUAACCUUUUUGAAAAAGUCGGCGAUUGCAAAUAUCCACCUGCAUUUUUUCUUCUAAACCUUUUUGAACUUGUUUGUGAUUGCAGUCAGAUCCUAUUCCAAGGAGACGUACCUGCAUAACAGAAGCUAUCUUUGCUGCUAGACAGAGAACAGCGAGCUCACCCAUAACUAUUGAAUCCUAUUCCAAGGACUUGCAGGCGACAUACGUAUACAGAUGAUUUGAAGUCCAAAACCACCUCCUAAACUUGCUGUUCGAAUAUUAUUACCUUGCCCGUCUAGUAAAACAGAUGCAUCUGCAUAGGCAAAGUUGGACCGCAAAACUGGACAGCUCUCUGUGGUGUUGUUUAGCAUGUUUUCUUCCCAGCUCUGACGCUGUUUCUUGAAAUUAAAUAGAUUCUGAAAUAUUGCGGCGAAAUAUGUCCUUUUCUAAGUGGGCCUAGACCCAAAAAUUUGCGAGCUCCGCGGCUCCGCCCAUGGUGCAGCCCACCCCACUACGCGCCACCGUCCACCCCUGCGGUCGUGGCCACUUGCUCGCCUCGUCGCUCUUGCGCGUCACAGUAGCAGCAGUCUGUUGGGAUCCGCCAAAUGGCCCGUCACCCUCAACCGUGCCUCAGUCUCAACUCGCUCAGCUAGCGUUCCAAAACCUCUAGCUUCGGUCAAAGUCACUGCAACGUGCUAGCUUCGGAGCCGAAGCUUCGUACUAACCCGGUGGACGAAGCUUCCCCCGUUUAACUUUACUUCGUCUGGCUGUGUGCAUGAUGGAAGGCGAAUCUCCUCGCUUUGGCAACCAAUUGGCUACGUGAAAAGUCGACUGCGUCUAAGCUUCGGCGACGAAGUCAACCUACCUGAGGACGUGAACGACAACGGGAGUGUGAUUCGCGGGACCGUGUGAGAGCGCAAAUUGCGGGAUUGUCAGACAGCACUGAAAGCGUAAUACCCUAAUGACCGUUUUGUAAAGUAUAUUUCGGGAAUACAGUGGUUGAGUUGCCUCGGCCACCUCCUUUUCCAUUGUUACCGCCUCUUUGGCUAUUGCUGGAGCUGGUAUUGCUGUGAUGGUUCUGGUUUUGGUGUUGGUUGUUAUGAUAUUGGUUUUGGUUUUGGUAGUUUUGGGAGCAUUCAAUUGCCAUGACCUGGUUCAUUUGGUGAUUGUUGGUAUACGGCGAAGCUUAUUCGGAUUGUCUUUAGUUAUUUCUUUCCGUCUUUAGUUAUUUCUUUCCGCCACUCUUCUUCUGUGAGGCGACACGCUGCCUGCAAGCUAUGCGAGCCCGUCAGACACUCUGACUGCCUGUCGCUACGCUCCACCUCCCCACCACGCUGCAAGCCGACGACCGCAAGCUGCGUGCCGCUCGGCCACAGCGCGGCCACUGAUGCCGUGCGUUUGAGCCGCUACACAGCCCGUACCAUCUCCGACUAUAAAAGGCAGCGUCCAGCGCCUCUCCGCAACCGAACUUGCCGAGCCGCCAGCUCCGCUGCUCAACUUCUUGCAAUCCUGCCCCCAAUUUAUUUAGGAGUGAUCGAGGAAUUGAGCGAGUUUGGAGGCUAGUGGUUGAUACGUUUUUUUGCAUCGAAUUGACGUCGAUUUAGUUUUUUUUGAACUGCCAUUUCAAUUUUUUUUUCUCUAGUUGCAUGUGAAACACAUCUAUUGCCGCUAAUCAAUAUGUUGACGUUUUUUUUGGCCAACACACGAACGCACGCGAUCGUGUGGCGCGUGGAUGGGCUUACUGCAGCACCUCGACGCAGGCCGGUCUGACCGGUUACAGUCUGACUGGUUGUUAGGCCACUUAGAGCACCUUCAAACGUCGUCGAGAUGAAGGAAGAACAACAAGUAGUAGGUUAGAAAAGAUAGCACAAAAGAAUAAAGGAAAAGACAAUAAUAGUAGAUUGGUUUUCGUCGAUUGGGUUGGAUGCCCUCAAUCGGCCGAAUCCCUUUAUAUUUAUAGAAAGGGAAGGUCUUACCUACGAGGGAGUCAAAACCCUAAUACAAAUCGUGCUCAAUUAAAACUCCUACUCGGAUUACACAGAGAUAGACAGGUUAGACCAGCCUGGGCAACCAGUCUACCCGAGUGCAUAUCUUGCGAAUGUCGUAUCUCCCUCAUCCGAACUCGAAGUCGGACGUUCUAUAUAUGAAUCUUGGUCUACUCGACAAAAUCUACGCAAUGAUAGUCCAAUCUUCAUUUGGAGCAAUUUGAUCCAACCAGUCUAACCAGUGGGGUCAGCCAGUCUGACCUCUCUGCACGGGGUGCUGAUCUUUUUGAGGGCAUAACUCUCGCGUUUGAAAUCCAAAUUGGACGUUCCAUAUAUGUAUUUUGAUCAUCUCGACGAGAGCUACGCCACGGUGAAGUCCAAUUUACUUUUUGAGAACUUUUUCAAACUGGUCUGACCGGUUGGAAGACCGGUCUGACCAGACCUACCCAGACCUGCCACUUUCUAGCGUCAACACGAGUUUUCCACUAGUGACAACACAACAACUGUAUUACCCACGGCAUGAAAAUAACACAUAACAAGAAGCUAUGUACCACUAAGCAACACAAACAGUACUCUUGCAAAGGGGGCGAAACACCAAAGGAAAUGGCGAUGAAAUUGAAACCCCACCAACAGAGCUUUGCUUGAGCACGUACAGCUCUUUAUUACAGAAACAGUAGGAUACGAUCGAUGUGCCAUCAAGCAUAAAGCAGCAACACUUAUUUCUUUUUUUCAAAGCAAGCAGGAACAGAACUGAUCAUCAAAGAAGUCGCCGGGAUUCAUUCAUUCAGAUGGCCGCCGCGGUCGGUGUGCAGCGGCGCUUGCAGAAGUUAGUGAGGAUGUCGACGCACCGGUAGACAGGCGGCUCGGUGGUGCUGGUGUACUUGACGCAGUUCAUGCACGCUGGGUGGCAACCCUGGUACGAGAUGUCCAGGCAAUUGCAAUCUGGUGGAUUCUUCCUGUUGCAGAAGCCGCAUUGGUUGCAGCACGGCCAGGAGCUCGCGUUCGCGGCGGCGUCGGCGACCGCCGCCGCUCCUCCCUCCUCCCCACUCCCUGCGGCCACCAAAGAUUAGUCAACGCAUCCAGUUGAGUUGAGUUGAGUGUCAAACUGUUAAUUUCUCACCUUUGCUGAUGAGUGGCAGAGCUGCGAGGACGGCGAGGACAGCCAGUGUGACGAGCAACACCUGAGGUCUCAUGCUUGUUUCUCUUGGUAUGUAGGAACAGGGUGUUGCCAAGUUUGUUGUGGUUGGACUUCCUUCCUACUGAUGGGUGAUGGUUAUCUGUAUGAGGCUAGAGGCCUUAUUAUAAGAGGAGGGGGUGCCAUGACAGCUGUGUGCCUGCAAGUUAUUAAGGCUAGCUUGGCACGGCUCUUGCUCUGAACAAUGGCUUUUGCUCUAGAUUCUGUGGUGAAGUAGCUUUUUCUGGAUCUAGCUUGUAUGUUGGAGAAACGUUUGAUAAAACGACUUCUCGUGAUCUUUUAAAAUAGAUGGAAGAGGUCAAAUAUCCAAAAUACCCUUAUUCAUUUCCUUUCUUUUCUCUUUUCUUUCAAUUUCUUUUUCUUCCCCGGUCAUUUUUAUUCCUUUCUCAUUUUUUUCCUUCACCAUUUAUUUUUCUUCCUUUCUUAUUUCCUCUUCCUUCUAUCCUUAUCUUCCUUUCCUCAGCUCCUGCAGAACGCCGCCCCCGCCUCUCAUGACCAUGGCCAUCACCCGCAGCUCUUCCGGCUCGACGUCCCUGCCUCCCCACUCCUCCAACUCGACGCCCUAUCUCCCCUAGCCCACUCCCUCACCUCAGGCCCAAGUGCCCAACAACUUCUUCCUCCUAGCGUGUCCGGCCUUGUGCCUCCGGACCGCUUAGCAGUUUGUGCGGCACGCCUGCACCGUCACUUGUGCAUCCAAUGCGCUCGCCCCAUCCCGCCACCUGCCGGUCAGGUCAGCCCCAGUGUUACUCCGACCGUGACAUUGCACCGUCCACCACCGGUAAGGUCCAGUUAGCACCCGCCAACACAGUGGUUUCAAGAAAUUUCAACCAAUUUAAAUAUUUGAUAAAUGAUUUCAAAGUUGUUUCAAACUUUUACAAAUGAACAUAAAUAUUAUUUAGUGAAUGUAAAAAAUAUAAUUUCAUACAUAACACAGAUAUUUUGACUAGUUAGUUCACAUGUCCCUAUAGGUUGAAACACCUCAUGAGUUAUAGGGUGAUCAUGACUUGGAUAUUCAUUUGGGAAAAACAUACUGUUACAAUAUCUCAAAAUUGUGUUAAUAUUUUUUAAUCCAUGUUGGUUCACUGCUAAAAUGGUUACAUGCAAAAUAUCGUGAAAAAUAUUCCCCCUUAUAUUUGAUGUUUUUGGAGUGUUUACCGAGCUCCUCUCGCUCAAGCUCCAAAUGGAAGAUUGACUAGGAAGAAGAUACCCGCGGUCUUAAAUGGGUACUUGCGUUGCCCGCCAGCACAGAGGCUACUGUGCUGACGAGUACUUGUGUUCGGGUGGCAAUCAAACCCGCCAGCACGCUAAUUUAGCUGUGUGAACACAAAUCAAUGUUUUCUUAGUGUCUUUUUCUGUGGUGAGGCAUGUGAGUACUGCUGGCACGAUCAUCAGCUUGUCCUGGGCUGCUGCUAAGCAUGCACCAUGAGCCAAAGGUUUUCUGGAUGCUCAGCUCAUAAGGAAUUGACUGAAAGUGACUGCUCGUUGUGUGAGCUAGCUGUCUCCACUGGCGGCUUCUGAAUGAUUGGUCCUAUAUACAUGCACCACGCGCAACACAAGGAAAAAAAGUCUGCAACAUGUGCGGCACUGGAUAAUUGAGCUAGCAAUAACAGUGUUGUACGCUUGUCUAUGAGGGAUGCAUGGUGCCUGACAAUCCCAAUGAUCUAUACUGACUACUCCCUCCAUUCCAAAUUAUAAGUCAUUGCAAGAAUCUUAAAGAGUCAAAGCAUCUCAAGUUUGAUCAAAAUUAUAGAGAAAAUUAUAAAGAUUCAUAACAUCAAAUAGGUAUACUAUGAAAAUAUAAUUGAUGAAGAAUCUAAUGAUACUUAGUUGACAUCAUAAAUGUUAUUAUAUUAUCAUAUAAAUUUGGUCAAACUUGAGAUACUUUAACUCUUCAAGAUUCUUGAAAUGACUUAUAAUUUGGGAUGGAGGAAGUACAACAUAGCUUGUCUCCUUGCCUGGUGCGCGUGAACCAUGAGGGCAGGACUAGUGGCCGCGCACUACUCCACGAGGGCAGGACCGGUGGCCAUGCACCGACAGAAUUCACUAUUCGACACUAAAAAAACUAAUCGUGACACUAAACAAAUUUUCCUUCCCGUUUGACAUGAGUUCAAUUUUCAUUCUUUAUAUAACACUCUGUUGGAUUUUCCAUACGAAAACCAUUAAAUGCCCGAUGAAAAGAUGAUUUUGCCCCUGUGAACUCCACCACCCUUCUCCGAUCUACUCACCUUCUUCAUCCGCUCUAUUGUACCUCCCCCACUGCUCCAUCCGUCCUCAUGUCCAGGUGAGAGCUUAGGCACCAGAAGCUCACUACAGUUCUAUUUGUGUGGUUAUUCGCGUCGAGGAUGGUCGAGACGGUGGAGCUCCAAGGGAGGGGGGUCAUGGCGAGCUGACGGCUCGAGUGGCCGAGGAAAGGCUGAUUCCUGGUGGGGUUGAGCUCGUCCUAGCCAACAAGCAGGUCGGGGAGGUCGAGCGCAAGGUGAGGGAGCUUCGGGUGCGAGGGAUUGGGUUUUGGCGGAGGUGGUGAGAAUUUGGCCGUUGACGAGGUUCGGUGGCUGGUGGCAGUCGCGAGACAUGGAAUUCACAGCUCUAAGUAGUUUGUGUUUGGGCUUGAACUAGCCUGGGAGGGAGAUUGGAAUUUGGAGAAUUCUUGUGUGAGACCGCGGGGCGCCAUCUCAGAUACCAGCCUUGUCGCGCCAAAAUCGGCGAGCUUCACGCCGUAGCCUUUGGUGUCGCAGCAGCCGAGGAGCACGUUCUGGCCCUUGACAUUCUUGUGCACCACGCCGGCCUUGCCGUGCAGGUACCACAGCGCGGUGGCCACCCUCCUGAGCCCACACACCGUGCUUACUGUAACACCCAAAAAUUCCAUCAUAAACCCAAUAUAAGCAACAUGUGGUCUAGCUCUUUCUUUUCUAAGAACUAAAUAAAAUACUAAUAUUAAAUUAUGGUCUUUAAUAAAUUAAAGAACACUUGAAAUAACUUUUUAGAGACAAGUGCUUGUUAGGGUUCUUCGUUUGCUUCCAUUUUUGUUUGCGUUUGCAAAAUUUUAAAUCAAAAAUCUUAUCAAUCUUCUUUCUCUCUUUUUAUAAACCUCAGCAGGCCGGCCCACCUUUCCACUUUCUUUCCCUCCCGGCCCACUCUCUUUUUCCUUCUCCAGCCGGCCCACCUCCUCAUUUCUUUGCGCAGGCCCAAGCUGAAUCCGCCGGCCCAUCAGGCAUCUCCCCAGCCCAACUCCCCCUCUCCUCCCACCGAUAGGUGGGGCCCACCUGUUAGGCGCGUCCUCAACCUCCAGCUGCACCGCAACUCCAGCACUGCCAGCAGCGCCUGUUUGCCUCCCAUCGCCACUCCAGCUCCUGCGUCCGUCCACUUGCUGGAACUACAUCGCCUUCCCAUACGCGCGCGCUGCUAGUGCCCUCUCCUCUCCUAACUCCAGUUACAGGCGUCCCAUUUUCCACUCGCGAUUAAUGGCCGCCGGAGCUCGUUUCAUCUACCCGAGCGCCGUCUCAACUCCUCCUCACGGCCUAUAAGUAGCGCCUGCUCCCUCUCCCUGGCUCCAUUCGCCCAUUCUCGCCACCACCACCGCUACCCGCACCAGAGCGCCACCGCAUCUCACAGCACCGCCACCGUCCAAAUUCCUUUGCCACCGGGUCAAACGCCGGCCUUUCUCGCCCGCCACCGCCGCAGGUAUGGCCUCCCUUGCUUUCCCUUCACUCACCUCCGUCGCCUGCGCCACCCGCUUUUCUCACCGCCGCGCCUGAGCUCGCCGGCUAGCCACCGGUCAUGUGCCUAUGCGCGUGCGGGAGAAAGGAAGAAGGACAAUCUAGUCCCUAAACUCUCUGAUAUUCUCUUGCUUGAUUCAUGUGUCUAGUAAAGCUUGCAAAGAAUCCCCUGCAAUUCUUAGAACCUUUCUUUUUAACCUGAGCUCUACAAUCAAUACCGUUUAAGCCCCUAAAACUUGUUUACUACAUAUCUUCAUCAUUUCAACUCUGAUUUCAGCGAUUCUCACCCUCACGCGACCGUCUCUACAUGACUGUUAGUUUUAGUAGUUUGUUUUAAGUCUUUUUUCAUAUUUGGUGUACUAUUUUAUUUAUUAUUUGUUUUGCUUGUGUGAUCGUGUAGACGACGUGUCAUUCAAGGAGACUUAGGAGUAGCAGUCGUUCGAGGAAGAGUUCCCUCAAUUUUUCGAGGAAGGCAACUGGUCAUCUUCCCCCUGCAUAUUUUUUUUUUGUCCCAAUAAUAGCAUGCUAAAUCACUUUACUAUUUUCUUGUAUGUGUAUAAUUUGAUGAGAAUACCUAUUAAGGACUUACCUAGUUUUUAAUCCUGAUCCUUGAACAUUGGUUUUAAUCAUGUUGGGUAGAAUUUCUUAGUUGCUUAAUUUUGGGACGGUAAUAAUUUUGAGAAUAUUAAUCAUGACCUUUAUUAAUGUUAUACCGGCCUGUGUUAAUACAAGAUCACUUGAUUUAAUCGGAACAUGGAGAACCACCCAGAAAAAUAGUGCAACCACAAGUACUAUCAUGGCUCUUAUCUUGGCUAAUUAAUUAGAGACUCUAGUCUGGGGUAAUCUUACCGAAAGGGCAAGAGGGGCGGCGGUUGAUGGGUACAACCCGCUUCUCAAACUGAUCUGCUCUAUGGAAGCUUCGCAGUCUUGAGAGGGGCUUAUGCUCUACCACCAAUCCGAAAAUCUUAGCGGGUUACCACUUACUAGGGGAUUUUUGUAAAGGCCUCAUAGCGUCCCUAUGCAAUCACACCUCAGAAGUGUGGUAUUGUGCUUGGCCAGCAUAACAUGGUUGAGUUUAAAGUUCUUUUGAACUAUUAUGCUACUUGUGGGUAAAGAUGUGCAACAUCUGCAAAGUGUAAAACUGAUAUAUCAACCGUACUCAUGGUUAAGAGCGGCUUGGACCCUCACAUGAUAAUUGAACUUAAAGAUGAGAAUAAAUCAUGGUUCCUUUAUCAUUGGGUUUUUUAAUGCUUUAUGCUUAAGUGGGUUGGUAUAAACUUACACCUAAAAAUUAGGUGCUUGCUAUGCAUUCGGUUUUGUCCAAAAAAUGGGGUGUGAUAGAAGUGGUAUCACAGCUGUGUUGACAGUAGGAUGCAAGCCUAGAUAGAAAUGGUCUAAAUAAGGACUCAUCUUCUUAGCAAGCCAUGUCUGCUCAAAAAUAUCUUAUUUUCCUCAUAAAAAUCUAUUUUAUUUUUGUUCUUUGUCACAAAAACUUGUCUCUUUUUGUCUUUGUUUUGAGUAUCUCUUGUUUCUUUGUCAGAUGGCUAGGACCAAGUUGACCACUCACAAAAGCAUUGGAGGGUACUUGGUUGGCCUUGCCCCUGCUCAGCCAGCUGCUCCGAUUCAGCAUGUGGAGGUGGUUGAAGAAGAUUUGGAGGAGGUCUACAAGCUGCCUCAGCUUCAGACAGACACGCAUUAGCUACCCCUGCAUCGGACGCUCCAGCACCAGCCGAUCUUGCUCCAGCACCUGCUGUCGAUGGUGGAGACCCGGACGACUCCGGGGAUGACAGCGAUAAUGAGGAUAAAGAAGAUAACGACGACGACUACAACAAAAACAACGACCACAGUAGCAACAAUGACCAUGAUAACAAUAGUGGUGACGGAGAUGGAAAUCAAAAUGGUGGACCACAGAAUGUGACACCAGCUUGUGACUACCACACUUCAGAGGAUGAGUCUGGAUACUUUCCCAAACUGCUCUGGGAAGUACUAUAGAGUUUGGGAAGCACUAUGAAGCCCCUCUACGUCACUCACCAUGUCUUCCACUCCACCAUGGACGACUACUAUGCCAGUCAAGUCCACAUCAGGGAACGGUUGGCAACUUCCAGAGUAUUGAGGAUUUGCUCGGCACACGACUCCACUACGGCCCACGCCACCUAUGCCUUAGCCAUCAGCGACACCGCCAGGAGAGCUCUGUCUGCCCUCUGCUUCACCCAUCUCCAGGAGUUGAGAAACACCAUCUACCAUCACCUGCCUCGCCGAGCUAGUGGCACUGAGGACACAACUGUAUAGUUGGGAGAAGCAGGAGAAGAUUGCAUCAACAUCCUUGCUCGAGUCAUCGCUGCUCUCAACACCAACCUCGACGGAGCUACUGCAGAGCUUGCCAAGAUCAAUGAUGAGCUGCAAGAUGCUCACGCUAGGAUUGCGUAGCUUGAGGCACAGCUUGCCAAAUAGGAGCCACCUGAGGAGGCAGCCGAGUUCCACUGCCCCACCGUUUCACCACCCCGCAAGAGGCUUCACUAUGGCGUGUCUGGCUCCAUCACCGGUCUUUUAGACUAGGUUGUCUUUUUAGGUUGCCUUCCAGAGUCUUUUUGUUAGAACCGUUACUGCGAGGACGUGCGAUGUAAUAAUGUUUGCUGGUUGAAAACAUGUUUGAUUUGGACCUUUGUAUUUUCUAGGAUAUUUUGUGGAGUGAUGGCCACAAAUGCAUCAUUACAUAAAAUAAAGUUAAUAGUUUAUUGGGUCUAAAUCUUGGUUCUUUGCCCCUAUAUCUGCCUUAUCAAAUCAUCAUUCUUAUCUGAGAUUUAUUCGUCUAACACUCAGAUGGUAAACACCAAGUCAGGAGGAGGACAAGACAUUCCAAGUCAGAGGCGUGCUCACAUAAUUAAUUAGCAGAAUCAAGCACCACCUCCACCACCAAGUUUGACAAUGGAACAAUUUUUGGCUACUCAGAUGCAACUACUAUAGAACCUCAUUGCUACUAUUUAGAAUCUACAAGCUUAGCAGAAUCAGCAACCACCACAAGCACCUCAGGCACCAAGAGAUAAGCACAGGGAAUUCAUGAGCCACCACCCUCCUCCUUACUCUCACUCAGUGGAUUCAUUGGACGCUGAUGACUAGCUGAAGGUCAUCAGUAAGAAGCUGGAUAUUACACAGUGCAACGAUCAUGAGAAGGUCUUGUAUGCUGCAGGACACUUAGAAGGAGAUGCAGCCGACUAGUGGGAUGCCUAUACUACUGCCCACGCCAAUGUUAAUGCUAUUACUUGGGAAGAGUUCACGAACAACUUUCGCACACACCACAUUCCAGCUAGUGUGAUGAAGCUCAAGUAGAAGGAGUUUCUAGCUUUAAAGCAAGGCAACAUGAUAGUCAGUGAGUAUCAGGACAAGUUCACACAAUUGUCUUGUUACACGCCAAAUGAGGUGGACACCAAUGAGAAGAGACAUGAAAGUUUCCUGGAUGGACUGAUAGGGCCACUUAACUAUCAACUGCAGAGUCACACGUUCCCUAAUUUUUAUACACUACUAGACAAAGCCAUUGGUUUGGAGAACAAACGUAAGGAGCUCGGGGAACAAAAGUGGAAGUUUCAGUCACAAGGUCAAUCUAGCAGCAACACCUGCCCUUGCUUCAACUCAUCACAGGGAUCACAAUUUCGUUCAGGAGGACAAGGUGAAAGCUAUCAACAGAAUCAGCAAUUCCAAAGUACCACUCAACAACCACAGCAAUUCAAUCAAUAGGCACAGCACACCUGAAACCCACAGCAAAACUGAGCAAACAAUACCACAGGAGCACCCAUGUGUAACAAUCCAGUUACCCCAGUUCGACCCAAUGGAUGCUUCAAGUGUGAUGAAGUGGGACAUUAUGCCAAUAACUGCACCAAGCACGAAAUGUAGACCCCUCAGAAGACCAAUGGUUAGAAGUCUGGUCAGCAAUAGUUGCAAGCGCGUAAUGCAAAUCCAAACUCUCAGGAAAACAUGGCUAGCAGAACUUCAUGCAUGGUAGGGCGAACCACGUGAGAAUUGAGAUAGCCCAGGAAGCUCCAGAUGUUGUUUUCGGUAUGUUCCUCAUCAAUUCUGAAUCUGCAUCAGUUUUAUUUAAUUCUGGAGCAUCACACUCAUUUAUAACCAAUCAAUUUGUGGCAAAGUAUAACAUACCUAUGCAACCUAUGAAGAAAACUUUGCUAGUUAGCUCACUAGGUGGUGAUAUAAGAACAAGUCAAAUAUGCUUACAAGUCAAUGUGAAAAUCAUGGGGGUAGAUUUCAUAGCCCACCUAGUGGUCCUAAACUCCAAAGGUAUUAAUGUGAUUCUUGGAAUGAACUGGUUAGGAGUAUGUGAUGGAAUUAUCCUAUAUGCCAAGAAGUCGGUGCUUUUUAACUAGCCCUCAGGGGACAUAAUUGAGUUUGUGGAUACUACCUCAUCUGAAGAAAAGGGUAUAGUCAAUCAAAUAAAAGGAAAAUCUUUGAAGGAUAUCAAGGUUGUAUGUGAAUACCCCAACGUCUUUCCCGAGGAUUUACCAAGUAUGCCGCUUGACUGAGAUAUUGAGUUCUCCAUUGAUCUUUUACCUGGCACUUCACCAAUAUCUAAGACCUUAAAGAAUAGAUGUUAAGGAUUUGGUUGAGUUAAAGAAACAAAUAGAAGAAUUAUUAAGUAAAGGUUUUAUCCGUCCUAGUUCUUCACCUUGGGGAGCACCUAUACUUUUUGUUGAUAAAAAGGAUGGCACCAGAAGAAUGUACAUGGAUUAUAGAGCUCUUAAUGAUGUGACCAUUAAGAAUAAAUAUCCACUCCCUAGGAUUGAAGAUCUAUUUGAUCAGAUGAGAGGUGCAAAAGUCUUUUUCAAAAUCGAUCUGCAAUCAAGCUAUCACCAGUUGAAGAUCCUAGCAGAAGAUAUACCUAAAAUGGCGUUUACAUCCAGAUACAGCCUAUAUGAGUACACUGUGAUGUCUUUUGGAUUGACCAACACUCUAGCAUAUUUCAUGUACUUGAUGAACAAGGUGUUUAUGGAGUACCUAGAUAAGUUUGUGGUAGUGUUCAUCAAUGAUAUAUUGGUAUUUUCUCGAAAUGAAGAAGAGCAUGAGGAGAACUUAAGAUUAGUGUUACAGAAGCUUCUAGAGAAUCAAUUAUAUGCCAAAUUGAGUAAGUGUGAGUUUUGGUUGAAAGAAGUUUUCUUCCUUGGACAUGUUAUCACCGAUGGAGGAAUCACAGUAGACUCAAGCAAAGUUCAAGAUGUGCUGAAUUGGAAUCCGCCCAAGAAUUUGUCUGAAAUCAGAAGUUUUCUUGGAUUAGCAGGUUAUUACCGCAUGUUUAUUGAAGGUUUCUUGAAGAUUGUCAAACCCCUCACUUCAUUGUUAGAAAAGGGAAAAGAGUUUAAAUGGGAUGACUAGUGUCAAGUGAGUUUUGAAGAGUUGAAGAAGAAGUUGACUACAACCCCUGUACUGAUAAUGUCUGAUAUACACAAAGGCUUCGAUGUUUAUUGUGAUGCUUCACGUCUAGGUCUUGGAUGUGUACUAAUGCAAGAAGGUAGAGUAGUAGGUUAUGCCUCAAGACAGUUGAGAAACCACGAGCAAAAUUAUCCAAGUCAUGACUUGGAACUAGCUGUCGUUGUGCAUGUAUUAAUGAUUUGGAGACAUUACAUGAUCAGGAACAAGUGUCAGAUCUUCACUGACUACAAAAGCCUAAAGUACAUAUUCACUCAGAGGGGUCUUAAUUUAAGGCAACACAGAUGGUUAGAGUUGAUCAAGGACUAUGACUUGGAUAUUCAGUAUCAUCCCGGCAAAGCAAAUGUCAUAGCAGACGUCCUAAGUUGAAAAGGUCAAGCUAAUGUGACUAUAGUACUAUUGAUAUCUCAAGAGUUAUGUUGGGAAAUGGAGCGACUCAACUUGGGAAUCGUUGCCCAUACUGAAUCUAUGACCAUGGAAAUUGAACCUACACUGGAACGAGAGAUAAGAAAAGGGCAAUUGACGGAUGCUAAAAUCAAGGUAAUCAAGAUCCAAAUUGAUUUAGGAAAGGCCCCAAACUUCACUAAAGAUUAUCAAGGAAUGGUUUGGUUCGGGAAAAGGAUCUAUGUACCAGAGAUUGACCAUCUUCGUGAAUGCAUAUUGAAGGAAGCACAUGAUUCAGCUUAUUCUAUUCACCCUGGUAGUACUAGAUGUAUCAGGAUUUGAAGGAAAAAUAUUGGUGGUAUGGUUUGAAAAGAGAAGUAGCAACCCACGUUGCUUUGUGUGAUGUAUGUCAGCGAGUGAAAGCAGAGCACCAAAGACCAGCAGGUUUACUUCAGCCAUUGAAAGUACCUGAGUGGAAAUGGGAAGAGAUCGGAAUGGAUUUUAUUGUUAGGUUACCCCACACUCGCGACGACUAUGAUUCCAUAUGGGUUGUUGUGAAAAGAUUGACUAAGGUUGCUCAUUUCAUUUCGGUUAAAAUAACCUAUAGUGGAGCCAAAUUUGCAGAGUUGUAUAUGUCAAGGAUUGUAUGUCUACAUGGUGUUCCUAUUGCGUUCCAAUCUCUUGCGAGGUUAAGAAACAACACAAUAGCUAGUAAAUGAAUUGCUCUCUAUUAAAUGAAGUGUCUGAAUCUCGUUACAUGUGGGGAGGACCCCCUUUUAUAUUGUCCGGAGGAUCCCUACAAUUUACAAUUUUACCCUCUCUCACCCACUACAUCCUCAGUAUAUUCUGUACACAUUUGUCAUCUCAUGAAGUCACGUUUUUUGUCCUCCCGACAAUCCCGUAAAUCACGCUCUCACAAGGUAUCGUAAUUGGCGUCGUCUUGUCGAUCACGUCGCCUUCCCCCUUAGCUUUGUGUCCAUGCCCUGAUUCGUCCGCCACUCCUCAAUGAUGCCCCUGCAGCAAGUUGGCUUCAGUCUCUCGUGUUAUACUGACUUUGGGCCCAUAAGUCCCCCAGCGAGGUUGAUGCUGCUACUACGGGCGCCGAAGACAACGGACGGGCAAUGAGUCAGAAAAACAAAGGUUAGCUCAUCUUACCUCCGCCUUCGAUUUUGGUUUGUCCCGAAGCUGAGUAAUCAUGGCCCCGAUCGAAGCUGAGCCCUUGGCGUGAAGCUGCGAAGUCCGAUGAGCCCUGGCGCAUAGAAAAUAAAGGUUAACCCACCUUGCCUUUGCUUCCGGUUUCGGUUUGUGCCGAAGCUGUAAAGUUCACCGAAUCUUGUCGCAUCUUUCGACAGAGAGACGACCUCGAGGGGGGCUGUUUUGGGCGAUUCCCCAACAGUUCCAAAGAAGAUAGUUUCUAAUCAAGGUACUCAAUUCAUGUCACGUUUCUAGCAGAAGCUACAUGAAUCAAUGGAUACAAAGCUUAAUUUCAGUUCUGUGUAUCAUUCACAAAUGGAUGGUCAGACUAAAAGAAUCAAUCAAAUCUUAGAAGAUAUGUUAAGAGCUUGUGCUUUAAAGAAUAGAGGUAGUUGGGAUAUAAGUUUACUAUACGUAGAAUUCACUUAUAACAACAGUUAUCAAGCCAGUCUUAAGAUGGCCCCGUUUGAAGUGUUAUACGGAAGAAAGUGCAGAACACCAUUGUACUGGAGUCAGAAUGGAGAAAGCCAAGUCUUUGGACCGGAAAUUCUUAAGGAAGCCGAAAGACAAGUUCAGAUAAUUUGAUAUAAUCUCAAGACUGCAUAGUCACGACAGAAGAGUUAUGCUGAUACUCGGAGGAGAGAAUUGACAUGUGAUGUUCGAGAUUACGUGUAUCUCAAGGUAUCACCUAUUAGUGGUCUUUGUCGAUUCAAGAUUAAAGGGAAGCUAUCACCUCGUUACAUUGGUCCUUUUCAAAUUUUGGAAAGAAAAGGAGAAGUGGCAUAUCAGUUAGACUUACCUGCUCAGCUAUUAGAUGUUCAUGAUAUGUUCCAUGUAUCUCAGUUGAAGAAGUGUCUAAGAGUACCGGAAGAACAAUUACCACUGGAAGAACUCAAUGUGAAGGAUGAUUUGACUUAUUCAGAGUACCCUGCCAAAAUACUAGAAAUAUCUCAGAGGGUCACUCAGAGCAAGGUAACGAGAAUGUGCAAAGUAUAGUGGAGUCAUCACUCAGAAGAUGAAGCUAUUUGGGAAAGAGAAGAUGACCUUAUCGAAGAAUUCCCUCGGUUGUUUUCCAAUCUCUCUGAAACUUGAGGACGAGAUUCUCUUUAAGGGGUAGGAUUUGUAACACUCAAAAAAUCCAUCAUAAACACAAUUUAAAAAACAUGUGGUCUAACUCUUUCUUUUCCAAUGACUAAAUAAAAUACUAUUAUGAAAUUAUGGCCUUUAAUAAAUUAAAGAACAAUUGAAAUAAUUGUUUAGAGACAAGUGCUUGUUAGGGUUCUUCGUUUGCUUCGGUUUUUUGUUUGCAUUUGCAAAAUUUUAAAUCAAAAAUAUUAUCAAUCUUCUUUAUCUCUUUUUGUCCAACUCAGCAGGUCGGCCCACCUUUCCUCUUUCUUUCCCUCCGGGCCCGCUCUCUCUUUCCUUCUCCAGCCGGCCCACCUCCUCAUUUCUUUGCGCCAACCCAAGCUGAUCCGCCGGCCCCUCAAGCACCUCCCCAGCCCAACUCCCCCUCUCCUCCCACCGACAGGCAUGGCCCGCCUGUCAGGCGCGUCCUCAACCUCCAGUUGUACCGCAACUCCAGUGCCUGCUUGCCUCCUGUCGCCACUCGAGCUCCUGUGCCCCUCUGCGUGCUUGCACCACAUCGCCUUCCCACGCGCACGCGCCGCUAGCGCCCUCUCUCCUAACUCCAGUAACCAGCACCCCAUUUUCCACCCACCAUUAAUGGCUACCGGAGCUCGUUUCCUCUCAGCGGGCGCCGUCUCAACUCCUCAUGGCCUAUAAGUAGCGCCUGCUCCCUCUCCCCGGCUCCCUUCGCCCAUUCUCGCCACCGCCACCGCCGCCCGCACUAGAGCGCCACCGCAUCUCACAGCACCGCCACUGCCCAAAUUCCUCCACCUCUGGGUCAAACACAGGCCUUUCUCGCCCGCCACCGCCGCUGGUAAGGCCUCCCUCGCUUUCCCCUCGCUCACAUAUGUCGCCUGCGCCACCCGCAUUGCUCACCGCCGUGCCUGAGCUUGUCGGCGAGCUGCCGGUCAUGUGCCUGUGCGCGUGCGGGAGAAAGGAAGGAGGAGGAGGAUAAGGCUAUUUUGCAAUCUAGUCGCUGAACUCUCUAAUAUUCUCUUUCUAGAUUCAUGUGUCUAGUAAAGCUUGCAAAGAACCCCCUGCAAUUCUUAUAACCUUCCUUUUUAACUCGAGCUCUACAUUCUUGUAGAUCUAACCCUAUACUUUUCUUAGCACUGUUCACUGAGUCUUGUGAAACUUCCUUGCUAGCCCCUGAAGUAUAUAGUUAAUUCCAUUUUAGCCCCUAAAACUUGUUUACUCCAUACCUUCGUUGUUUUAACUCCGAUUUCAGCGAUUCUCGCGAUCACGCGAGUAUCUCUGCAUGAUCGUUAGUUUUAGGAGUUUGUUUUAAUUCAUUUUUCUUGUUUAGUGUACGAUUUUAUUUAUUGUUUGUUUUGCUUUGUGUGAUCAUGUAAAUGACGUGCCGUUCGAGGAGACUUAGGAGCAGCAACUGUUCAAGGAAGAGUUCCCUUAGUUUGCCGAGGAAUGCAAGUGGUCAUCUCCCCCUGCAUAUUCUUUUUCGUCCCAAUAAUAGCAUGCUAAAUCACUUUACUAUUUUCCUGUAUAUGUAUAAUUUGACGGGAAUACAUAUUAAAGACUUACCUAGUUUUUAAUCCUGAUCUUUGAACACCGAUUUUAAUCUUGUUGGGUAAAAUUGCUUAAUUUUGGGAUGGUAAUAAUUUUGAGAAUAUUAAUCAUGACCUUUAUUUAUGCUAUACCUGUGCUAAUACAAGAUCACUCUCUCGAAACAUGGAGAACCACCCAGGAAAACAGUGUAACCACAAGAACUAUCAUGGCUCUGGUCUUGGCUAAUUAAUUAGAGACUCUAGUCUGGGGUAAUCUUACCAAAAGGGAAAGAGGGACGGCAGUUGAUGGGGUAUAACCCGCAUCUCAGACUGAUCUGCUCUAUGGAAGCCUCGCAGUCUUGAGAGGGGCUUAUGCUUUACUACCGAUCUGGAAACCUUAGCAAGUUACCACUUACUAGGGGAUCUUUGUAAAGGCCUCGUAGCGUCCCUAUGCAAUCACACCUCGGAAGUGUGCUAUUGUUCUUGGCUAGCAUAGCAUGGUUGGGUUUAAAGUUCUUUCGAAAUUUUACGUGACUUGUGGGGAAAUUAGGUGCUUGCUAAUUAAAAUUUGACCAACUAAAAUGCUAACCGCUUAAAGCCUAUGAGCCUCCCCUUGUUAGCCAUGCUUGUUUCCCCCACUUGCUGAGUACCAACCAUAAGUGUACUCACCCUUACUCAAACGCUAUUCAGAAGCUUCUGAUGUCGUGGAGUUCUUCAAUGACUUCGAGGAGUUCUAGGCGAGCGUUCACCAGUCAAACUUGUGGAGAAGCUACCACUGUGUGUGUAUUAAAUUUAUCGGUGAAUGAUUGUAGACCUUCAUGUCUACAUUUCGGAGUGUAAUAAAGUUAUCUACUAUUUUAUGUAUAUUUUGAACACUAUCUUUGAUGUUUCACUUAUGAAGUCCACCUAUCCACGUUGUGGCCUCCGCGGCGAUGCCAUCGGGCACACGCUCCAUAUGCAGGUCCCUGGAGCUUGCCGUGUUGCCGUCACCGAGGUACUUGCCGUCUUGCCGUCACCGAGGUACGCCACCACAUACGGCGAGCUCAGCCACUUCAGGAUCCUUAUCUCGCUCUCCAAGCACACCAUCGCCAUCGCCACCACCGACGAACUCUUUGUGUGGCACGAACGCACUGGGUGACGGAGCGCCUCCGAGGGAGUUGGUCACGACAGAGAGGAGGGAGAAGGGUGGUGGAGCCCACAGGGGCAAAAUCAUCUUUUCGUCUGACAUUUAACGAUUCUUGGAUGGAAAAUCCAUUACAGUAUCAAAUAAGGAACGAAAGUUGAACUCAGUGUUAAAUAGGGAACGAAAAUUUGUUGAGGGCUAAGAAAGGAACGAGUAGUUUUUUUAGUACCAAAUAGGGAAUUUUCUCUACUUGAAACUGGUGACUUGGUGAUUGAAGGGGGAGGGGAAGAGAGAGAGUGGGAGGGGGGCGGGUCAGGUGGGUAAGGGGAGAGGGAUUGUGGGGAUCUUCUUCACAAUCACUUUUUAUUAUAUCGUGGAUCUGGAUGACCAAUUUAAAACUUGAACUUAGGGGGUGUUUGGUUCCCACUUGCUUAUUUUUAGUCCCGUCACAUCGAAUGUUUAGAUAUUGAUUAGGAGUAUUAAAAAUAGACUAUUUACAAAACCCAUUGCAUAGAUGGAGGCUUAACGGCGAGACAAAUCUGUUAAGCCUAAUUAGUCCAUAAUUUGACAAUGUGCUGCUACAGUAACCAUUUGCUAAUGAUGGAUUAAUUAGGCUUAAUAGAUUCGUCUCGCUGUUUAGCCUCCAUCUAUACAAUUAGUUUUAUAAUUAACUCAUAUUUAGUCCACCUAAUUAGCCUCCGAAUAUUCGAUGUGACACGGACUAAACUUUAGCUUAAGGAACCAAACACCCCAGAACUCCGAAAUAGUUUAAGGACAUGCAAUGCAAUUCGCUCUAAAAAAAUAUAGCCUAUUUUUUAUCAUUAUUAAAUGGGUAGAAAUAGGUAUGCGUUUUCAAAAAGGAAAAAUGUCCUAUUAACCUCCCUUUACUAUGGGUCGAGUACGUGUUUCCUGUCGCGCUGCUUGGAUUCCCACCACACGCGCCACUUGGAUUAACUCGGCUUGCGAUCGCGCGAAGAGAGAGAAUAUGUUGCCAACCAUGAUGGGCGACAUGCAUGUUGGACAAAACCGGGAUGGAAUUGGGUCAGGGAGGUCAGUGUUCGAUAUUCCGUUUUAAUUAAUAAUACAAGAAGGUAGAACGGUCGAUUUUCGAGUCACGGAGAAAAAAUGCGGACUUGCUCCGUUGUUUAGGGAGGUGAAUAAGGAUUUUUUCCCCCUCCCUGCAGGUUGUGACUGGUUGGACCGCAACGACGCCACAAGAAUCCAUAUAGACCACAGCAGAUUGGCCGUGAUGGGAGUUCAUCUUCGUGUGAAAGGAAUAAAGAGGUUUGGAUACGAAGUGCUAAACUUUAACGGGGUUACAUCGGAUAUUCGGAUACUAAUUAGGAGGACUAAACAUGAGUUAAUUAAAAAAACUAAUUGUAGAAUCCUAUGCUAAUCCGCGAGACGAAUCUAUUAAGCUUAAUUAAUCCAUCAUUAGCAAAUGGUUACUGAAGCAUCACAUUGUCAAAUCAUGAACUAAUUAGGCUUAAUAAAUUCGUCUCAUGAAUUAAACUCCAUCUGUGCAAUUAAUUUUGUAAUUAGACUAUGUUUAAUACUUCUAAUUAGUGGCAUCACAUUGUCAAAUCAUGAACUAAUAAGGUUUAAUAAAUUCGUCUCGCGAACUAAACUCCAUCUGUGCAAUUCUGUCUCGUAGAAGAAUAUGAGUCAUUUCCAUGUGUGCCAUUAUGAAAGACGGUAAAUUCGCACAAGCCAUUAAAAAGAUAAACUCCCACAAGUGCCAUCGUGCUAAACUUUGUUUUCUCUCCAAGCCAUUCCUUCCACAUUUUGUUACUUUGUCACCGUUUGGGAGCCCUGACAAGUGGGACCGGGCAGAGGAAAAGACCCAAAUACCCUUGAGUACUCACUGUCUUCCUCUCACUGGCUCACUAUCUCUCCCUAUCUGGCUCGACUCCUCUUCCCCAAAACCCUAGCUACUGCAGCGUGGAGAGAAGAGCACCCAAGCCCCCUGUCCUUGCGGCUGCGGCACAAAGAGAAGAGCCCCCACCCCCCUCCCUUGCGGCUGCGGCGCGGAUUGAAGAGCCCCCAAUCCCCCGGAAGAGGAGGCCUGAAGACCGUGGAUCUGCCGGAUUGGCAACGCAAUGGCCGCGAACAAGGGGGCGUGCUCGGGCGACCGACCUCCUUGGCUUCCUGACGGGUGAGUAUCCCACUUCAAUUGCAUCAUGUCAGUUAGGUGUAGUAAUCGUGGUCGAUAUAGUGUGAUUUUAGUUAGACAGAUGGAUGUGAGCUCGUUGUUGUUCAUCUGUAGGAUGGACCCUGCUAGUAGCUACAACCUAGAAAUUCGGAUAACUGCUCGCCAUACUCGUUGUCGAUGGUUUAUCUUGGACAAAGUCGUCGAUGCUGAUCGUACCAACUUCGUAGAUCUGGUUGCUGAAGUUGAGAAUAAGUAUCCUUAUGCUUAUGGGGAUGUUGUGAGAUUGUUUUACUUCUGCAUUGAGACACAGAUGAACAUCCAAGUUUGCAAUGACCAUGAUUUGCUUGACAUGUUUGCAAAACAUAAAGCUUCCAAGUGUUGCUUCCUCACUUUAAGUUACCACAGCCCUAGUACUGAGCCUCUUGAAAUACCUCCUUGGGAUUUUAGUUGUUAUUCCAAGUCUGUUGAUACACCCUUCACCCCUUCAAUGCCUUGUCCUAGCAUUCCACAACCAAGCCAUACCCAGAGUGAAACUGAAGAUGAUGAAUACUUGGCUAACCCAAACCCAUCCAAUGAGCAUGUCGGUGUUGAUGAGGAAGGGCUGUAUAUAGACCUUGGUCCUCAACAACCACCACCUCCAAUACCUCAGAGUCAAGGUUGCAACAUAGAAAGGAAUGGAUCUGAUGCAGAAACAUACUGUGAAACAAACAGUGAUGAUGAAUCUGUGUCUGACGAUGAAAAUUAUGAAAUGGAGGAUGUAGAUGAUAUUGUUAAAGAUAAUGAGCCUGACCAUAUGCCUGAUGCUGACUAUGACAAGAAGGAUCCUCCUAUGAUAGUAGGCAGUGUGUAUAGAGACAUGUAUGCAUUUAAGAUGGCUUUAGCUUCACAUGCUGUGAAACAUGAGUUUCAUUAGGACAUUGAAAAGAGUGACACAGGAAGAUACAAAGUCACAUGCUGUGGGAGAACUAAGGGUUGCAGGUGGAGAAUUCAUGCCUCAAUCAUGAAGGAUGCUGAAACAAUUAAGGUAAACUGUUAGUGCUACAUCAAAAUGUGUAUGCUUUUUUUAUCUGUCAGUUGUGCUUAGGUAUAAGUAUGUCAUUUUUAUGUCAUUUGCAAGUGAAGAAGAAUCCAUUUCCCCAUACAUGUGAAAGCAUAAGGAGGUCUGGGGUAUGUAAAGGGGUCACACAGUUUUGGGUCUGUGAACAAGUUAUUGACUGGUUGAAAGAAGAUGCAUCAGUUGGUGCUUCUGAACUCCAAAGGAGGCUGAAGGAUGAGCACAAAAUUUUGAUACCAUAUAGGAGGGUGUGGCAUGGUAAGAAUCUUGCAUUGGAUAAAAUUUAUGGGCCAUAGAAUAAAAGUUUUGAUAACCUGUAUAGAUUGAAGGCCCAACUAGAAGCAUCAUGUCCUGGUUCACUUGUUGUCAUUGAUCACCACACCAUUAACAAGAAAAUUAGGUUUAACAUGUUUUUUUAGCCCUGAAACCAUGCGUUGAUGGUUUCCUUAGAGGUUGUAGGCCAUAUUUGGCAGUAGAUAGCACUUUCUUGUGUGGAAAGUUCAGAGGUCAGUUGUGCAUAGCUUGUGCAGGUGAUGCCCACAACUGGAUGUACCCAGUAGCAAUAGGUGUCAUUGAUUCUGAAACAAAUGAAAAUUGGGAUUGGUUUAUGAAGAGGUUGAAGGAAGCAAUAGGGACCCCACCUGGUUUGACAUUCUCCACAGACUGUGGGCAGGCAGUAAUGCAUGGUGUUAGUGAGGUCUUUCCAAAUGCUGAACAUAGAGAGUGCAUGUGGCAUUUAGCUCAAAGUUUUAAGAAAAGGUUCAGUGGUAAGAUUUUUUAUGAGCACUUGUGGCCAUCUUCCUACUCUUGGAGCAAGUACAUGUUUGAGAAACACUACCAGGCCAUGGCUGCUGCCAAACCUAAGGCUAUGAAGUACCUGCAAGAGAAUCACAACAAGUUAUGGACCAAAAGUCAGUUUGGUACAGUUUGCAAGGUGGAUUAUGUAACCAAUAAUUUGGCAGAGUGCUUCAAUAAAUGGAUAAAGGCAGAGAAGACCAAGCAUGUCGAUGAUUUGAUGGAUGCAAUAAGGCAGAAGCUGUUGAUUAAAUGGAAUACUAGAAAAAAGGUGGCUAAACAGUUUGUGGGAAAGAUUUUACCUCAUGUUAUGCAGCAGCUGAGGGAAGACACCUUCAAGCUAGACAUUGAGGUCAUCACAGAAAAUGAAGGAGUUGCUGAAGUUUGUGCUAAGGGAGGGAUUGGGUUCAGAUUUGUUGUGGACUUAAGGAACAGGACAUGUUCCUGCAGGGCUUGGCAAAGGUUAUUGAAGCGUGCCCACAUAAGUAGAGACUAAAUGUGAUCCAAUUAUCAGUCCUAGGAGGCUGAUAACACAUUUAUUCAACAGAUAGUUCAGAAACCGUACAGCUCCCGAAGGAGCGGGCAGGCAAGCCACACCCAAAGUAAAACUAAAGCGAUAACAAUACAAAUCCAAGUUGCAGUCCAGUCGGACUCCGGGCUGCAAUCAGAACUAAGCGUCAGCGGAAGCAUCCUGCAAAAGGGCCAACACCGCAGGCAGCGUUGGGGGCAGACGCAACCUCCUACUCGAGAUCCUCGGCGACGAAGUCCGGAUCCUCCUCUGAAGCAACAAAACAGGGGUGAGUACAAAAGUACUCCACAAGUCCAACCCCAUCCACGGAGGGGAUACAGCAAGAAUAUGCAUGGGUUUCAACAAGGAUAUGGUUAAGGUUGAUUUGCAAUAAAGCUAGAUUUUUGACACAUGCAGGGUUUUAUUUCAAAGAAUUUUCACAAUACAUUUUCUUUGGUAACCGAAACAUUAAGUGGGGUUGAUCCUACACAAAGGAUCCAACUUUUAUCGCUACCGGACUCCCCGUCCGCCGUAGCGCACGGCACAACUGCCGGACACUUCCAAAAUCCAACACACACCAUAAAAACCAACCAUCUCCAAAUGCUAGUUAUGUGACCAAGCCGUAACUCAUCCAAUGCCGUGGAAACGGCUACCCGGAUAGGUUUUAACUCUGCAGAGGUUGUACACUUUUCCCACAAGUAGGGUACCGCAUCAUGAUCACCUUAGUGACGGUGCGGAUCCUAACAAAGCCAUUACCCACCUUAGCCAACACUGACUAGUCAACACGGAAGCACCCAAGGGGUUAACGACCCAUCCACGGGGCUGAAACCGGGACCUAAGUCACCCAGAGCUUAGUCCUUUUCCAUAGGCUCCCGUCGCUUCCCAGCACACCUGAAGCCUAGCAGUUUAGCUAGUGGGGUUUAUGCUAAGCCGUUGCCCAUACAACGGUUGAGUGGUUGCAUGAUGGUUGAAUUAGGCAAGAUGACACAUCAACUCGGUCCUUAGUCAUGACAAGAUGGAUAUCUCCCAACUCUGCUCAACCACUAAGGUACGAGCUCAACAAUCCGGCAUUCCACACAAGAAACGCCCAUCCAUCUCAUCCACCACCUUUCUUUACACCCAAAAACCCAACUCCUCAGUUGAACACACUCACACAUUUAUUUUCCGAAUAAACAGAUGUAGUCAUGAUUGAAUUUAGGUAACGAGUUCCUAAGCAUUCUAGCAGUAUUUAUCAUCUAAACAGAGCAAUUCAUAUUUAGAGAUAAAUAUGGGACAACAAGGAAUAAUCAUAACAACCAAGGGGUGGCUAUCCAACCAUGUCUUGCAAUAAAACAAUAUGCAUUUUAUAAAACAGGCCAAUAGGUGGUGUCUGAAAAAAAACUGGGUAUUAAAUAUGCAUCAAAGGGUGAGAUUGGACUUGCCAUUCUCAAAGCCUUCCGGGAGCUCCUGCUCGCGGUACUGGUCUUCGAGCUCGGGCUCGCGGUCGAACUCCUCCUCGUGCUCCUCCUCGGGUACUCCGCGAUCUACGGCACACACAAACGAGCACACAAUAAAUAAAAAGGAAAAAGAUUUUACCCGUUGAGCUCCGAACAGGAAAUGUGAACGGAAAAUAGGUAGGAAGGGUAUUUUCAUGAAAUUUGGAUAUGCCUCGGCGGAAAUAUAUGAGAGGAAGCCGUGGUCGAAUUUGGGAUCGAUCGGAGAAAGUUUGGUGCAUGAAAUGACGGGUUAACGGAGUAUUAGGGGCUGUAAGAUGAGGUUUAGGACUAAACCACGAGAACCAGGGACCUAUUUAUAAUUUUUUUCUGGAAGGUGGAAGGGCGUAUUCGCGAAACUUCUUUGAGAGAGGUGGGAGGGCUGGUUUGUAAUUAGAGGAAAGGAGGGGGUUAGAUCGAAAUUGAAGGGGAUUCUCCCCUUCUUCUUCCUGGAGCACGGGUACAGGGAGGAAGGAGGCAACCCGACGGUGGGCCGGCCAGUCAAGCUCGCCGGCGGCGAGACCAAGCGGCGGGGGAGGUAGAGAAGACCGAGGGGACUCCAUUUUGACCCUCACCUUGGGGAUUCGGCGAUGGGAAGCGAGGGGGCCGGCGUGGGGAAAAAGGGCGGCGGGCAGAGCUCUGGCGGCGGCGCACAGGGUCGGUGGAGAAGGGGGGAGGCGAGCUAGGAGGCGAGGCGAGGUGGUGGCAGGGGCGGCCGGCCUCGGCCCCUUUUAUAGGCAACGGGAGGGGCGGGCGGAGGUCGGAAGUGAUGAUGGUGGCCAGACUUCCGGCCGGUGGCGUGCCGGAGUGGACAUCCUCGUGGAUGGCGUGGUGGCUCGGUCGACGAGGAGCACAGGGAGUCCACCGAGGUGAUGGCCGGCGUGACGUGCGGUGGGACGGCGGCGACCGGCGGCCGGCGACGCGGCGCGUGCGGCCAGGCGCUAGGUGCCAAAGGCCGGGCGUGCGGUGCGCAGGCGGGCUCGCGGGCGCGGCCGGGCGGACUGGUGCGGAGGAGCGAGCGCGCUCCGGCGCGGGAGUGGCCGGGCGCAGCGCGUGCGUGCAUGGAUAAGCAUGGACGCGUGCGAGAGAGGAGCUGAGCGCUAGGUAGCAGUGUGCUGUGGUGCGUGCGUUGUGCAGGUGGGACCGGGGGCGGCAGGAGGUGGCAUGCAGCAGCUAUGCGAACAGUAGAGGUGCAGGGGGCCAGCGCUGGGGGCCAGGCAUGGGCCCAGGGAAGUGCACGCGCACCAAGAAAAGCCAGGCACUAGGGGACAUGCACCGGAGCAUGCGACAUGUACUGGAGCAUGCAGCAGGGGGGAGAGAGAAAAAGGACCAGGCGCAUGUGUGCGGAGCCAGAAGCAGUGCAUGCGGCCAGCACCAAGUUCCAGGAGGAAGAGAAAAUAAAAAAAGAAACGGUGCAUGCAUGCAUGCAGUACGUAGGAAAAGAAAGCAAGGAGCUGUUGGUGCGAGGAAAAAAAAAGGAAGAAAAGAAAGUGAAGGAAAAUGAAAGAAAAUGAAAGAAGGAAAAGAAGGAAAAAGAAAUAGAUGGUGGCGAUUGCGGAAAUGGUCGCGGGCACGCGCGACGGUCUUCCAUCCGGCACACGGCGAAAUUUGCGGGGAACGGAAAAAGAGGGUUGACGACGUCAGGUGCCGGGACGGCGGGUCCGGCGGAAAGGAAAUGAUUUCUCGGGAGCUCGACGGUCGGGAAAAAAAAAUUUGAAAUGAGUUUUUAACGAGUGAUUUAAUUUGGUAAAUUCCACGGGCGUUACAAACCUACCCCACUUAAAUUGAAUCUCGUCCUCGAGAUUCGGCUGAACUCUUAAUAGAUGGGGAAACUCCUUCUUUAACGCAUCCUCGCGUUCCCAAGUAGCUUCUUCUUCACCAUGCCUACUCCAUUGGACCCUGCAAAUCCGCACUACUGAAUUUCUUGUUCUUCUGGUGACGGUGUCCAGAAUCUUGACGGGUACCUCCUGAUAUCGUAGAUCUUUUUGUAAAUCUAUGGCUUCCACCGAUACUUGCUCUUCUUGCACCCUCAGGCAUUUUCUUAGCUGGGACACAUGGAAUACUGGGUGUAUAUCUGACAUUUCCUCGGGUAGUUGAAUGCGGUAUGCUACAGCUCCAACUCUUUUUAACACCUGGUAUGGUCCAAUAUACCGGGGGGCUAAUUUUCCUUGCAUUUGGAACCUUCGGGUACCUCGAAUCGGAGAGACCUUAAGGUACACGAAAUCCCCUUCAUUGAAAAUCAACUCUCGUCUUCUUUUAUCUGAGUAACUUUUCUGCCUAGACUGUGCUGCUUUCAACUUCUCUCGUAUCUCAGCCACUCGUUCUUCUGCUUCUUUGAUAAAGGUGGGUCCCACUAGGGUGCGCUCUCCUACUUCCGACCACAUCAACGGGGUCCUGCACUUUCUUCCAUAGAGAGCCUUAAACGGUGACAUGCCUAAGCUGGCUUGGUAACUGUUGUUAUAUGAGAACUCUGCAUAGGGUAAACUCUGUUCCUAGUCCUUGCCAUAAGUAAGGACACAUGCCCUUAACAUGUCUUCCAUGAUCUGAUUUACUCUUUCUGUUUGGCCAUCGGUCUGGGGGUGAUAGGCUGAACUAAAAUCCAGUUUGGUGCCCAUAGCUUUAUGCAGACUUUUCCAGAAUCUCGAGGUAAAUUGGGUCCCUCUAUCCGAAACAAUUCUUCUAGGCACACCAUGCAGCUUCACUAUGUUGUCCACAUAGAGUCGAGCUAGCCUUUCUCCACCAUAGGUGGUCCGUACGGGUAAGUAGAGGGCAACUUUAGUGAGUCGGUCCACUAUCACCCAUAUGGAGUCAUUCCCUUUUUGAGUCUUGGGCAAACCCACUACAAAAUCCAUGCCAAUCUCGUCCCAUUUCCAAACUGGAAUGGGUAGUGGUUGCAGUAAACCGGCUGGCUUCUGAUGUUCGGCCUUAACCCGUUGGCAAAUAUUGCAAUGAGUGACGAACUGGGCUAUGUCCGCCUUCAUUCCAUUCCACCAGUAUUUCUGUUUUAGGUCCAUAUACAUCUUGGUGGAUCCCGGGUGGAUGGAAUAUGCUGAGUUAUGGGCCUCAUCCAUGAUGGUUUGCCGGAAAUCACCUUCCUUGGGCACACAAAUCCUAUCCUUGUACCACAAGGUCCCUUUUACAUCCACUCUGAAGUCUGGGGCUUUAUUCUCUCCGGUUUGCUUGCGAAUCCUCACCAAGUCCUGAUCCGAACCUUGGGCCUCUCGGAUUCUUUCCUCCAAUGUGGGCUGAACACUUAGCUUGCGGCUGGUGUUCUGAGGGAUAAUGUGUACAUUUAAUCGGGCCAUUUCCUCUUGCAAGUGGGUGUCCUUAGGUCCGAUCUGUCCAUAGGAUUUUCUGCUCAAGGCAUCCGCGACCACAUUAGCCUUACCGGGGUGGUAGUGAAUUUCCAGAUUAUAAUCCUUGACCAAUUCUAACCAUCUUCUUUGCCUUAAAUUCAGAUCUGGUUGGGUGAAGAUAUAUUUUAGGCUCUUGUGGUCUGUGUAGAUCUCACAUUUGUUCCCGAUUAGGUAGUGCCUCCAGAUCUUGAGGGCAUGCACUACGGCUGCAAAUUCCAAAUCAUGGGUGGGGUAAUUUUGUUCAUGGGGCUUAAGUUGGCGGGAAGCAUAUGCCACUACCUUCCCAUCCUGCAUCAGGACACACCCUAACCCUUGUCGGGAAGCAUCACAAUAAAUGACGAAGUCCCGCUGGAUAUCCGGUAGGGUUAAUACUGGGGCGGUCGUCAAUCUUCUCUUCAGUUCUUGAAAACUCCUCUCACAUGACUCUGUCCAAUUAAAUUUCUUGUCCUUCCUAAGUAGCUCUGUCAUGGGUCGGGCUAUCUUAGAGAAUCCUUCAAUAAACCUCCGAUAAUACCCAGCUAAACCAAGAAAACUCCUGAUUUCACCAACAUUGGUGGGUUGCUGCCAGUUGGAGACGGCUUCAACUUUCUCAGGAUCGACUGCUACUCCUUCUGCGGUCAAAAUAUGACCAAGAAAUGCCACUUUCUCGAGCCAAAAUUCACAUUUGCUGAAUUUAGCAUAGAGUCGGUGGGCUCUCAAUUUCUCCAACACUACUCGUAGAUGCUGCUCAUGCUCUUGGACACUCUUGGAGUAAAUAAGUAUGUCAUCGAUAAAGACCACAACAAACUUAUCUAACUCUUCCAUGAACACCUUGUUCAUGAGGUUCAUGAAAUAAGCAGGGGCAUUGGUCAGUCCAAAGGACAUCACUGUAAAUUCAAACUGGCCAUAGCGGGUGACAAAAGCUGUCUUCGGGAUAUCACUUUCCUUGAUCUUGAGCUGAUGGUACCCUGAUCUCAAAUCUAUUUUUGAGAAAUAUUUGGCUCCUUUCAACUAGUCAAAUAGGUCAUCUAUUCUGGGAAGGGGAUAUUUAUUCUUGAUGGUGACCUCAUUCAGUGCGCGAUAAUCCACGCACAUCCUCAUGCUUCCGUCUUUCUUCUUGACAAAGAGUACUGGAGCUCCCCACGGGGAUGAGCUAGGUCUGAUAAAGCCACUCUGUUGCAGUUCACCUAACUGUUUCUUCAGCUCUGCCAACUCAGAUGCUGCCAUUCUAUAGGGUCUCUUGGCUAUAGGAGAGGUUCCAGGGAUAAGGUUGAUUACGAACUCUAUGGGGGCAUUCCAGGUAGUUCUUCAGGAAAGACAUCAGGGUACUCACUCACUACCGUAACUCCUUCUAUGGCCUUGGCUUCCAUGCUAAAAACCAUUGGGUCAGGUCCACUUCCCCGAGUGUGACAGGUCACUUGUACACCGUCCUGAUUAACCAGGCGUACCACCUUAUCGGCACAUCCUAUGUGGCCAUCAUGUAGGCUUAACCAAUCCAUUCCAAGGAUCACAUCUAUCCCCUUAGACUCAAGUACUACCAAGUCUGCUAGGAAUUCUACCCCACUUAAAUUGAUCCUUACCCGGGAACAACCUAGUCGACACUGGAUGUCGGCUCCAGGCGUCCGGGUUAUUAGGGGUACCUUUAGUAGUAUUGUAGGUAUGUGGUGCUUAUCCUCAAAGCCUGAUGAUAUAAAUGAAUGUGAUGCUCCAGAAUCGAAGAGUAUUGUUGCCAAGACUGAGCUGACUAGAAACUCACCGAGUACCACGCCCUGAGCUUCUUGAGCCUCUUGCGCGCUGAUGUGGUUGACGCGGGCUCGUCCGAACGACUGCUGGGGUUGCCUCAUCUGGUGGCUGUUGUUGUUGUUGCUGGGGUUGUUGUUGCUACCGACGGGAACACGGUUGGCUCCUGAAACUGCUGCCCUUGGCCCAGUCACUGCGUUGGAGAAGGCUGAUGCAGCUGGCUUGUUGGCGUAGGGGCAGUUGGCAAUGAAAUGCCCUGGCUCACGGCAGUUGAAGCAUACCCUGCCGUUGUUGGUGACUUGACUGGCACUGUUCUGAGGGGCCUUGGCAGGGUUCUGGCUUCUGAACGAGGCAUUGGGCUGAUGGGAACCGGAGGCUUGAGACUGGGUCUGGUACUGCAUGGGAGCUUGGGAUCUGGGCAUGGGGUGACCAAAGCUUCUUGGUUUCUGGAACCUGUCCUGCUGGUGGGUCUUGCUGUUCAGGAAUCUGCGCUUGUUGUCCCUCCUUUCAUCUGCCUUGGCCCUCUCAGUCAAGAUGGCCAUGUUCAUCAGAGUAUUGAAAUCAGGGUAGAUCUGAGGAGUAAGCAGGGUCCUCAGUUCUGCGCUCAAACCCUUCUUGAACAUGUCUUGCUUCUUCUCAUCCUUGUCUACUUCUUCUGGAGCAUAGCGGGCCAAGUCCAUGAACUGAUAGGUGUACUCUUCCACGGACUUGUUGCCUUGGCGCAGUUCACGGAGCUCAUCCGCCUUGCGCUUCAUGGUAGCCGCAGGAAUGUGAUAGCGGCGGAACUCUGUCACAAACUCAUCCCAGGUGAUAGUGGAGGCAUCCUGGGCGGCAGUGCAGUAGUUCUCCCACCAAGCUAGAGCAGUCCCAGUGAGUUGAUGAGCAGCCAGGAGAACCUUGUCCCUGCCCUCACAGUCGAAUGGCUCUAGCUUCCUCUGGAUGACCCGCAGCCAGUCAUCUGCGUCCAGAGGAUUGAUGGACCCGCCAAAAGUAGGUGGCUUGGUCCGGAGGAAGUCUGUCAGUUUCUCAUUCAUGCCCUGUCCGCGGGGCCUUUGGCGAGUGAUGGCAUUGGCCAAAGCUUCCAGCAGAAGGGUCUGGUUGUUCAUGACUUGGACCAGAUCAAUGACUGGUGGGGGCGGUGGCUGCUGUGCUCCCACUUGACUUUCCCCCCUGCCCUCGGGCUGAUUCACUUCUUGCUCCUCAUGGUGCACCGCUGGUGGGGGUUCCUGUCUUUCCAGCUGUCUUUCUGCACUAGGGGUGGCACGUGCUUGACUCGGGGAGGUCCUGGUGGCACGCUUGGGAGGCAUCUGCAGAUUGAGUGAACUUUCAUGAGACUUGGAUUUGGAUAUUAAGGUGAUGUUUAGUUAAUUAAUUCGGAUUUUCGAAGAGACAGAAUCCACCUCCUGUCGACAAGCACACAGACUAACAAACAACAAGAACAAAUGAUUUUAUUAUUUUGCCGGGGCGGUUACAACACAUGGGGUAGGGCCAAAACACGCACUACACGACCGGUACAACAACACAACUGGGGGGGUACAAGUCUAGACUCAGGAUAGCUUCUGGUGUACAACUCUAGGUGGGGCACUCUAUUCGCGGGACGAAUCUGCACACUGCGCGGAGUAGUCUUCUGGCGGAAUAAGGAGGGCCAGCACCUCGUCCCUUAGGGUCCCACCUGCGGGAGGGGGUUUCGAGGCUUCUCCAUUGGCCACCUCAGAGUCCCUUUCCAAAGGCGGUGGUGCUGGUGGGGCAUCAGGGCUCUUCCGCUUCCCGGACCCCUGGGCAACAGGGACUCCAUCCAAUACUGGGGCCUCGUCGUCCUCCACGACCCGCAUUUUCCUUCUUGUGCGGUUCGAGUGGUGGACUUCCUUCAAUGCCCGCGCGUGCUGGUCCUCGGCCUCUUUGAGGGCCUCGAUGGCGAGGGCCUCAUUGCUUUGGGUGGCCGCGGCUCGUGCCUCAGCUGCUGCCAAUCUCACCUGGAGUCUCCUCACCAUAACCUCGGCGUCCUCGGCUCUGCGGAUCUGCUGCUUCAGAUGGGCGGCCUGCUCGUCGCAGAGUUCAUCCAAAGUGAGGAGAUAGGCAGCCAUAUGGAGCACGGUGGGGUCAUCCUCGCGCUGUCCACGUCCUUCCAAAGUCCUCACCCGGGCCAGCCAAACCGGGCGGUUCUUCUUGACAGGCGGGUAAAACCUCAUCGGUGUGCGACCGAUGUGCCUCUCAUAAAUUUGGCACAGGUAGCGCAGGGCUUUCCGAGCUGCCACCUGGUAAGUGUCUUUCCGCUGGAAACCAGUGGCAGACACAUUCCAAGGCUAGACGUCGGGGAAGCGGCUGCUCCUGCCCACGUAGAUGGUCAUCUCGCAUCGGAGGGUCCCACGGUCUUCAUACUCCCGGCUAGAGUACUCCGGACGCUCGUAAAUCCCGAGGCGGUCCAUGCAGGCGAACAACAACCUGGGAAAACCGGGCUCCUCCAGGCAAUGGCUGUUGAUCCAACCUUCUUCGGCCAUCUGGAAAGAAUCGGGGUGUAAAUCAGUUUUGUAAUUGAGCAGAGGAAGCAAGAAAUUUUGUAAAUCAUUUAAUUUGGUCAAAAGGGCUUUUCCGGUCCUAAUGGUUACGUCCUACGGCCAACGACGGCUCUGAUACCACCUGAAGCGUCCCCACAUAAGUAGAGACUAAAUGUGAUCCAAUUAUCAGUCCUAGGAGGCUGAUAACACAUUUAUUCAACAGAUAGUUCAGAAACCAUACAGCUCCCGAAGGAGCGGGCAGGCAAGCCACACCCAAAGUAAAACUAAAGCGAUAACAAUACAAAUUCAAGUUGCAGUCCAGUCGGACUCCGGGCUGCAAUCGGAACUAAGCGUCAGCGGAAGCAUCCUGCAAAAGGGCCAACACCGCAGGCAGCGUUGGGGGCAGAUGCAACCUCCUACUCGAGAUCCUCGGCGACGAAGUCCGGAUCCUCCUCUGAAGCAACAAAACAGGGGUGAGUACAAAAGUACUCCACAAGUCCAACCCCAUCCACGGAGGGGAUACAGCAAGAAUAUGCAUGGGUUUCAACAAGGAUAUGGUUAAGGUUGAUUUGCAAUAAAGCUAGAUUUUUGACACAUGCAGGGUUUUAUUUCAAAGAAUUUUCAUAAUACAUUUUCUUUGGUAACCGAAACAUUAAGUGGGGUUGAUCCUACACAAAGGAUCCAAAUUUUAUCGCUACCGGACUCCCCGUCCGCCGUAGCGCAUGGCACAACUGCCGGACACUUCCAAAAUCCAACACACACCAUAAAAACCAACCAUCUCCAAAUGCUAGUUAUGUGACCAAGCCGUCCAAUGCCGUGGACACGGCUACCCGGAUAGGUUUUAACUCUGCAGAGGUUGUACACUUUUCCCACAAGUAGGGUACCGCAUCACGAUCACCUUAGUGACGGUGCGGAUCCUAACAAAGCCAUUACCCACCUUAGCCAACACUGACUAGUCAACACGGAAGCACCCAAGGAGUUAACGACCCAUCCACGGGGCCGAAACCGGGACCUAAGUCACCCAGAGCUUAGUCCUUUUCCAUGGGCUCCCGUCGCUUCCCAGCACACCUGAAGCCUAGCAGUUUAGCUAGUGGGGUUUAUGCUAAGCCGUUGCCCAUACAACGGCCGAGUGGUUGCACGAUGGUUGAAUUAGGCAAGAUGACACAUCAACUCGGUCCUUAGUCAUGACAAGAUGGAUAUCUCCCAACUCUGCUCAACCACUAAGGUACGAGCUCAACAAUCCGGCAUUCCACACAAGAAACGCCCAUCCAUCUCAUCCACCACCUUUCUUUACACCCGAAAAACCCAACUCCUCAGUUGAACACACUCACACAUUUAUUUUCCGAAUAAAUAGAUGUAGUCAUGAUUGAAUUUAGGUAACGAGUUCCUAAGCAUUCUAGCAGUAUUUAUCAUCUAAACAGAGCAAUUCAUAUUUAGAGAUAAAUAUGGGACAACAAGGAAUAAUCAUAACAACCAAGGGGUGGCUAUCCAACCAUGUCUUGCAAUAAAACAAUAUGCAUUUUAUAAAACAGGCCAAUAGGUGGUGUCUGAAAAAAAAACUGGGUAUUAAAUAUGCAUCAAAGGGUGAGAUUGGACUUGCCGUUCUCAAAGCCUUCCGGGAGCUCCUGCUCGCGGUACUGGUCUUCGGGCUCGGGCUCGCGGUCGAACUCCUCCUCGUGCUCCUCCUCGGGUACUCCGCGAUCUACGGCACACACAAACGAGCACACAAUAAAUAAAAAGGAAAAAGAUUUUACCCGUUGAGCUCCGAACAGGAAAUGUGAACGGAAAAUAGGUAGGAAGGGUAUUUUCAUGAAAUUUGGAUAUGCCUCGGCGGAAAUAUAUGAGAGGAGGCCGUGGUCGAAUUUGGGAUCGAUCGGAGAAAGUUUGGCGCAUGAAAUGACGGGUUAACGGAGUAUUAGGGGCUGUAAGAUGAGGUUUAGGACUAAACCACGAGAACCAGGCACCUAUUUAUAAUUUUUUUCUGGAAGGUGGAAGGGCGUAUUCGCGAAACUUCUUUGAGAGAGGUGGGAGGGCUGGUUUGUAAUUAGAGGAAAGGAGGGGGUUAGAUCGAAAUUGAAGGGGAUUCUCCCCUUCUUCUUCCUGGAGCACGGGUACAGGGAGGUAGGAGGCAACCCGACGAUGGGCCGGCCAGUCAAGCUCGCCGGCGGCGAGACCAAGUGGCGGGGGAGGUAGAGGAGACCGAGGGGACUCCAUUUUGACCCUCACCUUGGGGAUUCGGCGAUGGGAAGUGAGGGGGCCGGCGUGGGGAAAAAGGGCGGCGGGCAGAGCUCUGGUGGCGGCGCACAGGGUCGGUGGAGAAGGGGGGAGGCGAGCUAGGAGGCGAGGCGAGGUGGUGGCAGGGGCGGCCAGCCUCGGCCCCUUUUAUAGGCGACGGGAGGGGCGGGCAGAGGUCGGAAGUGAUGGUGGUGGCCGGACUUCCGGCCGGUGGCGUGCCAGAGUGGAUGGCCGGUGAUGGCCGGCGUGACGUGCGGUGGGACGGCGGCGACCGGUGGCCGGCGACGCGGCGCGUGCGGCCAGGCGCUAGGUGCCAAAGGCCGGGCGUGCGGUGCGCAGGCGGGCUCGUGGGCGCGGCCGGGCGGACUGGUGCGGAGGAGCGAGCGCGCUCCGGCGCGGGAGUGGCCGGGCGCAGCGCGUGCGUGCAUGGAUAAGCAUGGACGCGUGCGAGAGAGGAGCUGAGCGCUAGGUAGCAGUGUGCUGGGGUGCGUGCGUUGUGCAGGUGGGACGGGGGCGGCAGGAGGUGGCGUGCAGCAGCUAUGCGAACAGUAGAGGUGCAGGGGGCCAGCGCUGGGGGCCAGGCACGGGCCCAGGGAAGUGCACGCGCGCCAAGAAAAGCCAGGCACUAGGGGACAUGCACCGGAGCAUGCGACAUGUACUGGAGCAUGCAGCAGGGGGGAGAGAGAAAAAGGACCAAGCGCAUGUGUGCGGAGCCAGAAGCAGUGCAUGCGGCCAGCACCAAGUUCCAGGAGGAAGAGAAAAUAAAAAAAGAAACGGUGCAUGCAUGCAUGCAUGCAGUACGUAGGAAAAGAAAGCAAGGAGCUGUUGGUGCGAGGAAAAAAAAAGGAAGAAAAGAAAGUGAAGGAAAAUGAAAGAAAAGGAAAGAAGGAAAAAGAAGGAAAAAGAAAUAGAUGGCGGCGAUUGCGGAAAUGGUCGCGGGCACGCGCGACGGUCUUCCAUCCGGCACACGGCGAAAUUUGCGGGGAACGGAAAAAGAGGGUUGACGACGUCGGGUGCCGGGACGGUGGGUCCGGCGGAAAGGAAAUGAUUUCUUGGGAGCUCGACGGUCGGGAAAAAAAUUUUGAAAUGAGUUUUUAACGAGUGAUUUAAUUUGGUAAAUUCCACGGGCGUUACAGUUAGGAAUACCAUGCAAGCAUGCAAUUGCUUACAUAACUUCUAUACCUGGUGAAAAGCUAGAAGACCAUGUGGAUGAAUGCUAUUCUGUGGCCAAAUUCAAAGCUGCAUAUGAAGGUUCCAUCCCAUCCAUUCCCAACAAGUCAAUGUGGCCUGAUGCGACACAUGGAUUCUUCAUGCAUCCUCUCUUGCUUAAGUCCACAACUGGUAGAAGAAAGAACAGGUACAAAGGGGCACUUGAAGGAGGUAGAAGGAAGAAAUCAAAGAGACAUGAGUGUCCAAUAUGCCAUGAGUUAGGGCACCACUUGUACACUUGCAAGAAUGGGAGUCCAGCAGACAUAGCUGCAAUAGAGGUUGACAGGUGCACUUCUCUCAGUUACAUUUAUUCAUAUAUGGUAUGAAUUGCAUUGUUGUAAUGUAACAUUUAUUUGCAUGCAGGGGUCUACCUAAGAAGAGGCAGAAAAAAGUAGCUAAAGCUAACACAGAGACAAGCAUUGUUGUGGCCUCAAGGAUGGUGUUCCCUCCCAAUGAAGCAGUGGAGAAUGCUGUACACAAGAAAAGAAAGAGAUGUCACGUGGAUGUUCCUUCUUCUUCAACCUCUGUCUCCAAAUCUACCAGGUUUGCAACUUCUACAUUUCUUUAUCUUUUUGGCAAUGCCUACAGUCCCUUAUUACUUCAUGUUUCAUCUACCACAAGAUCUGGAACUGGAUCCAACGAGCCUAUUCCGCUUCAAGUUGUGCACCUUGCCCAUUGGCAUGAAGAUGUGGCAGUUCAACCUCAGCCACAUGAAGCUUCUCUGCUACAAUUCGUACACCAAGGAGGAAAGUUGCAAUUAAGAAGAAGCUAACACCAAGAAAAGAAGGGUCGGCCACUGCAACUAACCCUUCCAGUUCAGCAGGAAAUACCAGAAGUAAGAAGCAACUCAUGAUGUAAUGGAGAUGUUGGGGAACAAUCUGAAUCUGAACCAUGUUGGUGAACAAUUUUAUAUUUCUGGACUCUCAUCAUCCAUCCAUCAUUGACUCAUUCAUUCAUUGAUUCAUUGGCAUACAAACACAGUGACACACACACACACACAUAGAACCCUACUUUUUCAUUAUUGCAUACAAGGCAAGGAAGAUGGAAACAAAGACCAGUUUCUCAAUCCAUUUCAGUUGCUGCAUAACCCUGUCUUGCACUACCCUUCCAUCCUGACCACCUUCCUGGAUGAGAAGCAUUGAAGUGGGAGCUGGUUCUGGCACUGCGUGAAGAGGAAUAGGAGACAAAGGUGUUGUACGAGCCACUGUCUACACACUACUAUCUCCCAUUUCAUCCUCCCACUGAUAGUACUGACAACCUCCAGCCUGAAAACCAAAGCAACAGUACAUUAUGGACAAAGUAGCCGAAACAAACAUUCUAGAGCCAAAUAAAGAGCAAGUUAACAACACAAACUGAAAAGUAAGGACAAUUGUGGAAGACACGGCGCAUGUUGCUACUGGUCAUCGAUGUGAACCUAUUGGCAAGCACACCGCAGUUGGGGCAAAGGACCCGCCUUACAAACGAGCCUGAAGCUUCAGACAUGCUAGCAAGAAAAGAGAGAGCACUGGGUGGGAGCUGAGUGAAGAGUGUGGAGAGAUCUCAGUGGGGGAGGGGUUUAUAGGAGCCACCGGGAGCAUUUUUAGCGCCAAAGCUCCACCAUGUUGGCGCCAAAAAGAACUGAGGGCACGCCAGUCUUUUUCCCCCUCUGUCAGGCUCUGUUAGCGCUACAUUUGGACGGAAUGGCUUGCAGAGAAAACAAAGUUUAACACGAUGGCACUCGUGGGAGGUCAUCUUUUUAAUGACUUGUGCGAAUUUACCAUUUUUUAUAAUGGCAGGAAAUGACUCGAAGAAUAUUGCAAUGCGUUCGGGAGAGAGAGGACGUUGUACGUCGUCGCAUCCAUUCGAGGAGGGGUAGGACUAUGUAUCAGACAUGGACCCCUCGUCUCUGCCCAUUUCUGUCCUGUUGUAUUGCCGAAAAGAUGGACGCAGCUGCAGCGGGAGUACACACAAAAACACAUACACCAUCAGCCCAUCGCAUAGGUUUGGCAAGAUGAUGUUCAAAAAUCAAGUGCAUUAAAUAUAUGUGCGCUAAGAUCAAGUUACACACAUGCAGACAAUAGCGAAUAUCAAAGAUAGUGUUAAAACAAAUAUAGAGAGUGUUAAACUAUUUAUUACACAACCGAUAGUCUUAAAUAAACAUAAUCUUAAUUAAACACGCAACGGAAACUGAAGACGACGACGACGACACCAAGAGCAGUCGACUGAAGAACGAACGCCUAGAACUCCUUAAAGUCAUCUAGGUACUCCACCAGAUUGUCUUGGUCUGAACAACGGGUAUUGCAAUGGUGAGUACACUUAUGGUUGGUACUCAACAAGUCAUGGGGAAUAGUGUAAGGCCAAUCAAAGGAGUGACUAAGGCUAACAACAUCAACAUUUAAUUAAGUUGAUCAAAUUUUAUUAGCAAUUACUAAAUAUAAGUUUAUACCACCCAAAAUUAAGCAUGAAUAAGAAUAAAGCAAUAACAUGAAUAAAAUAACAACAAUUUAAGUCCAUAUUUUGAUGAAGGUAUCAUGUGAGGGUUCAAGCCGCUCUUGACCGUGAGCACGGCUGAUCGAUCGGCUUUACACACUGUAGAGGUCGCACAUCUUUAUCCACAAGUCGCAUAAACGUUCAAAGAACUUUAGAUCCAACCAUGUGAUGCUAGCUAGGCAUCAUACCACACUUCCGACGUGUGAACGCGUAGGGAUGCUACGAGACCUUUACAAAUAUUCGCUAGUAAGUAGUAACCCGCUAAGGUUUUCAGAUUAGUAGUAAGCCAUCACACCCUAUCUACCGUCGUCCCUCUUACCUCUUAACGAGUAAUAUUAUCCCAGACUAGAGUUUCUAAUUAAUUUGCUGAGACCAAAGCUAACUAGUUCUUGUGGUUGUACUAUUUUCCUGGGUGGUCGCUCCAUGUUCCAAUUAAACAUGAUGUCCUUGUAUUAAAAGAAAGGUAUAGCGAAAAUAAAGCAAUAUUAAACAUUUAUGCCAAUUAAACCAGCAAUUCCCACGUAAAGCGACAAGCAUAAGCUAUCCGACAAGAAUAUAAACCCAGUUGAUCAAGGCAAAGGUAAAUGAAAACUAGUCAUCCUUAAUUGGGACCCAUCAAAUUAAUCAUAACAUGUGCAUAGCAUAAUUGUUGAGUACGAGAAAGUAAAGGUGUAUAGGACUGAAAGUAGUGAUCAAGGAUACGACUUUCCUUCCUGGCCUUGCUCGUGCUGCUCGUACUCCUCGUAGGCUUAAUCUUCAACUUCCUCGAACUGCAAACCUUCUAUACGUGUCACACGAGCACAUACAAGCAGACACAAGCAAUAAAUAAGAAAUAGUACACCAAAACAUAAUAAACAGAGAAAAUAUGUUUUUAAAAGAAAUCUACCCAUUACAAUGAUCGCGUGGACAUAAAGAACGCUAAAAACGGAGCUAGGAUGCAAAAGAUAUGCUAAAAAUAAAAUACAGGGGCAUAUCUGCGAGAAAACUAAACUUCUAGGAGUCUAACGUGCAAAAACAGGGGGUCUAACGUGCAAAAACUACGUUACGGACUGCGGGUGAGAUUUUGAGAAAAUAGAGGGGCCUGCGAGAAAAAUGUGAGGGCGAUUUUGUAAAUAUUUUUGACUUGACUAGGACCGUGGGUUGAUUUGUGAGAAAAUUAGGGGCCCUUUUGAAAAAAGGCUCGGGUGCGGGCGCACUAACCUAGGGCGACGAUCUCCAGCCGUUCAAUCAAAGAUGGACGGCCGAGAUUAGAUCCAACAGCGGCUAUCGAUGCGGCCGUCGGUCUGAGAUCGGAGGCCGGUGGCCGUCGGUGAGGGCGGACAGGGCAGCGUGCUGGUUUCUCGUGCUGACCGGCGGCGCAGCGCCGCAACGAGGAGGGGGAAGGCGGAGCUGGCCUGCGCGGGGGAGGUAGGAGCGGGCGACGUUGCGCGGGCGAAGAGCUGCGGCGGCGUGCUCACCUCCGGCGGAACUCCAGCGGCGAAAGACGGCGACGGCGGCGAGUUUGGCAGGCGGCGGCGCGGAAAGCUUGGAGAUGGCGGCGGUGCAACGCUCGGCUAGGGUUCGUGGCGACCCCGGACGGCGCGACAUAUUUAUAGGGCGGAGAGGAACGCGUGAAUAGAUAGAGGGGCACGGGUUUGAAUCGAGGCGGGGAUAAGAUUUCGCCCGGAAGAAACGAAGCGGAGGAGGCGGAAUCCGUUGCGGCGGCGGAGCGGAGUCCGACCGGACUCGGCCAGAGGAGGAAGACGAUGUGGGCCCCACCUGCCAGCGUCCGCGGGCGGGGAACGGGCCGUCGCGGCUAGCUGGGCCGAUGAACGCUUCGCGGGCCGGGGGAAAAGGUGGAGCGGGCCGGGUGCAGCAAGCUGAGGAGGCUGGGCCGAAAUUGAGGGAGAGAGAGUUUUCGGCCCGGAGAGAGGAAGAAAAGGGGAUGGGGUUUGAGAUUUUAGAAAGAGUUUAUAUUUUGAAAUUUAAAUUCAAAUGCACUCAAACAAUACAAAACUUUAUGCUCCGGCAUGAAUGCACAAAAACCUCCUACGGUUUGAUUAAUUUUGAAAAUACGCUUUUAAAAUGCCUACAAAUUCAAACCUGCCCUUAAUUUAAUUUAAAUUUUUAUUAAAUUUGAAACCUCAAUUUUAGGGUGUUACAGAUGAUUUUUUUUCCGUUGUGGAUAAUGGGUGCGCAUAAAGGACUUUGUUUUUAGACCAGUGCGCAUAAAGAAGUUAGAGACGAUGCCAGAAACAAAUUAAUAAGCACAGGACGAACAAAUUACAGCAAUACUCUUUCUCUUUCUAUAGCACAUGAGCAUUUUAUCGGUGCCUAUGUAGUUUUCAGUGUAUAUUUUUUAGGCAUGAGGGAGAAAAACAUAAGAGAAAGAGGAGAAAAAAAGAGGAGAAAUGACUGACCACACAUAGUUUCCAAGUGAACGCAGCGAUGCAGUGUACAGUUCAGAACCCAAACGAUUUUUGGUGUUGUUUUGAAGCACCUGACUAACAACUGCAUCCCGAACUACUGACUCUACACCUUCCUUCUGCCAAAAGAUCUAAAAAAAUUAAAGGAUUGCUAAUAAGGACCAGGACACGCUCAGAUUUGUGGAUAUCUAAAUAAGUUAACUUCCAGCUAGCAUGGAUAGUUAACUGCAUAGCACCACAUCCAUCCUUCCUCGCAUUGAGCCCCUUCUUCUCUCCUUCUCUCCUUACAGCAGACACAAGCGUAAUGGAGACGUACAGGUGCAGGAGGGCGAUCCCCAUCUCGACUUCAAUUUGGCCAUGUGGAAGUAGGACCACCACCAUGUGCAGGAGGGCGUCCCCCGUUAUGCAUCAAUGCUGCACCUAAUGACUGUGACCUGACAGCCCGACAAUUGGUUAUGGGAGCCAUGUGAUUUCGCAUCUCAAAGGCAUCGUUUAUCCUUCCUCUCCCUGCUGCUGCUCAUCCUCCCUUCACCGAACUACUUGUUGCAAUCAGAAGAAAGAUCAAUCGAAUUGAUCAAGAGACAGAUUGGAAGCUAGUCACCGUUGAUGGGUUCGUGAGUGAUGUUAUGAUCCGUCCCUCUAUCAUAACCGUUGGAACGCAGCUGGUGCAGAAGUUAAUUACCUGAAGCAAUUUGUAGAAACGAAUAGUACUGGUUCGUUCACUUAUUUCUUUGUUCAAACUUAAUUUCUGCUUAGAGUUUGUGCCUUGUGGUGAGACUAAAUUAGCUGCUUACUAGUCCACCAACUCGUGCUCCUGCACAUGCUAAUGUUAUUAAAAGAUAUUGUAUUUAAAAAUUAUUUAGAAAUUAAACUCCUAGCUAAUAAUCAAAAUUGUUUACCUACUACUCUCUUAUUUUUUCAAUACUUCAACAUAAUACUUAUAUAGAUAUGUACCUAUCUUUGUCUAGUUGUGAUUGAUUUUUAAUUAAUAAUUACUCUAUGCACUUUUUCAUCCAUAUUCAUACUUUUUUAAUUUUGUAUCGCAGCUACAAUUCUCUAGACAUUAUGUUUAUCAUACAAAUCAAUAUUUUUCAUCGAUUCCUCACAUACAUGUAUAAAUGGUCUAAAUGGUGGGACUCAUCAUGUGUAUAUACUUUAACUUAGUAUUUUUAUAUUAAUAAUGAGAUAAAUAGGUAAUUUAGAUUCAUAUAUUAAUUUACUUUUUGACGUAUGAUGCACAUGAAGAUAAUUAGAUUAAGAUUUAGGUGUUCGCUUUAGGUUAUUUUUAAUAGCGACGUGGGUAACAUAGAUAAAAUUUUAGAAUGAUAUUUUAAGUUAUACUUUAUAAUGAUAUGAAUUAGUAAAUUUUAUGAAUAUUAUUGGGUUACUUUAGAUUAUUUUUUAUAAUAGCUGAGCUCAGUAAUUUAAAUAUAGGUUUAGAGCUCAUUUUUUAAUAUUUUCACAAUGAUAGCGGUGGGUAACUUUUUAGAAAAUAUAAUAAAUCAAUGGCUAUGAUUAUUAGAGUCGACAGGAUUGGUGUUUGAUGUUUUUAUUUUUUAUGAGAAUUGUCUCUUUUUUCUAGUUUGUCUCAUGGGAACUAAUGCGGAGCCUCCAAUGGAAAAAAAUGAUACUAUAUUGCUACAAAAUUAUCACCAUAAGCUACCUCUCGUUUGUUAAAUAUUCGAACACAAUACUUAUAUAGAUAUAUACUUAAUAUCUUCAUCCAAUUGUGAUAGAUUUUAGUUAGUAAUUACUCUAUAAUAUUUUUAUCCACAUUUAUAAUAUUUAACUUUUCACUUUGCAUCGCAGAUAUGCGCUUGAAUUUGUUUAAUGAACCCUAAGUUUGAGACACAAUUUUAACAUAGAAAUCUAUAUUCACAUCACUUUAUAUCUUUAUAAAUGGUGACACACAUCAUGCGUAUAGAUCUUAAUUAUUAUAUCAUAUACCAACAGUGCAAGAUACAGAGGAUAUAGAAUCAUAUAUUGCUGUAUAUUUUUAAUUAAAGUUAUUUGAUUCAAACGUAGGGUUACGUCAUGUUAUUUUUAAUAAUAGCAUGUGUGAGUAAUAUAGAUGCAAAUUUAAGGAGUUACUUUAAAUUCUUUAAGUAAUAGUGGUGUACAAUUCAGUUGCAAAUUAGGGGGUUAUUUUAAAUAUUGUUUCUAAUGGUAUAAGUGGGUAAUUUUGAUAAAGAUUAGAGGGUAACUUAUAUAUAGAUUUAGGGGGUUACUUUAGGCUAUUUUCAUAAUGGCAUGGGUACUUUUUUAGAAAACAUAAUAGAUCUAAUGGCUAUGAUGAUUUGAAUCUAUCGAUUGAUGGUCGGAUGUUUUGUUUUUUUGUGAGAAUUCUAAAAUUUCUCUCUUUUUCUAGAGUGUCCACCUAGGAAUCCUAGGUGGCUUCACCUCGAGGCUUCAAAAGGAGCCUCCAAUUAAUAAUAGUAAGAUUAUGCUGGUUGCAUGCAGGAGAUCGAGCUGCGGGCGCACAGCCGUAUCGGAUGAGGACAUAUCAGCUGGGUUCCUGUUGGUUGUAUACUUGUGUUCCUGCCGGCGGAGAAGCAACCAUGGCCGAGUUAGUGAUCGGGCCACUGAUCUCCAUGGUGAAGGAGAAGGCAUCCAGCUACCUGCUGGACCAAUACAAGGUGAUGGAAGGAAUGGAGGAGCAGCGCAAGACCCUGGAGCGCAGGCUGCCAGCAAUCCUGCACAUCAUCCAGGAUGCAGAGGAGAAAGGAGCCUCCCGACCUGAAGUAGCAGUUUGGCUCAAAGACCUCAAGGCAGCGGCCUAUGAGGCCAACGAUGUCUUUGAUUAGUUUAAGUACGAGGCGCUUCGGCGAGAAGCCAAGAAGAAGGGCCACCACAGCAAGCUUGGACGCCGAAGCCAAGAAGAAGGGCCACCACAGCAAGCUUGGAGCGGAGGUAGCAAAACUCCUAGUCCCCGCUGGUAAUCCCAUUGUAUUCCGUUACAGGAUGGGCAAGAAGCUACGCAGGAUUGUGCAGACCAUCGAGGCUCUGGUCACCGAGAUGAAUACAUUUGGUUUCAGAAACAUGUAGCAAGCACAGCCAUCAAGGCAGUGGCGACAGACAGAUUCCGUAAUCAUUGACUUCGACAGAGAUAUUGUUAGCAGAUCUAGAGAUUGGGAAAAGAAGAAAAUCAUGGGGAUGCUCCUUGAUCAAGCUAGCAACAUGGAUCUCAUGGUUCUUCCAAUUGUUGGGAUGGGUGGGAUGGGCAAGACCACCUUUGUGCAACUCAUUUACAAUGAUCCUGCAAUCGAGAAGCACUUUGAGCUUCAGAGGUGGUGCUACGUGUCAGAUGAUUUCGAUGUUAGUACCAUUGCAAGCAACAUCUGCCAGGCAAACACUUCCAAUUGGCUAUUUUAGAAGUCUUCGUAAGUCAACCAUAUGCAAGAUACAUCAUCUCAUGCAUGACAUUGCUCUAUCUGUUCUGGGGAAAGAAUGUGUCACUAUAGUUGGUAAGCCGAGCGUCAAUAUAUGGUGUUAGUCCUGUUUUCUGGAAAGAACAGGUUACAAGUCUACUGGAUCAUCUAUUGAAGAAACAAACUGCAAUGCUCCAUACGUUGUUUUUUACAGAUUAUUUUGGUGUUCCCCUUGAUAUAUCAAAGUAUACUUCACUGCGAGCAUUACACCUUCCAGCACGUACAUAUUGUUUCGGACAGGAACAGCUUACAAGACACAUACAACACCUAAGGUAUCUUAAUCUGUCGUCACAUGAUUUCGAGAAACUUCCUGAAGGUAUAAGCAUUAUGUAUAAUCUACAAACGUGCAUGCCUCUAUACCAAUGGAUGCAAAUCAUUGACGUGCAUGCCUCCAGGACUUGGACAGAUCACUUCUCUGCAGACUUUAACAUAUUUUGUUAUUGGUGAUGGAUUGGGAAGUAGUACUAUCGGAGAACUUCAAAACUUAAACAUUGCUGGAGAGUUAGAGUUAAGUGGUCUGCAAAAUGUAACAGAAGUGCUUGCAAAAGCAGCCAGUCUUGAAAAUAAAGAGAAACUCACACACUUAUCUCUCGAGUGGAAUGAUGAUGCCUGUGAGAAACCAGAUUCUCAUAAUGGGGUGUUAGAUGCCCUUAAACCUCAUCAUCAGCUGGAGAUGCUAAGAAUAAAGUCCUACAAAGGCACCAAUUUACCGUCAUGGAUAACAGAUCUUAGUCUGUUGCAGCACUUGACUGGGCUCCAUCUGCUUGGUUGUACGCUGUGUGAGGAAUUCCCUCAAUUCUGCCGUUCCAAAGCCCUUGAAGUUCUGUAUUUGAAAAAGUUGGACAAAUUGCGAAGCCUAUGCAGCCAUAUGGUGUCUACGCCAUUUCCAGCACUGAAGCAACUCUGGUUACAUGAUUUGGAGAGCUUGGAGAGAUGGGGUCGCAACAGAAGGAAAAGAAGAUGAAUUAACCUUUCCUGUACUCGAGGAGGCACUACGGGAAACAGUAGAUUUGCCGAGUGCCACAGGCACUCGACGAAGGCCUAAAAACAUUCGCGAAGGCCUUUGCCGAGAGGCAAAAAACACUUGGUGACUUUGAACCCUCGGCGAAAACGAGGGUAAUGGCAGCCAUGGUAACGGCGAAGUUGCCGAGUGUCAAACGGCCGACACUCGGCAACCUCCAUAUAUGUUGUCGAGUGCCAAGGCUCGGACACUCGGCAACUAACUCUAAGUUCGCCAAGUGCCACACUCGGCGAAGAGGCGCCACCGGCCAGCAGCUUGCUUGUUUGCUGAGUGUUAUAGCAGAAACACUCGGUGAAUACGUGGACUUCGCCUAGUGUUGUAGCCAAAACACUCGGUGAAUACGUAGAUGUUGGCCAAGUUCUCGGCAAACCAUCUACACCCGGCAAAUAAAUGCUAGAAUCACAGGAAAUGGCCUCUUUGCCGAGUGUUAAUGCCAAAACACUCGGCGAAGCCCCUCUUUGCCGAGUGUUACACUCGACAAACUAACCAAAUCACCCCUAUUUUUAUUGUUUUGUGAUGUAUAAAAGACCCCUCUCAACAGAUAUCACAGGCAUAUAUCUUACAUCACAGACAUAAUUCACAACCUCCAAUACAGACAUUAUUCAUAAACGUCUUAGUCAUAAUCCAUUGUAAGCAUCAAACAAGCCAUAAGUCCAAGUUCAAGUCACAACUAAGUUUCUAAUAAUUAAGCCACAAAUGCAAAGCCUAAAACCAUGGAGGCCGUGGGGAGAACUGCGACAAAUCCGGGUCUUGACCUUGAGUAUUCGAAGCUGCCGAAUGAUUCUGCACGCAGGAUAAGACAUUUUGAGCUAACAUCUAAAGUUGUCUAAGUUAAACUAUUCAAUGUUAAGCAUAAUGUGUCAAGUGACUCACAGGAGUAGUUGUGGGUGGCUGAGGUGGAGGGAAUAGCAUCGGUGGCGGUGGCAAUGGUUGACCCAUACUUGAAGCAAAAUUCUGCAUGUAGUGGAACAUUUGUUCCUCAACCGAUUUUCUUUCUCCACCCUCCUAGUCUCGGCCUGUACCCUUUGCUGAACCAUCUGCUCCAUCGUCACCGUCAUCUCCUGUUGUUGCUUCUUUGUUGCUUCCAACUCGGCCUACAAUAUUUCAUCGCAAUGCUACAAUGCAAAGCUAAAGUACGUAACAACCAACUAACGAUGAAUGGAAUAGAAAGAACCUGGAGAGCCUCCAUCUGGUACUGUGCAGUGGUUGGUCAUGGCCGUAUCGCUGGGCUCGAGUCCAUGCUCCUUGCUCGGAUCUGGGAGAGAGUGAGAGUAGAGGUCGUGUCGAUUACGCUAUCGCCAAUCCAAUACCGGCCAUGCUUCUUGCCUCCUCCCACCAUCAUCACGACUUCUCCAUCAAUAUCCUCGGAGCUCGGGGGCCUCGCCGCUUUACCCUUCCCUCUAGCCUUCCCUCGAGGCCUCUGGACCUCUUCCUCCUCCUCCUCAAAGCCGUGGAGAAUAUGACAUCACUCUGGAAAGGCUCCUCGAGAUAUAGCACCAACAUUAUAUAAACUGGCAUGCAUGGAGAAAGCACAGAACUAUCAGGGAGGACAUGGUUGAUCAUAAUUGGACUAGAGGUCUAUAGAGAAUGCAAACUAUGGAGAAAAUGGCAGAAUUCAUAAUCCUUUGGGAUUUGGUGCAGGAUGUGGACCGCAUGUGGAUCUUACACUUCAAAAUCAGUAUAUGAGGCACAAUUCAGAGGAUCCUUUACCACCUUUGAACCAAGCGACAUUUGGAGGGCCUACACUGAAGCUAAGCAGUACAAGUUCUUUGCAUGGCUGUUAAUUUAGAGCAAGAUCAUGACAACUGACAAGAUGAUGGCCAUAAACUGGGACUCUCACAUGAUCUGCCCCUAUGUGAUCAGGAAAAUGAAACAGCUAUCCACCUUUGCCUGAACUGCUGUUAUGCCAAAGAAAUUUGGGUCCUAGUAAGCAAUUGGACGUAGGAGCUAUCUGCAUGCCUGCAACUGAUGAGGAUGAAAUGGAAGCGUGGUGGACUCGAUCCUUACAAGCUUUCAGCAAAAAGCAAAGAAGAUCAAUGGCUACAUACAUGAUCAUGACAACGUGGAGCAUAUGGAAGGAACACAAUCGUCGAGUUUUUGAAGGAAAAUCCCUAAGGGCAAUUCAAUUUUUUGAUUUGCUUCAAGAGGAGGUGAUGAUGCAUCAUGGUGUGGUACCCCAGAUUUGAGGUAGUGUAUCUUUAUUUUGGUUAUGAGUUAUCUUAGAGACCUACUUAAUUUAUGUAAUAUCGAUCUAUACGUAACUUUAAGCUUCUAUCUCGUUAAAUGAAGUAGCAGUGCUCAUGCUUUGUUUAAAAAAAAAUCUGAGUCCUUCAGUUUGCCACGUGAGCCGAUGAAGCAGAAACAGAUGAUGAUGAUGGAUGAUAUAGCCGCCGGGACCCACUGCAACCUCGUGCACCAAUCAUGACGAUCUCUAACGGCAAAGGCAUGCAUCCAGUAUGGCCUGAUGAAGUAAUUUAGGCUGCCGAAUUUGUUUCUGCUCGUUGCGCAUAGAAGGCGUCUUUUCGUUUCCUUUUUUUUUUCCCACUCGAGAAGGAAUUCAAUUCGGAUCAUCAAAACAACAGCCCAGUCCAGACUGAAGAAUUUGGUCACCAAAUUUGGAUGGAGGUAAAAAGUCACUAAUUACCUGCAGCACUGAAUAGUACUGGUUCGUUCAUUUACUGUUUCCUCAAACUUUCAGCUGAGAGUUCGUGCAUUGUGGUGAGACUAAAUUAGCUGCUUAAUCUGCUGCAGGACAUCUGUUGGUCGUGUUAAUUCCUGCUGGUGGUGGAGCAAACCAUGACCGACUUAGUGAUCUCGGGCCGUUCAUCUUCAUGGUGGAGAACGUGAUUGAAGGCAUGGAGGAGCAGCGCAAUGCAAGACUGAAACAAAUCAGAUUUUUAUUUCUAAGAAUCCGACUCCGUGUAACCUUGCGAUAGUUCCUGGAUCAGUAGCUGUCACGUACAAAAUUCAACCUAUAAGUGUAUAGGACUUUGAGUAAGAAGGCACGAAGCACUUAGAAAUUACAUUAAUAGCCUGCAGCCUACAAUUAGCUGCAUGGAAAAAACUAUGAUUAGAUAUAAAUAAAACCAUCAGAGGAAGUAGGGUAAUAAUUUAGACAUGUCAAGUUUAGUAUUAACAGUCGCGCAUAAACAAUUAUAGAGUGCGAAAAUUUAAUAGGAAGGAUAUAGUAGAGAUUCCCUUAUAUUACAAUGUUAAUCUCCAGGACGGGGUACCGGUGGAGGCGAGGAGGGGAACCGGUGGAGGGAGGCGAGGGUUUUAGGUGAGGUUGAUGAGGUGGCGUCGCUCCCUUUCUGUUGUGCGAUGCUCCCUUUCUCCGAUUCCUCCAAUCUGUUGUGCGAGAUUGAAGGACCGAAAGAGCGACCAAAGGGGGGUGAAUGGGAGCCUAUAAAAAUUCUCAACGAGAACAAGGCCUAUGUCCCAAACGCAACCCCAAAGCACACCGUGUGUUUAAUCGUCAAGAUGACGCAAGUCAACUCGUGACAAGCUCACCCUAGGAACGAUAAGAGAUGCACAAAACAUAGCGGAAGCAAGAUAUGAAUUGACUCCAACAAGUUUUCUCAACACCCGGUUAACCAAGAUUACUACUAGCUAAUUAUCUAACUAAGCAUGCAUAAUCAAAGAUUAAUUUAAGUGCUAGGCAUGACUAGCAAAGAGUGAUAAAAAAAAUAACGCAAAUAGCACUGAUUAGCAAGAGACACUAGAGAUUAAAACGCUAAACAAAAUAACAAAGAUUAAUUAGCAAUGGCAUGAAUCAACUAACGACCCAAAAGGAGGUGCUCACUGUGCUGGACGUUCGCAUGGUCUGCUAGUGGAUUUUUUUCUUGCGGUCUGGUGCUCCUGGUGACCUGCGCUGGCCCACUUGGCCUGGUGGCCGGCCUGAGCAGCAAGCAGGCUUGAACUGGGCCGCGUGCUGCUGCCACCUCGCCCGGGCCUGCUUGGCAUACGCUGGGCCUCAAGCACCUGAGCACAGCUGGGCCACCUUUCACACGCGAGCUGGACCGCUGACCAGGCUGCUCGCUCCACGCACGUGAGCGCCUGCUGCCUGCCCCUUCCCGGUGGAACAUUCCUGCGAAUGAACAGAGAUGAACAGAACAAGAACACAAGAAGAACAAGAAGAACAGCCGAGACUUCAAAUCAUAAGAUCUCCUCCCAUACUUCACAGAUCGAGAUGAAACUUGAGAUAAGGAUGCAAUACCCCAAGGGCAAAUAGAUCUAUAAAGCAAAUCCUGAAAGAACUCAAGUAUACAUCACUAAUCUUGGAGAAAACCGAAACCCUAACUCAAGAACACGAUUUGGAAGAAAUUAGAAAUCCAAGCCGGAUCCGUGAGAGAUUUAAAAGGGGAUCAUAUCAAAUAUGCUCUCCAAGGUCUUAGCAACAUUUCCGUUCAACCAAUCUCACGAUAUUCGGGCUCAAACGUGAUGAACGAAAAUUCCCCAAAAAUAGUUCCGAAAAUAGGGAAAAAGAAAAACACUCAGGAAUCAAAGAUUUAGCACAAUUUGAGAUAACAAAUAAAGCUAAAUCAUGAGAACAUCUUCUAUACCAGAUGAGGAACUAGCCUCCUCCCUUCAUCCACCCACUAAAGAUAAAGAAAUCAAGAGAAAAGAGUAAUCACUCUCUAAUCUCCCUCUCUCCUCUCACUUUAAGCACAUGACUAGCCUCUAAGCCAAAAGAUAAUGAGUUGCUAAGCAAAGAGGUACUGAAAUAACCAGCCCCCAACCCUAUUUAUAGUCCAGGACGAAAGACUAUACUACCCCUACAGCUACAACUAAGUUAACUACCCACGCAGGGGUAUUUUGAUCCAAGUUUUUAUCCGCGCAUCGGACGGACACGCCGCCUUCACGACUUUGCUUCGCCUCGACGCAAGCUUCGCGAUGACGCCACGUGCCCUCCUUCUCGAAGCCCCGGCCGCACCGGGCUCGCCCCCGGUUUUGAGGCCCAAACCGGGAAACCUGCCUGCGCGGUGGUUUUGAGGCCCAAACCACCCAAACCGUCCAUCUUCGCUUGGCCGCCAUGCAACCUCCUCGAUAUCGACGCGUGUCCGGCCUCCGCCAAGCCUCCCGCUUGACUCGACCGACACCGUCUCCAUCCUGUCAUGCCCUCUCGCCAUUCCGUGCACCAUGUGGACCGCCCGUGACUUCGCCCGGACUCCUCGGGUCCAUCGGUCCAAACCUACUCGCGUUCAUCCUUCACCGCCUUUGGUCCAUCAGCAUGAACCUUUCGCUUGACCUUCACCGCACGCUGUCGACCGCCACGUCGCAUCCUACACCUGCACAUCACAAGCCAAGAGCAACAUCAAACCAACACAACGUUGUCAAUCACUCAUCAUCCAAGGGUGACCACCAUUGGUCCUCAAUCUUCCCCUUGAUGAGUGCAUUGACAACACCACACAAAUUCAUAGUAUUGAAACAGAAAGACAAGAAACUCAAAAUAGAAAAAUCUCAGUCCCCUAAAAUAAGAGCAACGGCUCUACACAACUGAGACAAAAUCAUGUGAUCCCUCAAGAAGAGGCAGAAAACAGGCUCAACACCAAUCACAUGAAAAUCCAAACUCAAAUCAAAAACCGGCUCCUCAAGAAGAGGUAAACAGCUCAACGCGACCGGUACAAGAGCAUAAGAGCAUAACAAGAGUAUAACAACUCAUAAAUACUCCCCCUGAACAUACACACUCCCCCUAAAAUCAUGCAUACAUGCAAAGUCUCCCCCUUGAUAGAUGAAAGAGUUUGUGUAGAUUUCUCUCCCCCUUGUUGACAAUGCAACCAUCAAGAAAAGCAUGAAAGCACAAAGUGCAUGCCAUGGAAAUGUAGAACCUAACAAGCUUCUCAAAUCUAUCACAAUGCACUCUCAAAGGCUACUAGGGAGAUAAAGCUUGAUAGAUCAUAAGAAACAAUAGCAUCGCCAACAAGAUGAUAUCAAGUUACAACAGUGGAGGUGAAGCAAGUAUCAAGUUUUAGCAAUGUAUAAAAAGAUCACCACAUGAGCAUUCACCUAGUUAAGAAUCACCCAAGCAAGAAUAGACUAGUCCAUCAAGACCUCAUACUAGGAAAAUCCAUUCUCAACAAGAGAUCAUUGCAAACACCCACAUAUGCAUCACAAGUCAUGUUUAAAGUUUGUUGAAACCAAGUGUCUACUGUCAGGCAUACACCCCAGGUCCACGAGUAGGCCUUGGACGGCCCACCAAGGGACGUACUCGGACAAGAUCAGAACAGGAUGGGCGUAUCCUACUCGGACUAGUCAAGUAUGUUUAUGGAAAACUACUCGGGCCAUUACCGAGUAGAACUCUAUAAUAGUACCCGACUAGGACUCAGACUUGUAACCCUGCCCUCCCGUGUAUAUAAGGACGGGCAGGGACCCCUCUCAACACCCAACCGGGAUAGACCUCAACACACGAGGACAACUCCAGUUCAUCAAAUACAAACCAACACACAGGAUGUAGGGUAUUACGCGAUCUAGCGGCCCGAACCUGUCUAAAUCGUGUUUCUUACGUCACCAUUGAUUCCUUGAUUCUCGACGACCCUUACCGCAUAAAAGACCACCUAGGGUACCCCAUAGGCGGGUUGCUGGUUCAAAACACCGACAGCUGGCGCGCUAGGUAGGGGACCUCGUCGAGUUUCUCAGCGCGAACUCAAUGGCAAAGGUCAUCAUCAGGCCCGUUUUCCUCAUCGAAGCCGGCGCCACCUUCAUUUUCGGAUCCUAGCUUUGCAUCGCCGACGGCUCGGAUUCGUUCUGACGCCAGAUCGUCGACGACCAGGAGAAGAAACCAGAAGAUCUGAUCGGAAAAAACCAAGAUUUCGAAAUCAACGAGUUCGAGUUCGACUACGCGUCGGAUUUGACUUCGCCUCGGACUACUCCGACCCUCUGCUCAGGGGUCGGGCGCACCUGACCCAAGGACUCAGGGUCGGGCGAGGCGGAGUUUCACCCCUUGGGGUCGGGCGAAGCGGAGCUACUCCCCCAAAGGGUCGGCCUCAGCCGACCCCAGAACUCAGGGUCGGACUCACCUUGGACUACUCGGUCCCAGCCAGUGUCCAAGUCGGUUUCGACCUCAAAGCGGUUCCCGCACGGACUCCGCAACGCAACCAAAGUCCACCAAGGUUUUCUUACUCGAACCCGAUUCGAACUCGGGCAUGACGAAGACGUCGACUCCGACUCGUCCUAUUCACCAGAAAUACCAUUAUCUGGUCCAGCCCAAGGAUUGGUAAUAACUUCGACAUCACAAGGCAGAUUCGUCCACUGGCCGGGAUUGCGACCAUCUCUUCUUGACCGCGACUACAACUCACGCCUUGUCGCCCAUAUAGACAACCUCCCAUAUCAAGAAGGCGUUCCACUCACUUCCAACUGCAAGGAAAGUUCCACAGAGAUUGCAACAUCAAGCUCCGGAAGCUACUACCCAGACAGGGAGAUACUUGUUAUUACUCAGAAUAACAACCCGAGUACUAGCCAGAAUAGAACCCCCAGGCGAUUAGCACAAAUCGACAACAUCUCCGAAGAUGAGUCUACAGCUGACGCCCCUCACAAUGAAACCUCCGAGCAGCGCAACCAAAGAAGGGCGCGCAAUGCUACUCGAGCCGAGCGACGACAGUUGAUGGCUACAAAUAUUCCCAUUACAAAUCUUGAAAGGGCUUUCAACGCAGUCCAGGCUCAGGAGCACAAUACUCCACUCGCGGCUAUCGCCUCAAUCGACCUUUUAACAACAUUGAUGCCUCAGGAUAAGGAUAACGCAGCCACAGCUCAACUCGUGCAGUGUGGCAACGGACUGAUCGCACAACUCGCGGAGCAAGCUUACAAGAUACUCGACAAAGAAUCACCAAUCCCGUCUGUUCCUCGUAUCACAUCUCAUCAAGAAGGUAGCAGGGGAGCUGCAGACAAUAACACCGCCCCACGAAACGAUAACGCAAUCAACCAACCUCGGCAACACAGCCAAGGUCCAAGCAAGCAUAAGGCCCCUGCUCAACAUAAGGAUGUUGGUGAGGUCAGCUGCACCAACUCGGUUAAAAGCAUCCGCCCUACUCGGAAGAAACACGAAAUGUCCAACUUCAGUGAUUUGCGAGAAAUUCUCAACAGUCGGCGCGAAUGGGAAGUCGACAGCUACAACCAUUUUCCUGCUCUCACAAACCGGGUAAUGAAAACAAAAUUACCCGACAAGUUCAAGCCAACCGGAAUCAGCAAGUAUGAUGGCAAGCAAGACCCAAUUCAAUGGCUACGAUGUUACUCGCUAGCCGUCCAAGCAGCCGGGGGCAAUAACGACACCAAAGUUAUCCAUUUCCCCAUAUGCAUGGAACCCGCACCACUGACCUGGCUUGAGUCACUCAAACCCAAGUCCAUUGACUCUUGGGCAGACUUGACAAAGGCUUUUACCAACAACUUCGCCGGCUCCAUGGCUAGACCAGGCAACAAGAUCGACUUAAGUCAAAUUAAGCAAAAAGAAGGCGAGACCCUAUGCGACUAUCUGCGACGGUUCUUCGAAAAGAAGGCUACCAUAGUCGACAUCUCCAAAACAGACGUCAUUGAGUGCUUCCAGAAUGGACUCUAUGAUCGACGAGCAUACCAAGACUUCGGUCGCCGACGACCAGCUGAUGUCAAAGAACUCAAAGUCAUGGUGCAACAGUGGGCGGAUGAAGAAGACAAAGAGCGAGAACGGUUCGGCUCCCACCGUAACCGCGGACGCGACAACAACCACAACAAUGACCCAGAUAGAACUCGGCAUAACGAUGCCCGGAACACCUAUUCGAGUAACCACAAUCGCAAAAGGAAGCCCAACAACACUGUUGCCGCCAUGACCAACUCCGGGAAAAAGGGACACCGCAGAAAUGAUGAAGGGCCAACCUUCACUGAGCUACUAAAAAAGCAGUGCCCAUGGCAUCCGACUAGCAAGCACUCGGCGAUAGACUGCUACAGCAUGCGCCGAGUCAUGCAAGACUUACCCGCACCACCACCCCCUGAAGAGUACACCAAGAAUAGAGAUAAGGGUAAGAAUAAAGCUCGCAACGACGAAGAUGAGGAAGGCGACUUCCAGACAGCUUCAAAAACUGUCAACGUCAUUUUCAGCGGUAUCCCAGGCACUGCAUCCAAGCGAGCCAACAAACUCGUACUCAGGGAGAUCAUGGCCAUCGAACCAACAGACCCUACACCGUUAAAAUGGUCAGAAGUUCCAAUUUCUUUCAGCAGAAAAGAUCAAUGGACAAAAUUUUCAGAACCAGGCCGUUUCCCACUAGUCCUGGAUCCAGUUGUGGCAGGAUCAAAGUUAACCAAAGUACUCAUUGACGGCGGAAGCGGCCUCAACAUUAUCUUCGCCAAGACAUUAAGGAAGAUGUGCCUCGACGUUACUGAAAUGCUUACCCCAACGGAUUUACCUUUCUACGGCAUCGUGCCUGGAAACGCGGCUAUACCACUAGGACAAGUUGUCCUUCCAGUCACCUUCGGCACUAAAGAACAUUACCGUACCGAGUACAUCAGAUUCGAAGUCGCAGACUUCGAGACAUCUUACCAUGCUAUACUCGGACGGCCAGCACUCGCCAAGUUCAUGGCCAUACCACAUUAUGUCUACCUGGUACUCAAAAUGCCAGGCCCCAAGGGGGAGCUCACGCUACGAGGAGAUCUACGGUGAUCCUACGAAUGUGACACUGAAGCUGUGGAAAUUGCUGCGACUACUCAAGCACCCAGUCCCAUACAACAAGUCUUCACAGCUUCAAAGAAGCUCAAUCCAACCGAACUAGAGAUCUCGGAAAACAAGUCGGGGUCCACAAAGGUGAAACCCGCCACUGAGCAAGACUUCAAAUUAGUUGACCUCCAGACAGGUGAUUCUUCCAAGACAGCCCUGAUCGGAACAGGGCUAGAUCCUAAAUAGGAAUUCGUGCUCGUCAGCUUCCUUCGGGCUAACCACGAUAUCUUCGCUUGGAAACCGGCUGACAUGCCAGGUGUGCCCAAGGAACUGAUUGAGCAUUCUCUCAAUGUCGAUCCCAAAGCUACUUCAAAAUGGCAACGACUACGUCGGUUCGCUCAGGACAGACGAGAAGCAAUCAAAAAAGAGUUAGCCAAGCUACUCGCGGCAGGGUUCAUCAAAGAAGUCUUUCAUCCUGACUGGCUCGCCAAUCCUGUGCUUGUUCGUAAGAAAAACAAUGAAUGGAGAAUGUGUGUUGACUACACCGACCUCAACAAACACUUAUCAAAAGACCCUUUCGGGCUACCCAGGAUCAAUCAUGUGGUUGACUCCACCGCUGGGUGCGCUUUGCUAUGCUUUCUCGACUGCUACUCCGACUAUCACCAGAUAAGCCUCAAAGAGGAAGAUCAAGCCAAAACAGCGUUCAUCACGCCCUUCGGAGCUUUCUGCUACAAAACAAUGUCCUUCGGACUAAAAAAUGCAGGAGCAACUUAUCAAAGGGCCAUACAGAUGUGCUUCGAAAGGCAACUUCACCGCAAUGUCGAAGCUUAUGUCGACGACGUUGUCGUCAAAACAAGAAACCGGGAGGAACUCAUUGCUGACUUGGAGGAAACUUUCUCUAGUCUCCGCGCUUUUCGAUGGAAACUCAAUCCUACUAAGUGCAUCUUUGGAGUACCUUCCGGUUAGCUACUCGGGUUCAUCAUUAGCCAUCGCGGCAUUGAGGCCAACCCGGAAAAAAUAUCUGCCAUCACAAACAUGCAGGCACCAGCCAGCAUUAAGGAUGUGCAGAAACUCACAGGCUGCAUGGCCGCCCUCAACCGGUUUAUCUCGAGACUUGGAGAACGGGGACUACCCUUCUUCAAGCUUCUCAAACGCCAGGACAAGUUCAAAUGGACGGAAGAGGCAGAUGAGGCACUAACACAACUCAAAGACUUUUUGUCAAAGCCUCCUAUACUCACCGCUCCUUCUCCGAACGAAGACUUGCUCCUAUACAUCUCAGCUACUAACUACUCAUGUCGUCAGCACGGCAAUAGUAGUCGAAUGGUCUGAACCGGGCCACGCUUACAAGGUCCAACGACCUGUCUACUUCGUCAGCGAAGUACUCUCGGACUCUAAAACUCGGUAUUCACCGAUACAAAAGCUCUUAUACGCUAUUUUGCUCACCUCCCGGAAGCUGCGCCAUUACUUCCAUGAGCACAACAUCACAGUCAUCUCCGACUUCCCGCUCGGCGAAAUUCUCCACAACAGAGAUGCCACGGGUAGAAUCUCCAAAUGGGCAGUUGAACUCGGAGCUCUCACGUUGAACUUCAAGCCAAGGACAGCCAUCAAGUCCCAGGCUUUGGUCAACUUCAUAGCUGAAUGGACUGAAAAUCAAGUUCCAACACCAGUCGAUCGACCAGAACAUUGGAUAAUGUACUUCGACGGAUCCCUCAAACUUGAAGGAGCCAGCGCAGGCGUAUUACUCAUCUCCCCCAGGGGAGACCAGCUCAAGUACGUGCUGCAAAUACACUGGGAAGCAUCUAAUAACGAAGCCGAGUACGAAGCACUGCUACACGGCCUUCGCCUCGCAAUCUCCCUCGGCAUCAAACGACUACUGGUGUACGGCGACUCUCUAGUCGUUAUAAACCAGGUCAAUGACGAGUGGGACCGGAACAAGGAAAACAUGGACGCUUAUUGCAAAGAAGUCCGCAAACUGGAAACCAAGUUCUCUGGCUUGGAAUUUCAUCACAUCGUCCGCGACAACAACGUUGCCGCUGACGUCUUAUCCAAAAUAGGCUCUACUCGCGCAGAGGUUCCAGCAGGAAUCUUUGUACACGAACUGCGCAAGUCAUCCAUAUCCGACCAAGUCACACCGCCAGCAAUCCCGACUGCUGACGUCUCUCGAGAAAUCAUGAUGAUAGAAGUCGACUGGAGGACACCCUUCAUCGACUACAUCAAAGAUCACCAGCCACCAUCCGACAAAAAUAAAGCUAACCAAACCUCCCGACGAGUAAAAAAUUACGUUCUAGUCGGAGACAAGCUCUAAAGGAAAGGUGCAUCGUCUGGAGUACUCAUGAAGUGCGUCACCAGAGAAGAUGGCCAAGAAAUCCUAGAAGAGAUUCACAGAGGAAUCUAUGGCAACCACGCCUCUUCUAGGACACUAGUUGGCAAGGCUUUCAGAGCAGGCUUCUACUAGCCAAUGGCUCUGGCUGACGCCAAACAACUAGUUCAGAAAUGCAAAGGUUGUUAAUUCUUCAUAAAAUAGCAACAUGUACCGGCCUACAAGCUAGUCACAAUACCUCCAACAUGGCCGUUUGCCUGCUGAGGGCUCGACAUGAUAGGUCCGUUACCAACUGCGCCAGGAGGAUUCAACAGAGUACUCGUGGCAAUCGACAAAUUCACCAAAUGGAUCGAGGUCAAACCGGUCACUUGCCCCAAGGCAGACCGGGUCCUCGACUUCUUGGAUGAAAUCAUACACCGCUACGGUUUUCCCAACAGGAUUAUCACAGACCUAGGGUGAAACUUCAAUAACCACGACUUUUGGGAAUAUUGCAAGAACAGCAGCAUCGACGUCCGCUACGUCUCGGUUGCUCACCCGCGAGCCAACGAACAAGUCGAGCGUGCUAAUGGCAUGAUACUCGACGCCCUGAAGAAAAGACUACAUGACGUUGGCAACACCAGAGGUGGAAAAUGGCUCAAAGAGUUACCAAAUGCUUUGUGGGGUCUCCGUACCCAACCGUGCAAGACUACGGGGCUAUCACCUUAUUUCCUGGUAUAUGGCUUGGAAGCCAUAUUACCCGCUGACAUCAUGUGGCAAUCACCAUCCGUUGAACAAUACGACGAAGAACUGGCAACAGAAACACGGUGAACAGAUAUAGACAGUCUAGAAGAAACAAGAUGCGCAGCGCUAGUGCAAUCUGCCAGAUACCUUGACGGUUUAAGGCGUUACCACAACCGCAACGUCAAGGAGAGAUCUUUCAACUCGGGCGAUAUGGUCCUUAAGCGUAUCCAAGACACGUCAUGGUUGCAUAAACUCAAUUCACCAUGGGAAGGUCCUUACAUCGUAUCAAAGGUUACGGGACCGGGAUCUUACAGACUCCAAGAGCUCUCUGGAGAACAAGUACCAAACUCCUGGAAUAUAGAACAUCUCUGUUGCUAUUACCCAUAGUGGCAUCCGAGUAAUUACUCCAAGGCAAUAACUCAUGAUUACUACUCGGGCUAACUUCCCGACUACCGACUUCAAGAUACCUCAGCUUUGACAAGAGUUACCAACUCAACAAGGAUCACUGCCCUGGUACAAAAUCUCCGUAUCAAUAUUUCUUUACUGAAACAAGGAUACAUCGGGUUACAUACGAGUACAAGUACUCGGACUACACAAAGACUACAAGCAACUGCCUACUGGCGGGCUGCAUUUAAGCCUCAGGCUUUUACUAUAUCACAAGGCCACUCAGGUCCGCCGACCACAAGGGGAAGGGCCCACACGCAAGGAAGAUGCGCAAAACGUAGCCAUAUCCAGGUCCUCUACCCAAGGCAACGCCAGGAACUCCAACAUCGCCACUGCCUUGACAGCGGCAACGAUGAAUCCGGCAAGACACGCCUAGAGGGAACCAAGGCUGCUCUUUUGCUAGCCUUGCGGAGCCAAUCCAAUUUACGGCCACACCUCCACCUCUCAGAGGGCGGGAUGAAGACCGCGGCACUCACCACCCAUCACUCGCGAGUUCCAGCGCGUACUCCAUUGGAUCACGAGCUGCAAGAUGAGGCGUGCGGCGAAACCUCCUACGAGGAUUCUUCUAGCAUCGCGGCUAUCCCUUCGAACGCAGGAGUCUGUGGAGGGAAGGUGGCCUCAAUCUGCAAGGAAUCUUCUAGCACCGGUGCACUCUUUGAUGGCUCUCUACACUCAAAAAGAAGCAACCGAAGACAAUCCAUCGCUACUCAGGAACUUGUUUGGUUCGCUCUCCAACUGGCUCUAUUUAUAGCCGAAAGAUGCAACUACCACCUGCCCAAGGAUUACUAUGCGCCCGUGAUCAAUGAGUCUGACGACUCCUGACUCUGCCCACGUGACGGUACUUAUUCCACAAAGGACAAAAGAGUACAGUACACCCGUGCAUCCACAAAGGACAAAGGAGUAUAGUACACCCGUGUCCCUCAAAAGACGAGUACUCGACAGCAUUACGACUACUCGACACUCGGGACUACUACAAGCCAAGCGUGGCCUACGCUCUCACCAUUAUCCCGGGGCCUUGGACUACUCCGACCCCCUGCUCAGGGGUCGGGCACAUCCGACCCCAGGACUCAGGGUCGGGCGAAGCAGAGUUUUCCCCAAAAGGUCGGGCUCAGCCGACCCUAGGAUUUCGGGUCAGCUAGCACUGCGUAAAACUACUCUUCGCAAGACAAUCACCUCAAGCAACAAGUCCAAUGGCCAAGUAUUCAUUUAUCAAAAGUAUCGUUCAAAGUACUUGACCCAAAUACAAGAGUACAUACAAAGCUCAAGGCUCUUCUAAAGUGACAAACUCCGACAUCUUCGAUGCAAUAGGCUCCGCCUCCUCGAGGUACUACGCUUAUGCUUCUUCUGUGCAGUUGCGAGCCACGCCAUCACCAGCUGCUGUCAAGUCUGCCCUCAGAUAGUAGAACUUCACAACUGCAAGGACCUGUUUGCAAAUAGUUUUGCAGAGUCCCGCCACUCUACUCGGGGCAGCCUUCAAUCGUUCGACUAGUAAUUGCAGCCCUGCGCCUUCUUCCACGAGGGCUAUGGCGUUCACCAAGUCUUCAGCUGCUACAGUUAGCUCUUGGAGUUCGCUCCGAAGUCUUCCCAUGGUCUGGGCAUGAUCUCUGCAUGCCACCAUGGCCAUGGCAAGCAUCACGCCAUUUUGCAUCUUUCAGUCCCGCUGAUGUUCACAAGCAGCCUGUGCUUCCGUCAGCGCGGCCCGAAGAUGUUCGGCUUCAUCCACCACUCGGUCGAGAACUUGGCUCCUUGCAGCCGCCUCUUGCUUCUUGAGAUCUACAAGACAAGUUCAAUCACAACCGACUAUAGUUGGGCAUACUCAGAGUAGGGAAAAUACUUACCCUGAUAUUUCUUGUUCAGCGACUUGUAGCGGCUCUCCAGUUUUUGCUGCAGGACCGCAUGAUCCGUACGCUCCACAGCAAAAGAUUUUGCUCCAACUUUAUGAACCCUCAGAGCUUCCGUCAGUCGGGCACAUUCCUGCUCCAGUUGAUGACUUCGUUCCUGAAAAAGUCCGACUACGGAGUGGUGAGUUUCAAACCUCACAACUACUCGGGACAUGCAACAACUCAACAAGGAAAUUUACCUGGAAGCUCCGGAAAACAUCGAUGGCCUUCUGGAACUCCAAGUCAGAGGGCAGGCUAAGUACUGGUCUUUGGGUACUCUCCGCAAGAUGAGGAAUCGUACCCAUAGUAGCACCUACAACAUUUAUCAUGUCAGCUACCUGCUAUGACUACAAUAAAAAGACUACAGAGACAUACCCGGAGCAGUCGCUUGUUUGGCUUUUUCAACACCCACUACGGCCAGCGAUCCGCCAGCAGAUGUUGAUAAGGCAGCACUUCCUGAGCCCGAUGCAGCGGCGGGAACUUCCGCCGAACGGAUGACAUCUUGGAGCAUCGACAUGGUAGCUCCAAGACGACCGGCGUCAAACCCGGGCACCUCCUCAACGACUAAAUCCUCAAAAGGAACAGAUAUUGUAGUCGAGGGAUCCGACCCUACCCCUAUUUCUACAGGGAUAGUUUCCUCUGCAUCUCUGCACCAAAAUGCGUCACCACAUGAUUUCAAGCCAACUCAAAGUCAUUCAAACAGACAAGAAAGCUCACCGGAUUGAACGUGGCAGCAAUCGCACACGUUUCUUCUCGGCGAUAGGCGGCUGAGUACUGGGCGCCGCGGGAACAACUACCGGCGCUGUCUUCUCGCCAAGGCCUAUAAAGCCGAAGUCAAGACUACAGUACCACUCAAACAAAUACAAUCGGAAGGGACAAUGCUUACCACUGGCGAUCACAUUGGACAGCAAAGUACCAGUAGCAAGUACUGGCGACACCUCCUUUGCAACACCCACUACUCCAGCAGACAGCCCCAGGACCGCUUGGUCAGCAAAGGGCAGCAUGGCAGCCGACGGAGCCGCUGAGGAUAGCUCAGGGGCUACUCCAACUUCUGUUGACAGCACCUUCUCCGACACCAUGUCAACAGAUACAUUGCCGACUUCUGGGUCGAUCACGACCAUUUCUUCAAAAACAGCCUCAUCAUCACCAAGCGCCGUAUCUACAGUCUUUACGAACAAGACAAAAUUCGUCGCAUCAUUAGCAAGUUCAAAUUCAUCAGCUACAGAUACGUUCACGACUACAUACCUUGGUACCCCGAGACUUUUCAGGGGUUGAAGCAGACUUAGCCACAGACAUCUUACGGACUACUCUGCGUCUCUUAACAGGAGGAGAAGGCUCGUCCUCCGACUCCUCAGCGACAGCUUCUGACUCUUCUUCCGACUGCGCUAAGUAGCCAGCAAGAACUCAAGACUACAAACAUCAAGUCGGUAUCAACAACAAAUAAGUCAAAAGAGAACAAGUCAGGUGCAAAAGACAUACCACUUCUGGCUCAUACCAGGCGUCAUACUGACGUAGAGCCGCAGGGAUUACUGGUACUCCCUGAUAGUUCCUGAAAAACUUGGCCAGCAACGCCUCUACAUCAUCAUCGGAUAUAUCUUCAUCGGACAUAUGCGAUGGAUCUUUAAGACCUGUGUACUCACUUCCCGAGUGAGCACGUUUUUGAAGCGGCUGGACUCUUCUCUUCAGAAAACUGCUCGCCACAUGAAUUCCAGUAAGACCGAGUGCCUUCAACUCGGUAAUCUGUUGCAUCAAGUGGUCAAGUUCCGGGGUGUCUUCGGGUUCGCUCACCCAGUUUUCCGCGUGUUUGGGCGCGUGACCAGUCACCACAGGCAGGCAAGGGUCGUGGUUCCCAAUAUAGAACCACCUCUUCUUCCACUCACCAUGGGAAUCAGUCAAGUUGUACUCAAUGUAUGCACCCGAGUUCCUAAGUUGGAACCCAGCGCCUCCGAAGACUUCUGUCCUAUGGACACUAGGCUGCGGCUUACAGCGGAACAACUUCCUAAACAACUCGAGGCUUGGAGGAACUCCCAAAUAAACUUCGCAGAGGUGUACGAAAAUGGACAUAUGCAGGACAUCAUUGGGGUUCAAAUGAACAAGUUGAAGCUUAUAGUACUUGAGGAUACCUCUGAAGAAAUCGGAGGUGGGCACUGCCAACCCCCUCUCCACAAAGUGUGCGAGCAUCACUGUCUCACCUGGAUGUUCCUCAAAUUGCCACGCAUUUGGAAAAGCUGGGCGCCACUCGAGUAUUUCCUACGGCUGUAGAAGCUUGGCGUCGACUAGUGCUUGCACGGCCUCCUCCUUCAUCACCGAAUGCUGCCACGUCACUCCAGGCGGCGGCGGCGCAGUCUGAUUCAUCGGCCCCACCUUCGGCGCCAACAACACCAGUUCUUUCCCCUUCUUGGACUUCACCUUGCCCGCCGCCGGAGCCUUGCCCUGGAUCUUCUCGGGUUUCUUGCCCAUCUUUUUGGUGCGCAUCUGCCGAUUUCAACCUCAGCAAAAGGCACUCACUCUCGGAUCUCUCUCAAAGGGGAGCAAUAGCGGCGGUGGUAUUUGGCAAUGGCGACGGCGCAAGCGUGAAGCAGAGGCACGGGGGAGGAAGAAAAGCAGAUCUGAUUACUGCAGGGGGUAAACCUAACCGAAAGGGGGCCCUCCAGUUUUAUCUCCGCCACCUCCGGUUUUCAUGCGUCAGUUGCGCAACGGACAGAUUAAUUGCAGAUUAAUCGCCUUUAACACUCAACGGCUACUCUUUUCAACGGACUGCUGACCACUUCAACGACAGAGAUCACCCAAGUGCUCGGGGGCUGCGGGUACCGUACCCGUUGGUCAGGUUUUUCUUUUUUCCAAGAUCUCCAAGGGUAAAAUGGACAAAAGCUGGUUCGACCCUAAGCCUGACCCUUCGACUCAACCUAAGGCUCGGGGGCUACUCCAUAUGGAGUGUGAUUGACAUCGCACUACCAUAUAAAAUUACUCGGGACGGAAACAACUCGAAGGAGCAAAAAGAGUACCUUCUAGCCACGUGACAGUACUCGAGCACUUCAGUCUGCAACCUCUACGACUAGCUACUCGGAUAGUGCCCGCAGUGCCCAAGACUGUGGCGCACGACUACAAAGUACUCGGGGGCUUGUCGGGCAUACACCCUAGGUCCACGAGUAGGCCUUGGACGGCCCACCAAGGGACGUACUCGGACAAGAUCAGAACAGGAUGAGCGUAUCCUACUCGGACUAGUCAAGUAUGUUUAUGGAAAACUACUCAGUCCAUUACCGAGUAGAACUCUGUAAUAGUACCCGACUAGGACUCAGACUUGUAACCCUGCCCUCCCGUGUAUAUAAGGGCGGGCAGGGACCCCUUUCAACACCCAACCGGGACAGACCUCAACACACGAGGACAACUCCAGUUCAUCAAAUACAAACCAACACACAGGACAUAGGGUAUUACGCGAUCUAGCGGCCCGAACCUGUCUAAAUCGUGUUCCUUACGUCACCAUUGAUUCCUUGAUUCUCGACGACCCUUACCGCAUAAAAGACCACCUCGGUUACCCCCUAGGCGGGUUGCUGGUCUAAAACACCGACAUCUACUUCUUUUGGUAGACAUCUUGUAACAACUAAGCAAGCAAUAAUAUCACAUUAAGCACAAAAACUUGGUGAAUUUAUGAAGUUUUCAGCAUAUUUCUUUUCAGUAUUCACACAAAGUAAAAUACAUGAAGUGCCUUUGCGGCACAAAGAAGCCAUGCUUCCCCAAGGGGUGCAUCAUGGGCUAAACAUUUGCAAUGAUACCUAGAUCUUUGACCCAAUUGAAAAGAACAUGGAUUCCAAACAUAAGCUAGAUAUGGAAUCAGUAUUCAAUCAAGGGCAAACCAUAACCAAGCAUCUACUCAUGGGUGAUAAGCAAGUUAAUAGAGUAGAAUUUAGCAUUGAAUUUCAAAAACAGUUAUCUCAACAAGUGUACAAUAUCAUCCAGAGCAUAACUGCACAUUGCAUCAAAAUCACCAACCACAGCACUAGCUCACAAGUAGCAUAAGGGAGUACACAAGAUAUAUAGGAGAAGCUCAUCUAGUGCAACAUGAUACAAAAUGCAAUAUGAUAUAAAAAGCAUGGAAACUAAGCUAAAAUGAUAUAGAUGAACAACAUGCCAUACCCAAAUGUGAACUAAGGUAAAGCAUGACAUGAUGUUCAUAUGUAUCAUCCACCACAAUAUAUCACAAAAGAUAGCAUGAUAAGCUAUACAUGAAGAACUCAAAGCUAUCAUGAAGAAGUGGCUAUCCUACCAUGUUUUGUACAAAAAUCAUACAAGUAUAAUACAAGAGAAGCUCCAAAACCCAACUCAGAAAGGAAAGCAAACACCCAACUCCCCCCGCAAACGAGCAAAAGUGGCUUGAUCCAGGAGUUUGGUGAAAAUGUCCGCGAGUUGGUUUUGGGUAGCAACAUAGCCAAGGUCAAUGUCCCCUCUCUCAACAUGAUCUCUCAGAAAAUGAUAUCUCACAUCAAUGUGUUUGGUUUUUGAGCGGAGAACGGGGUUCUUGGCUACAUUAAUUGCACUCGUGCUAUCACAAAGAAGAGGUACACGAGUAAAAUCCAAACCAAAGUCUCUCAAAGUGGAAAUCAUCCAAAGCAGCUGAGAACAGCAGCUAGCAGCAGCAACAUACUCAGCUUCGGUGGUAGACUGAGCAACACUAGAUUGUUUGCGAGAAGACCAAGAGACCAAAGACGAACCGAGAAACUGGCAAGUACCCGAGGUAGACUUACGAUCCAAGCGACACCCAGCAAAGUCCGCAUCGGAGUAUCCCCGGAGCGUGAGUGUUGAGGAGGCAGAAUACCACAAACCGAACUCAGGGGUAAAGCGGAGAUACCUCAUGAUCCUCUUCACUGCCUGACGGUGAGAUGUCCUCGGUGAAGCCUGAAAACGAGCGCACAGACACACGGCGAAGUGAAUGUCCGGCCUCGUCGCCGUCAGGUACAAGAGGGAGCCGAUCAUGCUUCUGUACUCCUUCUGGUCCACCGGUUCGCCAUCUUCAUCCGCAUCUAGUGCCGUUGUCGUCCCCAUGGGUGUGGAGAGUGGCUUAGCAUCAGCCAUGUCAAACUUUCUCAACACGUCCUUCGUGUACUUCCCUUGGUGCAUGAAGGUUCCUUCCUUGCUUUGCUUGAUCUGUAGCUCGAGGAAGAAGGUCAACUCACCCAUCAUCGACAUCUCGAACUCCCUGCUCAUGUCAUCUGCAAACUUGGCAACCAAAGCAUGAGAAGAACCACCAAAAAUAAUAUCAUCCACGUAUAUUUGAAUAAUUAAUAAGUCAUUGCCUUGCCUGAGGAGAAAGAGUGUUUUAUCAACUGAUCCCAUUUCAAACCCAUUCCCAAGCAAAAAGGAUUUCAAUCUAGCAUACCACGCUCGAGGUGCUUGUUUUAGGCCAUAGAGAGCUUUCUGGAGUUUGAAAACACGAUCAGGAUAUUUAGGACUCUCAAAACCAGGGGGUUGUUUCACAUACACUUCCUCCUCUAUGAAACCAUUUAGGAAGACACUUUUCACAUCCAUUUGGAAGAGCUUAAAACCUUUAGCCACAGAGAAGGCUAGAAGGAUUCUAAUCGCUUCCAAAUGAGCAACAGGGGCAAAGGUUUCCUCAUAAUCUAUCCCCUCUUUUUGGCUAAAGCCUCGGACAACCAACCUCGCUUUCUUUCUCACAAUCAACCCAUCCUCACCUUGUUUGUUUUUGAAAACCCAUUUUGUUCCUAUAGGAUGGCAAUUUGGAGGUGGUUCAACUAAAACCCAAACCCUGUUUCGCUCAAAGUUCUCCAACUCCUCAUGCAUGGCAUUAACCCAAUUUGAAUCAGAUAAAGCAUGUCCAAUAUCUCGAGGUUCGAAAGAGGCAACAAAUGCAGAAUGUGCAAUGUGUGAAAUCUGCCUAGAGCUAUGCCUAGUGGUGCGUUCAUGUAAGUUACCGAUCAUCUGUUGUGGAGGAUGACGACGCUGAAUGUGCCGUGGAGCCUCUCGCUCUGAAGUCGCCUCCCCCUCAACAGCAGCUGGAUCACUCUGAUCUUCUUCUUCAUCAUCCUGUAGUGGUACUGGUUGAUGGCUUGAAGUAGUGGAAGUAGAGGUAGGACCAUCAACUCUCGUAGUCGAAGUAGAAGGUACAGGUGCAAUAGCUGGAGCUCGGUCAAUCUCAUCAUCCUCUUCCUCACCACCAUCUACACGCUCUUCCCCUUCCUCAAAUAUGCUUUGCCCCAUUUCAUGUUCACCUGCAACUUCAAAAAUAGGAGUUGUGCAAGGCAUAGUUUCAUCGAAAGUAAUCUCACAAGUUUUCACGAUCCGGUUAGUUUCAAGGUUAAGCACACGAUAAGCACGACUAUGAGAAGCAUAACCAAGAAAAAUCCCAUCCGUAGAACGAGACUCAAAUUUAUCCAAAUUUCCUUGCUUGAGAAUGAAACACUUGCAGCCAAACACCCUCAGGUGACUCACUUUGGGGGAACGUCGAUGCAUCAGCUCAUAGGAAGUUUUCUUUAGGAAAGCUCGCAAAAAGAUUCGAUUGGACACAUAGCAAGCAGUGUUGACGGCUUCGGCCCAAUAUUUUCUAGGAGUCCUAUGCUCAUCAAGCAUCGUCCUAGCCAUUUCACAAAGGGUCCGAUUCUUCCAUUCAACAACACCAUUCUGAGGAGGGACAUAAGGCAAUGAAAACUGGUGUUCAAGACCAAGAUCAUUGCAAAAGGUUUUAAAACGAGCGUUCUUGAAUUCUGUGCCAUUGUCACUGCGGAUAGUUCUCAUGGCAUCUUUUGGUCGCUCGUUUCUCAACCUCAAGAUCAAAUCUCGAACAAAUGGAAAUGCCUCAUCCUUAGACUCCAUGAAGAAAACCCAUGAAUACCUUGAAAAAUCAUCAACGAUCACAAGCACAUACCAUUUCCCACCAACUGAGCAAACACGAGCUGGACCAACAGUGUCCAUAUGUAACAGCUCGCAUGGAUGCUUAGUCAUCACCUGAUUCACAUGUGGAUGAGAAGCGGCAACCAUUUUCCCAUGUCGACAGGGAGCACAAACAAGAUCUUUCUCAAACUUUAAUUUGGGCAAACCACGAAUAAGAUCCAAAGUACUCAAGCAGGAAAGCAAAUCAAAGCUCAAAUGACCCAAUCUCCUAUGCCACUUCCAAAGCUCAGAAGAUGAGCCAGCCACUAAACACCGAGAGAGACCAAAUGACUUGGAAAAAUCAACUCGAAACACUUGACCCUCGGGGACGAUCAUACAAACAAGAUCGCCUCGAGAGUCUAAAAUCCUUGAGGUCCCUUGUUUAAAACGGACCUCAAAACCAUCAUCAAGCAAUUGCGACAUAGAGAGCAAAUUGAAACCAAGAGAAUCAACAAGAGCAACUCGCUUGAGCAUGAAAUUCUCACUCACCUUGAUAACACCUUCAGACAACACCUUACCUUUGCUAUUAUCCCCGAAAGUGAUGUACUCCUUGGUCAUCACCGGGGUGAGGCUGGAGAACUACCUGUGAUCACCGGUCAUGUGUCGAGAGCAACCGGAAUCAAUAAGCCACGUGUUCUCCAGGCCUCCGACCUCAGUUUCUGUGUCAGAGUCACUUUCCUUGUCAUCCUUCUUGGAGUUGAGAGCCAUGACACAGUACCCGUCGCGGUUCUUGCCGGAGUAGAAGUAGAGGCCAUUGAAGUUCUUGCCGUCCUUCUUCUUUGCCUUGCGGUCGUCGUCCUCCUCGCUUGAGCUUGAGUCGGUGUGGUCGUCGGUGUCGGAGUCGACGUCGCUGAGGGAGGCGAUGAAGGCACGCGCUUUGGCCUUCUUGCGAUACUCCUUCUUCUCACGGUCGGUGUACUUCUUCUUCUUCUUAGUGCCAACCUUGUUCUUGUGCUUGUUGUAGUCGUACUUGCUCUUGGAUUUGUUCUUGUCAGGGCAGUCGGCGGCGACAUGUCCUAGCUUCCCACAGUCGAAGCAGUUGUUGUUGUUCCUUCGCUUGUUCUUGCAAUUGUCGUUGAAGCGCAUGAAUCGCCUCGUGAUCAAGGCGAGCUCAUCAUCAUCAAGAAACUCCAGCUGCUCCUCUGAAACAGAAACCAAAGAAGACAAGGCAAACAACAUAGAAGAAGAGUUACUCAAAGACUUAGGCUAUCCAGAGCCUGACAUGAGAGCCAUACUAUUUGGAUCAGUAGGGACUCCUUGUUUUGCUCGGAGCCUCUUGUCAACUUCCGUGGAUUUCAACUUGGCAAAGAGUUCAUCAGUGGAAAGUGUUUCAUAAUUGGGUGACUCGAUGAUAGCAUCAACCUUCGUACCCCACACUUCAUGAUCCAAGGCAUGCAGGAGCUUUAAAGCUCUAUCAUGAUCAGUGUAGGGUAAGACGGUGAUAUUUGCUUUCAUCUUGUUCACAAUAGCCAAGAAACGCUGAAACAAAGCAUCGGCAGACUCACCAGGCAAAUGAACAAAGUUUUCAUACUCACACCUAUAAGUCUCAAAGAGUCUAGCCUUCACCUGACUGUUUCCCUCAUGGAAACUCUGAAGUCGAGACCAAAUCUCAUGAGCAAGAGACAGAUCUUCGACUCGAUCAAACUCAGCACGACUCAGACUCGCAAACAGAAUAUCAAGCGCCUUGCUGUUGGCGUGAUACUUCUCCCUAUCAUCCUGAGUCACACGAGUAGUAGGAAUCACAUAAGUCACAUCCUGAGUGAUUUCCCAAACCCAUGCUCCUCUACUAUUUAGAUGGGCUCUCAUACGAGUUUUCCAAUACCGAUAGUCAGAGCCAUCAAAGUAGGGUGCAGCGGUCGAGGAAGAACGCUUAGAGGUCACCAUAAUAGGUUUCGAAACCGAUUAGGGUAUGGAGAAACCUUAACCGGCUCUGAUACCAAUUGAAGGACCGAAAGAGCGACCAGAGGGGGGGUGAAUGGGAGCCUAUAAAAAUUCUCAACGAGAACAAGGCCUAUAUCCCAAACGCAACCUCAAAGCACACCGUGUGUUUAAUCGUCAAGAUGACGCAAGUCAACUCGUGACAAGCUCACCCUAGGAACGAUAAGAGACGCACAAAACAUAGCGGAAGCAAGAUAUGAAUUGACUCCAACAAGUUUUCUCAACACCCGGUUAACCAAGAUUACUACUAGCUAAUUAUCUAACUAAGCAUGCAUAAUCAAAGAUUAAUUUAAGUGCUAGGCAUGACUAGCAAAGAGUGAUAAAAAAACUAACGCAAGUACCACUGAUUAGCAAGAGACACUAGAGAUUAAAAUGCUAAACAAAAUAACAAAGAUUAAUUAGCAAUGGCAUGAAUCAACUAACGACCCAAAAGGAGGUGCUCACUGUGCUGGACGUUCGCAUGGUAUGCUAGUGGAUUUUUUUUCUUGCGGUCUGGUGCUCCUGGUGACCUGCGCUGGCCCACUUGGCCUGGUGGCCGGCCUGAGCAGCAAGCAGGCUUGAACUGGGCCGCGUGCUGCUGCCACCUCGCCCGGGCCUGCUUGGCAUACGCUGGGCCUCAAGCACCUGAGCACAGCUGGGCCACCUUUCACGUGCGAGCUAGACCGCUGACCAGGCUGCUCGCUCCACGCACGUGAGCGCUUGCUGCCUGCCCCUUCCCGGUGGAACGAUUCCUGCGAAUGAACAGAGACGAACAGAACAAGAACACAAGAAGAACAGCCGAGACUUCAAAUCAUAAGAUCUCCUCCCAUACUUCACAGAUCGAGAUGAAACUUGAGACAAGGAUGCAAUACCCCAAGGGCAAAUAGAUCUAUAAAGCAAAUCCUGAAAAAACUCAAGUAUACAUCACUAAUCUUGGAGAAAACCGAAACCCUAACUCAAGAACACGAUUUGGAAGAAAUUAGAAAUCCAAGCCGGAUCCGUGAGAGAUUUAGAAGGGGAUCAUAUCAAAGAUGCUCUCUAAGGUCUUAGCAACAUUUCCGUUCAACCAAUCUCAUGAUAUUCGGGCUCAAACGUGAUGAACGAAAAUUCCCCAAAAAUAGUUCCGAAAAUAGGGAAAAAGAAAAACACUCGGGAAUCAAAGAUUUAGCACAAUUUGAGAUAACAAAUAAAGCUAAAUCACGAGAACAUCUUCUAUACCAGAUGAGGAACUAGCCUCCUCCCUUCAUCCACCCACUAAAGAUAAAGAAAUCAAGAGAAAAGAGUAAUCACUCUCUAAUCUCCCUCUCUCCUCUCACUUGCACAUGACUAGCCUCUAAGCCAAAAGAUAAUGAGUUGCUAAGCAAAAAGGUACUGAAAUAACCAGCCCCCAACCCUAUUUAUAGUCCAGGACGAAAGACUAUACUACCCCUACAGCUACAACUAAGAUAACUACCCACACAGGGGUAUUUUGGUCCAAGUUUUUAUCGGCGCAUCGAACGGACACGCCACCUUCACGACUUUGCUUCACCUCGACGCAAGCUUCGCGAUGACGCCACGUGCCCUCCUUCUCGAAGCUCCGGCCGCCCCGGGCUCGCCCCCGGUUUUGAGGCCCAAACCGGGAAACCUGCCUGUGCGGUGGUUUUGAGGCCCAAACCACCCAAACCGUCCAUCUUCGCUUGGCCGCCACGCGACCUCCUCGAUAUCGACGCGUGUCCGGCCUCCGCCAAGCCUCCCGCUUUACUCGACCGACACCGUCUCCAUCCUGUCAUGCCCUCUCGCCAUUCCGUGCACCAUGUGGACCGGCCAUGACUUCGCCUGGACUCCUCGGGUCCAUCGGUCCAAACCUACUCGCGUUCAUCCUUCACCGCCCUUGGUUCAUCAGCAUGAACCUUUCACUUGACCUUCACCGCACGCCAUCGACCGCCACGUCGCAUCCUACACCUGCACAUCACAAGCCAAGAGCAACAUCAAACCAACAUAACGUUGUCAAUUACUCAUCAUCCAAGGGUGACCACCAUUGGUCCUCAGAGAUAUAUGCUUUAACUGUCUCUAUAUAAUUGAUAUAUAUGGUUAGAUACGUCAUUCUGUGGUAGCACCUCGCGAUCACAAUGUGUGCCUCUAUAUAUGUUGUGCCAAUGCGCAGUCCAUUCGAGGGAGUACCAUAGCGUGGCUGAACUACUACUGAAAAUGAAAGGCCUAGACUCCUGCAACAGCACAGUAUACCCCUAUGUCUACAACCUGACUUCCUCCUACAUCGACCAGAACAAUGAGGCCACCAUGGUGACCACCACCUUGGUCAUGUUUAUGCUGGCCGUGUUCUUCUUCAACCUCAACCUCUUCAGCCGCUUCUCCGACGUGAGCGCAAUUCUCAACCCUAGCGUCCGCCUCUUCCUCUCCACCUCCCUGUCCCUCUUCCUGCCGGUCAUGUCCUACCUCUUCUCCGAGGCCAAGAACCAAGGUGCAACCACGGCUGCUAGUUAUGGCCAGGUCGGCGACGAGCUGUCACUUCGAGCUAGGACGAUCCUCAUGUGGAUGCUUCUUGUGGAGCUCCUCCGCAAGAAGGUGGAGGCCGUCCUGGUCAACGUGGGCAUGCAGUGGUACUCAGGCGCCAUCGAUCGCUUCGCCCGCAUUGUUUGGCUCGGCUACCUCGUCUUCUACAAUGUCAAAAGCCCUGGCAAGAAGGCGAUCUACGGCACCUUAUGGGUCCUCACUGCUGCCAAAUUCCUGCAAAGGGUCGUGGUCAAGAUGGUGCUGGAGCGUUCCUUCGCCUACGGAAGGAACACCCAGCUGCUAAACUCAUACAUGGCCCAGAUCAUCCAACAAGAGCAAGAGGAGCACGUGGGAUCGUCGUCGGAGCUGUUGAAGAAGUGCGAGUACACUGUGAUGGGAGAAGACAACCUGGAGAGGACGGCUGGCCGGCAUGGCUACCAGGUCGAGCUGAACAAGGCAGCCGUUGUCACCGUUGGUGACAUUUGGACGCAGGCAGCAGCCGAGCCGGACAGCCUCCUCCGGAGAGAACACCUCAGAAGACUCUGCCUCUCCUUUGCUCUCUACAAGCUGCUGCGCCGAAGGUUCGAGGACAUUCCCACAACAAGAGAGGAGACCCGGAACUGCCGGAACCUCAUCUUCAAGGGCAUGUUGAAGGAGGAGGCGGAGAAAGGUGCCGAGGUCGCACUGUUCCAAGUUUUCAACGAUGAGACCCAGUUCGUUUGCGAGUACUACCAUUCCGUCCUACCCGUCGUGUUGUCCAACCCUUUCUUCUUCCUAGCCAACUACAUCUUGUUUCCCAUUGUAGUUUGUGCCUUCUGCCUCCUAACAUUCAUCAUUUGUGGCAAUGGGAGCGUGCCCUACGCCUACCACAGCAUCGUAAGUGACAACUACAUCAUAUACACUGGCGCGACGACGCUGGCCAGAUGCCUCCUGAGAAACAUCGCCCAUUCACCCGAGGUGCUGUUCGCCAGCAUCGACCUAGGCACCACCACUCUGCUCAUCCUGGCCUUCGUCUACGAGGAAGUCAUGGAGUUCCUCGUCUUUAUCCUCUCCAAUUGGCUCAUCGUGUCGCUCCUCUGCGAGUACACCGCCAAGCUCCACUGGCGGCAGAGCCGCAUCCUGUGCUGGCUCAUCCGCGGCAUCCUGUGGGUGCGAAGCAUGCUAAGCCACCCUAACUUCUGCUUCAAGCAGCUCUCCGUGCUAGGGUUCUUCCAACUGUCGUCGCCUUCGCCGUUCAUGGUGCCAACCAAGGCAGUGCCAAAGGAAGUAAUGAAGUCAAUCGUGGAUUAUCUGGUGGCUCACUUGGAUGUCUAUGGCAUCGAUGGCCAUGCCGACCCUCUCAAUUCGGCCUGGUCCUCCACACUGCAACUGGAGAAGCACAGGGCAUACCGUCCCCUGCUCUUGCCAGUGUGUGAGAGCAAGAGCAUUGCUGAGUUCAUCCUCACCUGUCACAUUGCCACCGGCCUAAUGGAGGUGAGGUAUCCACAGGACGAAAAGGAAAUGAGAUCUCAUAGCAAGGUGGCGACGACGCUGUCCAAGUACUGCGCCUACUUGGUGGGCUUUUACCCGGGGCUUCUUCCGGACGACAAGAAUGGGACAGAGCACACUUACAAGAAGAUGAAGGAGGACAUGAAUAAGGAGCUUGGAGGGUGCUGGUGGUACCACCUGUCGCUGCAGGGAACCAGGUACAAGAGGCUGAUGGAGAUCGGCAAAUCGAAGCAAAAGGCCGUGACAAUGGUGCACAACGGGGCCAAGUUAGGGACAGCACUGAUCGAGAAGGCCGAGGAGAACAAUGAGGCGCGUGAGCGUGUGUGGGAGCUGCUGAACGACCUUUGGACGGAGGUCAUGGUGUAUGUGGCGCCAUCGGCCGGCGACCUCCACGUGAAGGCCCACAAGGAGGCGCUGGCGCGCGGCGGUGAGUUCAUCACCGUGCUCUGGGUGCUGUGUACGCACACUGGCAUGACCAGGACGGCCCUCGCACCGUGGGAGGUAGCACGUCGUGCGUUUGAACCAUAGAGCAUUCGCUUCCCGUGUGUGCCGAUUUUUCAAGGACAGCUUGCUUGGGAUGGUUCGUCUGACGUGCUUCAUCCUGGUGCUAAAAAAGUCUUCCGGAGCCUCAAAUUUGAACCGGGUACUAAUACUAAUAUUAGUACCGGGUUAAAAUUUGACCGGUACUAAGAGAGUGAAUGAAAUGUCAUUUUUCAAGUAGUGUAUAUUAAAAAUAGAUAUAUAACCACCCCAUGUGAAUGCACGGGAUGAUGCCAGUAAUUCCUAAAGAUAUGCGCUGGGGUGGGGUGCCGGCUUAAAAAGACCGGAAAGAAACGUAGAUAUGGCACACACAUGCUUGAUCUUUGUCGGUGCUUUAACUGUCUCUAUAAAAUUGAUAUGGUUAGAUAUGUUAUUCCGUGUGAAGGACCGAAACGGCGAUCAGAGAGGGGUUGAAUGGGAGCCUCAAAUGUUUCUUUUUAAAACUUAGGCAACAAUCCAAAAACAAACCUCAAAUCAAAACAAGCGGAAGAGGAGAGAUCCACGAGCCACCAAGGUAGCUAGGUGUCUAUGAUAAUGGUUAAAAGACAUAGCGGGACUCUCGAGAAACACCCAGAGCAAAAACUAUGACAAAAAAAGCUCAAGGUAGAGCAAUUCUGUGAGCUCUAGACGGAUGGUCCGCACCCCAGGGGCGGACGGUCAGGCCCAAGCGGACGGUCAGGCCCAAGCGGACAGUCUGCCCUAGGGGGCGGACGGUCUGCCCCUACCACGCAUAAUUCCUUGAAAACGUUGCACGAGCACAAAAACGCCCAAAACUUGAUCGGAUCAAGUCCAAAUGUAACUAAAAUUGAACCAAAGUAUCUCAAGGUAGUAAAGAAGCUACUCCUAAGAAAUCAUCCCUCUAAGAAAUCAUCCCUCAAAGAUUUUUCAAUGAAUGGGAAACAUCAAAUCAUGUUAAGAACGCCACUUUUUCAACCCUGAAACUUGAAUUGGCCCGAUCUAUGAACUCGUGUGGUUUCAAUCGAAUUCCUUCGCUGGAAGGGAUCAACUCACAUCCUAGUUCAUUUCAAAUCCAUUGGUUUGACUCAAAACCCCACAAAAAUCACAAAUCAAACAAAACCGUGAGAGGAGUGAAGAAGAAAAUAAGAACGUGAAGAACACAAAUGGGAAUUGCACAAAGAGAUCAUCUCCAAAAUCCCAGAGGACACGAGGAGGUCAGGGCCUCCAUUCCCGCAACAAAACUUCGGUUCACUACACGGAUUCAGUGUUCAAAUCAUCCGAGCACAUCUAGAGAGAUUAGAGAGGGAGAGGAACUAACUCUAAUCUAAGGAUAAUGAAGCACUAAGCUAGAGAUGAAGGAGAUGCUAAUGAAGUGCUCAAGAGGUCCUGAAACAACCAGCUCCCAUCUCUAUCUAUAGUACAAGACUAGUCACUAAAUUAACCCUAACACUACUACUAGGAUAACUACCCACGCAGGAGUAUUUUGGUCCAAGUUUUUCUGUUCUCAUCGGACGGACACGCCGCCUUCACGACUUUGCUUUGCCUCGACGCAACCUUCGCGAUGGUGCCACAUGUCCUCCUUCUCGAAGCUCUAGCCACACUGGGCUCGCCUCUAGUUUUGAGGCCAAAACCGGCAAACCUAUCUGCACGUUGGUUUUGAGGCCCAAACCACCCAAACCGUCCAUCUUGUCUUGGCCGCCACGCGACCUCCUCGAUGUCGACGCAUGUCCGGCCUCCGCCAAGCCUCCCGCUUGACUCAACCAACACCGUCUCCAUCCAGCCAUGUUCUCCCGCCGUUUAGUGCACCAUAUGGACCGCCCAGGACUCCGCCCGAACUCCUCGGGUCCAUCGGUCCAAGCCUACUCGCGUUCAUCCUUCACCGCCCUUGGUCCAUCGGCAUGAACCUUUUACUUGACCUUCUCCUCACGCCAUCGGCCGCCACACCGCAUCCAACACCUGCAUGUCAUAGACCAAGAGCAACAUCAUUCCUACACAACGUUGUCAAUCACUCAUCAUCCAAGGGUGACCACCAUUGGUCCUCAAUCUCCCCCUUGAUGAGUGUAUUGACAACACCCAACACAAAUUCAUAGUUCAAAGAGAAAGAAAAAAAGAAACUCAAACCACGAAGUCUUAGUCCCCUAAGACAAGGACAAUGACUCUACACAACUGAGACAAGAAAACACAUGAUCCUUCAAGAAGAGGCAGAAAUGGCUCAACACCAAUCAUGUGAAGAUCACAAGCUCAAAUCACACACCGGCUCCACAAGAAGAGGUAAAAAGCUCAACACGACCAGUAAAAGAGCAAAUCAACCAAAGGAUCCUCAAGAAGAGGUAAACAGCUCAACGCGACCGGCAAAAAGAGCACACGAGCAUAAAAGCUCACACAUACUCCCCCUAAACAAAUGCACUCCCCUGAAAAUAUGCAAUUUCUCACCAAAUGAAUUUGUAUAAUAGCCCACACGAGCAUAAAAACUAACACAUACUCCCCCUUAACAAAUGCACUCCCCUUGAAAACAUGCAAUUUCUCCCCAAAUGAAUUUGUAUAAAAGCCUCCCCCUUUGAAAGUCUCCCCCUUGUUGACAAUGCAAACAUCAAGAGUAGCAAGAGAACACAGAAAUGCAUAUCAUGAGAUGCCGAAUCUACCAAGGUAAACAAAUACACCACACAACACUCACAAAGGCUACGAGUUCAUCCAAUGACAGGUAGAUCAUAGAAAGUAGUUGCAUCGCCAUCAAGAGGAUAUUAUGAUAUAAGCAUAAGGCAUAGCAUAUGUCUAGUUUUAGGAAUUUGCAAAAAGAAGAUACAAGCAGGAAAGAACUAAUCCAUCAAAGCUCAUACAAGGAAGAUACAUUCUCAGCAAGAGAUCAUUGCAAACACCCACAUAUACAUCACAAGUCAUGUCAAAGCUUGUUGAAACCAUGUACUUACUUUUGUUUAGCAGACAUCAUAUAACAACUAAGCAAUCAAAAGCUCUCAAAAGCUCGAAGGUCAUCUACCACUGACAUAGAUGCAGCCUGGAGGUUGAAGAUGAGGACUUUUCACUUUAGCCCUCGAAGAAAAAGGAAAUCCUAAUCUAAAAGUGUGUCUUGUAGGUUUCAUGAAAAAGUUUUCAGAAAGUUUAGAUUAUCGCGGUCCAAUCUGUCUUUAAGCUUUUGCGCGUUAGCCCUCAAGUUUCUAUACAAAAUUAGGUUUGUGCCAUCGGUUUCUCGCAUUUUAGCACUUGGAAGCUUCUAACCCUCGCCAGCAAGUCCUUAUAUCUUCUUUAAGUUGGGGGUAGCUGAGAGUAGAGGGGAGAGGGAGAGGGCGGUGGCGGGAGAGGGAGGGGGCGGCGGCAAGAGAGGAAGGGGAGAGAGACGGACGGUGUGUGGGGGGAUGGGGGAGCGGAUAAGGAGAGGCCGGUGCGCAAGGUGGGUGUUGGGUCUUUAGUACCGGGUGGCAUUUAGUACUGGAUGGAGACUCCACCCAGUACUAAAAGCACUCGGUUCCAUCUAUGAGCAUAUCUAGAUGACAGGGAAGCACUUACCCUGCUUGGCUAACCACUGCCUUGGUGACAAGGCAUACCUAAGUACCCACAGCUAAACCUUAUUGCCUGAAGGUCAUCGCAUCUGUCAAAUUUCAGUGAGUUAAAAUUUGACAUGCCAUAAGUAGGAUUAAGCAGCCUGUUUUAAGCGGCUAGCUAGUAGUACCCACUUGGUUUUUUAUUGGUUAUGGAAGUCCUCUUGUCAGCACAAACAUAAAGUUUUCUUUGUUGCUGCUCAAGGACAGGUUAGGCAUCGUGAAUCUACUUUGAAGAAGAAACAUGGAUCUUCCAUCAUACGACUGUGUUUUGCUCUCAUGCAAUUGACGAAUCCUUGAUUCAUCUCUUUAGUUCCUUGGUUGCCCCUUUGCACACUGCUAGGGAAAGUUUCUUCAGUACUGGUUCGUAACCCACCUUUAGGAACGGUUGUGCAACCAGUAUUGCUAGUUCAGUACUAAAGGGGGGCCUUUAGUACCGAGUCAAAUAACCGGUACUAAAGGAGGGCCUUUAGUAGUAGUUGUUUAUACCAACUGGUACUAAAUUGGGUGCCACAUCGCACGUGCUAGAGACCAAUUUAGUAUACCAACCGUUACUAAAUGCUUUUUUUCUAUUUUUUUCCUUCCCAUUUUCUUUUUUGUUUCUUUGUUCUAUAUUGGUAUUAUUUCCUUUACACGUGUACUAGUUAUAAUAUGCUAAUAUAUAUCUAUAACAUUACAUUUGAGAUCUUAGAGGGAACCACUUCUGAUAAUAGUUCAAAUACAUAAGAGAAGUCAUUACUUAAGUUCGUACAUCAUUACUUAAGCUCUAGAGAAAGGUUCAGACACAUGAGGAAAGGGUACAUCCAUGCAUGAUACAUAUUUCAUUCUCCGAAAUGCUUCCUUAGAUAUGAAACAUAGUUUAUGUCUCCAAUCUUAAGUCUAGAACUUCAUCAAUAUAAGCUAGAGCAUGAAUUAGUGCACUCUCUAGCACUUCAGAAUGACGGUCACAUGAACUACCAUUAAUCUCGAACAAUGGAGGCAUUGUCACUUGAAAUGGCCUGUAGAAAGCGAGAUGAGCCUAGAGCUUCAAAUCUCUGGUAUCGGGUUUCCAUCACUGUAACUAUAAUUCAACACUUCCAAGGCUUGCUCCAGAAUCACCUGAAAACUCAUUGCCACAGAGGUUUUAUGAAAGAUAUCCUAAAAGAAGAGAAUAAAGUGAUGAAAUAUAAAAGAUGUAACAUAAUUAAAGAUAAAAGGAUGAUUAGAUAUAUAUUCCAGACCAUAUCGUGUUGAUUCUGCUGACAUAGCCUCUUAGCAGUUCUAGUCAUAUUGCUUUCUCCCUCCUCAAGCGCCUUUAUUUUGAAAUAUGAGAAGUUUGGCACAAAGUACCCAUGAUCCUUAAGUUGUUGCAGGCAUGCCUCCACAGUGGUCCUUUCAAAAGUUGUCACACCUGGUUUAAAAAAAAACCAAGUGCUGCCUAUAUGUAUGUCAGGAUCAAGUUUCAUAUAUAUAGUGGCAUCAUUAGUGUAUAACAGCAACAGUAUCACGUAAAAAGAUACAAAUAAAGACUUACGAGACUAUCAGAGAUACACAUCUUAAACCCUGGAAACAGAGGCUACAAACUUCACAAGCAAUCGACUAGGGGUUGCGUACGCCUAGAACUCAGCACCAUCUUCAUAACAAACUUGAUAGCAGCUUCUUCUUCUAAGCAACGUUGGUUAUAUCAAGGGUGAGCACAUGUCGUACUCAACAAGUGUGCGGAAAAUAUGAAUGCAAGGCUUAAUCAAGGAAAGGCUGACUGGUUGACAGCAUUAAGCAUUUUUAGUUGGUCAAAUUUUAUCAGCACCUGAUUACUAAGGUAUAAGUAUAUACCAACCCACAAUUAACAUAAGCAUAAGCUAUAAGCAUAUGGCACAACCAUAACCACGAUUUAAGUCCAUGCUCAAGCGUAUUAAUCAUGUGCGGGUCCAGGCCGUUCUUAACCGUGAGCACGGCUGAUCGAUCUGUUUUACACUAUGCAGAGGUUGCACAUCUUUACCCACAAGUCGAGUAAAAUUUUAGAAGACCUUUGGACCCAACCAUGUUGUGCAGAUCAGGCACUCAUCACACUACUGAUGUGUGACUGCAUAGGGACGCUACGAGGCUUUUACAAAGAUUUGUUAGUAAGUGGUAACCUGCUAAGGUUUCGGUAUCUGACGUGCAUAAACCUCCCUAGUGGGUAUAGUAUCUUAGAGAAGCCCACUUCCCAAGAGGAAGUGGUUAUACAAUGACUUAGUGCCCCCUCUUGCCCCUUUCAGGUAAGAUUACCCCAAACUAGAGUUUCUAAUUAAUUAGCUAAGAUGAGAGCCAUGAUAGUUCUUGUGGUUGCACUAUUUUCCUUGGUGGUUCUCCAUGUUUCCAUUAAACAUAAUGAUCUUAUCUUAGUGAAAGGUAUAGCAUAAAUAAAACAGGUUUAAUCAUUGAUUUCAUUAGAACCACCACAUCCCAAGUAAAGCAGCUGAGCAUAGCUACCCAAUAGAGAGAUAAACCCAGGUUGACAAGGGAUGAUCAUAAAAACUAGGCAAACCUUAAUAGGACCCAUCAAAUUAAAUACAAGCAUAUGCAACCGUGAUUAAAUAAAGUUAUUGGGAUAAAAGCACAAGGACACACUUGCCUUUCUCCAACGAAAAAUUUCUCUUACUACUCUUCAGCUCUUGCUCUCUUGAAACUCUGAAUUUUCAAAUCUUGCGAACAGCAAUCCUUCUACUUGAAGCAAUCAUCGGCACAAACAAACAAGCAAACAAAUAAGUACAACUAAGAACAACACACCAGUCAAAGAAAAAGCUUUAAAAGAGCGUAAUAAAGGAUAAGGCUUGAUUUUAAGAUUACGCAAAUGUGAAAAACGCUGAGAACGGAACUAUGGUUGAAAAGAUAAGGCUAUCCAGAGAUUUGAAUUCUAAAAGAAAAGACAAGAGCUACAUGCUGCAUUUAUUUUACUUGAGAAAAACAACGUAAAGAUAUUUUAGAGAAAUAUCCCUAGUUAGAAUUAAUAAAGUCGUAUUUAUAUUUACAUAUGAAAAGAUGAUGUAAAACUUAGUCCAAUUUUAUUUAUAAAUAUUACAUUUUAUGCAAACCAAACAUUUAAUUUAAAAAUAAGGUACAUGUAAACAUCUAAGCACAUAGCUUUAUGAUUCGGGUUGAACUAACCAAAUUAAAAUUUAAAAACAUAUUUAUAUUCAUAUUAGUCGAAUUAACAUUUAAUUAUGAAAACUUGAGAUAUAACCUAUGUAACAUUUAAUUGAAUAAACAUUAAUCAAAUUGAAUUUAAUUUAUGAAAAGCUGAGGUAUAUUUCUAAUUGGCUUUUAAUUGGAAGAAUUAUUUAGAUAAGCGUUACUCAAAUUAACUUCAGUUUAUGAAAGAUCGAUAUAUAACCUAAUAUGCUUUUAUUUAGGAAAGUAUAUGAAGUAGGUAUUAAUCAAAUUGAUGUUUAUUAUGAAAAGCGGUGUAUAACUCUGAGUAGAUUUUAUUUAGAGAAGAAACACGCUUAUCAGGCAUUAAUCAAUUUAAUAUCAAAUUUAUUUUCAAAAAAUUUAUGAAGGCAAACAUAAUGACUAACGUGUAAUUUAUGUUGUUAUGAAUCUAACGCAACUUGAACUGAUUAAAAUAUAGAACCUAUGAGCUAAACAAGGUUGCAAGAAUCUAGUCGUAAUUAACCAUAUACCUCAGGGGUUAGCAAGGAAUAUUUGUGAGACACAAAUAAUAGUGCUCCCAAAUAGAUUUAUGCUCAGGGAUAGAUAUUCAAACGAGGAUGGUUUGGGCUCGGUUGCAGGGACCUAUCUUCCCUAGGGGGUUAUUUGUAGAUUGCCUAGACACAAAGAUCGUUUGAGAAAUUACCAAGUCCUUUAUGGGUCAAACAGCAAAAGUGCCACCUCAUCUUCAACCUCCAACCGAUUUUUGCAUCAGCCCAUGGCCAAGCCGGUCCUGCCGAUGGUGGCGACCGGGGCCAGGGCAACUCGCGCGGCUGUGGUGUGGCUAUGCUGCCCAGUCGGUGACACUCGGCGUGCAAGCCAGGGGUACAGGAUACAGGCGUUGAUCGAAGGCUCAGGAUCCAAGCGAUGGGGCCCCUCUGGCGACGAAACUGGGAUGGCGAACGGCGGUGGGUGCACAUCUAGGCGUCGCAAAGCUCAUGGCGUCCUCCUCUGCUCAGACGGGCGAUGGUCGCGAUGAAUUGGUCGGUCAAGAGAGCGAACGAUGACCUGCUCAUUACUUCUCGUGGUGACGGGGCUCCAGUGACAAUUGGACGGCGGGAAGAGGUAGCGGGCAUGCAGCCUGGCAACGUGGAGCUUGUCCCGGUGACGGACUUCGCUGACGACGCCCAGGUCCGGAGAAUCAGCGGUGGCGCUCAGCUCUCCGACAGGUGCUUGCGGGUGGCGGAGAUUUGGCCGACGCUGGGUGGCAGAGCAAAGGACCAGCAGGCGGCGCAAGGAGGGCGCUCUCCCUUUAUAGGGUUGCAUGGAACCCUAGUGGCGCGCACACCGAGUGAGGCCGGUGGUGCCAUCGGCCUUGCUUGGCCUGGGAGGCACGGGCCGCGAUGGACAGAGAUGACGAAAACAGGCGCACCUUCAAUGCGUCUUGUGUGCCUGCUUCACCACACUAGAUGAUGAACCUGUUUAUGUGCUCCACUGUAGAAGUAUCAUCUUGGCCCGAGAACUUGGUGAAGUCAGGCUCCUUAUAGCGGUGUGGGAACGGUAGCAGAUCGUACGCUGGUGGAUAUGGCAUUCUGUACAUGUACGUCUGCACCUUUGGCUUGAGCCCAAAUUGAUCUUGCAUCACUUUGGCUAUCUUGGAAGUCCAAUCAACCUGCUGCGAUUGUUGUCUGGCUUGCGGCAGGAUGAUGGGUUGCAUAGGUUGCGCCUGGUAGUGGAUGGCCGACGGGAUCACUUGCUGAGCGAUCGACAUUGGCUGUAGUGGUGUAGACGGAAUGAUCGGCCGAGGGGCCGAUAUCUGACGCUGGUAUGGGUUCUCCUGGUGAGGUAUGUUAAUAACCCCAUCAUACACGACUCCCGAGGACUCAGCCUUGUACGGACUUGUAGAAUUCACCUUCUGAUUGGCCUCCGGCGCGGCCUGCUGUGUCAUCGGCUGAAGGGCCGAUGCUGAUGGACUCUGAUGUAUCAUCGGCUGGGAAACCGAUGUAGAGGUGCUCUACUGGUACUGCUGGAUCAUCGGCUGAGAAGCCAAUGGUGUUGACAUCUGUGUAGGAUCCCUUGAUGCUAUGGUGAAAGAUCCAGGUGGCAUCUCGUAGCCUGUGGUUGGGUCCCAUCCCAGCGACGAUCCUGCUGCCUCCCAUGGCACCGAUGAUGUCAACAGCGGCUGCAUUGGAGGAACAGGUGUAGGCUAAAGUGGUGCUUGUGAUGGAGAAGGUGGUGAACCACCGUAGCCCAAGGGCGGUGUAGCGUUGUAUCGUCCACUUUGCAUCUGCAUCAGCUGAGGAGCCGAUUGAAACACAUCGGGUGUCGCCGAAAGGCUUCCGAUCGGUGCACUGAUAGGAGGAGCGUAGACUGGCCUGCAGUACCCCUGGGCCACGCCAUUGGCCAUAGAGCUGAUGAUCGUGUUAUACAUGGUGUUAUUAAUCACUUUGGAUUGGUCAAUGAGAGCUUGGCUCACAGACUGGUGGAUCAUCUCGGACAUCUUCCCCGAGUCCUCAGCGAUGGUGACGUGACGAGGACUUGGGAGAGUGUUUUUCUUAAUGGGUUCGCCGUUCCUGGUACGGCUGUAGGACUAGAGGAAUGCCUUCUUGAACUCUUCAAUGGCCUUCACCAUCUCAGCCCUAUAGUCAUCCUUGAGAUCUGCCUCGGUGACUCCAAUGACGUUGUCAUCUGAAACUUUUGCAACCUUUCCCUUAGUCAUGUUGGAUCUUCAUUCUUGCUCCCACCGGGCGUGCCAAAAGUGUGUUGGUGCAAAAAUUGAAUAGUGGGCCCGAUCCUCGCGUCAAACACACGACCCAGGAGAAUCUUCUUAGCUCCUGUUUGGGUUAUUGCCCUGGUGCGGUUCGCGCGGCGUGCCAGUCAAUCUGACUUGUUGAUUGACAAGGAAGAACAUGUGUCAGAUAACGAGAGUCGAUUGGCUAGUGUUCCGAUCUGCUCUAAAGACGUAUCGGCAGAGUGGCCGAUAGGGUAAAGAGACGAUUGGCCAAGAGAUCGGCCGAUAGUCAUGUAGCAAACUGUAAAGGAAACUGUGAAAAGCGAGCUAAACAGCGCUACGUGAACAACACCUGGAAUAGAUCUAAUUGGCUGUAGCACAAUAAAUUGAUAUGAAAAGUAAGGUAAAAGUCGAUCGGACGUGUUCUAAGCUAGAUAACUAGUGAUAAAAACUAAAACAAUAGGAAAACCUAUAAUUCUAGCAAGUAUCGAUAACUGGUGAAUAAAUCUAAACCAGACGAUAGCGAUGCGCCCGAAGUCAAAGCUUAGAUGUUACUCGAGAAGAAGAACUUAUGUUUUGGCUGGAGAUCGAGUUGAUGCAGUCCUGCCAAUUCGCACGAACUCGUGAAAAAAGAAAAGAACUUAGCGAAGUCGCCGACUUGAAAGUAAAUGCGUGAAAUAGUAGAUUUGUAUUGAUUUGAUGUGUGGUUUUUUACAAGCCCCUCGGGGCACCUAUUUAUAGCCUAUUACAAUACACCUCCUGGUCGAUCAUGACUUGACUCUAUCUCUAAUUUAAAGUAAUGAAUCUUGAAUCUUUACAUACAAAUUUGACUCGCAUCGGAGUCGAACUCCACCUAGGCCUUCACGGGCCUAUCCUGCUUCUAUCCUCCAAGCGGCCUCCUUGGCCCAUUCAAGCCCUUAUCGACGCAUCGGCCGAAUCACUUUGGCCACCAUCGGCCGAUCCUUACUGAUGCUAUCGGCCAUCACAUAUGGCUCCUAUUGGUCAAAUCCUUUAACCAUUGCUUCUCAUUCAAUUUCAUCGGCCAUUUCCCUUUCUUCUUGACGCCGAGCCAGCAUGUGUCAAAAACCGGCGUCAACAGUUGUAUUCUUAGUUGCCGAGUGUUUUUUUACUGCACUCGGCACAGAUGUUUUUUGCGGAGUACAAUAUGUUUGCCGAGUGCUGCUCUCGAAGCAAUGCACUCGGCAAACCCCUAGGCACUCAGCAUAUAUAUUGUUUCCGGUAGUGCUGUAAUAGGACCUGUUUUCUUUAUUUCCUUUUAAUUUGUUUCUUGAGCUGUACUUGUUACUUCUCUUCUUCCUUUAUAUAUAUAUAUAUAUAUAUAUAUAUAUAUAUAUAUAUAUAUAUAUAUAUAUAUAUAAAAGCAGGAGGGGAUUACCCCUCCUGUAAAACUGGCUGCUUUGGCAGCUCUCGUACGAAUACAGAUUUCAGGUUGGUGUCUCGGCGCCGUUGUUUCGUCGAAAAAAAAAAUCUUGAAUGAGGGACACGGUUUGCCGAUGAAUACUGCUGAAAUCAACAAGCUGGCCAAGAGCUUUAAAAAGUGGUUGACUGUUGAAAGCUAAAGAAACAAAGCGCACUCAGUCAAAGACACAACUUCCACAAAUUAAACAUGAGCGCGAAGCAGUUCAUCACGAUGGAGACACACGACUGUGCGGACAUGAAGCUGUUGAUGCAUGCGGUCUCCUGAUCAAGUACCAGAAGGUGAUGUACCAUUACCUGCUACUGCUGGCGGAGGAGAUGGUGCCGGCGGAGGGUUCUGCCAUGAGACCUUGUACUCCAAAUCUUCUUCCGUCUUGCAAGCGACCUCGCCGCCGUCAGGGAUGCUUGGAUAGCUGCGGAGGAAGGUAACCGGCCAGCAAUAAUAGGUCUUGUUGAUGCUCUUCUCCGAUAGCGCUGGCUUGUAGGUGGUCUCCACCACCACCAUUACGGGGAAGCCGAGGCUUCGGUCGACGAGGUGCCUGUCGUAGAGGUAGUACAGCGAUGCAUUUUGUCCUUGCUGUGUGAGGCUUAUCCACCUUCUGUAUCUGUGCGAGCUGUGCGGCUGCAGCUCGAAGCUGACAUUCCUCUCCGGAUCCGGCUUGAACCAGGAGAGCUCCACCAUCUCCACGAAGGACGCAUUGGGGAUGUCCAUGAUCCUGACGAUGUUGAUGUUGCCCUGGAUCUGGCCGCGGCCGCUGGGGUUGAGGGCGUGGAUGAUGAUCAACAUCUGCACCUCUUUCGCUGGCUCGUACACACGCGUGGUGUUGUUAUAAUUCCACCACCAUUCUAUUGUCUGGACAUAGCCGUAGCUCUGGAAGCCCAUCUCCACAGGGCGGUGGACGAAGACGAUCACCAUCACCACCACUGCAACGGCGAGCACGGAGACCACAAUGGCCACCAGUGAGCGCACCGUGGCUAGGAAGGGGAAUGUAGUGUUCUCGCCAGCGCGGCAUGCUGCCAUUUUUUCUGUGUCGGUUCACGUAGGUAGGGUGGAUGGACUUGUCCAGGGACCUGCCAUAUAUACCCAUAAACUACUGUCCGAAUGUCCAUUCCCUUUGAUUAGAUGACUCAGAUUAAUUAUGACUUUGCUAAUGGCCGAAGCUAGCUAAUUGUUACUUUCUCUGUCCCAAAUUAUUAGUCCCACAUUUUUUUUCUAGAUAUAUAUUUUUUACCUAUGUAUCUAGAUGCGUAAUAAAAAACUAUGUAUUUAGGAAAGUCAAAAUGAUUAAUAAUUUGGGAGAUGACUAAAAUUAGCACUACGCUGUUUGGAUAGUACAUGGGCUAAUAGCUCUGGCAAACUUAUUUAUUCUGCACUUGGUUUCUACUGCUCCAGCUUGAUUUUGCGUGCGUGCGGGAAACGGAUUAGGUGGAACAGUUAGGGGUGUUUUUAUAUUUCUUGAUAUGAUGGUUGCUAUUAGCCCCAACUAGCUAUGUUUGGCCAGCUAAUAAAUGGGCUACUGGUUAACAGUGGACUUUGGCUAACAAUUAGGCCGCCUAUUAACCUCUCAUGUUAGGAUCAGCCAUGGCUAAGUUUUGCACACACACAUGUACACACACCAAUCUUCAAAAUUUCAGCCGAACUCCACCAUCUCCAACAGAGUUUUGGAAUUUUGGAACCAGCAGAACUCCACCAUCUCCAACAGAGUUUUGGUGGUACUAAUAUUUUUUUAGAUUAAGGAAAAUCAUCCGGCCUCGGUCAUCCACGAGUGAAUGCAUGCCUAUAGCCAAACUUACACGAUCUUAACAGAAACUUAGCGCUUUGGCUGCUCUAGAAGUACUCACUACUAGAAAUACAACCUCUCGUCUAGUGGUGGCGGGGGUGGCGGCGGAAGGGGGUGGCGGGGUGGCGGAGGAGGAGGGCCGGGGCAGCAAGGUGCGUGGCAGUGGAGGGGGCCUAGGCCGGCUGGGUGGCGGCGGAGGGGUGGCGGAGUGGGCUGGGGCUAGUGGGGAGGGGCAGCUGCAACAAAUGAGCUCAAAUUAAACCUCAUUAAGGUCAAGUGGAACCAUUAGAGCCUAAUGGAACCUUUGAACAACAACACAUCCAAGUAAAAAGACACUUUUGACCCUCACAAGCUAAACUAGUAUUUGAGCCAUAACUCGAAUUUUUGUUUAAGAACAUCAAAAUCUGUCCAACUAAGAGUUGUAGAACUCAUAUUCACUAGCAGCUUUAGUAUUUAACAUUUGCUUUGAAUCUGAACAUAAAGCAUUCAAAAACUCGAUUUUCAAUUCUGUGCCGAUUUGUGCAAAACGUGAAAAACCCAAACUUUGGAGCCCUUUUUCUCUCAUUUUCAUAUGUAAUAUAAAGCCAAACCUUUUACAAAAGUUUUAGAACUACGAGCCAUGAACAAUUUUGAUUAAAAGAGUUAGGCCAAAAUCUACACAAAAGGGUUUCGAAAAUGCAGUCAAACAUAGCCAAAUCGGUCAACCGGCGCGAAACUGAAAUCUCGUCUAAAGUCUGAAAUUCCAGACUUUUCGCUGAACUUUGACUCGAUUUAUCUUCAAAUCCGUUUGAGAUCUGAACCAAAACCUUUUGUAAAGUUUUAAGUCGAGUCGUAGAUCUACAAGUUUGACAAAGGGAUAUUUGAAUGUUUAGUUCAGAAAUUUUGAAGAAAUCGCCCUCAAAUCUGGCCCUUUCCCUGCCCUUUCCUUGUCUCGCGGUAGACUCGCCAGAACGCGACGCGACGCGCGUCACGCCUAACGGCCACCACGUGGCGUGCCUUCCCCGGCAAGCCAGCUUGCCGCUGCCCAACCGGCACAACUUCAAGACAAAACAGAGCGCCGUCCUAGCCAACCGCCCGCCGAGGCCAUCUCCCACCCCUGCCCGCGAUCCCGACCAACCCCUAGGCGUGCGCCACGUCAUGGCCACCCGUUGGUCAAGCCGCCUCUGCCAAUCCAUCGCCAGACAACGACUACACGAGCGCCUCGCUCCGCCAACUGUUGGUCGCGGAAAAGCCGCGCUUGCGCGCUCCAUAUCGCGCCGGCCCAAUACGGGCGAGAUUGCAUCCCACGACCUCCGCCCCGUGCGCCAAUGGCGUUGCCGCCCCAUCUCCAGGCGUCAGCGCACCACCUCGCCCUCUGGCCCCAGCCUCCAGCGCCUCAAGCCUCGCCUCGUCGCUCCGCUCCCGCCCUGGCCCCAUAAAGGGACCAGCGCCCCCGCCGGAGCCCCUUCUUCCCGCGCCACAACCUUCGCCGCCCCUGUUCCACUGCGCCGCCACCGAGCUCCAAGUGAACCCCCUGCUCCGCUGCUCCCCGCCCCUCGCCACCGCCACAGCCAGCUUCGUUGCACCCCGCGGAGCUCCCAAGCCCGCUCGUUGGACUCCCGAAGCCGCCGGAGCACCGAAACGCCGUCCGCACCACCAUCGCCGAGCCCGAGUCGCCGCCGUCCGCGUUCCACCCCGGUGAGGUUUCCCCCAAUGCCCGAGACCUCUCCAAUCAACUCACGUUGAGCUUAAGCUCCUCCUGACCCAUCCUUAGCCCAAAGACGCCGGCGCAUCGCUAGGAUUCCAAUCGCCGCCGCCGUGCGCACUGUGGGGACAACAUUGCGUCUCCCCCGUUCUUUCCAGGGUCUCCCGUGCAAAGUGCAGGGGCCCAUUCGUAAUAAGUGAAAAACCCGAGGGCUUUAAUCAUGAGUUUGCACGGGAAAAGUCAGCCGAGGGCAUAUAUGUGAAGUGGAAGGGUAUGGUUGUGAAUAAAAGAAAGUCAGAAGGGCCUAUAUGCAAAUGUGUUUCGGUUAAUUAAUAAAAAUUGGCAGAAAAUAGGAGAAACAUUGUAAAUGCACCAAAAAUUGUAGAAACCUCAGAAAACUUCCAAACAAAAUUUGAUGGACUCAGUGAACUGUCUACUUUUAUAGAAAAAUAAUUUUGCACCUGUCACUGUAGAUAUUUUGCAGUUAUGAAUUAAUCCUUGCAUGUGCUAAUUAAUUCACCAUAAAUCACAGAAAAAUGCUAAAAGGGUAAAACCAACUCUGUGAGGAGCACAGCCUAGCCUUUGAAGUCCCUGUUUUUCUUUAUUAAGUGAAAUCUGCACUAGAAUCUUUCUUUUUGCACAGUAAUUAAUCCAGAGAUGAGAAAACUGUGAAACUAGUUGGGUUGGUUCUGUUUUGGAGUAUAGUUUGCAGGAAAAAUAAAGCCCCUUACCAGAAACAGAAGGGAAAACCUUUUUCUUUUUAGAGAAAGAUAACUAAGGAUAAUAUAUGGAAAAUAGAUCUCCUUGUCUGAUAAUUAUGAAGAAUUCACCAAAUCAUGUAAGCCAUUCUUGGAACACCCUGGUAAAGUUUCAUGACCAGAGCAUCUGUAAAUUGCAAGAUAAAAAUUAUUAAGCCCUUUCUACCUUAGGGUGAGAAGGAGCUUUUAAUUAAUUUUGUAUAUCCUUAGUGAACCUCAACUUUUUACAGUAGCCCAGCAGUGACAAGGUUAGGGUGCUGGUGAAGUUUCACCCUCUUUCGUCGCUGUUUGGUUGGUUAAUUAAAAUUUGGAAGAUGAACCGGUUAAAGGAAAUAAAGAAAAGCCUUAAUUAAAGAAAAGAAGAGAUAAGGUAUAUUGGAAGAGGUACAGAAAAACAUUUAGAAACAGGAUAGUUUUCCGAUCUUAAAUAACUAAUAAGUUAAUAAAUGUGUACACAAUCACCAUAUUGAAGCCGAGGGUUUUAAUGGUAUAAGCUUGCUUUCUACGCCAAGUGAGCUGUCUGUGAUGAUCUAGUGUUAACCAGUGUGCAAUCAAGUUUACUUCAUAAUAAUGCACGAAAUGUCAUCCAGACUCUUGAAUACAAGUUUUCAUAUCCUUGCAUUGCAUCCCGUAGAGCUGAACGUUGCUGACGAGAUGUACGAGCUACACCUGGCGACCGAGGACGACAUUGCCGCAGAGCUACACCACGCCGAGGUUGAGCCCGUGACCGAGCAAGCCGAAGACCCGCCUGCUAACCCCGAGUUUGAAGGCAAGCCCCGGAGCAUAAAUUCCUAUGUUUUAACUACUUGCAAUCUACUUGAUUAUCUUGCUUGUGCAUUUACAUUUUCUAGGAGUUGCAAUGAAACCUUAAAUGCAUAAAGUUAGUACCCUUGAUCUGAACACUAGUAUGGUAGGCUGAGUAGUUGCAAUGCUUAAUAGGACUCGGUAAAAGUCGAGUGACUUCCUGUCACUCACGAGUUAUAGGAGUUGAUUGCUUCCUUUUUGCAAUAAGGAUGAUGGACGGGACAGGGCUAUUUGCAUUAUUUUGGUGGUUGGUAGAUUGCCCCAUCUAUCUAAAUUAAAAUGGACUAAGGUUGAGAUGUGAUAGUGUUCGUGAUCAAGUGUUUAAAAAUAUUAAUCUCAUACCUAGUAUGGGAUAGGGAAGCCUAGUACCUGAUUGAACCGGGGUGGACCUUUCCCCCGCUCUCCCUGGAACGUAGUUCCCAUGGUGCAUCAUGUGGGUACAAGUGCAGCCUCGAUACGGCGGAGUCCGGGACCGUUGGGGCAUUGUAUGCCAAGGGAAGUGGGAUCUGGAUAAAUGCCGUGAAUUGAUGGGGACGGCAUGAUAUAUGUGAACCUGUUGGGUAGUAGCAUAUGUCGUGGCAUUAGGUUCACCAUGCAUGGUUAAGAAAUUCAAAUUGAUUCAUCUGCCUCUCACAGUUUGGGACUACUUGAUCGCUAUGCUACAUUGAGUAAGAAUGGAAGAUGAUAAUGUUAAUAUUGAUGCUUGCUAUUAAUUGUUUGGAAAACCUUGCUUGCUUAGUAUAGUGCUAAUGUAGACUGGAUAAUGAACUUAGAAUUUGUGGCUAAAACAUUGAAAGUAAGGACCUACACUAGUCGCUUUUGGCAAAAACAAACCCCUCUAGCCAAUAAGCUUGCAUGUCUAGGUGUUGGUGGAGUAGAUACCACCCGUUGGGUAAGUCUUGUUGAGCGUAGUCGCUCAGCCUUGCUUGUGGCAUAUCUUUUCUGGAAUUGAUAUUGAUGAGUUCGCUGCAAGUGUUACUUGGCCUACCCAACUCCCUCCAGGUUGGACGGUCGAGUGGGAUCCCUCCUCGAACGGCGAGGAAAGGGGUGAUUGAUGUCGUGAUUAGCUUCGUCAUGAUAUCCUGCAUCGAUGUCUAGUUAUUGUUCGUUUUAAAUUUCACUGCUUGAACACUCUCCAACUUUAUGUUUGAAUUUCGAACUCUGUUGUUGUAAUAAAUCAAUGCACUUGUUUUAAUUUGAAUGGAUUGUUGUAAUCUCUGUAACCGCUCACCUUCGUGUGAGUUGCUUUUCUCGAUCCUGUCAUGUGGUUUUAUCGAAAUGAAUCCGACGGACGACCGAGUUGACUUGCUUAAAACACAUGAUCGCGUAUUAGGAGACUUAAGUGUGUUUUAGUUGGGUUAAUCCGGGCAGUUCCGCCACAGCAGCAGGUUGGCGGCAGAGGGGGAUGGGGUCGGCGGGGUGGCCGUCGGCAGAGGGGGGCAGGGUCGGCAGGGGAUUUUCAUUUUCUUUAUUUUUUAACACCCUCUAGUACCGAUUAUUCCAAACUUUACUAGAGGACCCCCCUCUAGUACCAAUUGGCCAGUACCGGUUGCACAACCGGUACUAGAGGGGGGUUUCUAAUCGGUAAAAGAGGCACUUUUUCUAGUAGUGACUAUAGUUCAUACUCAAAGUUCGCACGCCAAAGAUAAAUCUACUUUUAGGACCCCCUAACACCCAAGCACCCGAGGGAACGUCCUGCUACUAAAGAAUCCUUCUCCUGAAGUUCCAGCCAUAUUUGUUGAAGAACUCAAAGGUAGUGACUUCAAGCCUAUUGUAGUUCUUCUUCAGAUCAAUUUUCUCUUCCUCCUUAGAUAGCACCGCCCAUGCUCUUGUCCAAUAAGUCCCUCUAAAAAUUACCUGCAAAAAGGAAUUAGUGGUUGUGCCUUUAAAUAGUAAAUCAUUUCUAUUCAACCAUAUAGCCCAGCAAAGUGCAAUAGCUCCUACAAUCAUCUGGCUUCUAACCUUCCGAGGAUACCCUCUAGUCCAAGAACCCAGCAUAUUAGGAACACUAACAGGCGAUUGAAUUCCAAACGAAAAGAACAUUGUACUCCAAAUAAAUCUAGCUAAAUGGCAAUCAAAGAAGAGGUGUUGCACUGUCUCUUUUGAAUUGCAAAAGCAACGCUUGGUACUUCCUUGCCAUCUCCUCUUAGCAAGGUUGUCCUUUGUUAGAAUCACACCUAUUUUCAAAUACCAUAACAAGAUUUUGAUCUUUAAUGGUGAUUUUAACUUCCAAGCUACACACAAGGAUGGUAUUCCUUCAGCUUGCAUUAUCUCUUUGUACAUUGACUUCACUGUGAUGUCUUUGUUUUUAUUCAGAUUCCAAAUAAAUUCAUCUUCCUAUACCUCCAUACCAUGUGCUACUAUCUCAGCCACUAACUUAGCCAUUCAUUUAAUUUGUGUCAUGUAAGUGCUCUUCUGAAAAAAAAUAUUUAGAAGGACAGAUCCACAAACUUUGACCACAGUGUCAUCUUUCCUUCUAACUAUAUUAUACAAAGAUGUAUAUCUUUCCCUCAAGGUUUUCUUUCCAAUCCAUACAUCUUCCCAUAACCUAGUUUUCUUCCCAUUGUGUACCUCAAACUUACCAAUUGACAAUAAUUAGUCCUUUAUUUCCAUGAGGCUCGCCCAAAAGUGUGAAUCACCUCUUUCUUCAUCACUUGGGAUAGAGUCUUAUUAACUAAAUAAAUAUUUUCUUCUGAGUAACUUUUUCCAUACUCCUUCCUCGUUUAGAUGUUUAAAUAACCACUUGUUUAGCAAGCAUCUAUUUAGAACUUCCAGAUUGGAAAUACCCAAGCAUCCUACAUUCUUUGGUGCACAAAGAAUACUCCACUUGGCCAGUCUAUAUUUCUUUUUGUGUUCAUCACAUUGCCAAAAGAAUCUAGACCUAUAAUAAUCCAAUCUUUUAAGAACACCUUCAGUACUAACCUUGGUAAGCUAGAGAGGACAUUGGUAAGCUAGAGAGGACCCUUAGAAGCUAUUCCUAGAGUUUCAUUCAAAUUCAUUGGCUACAUUGUUGGGAUUCGUGAUUUAAGGUUGGAUUGCCUGGACCAGUCUGACCGGUCAGGUAGACUGGUCUGACCGGUCUGCACAAUCAAACCCUAAAUCAUGUCUUUUUGUUGUAUGAUCAAUGUAUCUACAUAGGAAUACCUCAUGAACAAAAAUUUCCACAUCUUAAGUGAUCUAGCUACUAUGUUUGGUCUCCAGAACCAUUGGUUCUACUCUGGGCCCAACUGGUCUAACCAGUUGCUCAUAUCGGUAUGACAGGUCUAGUUCAGAGUUGCCCCAAUUGUUUUGAUUCCUGGUUGUUCAGCACCGUAGUGGCAAGGGGCCAGCUGAUAGUGAUGAGAGAAGCAGUGAUGGUGAUCCCAAUGGUGGAAAUGGUAAUGGUGAUGAUAAUAAUGAUGAUGAUGAUGGAGAUGAUGGUGAUAAUGGUGAUGAGAAUGUGGGUGACAUAGCUAUGCCCACCAUUCGUAGGCCAACCUAACCCAUUCAUAGAGGACCUACAAAUUAUUUUGGGUAUGGGAUGACUGAGAUGGCAAAAACGCUAAGAAGAUAGGAUACAUACAAUGUGCCUAAGACUGCUCAAGAAUAUAGAUUUUGGAAUUCUUUCCGGCAGGACUUCUAUACCACAGUCAUUCUAAAGAAUUCCAAAAUCACUCAUGAGGCACAGUGGGUAGAUUGGGAUUACAUGAGGAAGAAAAAUGAUCCCAUCUUCAAUGAAGUCAUGGAGGCUUGUGCUAGCAAAAGGAUAAAAACAUCUCAUGGGCUUCAAGCAUAACUGGAAUAGGAAGAUCAUUGCCCAGUUCUAUGCCACUAUUUAUUUUGGACAUAUUGCAAAUGAGAGGGCGAUGUUUUGGAUGACAGAGGGUGAAAAGCAUCAUAUCACUUAUUCCGCCUUCACAUCAUUGUUCAGAAUCAAAGAUGAUGACACUCUUCCUAAGCUUCAUGAUGAAGGUGUUCUUGAGAAUUCAAAAAUGCAUUUCAUGUAUCCCAAGAAUAGGACAGGAGAUUGGGGGAAGGUCAAGAGCCUUUACACCAACUAUGCCAUUUUUAACCAGCUAUUAAGGAAGACCCUCACUCCUAGAGAUGGGAAUCCCUCACAUGUAACUCUCUUUUAGAGGAACUUGAUGGCAGUGUUGAAACUAGGGGAACCUCAAUUUGAUGUGGGUGACUUCAUUUGGCUAGAAAUCAAGAAUUUAAUAGAAAAUCCUUAAAAGAUUUGUAGCUACAGUCCCUACAUCAUUUACAUGAUUGAGAAGGUGACCAAGAGCAAGUUUCCUAGUGAUGUAAAGCACAAGCCUUUGAGACCUCCAGUGAGCAAGACUCCUACGAUCCCAUCUCCACCACCAGAAGAACCUAAACUGCAAGAACAAGGGGGCAGAAAGGCAUGAGCAAUAGCAAUUUCAGCAGCUAGCUGGUGCCCAGGCAAAGACCGCUUUGUGCCUGGGAAACGCAGCCACUUGUAGAGGUAGCAUGAGAAGCCCUCUUCUCCAAUGAAGAAGUUUAUAAACUUUCUGGUUGGCAUGUGCAAAAGUCAGAGAGACAUUGAGGUUGAACAACGGCGACGAUGGACGGCUAGUAAAAAAGAGAGAGAUUUGAUUAAGAUGAUGCAUAAUCACAUGAAUCUUCAGCCUCCUCACUCUCCCAUUUCUCCUUCACCUCUAGAAGUUGAAAUCCCAUCAGUUGUGGCUAGAAUUGGAGAAUACAUGGCACCUGGCUACUUUGACCAAUAUGGCAAUAUGUUUUAUCCAGAUAUGGGAGGCUCAACCUCAACUCCUCCACCUUUUAAGCCACCUCCAACCGGAGGAUUUGAUGCUUUUGUCUCAGAUCUUGGUCCCGGCAUUCAUGGUGGUGCAUAUCCCUUCUAUCCAGGAUCCGCUUUUAUGCCUUUCACAGGAUCUUCUUCUUUGGCAGCGGCUACUGGCACCAUUCCAGGUCAUCCUCAUGCAGCAGUACCUCUAUCUCCUACAGACACAACCGAGUUUGAUGCAUAGGCUAUCUUUGGUCCUCCUCCUCCUCCAUCUACUCAGGGUAUGUCUGACAUCACUCUUGCCCCUCUCGAAGAUAUCAUAGUGUCAGAUUCUAUAUAUCUUAUGUCUCCUAUGCCUUGGUUGGAUUAAGGACUUCAUUGGCCUGAGGACUCACCAAAGGAUAGUAGAAGUGGAUACGGAGAUCAGUGACUUCAGUUGCACCUUCUCGAGGCCCUUUUAUGGAUGAUUGAUGACAAAGGUUGAGAAGAAAUGGUUUAAAACUUCAUCUUCAGGAUUUAGUGUAGCUGAGCAGUUGUGACCGAUAUGACCGUUGGCCAUUACUAGCCAUUACAACCAGGACUAAAGAUCCCCUUUAGUCCCGAUUGUUAUUACCAACUAGGACUAAAGCUCCCGUCUCGGUGGUCGUUGGUGGUGGCUGUUUGACUUGGGACUAAAGGUCAAGGUGUGACAGCCUUAGUAAUUAAGCAGCUAAAUUAGGAAAUCAUCGAAGUGAUUAAGAAACUAAAUCAAAGAAUCAAAAAAGGGAUUAAGGAAUAAGUUAGAGCUAACUCUAAGUUGCUGAGAGUUAAGAACCCAAAAACACCUUAGAUUUUGGCUAGAUGUUAAAAAUUUCUCCUAUUGAGAAUAACUUGUGAGGCCGAUAGAAACCAACUUCAUAUAAAAACUUAAACUUUGAACAAUAUAAAGAUAGUAGAUCUUUUCAAAGUGAACAACCUUCAUAAUUAGCACCUUUCUUCAUCUUGAGCAAAGGGUGUUCCCAAAAUCAAGUGGAAGUUCAGUCAAAUUUCAAAUCUGAUUCAAAAAUAGCUUUGACCGACUUCCACCAAGGACCCUACCAUCCUAUCUCCAACUUCAUCGAGCUUCUCCUUGUUGAAAUUUAUAAAAUUCAUAGUGCAUACCUUGUUUCCUUUUGAAAUUUAAACCGUGUAGUUCGAACUUGGUGUGAGAAUACGCGUUAAACCCGAUACCGUCACCACGAUGCGCAUCACGAGCAUCAUCAUGCAUAUUUAAGCAUCAUGAAUAUCUAUUUGUGCAUAGUCUACCAUCAUGAGCAUCAUUUGUGCAUAGAUGAACAUUUUAACCACACAUUAAUAAGUGCCCAGAAUUUUAUUAUUUAUUGGUGAAAAAUCAAAUUUGUGAAGGAACCCCAAUUUAUUCCAUACCACUAUGCCCCAAAAUAUUUUAUUCAAAUACUAGACACCAUUUAGUGAUUUUAAAAUAUUUUUACUAAAUUUUUCAAAGACGUUUGAUUGGGUUAAAAAUUCAUUUAAAAUUCAAUUAUAGCUAUUUUGUUUUGAUGAUUGUGUGCAAACUAUAAAAUAUUUUGGAUUGAUUCUUGUGGCAUUGGAUUAUUGGUGAUUUGUUCUUUCCAACGAGUAUUUUUGAAGAAUUUUUGAACACAGUUAGCUAGGUUGUUUAAGGGGACAAAGUUGGCAUGAUGUUUUUCUUAGCCGGGCCCACACGUCAGCACCUUCUUCCAUCUCCCUCUGCCUGGGCGCCAGAUGCACACACAGCCCCAAGAUCGCCGGUUGGCCACCCCCUAGCCCCUGCAGGGCUCCUCCUCCGCCCAUAGGCCACCCAAACUCCUCCCACGUGCCCUUCCCCUCUCUCCCACGCCUCCUAUCGCCCCUGGUUGGGUAGCCCCUCCAUUGAACACGCAUGGCUGCCACCAGGCACAGCACCUCUGGCAACGCCCUCCCCUCCAAUCCUCGCGCCCGGUGCUGUGUCACCUCGUCCGUGCUUAUCCUCGACUCGCCCCGCCUAUAAAACCCAAGCCCCUGCCUCCCCCGGACCGCACCACCCCCAAUCCUCCAUGGAGAGUACACCGAGCUUCAAAAAUCCCCAUCCUUUGCGGACCAAAUUCGUCGUCGUUAUUGAGUCUCAGCUCGAUUCCUCACAGCCACACGAUCCCCUCGACAUCAUGCUUCCGUUUUGCUACCUCCCGGCCGUUCUCCCUCGCCGGAGAGCCCUCUCCACGGGAGCCCGCGUCUGCCCCUUCCUGUUGCCCGGGAGCUUCCUGCGCCGCCCCAUCUUCCUCGUCGCCACGCCGCUGGUGAGCACCUACUCGGCCCCGUGCGCGCCCCUCUUCUUCCCCAAGCCGCCCAUUCCUUUCCCCGCCGAUGGCCCCCAAGUGCAUGGGCAUGCCGUAGAUCCAGGAGCUAGAUUGCAAGAUUGUCUCGAUUUUCUUUAUUUUCUAGAUCUAAAAAGGCUAAAACUUUGGAAAUUCAUAGUAAAUUGUAGAAACAUCACAAAAUAGCAAAUGAAGAUGUUUUGGAAUCCUUGUGAGUAGGACUAUGCAGUAGUUGUAUAAUAUGAUACAUUUUAGUAGAAAAUGUUUGCGGUAGAUUUAUAUCUAUGCUUUUUAGGGUUAAACUCAUAUCUGUAGUUAUGUUGCUCCGUUUGCUGUGAAAUUGUUAUGGUAGGUUAUACAUGAUGCUCUUGUACUGUGGUAAAACUUUCAUAUCUAUUGGUGCAUGUAUGACUGAGUUAUUAAUUUAACUUGUUUAAUGCUUGUUAGGUGAUUUAUAAAUAUUAGGAGUGUUUAAAAAUAGAAAAUAUGGUUCAACUACCUUUAUAUGAUGUUUUUAUAUAAUAAUAACACAUAAUAUGGCUAUGUGUUUAUAGAAAAUGAUGAUCUUUAAAAAUUAUCUUGCUUUUACAUGUUUUCUUGCAUUUGUAAUUUGUCUUUUUCAUAGCAAUUAAAUUAUAAAACCUGGGCAUGUGAAAAUUUUACAGUAACCAUGUUUUGAUAGCAUAUACCACUCAUAAAAAUUUCAGCCCCAAACUAGUUGUUCUCAUAUGGCACUAAAAAUAAUAUAUGUACAUGUCAUUCAAUGGGAGUUAAUAACAAAUAGACAUAUUUCUAAGCCAUGAGAUGCCACUUCAAUUAUACCAACUUUGUGAAAUGUAGUUGAGCUAUAUGAAUGUUUGUUUGAGCCUUUGAAUGAUUUAUGUAUGAAAUCUCGGUUGGGAGAAACACGUGAAAACCAAUAAUAUGCUUGCUAUCCCUCUAUAAUAGGUUGUGUGAUGUAUAGUUAAAUAACUCUAGGUGCCUAUGUAUUGCAUGAUCUUAUGUUUGCCUUGAAUGUUUUUACGUGAUGCAUCUUAUGUGACCAUUCUUCGUAUUCAUAUACUUGCAUCUUGCAUCUCAUCUAGAUACGCUAGAUAAACCACGUGAAGGACAUGAUGAUGGAACCAAACCCAAAGACGGUGUAUGGUGGAACUAUCCCGAAGAUGGAAGGACUAAGAAAGUGCCAAGAUGGGAGAUGCUCGCCAAGCGAGUGUCGUCUAACAAACACUAACCUAGUGUUGGAUUCCAGGCAAGUCCCGGAGCAUAAAUUCCUAUGUUUAAAUACUUGCAAUAUUUUGGUUGUUUUGAUUGUGCAUUUACGUUUCUAGGAAUUGAUUGAAACUGUAGAUGCAUGAAUAUAGUGCCCCUUGAUCUGAACACUAGUAUAAGAAUGUCGAGUAGUUGCAAUGCUUAAUAAGACUCGGUAAAAGUCGAGUGAUUUCCUGUCACUCGCGAGUUGUAGGAGUUGAAUGAUUUUCAUUUGGUUGCAACUAUAAGGACGAUGGACGGGGUCGGGAUUAUGUUGGUACUCGGUGGUUUGCCCCGUCUAUCUACCGGAAAUUGGCUAAGGUCGAAAAGUGGUGGUGUUCGUGAUCAAGUGUUUGAAAGUACUAAUCUCAUACCUAGUAUGGGAUGGGGAAGCUUAGUACCUGAUUGAACUAGGACGUGGCUUAUACCCCUGCUGUCCUUGGAACGUCGUUCCCAUAGUGCAUCGUGUGGGUGCAAUGGCGGUCACAGUACGGCAGAGAUCGGGACUGUGGAGCAUUGCACACCAAAGGCAGUUUGGACCUGACACAUACUUAGGGAUCGAUGGGGACGACUGACAAGUGAAGUGACCCUUCGUGGUGCGCGGAUGUCGUGGGAUUAGGUUUGCCAUGCAUGGUUAAUAAAUUCGAAUCGAUUCAUCUGCCUCUCACAGUUUGAGACUGCUUGAUCGCUAUGCUGCACUGAGUAAUAAGUGGAACAGUAUGAUGAUAAUCUUGAUGCUUGUACUUAAAUUGUAUUGAUCACUAUGCGUGAUUAGAAUAGUUAAUCAACUAUAAUGGUUAAUCAACUAGAACCUGAUGCUAAAACUUGAAAGUAAGGACCUACUUUAGAUGCUUUUGGCAAAACAAACCCCUCAGCCAAAAAGCCUUGCAUGUCUAGGAGUCGGUGGAUUAGUUACCACCUGACGGGUAAGCCUUGUUGAGUAUUAGUAUACUCAACCUUGCUUGUGGCUAUCUUUUUCAGGUGUAGUUGCCGGUGUUGACUUGUUUGGGAACCGUCCUCGGUUGGCGAGGAUGGUGAUUGUUGAUGUCAUGAUCGGCUUCGUCAUGAUGUCGUGUAUCGACGUUUAGCUUCCACUCGCCUUUUAUCUUUCGUUGUUGAACCCUUGCAAGCUUUGUUUGGAUUUUCAAAACUUUGAUGUAAUAAUUGUUGAACUAUGUUUAAUGUGAUGGGAAUGUUGUAAUCUCUGUGUAACUACUCACCUUCGUGUGAGCUCGCUUUCCUGAUCCUGUGUAAGUGGUUUAUCGGAUGAAAUCUGACAGAUGACCAAGUUGACUUGUUUAAGAUGCAUGAUCGCGUGUUAGGCGACUUAAUUGCAUUUUAGCCGAGUUAACUUGGACGGUUCCGCCACACAAAGCCCUUUAGUCCUGGGUCCAAAAACGAUCGGAACUAAAAGUGCUGGAUGGAAGGUCGAUUCUCUACUUAGUGCAAGAGCCUCACUUCCGGACAUGCGUCCCUAUGAUCCUUUAUAUACUCCAAAUGUCUUAUUGGCUUGCUAGACAGACUCAUACUUGCCAUGGCGAUGUGUAUCCCUCCUCUCAAAGGAUGGAGCAGCAAGCACCUUGUAGUUGCGGCCAUGAUAGGAACCCUGGUCGUGGUCGCCAUCGCCGCAGUCAUCAUCGUCGACCUCACUCCGCCUCAAGUCUUCUUCUCCAUCGAAGAUGCAAGCCUCCAAUUCUACAACUUCACUCUCUCUGCCAACAACACCAGCCGGCGCAUGGAGGUGCAUUAUACCACCCUCAACACUGAGAUAUGGAUAACCCCGUCUGAUUGGUAUUCAGCCGAGUUGAGCAUGAGCGGGUUCACGCAGCAGCCACCGGACAACGUGACCAAGUUCGCCGGGUGGGCCGAGUCGUAUCAGCUGGAUAGCAUGAUGGCGUCGGCGCAGGGCAGCGGCGCGGGGAAUUGGCCAAACUGCACCGUGGUGGUGAUAGCCAAGGUGUUGUUCAAGGUCGGGCUGGCACGCACACGGCCGUACCACAUCAGGGUGUCCUGCUUCCCCGUCAACUUCCGCGAUAAGACUCGGUACGCCAAUUGUACCUACUGAUCUCUCCAGUUUAGGAAGGGGAGAAGAGCCGAGGCUUUCUAGGGAGGUUGCCGGAGGAGGAGCUGAGGAAGGAUGGGGCGCGGCAAGAUCGAAAUCAAGCGGAUCGAGAACUCUACCAACCGCCAAGUGACCUUCUCCAAGCGCCGCAACGGGAUCCUCAAGAAGGCGCGGGAGAUCAGCGUGCUCUGCGAUGCCAAGGUCGGCAUCGUCAUCUUCUUCGCGAUUUGCUGGGCGCUCGAUCUGCCCCGCCCUCCGCCCUCCGCCCUCCCAGCCUUGCGUCGCCCCUGUCACCCCUCCCCCGUGAACUUCCUCAAUACGACUCGGUACGCCUCCCAAGCAAGUAGCUGAAGCAAACAGGCUGAAAGAAAGGCUUACCUUAAAUUCUGUCAGUCUCUGUAUGGCUGUUGUCUGGAGGGCUCCAGUACACCUUAGAUCUGCUGUUGUUGGUGUUGUUAAUGGACUCCUGAUAUCUGCUUCCGUUCAUGUUCCAGUUCCAUUUGGUCUCGAAAUUAAAGAUAUAUUCUUCAUCAUAUCGGUAAUGUCGCGCGGUUCUUGGUUUCAAGUACUGCCUGCAUUUGUUUUUUCUUUUCCUUGUCAUUUGGUCCGUCAGAACUAAGUUUGUUGAAUUCCUUCUGAGUAAGCUUGAGACGCUGGUCGUGCUUGUUUGUUGGUGUGCCUACGUGCCGCAUAGUUUGUCGUAGCAAAUACUUCCGGUUCCAUAUCGCCUGUGUACUACUGGACCGGGAUGUUCUUCAAUCUGUUAUGACCCUGUAUUCUGUUUUUAUAUAGAUCCCAUGUAUGUAUUCUGAAUGCACAGCCCCUGCUGGGAAAUUGGUUUCCCUACUGCGUGUCUGUGUUUACAUGCAUCUUCUAACUGUGGUUCCAAUGGCCCGUCUAGGCCCAUACAGGCCUAUCAGGUGGACGGGCCGGCCGGCCUCCUGGAUCAAAAAGGCCGGUACCCAUCCCUUCUUGGCCCGCCCGCUCCCGCUGUAGAAACAAAACCAGAGCCAGCAGAUCCCCCGGGCCCUGAAGAGAAAGAAGACGACAACAGAAGAAAGAGCUCGCAACGAAGCCGGCGGAAGCCCCCAAACCCUCCCCACCCCAGGCAGCAGCGGCGCGAUGAGAUGGUCGACGACCCACCGCCGGCGGCGGGAACACCGUCGAGGACAUCGUCCGCGCGGAGGUGAGCAUCCCCGGGCAGCCCUCGUCCUCUUUGCUAUGAGUGCCGGGGAAUCCGAUCUCCGCCCGCGCCGACCUGGCUCUGCUCGGCUGCCCCGAUCUGCCCGCGCGGGUGGCGGCGCCUCGCCCCUAGUUCGGUUUCAGGUUAGAGGUGUCCCAGCGUGGUGUCUGGGCAAGGGGAAUCCAGCAACGAGGCGUUCUCCCUCCCAUCGACUCGGUUGGCGCGGACGGACGCGGUGGGUCUGGUUGGGGAAUUUGUGCCCGUUUCGAUUUGGGUGUAGAAUAGGUAAAUAUCUUCAAAAUUGAUAGAAUUAGGCCCGUUUAUAUCGGGAGCUCCCUCCCUGCUACUUGGGCCAUGACGCUUUGGAUCGCCCACAAAAAUUCACAAACGCAGGCAGGGCCGAUCAUCCCGGAUAAAUCCAUAAUGGUUUUUACCGGUUACCGACCCCGGCGGAUUCGAUUUUUACCGAAAACCGGUCGGUAACCGGUAAAAACGGGACGAAUUCAAAAAACGAAUUGCCAGCACAACUGGUAAAAACCGCAUAGUAAAGGGGGCAUUCCAGCGGCCUGCAAGGCGGUUUCCCAGCUGGCCCGUUGUUAUUCCCCACCAAGCUUUAGCAUCUUUCCUUUGUGAUUGUGCGCUGGUGGGCCCGGCGCCGGGGUGAGAGAAGACACGGCACCUAAUACUUUCCUCACCUUUGCAGUGCCGUGGGCCCGCCACUUCCAUUCUGGCCCACAAGUGAUGGAGGCGCGCGAGGAGGGGUAUCGGUUUCACGAUGAUUAAUAAAGAAAGGCCCAAGACACGUCACGCUGUGGGGGAAAGGGAAGACACCGCACCGCACGCACCUCCACCACUUGCGUUGCCUUUGCCUUUGCUUUUCCCCGAGCUCGCCCGCCUAGGAGCUCCAGCAGCCGGUCCGCUCCGCCGCCGGUGCGGCAACCACGCCGCCGUCAGACCGCCUCGCGCGGCCACCGGUCGUCCCCGCGAUACACCGCCGCCGGUGCGCCGUGCGCGGCGGCGCUGUCCCGCCGCUCCUCCGCCUACCGUCCGCCUGCGCCACCACCAGCGCACCGGCAGCACCGCGAGCUGCUGCGCCACCCCGACGUUGGUCCUUCCUGAGCCCGGUGUCGUCACCAGCGUCGCGGAGAAGCUAAUUACCUGAAGCAAUUUGUAGAAACAAAUAGUACUGGUUCGUUCACUUAUUUCUUUGCUCAAACUUAAUUUCUGCUUAGAGUUUGUGCCUAAAUUAGCUGCUUAUUCUGCUGGUUGCAUGCAGGAGAUCGAGCUGCGGGCGUACGGCCGGAUCGGAGGAGGACAUAUCAGCCGGGUUCCUGUUGGUUGUGUACUUGUGUUCCUGCCGGCGGAGAAGCAACCAUGGCCGAGUUAGUGAUCGGGCCACUGAUCUCCAUGGUGAAGGAGAAGGCAUCCAGCUACCUGCUGGACCAAUACAAGAUGAUGGAAGGCAUGGAGGAGCAGCGCAAGACCCUGGAGCGCAAGCUGCCAGCAAUCCUGCACAUCAUCCAGGAUGCGGAGGAGAAAGGAGCCUCCCGACCUGAAGUAGCAGCUUGGCUCAAAGACCUCAAGACAGCGGCCUAUGAGGCCAACGACGUCUUUGAUGAGUUCAAGUAUGAGGCGCUUCGGCGAGAAGCCAAGAAGAAGGGCCACCACAGCAAGCUUGGAGCAGAGGUAGCAAGACCAUCGAGGCGCUUCAGCGAGGCGCUUCGGCGAGGCGCUCGUAAUCCCAUUGUAUUCCGUUACAGGAUGGGCAAGAAGCUACGCAAGAUUGUGCAGACCAUCGAGGCCCUAGUCACCGAGAUGAAUACAUUUGGUUUCAGACACUUGCAGCAAGCACAGCCAUCAAGGCAGUGGCGACAGACAGAUUCCAUAAUCAUUGACUCCGACAGAGAUAUUCUUAGCAGAUCUAGAGAUCGGGAGAAGAAGAAAAUCGUGGGGAUGCUCCUUGAUCAAGCUAGCAACAUGGAUCUCAUGGUUCUUCCAAUUGUUGGGAUGGGUGGGAUGGGCAAGACCACCUUCGUGCAACUCAUUUACAAUGACCCUGCAAUCGAGAAGCACUUUGAGCUUCGGAGGUGGUGCUGUGUGUCAGAUGAUUUCGAUGUCAGUACCAUUGCAAUUAACAUCUGCCAGACCAAUGAGAAAUGUCGUGAAAAAUCAUUGCAGGAGCUCCAGAGUAUAAUAAGUGGAAAACUGCCAGACCUCAUUGUGUUAGAUGAUGUAUGGAAUCGGGAUGCUGAUAAGUGGGGAAAACUAAAGAGUUGCCUUAAGCAGGGUGGCAAGGGCAGUGCAGUACUAACAACAACUCGUGAUGCACAAGUGGCUCACAUUAUGACCAUGGGUGUAGCUGAAGCCCAUAAUAUGGAGAAUCUGAGUGACGAGCAUUUAAAGGAAAUUGUCCAAAGCAGAGCAUUCUGCUUGCAAAAUCCAAAUAUUGAAGAGCAAGAUGGCAUUCUCAGUGGAUUUGUUCGUCGAUGCGUUGGAUCUCCCUUGGCUGCCAAAGCCUUUGGCUCUAUGUUGAGUAACAGGACUAGUAUAAAUGAAUGGAAGAAUAUAUUAGCUAAAAGUAACAUUUGUAGUGAGAAAACCGGAAUUUAUUUGUUCCUCAAGCUCAGUUUUGAUGACCUAUCCUCAGAUAUGAAGCAGUGCUUUGCAUUCUGUGCUUUAUUUCCUAAAGAUUAUGAGAUCGAUGUGGACCUCUUGAUUCAACUGUGGAUGGCACAUGACUUCAUAACUGUGCAGGAGGAUGACAAUCCAGAAACCGUAGGAAAAUAUAUUUUCGAGGAGCUAACUCGGAGGUCAUUCUUUCAAGAUGUCAGGCAAACACUUCCAAUUGGCAAUUUUGGAAGGUUGUCGCUUCGUAAGUCAACCAUAUGCAAGAUACAUGAUCUUAUGCAUGACAUUGCUGAAGGACUGAAAGGGCGACCAGAGGGGGGGUGAAUGGGAGCCUAUAAAAAUUCUUUACGAGAACAAGGCCUAUGUCCCAACCGCAACCCCAAAGUACAUUGCGCGUUGUAUCGUCAAGAUGACGCAAGUCAACUCGUGACAAGCUCACCCUAGUACCUAUAAAACAACACUCAAAUCACAGCGGAAACAUAGCAUGAAUCGACUCCAUCAAGUUUGCAUAUAUGAGACAAAGCAAAGAUACUACUAACCAUUUACUAAAUUAGGCAUGGAAAGAUUAGCAAUAAACUAGGCAUGAUUAGUAAAAAAACUAAACAAGAUGUCAAAGAUUAAUUAGCAACGUGCAAGAACUUAAUCAGUAACCCACUAACAUGAUUAGUAAGUGACAGUUCUAAUUAAGAAGCUAAACAAAAGAAUAGAGACUAACGAGCCAAGUUCCAAGAAUUAACCGUUCGCUACUUUCCUGUCAGCCUGCUGGCUUGCAACCUGCGCCAGGCCCGAUGGCCUCCCUCGCUUUGCUCCUGUUGGGUCGGUUGGCCUGCCGCAGCUAGCUGGGCCUCUAGUGCUGCUGCCUGGGCCGUCAGGCUUGUCUGGCCCGCGAGGCAAGCAGCUGUCCUCCCACUCGGCCUGCUGCCCAAACAGGCCUGGCCCGUGCACUGCUCCCCUCCUGGACCGUGUGCGUAGCUGGGCUGCGAGCUGGACUGCUCCCUGCAGCUGAUGCUGGCUUCGGUCUGGCUCGCGUGCACGUCCCGUGCCUCCUCCACGCAACGACCUGCGAACAAACAGAGCAAGAACACCAAGAACAACCAGAGAACAGGGAAGAACACGUUCAACUUCAAAUUCGAAAUCCUCCGUCAAAUCUCCAUGAAUUGCGACGAAACUUGAGACAAGGAUGCAAUACCCCUAAGGAAAAUAGAUCUAUGAAACAAAUCUUGAAAAACUCAGGUAUACAUCACUAAUCUUGGAGAAAACCGAAAGCCUAACUCAAAAACACGAUUCGGAGAAAUUCGAAAUCCAAGCCGGAUCCAUGAGAGAUUUAGAAGGGGAACGAAUCAAAGAUGCUCCCUAAGGUCCUAGCAUCAUUUCCUUUCAACCAAGUCCACGAGAUUCGGCUCAAACACGAAGAACGAAAAUUCCCUAAAAAUAGCUUCGAAAAUAGGGAAAAAGAAAAACGCUCGGGAAUCAAAAAUUUAGCACGAUUCGAGACAACAAACAAAGCUAAAUCACGAGAACAUCUUCUAUACAAGAUGAGAACUAGCCUCCUCCCUUCAUCCACCCACUAAAGAUGAAGAAAUCGAGAGAAAAGAGUAAUCACUCCCUAAUCCCCCUCUCUCCUCUCACUUUAAGCACAUGACUAGCCUCUAAGCAAAUAGAUAAUGAGUUGCUAAGUAAAGAGGUGCUGAAAUAACCAGCCUCCAUCCCUAUUUAUAGUCCAGGACGAAAGACUAUACUACCCCUACAGCUACAACUAAGAUAACUACCCACGCAGGGGCAUUUUGGUCCAAGUUUUUAUCCGUGCAUCGGACGGACACGCCGCCUUCACGACUUUGCUUCGCCUCGACGCAAGCUUCGCGAUGACGCCACGUGCCCUCCUUCUCGAAGCUACGGCCGCACCGGGCUCGCCCCCGGUUUUGAGGCCCAAACCGGGAAACCUGCCCGCGCGGUGGUUUUGAGGCCCAAACCACCCAAACCGUCCAUCUUUGCUUGGCCGCUACGCGACCUCCUUGAUGUCGACGCGUGUCCGGCCUCCGCCAAGCCUCCCGCUCGACUUGACCGACGUCGUCUCCAUCUUGUCAUGUUCUCCCACCGUUCCGUGCACCAUGUGGACCGCCCGUGACUCCGCCCGGACUCCUCAGGUCCAUCGGUCUAAGCCUACUCGCGUUCAUCCUUCAUCGCCCUUGGUCCAUCGGUAACCUUUCGCUUGACCUUCACCGCACUCCGUCGACCGUCAUGCCGCAUCCUACACCUGCACAUCACAAGCCAAGAGCAACAUCAAACCAACACAACGUUGUCAAUCACUCAUCAUCCAAGGGUGACCACGAUUGGCCCUCAAUUGCUCUAUCUGUUAUGGGGAAAGAAUGUGUCACUAUAGUUGGUAAGCCGAGCGUCAACAAACUGGUUAUAAGUCAACAAAAUCCGACCCGUCACCUCUUCUUAGGUGUUUGUCCAUUGGAGAAAGAACUGGUUAUAAGUCUAUUGAAGAAACAAACUGCAAUGCUCCAUACGUUGUUUUUUCCAGAUUAUGGUGACCCCCUUGAUAUAUCAAAGUACACUUCACUGCGAGCAUUACACCUUCCAGCAUUGAUACAAUUUUCAGGACAGGAACAGCUUACAAGAGACAUACCACACCUAAGGUAUCUUAAUCUGUCGUCACAUGAGUUCGAGAAACUUCCUGAAGGUAUAAGCAUUAUGUAUAAUCUACAAACAUUGGACCUCUCUCAUUGCGUACACCUUCGUCAACUUCCAAAGGAUAUGAAAUAUAUGGCAAACCUCCGACACUUGUAUACCCAUGGAUGCAAAUCAUUGACGUGCAUGCCUCCAGGACUUGGACAGAUCACUUCUCUGCAGACUCUAACAUAUUUUAUUAUUGGUGAUGGCUUGGGAUGUAGUACUAUCAGAGAACUUCAAAACUUAAACCUUGGUGGAGAGUUAGAGUUAAGUGGUCUGCAAAAUGUAACAGAAGUGCUUGCAAAAGCAGCCAGUCUUGAAAAAAAAGAGAAACUCACACACUUAUCUCUCAAGUGGAAUGAUGAUGCCCGUGAGAAACCAGAUUAUUCUCAUAAUGAGGUGUUAGAUGCCCUUAAACCUCAUCACCGGCUAGAGAUGCUAAGAAUAAAGUCCUACAAAGGCACCAAUUUACCGUCAUGGAUAACAGAUCUUAGUCUGUUGCAGCACUUGACUGAGCUCCAUCUGCUUGGUUGUACGCUGUGCGAGGAAUUUCCUCAAUUCUGCCAUUUCAAAACCCUUGAAGUUCUGUAUUUGGAAAAGUUGAACAAAUUGCGAAGCCUAUGCAGCCAUACGGUGUCUACGCCAUUUCCAGCACUGAAGCAACUCCGGUUACAUGAUUUGGAGAGCUUGGAGAGAUGGGUCGCAACAGAAGGAAAAGAAGAUGAAUUAACCUUUCCUGUACUUGAGGAGGUUGAUAUAAAAAACUGUCCAAAGUUGACUAGCCUACCUGAAGCACCAAAACUCAUGUUUGUAAGGCUGGAUGAAACUCCGGUUACUAAUAAGCCUUGGGAAUCAUCACAGAAACUGGAACUAUCUUUGGGUGGCACAGAAGCCGCACCUCGAUCACAACUGAGAAUAUCUGGCAGCAACCUUUUCUUCAUAUCAAAACUGGAAAUGGUUUGGAAAUGGUUUGAACAUCUUGUAGAUUUCAGAAUUAAAAACUGUGAUGUGCACAUGUCUUCAAUUUCUAAGCUAUUAGUGCUGCGUGUCCGUGACACAGAAGCACUGCCUCAGAUAGAUUAUAAUUGGGAUUCAUCACAGAAACUGAAACUAUCUUUGGGUGGCACAGAAGCCGCACCUCUGUCACAACUGAGCAUAUCUGGCUGCAACUUUUUCUUCGUAUCAAGCCAGUCACAGCUAACACCUGGGGUCUGGAAAUGGUUUAGACCUGUUCGCUUCAGCUUAUAAGCCGGCUGAAAAGCUGAAACGACUGAUUUGUUGUGAGAAGAAAACACUGUUUGGUCGCUGAUAAGCCGGUUGAAUAAGCUGAAGCGAACGUGCUCCAACAUCUUGCAGAUUUCACAAUUAAAAACUGUGAUGUGCUCAUCUACUGGCCAGAAGAAGUGUUCCAAAGCUUGGUAUCUUUGAAGAACUUGAAGAUUAAGUCCUGCAACAAGCUAAUAGGGCCCACACAAGCGGAAGGUGGCGAACCUACACAAACAACAGAUCAAGUCCUGCCACAUCUAAACAGUAUAAGUAUACGCAGUUGUGAAAGCAUGGCACAGCUCUUCAUUCUUUCCCCAUCUAUCAGCUCUAUUGAUAUUCAGGAAUGCCCUAAGCUUGAGUUCAUAUGGGGAAAGGAGGAGCAUCUUGACACAUAUACAUCGCUGGAACAUUGCCGCGACCCUGCAUCCACCACUGGUACCCUAGAGCAAUCACAGUCUCCAAUUAUCCGUCAUUCAUGUCUCGUAAAUCUAGAAAUAAGAGGCUGUCAUAGCCUGGUAACACUUCCAAAUCUACCACCGUCCCUCAAACAGUUAUGCAUCUGCCGCUGUGAGAAGCUCUGCUCUGUGUCAGGAGACCUGUGUGCACUCGAGGAACUCCAUAUUUUUUACUGCAAUAAGUUAAAGUCAGUCAAUUCCUUGGGAGACCACCCAUCAUUAGAAACACUGUUUCUUUCUCGCUGCCGAUGCCUUGCAUCUUUAGGAUGUGAUGGUGGUCGUGGGAGUUACUCUGCUCUUCAGUGCCCAGCCAUAGACAUGAAGCAGUUUUACUAACGCUAUCAAACAGCUGCUUGACAGCUUUGAAGAUGAAGACGUAUCACACGUUCAUUUAAGCAUCUCUGAUGAAGGUACGACCUUUCACUUUCCUCUUAUUCAAUUUGUUUCCUUCAAAUUUCCCUGCUUUGCAUGCCCUCCUAUUUCACUCAUGUAACCCCACAUGCAUUUCAUUUUUGCUGUGCAGACAUGACCCAUUUGUCCUUAAAAAGCAUAAAGGAGGGCACUCACAUGUACACACGACUGCCAUCUGGAAGCUUCAUUAUUGCAAGCCUCGUCCUCACCAUCGACCAUCUGAUCUUGUGCUUGUCGAUGAGGCUGUCCAAACUCCAAAAGGUCAUCCCAUAUCUUCCUGUGCUUGUCACAUACGGUUUUAAAGGCAAAAUCAUAUGAAUGAAUUACAUAUGCGCCAAGAUCAAGUUUCACACAUCAGCAACUUCUGUAAAUACCAUAGAUAGUACCAUAACAUAAAGAGAGUAUUAAAUUUAUUACAUGGUCGAAAGUCUUUAAUACGAAUAACAAAACGAGUCUUUAUUCUAGCAACGGAACUCCAACAAUGACGACAACUCCACAUGAGUUGACUGGUGGCACACGUACACCUAGAACUCCUCGAAGUAUUGAAGGACCUCCUCAAUGUUGAUUUGGUCUGAGCAGCGGUUUUAGCAAAGGUGAGUACACUUUAUGGUCGGUACUCAGCAAGCGUGAAGAAUGUGUAGUGUAAGGCUAUUCAAGGAUGGGCUAUGGUUUAAUAGCAUUUCAGCAUUUUAAUUGGUUGGUCAAGUUUUAUUAGCAACAACUAAGUAUAAGUUUAUACCACCCAUGUUAAGCAUGCACAUAAAUGAAAAUAACAACAAUAAAUAACAUCAAUUUAAUUCAACUUCCAACAAAUUAAUUAUGUGAGGGUCCAGGCCCCCCAGCGAUCUCGCCAUAAAUGCACCACGUCUCUGGCACGCAGAAAGGCGCCCGUGCCCCUCGACGUGACCCGCCACAAGUACCCAAGCGGAACACUGUAGCCACAACCGCACAGGCUACAAUGGUCGCAGAUCCCCCUGAUUCGCAGCAGGGCACUCAUGGCUUGCGCCGCCCGGAGCAGGGGGAAGUCGCGCCCCGUGCAUCCGGCCAUAGGGACGCGACGUUCGCCUUCCGCGGGCUGUCAGCAAGAUGGCAGGACCAGCCGCCUCCCCCAACGGACACAGGUGCCACGACGAAACACCAUCAUCACGCCUGGCGGCGACAGCCGCCGAGGAGACCAUCGACGGGACGCGACGGCGGCCGCCCUCCUCCGGCAGACGCGCCGGCAGGGGCCGAAGGCCGGCGAGGAUGCCGGUAGCCUGGGGACUUGGUCCCUCUCCUUGUGUUUUAUUUUACCUAGCUUUGUUUAUCUCUUUUACUUCUCCUCACACCCGGUCUCUCCUGUAACCACGGUGGCCUCCUUGCGAUAUAAAAGGAGAACCGGGAGCCUGAGACGAGGGAGGCUUCCAAGCCAACAGAACACACUAAUACCCACCUAGAGCAUCAGUGCACACCCAAGAGACCUGGGACCAGCUCCCUCUCUCGCACUCCUGUAACCCCUACUACAGAACCCCGCGUGGGCAACACGAGCAGCUCCCGAUACUGGACGUAGGUCAUUCCCUUGCCCGAACCAGUCUAAACCCCGUGUCUCCCACGCCACCAUCCGAAGCCUUACGCGCAUAAAAGAAAUUUACUAGUCUAAGUCUUGAGCCGCUAAUCUUGACAAUGACAGUUGGCGCGCCAUGUAGGGGACCUUUGUGCGUACAUCAUCGGCUUCAGAUGGCCAACCACGACGCUGGCUCCAACGACAGGAGUCACCACCCCUCGCACGAGUGCUUCAUGGCCGACGUGCACUCCGAGGGAUCCAACGACGACGGCGCUGAAGGGAAGCGGCGCGCUCCCCCACCGCACGCCGCAGCUACGACUGAGGCCCUUGCCAGGGUCCCGGUGUGGCCACGACAGCCGGAGGUGCGCACGACGCCCCACCAGGAGGACGAGCACCGCCGCAACGAGGGCGGGGCGAGUCAUCGGGCCUGUGACGUCCAGCGGCGCAUCUGCGGGGACGAGGAUCAUCCCCAACUCUUCGCACGCGCCAGCCAGAACGUCGCCGCCGCGGCAGCCCUCCUCCGACGACUUCCCGAUCCGGCAACGCCCGAGGAGCGACAGGCCCGCCAGGAGGUACGCGACUUGCUUGAGUGUGCAGCAGUCCAGCAGGCAGAAAGCUCCGCGUCCCGGCAUCGCACACACGGCGCCAGCAGGGUCACACCCUCUGUGCCUAUCGAGAGGCGUGGAGGACCUGUCCAUCAACCUUCCUCCCGUGAGGGAAACCAGGCCUCGCCCAUUCGACGGACUCCACCACGCGCGGGUGACGGGGCUUCAUCCGUCCACCGUCGCGUCGGCCCCAUCCGCGACGCCCGUGAUGCCUUGGAUGCGCAGAGGCGCACCCGUGCGGACAGGGAGGAUAGAGCCGACUGCGGCUACCGCAUACACCGUGGUGGUCGCCACGACGGCGGAGAAAAUCGGAGCCCCAGCCCCAGCCCAGCGGGGCCCAGGGCCUUCUCCACACGCAUCCUGAACACGCCGUCCCCAGCGCGCUUCAGACAGCCCACCAAUGUGGCCAAAUACUUUGGGGAGAAAAACCCUGGGCCUUGGCUCAGCGACUACCGACUUGCCUGUCAGGCCGGUGGAGCGGAUGACAACCUGUUCAUCAUUCGCAACCUCCCACUGUUCUUGGCCGACUCGGUGCGAGCCUGGCUGGAACACAUCCCGUCAGGUCGGAUUCGUAACUAGAACGACCUGAAAGAAAUCUUUGUAGGGAACUUCCAGGGCACAUACAUGCACCCCGGGAACUCCUGGGACCUCUGGAGCUGCCGCCAGGAGUCGGGUGAGACUCUCCGAGAGUACAUCCGACGCUUCUCCAGAAACGCACCGAGCUCUCCAAUGUCGCCGACGCCGACGUCAUCGGGGCCUUCCUGGCAGGGACCUCCUGUAGGUCUCUGGUCCACGAACUGGGACGUGUAGGCCCACGGACCACCAAGGAGCUCCUCGACAUCGCCACCGACUUUGCCUCGGGCGAGGAGGCCAUCGGGGCGAUAUUCGAUCGCUCCAAGGGCAAGGCAAAGAGGGAGAAGGAUGCCGACGAAGGCGCCUCCACUCGCCAGAAGAAGAAAAAGGCCGCGGCGAAACCCCGAAGGCUGCGGAGGGACUCAAGCACGACGACGGAUGACGACAAUGAUGAUGAAGAUGAGGAUGAUGAUGAAGAAAGCUCUUCCGCUCUAUAAGGAGUGCGCGGCAAACGAAAUACGAGUCGACCGCAUCUAUUGCGACGUCAGGUACAUCCCAUCACCUCCGUCUUUCUCCGGAAACCGUACGCACGAUCUCUUUUUAACCGCAAGGAACACCACACCUCCUACCCCACGAGCUCGACGUUUUCUACCGCUUCGACUCCCAGAGGUCAUACGCACAACUUUCUCUGCAAGCGGACCAGGACCCGCUUCAGGUAAAAAAGGGAUACAGAGCUGAAACGCUCUUACGGCCCAUUACGGUCCAGGGGUUCGAAGGCUGGCCCUCUAGAGGGUUCGACAGCCGCCCCAGGACAUUCCCCGAGCAAGGGGUGAGAAGGGAUGGGUCCGCUAGCGGCCACCACCCAAGCGAGCGAAAGCCAAGGGCGUCCCGACCUCACGUUCGAGUCCGGGCUGGCGUCUAAGUUCAUGGUUUUUUCCCGAAGAAAGGCAACGAGCCCCCGAAUCCGAUCGAACGGACUCGGGAAUUAUAUGAACUGGCCAGCCGGAAUCUGGAGUACGCCACCAGCUUGGCCCGAGCCGGACCCCCCCGAACGGGGACCGGGACUCCACUCGAACCGACCCGUUCGCAGCUCAACGAGCACCACGGUUCGUCCAAUGAGGAUAGCGUGGCACGGCUCACCCCCUCCGUCCCAGCGAACGGACGCUUGAGGGGAAACGACCAAAAGCCGAUCUAGCCUCCCGAUCGGUCCCUUGCAACGCGCGGGGGCUCGGGGGCUAGCAUCGCAACCAAUGACCACGCGUGUGGUCGCGAUGUGAGGUCUCGAGGUGGGAGUGCCCUAUGGAGCAAUGAGGAGUCCUCCCGCGCCAAGUCAUCCACAGGACACCUCGCCUGAUCAAACUCCCCGACCAAACCGGACCAACAACACUCCUUAUCCCUGACCAACUGCAGCUUGCAGGGCGAGCAGAGAUCCUCGACGAGCGAUGAAAACAGCCUCUGGAGGAGCAUCCUUGCUCCACCACAGGCUCGGGGCUACUAUUGGGGGGAAAUAUUAACGACCUCCUGAUGCCCCCUAAAGCAGCAGUCAUAAAGGCCCGGGCCCACCUGUGGUAAUUACGAUUACCGCCGACCCAGCAGAGGUAGAGAACAUCCCACUCCGUCUCGCCCGACCCAGGGUCCAAGGGUCGGACAAUCCCGACCCCUCGAUGGCAGAACUCCGCCUCGCCCGACUUGCGGUCCCAGGGUCAGGAGCGCCCGACCCCUCGCCGCAAGGCUCCGCCUUGCCCGACCCCGAGCGUAGGGGGUCGGACUCAUACGGGCCCACGGGACAAGUGUCCACCUCGGGCGCAGACCGGCGGACGAGGGCGCGGAUCUUGUGGGCCCCCCAGCGAUCUCACCAUAAAUGCACCGCGGCUCUGGCACGCAGAAAGGCGCCCGCUCCCCUCGACGUGACCCACCACAAGUACCCAAGCGGAACACUGUAGCUACGACCGCAUAGGCUACAGUGGCUGCAGAUCCCCUGAUUCGCAGCAGGGCACUCAUGGCUUGCGCCGCUCGGAGCAGGGGGAAGUUGCGCCCGUCCUCGCGCCCCGCGCAUCCGGCGAUAGGGAUGCGACGUCCGCCUUCCGCGGGCUGUCAGCAAGAUGGCAGGACCAGCCGCCUCCCCCAACGGACACAGGUGCCACGACGAAACACCAUCAUCACGCCUGGCGGCGACAGCCGUCGAGGAGACCAUCGACGGGACGCGACGGCGGCCGCCCUCCUCCGGCAGACGCGCCGGCAGGGGCCGAGGCCGGCGAGGAUGCCGGUAGCCUUGGACUUGGUCCCUCUCCUUGUGUUGUAUUUUACCUAGCUUUGUUUAUCUCUUUUACUUCUCCUCACACCCGGUCUCUCCUGUAACCACGGUGGCCUCCUUGCGAUAUAAAAGGGAGAACCGGGAGCCUGAGACGAGGGAGGCUUCCAAGCCAACAGAACACACUCAUACCCACCUAGAGCAUCAGUGCACACCCAAGAGACCUGGGACCAGCUCCCUCUCUCGCACUCCUGUAACCCUACUACAGAACCCCGCGUGGGCAACACGAGCAGCUCCCGAUACGGGACGUAGGGCAUUCCCUUGCCCGAACCAGUCUAAACCCCAUGUCUCCCAUGCCACCAUCCGAAGCCUUACGCGCAUAAAGAAAUUUUACUGGUCUAAGUCUUGACCCGCUAAUCUUGACAACGACACAUUGGUUCAUUAAUACCACCAUACCCAGUUUGAGCAACUAAGCAAGAACUAUCCAACAUCAUGUAAACCCAUGUUGAUCAAGGUGUAGGGAUAAAACUAGGCACACCUUAAAUAUUUAUAUACUUAAAGUGCAUAGCAUAUGUGUAUUGAACAUGAAAGUAAAGGUUGCAUAGGAUCAAAUUGUGAUCAAGGGCAUGACUUGCCUUCUUGAACUUGCUCUUGCUGCUCAAAAGUCCUCAAAGCCUUGCCCUUUGAAUCCCUCGAACUGCAAUCCUUCUAUGUGCAUCAAGCAAGUACAUACAAGCAAACAAAAGACUAAAAUAACAAAACAUUACAUCAAGCAGUAGCAACAGAGCAAGACAAGACCAUAAAACUAAUCUAUGCAUCAACACGAACUCAUAGACCGCAAGAAUCGCUAUAAAAUGGGUUUAAAAUGUUAAAGAUAUGAGCUAAACAAGGUUCAUAAACUUAACUGCGAGAAAAACUAAACUUGUUAGGUACUAAACAUAAAGAAACUACGGAUUAAACCCUAUUAAAUGUAUAAAUCGAAGGGUUUACACAUAAAAGAGUACAUCUACGAUGGCAAGCGAUAUUUUAUAAAACUAAAGGGCUAAAACAGAGAAAAAAAGAUCCACAUCUAAUUACUUUUGGUAUAUAAGCUCUAAUUAAAUUGUUGCGUUUAGACUUUUAAAAGUAUCCGGUGGCACAAUGGACCGGCGUCCAUCCGUCCUGUGACCAGGCCUACUGGGCAACGCAUUCUCCAGAUGAAUCAUUGAGCCUGAAUAACAAAGAGACAAGCCUCACCAAUCACACAAUUUUUAGCUAGACGCAAUAUUAACGGUACAUGUAGUAUUGCAGGGAUAUCAAACGUUAUAAGGUACUUAAAAAAAUUCUGUGGAAGAUAUCGGGGGCUCCUAUGUAUCUCGUGGAAGAUAGAUAGGGGCUAUGAAACUUCCAACCCACCACCGCCCUAUUAAGAGGAUCUUUAGCAGUCUCCCUUUCCCCAAUCCAACUACCAUAUUGGAAGUAGACAAGAAAAAGUGCUCAUGCAGUCUCCCUUUACCUUUCCUUUUUCCCAAUAAUUACUGGGACGGCCCAAUAAUUCACUCCAACUCUCCCUAAAGGAGUUGUGACUCUCCGAGUACGGUAAAAGGAUGAGUUGUGACUCUCCGAGUACGGUAAUUAAAUUGGGAUGAGAUUAUUGGAGAGUGCAAAUGCAACUCUCCCAACGGUGAAUAUUUAUUGGGGACUACUGGAGAUGCUCUAAGCUCCUCUCCCUUCUCUUCUUCCCCGGUGACCCACCCUCGCCAUUUCCUUCGCCGUAAGGUGCUUAAAAAAAUCUUGUAAGGUGCUUAAAAAAAUCUUACCUUGCCCUUAUCAAACGUUGUAAGGUGCUUAAAAAAAUCUUGUGAAAGAUAGAUAGAAUUUCCGGGGCUCCUAUACACAUAGGGCAUCAAACUUCCAGCCCCACCACUGGCUCAUUAAGAGGAUCUCGAGCAAUCUUUGUUUCCCCAAUCCAACUACUAUAUUGGAGGAGUAGAUAAGAAAAUAGUGCUCCAACAAUCCCCCUUUACCUUGCCCUUUUCCCAAUAAUUUGGGACAAACCAAUAAUUCACCCGAACUCUCCCUAAAUAAAGGAGAGUUGAGACUCUCCCAAUACGGUAAUUGAAUUGGGAUGAGAUUAUGGAAGAGUGCAAAAGCAACUUUCCCAAUAACGGUGAAAGUGAUAUUAGGAUAUCCCUAUUAACNNNNNNNNNNNNNNNNNNNNNNNNNNNNNNNNNNNNNNNNNNNNNNNNNNNNNNNNNNNNNNNNNNNNNNNNNNNNNNNNNNNNNNNNNNNNNNNNNNNNNNNNNNNNNNNNNNNNNNNNNNNNNNNNNNNNNNNNNNNNNNNNNNNNNNNNNNNNNNNNNNNNNNNNNNNNNNNNNNNNNNNNNNNNNNNNNNNNNNNNNNNNNNNNNNNNNNNNNNNNNNNNNNNNNNNNNNNNNNNNNNNNNNNNNNNNNNNNNNNNNNNNNNNNNNNNNNNNNNNNNNNNNNNNNNNNNNNNNNNNNNNNNNNNNNNNNNNNNNNNNNNNNNNNNNNNNNNNNNNNNNNNNNNNNNNNNNNNNNNNNNNNNNNNNNNNNNNNNNNNNNNNNNNNNNNNNNNNNNNNNNNNNNNNNNNNNNNNNNNNNNNNNNNNNNNNNNNNNNNNNNNNNNNNNNNNNNNNNNNNNNNNNNNNNNNNNNNNNNNNNNNNNNNNNNNNNNNNNNNNNNNNNNNNNNNNNNNNNNNNNNNNNNNNNNNNNNNNNNNNNNNNNNNNNNNNNNNNNNNNNNNNNNNNNNNNNNNNNNNNNNNNNNNNNNNNNNNNNNNNNNNNNNNNNNNNNNNNNNNNNNNNNNNNNNNNNNNNNNNNNNNNNNNNNNNNNNNNNNNNNNNNNNNNNNNNNNNNNNNNNNNNNNNNNNNNNNNNNNNNNNNNNNNNNNNNNNNNNNNNNNNNNNNNNNNNNNNNNNNNNNNNNNNNNNNNNNNNNNNNNNNNNNNNNNNNNNNNNNNNNNNNNNNNNNNNNNNNNNNNNNNNNNNNNNNNNNNNNNNNNNNNNNNNNNNNNNNNNNNNNNNNNNNNNNNNNNNNNNNNNNNNNNNNNNNNNNNNNNNNNNNNNNNNNNNNNNNNNNNNNNNNNNNNNNNNNNNNNNNNNNNNNNNNNNNNNNNNNNNNNNNNNNNNNNNNNNNNNNNNNNNNNNNNNNNNNNNNNNNNNNNNNNNNNNNNNNNNNNNNNNNNNNNNNNNNNNNNNNNNNNNNNNNNNNNNNNNNNNNNNNNNNNNNNNNNNNNNNNNNNNNNNNNNNNNNNNNNNNNNNNNNNNNNNNNNNNNNNNNNNNNNNNNNNNNNNNNNNNNNNNNNNNNNNNNNNNNNNNNNNNNNNNNNNNNNNNNNNNNNNNNNNNNNNNNNNNNNNNNNNNNNNNNNNNNNNNNNNNNNNNNNNNNNNNNNNNNNNNNNNNNNNNNNNNNNNNNNNNNNNNNNNNNNNNNNNNNNNNNNNNNNNNNNNNNNNNNNNNNNNNNNNNNNNNNNNNNNNNNNNNNNNNNNNNNNNNNNNNNNNNNNNNNNNNNNNNNNNNNNNNNNNNNNNNNNNNNNNNNNNNNNNNNNNNNNNNNNNNNNNNNNNNNNNNNNNNNNNNNNNNNNNNNNNNNNNNNNNNNNNNNNNNNNNNNNNNNNNNNNNNNNNNNNNNNNNNNNNNNNNNNNNNNNNNNNNNNNNNNNNNNNNNNNNNNNNNNNNNNNNNNNNNNNNNNNNNNNNNNNNNNNNNNNNNNNNNNNNNNNNNNNNNNNNNNNNNNNNNNNNNNNNNNNNNNNNNNNNNNNNNNNNNNNNNNNNNNNNNNNNNNNNNNNNNNNNNNNNNNNNNNNNNNNNNNNNNNNNNNNNNNNNNNNNNNNNNNNNNNNNNNNNNNNNNNNNNNNNNNNNNNNNNNNNNNNNNNNNNNNNNNNNNNNNNNNNNNNNNNNNNNNNNNNNNNNNNNNNNNNNNNNNNNNNNNNNNNNNNNNNNNNNNNNNNNNNNNNNNNNNNNNNNNNNNNNNNNNNNNNNNNNNNNNNNNNNNNNNNNNNNNNNNNNNNNNNNNNNNNNNNNNNNNNNNNNNNNNNNNNNNNNNNNNNNNNNNNNNNNNNNNNNNNNNNNNNNNNNNNNNNNNNNNNNNNNNNNNNNNNNNNNNNNNNNNNNNNNNNNNNNNNNNNNNNNNNNNNNNNNNNNNNNNNNNNNNNNNNNNNNNNNNNNNNNNNNNNNNNNNNNNNNNNNNNNNNNNNNNNNNNNNNNNNNNNNNNNNNNNNNNNNNNNNNNNNNNNNNNNNNNNNNNNNNNNNNNNNNNNNNNNNNNNNNNNNNNNNNNNNNNNNNNNNNNNNNNNNNNNNNNNNNNNNNNNNNNNNNNNNNNNNNNNNNNNNNNNNNNNNNNNNNNNNNNNNNNNNNNNNNNNNNNNNNNNNNNNNNNNNNNNNNNNNNNNNNNNNNNNNNNNNNNNNNNNNNNNNNNNNNNNNNNNNNNNNNNNNNNNNNNNNNNNNNNNNNNNNNNNNNNNNNNNNNNNNNNNNNNNNNNNNNNNNNNNNNNNNNNNNNNNNNNNNNNNNNNNNNNNNNNNNNNNNNNNNNNNNNNNNNNNNNNNNNNNNNNNNNNNNNNNNNNNNNNNNNNNNNNNNNNNNNNNNNNNNNNNNNNNNNNNNNNNNNNNNNNNNNNNNNNNNNNNNNNNNNNNNNNNNNNNNNNNNNNNNNNNNNNNNNNNNNNNNNNNNNNNNNNNNNNNNNNNNNNNNNNNNNNNNNNNNNNNNNNNNNNNNNNNNNNNNNNNNNNNNNNNNNNNNNNNNNNNNNNNNNNNNNNNNNNNNNNNNNNNNNNNNNNNNNNNNNNNNNNNNNNNNNNNNNNNNNNNNNNNNNNNNNNNNNNNNNNNNNNNNNNNNNNNNNNNNNNNNNNNNNNNNNNNNNNNNNNNNNNNNNNNNNNNNNNNNNNNNNNNNNNNNNNNNNNNNNNNNNNNNNNNNNNNNNNNNNNNNNNNNNNNNNNNNNNNNNNNNNNNNNNNNNNNNNNNNNNNNNNNNNNNNNNNNNNNNNNNNNNNNNNNNNNNNNNNNNNNNNNNNNNNNNNNNNNNNNNNNNNNNNNNNNNNNNNNNNNNNNNNNNNNNNNNNNNNNNNNNNNNNNNNNNNNNNNNNNNNNNNNNNNNNNNNNNNNNNNNNNNNNNNNNNNNNNNNNNNNNNNNNNNNNNNNNNNNNNNNNNNNNNNNNNNNNNNNNNNNNNNNNNNNNNNNNNNNNNNNNNNNNNNNNNNNNNNNNNNNNNNNNNNNNNNNNNNNNNNNNNNNNNNNNNNNNNNNNNNNNNNNNNNNNNNNNNNNNNNNNNNNNNNNNNNNNNNNNNNNNNNNNNNNNNNNNNNNNNNNNNNNNNNNNNNNNNNNNNNNNNNNNNNNNNNNNNNNNNNNNNNNNNNNNNNNNNNNNNNNNNNNNNNNNNNNNNNNNNNNNNNNNNNNNNNNNNNNNNNNNNNNNNNNNNNNNNNNNNNNNNNNNNNNNNNNNNNNNNNNNNNNNNNNNNNNNNNNNNNNNNNNNNNNNNNNNNNNNNNNNNNNNNNNNNNNNNNNNNNNNNNNNNNNNNNNNNNNNNNNNNNNNNNNNNNNNNNNNNNNNNNNNNNNNNNNNNNNNNNNNNNNNNNNNNNNNNNNNNNNNNNNNNNNNNNNNNNNNNNNNNNNNNNNNNNNNNNNNNNNNNNNNNNNNNNNNNNNNNNNNNNNNNNNNNNNNNNNNNNNNNNNNNNNNNNNNNNNNNNNNNNNNNNNNNNNNNNNNNNNNNNNNNNNNNNNNNNNNNNNNNNNNNNNNNNNNNNNNNNNNNNNNNNNNNNNNNNNNNNNNNNNNNNNNNNNNNNNNNNNNNNNNNNNNNNNNNNNNNNNNNNNNNNNNNNNNNNNNNNNNNNNNNNNNNNNNNNNNNNNNNNNNNNNNNNNNNNNNNNNNNNNNNNNNNNNNNNNNNNNNNNNNNNNNNNNNNNNNNNNNNNNNNNNNNNNNNNNNNNNNNNNNNNNNNNNNNNNNNNNNNNNNNNNNNNNNNNNNNNNNNNNNNNNNNNNNNNNNNNNNNNNNNNNNNNNNNNNNNNNNNNNNNNNNNNNNNNNNNNNNNNNNNNNNNNNNNNNNNNNNNNNNNNNNNNNNNNNNNNNNNNNNNNNNNNNNNNNNNNNNNNNNNNNNNNNNNNNNNNNNNNNNNNNNNNNNNNNNNNNNNNNNNNNNNNNNNNNNNNNNNNNNNNNNNNNNNNNNNNNNNNNNNNNNNNNNNNNNNNNNNNNNNNNNNNNNNNNNNNNNNNNNNNNNNNNNNNNNNNNNNNNNNNNNNNNNNNNNNNNNNNNNNNNNNNNNNNNNNNNNNNNNNNNNNNNNNNNNNNNNNNNNNNNNNNNNNNNNNNNNNNNNNNNNNNNNNNNNNNNNNNNNNNNNNNNNNNNNNNNNNNNNNNNNNNNNNNNNNNNNNNNNNNNNNNNNNNNNNNNNNNNNNNNNNNNNNNNNNNNNNNNNNNNNNNNNNNNNNNNNNNNNNNNNNNNNNNNNNNNNNNNNNNNNNNNNNNNNNNNNNNNNNNNNNNNNNNNNNNNNNNNNNNNNNNNNNNNNNNNNNNNNNNNNNNNNNNNNNNNNNNNNNNNNNNNNNNNNNNNNNNNNNNNNNNNNNNNNNNNNNNNNNNNNNNNNNNNNNNNNNNNNNNNNNNNNNNNNNNNNNNNNNNNNNNNNNNNNNNNNNNNNNNNNNNNNNNNNNNNNNNNNNNNNNNNNNNNNNNNNNNNNNNNNNNNNNNNNNNNNNNNNNNNNNNNNNNNNNNNNNNNNNNNNNNNNNNNNNNNNNNNNNNNNNNNNNNNNNNNNNNNNNNNNNNNNNNNNNNNNNNNNNNNNNNNNNNNNNNNNNNNNNNNNNNNNNNNNNNNNNNNNNNNNNNNNNNNNNNNNNNNNNNNNNNNNNNNNNNNNNNNNNNNNNNNNNNNNNNNNNNNNNNNNNNNNNNNNNNNNNNNNNNNNNNNNNNNNNNNNNNNNNNNNNNNNNNNNNNNNNNNNNNNNNNNNNNNNNNNNNNNNNNNNNNNNNNNNNNNNNNNNNNNNNNNNNNNNNNNNNNNNNNNNNNNNNNNNNNNNNNNNNNNNNNNNNNNNNNNNNNNNNNNNNNNNNNNNNNNNNNNNNNNNNNNNNNNNNNNNNNNNNNNNNNNNNNNNNNNNNNNNNNNNNNNNNNNNNNNNNNNNNNNNNNNNNNNNNNNNNNNNNNNNNNNNNNNNNNNNNNNNNNNNNNNNNNNNNNNNNNNNNNNNNNNNNNNNNNNNNNNNNNNNNNNNNNNNNNNNNNNNNNNNNNNNNNNNNNNNNNNNNNNNNNNNNNNNNNNNNNNNNNNNNNNNNNNNNNNNNNNNNNNNNNNNNNNNNNNNNNNNNNNNNNNNNNNNNNNNNNNNNNNNNNNNNNNNNNNNNNNNNNNNNNNNNNNNNNNNNNNNNNNNNNNNNNNNNNNNNNNNNNNNNNNNNNNNNNNNNNNNNNNNNNNNNNNNNNNNNNNNNNNNNNNNNNNNNNNNNNNNNNNNNNNNNNNNNNNNNNNNNNNNNNNNNNNNNNNNNNNNNNNNNNNNNNNNNNNNNNNNNNNNNNNNNNNNNNNNNNNNNNNNNNNNNNNNNNNNNNNNNNNNNNNNNNNNNNNNNNNNNNNNNNNNNNNNNNNNNNNNNNNNNNNNNNNNNNNNNNNNNNNNNNNNNNNNNNNNNNNNNNNNNNNNNNNNNNNNNNNNNNNNNNNNNNNNNNNNNNNNNNNNNNNNNNNNNNNNNNNNNNNNNNNNNNNNNNNNNNNNNNNNNNNNNNNNNNNNNNNNNNNNNNNNNNNNNNNNNNNNNNNNNNNNNNNNNNNNNNNNNNNNNNNNNNNNNNNNNNNNNNNNNNNNNNNNNNNNNNNNNNNNNNNNNNNNNNNNNNNNNNNNNNNNNNNNNNNNNNNNNNNNNNNNNNNNNNNNNNNNNNNNNNNNNNNNNNNNNNNNNNNNNNNNNNNNNNNNNNNNNNNNNNNNNNNNNNNNNNNNNNNNNNNNNNNNNNNNNNNNNNNNNNNNNNNNNNNNNNNNNNNNNNNNNNNNNNNNNNNNNNNNNNNNNNNNNNNNNNNNNNNNNNNNNNNNNNNNNNNNNNNNNNNNNNNNNNNNNNNNNNNNNNNNNNNNNNNNNNNNNNNNNNNNNNNNNNNNNNNNNNNNNNNNNNNNNNNNNNNNNNNNNNNNNNNNNNNNNNNNNNNNNNNNNNNNNNNNNNNNNNNNNNNNNNNNNNNNNNNNNNNNNNNNNNNNNNNNNNNNNNNNNNNNNNNNNNNNNNNNNNNNNNNNNNNNNNNNNNNNNNNNNNNNNNNNNNNNNNNNNNNNNNNNNNNNNNNNNNNNNNNNNNNNNNNNNNNNNNNNNNNNNNNNNNNNNNNNNNNNNNNNNNNNNNNNNNNNNNNNNNNNNNNNNNNNNNNNNNNNNNNNNNNNNNNNNNNNNNNNNNNNNNNNNNNNNNNNNNNNNNNNNNNNNNNNNNNNNNNNNNNNNNNNNNNNNNNNNNNNNNNNNNNNNNNNNNNNNNNNNNNNNNNNNNNNNNNNNNNNNNNNNNNNNNNNNNNNNNNNNNNNNNNNNNNNNNNNNNNNNNNNNNNNNNNNNNNNNNNNNNNNNNNNNNNNNNNNNNNNNNNNNNNNNNNNNNNNNNNNNNNNNNNNNNNNNNNNNNNNNNNNNNNNNNNNNNNNNNNNNNNNNNNNNNNNNNNNNNNNNNNNNNNNNNNNNNNNNNNNNNNNNNNNNNNNNNNNNNNNNNNNNNNNNNNNNNNNNNNNNNNNNNNNNNNNNNNNNNNNNNNNNNNNNNNNNNNNNNNNNNNNNNNNNNNNNNNNNNNNNNNNNNNNNNNNNNNNNNNNNNNNNNNNNNNNNNNNNNNNNNNNNNNNNNNNNNNNNNNNNNNNNNNNNNNNNNNNNNNNNNNNNNNNNNNNNNNNNNNNNNNNNNNNNNNNNNNNNNNNNNNNNNNNNNNNNNNNNNNNNNNNNNNNNNNNNNNNNNNNNNNNNNNNNNNNNNNNNNNNNNNNNNNNNNNNNNNNNNNNNNNNNNNNNNNNNNNNNNNNNNNNNNNNNNNNNNNNNNNNNNNNNNNNNNNNNNNNNNNNNNNNNNNNNNNNNNNNNNNNNNNNNNNNNNNNNNNNNNNNNNNNNNNNNNNNNNNNNNNNNNNNNNNNNNNNNNNNNNNNNNNNNNNNNNNNNNNNNNNNNNNNNNNNNNNNNNNNNNNNNNNNNNNNNNNNNNNNNNNNNNNNNNNNNNNNNNNNNNNNNNNNNNNNNNNNNNNNNNNNNNNNNNNNNNNNNNNNNNNNNNNNNNNNNNNNNNNNNNNNNNNNNNNNNNNNNNNNNNNNNNNNNNNNNNNNNNNNNNNNNNNNNNNNNNNNNNNNNNNNNNNNNNNNNNNNNNNNNNNNNNNNNNNNNNNNNNNNNNNNNNNNNNNNNNNNNNNNNNNNNNNNNNNNNNNNNNNNNNNNNNNNNNNNNNNNNNNNNNNNNNNNNNNNNNNNNNNNNNNNNNNNNNNNNNNNNNNNNNNNNNNNNNNNNNNNNNNNNNNNNNNNNNNNNNNNNNNNNNNNNNNNNNNNNNNNNNNNNNNNNNNNNNNNNNNNNNNNNNNNNNNNNNNNNNNNNNNNNNNNNNNNNNNNNNNNNNNNNNNNNNNNNNNNNNNNNNNNNNNNNNNNNNNNNNNNNNNNNNNNNNNNNNNNNNNNNNNNNNNNNNNNNNNNNNNNNNNNNNNNNNNNNNNNNNNNNNNNNNNNNNNNNNNNNNNNNNNNNNNNNNNNNNNNNNNNNNNNNNNNNNNNNNNNNNNNNNNNNNNNNNNNNNNNNNNNNNNNNNNNNNNNNNNNNNNNNNNNNNNNNNNNNNNNNNNNNNNNNNNNNNNNNNNNNNNNNNNNNNNNNNNNNNNNNNNNNNNNNNNNNNNNNNNNNNNNNNNNNNNNNNNNNNNNNNNNNNNNNNNNNNNNNNNNNNNNNNNNNNNNNNNNNNNNNNNNNNNNNNNNNNNNNNNNNNNNNNNNNNNNNNNNNNNNNNNNNNNNNNNNNNNNNNNNNNNNNNNNNNNNNNNNNNNNNNNNNNNNNNNNNNNNNNNNNNNNNNNNNNNNNNNNNNNNNNNNNNNNNNNNNNNNNNNNNNNNNNNNNNNNNNNNNNNNNNNNNNNNNNNNNNNNNNNNNNNNNNNNNNNNNNNNNNNNNNNNNNNNNNNNNNNNNNNNNNNNNNNNNNNNNNNNNNNNNNNNNNNNNNNNNNNNNNNNNNNNNNNNNNNNNNNNNNNNNNNNNNNNNNNNNNNNNNNNNNNNNNNNNNNNNNNNNNNNNNNNNNNNNNNNNNNNNNNNNNNNNNNNNNNNNNNNNNNNNNNNNNNNNNNNNNNNNNNNNNNNNNNNNNNNNNNNNNNNNNNNNNNNNNNNNNNNNNNNNNNNNNNNNNNNNNNNNNNNNNNNNNNNNNNNNNNNNNNNNNNNNNNNNNNNNNNNNNNNNNNNNNNNNNNNNNNNNNNNNNNNNNNNNNNNNNNNNNNNNNNNNNNNNNNNNNNNNNNNNNNNNNNNNNNNNNNNNNNNNNNNNNNNNNNNNNNNNNNNNNNNNNNNNNNNNNNNNNNNNNNNNNNNNNNNNNNNNNNNNNNNNNNNNNNNNNNNNNNNNNNNNNNNNNNNNNNNNNNNNNNNNNNNNNNNNNNNNNNNNNNNNNNNNNNNNNNNNNNNNNNNNNNNNNNNNNNNNNNNNNNNNNNNNNNNNNNNNNNNNNNNNNNNNNNNNNNNNNNNNNNNNNNNNNNNNNNNNNNNNNNNNNNNNNNNNNNNNNNNNNNNNNNNNNNNNNNNNNNNNNNNNNNNNNNNNNNNNNNNNNNNNNNNNNNNNNNNNNNNNNNNNNNNNNNNNNNNNNNNNNNNNNNNNNNNNNNNNNNNNNNNNNNNNNNNNNNNNNNNNNNNNNNNNNNNNNNNNNNNNNNNNNNNNNNNNNNNNNNNNNNNNNNNNNNNNNNNNNNNNNNNNNNNNNNNNNNNNNNNNNNNNNNNNNNNNNNNNNNNNNNNNNNNNNNNNNNNNNNNNNNNNNNNNNNNNNNNNNNNNNNNNNNNNNNNNNNNNNNNNNNNNNNNNNNNNNNNNNNNNNNNNNNNNNNNNNNNNNNNNNNNNNNNNNNNNNNNNNNNNNNNNNNNNNNNNNNNNNNNNNNNNNNNNNNNNNNNNNNNNNNNNNNNNNNNNNNNNNNNNNNNNNNNNNNNNNNNNNNNNNNNNNNNNNNNNNNNNNNNNNNNNNNNNNNNNNNNNNNNNNNNNNNNNNNNNNNNNNNNNNNNNNNNNNNNNNNNNNNNNNNNNNNNNNNNNNNNNNNNNNNNNNNNNNNNNNNNNNNNNNNNNNNNNNNNNNNNNNNNNNNNNNNNNNNNNNNNNNNNNNNNNNNNNNNNNNNNNNNNNNNNNNNNNNNNNNNNNNNNNNNNNNNNNNNNNNNNNNNNNNNNNNNNNNNNNNNNNNNNNNNNNNNNNNNNNNNNNNNNNNNNNNNNNNNNNNNNNNNNNNNNNNNNNNNNNNNNNNNNNNNNNNNNNNNNNNNNNNNNNNNNNNNNNNNNNNNNNNNNNNNNNNNNNNNNNNNNNNNNNNNNNNNNNNNNNNNNNNNNNNNNNNNNNNNNNNNNNNNNNNNNNNNNNNNNNNNNNNNNNNNNNNNNNNNNNNNNNNNNNNNNNNNNNNNNNNNNNNNNNNNNNNNNNNNNNNNNNNNNNNNNNNNNNNNNNNNNNNNNNNNNNNNNNNNNNNNNNNNNNNNNNNNNNNNNNNNNNNNNNNNNNNNNNNNNNNNNNNNNNNNNNNNNNNNNNNNNNNNNNNNNNNNNNNNNNNNNNNNNNNNNNNNNNNNNNNNNNNNNNNNNNNNNNNNNNNNNNNNNNNNNNNNNNNNNNNNNNNNNNNNNNNNNNNNNNNNNNNNNNNNNNNNNNNNNNNNNNNNNNNNNNNNNNNNNNNNNNNNNNNNNNNNNNNNNNNNNNNNNNNNNNNNNNNNNNNNNNNNNNNNNNNNNNNNNNNNNNNNNNNNNNNNNNNNNNNNNNNNNNNNNNNNNNNNNNNNNNNNNNNNNNNNNNNNNNNNNNNNNNNNNNNNNNNNNNNNNNNNNNNNNNNNNNNNNNNNNNNNNNNNNNNNNNNNNNNNNNNNNNNNNNNNNNNNNNNNNNNNNNNNNNNNNNNNNNNNNNNNNNNNNNNNNNNNNNNNNNNNNNNNNNNNNNNNNNNNNNNNNNNNNNNNNNNNNNNNNNNNNNNNNNNNNNNNNNNNNNNNNNNNNNNNNNNNNNNNNNNNNNNNNNNNNNNNNNNNNNNNNNNNNNNNNNNNNNNNNNNNNNNNNNNNNNNNNNNNNNNNNGACGGCGUUACAAGUAAAGAAUUAGAAGGCUUAUAAUGGUUCUCCGGGAUGGGGUCCUUGGAGAAGGCCACCACUUUUUUCAGCAUUCGCUUGGAGGUGCAGACGUGCUCGCCUUUAGGCACUGCUCCUCAUUGUGGUGGCGCUUGAUGCGGAUGAAGUGGCCUGCCAGCAGCGCCAGGAUCGCCGCGCUAGCAGGUGUUGGAGGUAUGCCCUAGAGGCAAUAGAGAUGAUGAUUCCAUUUGUAUCCAUGAUUUAUAUUGUGUUCAUGAAUAUCCAUUAAAGGCUACUUGAAUUGAUUUGCAAUUAUGUGAAUUGUAUGUGAAACUCUUACUUGUAUGGUUAUUCUAAAGUUGUCCCUAGUCGGAGUUCAUGUGAGGACACACAUGAAUAUUAGACUAGCACAUGUAUUAGUUGAUGACUAUGUUCACAAGUCAUGGACAUGGAGAUGUUGAACUAAUAAUGUGGACACAUGUGGAGACAUGUGCUAGGACUGACCCAACACGAGAAGUAGUUCUCUCUUUAAACAACAUAUACGCUUUGUCCUUAGACCUGAGAUUGUCCAUGUAUUAUAGAUGUGGAUCGACCUACUUAGGGGCUAUCAAACGCUACGCCGUAACAGGGUAUUAUAAGGUAGCUUUCGGGUUUGAAAAGCAUGCUAUGAGACAUGUCAAUCAAGAUGGGAUUGCCCUCUCUGAUUGAGAGUGAUAUCUCUGGGCCCCUCGAGUGAUCGGAUCCGAAAAUGCAUGGCCAUGCUACGUACGGUUAAGAGUUAACCUACAAAGGGAUUUCGAAUCACAGGAUCGAGAAAAGCGGUCGGCUUGAAGCUAGACCAAAUAUCGUGAGGCAAAGGGAAGCAUAGCAUUAUGUUGUGAUGGUUUGUCUGAUAGAUCUUCGUGUGCGUAUAGGAGUUGGCACGUCUUGCUAGAGGCCGCUACCGACUAUUGGGCCGAGUAGGAGUACUCGGGCCAUGUCUAUACGUAUCCGAACCCAUAGGGUCACAUUAAGGGGCUGGAAGCCCAAUUCGGAUCUGAUCCGAGUUGGAUUAGGUUUAGAAGUACUAAUGGGCCUCGGACCCAGAGGCCCGUCAGGAACCUCUAUAAAUAGAGGGGUGGGGGGCCCUAGGUUUACACACUUCUUUUGGCGAAACACACCUGCCGCGCCUCCCACGCCCUCGCCUGUUGCAACUCGCGGAUCUAGCAGUCCGGCUUGCGACGCUUCCCUCCCUGCACGUGUGGAUACCUUGGAGGUGUUGCGCCUGCAGCACUUGGACGAGCCGCCGACGAGCCCCGACGAGCCACGACGAGCGACGAGCCGCGGCACCGGGGGCGAUCUUGCUGCACGUGGACGAGCUGCUGAGGAGCUGCUGGACGUUGACGUGAUCGACUGCGUACGACUACGUUGAUCGACUACGUGAUCGUCUUCACUGCAUCGACGCAUAUCUACAUCUUCCGCACCAGUAGUGCGUCGAGUGGUAAUCCCGUGAUCCUUAUACGGCAGUUCUUCCUGGUUUUACGCGUAGAAAUUUUGAUUUGCGCUAGUGUAGCCUCCUCGUAUCCCAACAGUGGUAUCAAAGCCUUAGCUGCUUAGUUUUGGAUUUGGGAUGUGUGCAUAUGGAGAUAUGCGAGUUUUUUCCGUUUGAUUCUAUGUCCUUGUUUUCGUGCCCUUGCUGCAAUGGUAGUGUAACGACAUACUCCUACCGGUCGGUUUCCGUCAUCGGAGUUAAGUGAUACACGUAAAUCCAGUUGCAGUGAGCGAAGAUCAAUAUGAUUGGUCGAAUCGAAAUCGAGGGUCAUACGGCCAGGCGCAUUAGAUGUGCAAUAGUAGUAGAUGAGAUUUACUGCCGGGGUCGGGAUUUUUUCCGUAUGCGUAUGCUUCGGUAAAACAGCCGUAACUUUUCGUACGAUCUCGGAUCGAGGCGAAUUGUAUAUGAAAAUUGAUCUACAGAAAAAGUUACACAUGAUUACGAUUGACUUUGUCGGUUUCGGCGAAAUUAGAUUUCCCAAAUUCGGCCUCUAAGAUGGAGUUUUGGGCCUCUGAAGUUUGGAACGUUAGAACGCCUAACUCUGUUUUGCAGGAUGUAUGUAUCUUGUGAUCAGUAUGGCCCCUUUGUGUAUGUGAUGCAUGUGUGUAACUCAUUCGUGACCUGCGUGUCGCGCGUACGGCAACACGGCAGGAGCCAUAUGUGUUGUCACUUUAUUGUAUUUAAUGGUCUGCGUACCAAUCUGUGAUGAUCCAAGCAACUAUGUAAUCUUCAUUACUAGCUUCUUUACUAGCUAUUAGGCGUAAUAGCAUGUUCUAGUUCUUGGAGGACUCAUCACCAGGAGGAUGGCGCACAUGGAACAUGGAGAUGGAGAUCCCCAUGGUGAACAGGUUCUAUGGAGAUGGAGAUCACCAUAUGAAAACGGGCCAUACUGUGUCACAACUGUGUGAAUGCUAUUCUGUUUAUGUUUUACUUUCUGCAUGCUGUGAUGUUAGAAGUAGAACGAUCCCGCACAAAGUUUAAGUUAGUAUGCCCUUCCAACUAAAACUUGCACCGUCCCAUGUCUUGUACAAUUAGUGGUGGGUCUAUGAAAUUAGGGUGCCACUAGUUUUCCUUGACUAGACGGUUUGUGUCGGACACUUACGCGCAUAAGGGUUGGUUUGCUUAACAAGGUUAUCUUAACGGUUAAGGACCUUGGGGCAUAAAGGUUGGGCGCCGAGACAUAGAGAUGUCACCCAACAACAGGAGUCAUAUGUGAUAUGAUUAGCAAAAGUUGCUUACCGAUCUACCUUGUUUGCUAGCAGUGAUGCUAAAGCUCACUAGUGGACUUGUUAGUUGUGGAUCCUGAAUCACUAAGUUUCAACAGAGGGAUAUUGAUUUUAGUGGGAGUAGAUUCUGUUAAAAUAGUUUAAUGUGAUUUGCCCUAUCAUGGAUACGUUUGUCUUAGUGUAUUUUGCAUUAUUUUGUUGUAGAUUAAAUGGCACCUAGCAGCACCGUUUGCUUUGCGUUCGGUCCUUGAGAAGGACAAGUUGAAUGGAACAAAUUACUCGGAUUGGAUCCGUAACUUGAGAAUUGUUCUCAGGGCUGAGAAAAAGGAAGAUGUUCUAGACAACCCACUACCAUAAGAACCUGCUGAUGAUGCACCCGCUGCUGCUAAGAAUGCUUACAAGAAAGCAUGCGAUGCUAACCUCGAAGUAAGCUGCCUUAUGCUUGCUUGCAUGGAACCCGAGCUGCAGAUGCAGUUCGAAACAAACCAUGAGGCGCACGAUAUGAUCGUGGCGCUUAGAGACAUGUUCCAAACACAGGCCAGACUGAAAGGUUCAAUGUGUCUAAGGCCUUUGUUGAGAGCAAGCUAGCAGAAGGCGCAGCAGUAGGACCACACGUAAUCAAGAUGGUUGGUUACACUCAACGGUUGGAGAAGCUAGGCUUCCCACUGGGCCAAGAGUUGGCCACUGAUUUCAUUCUUUCAUCUCUUCCGCCUAGCUUUGGGAACUUCAUCUCGAACUACCAUAUGCAUGGGACGGAGAAGGGUUUGAAUGAGCUGUGUGGCAUGCUUAAAACAGCAGAGGCUGACAUCAAGAAAAGCGCUAGUACCAGCCAUGUGAUGGCUAUACAGAAUAAGCCUAGCUUUAAGAAGAAGGGCAAGGCUGGAACGUCCAAGCCAAACCCAGCGCCCAAGGUUAAAGCUGGACCUGGACCUGCUCCAGACAAGGAGUGCUUUUACUGUCAUGAACUUGGUCACUGGAAGAGAAACUGCAAGCAGUACCUAGCUUUCUUGAAGAAUGGCGGAAGUAAGAGUACUUCUACCUCAGGUACGCUUGUUGUUAAUGUUAUAGACAACAUUUUUCUCGCUGAUACAAUUAUUAAUUCUUGGGUAUUUGAUACCGGAUCGGUUGUUCAUAUUUGCAAUUCGAUGCAGGGAAUGAUAAGAAGUAGAAGCGUGGAAAGAGGAGAAGUUGAUUUCCGCGUGGGCAAUAAUGCAAGAGUUGCUGCGUUGACCGUCGGGGACGAUGCAACUCCACCUCCCGUCAGGAUUUAUUAUGGAGUUGAAUAAUUGUUAUUUCGUUCCUAGUUUAAGUCGAAACAUUUUGUCUCCUUCAUGUUUGAUGAAGGAUGGUUAUUCAUUUGCGAGUGAAAACAAUGGUUGUGUGAUCUCUAAGAAUGAUAUGUUUUAUGACUUUUGCACCCAUUGUGAAUGGAUUAUUUGUUUUAAAUCUUGAUGGUUCACCUGUCUGUAACGUAAGUGCUAAAAGGCCUCGGCCUAAUGAUUUGAGUCCUACCUACUUGUGGCAUUGUCGUUUGGGUCAUAUAAGUGAAAAGCGCAUGAAGAAGCUCCAUUCUGAUGGACUUCUAACUUCGUUUGAUUUUGAAUCAUACGAGACAUGUGAGGCUUGCUUGCUAGGCAAGAUGACCAAGACGCCUUUCACAGGAUUUCCUGAGAGUGCAGUAGACUUGUUGGAACUCGUACAUAGUGAUGUAUGCGGAUCAAUGAGCACGACGGCUAGAGGAGGAUUCCAAUACUUCAUAACUUUCACUGAUGAUUUUAGUAGAUAUGGCUAUGUCUACUUGAUGAGGCACAAGUCUGAAACCUUUGAAAAGUUCAAGGAAUUUCAGAAUGAAGUUGAAAAUCAGCGUGGCAAGAAAAUUAAGGCCUUACGAUCUGAUCGUGGAGGCGAGUAUUUGAGCCACGAGUUUAGCAAUCAUCUAAAGAGUUGCGGAAUUGUUCCACAACUUACGCCGCCUGGAACACCUCAGAGAAACGGUGUGUCCGAGCGACGUAAUUGAACUUUGUUAGACAUGGUUCGAUCAAUGAUGAGCCAGUCGGACCUACCGUUGUCAUUUUGGGGAUACGCUCUAGAAACAGCAGCUUUCACACUUAAUAGGGUACCAUCUAAAUCCAUAGUUAAGACACCAUAUGAGAUAUGGACUGGAAAGGUUCCUAAUUUGUCUUUUCUAAAGAUUUGGGGAUGUGAAGUGUUUGUCAAGCGACUUCAGUCGGACAAGAUCACACCCAAGUCGGAUAAGUGCAUUUUCGUGGGAUAUCCAAAGGAAACUUUGGGAUAUUAUUUCUACAAACCGAUCAGAAGGCAAAGUGUUUGUCGCUCGGAACGGGGUUUUCCUAGAGAAAGAGUUUCUCAAAGGAGAAAAGAGUGGAAAGACAGUGCAUCUUGAAGAAGUUCAAGAUGAGCCGAUCGGGCAAGAAUCAAUGAGUGAUGCUAACGUAGCAGAACAAGUUGAGAUACCCAUGGCAAGAGAAGCACCGCCACAACCACGAAGGUCAGCAAGGCUCCGCGAAAUACGGGAAAUAUUAUCGUUGGACAAUGAUGAGCCUGCGACAUAUGCAGAAGCAAUGAUGGACCCAGACUCCGAAAAAUGGCAGAGUGCCAUGCAAUCCGAAAUAGAGUCCAUGGGAGACAAUCAAGUUUGGAACUUGGUUGACCCGCCUGAUGGUGUUAAAGCCAUAGAGUGCAAGUGGAUCUAUAAGAAGAAAAAGGACAUGGAUGGAAAUGUUCACAUCUAUAAAGCACGACUUGUCGCAAAAGGUUUUCGACAAGUUCAAGGAGUUGACUACGACGAGACCUUCUCGCCCGUAGUGAUGCUUAAGUCCAUUCGGAUUAUUCUAGCUAUAGCUGCAUAUUUCGAUUAUGAGAUAUGGCAGAUGGAUGUCAAGACAGCUUUCCUGAAUGGAAACCUAGCUGAGGACGUGUAUAUGAUACAGCCCGAGGGUUUUGUCGAUCCGAAAAAUGCUGGAAAGGUAUGCAAGCUUCAGAGAUCCAUUUAUGGAUUGAAGCAAGCAUCUAGGAGUUGGAACAUUCGUUUUGAUGAAGUGGUCAAAGGGUUUGACUUCACCAAGAACGAAGAAGAGUCUUGUGUUUACAAGAAGGUUAGUGGGAGCUCUGUAGUAUUUCUAAUCUUAUAUGUGGAUGACAUAUUACUGAUUGGAAAUAACAUUCCUAUGCUUGAGUCCGUAAAGACUUCACUGAAAAAUAGUUUUUCGAUGAAGGACUUAGGGGAAGCGGCAUAUAUUCUGGGCAUUAAGAUCUAUAGAGAUAGAUCGAGAAGGCUUAUAGGUUUAAGCCAAGAUACUUACAUUGACAAAGUGUUGAAGCGGUUCAGCAUGGAAGAGGCAAAGAAAGGGUUCUUGCCUAUGUCACAUGGCAUACAUCUCAGCAAGACUCAGUGUCCUUCGACUGCUGAUGAGCGGGAUCGCAUGAGUAGAGUGCCAUAUGCCUCGGCUAUUGGAUCUAUCAUGUAUGCAAUGAUAAGUACUCGCCCAGAUAUUUCAUAUGCGUUGAGUAUGGCAAGCAGACACCAAUCUGAUCCAGGUGAGAGUCACUGGACAGUGGUGAAAAACAUUCUUAAGUACUUGAGAAGGACUAAAGAUAUGUUCCUCGUCUAUGGAGGUGAGGAGGAGCUCGUUGUAACAGGUUACACCGAUGCUAGUUUCCAAACCGACAGAGAUGAUUCAAAGUCACAAUCAGGAUUUGUGUUCACGCUAAAUGGUGCUGCUGUUAGUUGGAAGAGUUCCAAGCAGGAGACGGUGGCCGAUUCUACGACAGAAGCCGAGUACAUCGCGGCUUCGGAAGCCGCGAAGGAAGGUGUUUGGAUAAGGAAUUUCCUCAUUGAGCUUGGUGUGUUCCCGAAUGCGUCCAGCCCAUUGAAUCUCUAUAGUGAUAACAAUGGGGCAAUUGCGCAAGCAAAGGAGCCAAGGAACCACCAGAAGAACAAACACGUAAUGCGGCGAUUUCAUCUCAUUCGAGACUUCGUUAACCGGGGUGAGAUCAAGAUAUGCAAAAUACACACGGAUCUGAACAUUUCUGAUCCGUUGACAAAACCACUCCCGCAGGCUAAGCAUGAUGCGCAUGUUAGAGCUAUGGGUAUUAGGUACCUUCUAGAUUGACUCUAGUGCAAGUGGGAGACUGUUGGAGGUAUGCCCUAGAGGCAAUCAUAGAGAUGAUGAUAUUCCAUUUGUAUCCAUGAUUUAUUAUUGUGUUCAUUGAAUAUCCAUUAAAGGCUACUUGAAUUGAUUUGCAAUUAUGUGAAUUGUAUGUGAAACUCUUUACUUGUAUGGUUAUUCUAAAGUUGUCCCUAGUCGGAGUUCAUGUGAGGACACACAUGAAUAUUAGACUAGCACAUGUAUUAGUUGAUGACUAUGUUUCACAAGUCAUGGACAUGGAGAUGUUGAACUAAUAAUGUGGACACAUGUGGAGACAUGUGCUAGGACUGACCCAACACGAGAAGUAGUUCUCUCUUUAAACAACAUAUACGCUUUGUCCUUAGACCUAAGAUUGUCGCAUGUAUUAUAGAUGUGGAUCGACCUACUUAGGGGCUAUCAAACGCUACGCCGUAACAGGGUAGUUAUAAAGGUAGCUUUCGGGUUUGUCAAGAAGCAUGCUAUGAGACAUGGUCAAUCAAGAUGGGAUUUGCCCCUCUCUGAUUGAGAGUGAUAUCUCUGGGCCCCUCGAGUGAUCGGAUCCGAAAAUGCAUGGCCAUGCUACGUACGAUUAAGAGUUAACCUACAAAGGGAUUUCGAAUCACAGGAUCGAGAAAGAGUGGUCGGCUUGAAGCUAGACCAAAUAUCGUGAGGCAAAGGGAAUAGCAUGUAUAUUAUGUUGUGAUGGUUCGUCUGAUAUGAUCUUCGUGUGCGUAUAGGAGUUGGCACGUCUUGCUAGAGGCCGCUACCGACUAUUGGGCCGAGUAGGAGUACUCGGGCCAUGUCUAUACGUAUCCGAACCCAUAGGGUCACACACUUAAGGGGCUGGAAGCCCAAUUCGGAUCUGAUCCGAGUUGGAUUAGGUUUAGAAGUACUAAUGGGCCUCGGACCCAGAGGCCCGUCAGGAACCUCUAUAAAUAGAGGGGUGGGGGCGCCCUAGGGUUUACACACUUCUUUUGGCGAAACACACCUGCCGCGCCUCCCACGCCCUCGCCUGUUGCAACUCGCGGAUCUAGCAGUCCGGCUUGCGACGCUUCCUCCCUGCACGUGUGGAUACCUUGGAGGUGUUGCGCCUGCAGCACUUGGACGAGCCGCCGACGAGCCGCCGACGAGCCACGACGAGCCGACGACGAGCCGCGGCACCGGGGGCGAUCUUGCUGCACGUGGACGAGCUGCUGAGGAGCUGCUGGACGUUGACGUGAUCGACUGCGUACGACUACGUUGAUCGACUACGUGAUCGUCUUCACUGCAUCGACGCAUAUCUACAUCUUCCGCACCAGUAGUGCGUCGAGUGGUAAUCCCGUGAUCCUUAUAUGGCAGUUCUUCCUGGUUUUACGCGGUAGAAAUUUUGAUUUGCGCUAGUGUAGCCUACCUCGUAUCCCAACAGCAGGGGCCACCACGCGUCUACCAUCGCCUCGGGAGCUUGCGUGAAGUCAGGGCUGCACGGAUCAGAUUUGGCCAAAUCCCCACCAGCUGCUGGGAUGCAUGAGGAAAUUGUGUGCCGAGAAGAAGCGGGAGCACUGGUGGAGAACUCACUUUUAGUCCCAGUCGGUAGAGAGCAAAUCUCCUGAAAAAUCAUCUGGAAUAAAAUAAUCGAGACAAAAGGGGUACAAACCGGGACUAAAUGGUUUUGCAAAAAACAAAGAAAUCAUCACAAGUCACAAGGCACGUGAUUUUUCACAUGAAAUAUGCAUGUGCACGGUCCGUGGGAUUCGAACCCAUGACCUCAAGCCUCACGCGUAGCUUCCUUGCCAUCGCACCUACACAGCACAUCUGACUAUAUAGGGGAUGCAAUCCUUUUAUAUUAACUCGUGGGGAAGCUUUUUAUCCUGGUUGGAAACACCAACCGGGAUUAAAGACCACCUUUUAUCCCGGUUGGUGUUACCAACUGGGAUAAAAGGGGUUGAGGGUUUUACUCCUUUUUUAGCCACCCGUGGGGGACCGUUUUAUCCCGGUUGGAAACACCAACCGGGAUUAAAGACCCCUUUUAUCCCGGUUGGUAACACCAACCGGAAUAAAAAGGAUCGAGGGCUUAAGUCCUUUUUCAGCCACCCAUGGGGAUUCUUUUAUCCUGGUUAGAAACACCAACCGGGAUUAAAGACCCCCUUUUAUCUUGGUUGGUAACAAGGGCUUUAGUCCCGGGUGGUAACACCAACAAGGAUUAAAGGGGGGUAUUUAGUCCCAGUUGGUCUUAGCACCCGAGACUAAAGGGUCCCCACGGGUGGCUGAUUUUUUCAACCAGGACUAAAGGGUCUCCCACGGGUGGAUGAUUUUUGACUCAGGACUAAAGGCCUCACUUUAGUCCCGGUUGGUAUUUGACCUAGGAUUAAAACUCCUUUAAUCAUGGGCCUACUUUAAAUCAGGACAAAAGGGGGCGCAUGGAAAGUCUGUUCUCUACUAGUGGAGGAAGAGGUGGAGAAUUAGUGGUGGCACCUUGGGACGAACCGGUGGAGGGAGGCGAGGGUUUUAGGUGAGGACGAUGAGGUGGCACCACUCCCUUUUCCCCGAUUCCUCCAAUCUGUUGUGCGAGAUGCUUUAACUGUCUCUAUAUAAUUGAUAUGGUUAGAUAUGUCAUUCCGUGGUAGCACCUCGCGAUCACAAUGUGUGCCUCUAUAUAUGUUGUGCCAAUGCAGUCCAUUCGAGGGGUACCAUAGCGUGGCUGACCUACUUAAAAUGAAAGGCCUAGACCACUUCUGCAACAACACAGUCUACCCCUAUGUUUACAACCUGACUUCCUCUUACACCGACCAGAACAAUGAGGCCACCAUGGUGACCACCACCUUGGUCAUGUUUAUGCUGGCCGUGUUCUUCUUCAACCUCAACCUCUUCAGCCGCUUCUCGGACGUGAGCGCAAUUCUCAACCCUAGCGUCCGCCUCUUCCUCUCCACCUCCCUGUCCCUCUUCCUGCCGGUCAUGUCCUACCUCUUCUCCGAGGCCAAGAACCAAGGUGCAACCAUGGCUGCUAGUACUAGUAGCUCCAGUUAUGGCCCGCUCGGCGACGAGCUGUCACUUCGAGCUAGGACGAUCCUCAUGUGGAUGCUUCUUGUGGAGCUCCUCCGCAAGAAGGUGGAGGCCGUCCUGGUCAACGUGGGCAUGCAAUGGUACUCAGGCGCCAUCGAUCGGUUCGCCCGCAUUGUUUGGCUCGGCUACCUCGUCUUCUACAAUCUCAAAAGCCCUGGCAAGAAGGCGAUCUACGGCACCUUAUGGGUCCUCACUGCUGCCAAGUUCCUGCAAAGGGUCGUGGUCAAGAUGGUGCUGGAGCGUUCCUUCGCCUACGGAAGGAACACCCAGCUGCUCAACUCAUACAUGGCCCAGAUCAUCCAACAACAAGAGCAAGAGGAGCACGUGGAAUCGUUGGAGCUCUUGAAGAACUGCAAGUACACCGUGAUGAGAGAAGACAACCUGGAAAGGACGGCUGGUCGGCAUGGCUACCAGGUCGAGCUGAAGAAGGCAACCGUUGUCACCAUUGGUGACAUUUGGACGCAGGCAGCAGCCGAGCCGGACAGCCUCCUCCGGAGAGAACACCUCAGAAGGCUCUGCCUCUCCUUUGCUCUCUACAAGCUGCUGCGCCGGAGGUUCGAGGACAUUCCCACAACAAGAGAGGAGACCCGGAACUGCCGGAACCUCAUCUUCAAGGGCAUGUUGAAGGAGGAGGCGGAGCAAGGUGCCGAGGUCGCACUGUUCCAAGUCUUCAACGAUGAGACCCAGUUCGUUUGCGAGUACUACCAUUCCGUCCUACCCGUCGUGCUGUCCGACCCUUUCUUCUUCCUAGCCAACUACAUCUUGUUUCCCAUUGUAGUUUGUGCCUUCUGCCUCCUAACAUUAAUCAUUUGCGGCAAUGGGAGCGUGGUCUACGCCUACCAUAGCAUCAAAAGUGACAACUACAUCAUAGACACUGGCGCGAUGACGCUGACCAGAUGCCUCCUGAGAAACAUCACCCAUUCACCCGCGGUGCUAUUCGCCAGCAUCGACCUCGGCACCACCACUCUGCUUAUCCUGGCCUUCGUCUACGAGGAAGUCGUGGAGGUCCUCGUCUUUAUCCUCUCCAAUUGGCUCAUUGUGUCGCUCCUCUGUGAGUACACUGCCAAGCUCCACUGGCGGCAGAGCCGCAUCCUAUGUCGGCUCAUCCGCGGCAUCCUGUGGGUGCGAAGCAUGCUAAGCCACCCUAACCUCUGCUUCAAGCAGCUCUCCGUGCUAGGGUUCUUCCAACUGUCGUCGCCUUCGCCCUUCAUGGUGCCAACCAAGGCAGUGCCCAAGGAAGUAACGAAGUCAAUCGUGGAUUAUCUGGUGGCUCACUUGGAUGUCUAUGGCGUCGAUGGCCAUGCCGACCCUCUCAAUUUGGCCUGGUCCUCCACACUUCAACUGGAGAAGCACAGGGCAUACCGUCCCCUGCUCUUGCCAGUGUGUGAGAGCAAGAGCAUUGCUGAGUUCAUCCUCACCUGUCACAUUGCCACCGCCCUAAUGGAGGUGAGGUACCCACAGGACGAAAAGGAAAUGGGAUCUCAUAGCAAGGUGGCGAUAACACUAUCCAAGUACUGCACUUACUUGGUGGGCUUUUACCCGGGGCUUCUUCCGGACGACAAGAAUGGGACAGAGCACACUUACAAGAAUAUGAAGGAGGACAUGAAUAAGGAGCUUGGAGGGUGCUGGCGGUACCACCUGUCGCUGCAGGGAACCAGGUACAAGAGGCUGAUGGAGAUCGGCAAAUCGCAGCGAAAGACCAUGACAAUGGUGCACAACGGGGCCAAGUUAGGGACAGCACUGAUCGAGAAGGCCGAGGAGAACAAUGAGGCGCGUGAGCGCGUGUGGGAGCUGCUGAACGACCUUUGGACGGAGGUCAUGGUGUAUGUGGCGCCAUCGGCCGGCGACCUCCACGUGAAGGCCCACAAGGAGGCGCUGGCGCGCGGCGGUGAGUUCAUCACCGUGCUCUGGGUGCUGUGUACGCACACCGGCAUGACCAGGCCGGCCGUCGCACCGUGGGAGGCAGCACGUCGUGCGUUUGAACCAUAGAGCAUUGGCUUCCCGUGUGUGCCGAUGUUUCGUCUGACAUGCUUCAUCCUGGUACUAAUCCUAACACUAGUACCGGGUCAUAAUAUGUGACGUGAAUGCACGGGUUGAUGCCAGUAAUUCCUAAAGAGAUGUGCUGAGGCCCGGGGGUGGCGUGCUGGCUUAAAAGAAUGGAAAGAAACGUAGAUAUGGCACACACAUGCUUGAUCUCAGUCGAUGCUUUAACUGUCUCUAUAAAUUUGAUGUGGUUAGAUAUGUCAUUCUGUGGUAGCACCUCGCGAUCACAAUGUGUGCCUCUAUAUAUGUUGUGCCAAUGCAGUCCAUUAGAGGGAGUAUCGUAGCAUGCACUACAGGAUAUAGCAGCUUUGCCGAGUGCCCCCCAAGAACACUCAGCAAAGGGUUACACUCGAAAAACGACACUCGGGAAACUUUCUACCGGCAAACGCUAGUUGCCUAGUGUUUUUUGUCAGGCACUCAGCAAAAAGUUGCCGAGUGCAAAAAAACACUCGGCAAACUUUUUUUCGAAAAAAUAAAGAAAAGAGGCACGACGCCACCGCCACGAUCCAUGCCCGCAGAGCACCACCAUCCACGCCCGCACCACCAGCACCGCCACCGCCAUCAUCCACGCCGGCCGCCGCCACCACAUUCCACGCCCGCACCACUAGCACCGCUGCCACCACCAUCGACGCCCGCCGCCACCGCCACCAUCCACGCCUGCCUCCACGGCCACCAUCCACUCUGCGAACGGAUCCGGCCACCACCAUCCAUCCAUGCCACCACCACCAUAGCCAUCCAUCCACGCCCCAGAUCCGGCCGCGGACGGCCGCCACCGGCCGAAUCCGGUAGGGGGAGGGCCUGAGGGGAGGGGCGCCGCGUAGAGGGAGUUGAGGGAGGGGAGGGGCAUGGCACGCAGAGAGGGAGGAGAGGGCACGACGGUGUCCGGAUCCAGCCAGGAGAGGGAGGGGUGCCGCCCGUCGGAGAGGGAGGGGAGGGGCGCGGCGCGUAGAGAGGGAGGAGAGGGCGUGGCGGUGGCCGGAUCUAGCCAGGAGAGGGAGGGCUGGAAAGGGAGGAGAGGGAGGCGAGGGGGCGGCUCGGCCGUGGCUCGCGGGGAGGGUCCGGGUGCGGGAGGGAGGGGAAGGGGCCAGGUGUGGGUGUGGGUGGGUGGGUGGGGGCUGAGUUUUUGGCCGGGGAUGGGGCACGUGCGUAAGUCGGCAAAUCCCUUCUUUGCCGAGUGUUUCUUUUUUGCCAAGUGUUUUUUGCUCAGCACUCAAUAAAGAUCUUGUUUGCCGAGUGCCCGAGGGAAAACACUCGGCAAACAUAAAAACACUCAGCAAAUUUGUGGUUUCCGGUAGUGGUGGCUGAACUACUAAAAAUGAAAGGCCUAGACUCAUUCUGCAACAACACAGUCUACCCCUAUGUUUACAACCUGACUUCCUCCUACACCGACCAGAAAAAUGAGGCCAACCACAACCUCUUCAUCCGCUUCUCCAACGUGAGCGCAAUUUUCAACACUACUAUAGAAAACAGAGCUUUAGUCCCGGUUGGUAAGAGUCAUAGAUCCCAAAAAUCCAACCGAGACUAACUAUUCGAGGCUAAAGGAGUCCUUUCAUCCUAGGUCAUUCACUUGAGACUAAAGGGCCCCCCUUUAAUUCCAGUUGGUAUUACCAACUGCGACUAAAAAGUUUCAAAAAAAUAAAAAAAAGCCACUCGUGCCUGCCGCCUACCUGCCUCCCACGGCCGCGCUAGCCUCACGCCGCCCGCUCGCGCCCGUGCCAGCCGCUUGCCGCCCAUGCCCGUGCCGCCUGCCUGCCUUCCGUGUGCCCGCGCCGGCCGCGCGCCCGCACCCGCCCGGCCAGCCGCCCACGCCUGCGCCGGAGCCUGGAUGAAAGGGACAGGAGGAGGAGGAAGAAGAGAUAAGGUGGAAAGGCCUUGCAUGGGAGAUAAGAAAGGGAAGGGAGGAGAUAAGUGGAGAGAGAGAGAGAGAGUGGGAGGCGACAAAAUUUUGUCCCGGUUGGAAUUUUCAACCGGGACAAAAGGUUUAGAUUGCAAACCGGGACAAGGGGGCGUCGAUGCCAUAUUUUUUAGCUGUUACAACCAGGCCUACAACCGGGUCCCCCCGUCGGUGGCCUUCGGUGCCUUAUUUUUGAGCAAGGACUAAAGGCAUUUUAGUUCUGAGUCCAAAGUCAAUGGGAUAAAAGUACCAGGAUGGAAUGUCAGUUCUCUAGUAGUGCAACCCUAGUGUCCGCCUCCUCCUGUCCACCGCCAUGUCCCUCUUCCUGCAUGUAACACUUUCACACAUGCAUGUAACUUGAUUAAUCUUCUCAUGCGUGUUCACAACUAACGCAUGGAUGAAAAACAUGUGAAGAUUAAUUUCCAACACUUUUUUCUUCUAUAGAUAGUUUCCACUAAGUGGUUCACCACAUAAUAAGGAUGUUGGUCGUUAAAUAUAGGUUUAAUCAGGUGGCCCUAGUCCGUCGGACUAUACCAUUGGAAGUUUAUUUAAUUUUUAGGGGAGUAUAUCUAGAUUUGGGUUUAAUCAGGGAACCCCUUAAGAUAAACUUACUUGGAGCUAAAAUUUAGAUACUCGUCUGUGCAUAUCAUCGAUCAAAAAAUUAUUGUGUACAUCAAUGAUCGAACUUAAAUUAUUAUAGAUACUGUUAGCAAUGCAUAUAUCUCAAAUAUUGCUUCGCUUUAGCUAAAGAAUAGGAUCGAUGCUAGAAUGAAAGCGUCAAAAGAAAAACAUAAUGAUGAAGGCAUUAGGUCCUAUCUUUUGGGGCCAAGAUUCCUGCUGAUAUUGAGUAGGAUGGCAUGGGUUCCCUCCCUUUCUAGGAACCCAUGCAAUCCUACUUUCGUUAUCAAUAUCAGCAGGAAGCUAGUAAUAGUGGCUCCAAAACAUAGGACCUGAUGCCUCCAUCUUUCAUUCUAGCAUCCAAUUCUUUAGUUAAAGCGAAGUAAUAGCUAAGAUAUAUGCCUUUGCUGUAGUACAACUGUACGCACAAUAACUACAGUAUGACCAUGUAUGUUCCUGCAUGCAGUUAUAUCUUUCUGGGGUCACUACGGGAAUCAGGAGGUUUGUCGAGUGCUUGGUGCACUCGGCGAAACCCUAAAGACACUCGGCAAGUGAAAAUAAAGUGAUAGGAUGCUAGAAUGAAAGUGCCAAAAGAAAAACAUAAUGAUGAAGGCAUCAGGUCAUCUCUUUUGGGGCCAAGAUUCCUGCUGAUAUUGAUAACAAAACAAGGAUACCAUGGGUUCUCUCCCAUUUGGAACUAUAUGUGACAAAAGUUAUGCUAGUAGCUUAAAUGCUAAGGCUUGCUCAUCCUUUGAAUUGUUUUUCUUUGGCGCCCCUGUCAUUUGAGCCUUUUGAUAAAGUAAAGGAGAGGAGAAUAAGCACUAAGAAAGACCAACAGCUAGGUGUUACACCAGUAGAGAACUGACUUUCGAUCCCUCCCUUUAGUCUAGGUUUAAUUUAGGCCCGGGAGAAAAGGGGGUGCGCCACAGUAGGCUGGAAUGGGGCGCACCUUUACUCCCGGUUGGUAUUUGCAACCGGGACUAAAGACCACCCUUUUAUCCCGGUUGUAAUGGCUAGAAUUCGAGCACCGACGGCGCCACCCUUUAGUCCCGGUUGGAGCCACCAACCGGGACAAAAGAUCCAACCUUUUGUCCCGGUUGGAGUUACCAACCAGGAUAAAAGAUUUACUCCCGGUUGGUAUUACCGGGACAAAAGGUUGGAUCUUUUAUCCCGGUUGGAGCAUAGAACUGGGAGUAAACUUAAACCGGGACAAAAGGGGGUCCUUUUUGUCUCGGUUGUACUUUUAAACCAGGAUAAAAAUUCAUCCCACCGUUAAAAACCAAGGCAGAGGCCUUUCUUCCUCUUCCAGCCCGAGCCGCUCCACAAUGCUUCACCUCUUGGCGCCGAAGAAAUCCUAGGGGAGGUCCUGCCAAAAAAAAUUUCCUCAUUUCCGUGGGGAUUUUGGUCAUCCAAAGUGUUGUGAAGGUUAGCUACUCCAUCCUCUACUCAUUUAUUGUUGUUAUGCUUUGUUUUAUGCUUUAUAUAUAGUGAGAUAGAGGGAGAAAAUUGAGUUUUCUUGUUAGAAAGAGAGAGAGAUUGAAGAGGAUUUGUUUGCUUGAUAGAGAUGGAUAGUUUGCUUGAUGUGUAGAAUGGUGAUGGAUAUAUAUAUAUAUAUAUAUAUAUGUGUGUGUGUGUGUGUGUGUGUGUGUGUGUGUGUGUAGUUUGCUUGAUGUGUAGAAUGGUGAUGGACAUAUAGUUUAUUUGCUAGAAUUUUUCAUAGAAAUUAUGGAGAGUUUAUCUUGUGAUGGAUUUUAAGGUGCAAUGUGAGUGAUAUCAUGGAGAGUUUAUCUUGUCAAAUUCAAUAUGGAGAGUUGUUGGCGCAAAAACCGAACGGCUCGUCCGAUCCUCGCAUCGGACACAUGACUCGAGAGAAUCUCCUUAGCUCCUAUUAGGAUUUCGCCCUGGUGCGGUUCGCGCGGCGUGCCAGUCAAUCUGACCUGUUGAUUGACAAGGAAAAGAGCACGUGUCAGAUGCAAAGAGCUGAUCGGCUGGGUUUCCGAUCCGCUCCGAUGACGUAUCAGCAGAGCGAUCCGCCGAUAUUAGGUGAAAGGUGACCGGCAGGAGUCUGCCGAUGACCGUGUAGCAAUGUAAAGGAAAUUACGAGAAUAACCGAUACAAGGCUACGUGACAACACUCGAAACAGAUCUGAUCGGCCGUAUGGUGAUGACAGAUAACAGAGCAGGGUGGAUGGCCGAUAGCACGUGUUUCAAGCUGGGUAACUGGUGAUAAAAGCUAAAACAAUAGAGAAAACCCUACAGCUCUAGCAGAUAUCGAUAAUUGGUGAAUAAAUCUAGACGAGACGACAGCGAUGCGCCCGAAGUCAAAGCCUAGAUGUUACUCAAGAAAUAGAACUUACGGAUUGGCCAGAGAUCAAGCUGAUGCAGUCCUGCCAACUCGCAUGAACUCGUGAAAAAGAAAAGGGCUUGGCGAAGUCGCUGACUUGAAAGUAAAUUGCAGGAAAAUUGUAGAUGUGUAUUGUUGAUUGGUUGUUUUUUACAAGCCCCUUAGGGCGCCUAUUUAUAGCCUAUUAGAAUACGUAUCCUGGUCGCACACGAGUUACAACUCUAUCUCUAAUUUUAAGGUAACAAACAUCUACAUACAAAACAACCCGCAACGGAGUCAGAUCCUCCCUGGCCUUUACGGGCCAACCUUAUCCGCCAUCUUCCUUGGCCCAUACAGGCCCGUAUCGGCACACUAGCCAACCUUCUCCAUCCGCCAUCGGCCGAGCCCUAUCAUCGCUAUCGGCCACUUGCCCUUAACCUCUGUCGGUCGAAUCCUUCGUUCCUUAUCCUUUAAGUCAUUGGCCAUUUUCCUCCUCUUGACGCUGACUUUGAUAUGUGUCAAAAACCAGUGUCAACAAGAGUUUAUCUAGAUGGUUUAUAUAUCUUGUCAAAUUCAAUAUGGUUUUACAAAUCCGUACAUUUGUUGAACUUGCACGUCCUGCAGGAAUGUCAUAUAGAAAUGUACCUAUCCUCAAGGUGUCACAUCCUGCAGGAGUUCACUUCCCUACUCCCGGUAGCGUCCUGCCAAAAGGCGAUCCAAGCAACGGACCACUUCUGAGCAUAGUAAUGUUAUUUCUUUCUUCUAAUUGGUUUUGUACUACACAUGAUUAAUUUCUAAUUCUAUUUACAUACAAUGUAGACUCUCAACAGUAUUAGAUGGCUUAGAAAAGUUGUCGCGGAGCUAGGUGGUACCGCUCCUAGAGUGCGACAAGAUGUAGUUGGUCCAGUUAGAUGCCUGCACAUCUCUUUUCAAAUACCCAUUCGAGGAGCACCAAGAGUACAACCCAAGCUGAUGGUUACAAUUGACGCAUCGGGUCAACCAUCCACAGAUACGACAUAAUAUGAAAUGACCACUAUGGCGGCAUGCCUGCAAAAGCUAAAGCGUCAUGGUUACAGGGUGCCAGACUACUCGUAUUUCUAAAAUAAAGGGGCUUGAGCAGGGAAUCAGUAGUAUGAUAACGACGGCUGAGAGGAUAUGUAAUCUGAAUCUACAUGACAUUGUAUGGAUCUAAUCAUCCUUUUAUAUUUAAUUACAUUACAUCUUUUAAAUUUCAUGAUAAUGCUAUUCUCUUCUUUUAGGAUGUCUAUAAUCGAACCUUUGCGGCAAUAAGCUUUGAAGCGAUUCUGGAGCAAGUCGUGGAAAGGAUGGGAUAUAGACACAGCGUUGGAUUACCGGCACACGAUAGAGAUUUCAUGUGACAGACUAAGAUCUCUUUCUACAAGGCAUCUGAAGCGAUGGACACAUCAUUGUUUGAGAUUUAUGGUUGUACAAAUGGAUAUCAGUAUAAAUUGCUAGAGAGUGCACUAGUUCAUGUUCUAAGUUAUAUUGAUGACGUUCUAGACUUUAAGAUUGGGGAUAUCAGUUAUGGUCUAUAUCUUCAUAAGUGAGCCAGACUAGGCCAGUGGGAUCCAUGGAUGUAACAUUUUGUCUUAUCUAAUUGAACUUCUCUCUAAGACAAGGAAUGUUGUAUGAACUUAAGUACUUACUUUUUCUUAUGUAUUUGAAUUAUUAUCAAAAGUGAUUCUCUUUAUGAUUUGUGUUGUCUUAUCCUUACAAAAUUUGUGUUAUCUUAUCUUUAUAAAAUUUGUCUUAUCCUUACAAAAUUUGUCUUAUUGUUAGAGAAUAGACCAGAAACGCCCUUAACAUAGCACAAAAGUUCUAUGAGAUAAGGCAUCAACCAAAUGAACUUAAGUACUAGCUAAGAAGUUAACAAAAAUCCAUUGCAAACCUUGAUGAUGGUAGAUGUAGAAAGGUACCUCCGUUGGAAGAGGAUCAGAGGGCUAUCUUCCUAAAGUCACAUUUGUGAUGUGCAGAAGAUGAUAAACAUAAUGUGAUGUGCCCUAAACAUUCCUCCUAGCUAAGAAGUUAGUAAACCACAUACAUCGAUCAAAUGAAUAAUUAUAGAAGCAAAAAGAAAUAGUAUAGAAUUUAUGACUAGUUCAAACUUGUUGUAAACAAACUUGCUAAUUUAAUAUAUUUUUGCAUGUCUGAAAUAUGUAAAUUUCUUAUUUUUUGCUUUUUGAAAUUCAGUGAACACAUAAGUAAAAUAAAUUUCCAAAUAGAAGCAAAAAUAAAUAGUAUAGUAUUUAUGACUAGUUCAAACUUAUUGUAAACAAACUUGCUAAUUUAAUAUAUUUUUGCAUGUUUGAAAUAUGUAAAUUUUUUAUUUUUUGCUUCCUGAAAUCCAAUGAAAACAUAAAUAAAAUAAAUUUCCAAAAAACAGUCGGAAGAUGAAAAACAGGAGAAGGCCCCCCAUUUAUCCCGGUUAGAAAGUAGUACCGGGAUAAAAGGGUAUUUUUCGAUUCCUGCCUGAAAGUACCCAUUUAUCACGGUUCCACUUUCUAACCGGGAUAAAUGGUGGCCUUUUAUCUCUGGUGAUUAAAGGGUGGGCAACCGAGAUAAGGGGGAGGGGGGCUUUUAUCUCGGGUGAUCAUAAACCGGGAUAAGGGGGGGCCUUUUAUCCCGGUUGCUAAUUCCAACAAGGAUAAAAGGACCUUUAGUCCCGAUUGCAGUUACAAAUCGGGAUAAAAAUGGGGGUUCUGUAUAAAAGUUACGGCCGUCUUCUACCCCCCGCGCCCAACACUUAAGGAAAUUUUCAUUGUCAUCAUCCUCGUCCCGCCCAUCGCCGGCCUCCUCCGUUGCCACAUCCCGUCGCUGCCGCCAUCCUCUUCGCCGGCCUCCUCCUUCUCCGUCGCCGCCGCCAUCAUCUUCCUCCAUCCCUACCACUGCCUCCAUCCCCAUCGCCGCGACCUCCGUGCCCCUUUGCCACCUCAUCGCACGCCGACACCACCUCCUCCCCGUCGUAACCGUCCCUGUCACCGCGACUACCAUCCCAUCACCAGCCAGCCACCUCCCCCGUCGUCGCCAUCCUCGUCGCCGCCUCGGGCACAAGUGCGAGUCCCGGCCAUCACCCCCCCCCCAACUCCAUCCCCACACGAAUUAAUUUGUUGAAAUUUGGUAGAAAUAUGCUUAGAAAUUUUGUAUACAUUCUUAUAAAUUAGUUGAAAUUCAUGAACAUUCUUAGAAUUUUUUUUCAUGGUUCUUCUAUGAUUUCAUGUACAAAGUAGUUGAGAUGGCAGACGACAAGGCCAGAAGGUAUCUAGUGGAGCGGAUUAUUGCUGGUGAUAGUAGUUCCAACCUUCCCAUAGCGUACACCAAUGAAGAGGGUAGCCAGGAAGAUAUGUUUCUCAACCUGUCUGGCGAUGGCAAUGAAGAGCCUGAGCCCCAGCAAAACCUUGCCGUGGAGGAGGGUUCCAGCGAUGGCAAUGAAGAGCCCGAGCCCUAGCAAAAGGUUACCGUGGCAGAAGGUUCCGAUGAGGUAUAGAUCAUAUUUUAACCCUCUAUAUAUAAUAUAUGAUCUUAUUCAUUAUUACUAUGUACUAAUUAAUUAAUAAAUCUUGAACUAUUAGCCCUCUAGAUCGACAAACCAUCUAAAGCCCCAAGGUCCUUCUAAGGUGAAGACUGGAACAAAAAGGUUAUCAUCAUGGAAGUCACAGAAGAGGGCGGGCUGGUUGCUCCCAAAGAAGUGGCAAUACAGUACGUGAGUUAGAUCGGGGUAAUCGUAAGGGAGAACGUGCCCGUCAGCAUAAGGGAAUGGAAGGGCAAAAUGACUAAUCCAUACGCGCUCCAGGAUACAGAAACGAAUAGGCUAUGGGAAGAAGUUAAGAAAUAUUUCACAUUUCCUGACGGAUAUAUUGAAAAUGAUGUGAAAGUGUGGACACUGAAGAAGAUGGCCACACAAUUCCAGAUAUUCAAGAAGAUGUUGGAUGCCACCUACAUUAAGAAGGACCGAACUCCAGAUUUUAUUGUGUAUCCAUAAUGUAGGGACCACUGGGAGGCAUUUGUACAAUAUAAGAGAAGCCAAGAUAGUGUGAACAAGGUCGCCAAGAACACAGACAAUACUGGGGAGAAGGAGUACCAUCAUAAGCUAGGGCGAGGUGGUUACGCCAAAGCAAUUCCCAAAUGGAAGCAGAUGGAACAAGACCUGAUUGAUUGGGGUAUCGUACCAGGAACAAUUGAAUGGCCCGAUUGAUCGAAAAAUUGGUAUUAUGCUCAUGGAGGUUAGAUAAGCCUAGAGGAUGGGACGCUGAUCUUUGAUGAGAUGUUACAUGAGGUGGCCAAAAAGAUUGACAAGAAUGUUCAGGAUGUUAAGGCUGGGACGUUGAAGGUGUACCGAGAGAAUGAUGAGCUCACAUUGGCCCUCGGGAAUCCCGAACACCCAGGACGUACCCGAGGGUUCGGGCUUGUUUCGUGGAAGUUCGCAUUCCGAGGUGACUUGGACACAUAUAGAAGCCAGAACCGAAGAAAGGACCAAGAAGAUGAGAGGUGGCGGCGCACGAUAGAAGACAAACUACAUUUUGUAGAAGUAAGAAUGCAGGAGGGAGGCAGUAGUCGAAUGGCCAGCGCAGUUGCCAUCCCUUCUCAACACCUCGGGAGCAGCUGUGCGUCCACAGGGCUCCCUGAGCCACAUACGCCAGGAUUACCCGUGGAAGAGCAACUAUCCCUGUGGAUGCCAUCACGCAACGUACCACAUGUGAGCUGCAUACACCGAUCGACAACCUCAACAUUAAGGUAUACUUAUACAUAAUAUUUAUGCACCGGAGCCCCGGGAGUACCUUGCCAAUUUGAAGUUUAAGAACUUCUUUAUUUCUUUUAUAUGUCCAGGUAGCGUACAGGAGUGCCUUGCCAAUGCUGCCAAACCAUACAUGCCAUGGCCUAGAGAUUCCACCUGGCUACGCCAGUGUUGGCGUAGAGAGAAUCGCUGAUAGCCAAUUUGAAAGCCUAGAGCUCGACUUCCCGGCAGGCGACGGAUCAACAACACUAGGAGAAGUGGUUCACGGGGUCAUUCCAUGGUGCAAACGCUACAUCAUCAUCCCCGGCAUGGAGGCACCUCCUCAGAGAACAAGACCACUCUCCGCAAAUCCACAGCAGUGACCAUCUCCUCAAACAUCCAGACCAUCAUCUCCACCACAACCUGCUCCACAGCUGUCAUCACCACCGGGACUGUCGCUUACUGCUCGAUCAAGAUCUCCAUCCCCACCACAUCGACUAAGAGCACCAUUUAAGAAGUCGCGACUGGCACCUCCCAAGCCAAGACAGCGUAAGAAGAAAACAAAGGAGCCUGAGAUGACUCCUGAGGCGUUAGUGUUGCAUGGCUUGCGUCGACGACCAGUCAUAGAGUUGGUUUUUGUUUUGAGUUGAGUUGAGUUGAGUCAGCGUUAUCUGUUGGGAGCUACUUCGGUGGCUCUGUUGUCUCAGAUCUUUCUUUUUUUUAAUAUAAUCGGCAGCUCUACUGCCUGGUUCAUUUAAAAAAGAUUCAGAAGUACGGUUGGAUGUAAGAUUAACGAGUUAAUCUUCCUGUAGCAUGUACAUAGACAUGUAACCAAGAAACACAAACUUUUUUACACCGGAAUUCAAGUUUAUUUGAGAUGUACAGGCAGAGAUAUGACUAUAUAUAGAAAUUGGGGAAGCAGCGCUUUACAUGUUAUAAUAUAGGGUUGAAUAAAUCACCUCUAACGUGGUUUACACGUCAGUGUACAACAACCUGUCCACCAUCCCUAAAUUACAUGAUAAAAACUCUAUCAUCUACAACCAACAACUCUAGGUACGGUAGUUGUACACAUUACACGAUAUUGUUACAUAUGUUUAACAAUGACCUGAAUGCAUAUGUGAAAACCUUGGAGAAGAUAGUCCGAUUCAACUCUUAGAAAUCCUUUAAGAGAUGUGUCCACCUUAAUCUUGCUACUACUAAUUGGAGAUACCGGAGGAUUCUCAAGUUAAGCCGCAUGGGCCUCAUCACAAGGUGGACACGGUGCCCUACUGCAGCCCAAGCAACUACUGCACUUGGUGUUCUUUUCAGACGGUGCUCGCUUACAAUAAGAUGGACGAGCUGCGUUGAAAACGGAGCUUGGCGGAUGUUGGUGGUACCUCCUGUCGCUGCAGAACAAAACGCUGACAGAGAUUUGUUGUUGCCAUUCUAGAAUCAUUUUAGCUGUGGCUUCGUUUCAUUCAGGAUUUGCAAAAAUAAUGUAGUUAGAUUUUUUUAGUGGAAAAUAAUGUAACCGGAUUGGCUCGAUUGCCCCAGAAAGAUAUAACUGCAUGCAGUAACAUACACAUGGUCAUACUUUAAUUAUUGUGCGUACAGUUGUACUACACCAAGGCAUAUAUCUUAGCUAUUUCUUCGCUUUAACUAAAGAAUUGGAUGCUAGAAUGAAAGAUGGAGGCAUCACGUCCCAUGGUGAUAUUGAUAACGAACGUAGGAUGGCAUGGGUUCCCUCCGAUCCCUUUCUACAAAUGGGAGAGAACCCUGGUAUCCUUCUUUUGUUAUCAAUAUCAGCAGGAAUCUUGCCCCCAAAAGAGAGGACCUAAUGCCUUCAUCAUUAUGUUUUUCUUUUGACGCUUUCAUUCUAGCAUCCUAUUCUUUAGCUAAAGAGAAGCAAUAUUUGAGAUAUAUGCAUUGCUACAGUAUCUAUAAUAAUUGAAGUUCGAUCAUUGAUGCAUGUACACAAUAAUGUUAUAUUCCUCUAACAACAUUGAUCGAUGAUAUGCAGAGACUAAGUAUCUAAAUUUUAGCUCCAAGCAAGUUUUAACCAAAAGUUUAUUAUGUGGUGAUGAACCACUUAGUGGAAACUAUAUAUCUAUAGAAGAAAAAUGUGUUGGAAAUUAAUCUUGACAUGUUUUUCAUCCAUGCGUUAGUUGUGAACACGCAUGAGAAGAUUAAUCAAGCUACAUGCAUGUGUGAAAGGGUUACAUGCAUGUGUGUGAAUGCAGUGCAUGCGUAUGGAAAAGACUAGGAUCUGCAUGCAUAUGGAAGCUUUUAGGGAGUUGUGUGUUACUCAAAGAGUCUCUAGACAAUGUGAAUCGAACGUGUCUUGGUAGUGUGAAACCUGCUGGUUGCUCAGCUUCUCCUGCUUCAAAUCUGAACUUCCCCUCCCAGUGCUGACAGAGAAAGGGGGUAUUUAUACCCUGGAGAGGUCAUGGUAUGAAAGGGAAGCUGAACAGGCGAGGUGAAGGCCCAUGCUGAUCGGCUUGGGUGGGUCCAGGCCAAUUGACCUGACCCUUCCUUUCGUCCCCUCGCAUCCAACUUCUUCUCCAAGUCCUCUCUGAUGUUGGAACUUUAUUUUCACUUGCAUGUGGGCCUGGCUCAACGAUAACCUCAUGAUAAGGAUGGAUCUUAAUAACUUUCCAAGUACUGCUUGAUUUCAUCUUGAUCCCGAAGUCAACUUGCCAUAUCUUCUGAAACUUAGUCCCUAAGUCUUUUUGAGGAUUGCUCGCCAAGGUUGAGCAUUAAUGGGGCCCUUUUUGGGGCCUUUGGCCUUCGUCUUUCUUAUGGACCGUCGCUUGUCCUUAGCCUCAUCCUAUUAUGCUCCAAUUUAGUCCAAUUUCCUAUAAAAAUAGAAUGUCAUCCAAAAUACAAUGCAUAUGUGAAAACGUCCUGAUUAUUAGGUAUGUUCAAUAGUUUUGAUAUCCUUUGUAUACUAAUAUUGAAGAUAAAUAGGGGUAAAAGUGUGUCAAUAACGAGUGUCAACAACCCCCCAUACGUGAACCUUGCUCAUCCUCGAGCAAGUCUUCGAUAGAAAUCAGCAUUGCCUUUUAGUGUUAACCCUGCACUUAAUCGUACAUAACAAGACAUGGCACUCCAUUUAGAUGCUCAAUUAAUAUUCUAGCUUAUUACUAUGGAGGAUAGAUAUUUUUUAAUGAUGAACAAGCCACAAAGAAUUUAGAACAAUGCUCUCAAAUUUAAAUCAACUUCACAACUUUUCUUUCAAUGGAGCACAAUUUUCAAACAGGAGCUAGAUCAACAUCGGCAACAGAAUUCUUGCAAUUGCUCAAUGGAAACUCUCAUUUCAUCGAGUCUCUCAGCCAUGUUCUCAAUAUUAAAUAUGUCCAAAGGGAGAGAGAUUAUAUAAAAUGGAGUUUCCAUACAUUCCCUAUCCACCACCCACAUAUUCACACGCAUGCACAUCUUGAUCUGAUUGUAUGACUUGUUUUCUCCUUAGAUCCGGUUUUUGACUUUGCAAUAUAUGUAAUACAAGUAUUCUUUCUUUUCAUCCCCUACCCUGAGCUCCACAAAAAGCUUUAUUAGAAGUAGGAAGGAAAAGAGGCAAACAAAUGCCUCGGUAAGGAACCAUACACAUUGAGCGAUCUGAGAUAAUCAUUCAAGGAGCAAGUCUAUGCUUUGUUCUGAAAAGCUUUCAAAAACCCAAGAUAUCUGAGUACGAGAAGUUUGUUACUUCUCUUCUUCCUUUUUAUAUAUGUGCUCUUUUACGGUACACAAUACUAAGCUAUACUACUGUUCGAAAAGGACUAGUAUACAAAUAUCCGACGGUUAAGAUUAAUUGUAUACUGCUAAAACCUUCACCUGUGGUAUGGAUAGUAUACAUGACUAGUAUAAGGGUAUCAUGGUAAAAGAACACAAAUGACAUCACUAAAAUUUUAUUUUUGACACUAGCAUAAAGUUUAAAAUGCCAUUUCGUUUGAAAUAUCACUUUUCACAUGUAAUAAUUACUAAAUCAUUCAUAAUCAUGAAUAUUUAUAUCUUAUAUAUACUAUAUACUACUAAGUAGUAGUACUAUUGUGUACCGUAAAAGAGCUCUUUAUAUAUAUAAGCAGCAGGUGAUUACCCCUCGUGUUCCUAAAGAAAAAGCAGAUAAAAUAGAUUACAACUCCAGCGGACAUGCAACAAUUCUUCAGGGCGCCGUGCCUGCCCUGAAAAAAAUGUGGCCACCUGUAAAACGGGCUGCUUUGGCAGCUCUCGUACGAAUACAGAUUUCAGGUGGGUGUCUCGGCCCCGUUGUUUCGUCGAAAAAGAAAAACUUCUUGAAUGAGGGACGAUUUGCCGAUGAAUACUGCUGAAAUCAACACAAGCUGGCCAAGAGCCUUAAAAAGUGGUUGAAUGUUGAAAGCUAAAGCAAGCAAAGCGCACUUGAUCAGUCAAACACACAACUUCCACAAACUAAACAUGAGCAUGAAGCUGCAGUUCAUCACGAGACACACGACUGUGCGGACAUGAAGUUGUCGAUGCAUGCGGUCUCUGAUCAAGUACCAGCAGGUGAUUUACCAUUACCUGCUACUGCUGGCGGAGGAGACGGUGCCGGCGGAGGGCUCCGCCAUGAGACCUUGUACUCCAAAUCUUCUUCCGUCUUGCAAGGGACCUCGCCACCGUCCGGGGUGCUUGAAUCGCUACAGAGGAAGGUAACCGGCCAGCAAUAAUAGGUCUUGUUGAUGCUCUUCUCCGAGUGCGCUGGCUUGUAGGUGGUCUCCACCACCACCAUCACGGGGAAGCCGAGGCUCGCGUCCUGGUGGUGCCUGUCGUAGAGGUAGUACAGCGAUGCUGGAUCCUUGAGGCUUACCCACCUCCUGUAUCUGUGCGAGCUGUGCGGCUGCAGGUCGAAGCUGACAUUCGUCGGCUCGAAGCUGGCAUUCGUCGGCUCGAACCUGGAGAAGUCCACCAUCUCCACGAAGGACGCAUUGGGGAUGUCCAUGAUCCUGACGAUGUUGAUGUUGCCCUGGAUCUGGCCGCGGCCGCUGGGGUUGAGGGCGUGGAUGAUGAUCAGCAUCGGCACCUCUUUCGCUGGCUCGUACACACGCGUGGUGUUGUUAUAAAUCCACCACCAUUCUUGUGUCUGGACAUAGCCGUAGCUCUGGAGGUCCAUCUCCACGGGGCGGUGGACGAAGACGAUCACCAUCACCACCACUGCAACGGCGAGCACGGAGACCACAAUGGCCACCAGUGAGCGCACCGUGGCUAGGAAGGGGAAUGUAGUGUUCUCGCCAGCGCGGCAUGCUGCCAUUUUUUCUGUGUCGGUUCACGUAGGUAGGGUGGAUGGACUUGUCCAGGGACCUGCCAUAUAUACCCAUAAACUACUGACCCAAUGUCCAUUCCCUUUGAUUAGAUGACUCAGAUUAAUUAUGACUUUGCUAAUGGCCGAAGCUAGCUAAUUGUUACUUUCUCUGUCCCAAAUUAUUAGUCCCACAUUUUUUUUCUAGAUAUAUAAUUUUUACCUAUGUAUCUAGAUGCGUAAUAAAAAACUAUGUAUUUAGGAAAGUCAAAAUGAUUAAUAAUUUGGGAGAUGACUAAAAUUAGCACUACGCUGUUUGGAUAGUACAUGGGCUAAUAGCUCUGGCAAACUUAUUUAUUCUGCACUUGGUUUCUACUGCUCCAGCUUGAUUUUGCGUGCGUGCGGGAAACGGAUUAGGUGGAACAGUUAGGGGUGUUUUUAUAUUUCUUGAUAUGAUGGUUGCUAUUAGCCCCAACUAGCUAUGUUUGGCCAGCUAAUAAAUGGGCUACUGGUUAACAGUGGACUUUGGCUAACAAUUAGGCCGCCUAUUAACCUCUCAUGUUAGGAUCAGCCAUGGCUAAGUUUUGCACACACACAUGUACACACACCAAUCUUCAAAAUUUCAGCCGAACUCCACCAUCUCCAACAGAGUUUUGGAAUUUUGGAACCAGCAGAACUCCACCAUCUCCAACAGAGUUUUGGUGGUACUAAUAUUUUUUUAGAUUAAGGAAAAUCAUCCGGCCUCGGUCAUCCACGAGUGAAUGCAUGCCUAUAGCCAAACUUACACGAUCUUAACAGAAACUUAGCGCUUUGGCUGCUCUAGAAGUACUCACUACUAGAAAUACAACCUCUCGUCUAGUGGUGGCGGGGGUGGCGGCGGAAGGGGGUGGCGGGGUGGCGGAGGAGGAGGGCCGGGGCAGCAAGGUGCGUGGCAGUGGAGGGGGCCUAGGCCGGCUGGGUGGCGGCGGAGGGGUGGCGGAGUGGGCUGGGGCUAGUGGGGAGGGGCAGCUGCAACAAAUGAGCUCAAAUUAAACCUCAUUAAGGUCAAGUGGAACCAUUAGAGCCUAAUGGAACCUUUGAACAACAACACAUCCAAGUAAAAAGACACUUUUGACCCUCACAAGCUAAACUAGUAUUUGAGCCAUAACUCGAAUUUUUGUUUAAGAACAUCAAAAUCUGUCCAACUAAGAGUUGUAGAACUCAUAUUCACUAGCAGCUUUAGUAUUUAACAUUUGCUUUGAAUCUGAACAUAAAGCAUUCAAAAACUCGAUUUUCAAUUCUGUGCCGAUUUGUGCAAAACGUGAAAAACCCAAACUUUGGAGCCCUUUUUCUCUCAUUUUCAUAUGUAAUAUAAAGCCAAACCUUUUACAAAAGUUUUAGAACUACGAGCCAUGAACAAUUUUGAUUAAAAGAGUUAGGCCAAAAUCUACACAAAAGGGUUUCGAAAAUGCAGUCAAACAUAGCCAAAUCGGUCAACCGGCGCGAAACUGAAAUCUCGUCUAAAGUCUGAAAUUCCAGACUUUUCGCUGAACUUUGACUCGAUUUAUCUUCAAAUCCGUUUGAGAUCUGAACCAAAACCUUUUGUAAAGUUUUAAGUCGAGUCGUAGAUCUACAAGUUUGACAAAGGGAUAUUUGAAUGUUUAGUUCAGAAAUUUUGAAGAAAUCGCCCUCAAAUCUGGCCCUUUCCCUGCCCUUUCCUUGUCUCGCGGUAGACUCGCCAGAACGCGACGCGACGCGCGUCACGCCUAACGGCCACCGCGUGGCGUGCCUUCCCCGGCAAGCCAGCUUGCCGCUGCCCAACCGGCACAACUUCAAGACAAAACAGAGCGCCGUCCUAGCCAACCGCCCGCCGAGGCCAUCUCCCACCCCUGCCCGCGAUCCCGACCAACCCCUAGGCGUGCGCCACGUCAUGGCCACCCGUUGGUCAAGCCGCCUCUGCCAAUCCAUCGCCAGACAACGACUACACGAGCGCCUCGCUCCGCCAACUGUUGGUCGCGGAAAAGCCGCGCUUGCGCGCUCCAUAUCGCGCCGGCCCAAUACGGGCGAGAUUGCAUCCCACGACCUCCGCCCCGUGCGCCAAUGGCGUUGCCGCCCCAUCUCCAGGCGUCAGCGCACCACCUCGCCCUCUGGCCCCAGCCUCCAGCGCCUCAAGCCUCGCCUCGUCGCUCCGCUCCCGCCCUGGCCCCAUAAAGGGACCAGCGCCCCCGCCGGAGCCCCUUCUUCCCGCGCCACAACCUUCGCCGCCCCUGUUCCACUGCGCCGCCACCGAGCUCCAAGUGAACCCCCUGCUCCGCUGCUCCCCGCCCCUCGCCACCGCCACAGCCAGCUUCGUUGCACCCCGCGGAGCUCCCAAGCCCGCUCGUUGGACUCCCGAAGCCGCCGGAGCACCGAAACGCCGUCCGCACCACCAUCGCCGAGCCCGAGUCGCCGCCGUCCGCGUUCCACCCCGGUGAGGCUUCCCCCAAUGCCCGAGACCUCUCCAAUCAACUCACGUUGAGCUUAAGCUCCUCCUGACCCAUCCUUAGCCCAAAGACGCCGGCGCAUCGCUAGGAUUCCAAUCGCCGCCGCCGUGCGCACUGUGGGGACAACAUUGCGUCUCCCCCGUUCUUUCCAGGGUCUCCCGUGCAAAGUGCAGGGGCCCAUUCGUAAUAAGUGAAAAACCCGAGGGCUUUAAUCAUGAGUUUGCACGGGAAAAGUCAGCCGAGGGCAUAUAUGUGAAGUGGAAGGGUAUGGUUGUGAAUAAAAGAAAGUCAGAAGGGCCUAUAUGCAAAUGUGUUUCGGUUAAUUAAUAAAAAUUGGCAGAAAAUAGGAGAAACAUUGUAAAUGCACCAAAAAUUGUAGAAACCUCAGAAAACUUCCAAACAAAAUUUGAUGGACUCAGUGAACUGUCUACUUUUAUAGAAAAAUAAUUUUGCACCUGUCACUGUAGAUAUUUUGCAGUUAUGAAUUAAUCCUUGCAUGUGCUAAUUAAUUCACCAUAAAUCACAGAAAAAUGCUAAAAGGGUAAAACCAACUCUGUGAGGAGCACAGCCUAGCCUUUGAAGUCCCUGUUUUUCUUUAUUAAGUGAAAUCUGCACUAGAAUCUUUCUUUUUGCACAGUAAUUAAUCCAGAGAUGAGAAAACUGUGAAACUAGUUGGGUUGGUUCUGUUUUGGAGUAUAGUUUGCAGGAAAAAUAAAGCCCCUUACCAGAAACAGAAGGGAAAACCUUUUUCUUUUUAGAGAAAGAUAACUAAGGAUAAUAUAUGGAAAAUAGAUCUCCUUGUCUGAUAAUUAUGAAGAAUUCACCAAAUCAUGUAAGCCAUUCUUGGAACACCCUGGUAAAGUUUCAUGACCAGAGCAUCUGUAAAUUGCAAGAUAAAAAUUAUUAAGCCCUUUCUACCUUAGGGUGAGAAGGAGCUUUUAAUUAAUUUUGUAUAUCCUUAGUGAACCUCAACUUUUUACAGUAGCCCAGCAGUGACAAGGUUAGGGUGCUGGUGAAGUUUCACCCUCUUUCGUCGCUGUUUGGUUGGUUAAUUAAAAUUUGGAAGAUGAACCGGUUAAAGGAAAUAAAGAAAAGCCUUAAUUAAAGAAAAGAAGAGAUAAGGUAUAUUGGAAGAGGUACAGAAAAACAUUUAGAAACAGGAUAGUUUUCCGAUCUUAAAUAACUAAUAAGUUAAUAAAUGUGUACACAAUCACCAUAUUGAAGCCGAGGGUUUUAAUGGUAUAAGCUUGCUUUCUACGCCAAGUGAGCUGUCUGUGAUGAUCUAGUGUUAACCAGUGUGCAAUCAAGUUUACUUCAUAAUAAUGCACGAAAUGUCAUCCAGACUCUUGAAUACAAGUUUUCAUAUCCUUGCAUUGCAUCCCGUAGAGCUGAACGUUGCUGACGAGAUGUACGAGCUACACCUGGCGACCGAGGACGACAUUGCCGCAGAGCUACACCACGCCGAGGUUGAGCCCGUGACCGAGCAAGCCGAAGACCCGCCUGCUAACCCCGAGUUUGAAGGCAAGCCCCGGAGCAUAAAUUCCUAUGUUUUAACUACUUGCAAUCUACUUGAUUAUCUUGCUUGUGCAUUUACAUUUUCUAGGAGUUGCAAUGAAACCUUAAAUGCAUAAAGUUAGUACCCUUGAUCUGAACACUAGUAUGGUAGGCUGAGUAGUUGCAAUGCUUAAUAGGACUCGGUAAAAGUCGAGUGACUUCCUGUCACUCACGAGUUAUAGGAGUUGAUUGCUUCCUUUUUGCAAUAAGGAUGAUGGACGGGACAGGGCUAUUUGCAUUAUUUUGGUGGUUGGUAGAUUGCCCCAUCUAUCUAAAUUAAAAUGGACUAAGGUUGAGAUGUGAUAGUGUUCGUGAUCAAGUGUUUAAAAAUAUUAAUCUCAUACCUAGUAUGGGAUAGGGAAGCCUAGUACCUGAUUGAACCGGGGUGGACCUUUCCCCCGCUCUCCCUGGAACGUAGUUCCCAUGGUGCAUCAUGUGGGUACAAGUGCAGCCUCGAUACGGCGGAGUCCGGGACCGUUGGGGCAUUGUAUGCCAAGGGAAGUGGGAUCUGGAUAAAUGCCGUGAAUUGAUGGGGACGGCAUGAUAUAUGUGAACCUGUUGGGUAGUAGCAUAUGUCGUGGCAUUAGGUUCACCAUGCAUGGUUAAGAAAUUCAAAUUGAUUCAUCUGCCUCUCACAGUUUGGGACUACUUGAUCGCUAUGCUACAUUGAGUAAGAAUGGAAGAUGAUAAUGUUAAUAUUGAUGCUUGCUAUUAAUUGUUUGGAAAACCUUGCUUGCUUAGUAUAGUGCUAAUGUAGACUGGAUAAUGAACUUAGAAUUUGUGGCUAAAACAUUGAAAGUAAGGACCUACACUAGUCGCUUUUGGCAAAAACAAACCCCUCUAGCCAAUAAGCUUGCAUGUCUAGGUGUUGGUGGAGUAGAUACCACCCGUUGGGUAAGUCUUGUUGAGCGUAGUCGCUCAGCCUUGCUUGUGGCAUAUCUUUUCUGGAAUUGAUAUUGAUGAGUUCGCUGCAAGUGUUACUUGGCCUACCCAACUCCCUCCAGGUUGGACGGUCGAGUGGGAUCCCUCCUCGAACGGCGAGGAAAGGGGUGAUUGAUGUCGUGAUUAGCUUCGUCAUGAUAUCCUGCAUCGAUGUCUAGUUAUUGUUCGUUUUAAAUUUCACUGCUUGAACACUCUCCAACUUUAUGUUUGAAUUUCGAACUCUGUUGUUGUAAUAAAUCAAUGCACUUGUUUUAAUUUGAAUGGAUUGUUGUAAUCUCUGUAACCGCUCACCUUCGUGUGAGUUGCUUUUCUCGAUCCUGUCAUGUGGUUUUAUCGAAAUGAAUCCGACGGACGACCGAGUUGACUUGCUUAAAACACAUGAUCGCGUAUUAGGAGACUUAAGUGUGUUUUAGUUGGGUUAAUCCGGGCAGUUCCGCCACAGCAGCAGGUUGGCGGCAGAGGGGGAUGGGGUCGGCGGGGUGGCCGUCGGCAGAGGGGGGCAGGGUCGGCAGGGGAUUUUCAUUUUCUUUAUUUUUUAACACCCUCUAGUACCGAUUAUUCCAAACUUUACUAGAGGACCCCCCUCUAGUACCAAUUGGCCAGUACCGGUUGCACAACCGGUACUAGAGGGGGGUUUCUAAUCGGUAAAAGAGGCACUUUUUCUAGUAGUGACUAUAGUUCAUACUCAAAGUUCGCACGCCAAAGAUAAAUCUACUUUUAGGACCCCCUAACACCCAAGCACCCGAGGGAACGUCCUGCUACUAAAGAAUCCUUCUCCUGAAGUUCCAGCCAUAUUUGUUGAAGAACUCAAAGGUAGUGACUUCAAGCCUAUUGUAGUUCUUCUUCAGAUCAAUUUUCUCUUCCUCCUUAGAUAGCACCGCCCAUGCUCUUGUCCAAUAAGUCCCUCUAAAAAUUACCUGCAAAAAGGAAUUAGUGGUUGUGCCUUUAAAUAGUAAAUCAUUUCUAUUCAACCAUAUAGCCCAGCAAAGUGCAAUAGCUCCUACAAUCAUCUGGCUUCUAACCUUCCGAGGAUACCCUCUAGUCCAAGAACCCAGCAUAUUAGGAACACUAACAGGCGAUUGAAUUCCAAACGAAAAGAACAUUGUACUCCAAAUAAAUCUAGCUAAAUGGCAAUCAAAGAAGAGGUGUUGCACUGUCUCUUUUGAAUUGCAAAAGCAACGCUUGGUACUUCCUUGCCAUCUCCUCUUAGCAAGGUUGUCCUUUGUUAGAAUCACACCUAUUUUCAAAUACCAUAACAAGAUUUUGAUCUUUAAUGGUGAUUUUAACUUCCAAGCUACACACAAGGAUGGUAUUCCUUCAGCUUGCAUUAUCUCUUUGUACAUUGACUUCACUGUGAUGUCUUUGUUUUUAUUCAGAUUCCAAAUAAAUUCAUCUUCCUAUACCUCCAUACCAUGUGCUACUAUCUCAGCCACUAACUUAGCCAUUCAUUUAAUUUGUGUCAUGUAAGUGCUCUUCUGAAAAAAAAUAUUUAGAAGGACAGAUCCACAAACUUUGACCACAGUGUCAUCUUUCCUUCUAACUAUAUUAUACAAAGAUGUAUAUCUUUCCCUCAAGGUUUUCUUUCCAAUCCAUACAUCUUCCCAUAACCUAGUUUUCUUCCCAUUGUGUACCUCAAACUUACCAAUUGACAAUAAUUAGUCCUUUAUUUCCAUGAGGCUCGCCCAAAAGUGUGAAUCACCUCUUUCUUCAUCACUUGGGAUAGAGUCUUAUUAACUAAAUAAAUAUUUUCUUCUGAGUAACUUUUUCCAUACUCCUUCCUCGUUUAGAUGUUUAAAUAACCACUUGUUUAGCAAGCAUCUAUUUAGAACUUCCAGAUUGGAAAUACCCAAGCAUCCUACAUUCUUUGGUGCACAAAGAAUACUCCACUUGGCCAGUCUAUAUUUCUUUUUGUGUUCAUCACAUUGCCAAAAGAAUCUAGACCUAUAAUAAUCCAAUCUUUUAAGAACACCUUCAGUACUAACCUUGGUAAGCUAGAGAGGACAUUGGUAAGCUAGAGAGGACCCUUAGAAGCUAUUCCUAGAGUUUCAUUCAAAUUCAUUGGCUACAUUGUUGGGAUUCGUGAUUUAAGGUUGGAUUGCCUGGACCAGUCUGACCGGUCAGGUAGACUGGUCUGACCGGUCUGCACAAUCAAACCCUAAAUCAUGUCUUUUUGUUGUAUGAUCAAUGUAUCUACAUAGGAAUACCUCAUGAACAAAAAUUUCCACAUCUUAAGUGAUCUAGCUACUAUGUUUGGUCUCCAGAACCAUUGGUUCUACUCUGGGCCCAACUGGUCUAACCAGUUGCUCAUAUCGGUAUGACAGGUCUAGUUCAGAGUUGCCCCAAUUGUUUUGAUUCCUGGUUGUUCAGCACCGUAGUGGCAAGGGGCCAGCUGAUAGUGAUGAGAGAAGCAGUGAUGGUGAUCCCAAUGGUGGAAAUGGUAAUGGUGAUGAUAAUAAUGAUGAUGAUGAUGGAGAUGAUGGUGAUAAUGGUGAUGAGAAUGUGGGUGACAUAGCUAUGCCCACCAUUCGUAGGCCAACCUAACCCAUUCAUAGAGGACCUACAAAUUAUUUUGGGUAUGGGAUGACUGAGAUGGCAAAAACGCUAAGAAGAUAGGAUACAUACAAUGUGCCUAAGACUGCUCAAGAAUAUAGAUUUUGGAAUUCUUUCCGGCAGGACUUCUAUACCACAGUCAUUCUAAAGAAUUCCAAAAUCACUCAUGAGGCACAGUGGGUAGAUUGGGAUUACAUGAGGAAGAAAAAUGAUCCCAUCUUCAAUGAAGUCAUGGAGGCUUGUGCUAGCAAAAGGAUAAAAACAUCUCAUGGGCUUCAAGCAUAACUGGAAUAGGAAGAUCAUUGCCCAGUUCUAUGCCACUAUUUAUUUUGGACAUAUUGCAAAUGAGAGGGCGAUGUUUUGGAUGACAGAGGGUGAAAAGCAUCAUAUCACUUAUUCCGCCUUCACAUCAUUGUUCAGAAUCAAAGAUGAUGACACUCUUCCUAAGCUUCAUGAUGAAGGUGUUCUUGAGAAUUCAAAAAUGCAUUUCAUGUAUCCCAAGAAUAGGACAGGAGAUUGGGGGAAGGUCAAGAGCCUUUACACCAACUAUGCCAUUUUUAACCAGCUAUUAAGGAAGACCCUCACUCCUAGAGAUGGGAAUCCCUCACAUGUAACUCUCUUUUAGAGGAACUCGAUGGCAGUGUUGAAACUAGGGGAACCUCAAUUUGAUGUGGGUGACUUCAUUUGGCUAGAAAUCAAGAAUUUAAUAGAAAAUCCUUAAAAGAUUUGUAGCUACAGUCCCUACAUCAUUUACAUGAUUGAGAAGGUGACCAAGAGCAAGUUUCCUAGUGAUGUAAAGCACAAGCCUUUGAGACCUCCAGUGAGCAAGACUCCUACGAUCCCAUCUCCACCACCAGAAGAACCUAAACUGCAAGAACAAGGGGGCAGAAAGGCAUGAGCAAUAGCAAUUUCAGCAGCUAGCUGGUGCCCAGGCAAAGACCGCUUUGUGCCUGGGAAACGCAGCCACUUGUAGAGGUAGCAUGAGAAGCCCUCUUCUCCAAUGAAGAAGUUUAUAAACUUUCUGGUUGGCAUGUGCAAAAGUCAGAGAGACAUUGAGGUUGAACAACGGCGACGAUGGACGGCUAGUAAAAAAGAGAGAGAUUUGAUUAAGAUGAUGCAUAAUCACAUGAAUCUUCAGCCUCCUCACUCUCCCAUUUCUCCUUCACCUCUAGAAGUUGAAAUCCCAUCAGUUGUGGCUAGAAUUGGAGAAUACAUGGCACCUGGCUACUUUGACCAAUAUGGCAAUAUGUUUUAUCCAGAUAUGGGAGGCUCAACCUCAACUCCUCCACCUUUUAAGCCACCUCCAACCGGAGGAUUUGAUGCUUUUGUCUCAGAUCUUGGUCCCGGCAUUCAUGGUGGUGCAUAUCCCUUCUAUCCAGGAUCCGCUUUUAUGCCUUUCACAGGAUCUUCUUCUUUGGCAGCGGCUACUGGCACCAUUCCAGGUCAUCCUCAUGCAGCAGUACCUCUAUCUCCUACAGACACAACCGAGUUUGAUGCAUAGGCUAUCUUUGGUCCUCCUCCUCCUCCAUCUACUCAGGGUAUGUCUGACAUCACUCUUGCCCCUCUCGAAGAUAUCAUAGUGUCAGAUUCUAUAUAUCUUAUGUCUCCUAUGCCUUGGUUGGAUUAAGGACUUCAUUGGCCUGAGGACUCACCAAAGGAUAGUAGAAGUGGAUACGGAGAUCAGUGACUUCAGUUGCACCUUCUCGAGGCCCUUUUAUGGAUGAUUGAUGACAAAGGUUGAGAAGAAAUGGUUUAAAACUUCAUCUUCAGGAUUUAGUGUAGCUGAGCAGUUGUGACCGAUAUGACCGUUGGCCAUUACUAGCCAUUACAACCAGGACUAAAGAUCCCCUUUAGUCCCGAUUGUUAUUACCAACUAGGACUAAAGCUCCCGUCUCGGUGGUCGUUGGUGGUGGCUGUUUGACUUGGGACUAAAGGUCAAGGUGUGACAGCCUUAGUAAUUAAGCAGCUAAAUUAGGAAAUCAUCGAAGUGAUUAAGAAACUAAAUCAAAGAAUCAAAAAAGGGAUUAAGGAAUAAGUUAGAGCUAACUCUAAGUUGCUGAGAGUUAAGAACCCAAAAACACCUUAGAUUUUGGCUAGAUGUUAAAAAUUUCUCCUAUUGAGAAUAACUUGUGAGGCCGAUAGAAACCAACUUCAUAUAAAAACUUAAACUUUGAACAAUAUAAAGAUAGUAGAUCUUUUCAAAGUGAACAACCUUCAUAAUUAGCACCUUUCUUCAUCUUGAGCAAAGGGUGUUCCCAAAAUCAAGUGGAAGUUCAGUCAAAUUUCAAAUCUGAUUCAAAAAUAGCUUUGACCGACUUCCACCAAGGACCCUACCAUCCUAUCUCCAACUUCAUCGAGCUUCUCCUUGUUGAAAUUUAUAAAAUUCAUAGUGCAUACCUUGUUUCCUUUUGAAAUUUAAACCGUGUAGUUCGAACUUGGUGUGAGAAUACGCGUUAAACCCGAUACCGUCACCACGAUGCGCAUCACGAGCAUCAUCAUGCAUAUUUAAGCAUCAUGAAUAUCUAUUUGUGCAUAGUCUACCAUCAUGAGCAUCAUUUGUGCAUAGAUGAACAUUUUAACCACACAUUAAUAAGUGCCCAGAAUUUUAUUAUUUAUUGGUGAAAAAUCAAAUUUGUGAAGGAACCCCAAUUUAUUCCAUACCACUAUGCCCCAAAAUAUUUUAUUCAAAUACUAGACACCAUUUAGUGAUUUUAAAAUAUUUUUACUAAAUUUUUCAAAGAUGUUUGAUUGGGUUAAAAAUUCAUUUAAAAUUCAAUUAUAGCUAUUUUGUUUUGAUGAUUGUGUGCAAACUAUAAAAUAUUUUGGAUUGAUUCUUGUGGCAUUGGAUUAUUGGUGAUUUGUUCUUUCCAACGAGUAUUUUUGAAGAAUUUUUGAACACAGUUAGCUAGGUUGUUUAAGGGGACAAAGUUGGCAUGAUGUUUUUCUUAGCCGGGCCCACACGUCAGCACCUUCUUCCAUCUCCCUCUGCCUGGGCGCCAGAUGCACACACAGCCCCAAGAUCGCCGGUUGGCCACCCCCUAGCCCCUGCAGGGCUCCUCCUCCGCCCAUAGGCCACCCAAACUCCUCCCACGUGCCCUUCCCCUCUCUCCCACGCCUCCUAUCGCCCCUGGUUGGGUAGCCCCUCCAUUGAACACGCAUGGCUGCCACCAGGCACAGCACCUCUGGCAACGCCCUCCCCUCCAAUCCUCGCGCCCGGUGCUGUGUCACCUCGUCCGUGCUUAUCCUCGACUCGCCCCGCCUAUAAAACCCAAGCCCCUGCCUCCCCCGGACCGCACCACCCCCAAUCCUCCAUGGAGAGUACACCGAGCUUCAAAAAUCCCCAUCCUUUGCGGACCAAAUUCGUCGUCGUUAUUGAGUCUCAGCUCGAUUCCUCACAGCCACACGAUCCCCUCGACAUCAUGCUUCCGUUUUGCUACCUCCCGGCCGUUCUCCCUCGCCGGAGAGCCCUCUCCACGGGAGCCCGCGUCUGCCCCUUCCUGUUGCCCGGGAGCUUCCUGCGCCGCCCCAUCUUCCUCGUCGCCACGCCGCUGGUGAGCACCUACUCGGCCCCGUGCGCGCCCCUCUUCUUCCCCAAGCCGCCCAUUCCUUUCCCCGCCGAUGGCCCCCAAGUGCAUGGGCAUGCCGUAGAUCCAGGAGCUAGAUUGCAAGAUUGUCUCGAUUUUCUUUAUUUUCUAGAUCUAAAAAGGCUAAAACUUUGGAAAUUCAUAGUAAAUUGUAGAAACAUCACAAAAUAGCAAAUGAAGAUGUUUUGGAAUCCUUGUGAGUAGGACUAUGCAGUAGUUGUAUAAUAUGAUACAUUUUAGUAGAAAAUGUUUGCGGUAGAUUUAUAUCUAUGCUUUUUAGGGUUAAACUCAUAUCUGUAGUUAUGUUGCUCCGUUUGCUGUGAAAUUGUUAUGGUAGGUUAUACAUGAUGCUCUUGUACUGUGGUAAAACUUUCAUAUCUAUUGGUGCAUGUAUGACUGAGUUAUUAAUUUAACUUGUUUAAUGCUUGUUAGGUGAUUUAUAAAUAUUAGGAGUGUUUAAAAAUAGAAAAUAUGGUUCAACUACCUUUAUAUGAUGUUUUUAUAUAAUAAUAACACAUAAUAUGGCUAUGUGUUUAUAGAAAAUGAUGAUCUUUAAAAAUUAUCUUGCUUUUACAUGUUUUCUUGCAUUUGUAAUUUGUCUUUUUCAUAGCAAUUAAAUUAUAAAACCUGGGCAUGUGAAAAUUUUACAGUAACCAUGUUUUGAUAGCAUAUACCACUCAUAAAAAUUUCAGCCCCAAACUAGUUGUUCUCAUAUGGCACUAAAAAUAAUAUAUGUACAUGUCAUUCAAUGGGAGUUAAUAACAAAUAGACAUAUUUCUAAGCCAUGAGAUGCCACUUCAAUUAUACCAACUUUGUGAAAUGUAGUUGAGCUAUAUGAAUGUUUGUUUGAGCCUUUGAAUGAUUUAUGUAUGAAAUCUCGGUUGGGAGAAACACGUGAAAACCAAUAAUAUGCUUGCUAUCCCUCUAUAAUAGGUUGUGUGAUGUAUAGUUAAAUAACUCUAGGUGCCUAUGUAUUGCAUGAUCUUAUGUUUGCCUUGAAUGUUUUUACGUGAUGCAUCUUAUGUGACCAUUCUUCGUAUUCAUAUACUUGCAUCUUGCAUCUCAUCUAGAUACGCUAGAUAAACCACGUGAAGGACAUGAUGAUGGAACCAAACCCAAAGACGGUGUAUGGUGGAACUAUCCCGAAGAUGGAAGGACUAAGAAAGUGCCAAGAUGGGAGAUGCUCGCCAAGCGAGUGUCGUCUAACAAACACUAACCUAGUGUUGGAUUCCAGGCAAGUCCCGGAGCAUAAAUUCCUAUGUUUAAAUACUUGCAAUAUUUUGGUUGUUUUGAUUGUGCAUUUACGUUUCUAGGAAUUGAUUGAAACUGUAGAUGCAUGAAUAUAGUGCCCCUUGAUCUGAACACUAGUAUAAGAAUGUCGAGUAGUUGCAAUGCUUAAUAAGACUCGGUAAAAGUCGAGUGAUUUCCUGUCACUCGCGAGUUGUAGGAGUUGAAUGAUUUUCAUUUGGUUGCAACUAUAAGGACGAUGGACGGGGUCGGGAUUAUGUUGGUACUCGGUGGUUUGCCCCGUCUAUCUACCGGAAAUUGGCUAAGGUCGAAAAGUGGUGGUGUUCGUGAUCAAGUGUUUGAAAGUACUAAUCUCAUACCUAGUAUGGGAUGGGGAAGCUUAGUACCUGAUUGAACUAGGACGUGGCUUAUACCCCUGCUGUCCUUGGAACGUCGUUCCCAUAGUGCAUCGUGUGGGUGCAAUGGCGGUCACAGUACGGCAGAGAUCGGGACUGUGGAGCAUUGCACACCAAAGGCAGUUUGGACCUGACACAUACUUAGGGAUCGAUGGGGACGACUGACAAGUGAAGUGACCCUUCGUGGUGCGCGGAUGUCGUGGGAUUAGGUUUGCCAUGCAUGGUUAAUAAAUUCGAAUCGAUUCAUCUGCCUCUCACAGUUUGAGACUGCUUGAUCGCUAUGCUGCACUGAGUAAUAAGUGGAACAGUAUGAUGAUAAUCUUGAUGCUUGUACUUAAAUUGUAUUGAUCACUAUGCGUGAUUAGAAUAGUUAAUCAACUAUAAUGGUUAAUCAACUAGAACCUGAUGCUAAAACUUGAAAGUAAGGACCUACUUUAGAUGCUUUUGGCAAAACAAACCCCUCAGCCAAAAAGCCUUGCAUGUCUAGGAGUCGGUGGAUUAGUUACCACCUGACGGGUAAGCCUUGUUGAGUAUUAGUAUACUCAACCUUGCUUGUGGCUAUCUUUUUCAGGUGUAGUUGCCGGUGUUGACUUGUUUGGGAACCGUCCUCGGUUGGCGAGGAUGGUGAUUGUUGAUGUCAUGAUCGGCUUCGUCAUGAUGUCGUGUAUCGACGUUUAGCUUCCACUCGCCUUUUAUCUUUCGUUGUUGAACCCUUGCAAGCUUUGUUUGGAUUUUCAAAACUUUGAUGUAAUAAUUGUUGAACUAUGUUUAAUGUGAUGGGAAUGUUGUAAUCUCUGUGUAACUACUCACCUUCGUGUGAGCUCGCUUUCCUGAUCCUGUGUAAGUGGUUUAUCGGAUGAAAUCUGACAGAUGACCAAGUUGACUUGUUUAAGAUGCAUGAUCGCGUGUUAGGCGACUUAAUUGCAUUUUAGCCGAGUUAACUUGGACGGUUCCGCCACACAAAGCCCUUUAGUCCUGGGUCCAAAAACGAUCGGAACUAAAAGUGCUGGAUGGAAGGUCGAUUCUCUACUUAGUGCAAGAGCCUCACUUCCGGACAUGCGUCCCUAUGAUCCUUUAUAUACUCCAAAUGUCUUAUUGGCUUGCUAGACAGACUCAUACUUGCCAUGGCGAUGUGUAUCCCUCCUCUCAAAGGAUGGAGCAGCAAGCACCUUGUAGUUGCGGCCAUGAUAGGAACCCUGGUCGUGGUCGCCAUCGCCGCAGUCAUCAUCGUCGACCUCACUCCGCCUCAAGUCUUCUUCUCCAUCGAAGAUGCAAGCCUCCAAUUCUACAACUUCACUCUCUCUGCCAACAACACCAGCCGGCGCAUGGAGGUGCAUUAUACCACCCUCAACACUGAGAUAUGGAUAACCCCGUCUGAUUGGUAUUCAGCCGAGUUGAGCAUGAGCGGGUUCACGCAGCAGCCACCGGACAACGUGACCAAGUUCGCCGGGUGGGCCGAGUCGUAUCAGCUGGAUAGCAUGAUGGCGUCGGCGCAGGGCAGCGGCGCGGGGAAUUGGCCAAACUGCACCGUGGUGGUGAUAGCCAAGGUGUUGUUCAAGGUCGGGCUGGCACGCACACGGCCGUACCACAUCAGGGUGUCCUGCUUCCCCGUCAACUUCCGCGAUAAGACUCGGUACGCCAAUUGUACCUACUGAUCUCUCCAGUUUAGGAAGGGGAGAAGAGCCGAGGCUUUCUAGGGAGGUUGCCGGAGGAGGAGCUGAGGAAGGAUGGGGCGCGGCAAGAUCGAAAUCAAGCGGAUCGAGAACUCUACCAACCGCCAAGUGACCUUCUCCAAGCGCCGCAACGGGAUCCUCAAGAAGGCGCGGGAGAUCAGCGUGCUCUGCGAUGCCAAGGUCGGCAUCGUCAUCUUCUUCGCGAUUUGCUGGGCGCUCGAUCUGCCCCGCCCUCCGCCCUCCGCCCUCCCAGCCUUGCGUCGCCCCUGUCACCCCUCCCCCGUGAACUUCCUCAAUACGACUCGGUACGCCUCCCAAGCAAGUAGCUGAAGCAAACAGGCUGAAAGAAAGGCUUACCUUAAAUUCUGUCAGUCUCUGUAUGGCUGUUGUCUGGAGGGCUCCAGUACACCUUAGAUCUGCUGUUGUUGGUGUUGUUAAUGGACUCCUGAUAUCUGCUUCCGUUCAUGUUCCAGUUCCAUUUGGUCUCGAAAUUAAAGAUAUAUUCUUCAUCAUAUCGGUAAUGUCGCGCGGUUCUUGGUUUCAAGUACUGCCUGCAUUUGUUUUUUCUUUUCCUUGUCAUUUGGUCCGUCAGAACUAAGUUUGUUGAAUUCCUUCUGAGUAAGCUUGAGACGCUGGUCGUGCUUGUUUGUUGGUGUGCCUACGUGCCGCAUAGUUUGUCGUAGCAAAUACUUCCGGUUCCAUAUCGCCUGUGUACUACUGGACCGGGAUGUUCUUCAAUCUGUUAUGACCCUGUAUUCUGUUUUUAUAUAGAUCCCAUGUAUGUAUUCUGAAUGCACAGCCCCUGCUGGGAAAUUGGUUUCCCUACUGCGUGUCUGUGUUUACAUGCAUCUUCUAACUGUGGUUCCAAUGGCCCGUCUAGGCCCAUACAGGCCUAUCAGGUGGACGGGCCGGCCGGCCUCCUGGAUCAAAAAGGCCGGUACCCAUCCCUUCUUGGCCCGCCCGCUCCCGCUGUAGAAACAAAACCAGAGCCAGCAGAUCCCCCGGGCCCUGAAGAGAAAGAAGACGACAACAGAAGAAAGAGCUCGCAACGAAGCCGGCGGAAGCCCCCAAACCCUCCCCACCCCAGGCAGCAGCGGCGCGAUGAGAUGGUCGACGACCCACCGCCGGCGGCGGGAACACCGUCGAGGACAUCGUCCGCGCGGAGGUGAGCAUCCCCGGGCAGCCCUCGUCCUCUUUGCUAUGAGUGCCGGGGAAUCCGAUCUCCGCCCGCGCCGACCUGGCUCUGCUCGGCUGCCCCGAUCUGCCCGCGCGGGUGGCGGCGCCUCGCCCCUAGUUCGGUUUCAGGUUAGAGGUGUCCCAGCGUGGUGUCUGGGCAAGGGGAAUCCAGCAACGAGGCGUUCUCCCUCCCAUCGACUCGGUUGGCGCGGACGGACGCGGUGGGUCUGGUUGGGGAAUUUGUGCCCGUUUCGAUUUGGGUGUAGAAUAGGUAAAUAUCUUCAAAAUUGAUAGAAUUAGGCCCGUUUAUAUCGGGAGCUCCCUCCCUGCUACUUGGGCCAUGACGCUUUGGAUCGCCCACAAAAAUUCACAAACGCAGGCAGGGCCGAUCAUCCCGGAUAAAUCCAUAAUGGUUUUUACCGGUUACCGACCCCGGCGGAUUCGAUUUUUACCGAAAACCGGUCGGUAACCGGUAAAAACGGGACGAAUUCAAAAAACGAAUUGCCAGCACAACUGGUAAAAACCGCAUAGUAAAGGGGGCAUUCCAGCGGCCUGCAAGGCGGUUUCCCAGCUGGCCCGUUGUUAUUCCCCACCAAGCUUUAGCAUCUUUCCUUUGUGAUUGUGCGCUGGUGGGCCCGGCGCCGGGGUGAGAGAAGACACGGCACCUAAUACUUUCCUCACCUUUGCAGUGCCGUGGGCCCGCCACUUCCAUUCUGGCCCACAAGUGAUGGAGGCGCGCGAGGAGGGGUAUCGGUUUCACGAUGAUUAAUAAAGAAAGGCCCAAGACACGUCACGCUGUGGGGGAAAGGGAAGACACCGCACCGCACGCACCUCCACCACUUGCGUUGCCUUUGCCUUUGCUUUUCCCCGAGCUCGCCCGCCUAGGAGCUCCAGCAGCCGGUCCGCUCCGCCGCCGGUGCGGCAACCACGCCGCCGUCAGACCGCCUCGCGCGGCCACCGGUCGUCCCCGCGAUACACCGCCGCCGGUGCGCCGUGCGCGGCGGCGCUGUCCCGCCGCUCCUCCGCCUACCGUCCGCCUGCGCCACCACCAGCGCACCGGCAGCACCGCGAGCUGCUGCGCCACCCCGACGUUGGUCCUUCCUGAGCCCGGUGUCGUCACCAGCGUCGCGGAGAAGCUAAUUACCUGAAGCAAUUUGUAGAAACAAAUAGUACUGGUUCGUUCACUUAUUUCUUUGCUCAAACUUAAUUUCUGCUUAGAGUUUGUGCCUAAAUUAGCUGCUUAUUCUGCUGGUUGCAUGCAGGAGAUCGAGCUGCGGGCGUACGGCCGGAUCGGAGGAGGACAUAUCAGCCGGGUUCCUGUUGGUUGUGUACUUGUGUUCCUGCCGGCGGAGAAGCAACCAUGGCCGAGUUAGUGAUCGGGCCACUGAUCUCCAUGGUGAAGGAGAAGGCAUCCAGCUACCUGCUGGACCAAUACAAGAUGAUGGAAGGCAUGGAGGAGCAGCGCAAGACCCUGGAGCGCAAGCUGCCAGCAAUCCUGCACAUCAUCCAGGAUGCGGAGGAGAAAGGAGCCUCCCGACCUGAAGUAGCAGCUUGGCUCAAAGACCUCAAGACAGCGGCCUAUGAGGCCAACGACGUCUUUGAUGAGUUCAAGUAUGAGGCGCUUCGGCGAGAAGCCAAGAAGAAGGGCCACCACAGCAAGCUUGGAGCAGAGGUAGCAAGACCAUCGAGGCGCUUCAGCGAGGCGCUUCGGCGAGGCGCUCGUAAUCCCAUUGUAUUCCGUUACAGGAUGGGCAAGAAGCUACGCAAGAUUGUGCAGACCAUCGAGGCCCUAGUCACCGAGAUGAAUACAUUUGGUUUCAGACACUUGCAGCAAGCACAGCCAUCAAGGCAGUGGCGACAGACAGAUUCCAUAAUCAUUGACUCCGACAGAGAUAUUCUUAGCAGAUCUAGAGAUCGGGAGAAGAAGAAAAUCGUGGGGAUGCUCCUUGAUCAAGCUAGCAACAUGGAUCUCAUGGUUCUUCCAAUUGUUGGGAUGGGUGGGAUGGGCAAGACCACCUUCGUGCAACUCAUUUACAAUGACCCUGCAAUCGAGAAGCACUUUGAGCUUCGGAGGUGGUGCUGUGUGUCAGAUGAUUUCGAUGUCAGUACCAUUGCAAUUAACAUCUGCCAGACCAAUGAGAAAUGUCGUGAAAAAUCAUUGCAGGAGCUCCAGAGUAUAAUAAGUGGAAAACUGCCAGACCUCAUUGUGUUAGAUGAUGUAUGGAAUCGGGAUGCUGAUAAGUGGGGAAAACUAAAGAGUUGCCUUAAGCAGGGUGGCAAGGGCAGUGCAGUACUAACAACAACUCGUGAUGCACAAGUGGCUCACAUUAUGACCAUGGGUGUAGCUGAAGCCCAUAAUAUGGAGAAUCUGAGUGACGAGCAUUUAAAGGAAAUUGUCCAAAGCAGAGCAUUCUGCUUGCAAAAUCCAAAUAUUGAAGAGCAAGAUGGCAUUCUCAGUGGAUUUGUUCGUCGAUGCGUUGGAUCUCCCUUGGCUGCCAAAGCCUUUGGCUCUAUGUUGAGUAACAGGACUAGUAUAAAUGAAUGGAAGAAUAUAUUAGCUAAAAGUAACAUUUGUAGUGAGAAAACCGGAAUUUAUUUGUUCCUCAAGCUCAGUUUUGAUGACCUAUCCUCAGAUAUGAAGCAGUGCUUUGCAUUCUGUGCUUUAUUUCCUAAAGAUUAUGAGAUCGAUGUGGACCUCUUGAUUCAACUGUGGAUGGCACAUGACUUCAUAACUGUGCAGGAGGAUGACAAUCCAGAAACCGUAGGAAAAUAUAUUUUCGAGGAGCUAACUCGGAGGUCAUUCUUUCAAGAUGUCAGGCAAACACUUCCAAUUGGCAAUUUUGGAAGGUUGUCGCUUCGUAAGUCAACCAUAUGCAAGAUACAUGAUCUUAUGCAUGACAUUGCUGAAGGACUGAAAGGGCGACCAGAGGGGGGGUGAAUGGGAGCCUAUAAAAAUUCUUUACGAGAACAAGGCCUAUGUCCCAACCGCAACCCCAAAGUACAUUGCGCGUUGUAUCGUCAAGAUGACGCAAGUCAACUCGUGACAAGCUCACCCUAGUACCUAUAAAACAACACUCAAAUCACAGCGGAAACAUAGCAUGAAUCGACUCCAUCAAGUUUGCAUAUAUGAGACAAAGCAAAGAUACUACUAACCAUUUACUAAAUUAGGCAUGGAAAGAUUAGCAAUAAACUAGGCAUGAUUAGUAAAAAAACUAAACAAGAUGUCAAAGAUUAAUUAGCAACGUGCAAGAACUUAAUCAGUAACCCACUAACAUGAUUAGUAAGUGACAGUUCUAAUUAAGAAGCUAAACAAAAGAAUAGAGACUAACGAGCCAAGUUCCAAGAAUUAACCGUUCGCUACUUUCCUGUCAGCCUGCUGGCUUGCAACCUGCGCCAGGCCCGAUGGCCUCCCUCGCUUUGCUCCUGUUGGGUCGGUUGGCCUGCCGCAGCUAGCUGGGCCUCUAGUGCUGCUGCCUGGGCCGUCAGGCUUGUCUGGCCCGCGAGGCAAGCAGCUGUCCUCCCACUCGGCCUGCUGCCCAAACAGGCCUGGCCCGUGCACUGCUCCCCUCCUGGACCGUGUGCGUAGCUGGGCUGCGAGCUGGACUGCUCCCUGCAGCUGAUGCUGGCUUCGGUCUGGCUCGCGUGCACGUCCCGUGCCUCCUCCACGCAACGACCUGCGAACAAACAGAGCAAGAACACCAAGAACAACCAGAGAACAGGGAAGAACACGUUCAACUUCAAAUUCGAAAUCCUCCGUCAAAUCUCCAUGAAUUGCGACGAAACUUGAGACAAGGAUGCAAUACCCCUAAGGAAAAUAGAUCUAUGAAACAAAUCUUGAAAAACUCAGGUAUACAUCACUAAUCUUGGAGAAAACCGAAAGCCUAACUCAAAAACACGAUUCGGAGAAAUUCGAAAUCCAAGCCGGAUCCAUGAGAGAUUUAGAAGGGGAACGAAUCAAAGAUGCUCCCUAAGGUCCUAGCAUCAUUUCCUUUCAACCAAGUCCACGAGAUUCGGCUCAAACACGAAGAACGAAAAUUCCCUAAAAAUAGCUUCGAAAAUAGGGAAAAAGAAAAACGCUCGGGAAUCAAAAAUUUAGCACGAUUCGAGACAACAAACAAAGCUAAAUCACGAGAACAUCUUCUAUACAAGAUGAGAACUAGCCUCCUCCCUUCAUCCACCCACUAAAGAUGAAGAAAUCGAGAGAAAAGAGUAAUCACUCCCUAAUCCCCCUCUCUCCUCUCACUUUAAGCACAUGACUAGCCUCUAAGCAAAUAGAUAAUGAGUUGCUAAGUAAAGAGGUGCUGAAAUAACCAGCCUCCAUCCCUAUUUAUAGUCCAGGACGAAAGACUAUACUACCCCUACAGCUACAACUAAGAUAACUACCCACGCAGGGGCAUUUUGGUCCAAGUUUUUAUCCGUGCAUCGGACGGACACGCCGCCUUCACGACUUUGCUUCGCCUCGACGCAAGCUUCGCGAUGACGCCACGUGCCCUCCUUCUCGAAGCUACGGCCGCACCGGGCUCGCCCCCGGUUUUGAGGCCCAAACCGGGAAACCUGCCCGCGCGGUGGUUUUGAGGCCCAAACCACCCAAACCGUCCAUCUUUGCUUGGCCGCUACGCGACCUCCUUGAUGUCGACGCGUGUCCGGCCUCCGCCAAGCCUCCCGCUCGACUUGACCGACGUCGUCUCCAUCUUGUCAUGUUCUCCCACCGUUCCGUGCACCAUGUGGACCGCCCGUGACUCCGCCCGGACUCCUCAGGUCCAUCGGUCUAAGCCUACUCGCGUUCAUCCUUCAUCGCCCUUGGUCCAUCGGUAACCUUUCGCUUGACCUUCACCGCACUCCGUCGACCGUCAUGCCGCAUCCUACACCUGCACAUCACAAGCCAAGAGCAACAUCAAACCAACACAACGUUGUCAAUCACUCAUCAUCCAAGGGUGACCACGAUUGGCCCUCAAUUGCUCUAUCUGUUAUGGGGAAAGAAUGUGUCACUAUAGUUGGUAAGCCGAGCGUCAACAAACUGGUUAUAAGUCAACAAAAUCCGACCCGUCACCUCUUCUUAGGUGUUUGUCCAUUGGAGAAAGAACUGGUUAUAAGUCUAUUGAAGAAACAAACUGCAAUGCUCCAUACGUUGUUUUUUCCAGAUUAUGGUGACCCCCUUGAUAUAUCAAAGUACACUUCACUGCGAGCAUUACACCUUCCAGCAUUGAUACAAUUUUCAGGACAGGAACAGCUUACAAGAGACAUACCACACCUAAGGUAUCUUAAUCUGUCGUCACAUGAGUUCGAGAAACUUCCUGAAGGUAUAAGCAUUAUGUAUAAUCUACAAACAUUGGACCUCUCUCAUUGCGUACACCUUCGUCAACUUCCAAAGGAUAUGAAAUAUAUGGCAAACCUCCGACACUUGUAUACCCAUGGAUGCAAAUCAUUGACGUGCAUGCCUCCAGGACUUGGACAGAUCACUUCUCUGCAGACUCUAACAUAUUUUAUUAUUGGUGAUGGCUUGGGAUGUAGUACUAUCAGAGAACUUCAAAACUUAAACCUUGGUGGAGAGUUAGAGUUAAGUGGUCUGCAAAAUGUAACAGAAGUGCUUGCAAAAGCAGCCAGUCUUGAAAAAAAAGAGAAACUCACACACUUAUCUCUCAAGUGGAAUGAUGAUGCCCGUGAGAAACCAGAUUAUUCUCAUAAUGAGGUGUUAGAUGCCCUUAAACCUCAUCACCGGCUAGAGAUGCUAAGAAUAAAGUCCUACAAAGGCACCAAUUUACCGUCAUGGAUAACAGAUCUUAGUCUGUUGCAGCACUUGACUGAGCUCCAUCUGCUUGGUUGUACGCUGUGCGAGGAAUUUCCUCAAUUCUGCCAUUUCAAAACCCUUGAAGUUCUGUAUUUGGAAAAGUUGAACAAAUUGCGAAGCCUAUGCAGCCAUACGGUGUCUACGCCAUUUCCAGCACUGAAGCAACUCCGGUUACAUGAUUUGGAGAGCUUGGAGAGAUGGGUCGCAACAGAAGGAAAAGAAGAUGAAUUAACCUUUCCUGUACUUGAGGAGGUUGAUAUAAAAAACUGUCCAAAGUUGACUAGCCUACCUGAAGCACCAAAACUCAUGUUUGUAAGGCUGGAUGAAACUCCGGUUACUAAUAAGCCUUGGGAAUCAUCACAGAAACUGGAACUAUCUUUGGGUGGCACAGAAGCCGCACCUCGAUCACAACUGAGAAUAUCUGGCAGCAACCUUUUCUUCAUAUCAAAACUGGAAAUGGUUUGGAAAUGGUUUGAACAUCUUGUAGAUUUCAGAAUUAAAAACUGUGAUGUGCACAUGUCUUCAAUUUCUAAGCUAUUAGU